rnacentral:lncRNA from 1 species
AAAAACGACGGCUUUUGACUUUAUUACGUCGUUGGAAAAGUAUUACACGUCGGUUACGCAAUUUGUAUGUUUGUUUUUUUUUUUAAUUUAAGAAAACCUCAACAAAUUUUUACAUUAUAUAUUAUAGACAAAAUUUGUACAUUAUACAUAAAUAUCAAGUGUUCAAUAAUUCCCCUAUUCCAGGUGAAGGCAAACAAACUCUGACCAUUCAUUCCGGACUUCAUCAAUUGCUUCUUGGGGGUAUGGCGCUUCCUGUUUUCCCUUGGCAUACUGCAUAAACAAUGACUAUUAGGGUUUAUAAAUAAAAAGAAAUUCAAUCACAGACGACGAUAUUUUUCAUAACCGACGUACUAUAUCUAUUCAACGACGGUAAUUUUACAUGACCGUCGUUGAUAAUACAAAAAACGACGUAAAAUGUAUGAAGGUAAUUUCUUCUUACCUUCUUCUCAAACCCCAAGGAAGGAUCCAUGAUGAUGUCCCUCAUGAAGCGCAUCACAUAAUACCCGCAUUCGACAUUGCUGGGUUGCUUUGGUGUCCCUGACAGAGUUUUCCAAAUGGCUGCCUUACGGCCUGGUCUGGCUAUGUGAGAAUUAUAAAUUUUUAUAGCACUGUUCACAAUGUUUUUGGCCUCUUCAUCGACCACACGAUUUCCUGGCAGAGGAUCCAGAAAAUAGACGGUUUCUCUCUUUGCUCUUACAAUCAGCAAGAUCCAAUGACGGCUGCACAAAAUUAAUAUAAAAACGACGGUUAUUUACAAUAACGACGUAUUAUAAUGUUUCACACGACGAAAUAAAGUAGCAAUCGACGACAUUUUACAUUUAUCACGACGAUAAAUAACUACCGACGUGGUUAGUAGUUUCAAACGACUCAAUAAAAUAAAACACCGACGUGGUUAGUUUAUACGCUGUAAUUUAUUGAAAAUCAUAAAAACAAAAUCCUGUUAAGGAGACUAACCCUGGAUUGUAAGGCAUCAGGAAAAUCUGUUCACCGUCAGUCUUUUGAAGUCGAGCUGCUAGUAAGCGUGAUCUGUCAGCUAUUGUGCCAGAGUUGGCACUAACUGUAGCAAGGUCGAUAAAGCCAACCAUAUUGCACAUAUUUGCUCGUUUCAAAACAUCGUGCAAGUGCCUAAAUAUAUAAAAUAAUAUAAACAAGUCAGCACAAAAAAACACACGACGGUUAUGUAUAACAAAACGACGUAUUAUAAAAUUUCACACGACGUACUGAAAUAGACAACGACGUUAUAAUAUAUUUAUCACGACGGUAAAUACUAACGACGUGGUUAGUUAGUUAAGACGACGUAAUAAAUAAACCAACGACGUAUUAUUUUAGAAUGACAAACCUCAUAUAUACAAAAAAACACGACGGUUAUGUAUAACAAAACGACGUAUUAUAAAAUUUCACACGACAUACUGAAAUAGACAACGACGUUAUGAUAUACUAACGACGUGGUUAGUUGGUUAAGACGACGCAAUAAAUACACCAACGACGUAUUAUUUUAGAAUGACAAACCUCAUAUAUACAGCAAUGACAGUGGCUCCUAUUUCUUCCAUGCCUGCAAAUUGUGUAAUAUCUUCAGGCAGGAGGAAGGUAUCGCGCUCUAGACCAAACACCUCCUUAUCAAUUGUAAAGUGCAGGGUCUUAUCCUGAGGCACGAGUGUCGUUUCCACAUAACGACAAAGGGAGUUUAAAGAAGAUGGCGCCUCCAUAUUUGAAUAAUCAACAACUUUAAUAACCUGUUUAAAGAAAUAUAAAAAAUGACGUGGUAAUUCAAUAAAAACGACGGUUUAAGGAAUAAAACGUCGUCUGAAAAGAAUUUAAACGUCGUCUGAAGAAACCGUCGUGGUGAAUAAUUUAUUACGUCUUAAAAAAAAUUCCGCCGUCUAAGUUGUAAACAAACGACGGUUUAAAGAAAAAUAUCGACGUCUGGAAUUUUGAAAAACAAAUAAAAAAGGCAAAGUUAUGUGAACAUACCUGGUCGUCAUCUUCUUUCUCCUUUUCAUCAUGUUUUUCUUCUGUCUUCCCUUCAUCUAUUACGUCGAGAAUGACUAACUCCGUCGUCUAAAAACCACAAAGUUUUAAAAUAACGACGUUUAAUGGCGUGUAAAACAAGUAAACUAAAUACGACGUGGUAUUGAAAUACAAACGACGGUUUAUGUUUAAAAUCGUGGUGGUAUGUAUUUCAAACGACGGUUUUAUUAAUAAUAACGACAUCUAAUGGUUUUUAAAAAAACAGAGAAUUCAAAGUUCAGAUAUGUUACCUUUUCUUCCUGAUGUUUCCCAUUUUUGGCAGUAUCAUCCUCAAAAUGCUGGGAUCUCACAUCACCUCCAGAGCAGCUUGCUUUGUCAGACAUUGGAUUUUUGGGACUUUGGCUAAUUCUGGGUUUAAGCAUGCUUGGAUCAAAAUUGGGAAUUAAUUGGGAAAGCUGACUCAGGAAAUGCUCCCUCUCAGCCUCUACCAAUUGUUUCGUUCUAGCCUCCAUCCUUAAAGCCUCUUCCCUUGCCUUAGCUUCCAUCUUUUUAGUCUCUUCUUGAAGGAGAACUCUUAAACUGUCCUUCAAACGGUCGUCAAAGCUCACUCUCUGUGGUUUGGGUAAAUUGAAAUAUUGCCUUGGUGAGAUCCCAGCACCUACUCCUCUCACUCUGCCUGGAUGCUCGGGGCCCAAAGCCAUGGUCAGCACAUCAUUGCUGCCAGAAACAGUGACUUUGCCUUCCGAGACUUGUUUUUGCAAUUCAUCCUAAAACAAAGAUAUAUAAAAAAGUAAGAACAAAAACACACGACGGUUAUUUAUAUACAAACGACGUAUUAUAUAAUUUCACACGACGCAAUAACAUAUAAAUCGACGUUAUUAUAAUUUAUCACGACGGUAGUUUUUAAACCGACGUGGUUAGUUUUUAAAACGACGAAAUGAAUAAACCACCGACGUCUUAUGCUUUAUUUACAGAUAACAGAGGGAUGAUUCAAUAUUCACACCUUUAACGACCUUGUUUAAAAUAUUUCGACGUAGUAAUUCAAUACAAACGACGCGAAAAUGAACCACCGACAUCUUAUGCUAUAAUUACAGAAAACAGAGUAGUGAUUCCUGAUUUAGACCUUUAACGAUGUGGUAAUAUCAUUCACACGACGCAAAAUAUAACAUAAGACGUAAUAAGAAUUAUUCACAGUUUAAUAAAAAUUUAAAACAGAGUGAGUAGGCUUACAAUUAAUUUUGCUUUCUCUGCCACCUUUGGAUCCGGGAUGUUACCAUGUUUGUCCUGUCUAGCUCUCUUCCAUAAGGUAGAUCGAUCAAUUUCUACCCCAGGCAUGGUUUCCUCCAAUUGAUCCUCCAAACCAGCAUAUCCUUUUCGAGACAAUCGAUGAUUGUACUCAAGUUUCUCCCUAAUCUGUGCAUGUUGAGAAUGCACAGACUCAAAAUCUUUGGAUAACCUUGAAGCUACAAAGGCAUCCCAUUGUGCUUUCUCUAUGAAUUUAUAUAUUUCAGGGGGUUGGCUUAAUCUCUCCCUGUCAUUAGUGUAUGGAAGGAUAUAUUGCCUCGUUAGUGUAGACUUGAAAUCCUUCCAUUUCUUGGCAGCAGAAGCUAACACAGAGCUCUUGCCCCCUUGACCUACCACAAAAGCAAUGUCAACUGCUUCCCAAAUCUGCUCCUUUAUAUCCUUGGAGAUUUGAGCCUAUUUCAUGUCCACAAGUGGAACUCUGGAGCGUGCCAACACACCAAUGUAGGACUGCAUCUCACUAUGUGCUUGGCCAAUUCCUUUCCCCCUUUUAUUGUACUCAACAAUUGGCCUCAGUUUCUGAAGUUUUCUCUUCACAACAUGAGGCAUUGUGCUCAUACCUCGACCAGACUUUGAAUCAUCAGAGAUUGUUGUCGUGCUGGUUCGUUCUGUCUCAGCAGAUGAUGAAGCAAACUUCAUCUUCUUCGAAGGCUUCACUUGAGGAGGUACCAUUCCAAGGUCCUUACCUCCAUUUUUCUUGGAGCCAGAAUCCUUACUUUGGUCUUAGUGAGAAACCAUUUUUACAGACAAAACUGCAAGUGAAAAUAUUUCAGGAAAAGAUUAAGAACACAAACGACAGUUAUUAAUAAAAUACGACGUAUGAUAUGAUUUUAAACGACGCAAUGAAAUAAUCUCAGACGUAAUAAAUGUUUAAAACCAAGGUAAUUAAACAACGACGAAAUAAUUAACUAUAAACGACGUGAUAAUUAACUAUAAACGACGAAAUAUUUAUAUAACGUCGUGGUAUUGAUGUUCACACGACGUCAGUCGUAAUAUACCGUCGUCUAUAUAAGGAUCCAAAACCCUUCUUUCUUUCUCUGUGAAUGUUUGAUUGCAGAUUUGAUUUUUCUGAACCAUGGUUUUUGUUUUCUAAUUUGAUAAAAUACAAGGCCAAGAAAGAAAGUUUUGGAAUCUUAUAUAGACGACGGUAUUUUAAUAUGACGUCGUGGUAUUAACAUUCACACGACGUAAAACAAUAAGAUACUGUCGUCUAUAUUAGAUACCAACCCUACUUUCUUUUUCUUUAUAUUUUAUCAAAUUAGGGAAAAACAAAAACCAUUGUUCAGAGAAAUCAAACCUGCAAUUAAACAAGCAAAUAAAAAAAAGACUAUAAUUUUAAAAACAACUUUGUCAAUUUUCAGACGACGCUAGAACGACUGACGAACCGUCGUGGUCUACAUAUUUAACCACGUACAUAAGAAGCUACCGUCGUCUUAUUUAGUUGAGGUAGUUGUCUUCAAAGUUGGAAACUUUCCCUCUUUGUCUGUAUAUUUUAUUGAACUUGGAAAGAAGUAAAAUGAUUUUGGCCAGAAAAAAGGUAAAAAGAUUUUUCAAACAAAAAACGUAUGAGCAUGCAAAACAACAACCAAAAUAGUGAAAAUGAAAGCUUACCUUUUGCGUGCAAUGAAAGCAAGAGGAAGAUUAUGUUUAAGUUCAGAGACGACGAAGAAGAAGAGAGGAAGACGAUGAGAUACUCUGACAGUGCUCUGACAAGGAAAAAAGUCUAAAAGUUUUCUCUGGGAGAUUGAACUUUUUAAUCGGGUUUGAAAACGGCGCAUGUGUAUGUCAGGUAGACGAAAAGUUGCUUACAUAUAAAACCAUUUCAAAAAAAUAAUACGGCGGUUACAUAUAACUACGACGUAUAAAUUACAAAAUACGACGGUACAUUUAACUUCGGACGUGGUAAAUAAAUACGACAGUAGUGUUGUAGGUACCGUCGUAGUAAACUCAAAAAUUAAAGUACAUAAGUAAUAACUCGCGUCAUGGUAGAUUAUUUAACACGUCGUUUUUAUUAAUUUACCGACGUGGAUUUCUGUAAUAUACGUCGAUAAUACCGACGUUGAUUUUACAAUUUAAACGGCGGUUUUUUUGUAAGGACCGCCGUUGGUUUUAAAAAUUUAUUCUAUAAAUUUGUCGCUUUCAUUCAUUUUCGGUUUACAUUUAAGGUUCCAAGUUCUUCCUCUCUCAGUCUCUCACGUCUCAAAGACAAUAAUUUGGAUGUCUUUCUCAAAGAGAAAUUGAGCUUACUCGCAUCAAAUAUAUGUCCACAAGAAGAAGCUUGUCAACUAGCCUUCUCACUUCCUUGAUCAAGCCUGAUAGGACACUUAGUGCUUCUGAAUACUCCUUGCUUUCCAUCAAAAGAGAUGCAAGCCUGGCCUCCACUCGCUGUCGAAGGAAAGUUCGCUUCUCAGGGAAAUCUUCUUGAUUUUCUUGGCUAAGAAGAUCCGUCAGAUUUGUGAUAGCCUCUUCCUUUAUCCGUAGAGCUUCAGAAGAAGAAGAUGGGUUUCAAGAAUGCGAUAAAGAAUAGAAAUGGCUUCAGAUGGCCUCUAAAGCAUGAGCAAUCGAAUCAGUAGUUGUUGGGAGAUAUGAUGAAGACAUUGUCAAUGCUUUGAACUAUACAAGUCCUGCAGAAAGAUAAAGGACCAAACUGUUAAAGAAACUGAAACAAUGGCGGUUUUCUGUUCUACCGUCGUCUUUUCUCGUCGUCUAUAUUAAGGUAAGAUGGCGGUAGAUUUAUAAUUACCGACGUAGAUUAUUUUGUUAAACGUCGUUAAGUGUACUACAACCGACGUGGAUUUUAUUUUUAAAUUAUAAAUAGAGUUUUUUUUCCCCUAUUCUUUCAGUUUUAGUUUUCAAUUACAAAGCGUGAUAAAUAGAUUUUUCUUUCCCGAGGAAAUUUAAAAUGAGGGAAAUUAAUGUUCUAGAAUUUGUAAACUAACACGACGCAAUAUUUGCAAAUCUGUGUCAUCUGUUAAGAUUAUGAUGUGGAACAGAGUUCCAUCUGGUAAGAUUUCGUAACCCUUGGGAUCUCAGACAAAUCUGAUUAUGUCGGCGGUUUUCUAUAUAAAUCGUCGUGGUUAUUUCAAUUCUUGUCAUUAAGUAGAUCUACCGACGUAGGAUAAGAAAAUCAAAGAAAAAAAUUGUUAACAAAAAUUCUUAUUAAGACGACGGUUAAAAUUAAAGGUACGACGUAUAAAAUGAAUAAAUACGACGUUAAAUUUUAUUGUACGAUUUAAAGAUAACGUCGUAGAACUAUAAGAGAAUGACGUCGAUAUAUUUAUAUUUUCCGUCGUUGUACAUUAAUUUAAUACGGCGAUAUUUUGUAUUUUAAAGCCGUGGAUUUGUUUGUAAUUAUACGGCGUCUUAUACGAAAACCUCGUCGUGUUAUUUUAUGAGUAAAAACGGCAGUUUUUAUUGAAAUCGUCGUCUUUACUUUCUACGUCGGUCGAUUCAUAACUUCUGCCGUUCUUUGUUGGCAUUGAUUUUACACUGCGAAAAUCUGUUUCAAAUAGACGUCGGUUGUUUAAUUAUGUACGUUGUUGUUUUUGAACAGCCAUUUGAAUCUCCAUUUUUUAGUUGUCUAAGGUUGUAUUACACGACGGUGUUUUUAGAACCGUCGUCUUUUUAAAAACCACGACGGUUUUCACUUAGACCGUCGUUGUUUUCUGGUCGUCUUUUUCACUUUUUGUAGUAGUGGCAUAUGAUGACGACACUCACAACAAGAUCAUGGCAUUUGACUCGAGUUGUAUGAUUCUCUCUUAAGUGUAUGUAAAGUGUAUGACAUUUACAUCAAUACGUGUAUUCUUAAUUGAAAUCUACUAUGGCAUUUACUCAAAUUAACAAUCAAGAAUCCAUUAAGAUCAAAGAGAAUAUGAGUGUCACAAAAACCCUAAAACAUGGCAUUUGUUAUUAGGAAUUCAAGAAUCGAUUUCUCAUAACUAGUUCUUAACCCAAUUAUUCGUUGCAAAUAAGAACACAUUCAAUAUGGCAAUUGACCUAUGUUCUACAACAAUUUAAUUCCAAUACAUGCUUCUAAGUUAGCUACUCAAAGAAACAAAAUAUCAGAAUUCACAUAACAUAUAGAAACCGAAAACAUCACGCUUGUAGAAACUAAAAAUCCAUUAACCUUGUUUAUAAAAUUGAAAUCAUGUUUAGGGCUUCAAGAUUAAGCCCUAACUAACAAGAAAUUAGUUACUCAUGGUCUUGGAUGAACUCAAAAAUAAAUACAUAAGAACUGAAAAUUAAAGAAGGAAGGAAAAGAAAGAACUCGUUCGCAGCUUUCUCCUCUUGCGCUGUUGAUCUCUUUAGGACGUGAAUCCUUUUUAUCAGCCUUGCCUCGUCUUUUAUAUCACUUAUAUCAGAGUUCUAAACCCUAAAAUUGACUGAAAAGUCGUCCAAGAAGUCUUGGUAAACAAGGAAUCCAAAUAGGAAAGUAAAAAUCACAAUUCCUAACUCCACUGGGAAAUACAGCUCAGCCCAAUGUUCACACGAUUUUGGGAUCUUCGACCUUGUAGAAAAAUCAUUAAAAAUAUAUUUUAGAAAGAUAAAUGUCUUAUCUUUCCAACCAUAUAUAGCACGUAACUUGAAAAAUUCGGAAAGGCUUCCGUUUCUUCACAUUCACGUAGCAUGUACGAAACUGUCCUGUCUGCACGUGGGCUAACUUUACUUGUAAUACUGUACCAAUUGGCUCGGUAGAAAAUUCUAGAAAAAUCAUAGAUUGAACUUCAAGAUGUUAGCUUUCAUCUCCAAUCAGGGGCGGCCUUGGGGAGGUGCAAGUGGCGCCACCGCACAGGGCCCCCGAAAAAAAAAAUAUUUAUAUUAUAUAUAUAUAUUAAUAUUAUAUGAAUCGUAUAUAUAAUAUAGCGUCUGGAUAUUUGCACAACAGCGUGUUCAGGGGAGUUGGAUGGAGCACAUCUCUCUUUGGCAAAAGGGCCCGAGUUCGAUGCUCCUUGAUGUCGUUCUACUGGCUAGCCUUUUGUGAUAUUAUUUUUGCAUUCAAACUUUACAUAAUUAUUGAACCAUUGGAUUAAUAUGCAACGAUGGGUGACCACAAUCUCUUGGACUCCUGUGGUCCAUGAGAUCGGGACUGAUAUUACAUGACUUAUUUUAUUAAAUUAUUAUCAUGUUGAUGAUUGGUUGUAUGAGAAUAUAGUUUGUAGAAAUAUUUAUCUAUUUCUUGUUGGGGUUUUCUUCCAGGUUAUAGGGUUUUGGAAUUUUUCUUUGUAAUCUAAACAUGCCACCUACUAGAAAAUACGUUUAUGGAUAUACAAAACGGCUUAGAAAAAGAAAAUUCGAGGAAUUGACUCAAUCUCAAAGAGGAGCUCUUGAUAGAUUCAUUGUUAGAGAAUCACAUGCUACAAUUGAUGAAAAUAUUUAAAUUUUUAUGAAUUUAAUUUCUGAUUUUCAUUGCAUAUUUAUUGAUGGUGAAUUUUAGUUAUAAAAAAAAAUUGUUUAUGACAUUAAGUUAUGGCAAAUUUUUAUAGUAUUUUCGUAUUAGAUUAUGCAAGGCCCCAAUUUAAGUUUCGCACAGGGCCCUCAAAAUCUCAGGGACGGCCCUGUCUCCAAUUGGUCUUGUGCUAAAAUUCCUCCGAAAAGUUGAUUUUCCCUUAAAAACCUUCUAAGAGUGCAGAAAAGCUGAAAAUCAGAAAAAUAAAGUAAUAAGCCAUUUUUAAAUCUAAUUCUCUUACAAAACCAAAGUAAAAAGAGUACAUAAAUGAGUAUAUUUAUGGACUUAUCAACGUCUUCUUCGUUGGACUUGGGGUUGUUUUCCUUAUAUGUCCCCUAUAUAUAUAUAUGGCCUUUAGUUGAGCCCACAAAUACCUUCAGUUAGUUUUUGGGUUUAGGGGCCUACAGAACCUGCACUAAACAAUAAAAGAAAAUACCUAAUUAGUUUAGUACGAAUUUAUAAUGAAGGCUUUAUUAGGUGAAGUUUUAUUUCUUAAUCGUUAGAUCAAAUUGGUUAGCAUCUGAAGUCGCCCAAAGAUUUGAGAGGGAUUCCACAAACAUAUAAUAUAAAGAAAGAAAGCAAUAGUAGGAGAUGAACCAGUACAAAAAACAAUAUAUAAAUAGUACAUAAUAAUUCCAUAACCUUGUCACAAACGCACUCACAAAUGCUUUCCAUAAACCUUGCCCUAACAUAUAACAAAUAAAGGCAACAUUGCAUAUGAUGCAACCAUGUCCAAAUCUGAUACGUGAUAAAAAAAAAAGGACAUGGCAGCAACAUAUGACUGAAGUAGAUGGGCUCUUUGCAUCUCGUGUUAUCGUAAUUAAAGACAUCAAAAUAUUAAGGUUGAAAUCUUCUAUAGUAGCAAGCAUUAAAAUAGGUUUGAAGCAGAGUUUAAAGAAAAUUCCAAUUCCACUGAUUUGCCUCUGCUCAAAGACGAGAACCAAAAUGGUUACUUCCCUUGCUGAGUAUAUUUGUUAACGUCGGAAACGGUAAUAGAUGACCAAUCAAACCCAAGUACGACGAGUUUUGCAUAGGAUCAGAAGUAGUUGAAUCCAGCUUGCAUCACACGCUUCUUUGACUCCAUUGCAUUAGAUGAGUUUUUGUAUUUUUGAACAGCUACACUCCGAAGUCGUUUGUGUCUACGCUUCAUGCGCUGCAACUUCGCCCUAUCCAGAUUGGCCUGCCUUUUGUCAUCUUCAAUUUGGCCUUCAACAAAUUCCAAACGUGCCCUUGCCCUUUGGAUUUCAUCACCAAGUUGAAGAUGCCUCUCCUUCCAAAAAGCAAGAACUCUUUCAGACUCAAAACUUCCAACAAAAUGGUCAUUCUAUCUAGGAAUGUGACAUUGCUUGUCUGGUGACUCACCUGCGUUUCAAAGGCGGUCUUUGUUUGGAGGGGUGUUUAUUAUGCUCACAUCAAACUUGGUUAGUAAAUCCAUUCUAUGGGGGGAGUGAGUUUCUGUGGAGGAGAGAGUUUCAGUAGAUGGAGACAGAUUCGGUGGAGGAGUGAGAUUUUUGUGGAGGGAGAAUUUCUAUGAAAUGGGUGAUAGUAAUACCAAUAAAAGGGUUCCCGCCAAAAAGUAUUUGGUUGACAAUGUAUAAAUUAAUUUUUGGUCUGAUACAAUCUAAGUUUAAUCCUAACUAGUUUGGUUAGUUUGGUUGAAUUCACUAACUAGAUGUCACUUCCAUUGAGUUUCUUUCAACCACUAUCAGUGGUGUAAGGAGAGUGUGAGGUUGACAUGCUUGAAAAGCAAAACCUAACACCUCUUUUUUUUAAAAUUGAAAGAAAGUACAUAUGUUGACUACACACAAGCUUUGGUAUGUUGGUCUAUAAAGCUAUGUUCCCUUUCUCAAACGAAAUUGCAUAUGCAAUCCUCGUCCUCCCAAAACAAAUAGAAUUAUUCAAGCAUGUCAACCUCUUCAGGCGCCAACAACACAAUCAAAGAUGACAAAUUGGAGUCGCAGGUUCUAUUUCCACAUUGUACUCGCCGACCCCUUCCAUUUUCAACAUCAUUUGGGAGUGAGGGGGACUCCGAUGAUCCAUUAGAGCUAAUACAUGCAGUCAAUAGCAAGCUGGAUUAUAAUUCCAGACUGAUCAAUUCAUGGCGCGAGAAAUAUGUUGAAGACGAAGCCAUUUUGGCUGAUCUUAACAUUAGAGUGAACAAAGCGUUCUCCCAAAAGAACAAGUACUUGAAGCUGAGUCAUAAAAGGAAGCUGAAAGCUGAGGAGUUAGAUACAGUAAUGAAUGAUGAAAUUAAAGGUUGUUUGAUGAAUCAUAUGCGAUGCGAAGAGCACCACAGUGAACUGGAGUUGGCAUUCAACGAAGGAUUCGAAAAAUUACGAGCAUUUGCAGCAACUACUCAUACAAGUUAUAAUUGGGACUAUGUGUCCCCUGAUGUUGUGAGAGAGAUACUAGACGAUGGUGGUGACAUGAAUGAGCAUAAGCACGUCAAAGCUGCUUGGAAGAAGCCGACCGAUACGACUAAGUGAUUGCGGCUACAGUUGUUCAGUUGGUUGAGAGUGAUCGUGGUAUUGCACAAAUUAGAAGUAUAUUCCCAUAAUGUCAUUAUCUAAUUUAAAAUAACACAAAUAUCAGUUUCAUUUGCUUCAUAUUGUAACACCCCGACCCCAAAUUUCCCCAAAAUUUACCCUCAUUUAAUUAAUUAAUUAUUUAAGGGUAUUUUAGUCAUAUUUUUAACCGGAGAGAGUUUGGGACCAUGACUUGUAUUUUUGGAUAGGUCGUACUGAGACGAGUUCAUAGACACGUAGUGGGCUCGAAUCAGAGUUGUAACGAGAGAGAUAUGGUCAAAAGAAACCCAGUGGCACAAUCGUAAAUAUUUCAAAAUGGGAUUUUUAUAAAAAUCUGGUUUUUCUCUCUCUCUCUCUCUCUCUCUCUCUCUCUCCCGCGACUUCUCUCUCUCUCCCGUCGGCUCUCUCUCUUUCUCUCCUUGUAUCUCCGGCCACCGACCACGGCUGUGGGCGGGGCCGGUACCAAACUGACCGGGACGACGUCCCCUUCCUUCCCCGACCAUUCCCCGCCGGCAACGCGGCCGUUGCUGGCCGGAAAAUGCAGAAAACCGCCGGGAGGUCGUCGAAACUUCAACGCCGUCGAUCUCCCUCCUCCGGCCACCAUUUUCGUCGACCCAGGUAUGGAUCUUGAACCUCUCGAGCUGUUCUAGCUGUUUGUUGGUUGGGUUUUGAUCGAUUCGAUCUCUAGAUCACUCGAUUUUCGAAUUGAAAAUUGGCCGAAACUUCGGCCGCCGUGAUCGGCCAUUUUCGGCCACUUUUUGUGGUAGGUCCAAGAACAAAAGUGGCUCCAAAUAGGGUGUUAUACCUAGGGUAGAAGUUUGGAGCCGAGAUGUUGAGAUUUUCCGGCGAAGCGUUAUCGCUUUGGGCACCCACGCGUGCGGCGGCGCGUGGGCACUGUAGAAAAAGUAGAUGUGUUCCGAUGAGAUCCUUAGGUUGUCACGAGUGCGUAGGAUUUGGCGGAUCUCAAUUCGGACGUCGUUUGACUAUCGAACGGAUAAUCGCAUAUUAUGCGUUAUCCGGGUUCGAUAGGUUGAGACCGUCGGAUGGUCCCAAAUUUAAUAUAUGUUGAUCUAGGUAUUUCUAGGAUCGUGUAGGAUUUCACGGAUCGUGAAUCGGAGCCCCGGAUGUUCCGAAUAAUAAUUUAAAGUUUAUAUUUUAUAUUAACCAUCAGAUUAUGCGAUCGUGAGAAAUCCGACCGUCUGAUCUGAACCAAACUGGCAGGAAAAGUGUCCUGUACCUGGUAGAACCCAUAGGGACCUUCGGAUCGGAAAUUGGAGGUCGUGGGUUCCGCAAGUCUGUUUGACCAGGGUUAGAGUAGUUUGACCCUUGGUUGACCGUGAGUCUCCCGGAGUAAUCUCACCCUUCCAGGGGGAAUUAUCGGGAGCUAGACUAUUGUGGAGGGUUACACAAUAUUAGAAUUAUUUAUAUAAUUAUAUAUGGUUGUACAAGGGUACAACAAAGUCUAGAAUGUCAGUUUGGAGUGCUAUACGCACUACUUUAGGUACCUCCUCGGAUUUUGGAUUCGCUACAAGCACCACCAAGUGAAAGUUAGGUCCCGCGUGGCGUAGGUUAUCCGGCGUUGGGACAGACCCCAUACGUGGCGUUGGUUGUACCGGCGUAUGGGGAGAUUUGCAAUAUGAUGUUCAGGUCUCACGUGGCGUAGGUUAUCCGGCGUUGAGACAGGCCCCGUACGUGGCGUUGGUUGUACCAGCGUACGGGGAGAUUAUGUGAUAUGAUGUUGAGGUCCCGCGUGGCGUAGGUUAUCCGGCGUUGGGACAGGCCCCAUACGUGGCGUUGGUUGUACCGGCGUAUGGGGAGUUAUAUGAUAUGAUAGUAUGGCAUGGUCGCACAUGGCGUAGGUUAUCCGGCGUGUUGACAGGCCCCAUACGUGGCGUUGGUUGUAUCGGCGUAUGGGGAGAAUAUGUGAAAUGCAGAGAAAGGAAAUAAGGUAUCACCGAUGUGUGGAAUUGGGUUUUAGGGAAGAACUACGUGUGGCUUGAUCCCUCAAGGAGGGUACGUAGGCAGCCUAAGGUUAUUGGGUGCAGCCGCAGACUAAAUAUUAGUCAUAUUUGGUAUUUGAAUUGUAUGGUAGUUGUUUGAGAAUUAUUGGAAGGCCAAAGGCCAUUUAUGAGAAUUUGCAUGAAAUUAUAUUGUGCAUGCUGCUAGUUGUGGAUAUUAAAUGUGUUUUUAUGCAGGUUGAAAUUUUGGGAAAUGUCCAAUUUAUAGGGGAGACUCUGCUGAAAUUUCGGCAGGAAGUCUCGGUUUUUAGUAAGUGGGCCUGGCAUCGGGGUGAUGUCAGGAAUUCCAAAGGGUUCGUCUCGGGUUUUGAGAAAAUUCGGGGCGGGUCCUUAAACAUAUAUAAUUAUUGGGACUAUGUAUUGCAAGUCAUCAUGUGUUCCUUCUGUCUAACAUUAUAUUUUGCAAAUAUCAAAAUAUUAUUCAAUAAGCAGUCAAUAUCACAGCAAGUUGGGAAUUAGUAAAGCCCCAUUAUCAUGUCCGUUCACAUUAAAGAGCUGGCGUACUUUUUCUCAAAAAACUGACACGUGAGUCAUAAGUAACAUAACAUGUGCUAUACAUUGUUUAGUGAAUGGUUUAUGGUUUAUUUAUAUAUAAUAAAAUUCCAAAUAUUGCUGAAUAUUUGUUUUUUCUAUAUCCCUGGGAACAUGAGUGACCAUAAGCAUGUAAGACCUGUUAAGAAGAAGCUGACUAAUACGACCGAGUGAUUGUGGCUACCGUUGUUUAGUUGGUUGGGGAGAUCGUGGUAUUGCUAAGAGGGAGCACAUAAUGUGCUUUGCAAUCAAAUUUUCUUUUGUGUGUGGAAUUAUGAGUAGUUCAAAUGUUAGUGUACCCUUUAAUAUUCUUCAACCGUUUGAAAUGUGAUUAGCUGCAAUGUACUUUUUUACACGCUGCUUUCUAAUCACUCUGUUCCAACAAAGUGCUUUAAGUAUCCUUCAGUUACAAAUGUUUACAAAAUCGUGCAUCUAAUAACCAGUCGAGCUCAGAUCUUAAUAACAAGUAAAACACUAGAACAUAACAUUCGGAAAAAGUGGGUGCUGCUGGAAAUCAUUACUGGUAAUGGAAGCAAGAGCUGGCUGCUGGAAAUGCUGCAUUAGCCUGUGAUAUAAUCAAUGAAUCUCUGUUAAAACAUAAUUCACCAUAAACUACCCAUUUUACAUGGUAAAAGUCAUUGCUUCUUCACAUAACUCAAAAUUUGAUACUUUAUCAAAUGUCUAUGAAAAUUUCUAAAUAGGGGAAAGACGUAAAAUUAACAUGUGUCCAAAUUUCAUGCAAGAAUGAAACCAAGCAAAUUUUUAUUUCAAUUAUCAGUGGACAUAGUAAGAACUCAUCGGUGGACAUGAACAAAAAAAUAAUAAUAUUAAAAACUGAAUCUAGAAAACUUCACCUGAUCAUUAGUCUUCAUAACAACCGAAUUUCGUCUAAUAGAAACAUAAAUCAUUCAGUUGGUCCGUGCAUCGUGUCAAAUUCAUAGAAUAAUGGGUCACUACGAUCUAUUGGAGUUGAUUCGUCAUUGUUCGACGGUGAUGUCCUGCAUAGACAUCAAACACAAGCACAGAAAAAAUUUACCUAUUCAAAUUUUAGGUGUUAUUAUAAAUAGUGUUAGCAUCUUACGGUGUGUUCAAAUUUCUUGCGCAUUGUCUUCUAUCAUGACCAAUGUGUCCACACUCCAGACAGUGUCUAAUCCCUCGCUUCAUUGCCUUUUCUUUUGCUCCCGUUACUCGUUUCGACCUUCUUUUGCACCUCACUCUCUUAGGGUCUUUCAUAUAUUGUGUUUGAGAGCUGGACCCUCCAACUUCGUUAUUACUUGGUCCAUCCUUCAACAACUUCAACUUCACCUGCAAACUUUUUAGAGUCUCUGACAGUAGCUCACAUCCUUCUUCACUCAUUAAUGCACCCUCAACCACAUCUUAAGCAAGUCGAGACAUUGUACUCCGCCUUAUUAAAAGACCAGGAUCUGCAGAGUCUUUAAUUUCGUUGCCAUUUGCAUCUGACACCAAUUCAGAUUUUGCAGUUUUCUUCCACCUCUUUAAAAUAUAUUUAUCGGGCAUAUAUUCAAUCUGGUCCCUUCUGAACAAUGCUAGGAUGUGCUUGCAAAUAAUUCCAACAAAUUCAAAUCUUUUGCACCCACACGAUGCGUGGUCAGAAUCUUUAACAUAUACGACGUCUGCCACUCUUGUUUCCCAAUUUUUCCUUUUGCUCACGCGAAAGACAACUUUAGAAGCACCCUCUGUUUUGAGCUCUAGGAAACAUGUUGUACUUUGUAUUAGUUCUUGGUCAAACUUUUGAAACAUUGUCCUUGUGUACAAGGUAGCCAUUUGUUUGUUCAUUGGCAUCGGUAGAAUACAUUGAGCCACUUCAAAUGCAUCUACGUGAUCAGCAACUAACUCUUUUUGACGUUGAUGAGAAAGUGCCCUCUCAAAUCGUAUUAUGAAAUCCAUCAACGAAUUUCUCCUUGAUAUGUAUUGCUUGAAAAAACCAUGAGAACCUUCCACUCUUUGGCUGCUUGACAUUCCAGCGGCAAAAAAUUGUUGUGCGUAGGCUGGAACCCAAGAUUCUCUUAAAUCAAACAUUGAACUUAGCCAUGGAUGGUCAGUCAAACCAGCCUUUGUAACCACAAUAUUCCAUUUUGUAACAAACUUAUCCUUAUUGUCAGUAUCCCAUACGGCUUUCUGAAAUUCACGCCAAUACUCCUUAUAAGCAGAAUGUGGUAACUUAACAGAGAACUUUGAUGUGAUGUGCAAUAUGCAAAGUCGAUGAAAUGUAGUCGGGAAGGGUAUUGAAAUCGCUCUGGUCAUUGCCGCAUCUUGAUCUGUAAUGAUCGUUUUAGGUCCGCCACUUGGCAUGGCUUUCUUAAACUCCUCAAACAUCCAAAUAAACGACUCAGUCGUUUCCUUGCUCAAAAAUGCGCAUGCUUAGACAAUUGUCUGACCAUGGUUAUUAACUCCCAACAUUGGUGCAAAUGUCAAGUCGUAUCGAUUCGUGUUGAAUGUGGUAUCGAAUACAACAACAUCUCCAUAAAACCCGUACGCCCAUCUAGAAGUUGCAUCUGCCCAAAAACAUUGACUAAACCUGUCAUGGCCAUCUCUCUCAAUCUUGAAAUAAAAAGCCUCAUUUUUUUUUUCUGUUCAGCCAUAAAAUACUCGGUCACUAGUUCAACAUCGUGGUUCCUCAACUUCCCAUUCACACUACAUUCAAAAUUGUAGAUAUCUUUUUUGAUAAAACCGAUUUUAUCCAUUCCUCCGGAUUGCACCUCGAAAAUACUUACCUUCUGAUGAAUGAGAAUAUUAACCGAACCCAACUGUUUUGUGAGUACUUUUGUAGAAUCUGAACUAUGACGGUGUGAUCUCAAUAAAUGCAUUCUUUCUGAGGGUGUCAUCUUAUGAUUGUGUCCCUCUGCAAAAAGAGAGAUGGUAUACUUCUUGCUCCCAUUUGUCUUCACAACCACAAUCUUAGCUUUGCAAUUGCAUCUACUUAUUCCCCGCUGUCUUUUUCUCUCCCGAGUUUCAUCUCUCCUGUAUUCACCUUGUUUGCAACAUACAAAUUCUUUCCUCAAAAUCUCUUUCUUAUUUCCCCCCCAAAAGCUGGAAUGAAGUCGAAUACCAAAGCCAGCCAAGAAUGCAUAUCUAUUAUAGAAAUUGUAAACGAGGUCAAGCAAGUCGAACUUCAUCCCAACUGCUGGUGUUUCCUCAUUUCUUACUUCAAGAAUGUAAACCCUCCCAUUAGCUGUUACACAGUCAUCACUCUCUGAGCCCCCAGACAUUUUAUCCACGUAUAUUAUUGAUCCACUUCUAUAUUAUUGCAUAGCAAAUAUUAAUUCAUUAAUAAAUCAUUACUGCAUCACAACAUAUCAAUGCAUUCCACUUACACAAAACAUUGCCCAAAUUGACACAAAACACGCAUAGCCUAACUUGUUGGAUUCCGAUUACACAAAACGCAAGCAAAAUUUAAUAAUAGUUACGUCAUCUCUUGUGAAAUAAUCUAGAAAAAAUAACAUUAGAACCAACAUGUUCAACUAAGAACACAAAUGCAAUUCAAACCAGCAAUCACAUAACUUCACCCAAUAUCCUCUCCAAAUGCUUACUCCUAAUGUCAUUAAGCCUAAGUUUAGGAUCUUUUACCUACAUUUCAUAAUUUUUCACCCCCACCAAAAAUAAUCAACUAAGUAUACUGAAUAUUCAUAAGGAAAUGACGCAUUAUUGAUGCCACAAAUGACGAAUUUCCUACCCUCACAAAAAACAAAUCAAACCCAAUUAAAUCAAUCCAGCAAGAGUGAACUUACCUCUCAAAAUCAAUCGGGAGCUCCGAAGUCAGUAAGCUUGAGAGAAUGUGGUGGACAUUAGAGAAGACUCUUUGGUAUUGGAGACUCCAUCUCUACCAAAAUCGAGGAACGAACUGCUGCUACGGCGUCUAGCUACAGAAAAAGAUAUGCUACUUUACUUUCAUCUGGAAUCUUGUUUGCUGAACGAAAAAGAGAAAGGGUUUUCACUUGAGCCAUAGAAUCAAAACAAGGCAACAUCUAGGUAAGAGCCAUUAAUCGUCAUAUCGAGGAUACCAUAGAUCGCAGGCCUCCCAAGGAGCUGAUGACAAUGGAGCGACUAUAGGGUUUGGGAGCUUUGGAUCCUUCUAAUUGUGGGUUUGCGUUACAUUCAAAAAAAGAGGAGUGUGUUGUUGAGUUUUUCACAUAGAGGGAAAGAGGGAAAGAUCUUCAACUGAAGUUGGGUUUCCAACGGGUCAAAUUUCAACCCGGUUCUACAUGCACCCUCUUUUAAAAACUCACCGUUGGAUUUCAUCCAACGGCUCGUACAUACCCCUCAAAAACACCCCUUAUAACUUUCCACUCACUAUAGAAGCUCUCCCCAGGAAAUGCUUCGAGGUAGAUUUUAUGUUUUGGGCCUUGGGACCCAACUUCACAAAAAGAAAACAAAUUUGACCAAAAAACAAAGUUGAAGGACAUUGAUAUUGUACCUGUAGGAUAGGUUAAAACACUAAAAGGAAGGUAAAUAGUACGUUUACAGAGUUUAAGUGUAAUAAAGGAAUAAAAACAUGCCCAGAGAAUUGAUAAGUGAUAUCAAUUCUUGAAUAUAUAGAACGUAAAAUAAAGGAAUACGUAGAAAAUUAUUUUAUGUGGUAAAACUCAAUCUAUGGGGCCACGGGACUUCUUAGUCCAAAAAAAAUCCAUUGAACGAUGAUUACAAGAAGUACUCACACACUUAUCCUAGACACAUUCUAGAUAAUUUUUACUAACAUCUUUGUAACUCAACUUCUGUCAUAGGAUGAUUUUUUGACACUCCUUAUGUUGAACGCAAUACUGGUCACGAUUUCUUCAAGCUCGCAGGAACUCUCCUUAUAUUGAAUAUGAUACUAGUCACGAUAGAUUCAAGCUCAUCGGAGAAAAACAGCCACAACGGUCUUGGUGCCCUCAAUGGUAUGAGUCACUGAACAUGCAAAUAAAUACAAUAUGAAUGAUAAAAGUGUUUGAUAAAUCACCAAGUUAUGGAACACUUGAUGAUUUAUCUCAAAUAAAAACUCAGCUUUCCAAAGUUUAUGAAUUGAAAAUAUGAUCGUUAAAGCUCUCUAAACAAAGAAGACGAAGAUCUUAUUUUAUAGAAUUUUUCUUUAUAAGAAAGAAAACACAUUGAAAACCAAAUCUCCAAGGCUUGACAGAAAAUCACAAAAGUAUCUUUCCUAUUCUAGAGAUUGGUCACAUGUAGUCCAACCAAUAGGACAUGAGAUAUUUAAGAAAUGAAGAUUUUGAUCAAUAUCAAUAUCAAAUGAAUUCUUAUACGCCUAGUCAACUAUUAAGGGUAUCUUGACUCCUUGAUAUUGUGAUAUGAUUGAAACAUGAUUUCCACGUUAGAAAAUUAAGGGGAUGUUAAAACAUGAAAGUAAUAGGAGAAUCAAAUUGAUUUCGGCCAAAAUUGCCUAAAAAGAAAACACUCCUAAAUAAACUCAAUUCACUUUUAAAAACAGUAAAACGUGAUUGAAUUGUUCUUUAAAACAAUUCCCUAAUAUACAUGCAUGAUAAUGACAUCACUUACCUCUGAAUCAAAUGCCUUUCAUAGGUCAAGCCACAAGUCUGUGUUUUGGGGAUUGCUGAGCUGCAUCAAUCCUGCCAAUGUCAAUGCUGCCCCUAUGCUCUCUCAAAGCACGUUUACAACCUAUGCUAACAUAUACCCUAAACCCUAGUAUCAAGAAAAUGCCAACACUAAUUUCGUAACACGUAGAAAUUGUUAGAGAUUGGAAGUUUUUUUUCUUCAAGUCUCUCCACCACUCACUAAUACAGAUUGCUCAUGUGAUGAGUUUACAAAACCUAUUUCUCUACUCUCACAAAGACUAUACUUCUUCUCAAAAGACUAUAUCACUUUACCUCUAUCUCUGUGAAAUGUAAAAAGUUGAAACUUUAAUGUCAAACCUCGACAAAAGAUGAACUUCCAUAAGUUACGUUGAAUUUGGAUUUGUUGAACUUAAGUGGUUUUACUUUUCUGUCAGUGUUUGAUGACUUAAUUUGGUAUUUACUUCUUCUUUUUUUCCUUGGAAAUGUGUUCCACCAACGUGAGGAAGAAAAAUAUGCACAAAUUAAUAUAUUUAAUAGAAGCCCAAGAUUUCGGAAGCACAUAAUUUCUACAAAAUUCUACAAAGUGUUCUACUUUACAAACUUCAUAUGUCUACCAAUUUUUACUAAAAUUAAUUUAUCUGCAGUGCUCAAAUUCAUCAUAUGUGUGUCCUUAAUUUUAGUGAAAAUUGGAAGUUUCCAUUAUUUUUGUUUUACGGGAAUUUUUUGAACCAAGGAAAAUCAAGUAAAAUUAAUAAAGCAUAAAUUGGAAAGGGAAAAUAUCUAGAGGAUGCAUUGUAGGAUUGCUCAUGCCAAUAAUUGUACCCUCUAAAUAUAUAGGGACAUAUUUUUUUUGCUCAUACCACUUGUUGCAGUACACAUUCACCCGUUUUCAAAGAAAGAAAUUCUACCAAUCGAUAAUGUCUCAAAUUUAAUCACAUAUUUUAUGGACCAUCCAGCUAUGAGGUUUUAUCUCAAAAACCUUCGGUACAUUUCUCCCACAUGCCACAAUUGUAUAUUCACAAUUACGUCUGAUACAUCACAUCAUGCCACUUGCCUCAAAUGAAUUUAAGUGAGUGAGGCAGUUGGAAGUAAUUAAGCUCUAUAUUGGUGGGUGGAGUGUUAGUUCUGGGUACCCCUCAUCAUUCGUCUAUAAAAUGGUGAAGCCAGUUGCUACUGUUACCAUAAGAGCCAGCUCCGACUUUCUUUAAUUUCUUGCUUCAUAUCCACUAGCUACAUCUGUUGCUCUUCUCAGUGUAAGCUCUGCAAUUUGAUUAACUUUCCCAUUAUCUCUCACUGUACUCUAUAUAAAGGAAUAAGUGUCGUCCAUUAAUUCUCUCCGAAAGUGUCGUCCUGAUUUUAAUUAGAGUUCGAAUUAAUGUUGCAGCUAGCAGCGGUUGCACUGGCAAACCAUGCUGCUCAACCGGUACCUCAACUUUACUGGAACUCCGUCCUGCCAAACACACAGAUGCCAAGAUCUAUCAGUGAACUUCUGCAUCCUGGUUUGUGUUUGAGCACUUUAGAAUCUUAGAUAUCUCUUCUACCUGCCAUUUUACUAAAAUAUGUUCAACCACAUAUUUAUCAGUUAACUACUGUCAUUACAUGAGUGACACAUAUUCACAAAUCGGCUGAUCACUUAUUUUCCAUUAUGACGUUGAUAUAUAAUGUUGGGAAUGGAAAGCCAAUUGACCACAAGGGAAAACCUGAAAAUACUGUACUACCACAGCUAGCACGAAGCCCAUUUUCUUACAAGAGUGAUGUGGGGACCAAAUCUCAUGUAUCAUAGCUUAACCCAUAUGCCACAACUAAAAGACGUGGGAUGAUCGAACAGCAUACCCACAUGGUCAUGGAUCUCUUCAGAUAAUCAAUAUUAAACAACCCAUAAACUUCUCCCUUUGAAGAACAAAUUAAAACCAAUUUCUAGAGGAAGGUUACAAAACAUUUUAGCCCGUGAAGAACAAAUCAAGACAAUAUAACCCAUUUGAUAACAAAAUCAAAAUGAGAUUUACCAAUACUAGAUGACCACGGCGCCAGUAUAAUGGUACGACGGCGGCGUUAUUGUAACGGUGGAGAAGUGGAUGGUAUGACGACGGUGUUAGUGUGACGGUGGAGGAAACGAUAUUAUGAAGGAGGCGUUGCUAUGUUCGGUGGAGGAGUCGUGUGUUUCACAGUUCAAUAUAUCCUUUUUAGUCAUUUUAUAUUAGGGUAAAUCAGUAAUUCAAUAAAUAAUUUGAUAGUAUGGUGUACUCAGUUAAUAUUAGGGUUCAUUUAACAGCACUCAAAUUAACUAGUGUAGAGUCUAUCUAUAUUAUUAAUACUAAAAAUAAAUAUAUGACUAAAUAACUCAAAAAAAAAAUAAAUCUACAAUCUUUUUUUUAAAAAAUUUUUUUUAUAGAAUUUUAUUAGAUUAAUAGGCACUACUAAAAAAUCUCCUUAUAAACUACAAAUACACGCAUAACUUAUACUAAUGUGAGCUACUGACACCACCUGCCACAUGACAGUUGUCCAAGCAUAGUGUUGUCAUUCAUUAUUCCCCACAGCAACUAACAUCCAAUAAAGGGUUGGGGCCCACCCAUACUCCACCUCUCUGUAUGUAGCUCUUUGAGAAUACAGAAGAAAUAUUUUUUAGGGAAAUAGCUUAAAAUGAUACCCAUUUCAUAAUUUUAAUUAAAAAUACCACCCCUUUCCAAUUUUUGUACAACUAUCACCUAUAAAUAUAAAAUUAUUGUCCACUUAUUGCUGAUUUUUCACAAGUUCAGAAAUUUUGGAAAGAAGAAGCUCACACAGCUCUCUCUCUCUCUCUCUCUCUCUCUCUCUCUCUCUAGCACAACUCUCUUUCUUUGGUAUCUGUCUAUCACAGCUCUCUGUGUCUCUCUUGGCUCUCUCUAUCUUGGCUCUCUCUCUCUCUAGCACAACUCUCUGUCUCUCUCUUUGCUCUCUUUCUCAUAGCGCAGCUGUUUCUCUCUCUAGCUUCGUUAUGUCUCUUUCUCCCCUAUUCGAUCUCUUGCUUUCUGUUUGGAAUCGCGAACCCCUCCCUUUAGCUAUGUCUUCUGAAUAGCUGCUUGCAACCUUGAAGCUCUAGUGGAUUGCCGACCUCGAAAAGGUAGUGUUGAUGGUUAUUUUCUUAAUAUCAGUGGGAUUAUGUGAAAUGGGUUAUAGUUUGAUUGUUUGGGUUUGUGUUAAAUUCGUUUUGGCUUUAAUUUCUUUGGGUUAGGUUUUGUUGAAUAUUCAUACUCAUUCAUCUGGGUUUGUACCAAUUGCAUUUAGAUUGGUCUGGAUAUGUGAAUCUUGAAACUUGGGAUUUUCUAUUUGAUGUAGUAGAUCUGUAUAGUGUGAUUCUGUUGUGUUCCUCUUAUUUUACAGUCGUAUUGCUGUUAUAUUGUCAUUAUAUUGCUUAUAUAUUGCUGUUAUAUUGUGGUUAUAUUGCUAUUGUAUUGUUUGGUUAUUGUGGUUAUAUUGUGUUAAUGAAAUGUUGUUUUGUCAUGGUCAGAAAUGGAGACAAUUGUUAUUCUCGUGUGCUACAAUGGAAAAUGGGUCACCUCGAAGAAGAUGUGCAAAUACGAAGGGGGUGACUCAAAAGGCUUAAUAGUUCCACGGACCAUCAAAUUUGUUGAACUGUUGGACCGUGUGCAUUAGAUUGGUAAUACAAACAGCAGGGAAGACAAGGUUUGCUUAAAAUUCUCAGUUUUGGUGGCCUCGAAUGAGUGGAAGCACAUAAAUAUUGAGGACGAUGAUGAUAUCAAUUUUUUUAUGAAGUACAAUUCCGAGGUAACACCUUCAAAACUAGCUCCCUUACUCGUGAGUAUAGAAGAUAAAGGAUUGACAAAUGAUGUAGUUCAUAGUAUGCAUAUCACGACAGAUAGUAGUCGGAUGGGUCAUUCUUCAGUUGCCAUUGUUGAAAGCAAUGAAGUAACUUGGAAUAAUACGAAUGUCACUGAUGUGGGAGGUGAAGUAGGGACAGAUUUUGUGGAUAUGAUUGAUUUUAGCGAGGUGUAGGAGAUGCAUGGUGGUGAUAAUAGUACUGAAAGAAAUGAAGUGUCAGUGUACUCUGCCCCUCCUAAUUUGGGCUGCUUCAACAUAGCUGCCCAGUUGCCAAUAAUGCGUUUAGGAGGAGAAUCUGAACCCACUCGUCAACAUUAUUGGAGUCAAAUAGGUGAACAAAAUCGGUACAAUGCAGCCGGUGUAAAUGAUGAAGAAGCAUAUUUGGACAGCGGGUUUUCACGAAGUGAUUGGAAUCCGAAAAUUACAGUUGGGCAAAUUUUCUCUAGUAAGAAAGCAUUGUUGACGGAGUUACGGUUGACGGCAUUAAGAGGCCACUUUGAAUUUAAGGUGCAAUUCUCUUGCACUAAAAGGUUGCUUGUGGUUUGUUGUCAACGUCCAUGCCCAUGGCGGGUCCGAGCAUCGAGAAUUGGAGAAUACAGCUUCAUGAUUGUGAGGUGUACAACUGUCCAUGAAUGUGAUUUGAGGUUCGUAAGUGACAAGCAUCGUCAAGCAACCGCAGCACUUGUAGCCACUUCACUUAAAAGGAAGUGACAUUAUGAGAGAUGUGAAACACAACUUUGGUUGCACCAUCCAUUAUUCGAAAGCUUGGAAAGCAAAGGAGUUAGCUCUAUUGUCCAUUAGAGGAUCAGCGGAGGAGGCAUAUUAUAUCCUUCCAGCUUAUUGCUAUGAAUUGGAGCGUAUGAAUCCCGGCACAAAAACACACAUCCAAACUGAUGAGAACAAUCACUUUGUGUAUUUAUUUAUGGCGGUUGGCGCAUGUAUUAGAGGGUUCCGUUCUUCCAUGCGCCCAGUGAUAGCCGUGGAUGCCACUCAUUUAAAAUCCAAGUACAAGGGUGUUAUGUUUGUAGCAAAUGCAUUCGAUGGUAAUUGAAAUAUAUAUCCUCUUGCUUUUGGGAUCGGGGAUUUGGAGACGGAUGCAUCAUGGCAUUGGUUUUUCACUAAACUUCAUGAAGCCAUUGGUGAGUGUCCCAAUCUUGUUAUUAUUUCUGAUCGCAAUGUUAGCAUAGAGAAUGUGUGGAACAAAAUUUUUCCAACUGCACAACGUGGCAUAUGCUUUUAUCAUAUGAAGGGGAACAUGAAACGCACUUGCUAGUUGAAAAAGCGUGAUCACAUACUUAUGCACUUUGAGCAGGCUGCGAAAUCUUAUUCCAUUGCUGAAUUUGAUUGUCAUUUUUGCAAGAUCAAGCGAAAGGAACAUGUUGCUCAAUAUCUUGAAGAGACAGGGUUACAUAAGUGGUCUAGAGCUCACAUGGAUGGACGCCGCUACAAUGUAAUGACAACAAAUAUUGCAGAGUCAAUCAACUCAGUCCUUAGGUUUGCAAGGAUGCUGCCAGUGGUUCAUUUGAUAGGGGAAAUUGUUAAUCUCCUUGUGAAAUGGUUCACCGAACGUUGUGAGUUGGUUUUGAAUUGCACAACAACAUUGUGCCCCAAUUUUGGAGAGAAGAAGUUGAGGAACAGGUUGGAGGAUGCUGCAAGGAUGAAUGUGGUUAAAGUAAAUAAUGCACAGUUUAAUGUUUUGGACGGUGAUAUGGACGGCCUCGUAGAUUUGGCGAACAGCAGUUGUAGUUGUAGAAAGUUUCAGCUUGAGCAGCUACCUUGCAAGCAUGUAGUUGCAGUUUGCCGCUUCUUGAAAGUAAAUGUAUACGCAAAGGCUUCUCGGUAUUACACUCAGAAAACCUGGAUGAUGCUUAUUCGGAUAGCAUCUACCCGGCACAACCUCACGGAAUGUGGGAUAUUCCUGAAGAUGUUCGAAGUCGAGUUGUGCUGCCUCCCAUGGCAAGGGUCAUGCCAGGCAGACGAAAGAAGAUCAGAAUUCCCUCGCAAGGAGAGGGCACCAUUAGAAGAAAGUGCUCAAGGUGCGGUUCCGCAGGCCACAAUAAAAGCACAUGUAAAAACAAUAUUCCAUUGCGCAAUGUAUCUUAGACAAUAUGAUUUGUGUUGCUUUGGUAGGUCAUGUAAACUCUACUUUUAUUUGUGGUGGGUUUCGUGUUAUGUUGAAUGGGAAUUCUUUUAAAUUUGCAUAAUUUGGGUUGCAUUGCUACAGCAUGCUGUAUUGCUGACAGAUUGCUAUUAUAUUGGACUUUUAUUGUACUGGUAUUGCUUCCAGAUUGCUAUUAUAAUUUGAGUGCGAAAUUAAAGGGACUGGAAUGUAAUUCCAAAUGGAUCCAAAUCAUUAAAGUUCUUAGAAUUCCUAUAUUACACAGUUACUGUGAUACUCCGACUAUACCUUCUUUUAUGAUUACAAAUUCGGCCAAUGCAUAGGCCAGAUGUGGGGCAAAUACAAGGUGAAAUGUCCUAUGUGUUUGACUACAUAUACUUGUUGAAGGAGCAUUACGAAUGCUAACCUCAAUAGAUUGCUCAUGUCUUGCCAAGAACACUCUUGAAUUUAUGCAAUGUGCCCAAGCCAGUCCCAAAGCUGGACUCACCCGUCUGCCUGAUGUGUCCAGGGACUCCAAGUUUCCCAACCUCACCUCAUUCACUUUAUCAUGUGGCCCAAUAAAAUCCACCACUUGGUUGGUGACAACCACCGCCAACCCAAACUUAUUUGCUAAACCCUUCAAUGUCCCAGAUAUGUUGAAAAAUAUUUCAAACCGCCAUUUCAAAUCUGCUGGUGUUGUCUGAUACUGUGAUCGGAACAAUGCAGCAAUGGAAUCAAUGACAAUGAGUUUCACAGGUAGGUGGGUGUGAUCAAUGGCAAUAAAUGCUUCUAUGUCUCCAAGGACAUGGAUGAGUUGUUGAGCAUCAUGAACACCAUGAACAUAUAUGUCUUCCAAUGGCUCCAACCUUAUUAAGUUGGGGUAUGAUGCAUGAUAAAGGUUGCCUAGUUGUUGCAAUCGACGAAAUGGGAAGCUGAAUUCUGUGAAUAUGUAGACGGUGGAGCCCUCUAGUCCGCCAUGUGAGGGUGGGAGCUGAGCUGGUACCGUAAGUUGGAGACAAAGUUGCGUCUUCCCAGAACCACUCUCCCCUACCAAUUCUGUUAUAGAGUUGCAGGGUAUCCCACCCCCCAAGCAGUCAUCUAGUAUUGGGCAUCCAAUGGAUAAUUGAGGGGUUGAAAGAGGAAGGAGCAUGAGGUUUUAGGGUGUCAUAUUUGUGUAAUUUAGGGGGGGAUGUGAUGGUGCUACAAGGCAUGCAUUAUAUAUAUAUAUAUAUGUAGAGUUCAUUUUGAAGGUCUGUAUUGUAGGCCAUAUGUCUUUUAAGGGAUGUAUAAUCCAUCCUUUUUUCAGGUUGUAAUUAAUUUUUUGUUUAUUUAUUAGUAUUUUUUUGGACCAAAUAAUUUAAAAAACAUUAUGAUGCAGUACGUACUGUAAUAGGAUCAUAUUGUAACUCUAUCAUCACUCUAUUGUACUCUUAUUGACAUAAUAUUGCCGUUAUAUGCAUGUUUAUUAUAUAGUUAUUACUGCUAUAUCGCCACUGAACUGGACACCGAUAAACUGUAUACGCACAAAUACAAAAAGAGGCUUCAUCAUUCCAUAAAAUCCUAUUUCCAAACUUACAUAAUACAACAACAGGCCACCCCAUCGUUACAUAAUACAAAAAUACGCCACCUCAUAGUUCCAUUUCCCUACUGUUGACAAAUUCGAAGUUGCAUACUCUUCAAGUGCGGUGACCGCGACGCAUGAAAUUCAUGACCCCGGCCACAGUGAUGUUGGCCUAGUUUCCUGCCGGAUCCACUAUUUUUGCAAACUUACGAAAUAGUUCGAAUCCGCUUUCCACUUCUUCUUGCUUCAACUUGGCCGUUGCUUCUGAUUCCUUGAAUACCAUAAUUGCAGUGGUAGGGGCAAUUUCAAUUUUUGCUUUCAUUGUCUUUAUAUGUAGGAGAUGCAUGCGCGCAUGAUAACGAGAGCGAAUUGUGCGGUUUUUUAUGACACCCCAUCUAGUUUGGCCCUCCACAAUUUUGAAACUAUGUCUGCAUGAAGAUUUUUCCAAAACAUGGUAUUGCCUCGACAUUGCUGCAUGCCAUGGACCAAGUCUGCAGGGAGUGAAUUGGGUGACUUGGCUUGUGUUUCAGUCUUCUCUCCUUCAGUAAUUGAAAGUGUUGGGUGUGGUGUGAGGUUAUGGUCCAUGGUCUUCGAUAUUUAUUGUAGCCUAGUGUACAACUUAAUUGGAAAAAAAGGGGACUAAAUGCGAUGGGAGUGAAAUCAGUGGGGAAGGUAGUGGCUGUAAGCAGGAGUUAAUGUGAUGGAAGUUUUCAUUUCAAACAACUGGGUUGAUUAAUAUAGGCAAGUUUUAAUGACCUGGAGUAACUCAGAGAGUUAUUGGUGGGAGGGAUUAGAGGGAGUAAUUGGCGGGAGGGAUUGGCGGGAGUCUUAGGCGGGAUAGUAUUGGGCGGGAGUUAUUACCCAGUUGACUGUAUGCCUUUUUGUAAUAUAUUUGUAUGUUGGACGUUCCAAACUUGGUAAUUUUCCCAUUAUGUAAUUCAAAUAAGGGAUUUGCCUAUUUGCCUAAUUGACCAACUCAUUCAAAUUGACCAAUAUGGUUAUUGUCUUAUUUCUCAUUUCAGCAAUCUCAAUUCGUUUCCAUUUUUCCAUUCUUCAUAUUUUCCUAUUUUCCAUGUGUCAUCCAAUUUUCCAAUUUUCCAAUUUUUCAUUAUUUUUGCCUAUUUUUUCCUAUUCCCUAUUUUCCUAUUGUGCAAUUUCCCAAGUUUCCUUUUGUUGUAUUUCUAGUUUUCCAAUUUUUCAAUGUUCCCAUUUUCCCAUUAUGUAAUUUAAAAAAAGUUGCCUGCUUUGCCUAAUUCAGAAAGUAAUUAAAAUGGUCCAAUAUGGUAAUUGUCUUAUUUUCCAUUUCCACAAUUUCAAUUCGUUUCCAAUUUUCUUAUUUUCCAUGUGUCCCUAUUUCCUAUUUCCAUUUUUCAAAUUUUAAGUUUUUGUCCAAUUAUCCAAUUAUCUUUUUUCCAAUUGGACUAUUUUCUAAGUUUCCUUUUUUUCCUAUUUCCAAUUUUCCAAUUUUUCAAUUUGCUAACUUUCCUUUUGUUCUAUUUCCAAUUUUGCUAUUUUCCAAGUUGCCUUAUUUCCUAUUUUUCAAUUAUCCAGUUAUCCAAUAUUCCAAUUUUCCAAUUAUCCAAUUUUCAAUUUUCCAAUUUGCGAAUUUGCCUAUUUUCCAAGUGUCCUUUUUUCCUAUUUCCUAUUUCAAAUUUUCCAAUUUUCAUGUUUUCAGAGUUUCCUUUUUUUUUCCUAUUUUCCAAGUUUCCUUUUGUCCAAUUUCAAAUUUUCCAAUUUUCCAAGUUGCUUUAUUUUCCAAUUACCCAAAUUUCCUAUUUUCCAAGUGUCCUUUUUUCCUUUUUCCAAUUUUCCAAUUUUCCAAGUGUCAUGUAAUCCUAUUGCCUAGUUUCCUCUUUCCAAUUUUUCCUUUUUUCCUAUUUCCAAUUUUCAAUUUUCCAAAUUUCCCAAAUUUCCAACUUUCCAUUUUUUCGUAUUUCCGAUUUGCCAAUUUUCCUUUUGUUCUAUUUCCAAUUUUCCAAGUUUCCUUAUUUCCCAUUCUCCAAGUUUUCACUUUUCCUAUUUUUCAAUUUCGCUAUUUUCCAAUUUUCUGUUCUGAAAUUCGCAAUAAAUGCUUAGUUACACAGUCCUAUUUUGGGUUGAAAUCCACAAUUUUCAAUUUCCCAUUAAGGUUUGCUUUUUUGUCGUUUGGAAGCCAAUUUUAUUGUUGUUAAUGUAAUGUUGUACUGUUGUAAAUUACAGCCAAUGAGUUAAUGAUGUAGUUUGCAAUCCCAUCAAUUGAAUGCACCAACUAAAUACCCAAUAUACUUCAUAUAAGUUCGUACAUAUAACUCAACCUUCCUAUACAGAACUGCAACAGAGGCACCUUCUUAACGGGAAAGGUAAUUAGUCUUACUAAAACGCAAAUAUUCUCCACUACAGCUAACCAAUUGUCGUUUACAACUGGAGACUGAAUCUACCUUUAUUUGUUUUGUUGCAGGCAACAGCUGUGAAUUGUCCCCGGCAAUACUUAAAGAUGUCGGAUGUACGCCCUCCAAAUGAGCAUGUCACAGUUACCCGGGGGACCAGCCGUGGCAUGUGCCAUUCCCAUCUCCACCUCGGACUCCCAAUCAUGAUCCCACUUCAUCUGGAAGUGAGGCUGAGAGCAAUGAUCCGCUUGACAAAAUCUCUGCCGUCAAGCACCACCUCCAAUAUAUGUCAAAGGCAACGGAUUGGUGGGAGAGUAAGUGCGAUAUUCAUGGCCAAGUUAUGGGAAACUUGGCCAACAAGUUGAACAAAGCAUACGCUGGAGAGGUGAAGCAAACUCUAAAAGCAAAAAGUCGGAGCAAAGAGUUAGAGUCCUUGAAGUUGAAAUUGGAAGAGAGAAAGAAAAAUGCUGUCGAAAAAUUCACACAAUCUGAAGAAUAUAACCAUGAAAUGGUUGAAUGUUUCAACAACGGCUUUGAAAUGUUCCGAGAUUAUGCUUCGGUCAUCUCACCAGACUACAAUUGGAGUGAAAUUGAUGUAGCUGGUGUUUGGCAGGUGCUGAAUAUGGGUGCUGAGGGAAUGGCUCAUCAUAGCCUCGUGCAUGCAGCAAGGAGAAAGGACAAAGACUUGGAUCUUUUGAUGGACCUGUAGUAACAGUGAGUGCUGCUUCAGUUCAACUCACCUGAGUACAUGGAUCUUUUGUUGCCUUCAUUUUCCCUUCGCAGGCUAGUAUUGUUAAGGUUCGGUGGCGAUUUCUUUUGCAUGUGUAAAAUGUUGUCUGUAAUGUGUAUGUAUUGUAUGUAGAUUGACUUAAUAUUGUAGUUCUAUUGUAUGUAUAUUGCCUUAAUAUUGCCUUUGUAUAGCAUAGAUAGUGUAUGCAUAUUGCCACCGUAUUGGAUGUAUAUUGUAAAACUAUUGGUAUCGUAUUGCCCUUAUAUUGCUCUAAUAUUGCCUCUAUAGUGCACCUAUAUUGACCUAAUAUUGCUCUUAUAUCGUAUGUCAAUGGCAUGUGCUCUAAUAAGUCUCCAGUUCGUUGAAAGUAAUCCUGAAUUCAAAUAUGAUGGACAAGACAAUUGUUAUCCAUCCUUAUAUUACCAUGAAUUGAUUUGGACCUUUCAAAUGAUAGUUGGAGUUGCACAUGGAUUCAUAUUCAAAAGGAAAGUAAUUCUCUCCCUCAAUGAAUUGUCGUUCAAAAGAAGGCAGCUAUCAAAUUUUGGGUACAAAAAGGCAACAUCCACGGUAAAUUAAUUGGGCACAAACCACAUAUUACAAAACCAGGAUGAUUUUUGGCAUGCUUCAAAAGAGAAGGGCCAAAUACAACAGAAAAGAAAAUCCAUUCAAGCUUGUACAAUAGAAUGCACAAUAACCCUUUUACAUGUCCUUCCAACACCAGUGUUUUGCCUACUUUAGAGUCGCAGGAGGAGAGCUUAUUGCCAUUGUGCAAUUCGAGGGGGCAGUCAAUUUGGAAUGGUGGCAUAAACAUGUUUACUCCACGGAUCACCUAUAUGGGACAGAGCUUCCUUCUUCCCUUGUCGUCUGUAGGUUUCAACUUCACACUUUUUAUAUACAUGUAUGAGAACUUGUGGCUAUUUAUUUAUGGCCUUCUAACACUUGUUCUGCCAUUCCAAAGUGGGUUGGAGACUUUUUGAGUUGAAUGACUGGAAAGACUUCAGAUGACAGAAACUAGAGAGUUUGAAGAAAAAGGGUUACCAAGAACAGCAGUCAUGCCCACGACAUAAACUAAACAUGCUAUAAGCUCCACAGUAAUAUUUACUUCAUCUCCAUAAUCAGAAUAUUGGGAAAAAAAUACCACGGAGAAAUACGUGAAAUGAAAAACAACUCGGCAGUUACUGUGAGAUUGUGUACAUAAAACUUGGAACAACCAAACCAAUUAAAGCUAAGCCAUCUCAUACGUAUACCUACAUCAAAUAACAGUGUAUGGUCAUCUUGUUUAGAAUAUUGCAAUCAACACUUGGUUGAGACCGACCUGCAAAAACAACUGGGUUAAGUACAGAUGAAGCCAUUUAUGAAGGGCAGUUCCAGAAUUAAGACCUACGUUAAUUUGUAACUGCCACCGAAUCAGUUCAUAGUGCCAAAUGCAUCUACCAAGCACACAGAUAUGACCAGCCAAAAGAAAAAAAAGCAAAGUAAAAAAGAUAAAAGAGGCAUGCCAUAAAUGGGAACCUCAGCAGAAAUCAUCAGAUAUGCAUACAAGCAGAUUGAGUAACAUCUCACUAAGUAGAGGUCAUGUUGGUAAUCGCAUGUUGUGUUUGCACACAGACAUUUGGUUUUUGCAAACACAACAUGCAAUUGCAUUCCAUGAUGUGUGUGUUGUGUUUGCACACAGACAUUUGGUUUUUGCAAACACAACAUGCAAUUGCAUGAUGUGUGUGUUGUGUUUGCACACAGACAUAUGGUUUUUGCAAACACAACAUGCAAUUGCAUAUUGUGUGUGUUGUGUUUGCACACAGACAUAUGGUUUUUGCAAACACAACAUGCAAUUGCAUAUUGUGUGUGUUGUGUUUGCACACAGACAUUUGGUUUUUACACACACGAUAUGUAACAUUUAGUUUUACCCUUUUAUUCUUAUUUUCUUCGUUCAAACAUGGUGGUGAGAAAAGCACCAAACCAUCCCAUCAUAUAAAGCAAAACUCAUACAAUAUUUUAGAUGCAAAAGUUAUAUAUUUUAUAUAAAUGCAUCAUCCGCAUGGCUUGAAAUUACAAAUUCACGUUCACAUAUUACUUUUCACAAGCGCACAGACUAACAAUAAUAAUAAUCAACCAAGUAGUUGCGACAUUCAUCCUAUUACGUCCAUAUUGAUAAUGUCAGAAGUUUCAUCGAUAAGCCUCAUCAAACUACAAGUUUUUUAAUUUGAAUUAUGAAUUCAGAACUAAAAGCUCAUGAUAUGCAGAAAAUGACAUACAUUGUCCACAAUCGACUUUUCGAUAUAUUUCUGCUCUAGCAAUUUAUCGUCCAAAUUCUGGACUCUCUGUGUCAGGUGCUUCUUUGUGUUCUAUCCAGCAUAAGAAUAUUUAAUAGUGUGAUUUCAAUUGUUUAUACAAAUUCUAUAAGUAAUAUUGAUGAGUGCUGUAAAUCUAUUUGAUAUUGGGAACAAACAUGGUCCCACUAACAGAAACUCAAACAAAACAGGAAUUUUUUUUUAUUUUUUUUGGCAUAGACAGCCGAAAAGAAACUUACAGCAAUAGCCUCUGUCACGCUCUCCAGACGUUUAUGCAAUUUUGAAACAGCAGCAUUCAUACUACGCUUUGUCACAUACAGAAGAUCUGAGAAUUUUAGACCCUAACCAUUUGUGAAGAGCAAAUAUUAGAUUUGCUUAAAGAAGACAACAACUCACAGAACCAAUGGAUGAAAUAAUAUGAACAUAAAUAUAUCAUUUGGAUACCUUCCACCACAUGUAACCAUAACCCAAUGCCCCCAAGGUAGCUGUUGGCAUUAUUAGUGAUGUCAAACCUAUUAAAAAAAUCAAAAAAAAAAAUAUAACCAAGUAUAAAAUGUUUCUAUUGCAUUAUGAAAUACAUACGUGUAAGGAAUUAAUCGUUUUACAACUUAACCAAAAAGUCAAGGCAGGAGCAUGCAUUCAUUGAGUGGUUAUAAGCAAGAGGAAAAAGCACAAAGCAUGCUAAGAAUUCAUUUGAACACAGAAGAGAAAGUAAGCUACCUUGGAAUUUGGCUGUCAUUCCCCUUCAGGACGGCUCUCUGUAGUGACGAGUCUAGUUGUCGGACCUCAGCUGCCAGUCGGCGCACCUAAAACAAAGUAACACAGGAAAAUUGAUAUCCAUUACAAAAAACAAAAAUUGAACACGAGAAAGCAUCCUUCGACACUAAAUUUAUAGCAGUUUUUCCAAUACCUGUGAUGCGAUCGCAUAAAAGUCACCUUCUGAUUGUUCUCCGGUUCCAUUGAACAAAGGCUGCAAACAAAACAGAAAUAGACACAAAUCCAUCAAUUUUUUGAGCAACAAGACACAAGCUCCGAAAUAAAUAAACUAUCUAACUGAUCAAAACCCUAGUUUACCAAAUGCAUUACAAAAUUAAAAACUCAUACAAAAAUAACACCAAAUACAAAUGUUCUGCGAGUUCCACUAGCAAAGCAGAGUACAAAUCAUGAAAAUGGUACCUGAAGUUCACCGAUCAAUUCAGAUAAUUGACCAUUCUUACGCAGGAUGGUGCUCGUAUACCCUGUAGAAAGAGAACAAUCACUCAGAUCAAAUGUAGCUAAAUACACAAGGAAACUAAUCCAGUAUGCAAGAUGAAAGAGGAGUGAUUGGUACCUACUCCAGCGAAGAUCAGCAAACACAGUAUGAGGUUCCAAAUUCAAAUAACAACAUAAUGCUAAGCAGAGAAGUAGAAUUGCUGCCGAAAUUAUUUAAAACGAACUAAGUCAAAACUAAAUGGAGAAAUGUUAACAAAGUUGUAUGCUUCAGUAAGUCCAGUAACAGAUUCCCAAAACCACAGAGACAAAAUGUGAACAAUGGCUACAAAAGCAUCCAUAAAGAGCAACUAUGUUUAUAUAUGGAGGUGUACAAAAUAGUUAACCUUCAAAAUCGAAACAGUGUGUGUGCCAUGUAAGGCAAUUAGCCACUGCUUCUAGACUAUACAAUAUUACACCUCACAAUAAUAACUAAACCAACUAGCUCUAGCAAAAAGGCAGGAUGACCAUAUAAAGUACCCCCAGCAAAGCAUCUACGUCUGCAUCUUCAUAUCAAGGAGUUCCUGACAUAAGUAAUGAGCAAAGUGAAUUCCCAAGUCAUAAGUCCAGAAUGAGGUGAAUUCACGGACAUUAAAACAUUUACCUCAUAAAUAUGCCUCCCCCCUUAAACCCUCAAUUGCAAGCCUCAGCCGGUAAUAUUUGAUCUUCAAAGGGUCAACUUUAUCUACCGAAAUCCCAGCACUGAGAUGCUCGAUGAAUUUGACGGUCAUGAUUCCGCAAGACGUACUGUGAGACCAAUAAGUUGGGAAAUUAGAACUGCAGUUAUGUAAGAUUUGGAUAAACUGCACUAAAUUCACAAAGCUUACCCAUCUCGUUGUUGUGGCACAUCUGCAAUGCUGCAAACUGAGAAUGGCGUAAACGUCAACAUCUUCAGCCCCUUUUGCUUAACCUUUUCAACCUCAGAAUCUUCAUAAAAGUGCAUAUCGUACAGCACUCGUGCCAGCGUAUCGCUAAUAGGGUGCAGAAGUGUAACCAGCUUCGAACAUUUGGUAAAAGCAACAUAUGAGUCAUACACAGUUGCAGUAUGUCAGACGAAAUCAAUUUCGAUUGCAACCCAGUAAGACCCUUUAAGAUUAUAUGGAAUAUAGACCUUCCGGACUUUUGUCCAAGCUUGGCCAUACCCGUGUUGCCACGUACCGCGUACAAAGUAAUGUAUAUUCUGCAGCUUGCUGGGUGGAAGGUCAACGGUGUUUGAAGCAACUGCCUUCUUCGAUCCACGUUUCUUGGCAGUCGGUUUGAACGGAUCUAGAAAUUGCUGCAUAAAUUGAAAUGAAGGCAUAUUAGAAAAUCACAACCGAAAGCAAAUGAAGCAGCGAAUGUAACAUGGUAACAUGUUUACCUGCAAGCAACAAUCUGCUGUUGUCCAGUCAGUUCCAAAUACCAACGGAUGAGAGAGUUGCCUUUUCCAGAUAAGAAAGGUUGCCAUGUCCAGGUGCUGAAAGUUGACACACAUAAUAUCAGCACAAUUUCAUACAACUGUACACUUAAAAAAGGUGAGAAAACAAUUUAAUUAUCGCAAUAAAGUAGAGCUUUGUGUAUUCUUACCCUUGAGCUAAUCCAUUCCGUUUCAUCGAUAAGUCUGUAGAAAAAAUCAGCGCCCACUGAAAAUAAUUCCAGCUGCACCUCCGCACUACAAAAGGCAAACUUGCAAUGGUUACUUUUAUAGUCAUCUCAUAAUUCUGACUUUGUUGAUGACAAAAAUACACAUGUAUAUUAAAGCAAACUCUACGUUUUCUCAUUAGUCUAUGACUACAUACUAGAAUAGGAUGAAGAUUGGAAUUCAAAGGUAAAGAAUCCUAACCUGAUAUCGUUUUUCCAGGCAGUACAAAACUCUAUUACUGCCUUCACAUCUUCAAUGGGCACGGAUUUUGAUGGAUCAAAACAUGGCGGGGUUGCAGUCGCAGCCAACACACUCAUCGUCCUCUUCUUCCUCAAAGGAUCAGUAAAUGGGCUCAACAAUGUCUGCGCCGGGCGCUUCUGUCUGCACCCUUUACCUUCCACUUCUUUUUUUUCCACACUCGAACUACCUUCUUCAUCACCAGCCAUACUAACUGUGGGUAGACUUGGAGGAUUCAUCGGACCUCCCGAUGGCAUACUCUUAGUCACUUUCCAAUCUUCUAACAGAGACAACACUUUUUGGCAGAUUUCGUCACACCCGGCCACAUCUUCCGGGGUAGGCAGCUUCUCGGAUUGUGCCUGCUCAGCUGCUUCAUGCACUUGUAAGUGAGGAACUGAAGCGGCCAUUUCUGCCUCUUCGACUACCAUGGCUGCGGAAGGUUCGGCUCCAUCACCGGGAACUUGUGUUUCCAUUACCGCCGGUUCUGUAGGCGGACUAACAUGGUCAUGUAAUGGCGACAAGUGAUUGUCGCCUCCUUCAUUCAUAUGAGGACUACUGAGGUCCUCAUGUCCUUUCCCACCUUCAUUCACCCCACCAUUUCGUUUUUUCAGCUGCUCUAUCUCCACAUUAAAAUAAUGCUCCAUUAAAGCCAGGGUGUUGCGGAAAUCCUCCACACACUUUUUAUUUUUUUCGAACUCUCUUUCAACUUUCAAUGACUCCUUCCGUACCAUGUCUUCCAACUGAUGCACUCUGUUGCGAAGCGCUCGAUUUGAUAUGGCAACUUUGGCCAAUUCAUCCUUUGUCCUUUGAAAGUCACGCUUCAAAGUGCGUAACUCUCUGGACGCGACUGUACCCUGCAUUCAGUUAUAAUGCAAGUGUUACAAUAUUUUCAAAAUAUAUUGCAACAAUACAGCAGUUAUUUUCCUAUUGUAUUAUGACGUAUAUCUUGGAAAAAAAUGUAAUGCUUGCCUUAGAAGACGACGGAAGGCUAGCAGUUUCGUCAAUGUCCUUAUCUUUUUCUUCUACAGAGGCAGAAGUGCUGGUUUUUUGUUCAGCGUCAUCGCCAAACAACUGAACAAGUUCUUCAGUGUCGUCAACACUGUCACCCCAAGUCCAAUACGGCUGCUGCUUGUCGAUUACAGAUGGCCGGAGAAGUUGCACAUCAACCUGCAAUUUACACAUACAAUAUACAUAUCAGUAAACUUAUUAUAUUAUAUUUUCAUAUGCCUAACAUUAUCAUUAAAAACUUAACUAACCUCACGGUUCUCGAAUACUUGGCUCAUUAGCUCAUAAAAACACGGCGAACUAUUGCUCCUCCAAUGUAGUAAACGAGGGAUGUAGGCAUUAUCUUCGUGCACCACCAAAUGUAGUGCAGCCAACGCUGGAAAAACCUCAUAAGCCCAAAUCUGGUUUGAGGAAUAAAACGUGAGUCACUGUAAACAAAUGAAAUUUAACUUCAACAUGAAUGGAAAUUUGCUCACCUGAAGUGCAUAGGCAAAACCUUUGAGGUGGUACUCUCUUGGUCUACCAGUUGCCGUUGUUUUUGCUUUCUUUUCAGAUUUUUUUGUUUUUGCAGCUUUUUUGGGCACUUUCACUCGCUGGUAAUCUGUACAAAGUGCCCUCAGAAGUGACACAAUUGUCUUGGCAUAACACACAGCACCCCAUGGAUACUUCCCAAACUCUUCAAGGUCUUCCACCAACUUCAAAUAUCGCAUGUCAAUCUGGACAUGUUUUUCACUGCCCAACAGCACAAACACAGCAAAGUAUACAAAUCUGAGCUUCAAUACAUCGUCCGCAUCAACGCAUUUGAGGAAGGCCUUUUCUAAUUCCAAAACAUUGACAGUUUUAUAGUUGCCAAAGUACUUCCUUUUCAAUGAGCAGUUCUCAUUAGUGGGAAUCGGAAUAAAGGGAAGGUUUCCAAACCUUAGCCCUGUCACGAUGCAAAAUUGCUGCGCCGUGAAUUGGAUCACCUUAUUGCCAACGAUGAAUUUGAUCCCGUUGAGUUGGGAAACUGUCUUUGGAUCAGCUUUCCUCAGCAGCAAGCCGUGGACAAUUGGCGAAGUCCACUUGAGGUCCUCAAUCAGUAGGAGAUGCCCAAAACAACUCUCUUCAAACCUUUGUAGCUGUUGUUCACUGAAUUUCUCCUUUAUCGUGCUGAUUGCAGUCUUCGUAUGGGAUAGGGACAAUGCUUUUCCUUGGAACUUUUCUUCCUCUGCAAUCAUCAACUUCAUUUGAGCAACCAUCUUUCCCUGCAUGCCAAUAUUAUAAAAAAAAAUUCAGUCCGUUGCAAUCUAGACAAUAACAAGCAAUAAACAAUCAGCACUUAUCUACAGCCUAUUAUAGGAUAUUAAGUGAAAACAAAAAAACAAAAAAUACAGGGCAUAAACAAAACCCCAGCUAUUUACAACUGACCUACUAAUUCAAUAGCUCAAAGCCACAUCCCAAGACACCCAGUACUCUACCACUCUUGCAUAAUAUAAUAUCUAAAGACACAUCUCAACACACCAGAUAAUCAUGACACAGCUUCAGCUAGAAUGGGAAUGUGCGGUAGCACAAGCCUAAUUGAGAACAAUUCAAGACUAACGAUAGAAAUCUAUCUGACUAGAAAGAGUUUUAAAAAAACAAGAAGACAUCGGGAAAGAAUUGAUUGACUUCAAGGUAUAAUGUAAUGGAACAUCCUAUGAAUUAGUGGCAACCAUAAUAAUGACUCCACUAUGGCCCUCCUUUCAAAUGUAAGAAAAUGAAUGAAAUUGGCACCAUCCCUUCAGUUUUUUCUUAACAAAAUAAGAGAUUUGUAUGUAUUCUCUGCUUUAUCGAUAUCAAAGAUAAAUUAAUAAAUAAACCAUCAAAACUGUAUAAAAUGUUUGUUAGACAUGUACAAUUACAAAAUUAUAAGUUCUCCUCAGAAACAAAGUUCUCUAAGUACGCAAACAAGAAAAGCAAAAGCUUAAAGAGUUAGCUUAUAGCAAAAUCAAUGUCCCCAUUUCUCUAAACCACACCUGCUGGUGGUAGGUUCCCAUCUUCACUCAUUUCCCGCUUUCUUUUAAACAGACAAUGAUCAAGCACAAAAGAGCAAACUUUUAAAUAACUCAUAUUACACCACAAAUAGUUCUAAAGAAAACUUAUUCAUAUCCAAUAUGCAACCCCUAAAGUUAGUAAACAGAGUUAUAAAAAAAUAUGUCAAAUUAACAAGCAUUAUUCUCAAACAAAAAGUAUGAUAUGGUUGGGAGUUUACAAGUUCAAAAUGAUAUACACAGGUUAAUUGUCUUAGACUUUAGAUAUCAUCUUCAACAAAGAAAAUAGAUACCGAUUAGACUUGUAAGAAGGUUAAAUGCAAUGGUCAUAAAGACCCAUAGUAAGCCACCAAAUACCAAUCAAUAACUGCUAUAAAAACCAUAAUAAAACCAUAAUAAACUAAAAAUACAACAGCACUAAAAUGCCAACACAACAUCACUACAUUAGCAAUAUAGUAGCAACAAAACCACAAUACGACAUCAAUAGCAACAGCAAAACAACAGCAGUGCAAGCAUCAGUCCACAAAGAACAAACCCAUUCACUGUUUCAAACAAGGAAUCAUCAUACUAAGAUCAUUUCAGAGAAACCCCAAAACCAAUUUCAGUGAAACCCCUAAACCAAUUUCAGAGAAACCCCUAAACCAAUUUCAGAGAAACCCCUAAACCUUCAACCAAUUUCGAACAAAUCCCUGAACCAAUUUCAUAGAAAUGCAUAAACCCUAAACCAACUUCAAAGAAACCCUAAACUGUAAGAAAAUGACGAUGAACAGUACCUGUUCAAGGUGAACGAUGGAGUUGAGCUUCGAUGAACAAAUUUCGCUCGGAGAGGAAGAGAGAAGAGAGAGUCAGAGCUGAGCGACGAGAGAUUAAGGGCUGAGCGACGAGAGAGUGAGAGCUGAUCGACGAGAGAUGAGAGAGUGAGAGCAAAGUGACGACAGAGUGAAGAGAAAUUGAGAGAAGGAGCCAAGAGAGAGAGCUGAGAGAGAACUUCAGCAAAACUGAUAGAGAACUUCAGCAAAAGUGAUAUGUGUACAAUAAGGGGACAAUAAAUAUAUAUUUAUAGGUUAUAGUUCCAAAUUUUUUUAAAAAGAGUGGUAUUUUCAGUUACAAUUAUAAAAAUGGUGGCAUUUUGAGCUAUUUCCUUAUUUUUUAUUCAACAUGGACGCAGAAACUGUUGCUAAACUGCAAACUUCUUAAAAUAUUUGUCUCACUUUCUCAACCCUAUAUUUGUCUAACUUUCUAGAUCCAUGUACUGAGAUUUAUUAGGGAAAUAUUGUAGAAACUGAUUAUUUUGAAAUAUUAAAUGUGAAAAACUGAACAAAAAUUUGAUGGGUUACAUAUUUCAACUCAUUUCAGCAGCUUAGAUUUUGAAGACCUCGGAAGAGGCCAUGCAGUGAGCCUAGCUAGUGCACUGUUGAUCACUUCAGUGUCUACCGAUCUGUAAUUUUUCCAGAUUGGUUAUAUUUUCCUUUACAUAUUCUUAUAUUAUUCCCAGCUGUAAGUGUUUUACACACUUGUCUAUUAGAAAAGGGGAGACUUAUAAAUAAAUCCAAAAUGGGUACAGUAUUUAUAAAGAAUGACAAAAUUAAAGUGUUUGGGCAAUAAUGCCCUUAUUCAUUUUGAGAUUGCCUAAGGAAUAUUUUUUCUGAUUUUCAGAAGAUGCCAAAGGACCGUUGUUUGAUGAUUGCCGUAAGGAGCUAAGAAAACUUGCUUUGAUAGUUUUGGACAGAUGCAUGCUACUGUUGCUGGGAUGAUCUCUUCACGUGAAAUGAGGAUGAUGAUGCUUCUACACUACACAAUCCAACGAAUUCACAUGUCUAUUUCAGAUACAAGUAUAAACUAACAAGGCUUUAAAAUAUGGGCUGAUGCACUGUUGUUGAUGUUGCUGACACUGUUACUGUGUUGUUGAUACUGUCACUGCGUUGCUGUUGGAAAAAGCACAAGGACUUCACAUGUUGCUUUCGUCUUUUGUGGAGGAGAGAGACCUAGGACUUGCAUGUCUUAGAUAUUUAAGAUAAGGGGCUUUCGUUCCAUUUUGAAAAUACUUUGGGUGUUUUUGAAAGGUGAUUGUUUCUUUUGGGUUUCUCACUAAAUUUCGCUUUAGAAGGGAAAAUAAUAAUAAUAAUGUCAAACAAAGUAGGGUAAAUAUUCAGAUAUGCUCAUAUUAUUAUUCUUCUCCAAUAUUGAGGUAUUUAUACAAGUACAAAGAUGUGUUAACCCUAAAUAAAAUAGGAAAUAUAUCUAAAUUAUAAUAGGCAGUAAAUCUCUAUUACAAUAGGACUAAAUAAUAAUUGGUAAGUAACCAAAAUUCUAAUGAAAUAAGGAAUCAAAAUCCUAACUAAGUAAGGACUCGCCAACACUCCCCCUCAAGUUAGGGCAAACAUAUUUCGCAUGCCUAACUUGACAAGCGAGUCAUAGAACACCAUACUUGAGAAGCACCAAUUGUAGAGAAGGUCUUUUCGUCAACCACGAGUGAAACAAGUGACAAACUAAAGCAAAGUUCGCAGCGGAAACACAAGAGCGAAUCCUAAAAAAUAGGGCACAUAGCAGAACACAAAAAUCCUGGAGCACGACAGUAGAUAAGGCAGAACACAGAAACCCUGUUAGCACGGCAAUAGGUAAGGCAGAAAAAGUCAAGAGCAAAGGCAAGGUCAACAGGCGUGACCACAACGAAAACACACCAGCAAAGACAUGAGCAACAAUAUUAGCACCAUAAUAGACAUGAGCAACAAUACUGGUACCAACAACAGCAAUACAAGGCACUGGCACCAGCAAGAGCAACAAGGCAUGGACAUAACAUGCAUAAUCAAUAGUAAUCAACAUUGUCCCCAACAAGAGUCAUAAUAGGCAUGAGCAAUAACAUUGUCCCCACUAAGAGACUUAACAGGUAUGAGUAACAGUACUGGCACCAGCAAAGGGCAUAGUAGUCAGCAGCAAUAACAAUGACAAAUACUUCUAUUAUUGCAGAGACAACUUCUCUUCACUCCCCAUCUCCCCUUGAAGAGAAGGGGUCAUCGGAACCAUAAGAAAAGUGGCACUUAAGAAACAGAAGUUGACUGACGCUCAAAUGUAGAAGAAUCAGCCAUGGCAAAUAGGUAGCUGAAUUGCAGCGGAAUAGAUGAGCAGCGGUGUCACUCCCCCUCAUAUCUGAUAAUGUAUGAGAGUCGAGAUUUGGAGAAAGCAAUAUCGAAAAAUAAAGUUGCAGAACCCAAAUAAAGUUGCAUCUAUCUCCCCAUCAAAUCCGACACUGGUAAAGGGUCGAGAUUUGAAAGAGGAGAAAUUGAAAUAAUAGUAAAGAGACUCAAACAUGCAGUCUCAUGGCAGAAACAAAUGCAAGAGGGGAAGAUGGUAGCAUACGGUUGUCCCAUGAAGAAAAAACUUCAGAAAAGGAGAAUAGUAAGGGAGGAAACCUAGCAAAUCAUGAACAGAGACAAAGACAAAGAUGCUCAAACUGAGAAGCGGAAAGGCAACUCAAGAGAGCAACCGAAGAAGACAGAGGCCCGCAGAACAGUCAAAGUUAAGGCUCGGCGAGUGGUGACGAUGCUCGCGGAGGAAAGCAACGGCUCGGUGAGCGGUGAUGAGGCUCACGGAGUAAAGAGACUUGUUAUGAAGUUUCAAAGAUAGAGAAGCUGAGACAUCAAGAAAGACCAUCUGGCAUACAAAGAUGAAAAAUAAAAAUUUUGGAACAGUAGCAAAGAAGCAUGUGAAGGCUGGUGCGGUGAAAACACAUAUGAAAGGAUGAACAAAAGAAGAUGACUAUACAAGAUGAAGACCCAUGAUGGGUUAGGAAUGAGGAGUGCCAACGACUCUCAAUUUGGCAGAGGUUAUCGCAGGUUAGGAACCUGGCUCUGAUACCAUGUCAAACAAAGUAGGGUAAAUAUUCAGUUAUGCUCAGAUAUGCUCAUAUUAUUAUUUUUCUCCAAUAUGGAGAUAAUUAUACAAGUACAAAGAUGUGUUAACCCUAAAUAAAAUAGAAAAUAUAUCUAAAUUACAAUUGGAAGUAAAUCUAUAUUACAAUAGGACUAAAUAAUAAUUGGUAAGUAACUAAAAUUCUAAUGAAAUAAGGAACCAAAAUCCUAACUAAGUUAGGACUCGCCAACAAAUAAUAGUACAACUCUUAUUAGCAACAGGUUACAAACUUCUUCUACAACACACCAACAUGAAUCUAGCCCUGAUCCACUCUUUUACAUACUUGAAAACAAAACAAAACACGAAAAACAAAAAACAAGAAACAAGAUAGGGAGAAAAUGGCUACGGAGAGACUUCCUGCUAAUCAGGGGCGGCCCUGGGGUGGUGCAAGUGGCGUCACCGCACAGGGCCCCCGAUUCUUAAGGGCCCCCAAAAAAUAAUUCUUUAUAUUAUAUAUAUAUAUAUUAAUAUUAUAUGAAUCGUAUAUAAAGUAUAGCGUCUGGAUGAUAAAGAGACUCAUUAUCAUUAUCUUAGUCAUAAGAUUCAAAAUGAAUUGAUACUUUUGUUAGCUUCUGAGCUCAAAAGUGCAAUCAUUAAAAAGAUUGAAGAAGCUAAAUAUUUUUCUGUGAUUCUUGAUUGUACUCCAGAUGCUAGAAACCAAGAACAAAUGAGUUUGAUAGUAAGAUGUGUGGAUGUCUCUACUAAUUCAAUAAAGGUUGAAGAAUUCUUUUUGGAAUUUUUGAUUGUGAAUGAUACAACAGGACAAGGACUUUUUGAAGAGUUGCAAACGGUGUUGCAAAAACUUAAGCUUGAUAUUGAUAAUGUGAGAGGACAAGGCUAUGACAAUGGAUCAAAUAUGAGUGGGAAAUAUCAAGGUGUCCAAAGAAAAUUUUUGGAUGUAAAUCCUAGAGCAUUGUACACACCUUGUGGUUGUCAUAGUCUUAAUUUAACACUUUGCGAUAUUGCAAACUCUUGUGGAAAAGCAAAAGAUUUUUUUGGAAUCAUACAACGUAUUUAUACAUUGUUUGCUAAUUCUACAAAGCGGUGGAAGAUAUUGAAAGAUAAUGUUAAACACUUAACUCUGAAAUCAUUGUCAGUUACACGUUGGGAAAGUCGUAUUGAAAGUGUGAGAGCAAUAAGAUUCCAAGCUGCAGAUUUAAGAGAAGCUUUACUUCAGUUAGCAGAAAGUGACGGUGACUCCAAAAUAACAAGUGAAGCUAAUUCUUUGGCAACAUAUGAACUUGGAAAUUUUGAGUUCUUAUUGGGCAUGGUUAUUUGGUAUGAUAUAUUAGGUGGUGUCAAUGUAGUGAGCAAAAACUUACAAUCUGAAGACAUGCUUAUUGAUGUUGCUAUUGAUAAAGUGAAAGGGUUGAUUACUUUUUUUUUGAAAAGUAUAGAGAAAAUGGGUUUACAGAAGCUAUGUGUACUGCUAAAAAAAUUGCUACUGACAUGGGAAUUGACCCGGUGUUUCCUGAGAAGCGAAAAAUUCGUAGAAAAAAACAUUUUGAUGAGAAUACUUGUGAGCUAUCCCAAUCAGUUCCUGAAUCAACUGAAGAAAAGUUUAGAAUUGAUUAUUUCUUGUAUUUAGUGGACCAAGCUAUUGGUUCUUUACGAAGAAGGUUUCGACAAUAUCAAGAGUAUGAGAAUUUUUGGGUUUUUGUUUACUUCAGAGAAGUUAAAUUCAUUGGAUGAUUGCGAUUUGAAGAAUAGUUGCAGUCAUCUGGAAAGCAUUUUGAAAAAUGACAAGUUUUCUGAUGUCGAUGGGGAGGAUUUAUUUGUUGAGUUGAAAGUUUUACAAGAGCUUUUACCAAAAGUAAAUACCACAGCUACUGCAAUAUUAAAUUUCUUGAAAAGAUUAAAUUGUUUUCCAAAUGCAUUCAUUGCAUAUAGAAUCCUAUUGACUAUUCCUGUUACUGUUGCAUCUGCGGAAAGAAGUUUUUCAAAAUUAAAAUUGUUAAAAUCAUACUUGAGAUCAACUAUGUCGCAAGAAAGAUUAAAUGGACUAGCUUUGAUUUCAAUUGAAAGUGAACUUCUUGAAAAACUUGAUUAUGAACAUUUGAUUGAUGAUUUCUCUUCUAAAAAUUCAAGAAGAUCAAUUUUCAGACAUUAGUAUUGUACUAGCUGUGUUUUUUUUUUUCUUCUAGGGUAAAAGCUCUCAUAAUAAUUUUAAUUCUUCAAAUAAGACAGCAAAUACAAUGUGAUGAAUUUUGGAUAAUCAGGUAUGUUUUUGUUGUUGCUUUUGUGUUUAAUGCAAUAUAAUCUAAUUUUUUUAAUGACAUUUGUGUGCAACUACUCUUUGAUUUGUGAUUGCCAAUUUUUUUUUCUUUCUAUUAAACACAGAUUGCUUAUUGGAGGCAGCAAGAGACCUUAUAGGGGCACAAGGAGCUUAUUUUUGUACAAAACAUUUAACUUUAUCAAAUGGAAACAUUUAAAUUUUUAUGAAUUUGAUUUCUGAUUGUCAUUGCAUAUUUAUUGAUGGUGAAUUUUAGUUAUAAAAAAAAAAUUGUUUAUGACAUUAAGUUAUGGCAAAUUUUUAUAGUAUUUUCGUAUUAGAUUAUGCGAGGUCCCAAUUUAAGUUUCGCACAGGGCCCUCAAAAUCUCAGGAACGGCCCUGCUGCUAAUACUUGAUCAAUAACAGAGAUAAUAGAGCACACUGUUUGUAUGACAAUGAGUAUCAGAAGAAUAAUAGCUGCAAAGAGAGAAAUAGCUGCCCAAGGUGUGUUGAAAUACUUUUGUCUCAAAUUUGCCUUCCGUCUGUUCGUGGUCUUCUUGCAGUACUCGUUUAGUUUGCCAGCAAGAUCACCAAAAUAGUAGUUUCCGUGGUUCGGAGCAACUUUACUGCAAAGCUUGUUAAUCAUAAUGGAAACCUUAUUGUUGUCACCUAGCGUGUUUACAACAAUUCCAUUGUCAACAAGCAACUCUACAUCCUUUGGGGUGUUUACAAAUUUAUCCAGGAUGAAAACAUAAUCGCUUAUGUAUUUAUCCACGCAAUGGCCUUGUUCAAAGGCAAUGAGAUUUCUAUGUGUAAGCUGUGUAAUCAUGUAUUUCAAUUUUUGGAAUUUCCAAGGUGUUUUUCUUGAACUGUAUAUCGAAUAAGUUCUUGCUUGAUCCCACGUUAAACUUAACUCCGGCCUGGUGUAGUUUUGUCAUGCUGGGUGUACUUUGGAGCCCUCCAUUUUUUUUUCUUUUGGCAGAUGUAAAGUUCUAAUAAAAUCAACAAAAUGUAAAGGUUUUUUAGGAUCAGGAGGCAUAAAAGACUUACGGAAGGCUGGUGAGUUCUCCAAGUUUUCUAAACGCAGUGCCUGUUGGAAGAACUUGUAAGAGAGUUCAAUUAUUGAAGGCUCCCCAGUCUGAGCACCUGUGAGAUUGUAAAGAUCCUCGAGAAUGAAAAAUGGCAGCUGAUUUACGAGCAUAAGCAUGUCAGGCAAUAUAUUUUGUAGCACCCAUGGUUUUUUAAAUAUCCAAGCAUCAUCAUCCUGCAAUUUUUCUUCCUGAAAUUUUUCUUCGGAUUUAUUCCUCAACAAUAGCUCAAUGACAAAGGCGGCAUCAACUAGAAUGAUAUUCACAAAAGUAGCAAUGUUAAACUUCUUAGGGCUAGUUUGGCGGCGUUGUGCUUUUAAAAAAAUAUGCUUCUGCUGUGCUGUGAAAAUAAUUAGCUGUGAAAAAAAGCUACUAGGCGUUUGGUAAACUGUUUUUGAAAAACUGCUGUGAGUAGUCAAAGUGUUUGGUAAAUUUUUAUCAGAAGUACUUUUAGUGUGUAUAAUGACCAAAAAGGACAUGAUGAUGAAAUUGUUUGUUAUUUUCUUCAUUCUUUUUCUACUUUAAAAAAAAAAAAAACCCAAUUUCACUACAUAAAUUUUUAUUCUUUUUUAAUUCACACCUUUUUAUCAAAAAAUUUAAUCUACAAUUAACAUACAUAUUUUACCAUAAAUUAUAAAUUACUAUUAUAACAAAAGUAAUUCUAAAUAUUGUUAUAUUAAUAUGGGCUUCGGACAUGACAAAAAUACAAAAAUUGUUCAAUUUUAAAAUGCCCCAAUAGAUCACUACAAUAUAAAAGAAGCUAAUUAGAUGCAUUCAUUAAACUUGUAGCGAUGCUAUUUCUUAAUGCAUUCAUUAGCUUCUUUUUUUGGUUUCCAAUGGUUCUCUAACAAUUUUAACUAAAAAAACAACCAUAAUGCUUUGUGAACAAUAAAUUCAAGUCCAAAUCUGCUAUUGCCCACACCAUACAUAUAUACAUAAUUGUUCCUUUCAUAAAACUUGAAGAUUCAAUAGUAAUUACACAGUUUACCAAUCUUGAUUCCAACUAUAUCCAUAAAAUUAAACUAUAAUUAGAAAUAGAGGAGCUACAUGUGAUUACUCAUAAAUGCUUCCCACUCUCAUCAUCAUCAUCAUCAUCAUCUUCCUCCUCUGUACUUUGCCUUUCACAAAUGGACAAGACCAGAUGGUAACGUACACGACAUGGUCCACAUAUAGAUAAAUUUUGGGUUCACUGGAGAACAUAAAAGAGUUUUUACACGAAUACAAAGUUAGUUAAGUAGUGAAUAAAGUAAAACUAUUCUGUACAAUUCUAGCUGAUGCAGUCCAAAAAGAAUAUAUGUCUAAUAACUUAAAUAACAAUAAAGAGAAACAAAAGCCUCAUGAAAAAUGCUAGAGUAAAAGUUACAUAACUGAAUCGAUGGACAGAGAACUCCACAGGCAGAGAAACAGCAACAAAAAUUGUCAAAACAGUAGCAAGACCAUGUUGGAGUCAAGGCCAAAGAUCAUAUUUCCUGUGUAUCUUCUUCCAUUCUGAAUUAUUCUCGUAUUCAAAUACUGUAACUCUAUUUCAAGUGCACCCCAAAAUACUUAUCUAAGGCCAGUACAUAGGACUUCAUAAAGGGUGCGAUAAAAAAUAUUGCCCCUUAAUUGAUAAACAGAACCAAGAUCCCAACAGCACACCAAAACUAUACCAACCACACCUACAUAAUAUGGACAGAAAAUCCUGUUGUUCCGAUCUCUAACCACACCAAUGACAUUCAUUAGGAAAAUACAAAAGAUGGGUACCCUGCAUUUCUAACAUUUAAGAUAAAAUUCACUGCCAGCUAAUCACAAAUUUGAAAAGAUGGCAAGAAAAUUGGCUAAGCUUUAACAAAAACCAGAGCAGUCCUUGCAUAGACCUGACUUUUUGCUCCAAGCUUUAGCAGAUCACUUACUGGUAGAGAGCAGAGAACAUGUAUGUGAAUAUCUGAAGUUGGAAGGGUAAGCCAUCACAAACACCAAGAGAUCUGAUUCUCAUCUCUUGUUACAACAACAAAUCACAAACACCAAUACAUCUGAUUCAGAAUCUCAUAAACAAUGGAGGAACAAACACAUAUUCACACACAUAUAAAUCCCUAAACAGAAAAAAUAAAAAAUAAAAAAAAAACCAUGAAAGUCAUAGGAGAAUCAAAUUGAUUUGGGCCAAAAUUGCCUAAAAAGAAAACACUCCUAAAUAAACUUCAAUUCACUUUUAAAAACAGUAAAACAUGAUUGAAUCAUUCUUUAAAACAAUUCCCUAAUAUACAUGCAUGAUAAUGACAUCAUUUACCCCUGAAUCAAAUGCCUUUCACUGGUCAAGCCACAAGUCUGUGUUUUGGGAAUUGCUGAGCUGCAUCAAUCCUGCCAAUGUAAAUUCUGCCCCUAGGCUCUCUCAAAGUGCGUUUACAACCUAUGCUAACAUAUACUAGAGUUUGUUUUAGUAUCUAGAAAAUGCCAACACUAAUUUCGUAACACGUAGAAAUUGUUACAUAUUGGAAGUUUUUAUCAUUUUUUCUUCCAGUCUCUCCACCACUCACUAAUACAGAUUACUCAUGUGAUGAGUUUACAAAACAUAUUUCUCUACUCCCACAAAGACCAUACUUUUUCUCAAAAGACUAUAUCACUUUAUCUCUAUCUUUGUGAAAUGUAAAAAGUUGAAACUUUAAUGUCAAACCUCGACAAAAGAUGAACAUCCAUCAUCAAUUACAUUGAAUUUGAAUUUGUUGAACUUAAGUAGUUUUACUUCUCUGUCAGCGUUUGAUGACUUGAUUUGUUAUUUACUUCUUCUUUUUUCCUUGGAAAUGUGUUCCAUCAACGUGAGGAAGAAAAAUAUGCACAAAUUAAUAUAUUUAAUAGAAGCAAAAAUUAAUAUUUACAAAAAUAUGCACAAAUCAAGUAAAAUUAAUAAAGCAUAAAUUGGAAAGGGAAAAUAUGUAGAGGAUGCAUUGUAGGAUUGCUCAUGCCAAUAAUUGUACCCUCUAAAUAUAUAGGGACAUAUUUUUUUUUGUUUUCAUGACAUGUGGUCCUAAAAUUAUUGUUCUUAGCGGGCUCUCCACCCCUCUCGACUGAAAACCUAUUGUGUAAAUCUUCAAUCCUGAAUGAUGCACCUAAAACUCAUGUUGCAAUACACAUCCACCCAUUCUCAGGCCAAUUAUUACUCCUAGUGGGCUCUCCACCCCCUCUCAAAUUUAAGUGGUCCAUUAUUAUUAACCGUAUAUUUUAUGGACCAGCCAGCUGUGAGGUUUUAUCUCAAAAACCUUUCUCCCACAUGCCACAAUUUAUGUCUGAUACAUCACAUCAUGCCAGUUGUCUCAAAUGAAUUUAAGUGAGUGAGGCAGUGUUACUUCUGGGUACCCCUCAUUAUUCGUCUAUAAAUUGGUGAAGCCAGUUGCUACUGUUACCAUAAGAGCCAGCUCCGACUUUCAAAAUAAAAAUUCCAACAACGGUCUUAGUGCCUUCAAUUGUAUGAGUCAUUGAACAUGCAAAUGAAUAAAAUAUGAAUGAUAAAAGUGUUUGAUAAAUCACCAAGUUAUAGAACACUUGAUGAUUUAUCUCAAAUAAAAAUUCAGCUUUCUAAAGUUUGUGAAUUGAAAAUAUAAUCGUUAAAGCUCUCUAAACAAAGAAGACGAAAGUCUUAUUUUAUAGAAUUUUUCUUUACAAGAAAGAAAACAUGUUGAAAACCAAAUCUCCAAUUUCCAAGGCUUGACAGAAAAUCAAAAAAAUAUCUUUCCUAUUCUAGAGAUUGGUCACAUGUAGUUCAACCAAUAGGAAAUGAGAUAUUUAAGAAAGCAAGAUUUUGAUCAAUACCAAUAUCAAAUGAAUUCUUAUACGCCUAGUCAACUAUUAAGGGUAUCUUGACUCCUUGAUAUUGUGAUAUGAUUGAAACAUGAUUUCCAUGUUAGAAAAUUAAGGGGAUGUUAAAACAUGAAAGUAAUAGGAGAAUCAAAUUGAUUUGGACUAAAAUUGCCUAAAAAGAAAACACUCUUAAAUAAACUUCAAUUCACUUUUAAAAACAGUAAAACAUGAUUGAAUCAUUUUUUAAAACAAUUCCCUAAUAUACAUGCAUGAUAAUGACAUCACUUACCCCUAAAUCAAAUUGUCACGCCCCGGACCUGGGGGUCAGUGGAAACCCCACGUUCGGUGCGUGAGAAAAUAAAAAGUAAAAUAAAAUAAAAAGAAUGCCGAAACAAGGGUUUAAAAUAAACUUCUCUUAUAAAAAUAACUCCAAAAUCUUACAACUUUACAAGAAAUAAAUAAAGCCCUAUCAUUCUUAUCUAAUUCAGCCUCAACUGGUUUAGUCCUUGUCUUGCCCACUAAUUCAUCUAAAAAAUGAAGAGUGUUGCUAAACGAACCCUAAAAUUAAUUGAGUACACCCUACUACCAAACGAUUUAUUGAAUUUGUCACAUCUCGGGAUCAACUCCGCCGUAGCACGAUAUUGUUCGCUUUGGGCCCUCCCUCUCUGGCUCGCAUGGUUUUGUUUCUGGGAACUCACGAGUAACUUCCCAGUGGGUCACCAAUCCUGGGAUUGCUCUAGCCCACAACUCGCUUAACUUCGGAGUUCCUACGACUCCGAAGCCUGUGAGCUCCCAAAAGGUCUCGUGCUAGAUGGAUGCGGGUGUGCACAUAUAAGGCACAUCACCCCCUCUCCGUUGGUUGAUGUGGGAUCUUAUAGAAUUACUAAUUUAUCCUAAUAUAAAAUGACCAAAGAAGAUAAAAUAAUAUUGGUAUCUAUUGCUUUGAAUCCAUGCCUUCAAACAAAUUGACUUAAUUUUUAACAAACAACACGGAGUCCAGGAGAAGUGUAUUGAUCCAAGUUGAUUUUUGUAUGCGUAAAACUUAAACAAUCAAUAACACAAAGCAGUUCAUGCUGAAAUAUUGGAAACCCACACCCAAAGAGUUCUCCGCUGCGAGGUUGAAGGCAGGAGAGAUGGGUGACAGAUUUUACUUCCACUGCGAAGUUGGAGGCUAGGAGAGUCUGUGACUGCCAUGGUUGAGGGAGAAGAUGCGUUCAAAAUGCCUAUUGAUAUUUUACAUUAUUGGCUUUUUUCAAAAGUGAAAGUUUUUUUAUGGGUAAAACCUAAAUUUACUUUUUCUAUACAAGUUAACAGUGUUUGUGUAUUGUGAAAAGGUGGAGAGACGUGUCAAAAUUUUAGACAAAGGACAGGAGGAGAUAGGGAAUUUGGGGACAGCAGAUCUCAACUCCCUUGAGACCCUAUUCUCUACGCCACCCCUCCCCCUCAACAACCCUAGUCACCAUUUCUCCUUCAACUCCAACGGCAACUCAUUAAAACCCAAUUCUCAAAUGCAACAAUCUAAUCCCAAUCCCAAUUCAGAUGUUUCUAAAAAACCCAUUGUCGUGGUGGAGAACUGCAAUUCCAGGUGGUGGUGGUGGUACCACAUGGGAGAGAGAAAAAAGAAGAAGAAGAAGCAGGAGAGAGAGAGUUUUUUAUUUUAUUAUUAUUUUACUGUAAUUUUUUAAUUUAAAUAAUUAAAAAAAUUAAAAGUUAAAGAGGAUGUACCAUGGGUAUUUUUGGUAGUUAAAUAAGGUGUACUUAGGGUCAGUUUGGCAUUGCUGUGCUGUGAAAAUAAUAGCUGUCAGAUUUGCUGUGAGAGAAAUCAGCUGUGAGAGAAAUCAGUUUGGCGUUUGAUAAAAUUUUUGUUAAAAGUGUGUUGAUAUUGAUUUUAUGCUUAAUCCGAAAAUGAUUGCUGCAUAAUCAUUAAACCCAGCGCCUCUUCGAAACUGAUUCCUAUAUAAUCAGAAAAUGAAAGCACCUCAUUAGCUGCUUUCCUUUAUAGCUUUCUCUCACAGCAAUUUUUAACAAUAAGUGAUUUUCUCACAGUUUACCAAACGGGUUGGGCUUCUCAAAAUUUUUUAAAAAUCACUUAUUACCCCAAAUAAGCAAUACCAAACGGGCACUUAGUUAAUUUUACAUUUUAAUUUAAACAUUAGGGUGUACUCAGUUAAUUUUAGGGUUCGUUCAGCAGCACUCAAAAUUAAACAAGGUGAGGGAUGAGCAAGUAGGGACAUGAGACAUUGCCACAGUAGAUUGAUAUAACUAAAUAUUAUUAUAAACAUAGAAAUAUAUAAGUAUUAUUAUAAUAGGAUUCAUAAUAAUUAAUAUAAAAGUAUAACAACAAUAUUUACAUUUAUGUACCAAGAUAAUUACACAUAUAAAUAUAACCAAUAUAUAUUUUUAUAUAUUUUAAAAUAUAAGUCUUUACGUAAAUGCCUUUCACGGGUCAAGCCACAAGUCUGUGUUUUGGGGAUUGCUGAGCUGCAUCAAUCCUGCCAAUGUCAAUUCUGCCCCUGAGCUCUCUCAAAGCACGUUUAAAACCUAUGCUAACAUAUACUAGAGUUUAUGCUGUAUCUAGAAAAUGCCAACACUAAUUUCGUAACACGUAGAAAUUGUUAGAGAUUGGAAGUUUUUAUCAUUUUUUCUUCCAGUCUCUCCACUACUUAUUAAUACAGAUUACUCAUGUGAUGAGUUUACAAAACCUAUUUCUCUACUCUCGCAAAGACUAAACUUCUUCUCAAAAGACUAGAUCACUUUACCUCUAUCUCUGUGAAAUGUAAAAAGUUGAAACUUUAAUGUCAAACCUCGACAAAGUGUUCUACUUUACAAACUUCUUGUGUCUACCAAUUUGUACUAAAAUUAAUUUCUCUACAGUGCUCAGAUUCAUCAUAUGUGUGUCCUUAAUUUUAGUGGAAAUUGGAAGUUUCCAUAAUUUUUGCUUUAAGUCACUCUUCUGAAGGAAGUUGAGGUUCCACUUCAUAAUCCAAAAUGUCAGGUUGACUUAUGGCAAACAAUGUAAAUAUGUAGGAGUACUAUGACCUUUUAUAGCAUUUUUAGUUUGAAUUUGGGUUUUAUACAUAGAUUUCAAAAUUAAUAGGUUGAUGCCUAGGAAAUAGAAAUUGUAAGGGCCUAUAUUAGAGUAGCCCUCUUAAAAAUAAUAUUAAUUAAUGAAUAUUUGUUCUUCUUGUUGUUUUGAAGUAGUGGUGGGAGGCAGACCAACAAAAAAAAAAUAUAGUGAAGGCUUAUAAGAGCAUUUACAAUCAUGCUCCCUAUUUUUUAGUUAAAAUUUAGCUAAAAAUAGAAAAAAAGUUAUUAUAGGAGCUCUUUAUAAAGCUCCUUUAUAAAAUUUGAACUCCAAUCAUACUCCCUAGUUUAGGGAGUCAAAAAUACUAUAGUUAUUUUUUAAUUCAAUUUGAUUUUGGUUAAUCUCUAUAAAUAUGAAAAAAUAGUUAGCAUUAAUUAAAAGUUUAAACUAUGCAUAAAACAAAGAAACAUUAAAUUAUAGGGAGCCACUAUGAGUCAUUACUCUCUCCUCAGAUUUAGGAGCUCCUAAAGGUCUCCCUAUUUUAUGAGGUGGAUAAGGAGCAUGGUUGGAGUUGUAUUUCUUCAAUUUCCUCCCUAAAAUUUGUCUAAGGAUGUGGUUUAGGGAGCCCAUUGUGAAUGCUCUAACUCUGGUAAAACACGAGUGACAUGGACAACAUAUGUUACGUCGUACUGAAGAUUUUUGGGUUUCUUUAAUUGGUUAAGUAGCAUCCACACAGCUUCCUAAAUCAUCUCCUUAGACAAAUUUUAGGGAGGAAUUGGAAAAGUACAACUCCAACUAUGCUCCCUAUCCACCAACUAAAAUAGGGAGACUUCUAGGAGCUCCUAAAUCUGAUGAGAGAGAAAGGACUCUUAAUGACUCCCUAUAAUUUAAUGUUGCUUUAUAUUAUUUUGUAUACAGACGGGUCAAUUAUAUUAAAUUAAAAAAUAAUUAAAGUAUUUAUGACUCUCUAAACUAGUGAGCAUAAUUGUAGAUCAUCUUAUAUACCUUAAUUUGAAGAUUCUUUAUUUGGGUUUCUUUCAAGACUUAUCACCUUAGCCACGCCACCUACACGUCUGCAAGCUUUCCUAACAAGGAAGGGGAGGCUGCGCAAUACUUAUCACCUUAGCCACACUACACCAAAUUGACGUCUGCAAGCUUUCGUAAUCUAACAAGGAAGGGGAGGCUGCGCAAUACUUAUCACCUUAGCCACACCAACACCACAAGACCAAUAUGUGUAGUCCAGGAGGCUUUCCCAUUUUAAUAUAUAUUAUCAAAUAAAAUAAAAAUCAAUCUAUUAUCAUAUAUAUUAUAAAAUAAAGAUUAUUGCUCCAUCCUCCAUGCACUUGCAUGCCUCUUACAAAGUGUGAAGUAGAUUUUGUGUGCUCCAAGUCAUUGACGAGAGCUGUAACAUGGUUAGCUGGAUUUAUAAGAUCUUUUCUUUUCUGGGAAUUUUCUGAAUCAAGAAAAAUUAAGUAAAAUUAAUAAAGCAUAAAUUAGAAAGGAAAAAUAUCUAGAGGAUGCAUUGUAGGAUUGCACAUGCCAAUAAUUGUAUCCUCUAAAUAUAUAGGGACAUAUUUUUUUGUUUUCAUGACAUGUGGCCCUAAAAUUAUUGUUCCUAGCGGGCUCUCCACCCCCUCUCGAUUGAAAACUAAUUGUGUAAAUCUUCAAUCUUGAAUGAUGCACCUAAAACUCAAGUGUCCCAGGCCAAUUAUUGCUCUCAUACCACUUGUUGUAAUAAACAUCCAUCCAUUCUAAAGGAAAGAUAACCAUCGAUAUUAUCUCAAAUUUAACCACUUAAGUUCAUUAUGAUUAACUAUGUAUCUUAUGGACCAAUCCAAUCAUGAGGUUUUAUACCCAAUUAGAUCGACUAAUACAAAGUUCACACGUGGAUUGAAAAGCGCUAUCAGUAGGGGAGUGUUCGGCACCCUUUACUGCCGAACGCAACACAAGACCCCUUGCAUGCCUUCACUAAGUUGAGCCUAUCUAUUUUUUAGCAUUAACAAUAUAUAUAGAUUGAAAAAAUAAAAUAAAAAUCAAUCUAUUAUCAUAUAAAAUAAAUAUUAUUGCUCCAUCCUCCAUACACUUGCAUGCCCUCUUACAAAGUGUGAAGUAGAUUUUUUGUGCUCCAACUCAUUGACUAGGGCUGAAACAUGGUUAGUUGGAUUUAUAAGAUCUUUUCUUUUCUGGGAAUUUUCUGAAGCACGGAAAAUCAAAUAAAAUUAAUAAAGCAGAAACUGUACCCUUUAAUUAUAUAUGGACGUAUGUUUUUUUGUUUUCAAGUCUUAGAUGACAUGGGGACCUAAAAUUAUUGCUCCUAGUGGACUCUCGACCCCUCUCAAAUUUAAGUGGUCCAUUAUUAUUAACCACAUAUUUUAUGGACCAUGCAGCUGUGAGGUUUUAUCUCAAAAACCUUCGGUACAUUUCUCCCACAUGCCACAAUUGUAUAUUCACAAUUACGGCUGUUACGUCACAUCAUGCCACUUGCCUCACAUGCAACAAGUCUGUGUUUUGGGGAUUGCCGAGCUGCAUCAAUUCUGCCAAUGUCAAUUCUGCCCCUGGACUCUCUCAAAGCACAUUUAAAACCUAUGCGAACAUAUAUUAGAGUUUAUGAUGUAUGUAUCUAGAAAAUGCCAACACUAAUUUCGUAACAUGUAAAAAUUAUUAGAGAUUGGAAGUUUUUAUCAUUUUUUCUUCCAGUCUCUCCACCACUUAUUAAUACAGAUUACUCAUGUGAUGAGUUUACAAAACCUAUUUCUCUACUCUCGCAAAGACUAAACUUCUUCUCAAAAGACUAGAUCACUUUACCUCUAUCUCUGUGAAAUGUAAAAAGUUGAAACUUUAAUGUCAAACCUCGACAAAGUGUUCUACUUUACAAACUUCUUGUGUCUACCAAUUUGUACUAAAAUUAAUUUAUCUACGGUGCUCAGCUUCAUCGUAUGUGUGUCCUUAAUUUUAGUGGAAAUUGGAAGUUUCCAUAAUUUUUGCUUUAAGUCACUCUUCUGAAGGAAGUUGAGGUUCCACUCCAUAAUCCCAAAUGUCAGGUUGACUUAUGGCAAACAAUGUAAAUAUGUAGGAGUACUAUGACCUUUUAUAGCAUUUUUAGUUUGAAUUUGGGUUUUAUACAUAGAUUUCAAAAUUAAUAGGUUGAUGCCUAGGAAAUAGAAAUUGUAAGGGCCUAUAUUAGAGUAGCCCUCUUAAAAAUAAUAUUAAUUAAUGAAUAUUUGUUCUUCUUGUUGUUUUGAAGUAGUGGUGGGAGGCAGACCAACAAAAAAAAUAUAGUGAAGGCUUAUAAGAGCAUUUACAAUCAUGCUCCCUAUUUUUUAGUUAAAAUUUAGCUAAAAAUAGAAAAAAGUUAUUAUAGGAGCUCUUUAUAAAAUUUGAAUUCCAAUCGUACUCCCUAAUUUAGGGAGUCAUAAAUAUUAUAGUUAUUUUUUAAUUCAAUUUGAUUUUGGUUAAUCUCUAUAAAUAAAUAAAAAUAUGAAAAAAUAGUUAGCAUUAAUUAAAAGUUUAAACUAUGCAUAAAACAAAGAAACAUUAAAUUAUAGGGAGCCACUAUGCCAAUAAUUGUAUCCUCUAAAUAUAUAGGGACAUAUUUUUUUUGUUUUCAUGACAUGUGGCCCUAAAAUUAUUGUUCCUAGCGGGCUCUCCAACCCCUCUCGAUUGAAAACCAAUUGUGUAAAUCUUCAAUCUUGAAUGAUGCACCUAAAACUCAAGUGUCCCAGGCCAAUUAUUGCUCUCAUACCACGUGUUGUAAUAAACAUCCAUCCAUUCUAAAGGAAAGAUAACCAUCGAUAUUAUCUCAAAUUUAACCACUUAAGUUCAUUAUGAUUAACUAUGUAUCUUAUGAACCAAUCCAAUCGUGAGGUUUUAUACCCAAUUAGAUCGACCAAUACAAAGUUCACACGUGGAUUGAAAAGCACUAUCAAUAGGGGAGUGUUCGGCACCCUUUACUGCCGAGCGCAACACAAGAUCCCUUGCAUGCCCUCACUAAGUUGAGCCCAACUAUUUUUUAGCAUUAACAAUAUAUAUAGAUUGAAAAAAUAAAAUAAAAAUCAAUCUAUUAUCAUAUAUUUUAUAAAAUACAUAUUAUUGCUCCAUCCUCCAUACACUUGCAUGCCCUCUUACAAAGUGUGAAGUAGAUUUUUUGUGCUCCAACUCAUUGACUAGGGCUGAAACAUGGUUAGUUAGAUUUAUAAGAUCUUUUGUUUUUUGGGAAUUUUCUGAAGCAAGGAAAAUCAAAUAAAAUUAAUAAAGCAGAAACUGUACCCUUUAAUUAUAUAUGGACAUAUGUUUUUUUGUUUUUUUGCUCUCGACCCCUCUCAAAUUUAAGUGGUCCAUUAUUGUUAACCACAUAUUUUAUGGACCAUCCAGCUUCGGUACAUUUCAAAAAGCUUCGGUACAUUUCUCCCACAUGACACAAUUGUAUAUUCACAAUUACUUCUGGGUACCCCUCAUCAGUCGUCUAUAAAAUGGUGAAGCCAGUUGCUACUGUUACCAUAAGAGCCAGCUCCGACUUUCUUUAAUUUCUUGCUACAUCUGUUGCUAAGUUAAUUUCAGUCCUAAUGGGGUUUCAUCUCCCACUCAUCUUUGCUAUUCUCAGUGUAAGCUCUGCAAUUUGAUUAACUUUUCCAUUCUCUCUCAUUGUACUCUAUAUAUAUAAAUGAAAGUUUUGUGUUCCUAUAAUUCUCUCCGAUUUUAUUUAGUACGUACUUAAGUGUCGUCCACUAAUUAAUUACACUUUGUGAGAUUUGAUUUUAAUUAGAGUUCGAAUUAAUGUUGCAGCUAGCAGCGGUUGCACUGGCAAACAAUGCUGCUCAACCAGCACCUCAACUUUACUGGAACUCCGUCCUGCCAAACACACAGAUGCCAAGAUCUAUCAGUGAACUUCUGCAUCCUGGUUUGUGUUCAGCUCUUUAUAAUCUUAGAUAUCUCUUCUACCUGCCAUUUUACUAAAAUAUGUUCGACCACAUAUUUAUCAGCUAACUACUGUGAUUACAAGAAUGACACUUAUUUUCCAAUAUAAUUUGCAGACUCCACAAAUGAAGAAAAGAGCAAACCUGAAAUUUUCCCAUUGCAGGGCAAUAGAGUUUACACUCAAAGCCAUUAUAAAAAACGUCCUCCUCCUCCAUCUGACGAGGGCAAACCUGAAACUUUCCCAUUGGGCAAUAGCCAUUACACUCAAACCCGUUAUAAAAAACGUCCUCCUCCUCCAUCUGACGAGGGCAAACCUGAAAAUUUCCCAUUGGGCAAUAGCCAUUACACUCAAACCCGUUAUAAAAAACGUCCUCCUCCUCCAUCCGACGAGGGCAAACCUGAAAAUUUCCCAUUGGCCAAUAGCUUUUACACUCAAACCCGUUAUAAAAAACGUCCUCCUCCUCCAUCUGACGAGGGCAAACCUGAAAAUUUCCCAUUGGCCAAUAGCUUUUACACUCAAAGCCAUUAUAAAAAACGUCCUCCUCCUCCAUCUGACGAGGGCAAACCUGAAAAUUUCCCAUUGGCACGUUCUCCUCCAUCUGACAGUCAACUAAAGCAUUACAAAGACUUAGCUAUUUUCUUCUUCGAGAAGGACAUGCGCCCGGGCACAACUAUGAAGUUCCAAUUCCCUAGAAAUUCAAACACGGCUACUUUCCUGCCACGCGAAAGUGCUCAAUCGAUCCCCUUCUCCUCUAAGAAACUACCAGAAAUUUUCAACCAUUUUUCAGUGAAGCCAACAUCUGAGGAAGCCAAAACAAUUAAGCAAACAAUCGAAGAGUGUGAAGCUCCAGGCCUUAAGGGAGAGGAAAAAUAUUGCGCCACAUCUUUAGAAUCAAUGGUUGAUUUUAGCACUUCGAAGCUUGGAACAAGAAACGUUGAAGCAAUCUCAACGGAGGUAUUGGAAGAAGGAGCCACCAAGUACAUGCACAACUAUACAACAAUGCCGGGACUGAAGAAGUUGGAAGGUGACAAAGUCGUUGUGUGUCAUAAGGAGAACUAUCCCUAUGCUGUGUUUCUCUGCCAUGCAAUAAAACAAACAGAAGCUUAUGUUCUCUCCCUGAAAGCCGAUGAUGGGAUGAAGGUGAAAGCAGUAACCAUCUGCCAUCUAGACACAUCAGAAUGGGACCCAGAGCAUUUGUCCUUCCAAAUCCUCAACGUUAAGCCCGGAACCACUCCCAUCUGCCAUUUCCUUACCACUGAUGCUAUUGCCUGGGUUCCAAAACACAAAUCUGCAUGAUCAUCACUUAGCACUGUACGUGUAAUAAGCUUGGUCGGGUUGCACCCUAGGCCUGCAUAAUUAUCUCCCUACUUAUUUCUGCCUCUUCAUCAUGCGGUGUAAGAUAUAUGAUGAGAUGAAGUUUUCUCUUGUAACUAUGUAGACUACUUCAACUUGUACUCAUAAUAAAGCACGCUGUUGGGGGGUUCUACUUAAUUUCGUUCUCUCCAAUGUUUGAGUGUUGAAUUGUUACGUUGGAAUAGGCUGCUAAUGCAUGUAGUUAGAGAAGCCUUCAUUUAUAUCAAAGUCCUCAAACUAUCAAGAAUUAAUGUAUCCAGAAACAUAUACCAAGACGCAAAACAACAUAUUUUCCAUUCUCUGUCUGUAACACCAAAGCAAACUUCCUUUAUCACAUCAUUUAAAGGAUCAAAUUCCAGUACUAAUCUAAUCCAUCAUGUAAAGCAUACAAGUGCCUACCUAAAUUUGUCCAUUGGAUAUAUAUGUCACUUUUUAUUUUUUGAUAGAGAUAUAAAUGUUGAAAAAAUUAGAGUACACAACUCUUAUAGACACUACUACGAUUUACUAUUUGCGCGACGGAAGUUUGCGCGACGAACAUUGUUUCGUCGCGCAAAAAGCACUAUUGCGACGAAAAAAAAAUACCGUAGCGCAAACAACAUAACACAAGCGCGACAAACAGUUUCGUCGCGCAAACAAUCUAUGCGCGACCAAUAUUAAUUUCGUCGCGCAAAGGUAGGGGAAAAAAACCCGGUUUUUUUUUUUUGGCGCCAUAAUCUUGCGCGACAACAACAAUCGUCGCGCAUGACAAUAUUGCGCGACAAUUCAAAGAAUUCGUCAGGUAAAGAUGGACAGAAAAUUGUCUCAUUUUUUUGGCGGUAAAAAACUUUGCGCGACGAAAUUUUUCGUCUCAAAAGACAACUUAGCGCGACGGAAAUAUGUACCGUCGCGUAAAAAAACGAGGGAUACUUAUUUUUGGCGCCAAAAUGCAGGGUGGAUAAAAAAAAUUUUGCGCGACGGAAUUACCUUCGUCGCGUAAAGUGUAAUGCCGGUGCUUUCUUGCGCGACGAAAUAAAUAAUUUGCGCGACGUAAUUUAAACCUUGCGCGACGAAAAGUAUUAUUUGCGCGACGAAAUUUUGUGCGACGAAUAAUAUGUUUCGUCGCACAAAAAAGCAGAUGUCGACAGGUAAUUGCGCGACGGAAAUGUUGUUUUGUGCGAUGGAAAAGUGGGUUUUCGCGACGGCAUUUUGCGCGACGGAUAUUGGUGUUCGUCGCGCAAAGUCCUUCUUCUUCAUAUUAGUAUCUGCCAUUGCAGAGGCAGAAUGCAGAAAUUGCAUUCUGCCUCUCUCUCACUCUCCCUGCCGCUGCUCUGCUGUGAAUUCAAUACGUUCAUUGGGUAUGUAUUUUUUGUCGUUAGUUUAAAUGUAUUAAUGUAAAUUCGUAGUAACGCUAUUAAUUUUGUUAUCGUUAGGGAUAUUUGUGAUUAGUGAUUGGUGGAGAACGAUUGAGAAGGUAUGUUAUUGUAAAAGUUUGUUUGUUAUGUUUGUAAUUUUUUUGUGAAGUUAUAUGUAUAUAAUGUUGUGAAAUUGUGCGUGACAUAGCACAAUGUGUUGUGAUGUACGAAGUUAAUUGAAAUUAACUUCGUACUUUUAUUUUUAUGUUUAGUAACACGUAGUUUCCCGUUCGAGAUUAGUUGGAUUUCGUGCAUGGAUGAGUAAUGCAUGACUGCGGUCCAAUUAAUUCUUGAAUUGUCCCAUUAUUUGGACAGUUUGGUAAUGCAUAGUGUUGUCACAUAAUCUUCGGCUACAGGAUUAGGUUUCGAUUGUGGAGAUUUCGGUGUCAUCUCGGUACGUUCUUCGAGUGGUACGUAGGUAUUUAUACCUAUGCCCACUUCAAGAACUGUGUCGAGAUGCUGCCGAAAUUAAUCCACGUCGAAAUCUAAUCUCAUGUAGCCGUAGGUUACGUGACAGGACUAUGCAUUCCCGAAUGGGAUAGGGCCCUUACCGGAGGCAUAAGGUGACAUUAUAACUUCGUAUGAAGUUGUUGUGAUUGUUGUGUCGUGAUUGUGGUUUCAUGAAUUAUGAGCAGAAGGUGGAUACAUAACCCGAAUAGAUGCGCAGACGAAUACUUGGAUGGAAUCGAGGAUUUUAUUGAGUUUGCACAUAGACACAACCCGGGUGCAAGUAGAAUCCGUUGUCCUUGUAGGAGGUGUAACAACACGUUGUGGGAGACAAUUGAAAAUGUUGGAUUUCAUUUAGUAAGGAAUGGAAUGAUUGAAACAUAUAGCAUUUGGAACCUUCACGGCGAACAUGUAGGCCAUGCUUCGUCUUCAAAUGCCCCAAGAGUGGACAAUGUUGAACCUAUUGUGGAUCCUAAUGAUCAAGUCAUGGGUAUUAUACAGGAUGCUUUUCCAUUCGCAUCGACCAACAUCAAUCAGGAAGGGGAAGAUAACGUGCCUACACCAAUAGACAGUGCGGAGUUUGAACAGUAUGAAAAACUGUUAAAAAAUGCCAACCAAGAGUUAUACCCGGGGUACGAGAGCUUUUCCGUUCUCACUUCUAUUGUGGAGCUAAUGCACGGAAAAAUAAAGUAUCGUAUGUCGAACUUGUGUUUCGAUUACUUUUUGGGGGUUUUCAAGAGAAUGCUUCCGACGGAUAAUUAUUUGCCGAAAGACCAGAAACAUGCACAGAAGGUGUUGCAUGGUCUUGGAUUGGGUUAUGAAAAAAUCCACGCUUGCAAAAACAAUUGCAUGUUAUUCUACAAAGAGCAUGAAACGUUGGAUACAUGCCCUAUAUGCAAUGAGUCGAGGUUCAAAAUGACAUCCCAGAAUAGAACGACUAAGAUACCACAAAAAGUCAUGCGUUAUCUGCCCCUUAAACCUGGGUUGCAGCGAUUGUAUAUGUCGACGCAUACUGCCACAGACAUGAGAUGGCAUAAGGAAAAACGGGUAGACGAUGAUGUGAUGCGGCAUCCUGCAGAUGGGGAGGCAUGGAAAGAGUUCGAUCGAACGUUCCCCGAGUUUGCUGCUGAUCCCCGAAAUGUAAGAUUGGGACUUGCCACUGACGGAUUCAAUCCGUAUGGGGUUCUAAACCAACACCACAGCACUUGGCCGAUUUUCGCAUUCCCAUAUAAUUUGCCGCCUUGGAAAUGCAUGAAAAAAGAAUACAUGAUGAUGACUGUUUUGAUAACUGAGGAUCCUGGCAGGUCAAUUGAUGUGUACUUAAGGCCUCUGGUUGAUGAGCUGAAAGAUUUAUGGACAAACGGUGUUCGCACGUACGAUAAAUCAACUGGGAGGAUGUUCACUUUGCGAGCAGCAAUUAUGUGGACUGUGAAUGAUUUUCCAGCAUAUGCAAUGGUUUCUGGGUGGAGCACAAAAGGUUAUAUGGCAUGUCAUGUAUGCAAGGAAGAUGUAACUUCUGGUUGGCACGCGGGAAAAGUUUGUUACCUUGGUCAUCGGAGAUGGUUGCCAUGGGACCACGAGUGGCGAGAAAAAGAUAAAGAGUUCAACGGGAACACAGAGCGUCGCCUCAGACCUGGAGAAUGGUCCGGUGAUGAGAUCUUGGAACAGCUGAACCGUUUGGAUUUUGGUCCGUUCGGAAAAACAAUUAGUCGGACCAGACCUUCUACACAUUUGAACUGGACGCACAAGCCUAUGUUUUUUGAGCUCCCAUAUUGGUCGAAACUGAAAUUGAGGCACAAUCUAGAUGUGAUGCAUGUUGAGAAAAAUGUAUUCGACACAUUGGUGGGCACGAUUCUAGAUAUCGAGGGGAAGACGAAGGACACGAUCAAAGCUCGUCUUGAUUUGGAAAGAAUGGGCAUACGAAGGGGUUUAUGGAUGAAUAGGGACAGUGAUAAAGCUAGAAGGGAUCUUGCAUUCUUUUCUAUGAAACCGAAUGACAAAAAGGAGUUUCUAAAGUUUGUAUCGUCUGUCAAAUUUCCCGAUGGGUAUGCUUCUAAUAUCGCACGUUGCGUGAAUGUCGAUGGGGGUAAAUUUACUGGACUUAAGAGCCAUGACUGCCAUGUUCCUGUGGGUAUUCGACACCUACUGCCGGAAGAUGUGGUGAAGCCAAUCAUGUUGUUAUCCAGAUUUUUUUCCCAACUGACGGCAAAAACAUUGCGAAGGACAGACAUGUUUCAGUUGCGCCAUGACAUUGUCCAAGUCCUAUGCAAGUUUGAGAUGAUAUUUCCUCCGGCUUUCUUUACAAGUAUGAUGCACGUAAUGGUUCACUUGCCAGAAGAGGCAUUGCUUGCUGGUCCUGUCAACUAUCGCUGGAUGUAUCCAAUAGAAAGGUAUAUAAUCUUUAUCAUUUGUGUAUGCAUCAUUAUCGACACUUUGCUAAUUUGUAUCAUAUCGUUUUAUUUUGGCAGGCUUCUCGGAGAGCUGAAAAAAAGUGUACGCAACAGGGCAAAGCCCGAAGGAUUAAUUAUAGAGGCUUGGGUUCAAUAUGAGUCGCUUACUUUCUGUGGAAUGUAUUUAAAAGAUGUGGAGACGGUUUUCAAUCGUCCUCAACGCAAUAAUGACGGAGGUAUGAGAAAUGAAAAACUUUUUGUUUUUGCCCAAAGCGCAUGACCAUUUGGAGAUCCUGGACGAGGAGAGUCGUUUUCUAGAAAUGACAUGGAGGUAGCGCAUUGGUUCGUACUGAACAAUUGUGAUGAGAUAAUGGCCUACUUAGAUGAGCAUGAACAGAUGAUGAAGCGAGAACAUCCAUCACAUUUGGUUGCCCGGAAACAUCGUGAAUUAUUUCCACAAUGGUUUUUGGAUUCUGUAAGUUAUAACUGUUUUGUAAUUGACAAAUAUAAAUUGUAGUAUUUAAUUUUGUCAGACUAACAUGUAAAUGAUUUUGUAUACUAUUAGGUGAAUAAAUUGAAAUCAUCGAAUUCCCCCACUUACAGUGAUGAGUUAUAUAACUUGGCGUUCGGCCCAAUUCGUGCUGAGUUGUUCUCGGGUUGUAAUGUUAACGGCGUCAAAUUUUUGGGGGCCGCACGAGAUGACAAGUUGUGUAUGCAAAACAGCGGUGUCCAUGUCCCAGGUGGAGGCGAAAGUACGGACAUUGAUUUCUAUGGCAAACUGACAACUGUCGUGCAAUUGCUUUAGAAAGAUCGAUACCAAGUCAUCAUGUUUAAGUGUCGAUGGUUCGAUACCAACCCAAAUAGGGCGGGAAGUGUUAAAAUCGACCAUGGAGUACUGUUUGUGAACAUGGCGUCCCAAAUUGUGUAUCUAGAUGACCCUAAAGCCGGGAGCGGGUGAAAAGUUGUGCAGAAGAUGGAUCAUAGGAACGUGUAUGAUAUACCAGAACUAGACCCAAGUGACAACGACGUCGACAAUGUGGCUGACCAACGUUUAGAAUCUUCAAUGGAAAAUGAUGCGGAAACACUUCGAGAUACAAAUGUUAUACAAGAACCGUUUCAAAUAGAAGGAGUGUCUUCAGUAGAAAUACCGAUUCAGUCAAUUACAAUUGACCUCGGUGAUCUUCCCCGAUACGAUGUUGCAGUGGGUCCUAGCAACGCCGAUGAUGCAGUUAUAGAGGAGGAGGAGGAAGAAGAUUGGGAGACCGAGAGUGAUGAUAGCGAUGAUAACGAAAGUUAUUAUAGUUCAGAUGAUGAAUAAUGAAUUUAUUUGUAAAGUUAUUAUGUUAGUGUAUUCAUUUUGUGUAAUACAAAUCUUUGAAUAUAUGUAGUUGUCCAUAUGUAGUUGUGUAUUCAUUCUCCAUAUUUCAUCACAAACUUCAUUGGAAUGUCAAUACUUUAGUCAAUACUUAUUACGACCCCAUGCUUGUCGAUUGGUUUUUAUUUAUUUAUUUAUUAAUGUCUUUAACUCUUCAAUUAUUAUUUUUUUCUUUUGAGAUAUAGUUAUUUCUUCAUGUUUAAACAAAAAAUAUAAGUUAUUUCUCCAAUAUUAUCUGUGUGCCACUUAUUUUUCUUCACUUUGGUUCAUGAUUAGUGGCAUCAAUCUAGUCAAACCGAUAAAAUCGGUCGAUUCAAAUCUUAAUUAUCAAUUUAGUUUGGUUUUGAUGAAGAAAUACAAAGCCUUUCCAAAAAAUACAGAGCAUAAAAAAUGAUGAAUACAAAACCUUUCCAAAAAAUACAAAGCAUACACAAUUUGAAUUAAAUGAGGAUUUAUGGCGCCAAAUCCUUGCGCAACGAUAAGGAGCCCUUCGUCGCGCAAAUAUAUAUUAGGUAACGUUAUAGUAUAAUAUAUACCCACAUAUAUAUUUAAAAUUGGCGAUCGAAGUAGUUCAUUGUAUUCAUAUGAAGUGUAGGACUGUAGCUGCAAAAAAUCAUCAACAUCGGAGUUAAAAUAACCGUUCAAUCAUCACUUUUUAUUUAGAACCGUCGAAAAGUUUUACCCCGUUACUUAAUCUCUGAAUGUUUUUUUUGUCUGAUUUUUGCUGUCUAUGAUCUCGAAGUAUAACAAAACAAGUUUGACGGCUGGAUGACUGAAGCUAGUUUCGUAGACUGCGUGUGCUAUCAAAAUCAUAUAUUCACCAAAAACUCAAAAAUUUGUUCAUACAUUUGUGAAAAUGUAACUUAAUGUUUAUGUGGUAUCCCCUAGUGUAAAAAUAUGAAAUUGAAGAUCAAAUUCAGUCAUUGUAUUCAUAUAGGGUCAACAAAUGUUGCUGUAAAAAAUGAUCAAAAUCGGAGUUAAAAUAACCGUUAAAUCAUGACUUUUCAUUUAUAACCGUCAAAAUAUUUUGUCCUGUUCCCUGAUAUCUGAAUGUUUGGUCGUUUUGAUUUUUGGCGUAUACGAUCUCCAAGUAUAAACAAAUAAGUUUGCCGGUUGGAUCAUUGAAACUAUUUUAGGGUUUAGGGUUUAGGGCUUAGGGCUUAGGGUUUAGGGUUUACAUUUUAGGGUUUAGGUUUUGCGCGACGAAUAAACAUUCCUUUCGUCGCACAAAGUGAAAGUGACAAAGAUUGCGCGACGGAUAAGUCUUCCAUUCGUCGCGUAAUCUGGGACACACAUUUCACCCCUCCAUACCCUUUGAACACUUAGUGAAAAUUUCAACCGAAUGAAAUUCUUGAACCCGCGCGACGAACAAAGCAAAUACGUCGCGUAAAGUGGACGUGAACAAGAUUGCGCGACGGAUAAAUCUGGUAUUCGUCGCGCAAUCUGGGCCACACUUUCACCCUUCCAUCCCCUUUGAACACUUAGUGAAAAUUUCAACCGAAUGAAAUUUUUGAACUCGCGCGACGAACAAAACAAAUACGUUGCGCAAAGUGGACGUGAACAAGAUUGUGCGACGGAUAAAUCUAAUUUUCGUCGCGCAAUCUGGGCCACGCUUUCACCCUUCCAUCCCCUUUGAACACUUAGUGAAAAUUUCAAGCGAAGCAAAAUCUUCAACUCGCGCGACGAAUAAAAGUAUUCGUCGCGCAAAAGGCACAGGCCUCUGAUUUUUGUUAGCAAACAUUGCGCGACGUUUACUGUCUUCGUCGCGCAAAAGGCACAGACCCUUCAGUUUCAGCCUCCCGCUAAACCCAAAAUUUUCCCAAAAUUUUGGCGGAACGACAGCGUUUUGCGCGACGAACAUAUGACUUUCCGUCGCACAAGGUUAACCUUGCUCGACGUUUACUAUCUUCGUCGCGCAAAAGCACAAACCCUUCAGUUUCAGCCUCCCGCUAAACCCUAAGUCCCAAAAUUUGGGCGGAACGACAUCGUUUUGCGCGACGAAUAUAUGAUUUUCCGUCGCGCAAGGAGAACCUUGCGCAACGUUUACUAUCUUCGUCGCGCAAAAUCACAGUUUCAGCCUCCCGCUAAACCCUAAAUCCCAAAAUUUUGGUGGAACAACAGCGUUUUGCGCGACGAACCAUGUAUUUUUCGUCGCGCAAAAGGCACAGACCCUAAUCCCCAUUCAAAAUUUGGCGUUCUGGGAGACCUUGCGCGACGGAUAUUUCAUCGCGCAAGAUUCAUUAAUACCAUUUUGCACGACGCAUUCUGUUCUUCGUCGCGCAAAGUCGAAUAAAUUUGCAGAAACGGCCCGAUGCCUCCUUCUUCCCCAUUUUCUGGUUUCUCUCCGUUUCUUCCUCUCUCUCCGCCGUCACCUUAGCCCUCUCUCUCUGCCAUCACCUCAGCCACCUCCGCUCGUUCCGUAGCCUCCCUGCCGUCACCGUCGAGCCUGCCGUCGCAAUUUCGUCAGUUUUUCCCGAUUCUUCGCCGGCCGAUUUCUCUCUCCUCCGGCCACCAUUUUCGACGCCUAAGGUAUGAUUUCUCGACUAUUUUUUGUGCUCUAGCUGAUGGUUGGUUAGGAUUUCUUGAAUUUUCGCUAUAGGAAAUAGGAAUUAAAACCCUAGGUUUUGGCCGCUUUGGGAAUUUCAAAUCCGGCCACUUCCGGCCAUUUUUCGGGGUAGGUCCGAGAACAAAAGUGGCUCCAAUUAAUGUUUUCAACCUAGGGUAGGAACCUUGGCCCUUAGUUUUUAGAAUUUUCCGACGAAUGUUAUCGCUUUGGACACCCACGCGCUGCCGGCGCGUGUGGUGGCGCGUGGGAUGUUGUGGCAGUGGGGCAUUGGGUCCCAGAGCAAUCCCCUGUUUGUCACGAGCGCGUAGGUUUGCUCGGAUUUGAAUUUGGUUAUCGUUUGAGUCUUGAUCGGAUUUCGGCUAUUGUGCGAUUUCCAGGUUUGAUAUGUUCGGACCGUUGGAUCGAACUCAAACUCACGUAGUUGUACCUUUGUGUUUCUACGAUCGUUUAGGAUUCGACCGAUCGUUGAUCGGUGUCCCGGAUACUUCGAAAUUCCAAACCCUAGGUGAAGCUAUGCUUUUAAUUAAUUAGUUUAAAUUCUUAAUGAAAUUAUAUGUGCAGAUGUCAGAUUUGAUUAGACGUGGUAGGUCGAUGAUGACUGCACCGAGUUCGGAUCCCCCUGCUCAGUCGGCAUAUGCUGCCACUGCUCCAGCUUUGAUGGAGCACGUGCUGGUUGGUCCCGGGGCGUCCCAGGCGCCUGCGUCAUCUGCGUCAUCCGUCGCGCAGCCAGCUAGUGCUAGGCGGCGGCACCGGCCCGCCGACACGACAUCGACCGACGGUACUGGUGCCUCGGGAUCACAGCCAGAUAUAACUACCAUUUUGUAUUGUUAAUUUUAUAUUGAAAUUUGACAAUGUUGUUUAUUUAACAUUAAUAUCUUUUUUCUUUGCAGCGAAGAAGAACACCUGAGGGCCGUGUCGUCAGCUGAAGACGGCGAAGGUCACCCGGGUGACCAACAGUCGUAUCAGCAUCGGAUACGACGAGCGCCAUCGGGCUGCACCGACGGCGGAGUUGCAUAGCUCCUUGGCCCACGACAUUGGCCACGUCGUGCGGACCCAUUGCCUGAUGCAAUGGAAGUCUUGGAGGGUCAUGCCUGACGAGAUCAAGGUGGAGGUUCGCGGCCAGUUGUCGGUAUGUACCUUACAUUUUCAUUAAUUUUCUUUAAAAUUGUGUAUAUUUCUAUUACUUAACGUAUCUAAUUAAUUGAUUGCAGACGAACUAUAACUUGGAGGAUCUCGACGAAGAGUCGUUGGCGUACGUCAACAGACUCUUCGCUGAGAGGUACAAGCAGUGGAAGAGCGACUUGCACCAUCAUUUUCAGGCCUUUGAUGAUCCGCAAGUCGCUCUUCAGGAGGGUUGCCCGAAGGAGCUUGAGGGGCGGGAGGAUAGUUGGGAGUGGCUCUGCGCUCAUUUUCAAGCGUCCGAAUAUGUGGUAUUUUUUUAAUAAUAUUUGUUUAAUUAUUACUUAUUUCUUAUUAAUGUUUAUUUCAUUUUUUUUAUUUCAUUAUUAUUUAAUUUGUUAUGUUUUAACUAAUACGUUUCAUUUUUUGUAUAACAGAAUAAGGCCCAAGUGAAUAAGGGUAAUAGGAAGAAGAAGACCCUUCUCCACCAUUCCGGCUCCAGGCCCUUUUCGUAUAGGAUGGAUGCCCGGCGACGGGUAAUAAUCACAUAAUUUAUAUUUCAUUUUUAAUGUCAUUUUUAUUAAUUUAUUUUUUUCAUACUAAUAUUUUUCUUCUCUUGUUCAAUUUAGGAGGGGUCCAAGUUCCCAGAGAUCGACGUCUUUGGUGACGUUUAUGUUCGACCCGGGAAUGAGUUGGCCGAGUCCCUUCAUGUAAGUAUUAUUUAAUUUUAAUUCUUAUGUUACGCAUUCAAUUUAUAUGCAUGUUUAAAUUUAUAUUUUAUGUUAUGUUCAACAGACGACGAUGGUGGAGAGGAGCCAGUUGGUUCUUCAGGAGUCCGCCUCCCAGCUUCCUCCCGAGACUCCGAUCGAGUCUGUGGCUCCUCCACAGGAUGCUGGAUUUCAGAUCUUGACGGAGACGUUGGAUCAGACUCUCGGGAGGAGGCCGGGGACAUAUUGUCGAGGGAUGGGGAAUGCCCGGCGGAGGGAACCUAGACCUCGUUCAUCGGCCCAGUCAAACAGUCAGGUGACUGCUUUGACAGCACAGGUGGCCGAGCUUCAGGGUCAGAUGUCGGUGAUUCUACAGUCCCUCGCACAGAGCGGCUUUCCAAUCCCGCAGUUUCGUGCGUCAACCUCCCAGCCCGUCCACCCCGAGUAUGCCCACCAGACCACUGCCCCGGUGGACGCCCAGACCUCCGAGCCGCAUACUGGCGACGACCCGAUUGAUUUUGCUUCAUUAUUUGAUUAGUGUAUUUAUUUUCAUCAUAAACAUUUAUUUUAUUUGUAAUACAUUUAUUUUAUUUUAUAACAAAAUUUUGUUCUAAUUUAUUUUUAUUGCAAUUUCAUUGUUUAAUCAAUAAAAAAACCAAUUUUAUUUAAAAAAAAUAAAAAUAAAUAAAAAACAAAAACAAAAAAAACAAAAAAAAAUUGUAAUAUUAUUUUUGCGCGACGGAAGACAUUUCGUCGCGCAAAACCACAUGUAACAAAAAAAAUUAAAAAAAUCAAUUUUUUAUUACUUUAAUUCUUGCGCGACGAAUACAUACGUCUCGCAAACAUUUUUUGCGCGACGAAAUGUUUCGUCGCGCAACAGCUUUUGCGCGACGACUGAAAUUUUCGUCGCCAAAUAGAUGAGCGACGAAAACUUUCUCAUCGCGCGAAUAGUUCUGCGACGAAUAUAUACGUCUCCCGGACUAGUUUUGCGCGACGAAUUAUUUUCGUCGCGCUAUUCGUUUCGUCGCGCAAAUAUACGUGCGCCGAAUACUUUAUCGUCGCGCAAAUAUUUAUGCGACGAACAGUUGUUUCGUCUCCACACCGUUGGUGCAACGAUGGUUUACCCGUCGCACAAUUAUGCGCGACGAAGUGUUGUACCUCGUCGCGCAAAGGCUUUCUUCACGAUCUUCGCGCGACGGAAGGUGCGCGACGAAUUUUUUGUCGCGCUGAAAUUAGGGCGACUAAAUAAGACUUUGCGCGACGUUUUGUUAUUCGUCGCGCAAAGAGUAAAAUGUAGUAGUGAGACUUGUUGGAGACAAAACAGGUAAACAAAUUACUUGUAUUAGACUCACAAAAUAUUACAACAAGACAACUCUCAAAGAAAAGACAAACUCUCACACUUCUCACAAGGACUACUUAACUUUAUAGCUUAUUGCAUAUAGCAUAUGCAAACACAAUUAGAACAUACCUACGUACACUAUGGGAACACUCGUGUAUAUUUCAACACAAGAAAACAUGUGCACCGUGCACGGUUCACAUGAAGUAAGAAAUGAAGAGGAAAUAAAGAAGAAGAAUACAAAAGAAAAUGGAGAUGAGAAAAAAAAAAAAACCGAAUAAUGAAAAAUGAAUUGACAAUUAUAUAUGGUUGACAUUAGAUCUAAUAUUAUAUGUAACAACUAUUGAUCUAAAAUAAACAUUAAAUCAAACAAUAAUUAAAAGAUUUGACAAUAUAAAAAUUUAUUGAGGACAAAAAAAGGCAAAAACUUAUGAAAAAUGGAAACAAUAAAUAUGAACUGAGUCAUCAACUCACCAUGGUAAGUUUGCUGACGUAUAAAAAUAGUCAAUGGACAUCGAAAAGUAAUUGGCUUACAUCAAAAAUUAAAAUCACGUGGGUUAUUCCUAAGAAACCUUAAUAUUUGCCUUCCAUUUGUUCCAGCAAAAUAAAAGUCAUUGCUACUUAUUGUAACCCCUUUUCCAAGCUUAUUAAUCAAAGUAGACACCUCACUGCUGUCACCUAGCCAAUUUUCAACAAUGUCAUACUUAACAAGCAACUCCACAUCCUUUGAGGUGUUCACAAAACGAUCCAUGAGACUAACAUAAUCACUUAUGUACGUCUCCUCGUAGUGGCAUUGUUCAAAUGCGAUGAGAUUUCUAAUUAAUACCUCUGUAUGAUCGCUUAUUUUCAAUCUUGGAAUUUCAAGAGUCCGGCCAGCAAAUCUAAUAAGGUAUUCAUUGAUCCCUCAUUCAACUUGAACCCUGCCCUGUGUAGCUCUGUGAUGCUGGGUGUGUUUAUAGUUAUGAGUUUCCCGUCAUUAGUUUUUAGGGUUAUUCGUUAUAUGAGUCCCUGAACUUAGACCCGAUUUGCAUUUUAGUCCCUCAAUUUCCAAAAUCGUUCCAGUGGUCCUUCAACUUUAGUUUCGUUAGGACAAAUGGUCCUGCCGUCAAAUGAUUAUAAAGUGGAAAAAACAAGAACAAAAAAGGAAGUGAGUUAAAUUUGCACCUGCUAUGUUCAAACGACAAAGUUCGUUUCCGUUUGGUCGAUUACAAGAGAAGCUCAAUGCAGCUUACUUGGUUCCUCUUGGUAGAUGGAAAUAUAAUUUUUCUCCUAAUAACAAAGGUUUAGUGCAAUCAAUGAUGGGCUGUAUAGAACAACUUUUUUGUUUUAUAUGUUUAUGUGAGACAAGUUUUGCCAGAUUGAAUUAAUGUCUUCUAGCUAUGUACCUUAUCUUUUUGCCGGGCCAUGAGUUGAAUGUAGAGGCAGAGCAUGGCCUUGGGUUUGUAAAAGACAAAAGACUGAACCAGACGUAAUUAUUUAGAUUUUGGAUCCAGUUCCACAUCCCAAAGAGAAAACCACAAGUUUGCAAGCAAGUUUGUCCAUAUUAACACUACGUAGAGUAUAGGCAGUGUGCUACUCAUCUCACUUUCUCAACCUACCCUAUAUUUGUCUAAAAGAGUUUCUAAUUUCGUGUACUGAUUCACUACUACAUUUUACACUUUGUGCGACGAAGAGAAUUUCGUCACGCAAAAUACAUUGGUCGCGCAAAGUUUAAAAAAAAUUUUAAAAAAAUAAAAAAUUCCCGCGUCCAAUUUUUGGUACUUGUCCAAAUUUUUUGAGUUUUGCGCGACGAAUACUAACAUCGCGCAAAUAUUUGCGCGACGAAAUAUUUUUUGUUUUAAAUUUUUUUAAUUUAAAAUAAACUAAUUUAAUAGUUUGCGCUACGAAAUAUUUUGUCGCGCAAGGUUUUUGACUUUUUGUUUUAUUAUUUCUUUAAUAUGAAUUUAUUUAUAUGAAUUUUUUGAAAUUUUUACUUUUUAAAUUUAAUUUAAUUGUAUGAUUUCUUUUUAAAAUUACUUUAAUUUAAAUUGAUAUUAAUUUUUACUUUUUAAAUUUAAUUUAAUUGUAUGAUUUUUUUUAAUUACUUUAAUUUAAAUUGACAUAUUCAAAAUAAAAUUACAUAUGAAAAAUAGUGAUUAAAUUAUCCAAUAAAUAUAUAUAUAUAUAUAAUAUUCAAAAUGUACACAUAAAUUAACAAAGCACAAUAAUAAAAUCCUAAUACAAGCGUAUUGUGGUGGUAGUGUCGGAGGAUAUGUUUUGAUAGCUUCCUAAUCCUCAACUUUAGCCGUCAAAGUCUCGAUGAUUCCCUACAAAAAAAAUAAAUAUGGUCAAAUAACCACAAACAAAAAAAAAAAAAAAAAAAAAGGCAUAAUCUCCCCUAAAAUUGUUAUACCACAAAUCCAACCCAAACUCCAAUCCCUCCCCUUUACUCAACCCCAAAACCCACACAAACUCAAAAUUAACUCCAAAAACACAUAUUAAUGAAAAAAAUUUAAAAUUUGGAGAGAAUAUACCUUUUGGCAAGAUUGAGAGUGAAUGAGAGGGAGAAGUGAGUGUGAGAGAAUUAGAGAAGAUAGUGAUAGAGAGAUGAGAGAGAUGAGAGAGUGAGUGAGAGAGAGUGAGAGAUAGUGAAGAGAGAGAUGAGAGAUUAAGUGAGAGGAGUGAGUGAGAGAAAUGGUGGGAUUUGGGGAGAGGGAAAGAGAAAGGAGAGGUAAGAGUAGAGAAAGGCAUUGAGAAAAUGGUGGAUGAGUUAUUUCGGUUUUAAAAACCGUAUCACUUUGCGUGACGAAAAAUAUUGUUGGUCGCGCAAAGGUUUGCGCGACGAAAAAUAUUGGAAUAUUGAUCGCGCAAACUUUUGAGCGACGAAACAUAUUGGUCGCGCAAAGUCUAAAAAAAUUAUUUAAAAAAAAUAAAAAUCCCCGCGUCCCAUUUUUGGUACCCGCCAAAAUUUUUAAAUUUUUGCGCGACGAAUAUAGGAAUAUUGAUCGCGCAAAGUCUAAAAAAAUUAUUUAAAAAAAUAAAAAUCCCCGCGUCCCAUUUUUGGUACCCGCCAAAAUUUUUAAAUUUUUGCGCGACGAAUAUAGGAAUAUUGGUCGCGCAAAGUCUAAAAAAAUUAUUUAAAAAAAUAAAAAUCCCCGCGUCCCAUUUUUGGUACCCGCCAAAAUUUUUCAAUUUUUGCGCGACGAAAAAUACAUAUUGGUCGCGCAAAGUCUAAAAAAAUUAUUUAAAAAAAUAAAAAUCCCCGCGUCCCAUUUUUGGUACCCGCCAAAAUUUUUAAAUUUUUGCGCGACGAAAAAUACAUACUGGUCGCGCAAAGUCUAAAAAAAUUCCCGCGUCCGAUUUUUGGUACCCGCCCAAAUUUUUGCGAGACGAAAAAUAUAUAUUGGUCGCGCAAAGUUUUGAGCGACAAAAAAUAUUGGUCGCGCAAAGUCUAAAAUUUUUUUAUUUUUUUUUUAAAAUCCAGCGUCCCAUUUUUGGUACCCGUCCAAAUUUUUAGAGUUUUGCGCGACAAACUGUUGGUUGCGCAAACUUUUGAGAGACGAAAAAUUGGUUCGUAACACAAUAUUUAUAAAAAUAAUUGUUAUGAAUAAUAAAAAUAAAAUUAUUUUAUUUUACAAUUUAAAAUAUAAAUAAGGUUAAAGCUGCUUAAGAAAUAUAUAUACUAUUCAAUUUCUUAAGUGUUAUACGUACAAAAUAAAUAAAUUUAAAGGUACUUAAUAAAUAAAUAUAUAUACACACACCAUUCAACGAUCCAACCGUCAGACUUAUUUGUAUAUACUUCAAGAUCGUAUACCCCAAAAAUCACAAAAAACAAACAUUUAGAGAUCUAGUAACGAGACAAAACUUUUCGAUGGUUAUAAAUGAAAAAUUACGAUUUAACGGUUAUUUUAACUCCGAUUUUGAUGAUUUUUUUUUACAGCUACACUCCUUGACCAUAUAUGAAUACAAUGACUGAAUUUGAUCUUCAAUUUAAAAUAUUUACACUAGUGGAUACCACAAAAUCUUAUGUUAUAUCUAACGAACGUAUAAAUAACCUCUUAAUUGUUAGUGAAUAUAUUGUUUUGAUGGCAUAUGCAUUCACCAAAACUAGUUUCAACGAUCCAACCAUCAAACUUGUUUGUUUAUACUUCGAGAUCAUAUACGCCAAAAAUCAGAAAAAAUAAACAUUCAGAGAUCAAGUAAUGGGACAAAAAUUUUCGACGGUUAUAAUGAAAAAUCACGAUUUAACGGUUAUUUUAACUCCGAUUUUGAUGAUUUUUUACAGCUACACUCCUUGACCCUAUAUGAAUACAAUGACUGAAUUUGAUCUUCAAUUUAAAAUAUUUACACUAGUGUAUACCACAAAAUCUUAUGUUAUAUUUAACGAACGUAUAAAUAAACUCUUAAUUGUUAGUGAAUAUAUUGUUUUGAUGGCAUAUGCAUUCACCAAAACUAGUUUCAACGAUCCAACCGUCAAACUUGUUUGUUUAUACUUCGAGAUCAUAUACGCCAAAAAUCGGAAAAAAUAAACAUUCAGAGAUCAAGUAAUGGGACAAAACUUUUCGACGGUUAUAAUGAAAAAUCACGAUUUAACGGUUAUUUUAACUCCGAUUUUGAUGAUUUUUUACAGCUACACUCCUUGAACCUAUAUGAAUACAAUGACUGAAUUUGAUCUUCAAUUUAAAAUAUUUACACUAGUGGAUACCACAAAAUCUUAUGUUAUAUUUAACGAACGUAUAAAUAAACUCUUAAUUGUUAGUGAAUAUAUUGUUUUGAUGGCAUAUGCAUUUACCAAAACUAGUUUCAACGAUCCAACCGUCAACCUUGUUUGUUUAUACUUCGAGAUCAUAUACGCCAAAAAUCGGAAAAAAUAAACAUUCAGAGAUCAAGUAAUGAGACAAAACUUUUCGACGGUUAUAAUGAAAAAUCACGAUUUAACGGUUAUUUUAACUCCGAUUUUGAUGAUUUUUUACAGCUACACUCCUUGACCCUAUAUGAAUACAAUGAACUAAUUCGAUCGUCAAUUUAAAAUAUAUAUUUUCUAACAAAAACCCAAUCUGAACAACAAUAAUAUAUUUUUCUAACAAAAAUCCGAUCCGAUCUAAAAUAAUAAAUUUAAAGCUACUUAAUAAAUAUAUAUACUGUUUAAUUUCUUAAGUGUUAUGCAUACAAAAUAAAAAACAAAAAUAAAUUAGUAUAGGCGACAAAAUGUUUGGAUUACGUCAUGCAAAGAUUUUAAAAUAUAUAUAUAUAUUAUUUUUAUAAGGACUUUGCGCGACGAAGUUCAUUGUUUCGUCGCGCAAAGUCACUUUGAGCGACGAUGUAUUGUUGUCGCGCAAAAGUUUGUCGCGCAAAGUUACUUUGCGCGACGAAUUUUUUUUCAUCGCUCAAAAUUUGGUCGCGCAAGACUUUGAGUGACGAUGUAUUGUCGUCGCGCAAAAGUUUGUCGCGCGAAGUGACUUUGCGCUACGAAUUGUUUUUCGUCACGCAAAAUUUGGUCGCGCAAGACUUUGAGCGACGAAGUUUUGAGUUUCGUCGCGCAAAGUGACUUUGAGCGACGAAUAGUUUUUCGUCGCGCAAAAUUUGGUCGCGCAAGGGGUUUUUUUUUACUAGUAUGAGUUUUAUAUACAAUUUAUAACAAUAUUUUCAGGCAAAAAAAUGUCUUGGCAAGAAAAUGUACAAUUUGUUACGUACUUAACUGGAACGAUUACCUUCAAAUUCCUAUGGCCAAUUACCUUCUUUUUUCUUCCUUUUUUUUUUUUUUUUUUUUUUGGUUGUUGUUGUUCUUUUGAUCAAGUUGCAUAUUCCAAAGAACGAAAACCAGUACAGGCUCUUUUCCAAUGCAAGCUCUUUUCCCAUGUUUCCCUCUGUUUUUCUCCUAUUUUUCUUAUAUGGAAGUGAUUAAAAUACACCUCUAAGCUUGUUUUGCGUUUGGUAACCGACUGUAAAAGCUCAAUGCAGAUAGUUUGAGGUAGAAUUUUCUCCAAUUUUACUAGCACAGUGAUAAGCUAUACUAUAUGUAACAACAAAUUGCUUUAAUAAUGAUAAUGAAAAAAGUGUGAUCCAUCGAAUAUUUGCGGGGUUUUGUUCCAAGUCAACACAUCAAAUUCUUUUACACCAUGAAAUUAAAAAAAAUUUAUUCAACCAUCUCGACCUUAUGCUCGAUCAUUUUGCACAAGCAACCGUCCACGUACCCCAAUAAUUUAAAAGGGCUGAUGAUCUUUAAUUUGGCGAAAGCUUCUAUCUACUUCUACCGCGCUAUAUAUGAGCUAUGCAAUUGUGACGGUGUUACAUGACGUCACAAUGUCGUAGGGAUAAAAAAAUAAUAGUCAUGGUUUCUUAUUAAUGUUAAUACAGGCAUAGCAAAAAGCUUGUAUUUCUAGUGGUUAAGAACAAUUACCCAUGCACUUGAGAUAUUAUGUGCUUAAAUCCCCUCUUCCCCAAUAUUUCUUGUAUAAAAAUAAAAAUAAAAAUAAAAAUAAUAAAGAUAUUGAUAUUGUAUUCUAUAAAGUGUUGGACAUGUUUUAUACCCCUUUACUGCAAAUUACAGUUUGACACAUGUACAAAAAUAAUAGGUAAGUGUUGGACAUCAAGAGUACUUACAUAUAGGUUUAAUAGGUAAGUUUUGAAUAUUUCUGUCUUUAGCUUUAAUUAUUGAAAAUCAACCUAUUAUCAUAUUAAAGACUUAUCCAUGUUCAACGUACAUUCUCUUAUUUUUCUCUCAUUGAAGUAAAUACAAAACUAAGCACAUAGUGGAAAAGUAGGUCACGAUUAGGGGUGGGUUUGGUCUGGGUUGGUUCAGUUUUGGGCUCAACCCGAACACCGAACCGUAGACCUCGAUUUGGCUAUUUUGGAAACCAAAACUAAACCAUAAUUAAUGAAAACCGACCACUUCAAUUACCUUCUGGUCUUCCAACCAGAAGAAAACUCAAAACUUUAACCAUACCAAGUGCAACAGAAUUACACCAGGCUGGAGUCAAGUUUAUGAUGGUUAAAGAUAAAAACUUAUUUGACAUACAAUUUGAGAAUGGAAUCCUCAAAAUUCCACACCUGCGAAUACAGGGUUAAACAGAAAUUUUCUUCCGCAAUUUUAUUGCCUAUGAGCAGUGUGAGCUCCAUGAUCAUUACAUCAACAACUAUGUCUUCGUCAUGGACCGCCUGGUCGACAGUGCCAGGGAUGUGGAAUUGCUUGUGAAGAGUGGAAUUCUUGAAUCCAUGCUACCGGACAGCGAGGCAGCAGGGGAAUUUAUUAAUUCUCUUGACUUGGGGCCUAUUUUAGGCAAGCUUGAAACAAGACUAUUUCAGUUCACCAUGGGCUGGCCUGUCUAUUAUUGUAGCCGCUAUACUAGUUGUGCUCACAUUUAUUCAAACAGUGUGCUCCGUAAUGGCGCUGUAGGUUCUUCAUUUCCUCAAUUUCAUGUUUAGUGGUUGCAGAUUUGUUGCUCAUGUACGUGUUUAUCUAAAGUUAAAUAAGAGUGAUUGACUGAUAGUCUGUUAGUUUGUUUUUCUGGGGUUUUUCCCCUGUUCGUCAAAAAAGAAAAAGAGAAAGAGUGAUUGCUUGUGCCUGUUUGGGCCUAAUUUGACACACCCAAUCCAAAAUCAAAAAGUCCAUGUCAAUUUUGGACAGCCACCAGCAUUCCCUUUGUAAUUAGGCCAAAAACUGCACACCCAACCUAGCACUGGAGCCUAGAACAAACAAGGUAAACUCAGGACCCAAGCAGUUUGAUUUUUUCAUUUAAAUUGGAAUCAAGGGCCCCAAGUCAAAAAAGCCCAAGCCCAAGGCAGAUUUUUUACCAAAAAGACCCAAGGAAGCCCAGUGCAUGCGAAUUGCUUAGCCCACAAUCCCAAAACUCAAAACUAAGUUUGGCAUGAUUAAAUAAAGAUAGAGAGAAGCCCAAAAUUGAAGAAACCCAAAACAGUUUUAUCAAAAUUGUCAGCUCUCUACCCAAGACCUAAAAAGGGUCAAAAAUACCACUAUUGGCAAAAUUGACGCACUCAGCCUUGGAUCACAAAGAAAUCCACGUGACUAUUUGACUUUGAGAAGUCAACAAUUUCAACUAGUCACAAGAGAAGUUGAUUGGAAUUAAUGUAGGCAGGUCAUUACAGAAAAGACUUCUUUGAAACUCUGUAGCCAAAAGAUCAAAAUCCCUUUCUAUAUAAUUCUGCAUCAGAGUAGGUGGUCUUUCCAAGAGAUAAGCAGACUACGUUUUCAAGAGAUAAGUAGAGAAUGAGGGAGUUGUUCAACAAGAAAAGCAAACUAACCAUCAUGAUAGGUUGUGUUCUUUCUCUCUACAAAAAACAAUAGGGAACAAAGAAGAGUUGGUUUUUCUUUCAGAAAAAGGAAGGAAAAGACCUACAUGAAAACUAAUUAUUGAUGGUUCUUCUCUGCCAGAACAGAUAACUUCUCAUUUUCUUUGACAUUUAAAAAUGAAAGGUCUCGCUUUUACAAAAUCUGCCGCCCAUUAUUUAAAGAUUAGAAAACCCACUCCAGCAUUUCCUAUAAAUAUGAGAGGAGGUGAUGUCACAUCACGGGAUUGGCUCUGCCGUAGCACGAUAUUGUCCACUUUGCGCCCCCCUCUCUACCCUCACGGUUUUAUUUUUGGGAACUCACGAGCAACUUCCCAGUGGGUCACUCAUCUUGGGAUUGCUCUAGCCCCCAGCUCGCUUAACUUCGGAGUUCCCAUGACUCCGAAGCCAAUGAGCUCCCAAAAGGCCUCGUGUUAGAUGGAGGCGGGCAUGUACAUAUAAGGCACAUCACCUCCUCUCCGUUGGUCGAUGUGGGAUGUUACAGGUGAACAUAUCAAAGGACAGCCAAAAAAUCAAUCAAAGACAAAAACUCAAAAUGAUCACUUGAUCUCAAAAGCCUUCAAAACACUGAAGCAAGCAAAGCUCAUUGAGCCACAACGAACAAGUCAGCUAGAAUUCAGAAUCUUUAGAGUCAGUUCAGUUUCAGAGAAAUAAUCAAAGAAAGCGAGAUCUCUCUCGUUACAAAUUUGGUUCAGCUUAAAGCCAAAACAAGCAGAGUUCAGGUUCUUACAAAUAUGAAAACCUCAAUAAAUUUAUGGAGAGCCCUGAUCAAGCAAAACAGGUACUACAGUGCAGUUCUAGCUUAGUAAUAAUCAAAUCCACCCACUUCUGCCCCUUCCAGAUUGAGAAGGUCCCAAUUCUGCCCAUUCAAAAAGCCUUCCAAGACUUGAAAUAGAUUAAAGCUCUGCCAAACUCAAAUGUUGGAAUCAAUUCGCAGCUGAAACAUGACAGUUGAAGGUGUUGAUAGUCCAGUCCAGCACAGACAUACCCAGUCUAGCCCAGAUCAGAAGCAUUCACCGAGGCAGAAAUUGAAGUCCAAAGCUCUUUUUGUCUUUUUAGAGUUGGUCUUCCUUUUCUGAGCUUUGUAAAAGGCAAUUCUGCCUAAAACAGUUCACUUUCUUAUCAUUUAUUCUGGCCAGAACUACCAGUUUUGUACUGUGAAAAAUUAUGAAGUCCUCACCAGUCUAAGGCAAGAAAAGAACUUACUUGGGAGAUAUUCCUCACCAAAUUCACAACCGUUUGUUUAGAAAUCAGUAACUUGGUGUAACGACCCGGUCCUAAAUAAAUUGGUAAUUAUUAAUUUAUUCAGAUAAAAGACCAUUUUGCCCAUAGAAUAUUUUAAUAGGUUUACAUGUUGACCCGGGAGGCUUCGGUGAAAUUGUUACAUCUCGGUCCGAAAAAGUGUUAAAAUAAUUAAAGUAGAGUGCUGCUAAAAGAACCCUAAAAUUAACUGAGUACACCCUAUGAUCUAAGUACACCCUAAUAUUUUAAUUAAAAUAUAAAAUUAACUAAGUACACCCUAUAAAACUAUCAAAAAUAACACUGAUACACCCUAAUACUUGUAGCAUUAUUUUAUAGUUGAUUAUUUUAAUAGUGUUUAUAAAUCUUUGACUUUUCAUAUGGAUUUAUGCUUCUACUAAAAUUGUUGCCACUUUUUUUCCAAUUCCAAGUUCUUGCAAUCACCACAUCUUUCGUUAAAAACACAAUAGGACAAGCAAUCUCUUGAUUAGGGUUGAAUAUGGUUAGUAGGGUGUACUUAUUAAUAUUAUAUUUGUUUCACAAUUCCAUAUAUCCUUUUUGGUCAUUUUAUAUUAGGGUAAACCAGUAAUUCAAUAUAUACUUUUAUAGUAGGGUGUACUCAGUUAAUUUUAGGGUUCGUUUAGCAGCACUCUUAAAGUAAGAGAGAAUAAAAUGAAAUAAACAUUAAAAUAAAAUGAUUUGAAUUAAUUAAGGUUUUUGAGAAAUUAAAAUAUUAUUUAAUAUUAUAAGGGGAAAAAGAUCAUUUUAAGUUUGGGAAGGAAUUUGGAAAUUCCAAUUGUACCGUUGUGUAGAGCAUGUCGAAACGAGUCCGUAGACACGUAGUGGACUCGAAUCGUAGUUAUAACGGAGAAAUGGCGAUCAAAAGAAGUUCAGUGGCAUAGCCAUAAAUAUUUCGAAGUUCAGUUUUUUUAAAACCCAAAUUUCUUCUCUCUGGGGAGUGGGAGAGCCAACUUCAAAUGGUGAUUUCUCCCAACUCCGACCACCACACUUCCCUCUUCCUUCAGUUUUGGCAUCAUGAUGGGUUCCAUCCCGGAAUGACACAUUUUCGACGCUAAGGACGUCACAAAUGGUAUUUGAGAUGCUUUGUAAAUUUGUAACCAUGGAAAACACAAUGAACUUUAUGUUCGGAGUUGCAAGAGAACAUUAAGGGGAAUAUGGAGAGUGGGAAAAUAGUAAUAAGUGGAGAUCUGUAUGCUUACUUACUACUGAACUUCCGUCGUGGUGGUUAGUAUGAAAAAGUGUUAGAGAUUAUAGAUUUUAUGGAGGAACAUGGUUGUACACUGAUAAGUAGUCGGUAGGAGUUGAUUUAAGUUCCAAGAGAAAUUCAUUAUGAACUGGGAUGAAUUACUGCAAGAUUCUUGCUGUUUUGAAGUUAUUGAUUUUAGGGGCAUCACCUCUGAAUGAUCAUAAUAACCAUGCGUGGGCUCUGCAUGAGGUUUCUUUGACAUUGUUUGAUUUUGUGUAUUGAUAAUUACACUUAGGGGUGUCACGUUUCUAGAAACGUGUCUAUCCAAAUUGUUGUAUCUCAAUAUCCUAUGGAAGGAAAGCUGAGAAGCUGAAAAUACUGGAUUUAUGGUGGUGAGAUAAAAAUUGUCAGGAACUUUCAAAAGUCAAAUUAUUUCACAAAGGGAAAUACUGGAGAGAAGUAUUAGAGAAUUUUCUUUGGAUAAGUUAUAUAGGAGUGGAGGAGUUGCGAGUUUAACCAAGGAGGGUUGUGACAAUUUAAAUUGAGAAGUAGUGGUGUUGGGUGAAGUAUUAUUUCAUUCGCGUGGGCUUGAAUGCCGCGAUUGACAGGAAUGGAACAUUAGGGUUCUUCUUCCUUGCUCUCUCACGCGAGCUCGCCAUAGAGAGUAUUUCUUGGCGUGGUACUGGCUUCGUCCGACCUCCGAUUACUGUGAUUUUUGAAAGGACCCGGCCCAAAUUUCUCAAAAUCCGAGGCGAAUCCUGUGAAAUUCCCGACAUCACUCCGAUGCCAGGCCCACUUACUAAAGACCGAGACUUUCUGCCGAACUUUCGGCAGAGUCUCCCCUAUAAAUUGGACAUUUUCCAAAACUACCACCUGCAUAAAACACAAUUUAUAUCCCCAACUGGCAGCAUGCACAAGAUAAUUUCAUGCAAAUCACAUAAUCGGCCUGCGGCCUUCAAAUAAUUCAAAACGAAACCACCAAGCACACUAUCAAAUUAAUUCCUACCUUAAACAAGGCAAACAAUAAAUUUAAAUAUGAAUUAUGACUACUAAAUUUCAACAUACGAGGUUUUAACCUCCUAACACAAUCACAUCUAUGUCCGCGGCUGCACCUAAUAACCUUAGGCUGCCUACGUACCUUCACUGAGGGAUCAAGCCACACGUAGUUCUUCCGUAAAACCCAAUUCCACACAUAGGCAAUACCUUUAUUCAUUUCUCUGUAUUUCACAUAAUCUCCCCAUACGCCAGUACUACCAUUGCCACGUAUGGGACUUGUCAACAAGCCGGAUAACCUACACCACGUGCGAUCUCAACAUAAUAUCACAUAAUCUCCUCAUACGCCGGUACAACCAGCGCCACGUAUGGGGCCUGUCAACACGCCGGAUAACCUACGCCACGUGCGACCUCAUCAUACUAUCACAUGAUCUCCCCAUACGCAGGUACAACCAACACCACGUAUGGGGCCUGUCUCAACGCCGGAUAACCUACGCCACGUGAGACCUGAACAUAAUAUCACAUAUCUCCUCAUACGCCGGUACAACCAAUGCCACGUAUGGGGCCUGUCAACACGCCGGAUAACCUACGCCACAUGCGACCUCAAUAUACUAUCACAAUAUCUCCCCAUACGCCGGUGCAACCAACGCCACAUAUAGGGUCUGUCUCAAAUUGGAUAACCUACGCCACGCUAGACCUCAACAUCAUAUCACAAUAUCUCCUCAUACGCCGGUACAACCAACGUCACGUAUGGGGUCUGUCCGCAUGCCGGAUAACCUACGCCAUGUGGGACCUAACUUUCACAGAGUGGUACUUGUAGUGUAACCAAAAUCUGGGGAGGUGCCUAAGGUAGUGCAUAUAGCACUUCAAACUGACAUUCUCUCACUUAUCUAAACUAAUACUAGAGGUCUUCCCAUUUUAAUGGUACCAGUCUAUAGUAGAUUGUAACGUAAUUUAAUCAUAAAAAUAAUAUUAUUUCUAGACCAACGAUUAUUCACAUAAACAUGAAUUUCAUAAUUUCACUAUUUAAAAUAAUAUCUAAAAGUUUCCUAUAAUACAAAUAAACACUCUAAAGAUCCCAACUUAGUCAACACAGCUCAACAAUGCUCAAGACCUGUCAUUAGGGUCAUUAUGAUCCUUCUAGGAAGGUAAAACUACCUCGAAAGACUCAAGGUCAACCAAGGGUCAAACCACCCACAAUUGGUCAAACGGGCCCACGGGGCCCACGACCUCCAAAUUCCAAUCCGAAGGUUCCUAUGGGAUCUACAAGGUAUAGGACACUCGUCUUGCAAGUUAAGCCUAGAUCGGAUGGUCAGAUCGCUCACGAUCGCACAAUCUGAUGGUUAAUAUAAAACAUAAACUUUAAAUUAUUUAAUCGGAACAUCCGGGGCUCCCGAUUCACGAUCUGUUCCUACACGAUCCUAGAAAUACAUAGAUUAACAUAUAUUAAAUUUGAGACCAUCCAACGGUCCUAACCUAUCGAACCCGGAUAACGCGCAAUAGGCGAUAUUCGUUCGAUAGUCAAACGACGUCCGAAUUGAGAUUUACGAAAUCCUACGCACUCGUGACAACCUAAGGAUCUCAUUGAGACAUAUUGCUAUCCCAAAACCGACCGAAAUCCAAUUCGAAAAUCGAGUUACUUACGUUAAGAAUCGACCGAAUCCUACCCAACAGGCAGCUAGAGCAUGAAAAGUAUGUGAGAAACCAUACCUCACUCGUCGAAAUCAGUGGCCAAAGGAGGGAGAUCGACGAUAGAGAAGUUCGGACGAACUGACCGCUUCUUCUCCAUUUUUCAGCGAAACCACGGUAGCUGGUGGCGGGACCUAGCUGGGGUUGGAAGAGGAUGACGCCCCGGUCAUUUUGGUAUCGGCCUCGUGGUCAUCGGUGGCCGGAUGAGAAAACAGCCGGCGAAAAUGUGACCGGCUGCCGUUGCGCACGCGAGAGAGACCACGAGAGAGAGAGAGAGAGAGAGAGAGAGAGAAAUCUGAUUGUGCCACUGAGAUUCUUUUGACCAUAUCUCUCUCGUUACAACUCCGAUUCAAGCCCACCACGUGUCUACGGACUCAUCUCGGUACGACCUAUCCAAAAAUACCAAUCACUACCCCAAAUACUUUUUGGAUCAGAAAGUGACCAAAUUACCCCUACCUCAAUGGUAACUUUGUAAUUUCACUUAAAUAAUUUAAAUAAGGGAUUAAAUUUGGAGUCGGGGUGUUACAAUUUUUGUUGCUAAAUGUUGUCAUCAUUUCUCCUCUACAUCACUCAGUGAUCAUUCACUCCCAUUUCUCUAGUUUACACGGUGAAUUUUAUUUCUAAAAUUUCUUAAAAUUCCGGCCACUGUGAGUUUGACCAGCGACUUGGGUUACUUUUGCCCAUCUUUUUGGAAAUGGAACCGAUUUGAGGAAGAUUAGGAGGAAAGAUACAUAGGCCGCUGAGGCAGAAGUAAAGCCGGAGCUUUACCAUAGACAGAAGUUGUUUUAGAAGUCCUGGAAGAUUGUGAACAGGAAUUGGAAGUUUGCAUGGGGUGAUAGGAUUUUUAGUACUUGUGCAAACAGUGUUAAAAAUCACAUAAAAUACUUGCAAGAAUACAAGGCUAUUGUAGUCUAGAUGCUCAUGCAAGGUCGUUUUCCUCAAGGACUAAUUAGCAAUUUAUGUAAAAAUAAAUUCCAAUUACUACUUAAAAUAAAAAGUCAAGAAAGAUGAUUAUAAAUUUGGUUGAUUCUAAAAAACAAAUAUUAAACAAAAACAAAUACGAUUGAAAGAAAGAGUUUUGAAUAUCAAUUUAUAAAAACACUAGGGUUUCACCAUCACCUAGCAAUCCUAUGAACUUUUACCAAUUACUUAUGAUUUGCACAUGCCACUUUGAAGGUUAGGUUUUCCUAAUGUAUAUUCUACUUAGAACCUCCAACACAGAAUGUAUAUCCAACAUGCAACCCGUCCGGACGUUCGGAUCAAAUCUGAACAUGAAAGACUCAUUAAGUUUUGUGAAAACCCUUUGAAAAACCAUGCAACCCUUAAGACGUGGUGUUCAUCUUAAGUGAAAUUACAAUUAUUAAUCAGAAGAAGCUAGCAUCAAUUUCAGGGAACCUUCCGACCAAAAUUGCAUCCAAUUACUUUUCUAAAGAUCCUAAUGGUGAUCAGGCAUUAAGACAAUUAGAUAGUUUAAAACAGUGAUUAACAAUUCAAAAUACGCAUGCACUCAUCAUAAGCAAUUAAAUAAAAAUCACAUAUUCAUGCUAAGGUUCAAGGCUUCACCCUAGCAAAAGAAAUUUAGUUACGCAUACUCAUAAUUGAAAUCCAAGAAAAUAUCAUUAAGAAGAAAAGAACGAAAACACCUGAAAGUUGUGAAAACCCAAAACCCUAGCAAUUGCUCUCCACAAUGCAAAGUUCAAAAGUGAAAAGGGAGUCCUCCAUUCCUUGUGAGAAAGAGCUUAAAUACCCCUUAAAACCUAGCUGCCAAUGUACAGCUUUUCUAUCCCCACAAGGAAACUAAUUAAAAUAAAAUAAUACUAGGAAAUAAAGUCCAAAUUGGAAUAGGAGAAUCUGCUCAAAAUCUGCCCAGCCACGUUUUGGCCCCAAAUCUCCUCCAAAUCUGGCCCAAGAUAGCUUGUUUUAAAGAUAAAAAAUGUUCUGAACACUUCUUUAGAAGGCCACGAACCCAUCCGAGGUCAUCUUGGGCUCCAAAAACGCAAUAAAAGCCCAACACGUCACUAUUCCAGCACCGCGCACUGCUCCUUUAUUUUGUUGCCAGAAAAUAACCGCUUGGAAGAAAAAUCUGAAAUUUUGAUACGAUCAAGCUAAGUGACUCAAGAACGUCCUCCAACUGGAAUUACUCCAAAAUUCCUCAAUUUGAUUAUGUUUUGCUCCAGAGAGAUUCGAAAGUCCUAUAUUGGAAAUAUAAUUCAAAGUAUCAAAAGUCUUCCAAAAUAAUAACCAAAAUAUACUAAGAAUGAGGUUAAAUAUAUAAUAUAAAAUAUGUCCAUCAAAAUACCCCCAAACUUAGCUUUUGCUUGUCCUCAAGUGAAACAAGACUCAAACAAAAAUAAAAACUUAACAGAUUAGACAUCUGGCUAACACUUAACUAGGACAAAAUUUCCACCUUCAAGUUGCAAUCCAUAGAAAAUUUUAAAAACUAGAACAUCCUUUCAAUAGAUCUAAGUAAUCCCACCACAAAGUCUAAGCUAUUUAGACUCAAUUAGAAAAGAAUUCACAAACUUCUUUCGGUGCAAAGUGAACCAUUAUGGUUAUGGAGACUUGACUAAAACCCUUAACUCUCAUCCCUUUUAUUCAUACUUCACACACUCCACACUUUUUGUUUUUUUUGUUUUUUGUUUUUUGUUUUUUUGUUUUUUUUUCUUUUUGUUUUUAUAGUAACAGUAGUGGUUGUGCAAUGUUGGUUCCCUUAAGCUUUCAAUCCAACCGUGUAGCCAGCUUUAGGUCAAUGUCUCCCAAACCACUCGGGUUUUAGGGCACUAGGUGUAGAACACCCCUAAGGACUUAUUAACUCAAGCUGAAAAGGCUACGAAACCAACUAACCACCCUGCCUCAUGCCAAAACUCUACCUUUUGUCUCGAGAAUCACUGCUGAUUAGGCAGGAUUGACCCGGUUACUAGCAAAGCUUCGGGUGAGGUAAUUAUUACUUUAUAACACAAACUAACUUUAUUUAUAUUGAACAUAAAUUAAAACACAUUUGGACAAAAAGUAAGUAUUCCAAUCUCACUCCCCAAAAACCAUGUUGGUGUGAUGUGCAAAUUUCAAAGUAUAAUUCAUGAAUUAAUGUCUAAGCAACAAUAAAUAGAAAAUACUCUACCGUGGGAUUGAUUUUCACCAUGUCCAUUUGUUCUAACGUUUAAAAUAAUCUAUGGAUAUUGACUGAAAAACGAAAAUUUGUAAACAAGACUCAAAAAAUGAAAAAUAAAAAAAAUUACGUUCCCACCCCCUAACUUAAAUCACACAUUGUCCUCAAGGUGGGGUAAAUAAUCAAAAGAAACAAGAGCAGAAACAAAACGACUAAAACUUAGAAAAUGGAAAUCAAAAAUAAAGAAAAUACUCUAAGAAAAGAAAUUAGGAAGGCAAAGGAUGAGAUCCAGAUGGAUCUGGUAAUCCUAUCCGUAGAGAUGGAAAGAUUCUAUACACGCCAUUGAGACUGGAUUUGGAGAUGAGGAUUUGACCCUACCUUGUUCGACGAAUUCCCUCAAGGGGAAUUAUAGCAAUAAAAUACAUAUGCUUCUACAAACAUUUAAUUGCACUGCUACGACGUGGAAAGAGUGCUUUGGGGUCUCAUCUCAUGUGAACCCGUUCGAGUAGAAAUCUUUCAUUAGAAUCAGAAAUGGGUCAUGGUAAAGAGAGGUAGAUGAUGAUUACAGUUCGGUAAAAAUGAUCAUUUCUGACAUUCCUCUCAAAGAACCGUGUUGGCAAUGUCGUUUAUCGAUUCUAAAGAAAGAAGAAAAAUAUCAACAAGUCAAAGAACGUGGAUUUCUUUUAAGGGGAGAGCUAGAACAAAAUCAAAUCACGAAUGGAAGAGUUUAGCUUUCAGAGGAAGAUUGAGCAUUACAGCAGCUAUUAAAGGAUAUUUUUAGUUGAAGAAUGAGAUUUUUCUUCCUCUGAUUGUUUAGCUAGAGCUUUUGGCUUGACUGCCAACGUGGUUGUGGAGGAAGAAACUUGGGAACCCGAGUAGUAGAUGCGAGCCCACUACCCAUACCCCUUUUGAGUGACAGGUAUGAAAUUUCAAGGAUGAAAUUUUUAUAAGAGGGGUAGAUUGUAACGACCCGGUCCUAAAUAAAUUGGUAAUUAUUAAUUUAUUCAUAUAAAAGACCAUUUUGCCCCCAUAAUAUUUUAAUAGGUUUACAUGUUGACUUGUUGACCGGGGAGGCUUUGGUGAAAUUGUUACAUCCCGGUCUGAAAAAGUGUUAAAAUAAUUAAAGUAAGAGAGAAUAAAUUGAAAUAAACAUUAAAAUAAAAUGAUUUGAAUUAAUUAAGGUGUUUGAGAAAUUAAAAUAUUAUUUAAAAUUAUAAGGGGCAAAAAGAUCAUUUUAAGUUUGGGAAGGAAUUUGAAAAUUUUGAUUGUACCGUUGUGUGGAGCACGUCGAAACGAGUCCGUAGACACAUAGUGGACUCGAAUCGGAGUUGUAACGAAAAAAUGGCGAUCAAAAGAAUUUCAGUGGCAUAACCGUAAAUAUUUUGAAGUUCAGUUUUUUUAAAACCCACAUUUAUUCUCUCUGGGGAGUGGGACGUGCCAACUUCAAAUGGUGAUUUCUCCCAACUCCGGCCACCAAUUCAAGUAAGACCGGCCCCGUUAGAACCACCACACUUCCCUCUUCCAGUCCCAGCCCAUCUCAGUCUCGAUCCGCCGUCGUAGUCGCCGAAAAUCGCCACGAAACAAGGUGGUUUGGAUAGUUUUUGUCGAAAUUUCGUGGAGCUCGUUCUCCCUCCUCCGGCCACCGUUUCAGGCGAGUGAGGUAUCAUUUCUCACCUAUUUUCUAUGAUAUAGCUGAUGGUUGGAUAUGAUUUGAUAAAUUUUGAGCGUUGAUAGUUCGAUUUUCGAAUCAAAGUUUGGCCGAAUUUCGGGAUGAAAUUCCGGCCACUUUCGAUCACUUUUUGGGGUAGGCCCAAGAACAAAAGUGUCUUCAAUUGAUGUCCUGAUCCCAGGGUAAGAGCAUUGGUCGAAAAUUUUGAGAUUUUCCUGCUGGUGGUAUCGCUUUGGGCACCCAUGCGCUGAUGGCGCGUGUGGCAGCGUGUGGGCACUGUAGCAGAGGGCCAUUGUGUCCCAAUGCGACCCCCUUGUUGUCACGAGUGCGUAAGGGUGCUCGGAUUCCAAUUUGGUUGAGGUUUGAACCCCGAAUGGAUUUCGUAUAUUGUACAUUAUCCGGGUUUGAUAGGUUUGAACCGUUGGAUAGUCUUGAAUUUAAUAUAUGUUAGUCUAGACAUCCCUAGGAUCAUAUAGGAUUUCGCGGAUCAUGGAUCGGAGCCCCGGAUGUUCUGAUUUAAUAAAUUAAAGUUUGUGUUUUACAAUAACCGUCCGAUCGUGCGAUCGCGAGCAAUCCGACAGUCCGAUCCGAACCAAACUUGCAGGACGGGUAUCCUAAAUCUUGUAGAACCCAUAGGAGCUUUCGGAUAAGAAUUUGGAGGUCGUGGGCCCGGUUGACCAAGAUUAGGUAGUUUGACCCCUCGGUUGACCAUGAGUCUUCCGAGGUAGUUUCACCCUUCGAGGAGUACUAGAAUGACCUUAUUACAUAGUCUCGACCUUUAAUUGAGCUAUGUUGACUAUGUUGAGAUUUUUAGAGUGUUUAUUAUUAUCGUAUGAAAACUCUUGGAUAUUACUUUUAAUAAUUGAAAUUAUGGAUUUGAUGAGCGUGGGUAAAUUGAUUUGAUGAGUGGUGAAAAGAAGUCGUGGGCUUGGCUAUGACUAUUAGGAAGUGAGGGGACAUUUAUGUUGAAUAUGCAUUAAUUUCAACAAUUGAAAGAACAUGCAUGGAAUGGGUAUAUAUAUAUAUAUAGAUAAAUUGGAUUAAAGAUUGAGAAAUUAAUAAGUUGAGAUAUUAGUAAUAUUUAAUUGAGAAAUGGAUUUUGAGGUGGAAAUUGGAAGGUUGAAUUUGGGGAAUUUUGGAAUUGAGAAUUAUGGGUUAAUACUGAAAGAUGUAGGAUUAUACUAUGUAAGUACCAUCCCCUAGUUACUAGGCUUCCCAUACGUGGAGUUGGAAUUUCUGGCGUGUGGGAAGGAUAUAUGAUUAUUAGAUCUCACAUGCCGUUGGAUUUUCCAGCGUGAGACAGACCCCAUACGUGGGGUUGGAUUUUUCGGCGUAUGGGGAGAUUAUGUGAUGGUUAGGUCACACGUAGGGUGGGAUUUUCCAACGUGUUGACAGACCCCAUAAGUGGCGUUGGAUUUUCCGGUGUAUAGGGAGAUUAUGUGAUGGUUAGGUCACACGUGGCAUAGGAUUUUCCAGCGUGUUGACAGACCCCGUACGUGGCGUUGGAUUUUCAGCGUAUGAGGAGAUUAUGUGAUGGUUAGGUCCCAUGUGGCGUAGGAUUUUCCGGCGUGUUGACAGACUCCAUACGUGACGUUGGAUUUUCCGACGUAUGGGGAGAUUAUCUGAUGGUUAGGUCACACGUGGAGUAGGAUUUUUCAGCGUGUUGACAGACCCCAUACGUGACGUUGGAUUUUCCGGCGUAUGGAGAGAUUAUGUGAUGGUUAGGUCACACGUGGCGUAGAAUUUUCUGGCGUGUUGACAGACCCCAUAUGUGGCGUUGGAUUUUCCGGCAUAUGGGGAGAUAAUGAGAUGGUUAGGUCACACGUGGCAUAGGAUUUUCUGGCUUGUUGACAGACCCCAUAUGUGGCGUUGGAUUUUCGCGCGUAUGGGAAGGAUAUGUGAUUAUUAGGUCUCACAGGUGGCGUUGGAAUUUCCGGCGUAUGAGACACUAACAGUGAGAAGAGAAUGAGAUUAUUUUUCUAUAUCAGAGAAAGGUUAGAGUAUAAAAAGAAAUAUGUUUGGUGUGUGGUAAUUUAAAUUAAAACAGGGAAAGAUAACUUACCUGUACUACUGAAACAGUUGUGUAACAUUUGGAGCAUGAUUAUGGAGUGAAAGAACUACGUGUGGCUUGAUCUCUCAGUAAGGGUACGUAGGCAACCUAGGUGCAGUCGUAGACUAAACGUUAUUUAUGUUGUUUUAUUGAGAUUGGUUCUGACCCUGUCGUUGGUCCUGAAAUUCGGUUGAAAACUAGAUGCGAGUAAAUAAUUGUUCAUACUCCCGUUUCGUUGAGGGAGGAUUGUGUAAAUGUGUUCUGGUCAAGACAGGUAUAAGAACUCGUUUAGGAUUGAUGUACGAUUUGGGCUAAGGCCUUAAACUACUUGUUGUUGUAUUAGGAGAUUAAAACCUCGCAUGUGGGAUAAUUGGGAAAGUUAGAUGAUGUAAAGUGCACUUAGGCAUUCAUAUAUAUGUUUAAAUUUAUUAUUUGUCUUGCUUAACGUAAUUGUUUGACUUAUGGGCUUUAUUGGUGAUUUGCUUCAGAUUAUUUAAAGGCCGAAGGCCGUUUAUGUGAAUUGCAUUUUGAUACAUUGUGCAUGCUACUAGUUGUGGAUAUUAAAUGUGUUUUAUGCAGGUUGAAAUUUUUGGGAUUGUUCAAAUUACAGGGGAGACUGCCAAAAUUUUGAUAGAAAGUCUCGGUCAUUAGUAAGUGGGCCCGGCAUCGAGGUGAUGUCGGAAUUUACACAAGAUUCCUCUCGGGUUUUCAGGAAUUCGGGGCGGAUCCUGUUACUUGGGGUGCAAAUUAUCCAUUUGUUCACCCGUUUUCGUGUUUUACUUCUGAGGUGGAAGGGCGAAGUUUCCCACUGGCUUGGAGACCACUUGUUGGUCGACAAGUCAGCUUUCUUUGGUGUGUGUGAGCGUGCCACUGCUAGCAAUGUAAAUUCUAGCAGACUUAUUUUUUAGAGUGGAUAACUUGCGCCUCAAGUUACUGACUUCUAAAACAAAUGAUUGUGAAUUUGGGUGAGGAAUAUCUCCCAAGUAAGUUCUUUUCUUGCCUCAAACUGGUGAGGACUUUCACAAUUUAUCUCAGUAUCAAAUGGUUGUUCUGGCCAGAAUAGAUAAUAAUAAAGUAGACUGUUUCAGGCAGAACUGCCUUUUACAAAAUUAAGAAGGGAGAAAUCAACUCUAGAAAGGAAAAAAGAUGGCUGGAAUCCCAUUUCUGCCUGGGUAGAAACUUCUGAUCCGGGCUGGACUGGGUAUGUCUAUGCUGGACGGUGCUGUCAACAACUUUAGCUUGCUCGGCUUUAGUUGUAAAUCGAUACCAAAGUUCAAUUUUGGCAGAGCUUCAAUCUACUUCAAGCCUUGGGAGACUUUUGAGUGGGCAGAACUGCAGCUUCUUCAGUUUGAAGGGACAGAAGUGGCUAUUCUCGAGGAUUUAGCAAGCUGGAACUAUGCUAUAAAAUUUGUUGAGGUUUUCAUAUUUGUGAAAACUCAAACUAUGUUUGUCUUGGCUUUUGCUGAACCAAAUUUGUAACGAGAGGGAUCUUGUUUUCAGAAGACUUAUUUUCUAAGUCUGAACUUUGGAAUUCUGAUCUAAAGCUGUUUUCUUGUUUGUUUUUUUUUGAUUGACUGAUGAAUUGAGUGUCCUUUGUUUCUUUGCCUUCUUUCGCUUUUAUAAGAGAUCCUCCUAAGGAGGUCAUUUUUAAUCCUAAACAAUGGGCGGCAAAAAGAUCUCUUAUAAUGUAAAGUAAGAAGGGUUUCUUAUCAAUCAAGGCAGAUAGGUUCUGAGCAGUCACCUCCUAAAAACAGUCCAUUCCCUGGUUUCCUGGGUGGCAGCUUUCUAAUUCAACCAACGCCACCGUCUGUGUGGGCUUUUUAUGGCAGUUUUGGCUCUUUUCUUUUGUAUUUUCUGAGUGGUUCCCUGUUUCCCGUUCUAAUUUAGAAAGCGUGAUUCGUGAAUUCCUUGGGAGAUGGUGUAUUGAUUUGGAGCAAAAUCUUGAACACAGAUGGGUUUUUGAUCUUCAAUUGGCAGUGUUUCAGAGACGUCCCUCUCACAUUUUUAAACUUUAGUUGGAAUUGCUGACUUUUCCAAAGUUGAGGCAAUCACGUGGGUGUGUCUUUGAUCCCUUGGUUUUGAAUCUAUCGAAAAUUACGGGCUGAUCUUUGAAGCCCAUUUCGAAAGUUUCCACAUCUGGGCUUUCUUUGGGCUGAGGCUUUAUUUCCAACAUUCUUGGUGUGAAGCCCAAACUGUCUGGGUCUUAUUUUCGUUUUUCUCAAGUCUCUGGGCUGGGCAGGCAAUUUUAUCAUGGGCCUGUCUUCUGGUCUUGGGCGUGCCGAAUUUGGGCCCAAACAAUGCCCCCUAAGUCUGAAUCGUUUUGGAAUGGUUUCAGACUUAAUGUUUUGCCAUUUAAUUCACGUGCCAGUUUCUUCCGUGUUUUCGCCCACGUCUGCCACGUUUGCCUGCUACGAACUAGAGUUCGUGGGAAAACGGCUAGUUAUUAUCUAGUUACUAGCUAAUAAUCAUCAGGUGCCGUCCCAUCUUCUUCUUCCCACGUUUUCGAGCCCCUCUUUAAAAGAAAUUCAAAUUCAUAGCUUCUGAAAAAAGAAACCCUAAACCUUCCAGCUCUUGUUCCUGCGAGUUCUUUCUUCGAGAUUUCCAAAGCCUUCUUUAGACCUUCCUUUCUUCUGCUUCUUCCCUUGAAUCAGAAAUGUCUUCCCCAAGGUCCCGCGCUCAGUCUUCUUCCGCUUCAGUUCCUCCCGAUUAUAUCACUGGGAGCGGGAUUGAUGCUCACGCGAUAGAAAUCAGGAGCAAGCUUCAUCCCUUUGCCCAGAAGAAUCUGGACGAGAAUGUCCUCCAUUUGUUUGAGAACACCCUGGUGUUAGGGCCUCACUGGUUUGGUCCUGUUCCAGCUGAGAUGGCAGAAUUGCUAAAAAAGGAUGCCGAGGCUCCUUUGUGUUUUGAGAGCUCUUCUGCCCUGGCUUCUUAUUCUUGGGUUAGCAAGAAUUUGAGCCGGUCCUUCCCGUCCAGCGAGGUGAGGAAUAGUCUGGUCAAAUGGGCAGACUGGAUUGAUAGACUUCUCCCGAGAUAUGGGGGUCACUGGAGGAGAGCUGGGAUUUAUGACGCCAUUUUUCUGUCCAAACAAUCGAUUAACAGAGAUGAGAAUCUGCUUGCUGCUGCUUUAUGCUUCUGGAAUUCUGCCAGCAAUACAUUUGACUUCCGCGUGGGUCCUAUGGCGCCAACCUUGCUGGAUAUGGCUCAGAUUUUUGGGUUCAGGCCCCAUGGUAGGCCUGUUGAUGCCAUUGGAGAUUAUCACAGGCGAAGGAAUCAAGAGAAAGUGGCCACCCCUUUUACUAUCCCUCCAGCCGUGAUCAACCAGAACUGCUCUUUCUCCAACUAUCUGAAGAAGUUCAGUGCUGAUAAGGACAAGGAUCAGCAACAUAUGUUGUUCCUUCUGUAUUGGCUGAAUUGGUUCGUUCUCCCCAAUCGGUCUUCUGCAGUUCUGCUAGAGUACAGACACUUGGCAGAAGCACUCCACAAUCACACUGAUGUGGGGCUCGGGCCUACAGUUCUGGCUCACCUUUUCAAGAAUCUGCAUACUUCCACCCUGGAGAACCCAUUGAACCUGUCAGCCCCUGGCGCAUUCUGGAUGAUCCAGAUCUGGCUGCAGGUUUAUUUUCCAGAACUAAGGUUCCCAGACAUAGUUCUGCCUGAAGAUCAAGUCCUGGCUCUUCCUCUGAUGUCGGCAGAAGUGCCCAAGCAUUCUAUUGAGGAGUAUUUGAUGCUCUUCAGGCAUUGUACAAAGAGGUCGGCAGCUCAGUGGCAAGUGGUGAUCAGGAGGACCUAUCCUUGGUUCCAGACCGGAUUUCGGUUGUUUGAGAAGGAGCCAGAAGAUGAAGCUGCCAGAACAGAUUUCAGGAGGAAAUUUCUGAGCAUUACUCUGCCCAGAGAUCUACCCCAUGGUGGGGGCAAACCUCCAAACUAUCAUCUGGGGGCAGAAGUCUACCAUCCCAACUUCUGCGCGAGGCAGCUUGGUUGUCCCCAACUCAUUCCGCUGAAAUCAUAUCGGAGUUGUAACCGGGCCUCUUCUUGGAGGGAUGCAGAUGAUCUGGAGGUGCACAAGGAUGCCCGGUGUGCAGUGAACAAAAUCAACAACAGCACGGAUGCCCUCUAUCCCUCGUGGGAGCUGAAUUCCUGCAGUUCUGCCGACUUUGACGCAUGGUGGAAAGCCAGAUUCCAAAGUCUGCCUGCUUCUGUCACUGCCCUCAAGGUGCUGUUUGAUGGUUGGGAAAACUGGGUCGUUUUUGCGAAUGGGGAUGCCAAGACGCAUAUGAUCCAGACCAUCAAGGAUAUUAACGCGCAAAUUAUAGAAGGUAGAUUUCUGAUUCUGUAUGGGGUUCGUUCUGUCCUGAUGAUUGAUUUCUAAUGUCUAUUCUGCCUGUAUCAGAUCCUUCUUUGACCAGCGUAGGUGGGCAGUCUGUUCAUGCUGGGGAAGUGAUUGGUAAGUCUUUUCUUUUAAUUCUAUUCUGUCUUUUCCUGCUGGAUUGGUCUCUAAUGUCUAAUGCCUUGGUGCAGUCUCUUCCGUUAUUGCUGCCGGGGACUUGGAGCUCCCUUCUGCGGAUGAAGGAGAUGAGGUCCAGACAGAACAAACACCUACCGAGGCCGCUCUUUCUGGCAGAAGAAAAAGGAAAGGACCUGCCCCUCCUUCGGAUAAUCCCACGCGGCCUGGUAUUUCAGGUAAGCUCGUGAUGUUCCAACCAUUCUCUUUAAAUUUAUUAUGUCUUGCCUUCUUUUCCCUAAUACUGCUUUUUGUUCUGUGCAGCUGGAAGUCCUUCCCCUCCUCCUACCAAGUUGAAAAAACUUAAAAAGAGGAGUGAGGAGGAGUAUGUCGCCGCGGAAGAGACGGCAGCAAUUCCCACCACUACCUCCGGGACGGAUGAAGAGCUGCGAGAGGCUUUUGAGGAGGUGGAGCAGGAAAAAGAAUUGGAAGAGCUGGAAGAAACGCCUCAGGAAAAAACGGCAGUGGCGGAAGGAGAGGUAAGUUUUAUUUCUGUGAUUCGCAUCAGUUCCCUUCUCGCCCUGUUUCUUCCGUUCUGACCCUUAUUUUGUAGGAGAAGAUCCCUGCUGAGGUGAUUGCAGAGAGCAUUGCCUUGGCGCAGAAGCAACAAGGGGGUCCAAGGGCUGAGCGGACUAGCUCAGAACUAGCCCUAUUUGAGGAUGCUGAGGCAGAGCAUUCUACUGCCGUUCCAGCGGCUGAGGAUCAGGCGGAACGGUCUGCAUCAGAGCCUGUGGAUCAGGCAGAGCUGUCUGUUGUGGUUCCGGAGGCUGAAGUGGAAACAACCGCCGCUGCCCCUGUGGUUGUGGUAACUUUCUUUCUUUAUCUGUCCACACUCUCCUGCAUUUCUGCCUUGUUCUUUAUUUUUAACUGUUGUAGCCUUUUCAGGUAGAAGUGCCUAAAGCUGUUGGCGUCCUGGCAGCGGUUACCAGUCCCCAGAAGCCUCCCAUUGUUGCUGUAAGUUUUCAUAACUUUUGGGCCUUUAUUUUCCACUUUCUGCCUGGUCUUACCUUAUGCUUUCUUCUUGCAGAUGCCAAUUCAUUCCCUUCCAGGAUCAUCUGCCACGGCUUCUUUUGCUGAUCCAGAACUCGAAGAGUUUGAAGCCAUGGAUCUGGAUGCCCAAUUGGACAGAUUGGAGAAACUCAGCUCUCCUCCAGGCAAGGCAAAAUCUAGGGCAGUGGAGGAGGCCAUGGAGAGGUUGAAAAUCUGGCAGUCUAAUGAGCUGGAGUUUGAUCAAGACAAUGAAGCCUUAAAUCAGCUGAUGAAGGACCUGGACCUGCUUCACAGACAGAACAUGGCUCCAAAACCUAUCCUUGAGAUGGGCCUAAGCUUGGCCAGAGAUGUGCUCAAUCUGCAUGAUCGCUAUGAGGAUCUCAGGCCUACUUUCAAGACUUCUGAAUUCUGCAAGGCCACUCAUGAAGCCAACCUGGCUGAUUUUGCAAAGCAGAAAGCAGAACUGGAUCAGAUGGUGGCCGGAUAUAAGGAAGCCAGGGCCACUGCGGACAAGCUGGAGAAGCCGAUGGAAGAGCUCCAAAAACAACUGGCAGAAUGCAGGGAGGUGCAGAGCAGGCUUGGGGCUGGACUGAGUUCUAAAACUAAGGCCACUUUCCUUGUGCAAAGUAUGGUUGCAGCUUCCAGGACAGCCUUGGAGAUUGCAGAGGCUUCAAUUCACCAGGGGGUGCUGCUCCAGAAAGAGCUUUCUGUCAAGAAAGCGAACCUGCAGGAGACUCUUAGAAAACUAGGAUUUUAGCUUCUUCUUUCCUUUUAUUGUUCGAAUAAUUUGCCGCAAAGGUGGCUAUUUUUAUAUAAGCUUUCAAAGCAUUUUACUGCUUUUCAUUUAUUCUUGAUGCAAUAACUGGAUACGGCUUUGAAAGUAAAAAACAGAACAACUUUAAAGCAAAAAUAAAUCUAAACAAAAUUCUUUUCAAGAAACAAAAAGGUCAAACUUGUUCCUCUUCUAUCCCGGGAUCUGUUUAUACAGCCUGCGAAUCCCACGUGGUUGGAUAGAACUUCUUUAACCAUUUACCAUUGAUUGGGGCAAAAUGAACAACUCCAUCUCGGUCCUGCAACCUGUAUGCCCCCAUUCCGAGGAUUUGGUUAAUUAUAAAAGGGCCUUCCCAUGUAGGUGACCAUUUCCCAUAUCCAGCUAUGUGUGCUCCAAGGGGCAGAAUUGCCUUCCAGACUAUCUCUCCCUCUUCAAAACUCUUGUUUUUGACUCUUUUGUUGUAGGCCCUUGAUACAGCCUGUUUUCCUGCUAAGAGUUUGUUGAGGGUGUCAAUUCUGCUUGCAUCCAAUUCUUCCAAUUCCAGCAACAUGGCUUGAGAGUAAUCCUCCCCAGUGAGACCAUGCUGGUGAGCAAUUCUAAGAGACUGGACCGCUAUCUCCAUGGGAAGAAUUGCAUCGUGGCCGUAGGUUAGAGCAUAGGGGGUCAUGCCAGUUGCUUCUCUCUUUGAAGUUCUGUAUGCCCACAAAGUUUCUGAUAACUUCUCAUGCCAUUACUUUGGAUUCUUCUCUAGCAUCUUUUUGAUGAUAUUGAUAAUCACCUUGUUACUUGAUUCCACCUGUCCAUUAGCUUGAGCAUAGUAAGGAGUAGAUUGAAGCAGUUUGAACUUGAACGUUUCUGCCAUAUCUAGCAUGUCCCUAGAUAUGAAAGAAGAACCCCUAUCGGUUGUGAUUGAUUCUGGAAUGCCAAACCUUUGUAUGAUCUGUUCUUCUAUAAAGGUGAUGAUCUCUUGAGAUGUUGUGGUUUUUACUGGCUUGGCCUCUACCCACUUGGUGAAGUAAUCUGUGGCAACGAUAAUGAAACAGUGCUGCUGGUUGCUGGCUGGAUAGAUUUUGCCAAUGAGAUCCAUUGCCCAUCCCCUGAAAGGCCAUGGUUUUACUACUGGAUUCAUGGGAACCGAAGGAGCCUGCUGGAUUGGGCCGUGCCUUUGACAGGCUUCACAUCCUUUGGAGUAGUUGAUGCAAUCCUUCAUCAUGGUUGGCCAGAAGUAGCCAUACCUUCUGAUUAACCAGCACAUCUUUCUUCCCCCUUGGUGAGCUCCACAGAUCCCCUCAUGGGUUUCUCCCAUGGCUUUCAUAUAUUCUGUCUUCCCGAGGCACCUUAAUAGUACCUCAUCCUUACUUUUUCGGACCAAAUCUUCAUUCCACAUGAGGUAGUUUGUAGCCAUGAUUCUGACUCUUUUCUUAGAGGGCAGAGUGGGAUAUCGUAAGUAAGUCAUGAUAGGCUCCCUCCAAUCAUCUUCAGUGAUCAAGGCAGAAUUGACUUCUAUCUCCAUUCCUCUCGUCAAAACAGAUGGUAGACUUUUCCUUCCUAUCUUGAUGAUCCUUUGGACGCAGUCUUCGGGCAUUUGUAUGCCUGAUGCCACCUGAGCCAGUUCAUUGGCUGCAAAGUUUUCCUCCCUUGGGAUGUUCUCCCAAGUAGCUUCUCUAAAUUCUGUUAGCAGAUUUCUAGCUGCUACUAGAUAUACAGCCAGAGAAGGAUUCAGACACUUAUAUUCUCCAGCAAUCUGUUUUAGGACAAGCAUGGAAUCUCCCAAGAUCUCCACGGACUGGACUCAUAAUUCUACCAACAUCUCGAGCCCUAUAAUCAAAGCCUCAUACUCGGCCAUGUUGUUGGUGCAUUGGAAAUCUAGCUGGAAGGAAUAGCAAUGUCUGACCCCUAAUGGUUCUUCCAGAACAAUCCCUGCUCCUGAAGCCUUGUCUGUCUUUGAUCCAUCAAAAUAUAACUUCCAAGGUGUGAGAUGAAUCGAGUAGAUUGGAUUGUUAAGGCAAACAUGAGCUCUAGUUAGCAGAUCUGCAUUUGCUAUGUCCAAAGAAUCCAUGUUUUCAAUUUCCUCUCCCGAGUGAUCUACCAAGAAGUCUGCCACAGCUUGCCCUUUGACAGCUUUCUGGGGGACAUACCUGAAGGUGAAUUCUGUCAAAGCCAAAGUCCAUUUCCCAAUUCUGCCCCUCAGCAUUGGUCUUGUUAGCAUGUAUUUGAUUAAGUCUGUUUUGGCAAUGAUGUAGAUAGUAUGUGGCAGCAUGUAGUGCCUGAGCUUUACAGCAGUGAAAUAUAAGGCCAGGCAAAGCCUUUCUAUUGCGGAAUACCUUCUUUCCACUUCUGUCAAUGUUCUGCUUAGAUAGUAGGCUGCCUGUUCUUUUCCUUCUUUGUUAUCUUGAACUAUUAGACUUCCAAUGGAUACUUCUGAUGCAGAUACAUAAAGCUUGAGGGGUCUGCCCCUUUUUGGUGGGGACAGAACUGGUGGAUUUGAGAGGUAAUGCUUUAUUUCCUGGAAAGCCUGUUGGUGCUGUUCUUCCCAUUUGAAUGUCUGUUCCUGCUUCAGUCUUAACAGGGAAGAAAAAGGUUGGAUUUUUCCUGCAGAAUUGGAUAUGAAUCUCCUUAGAAAAUUGAUUUUUCCUAAGAGACUUUGAAGUUCCUUCUUGUUCUGAGGUGGUAGAGCUUCUAUGAUGGAUGUUGCUUUAUUUCUGUCAACCUCUAUACCUCUCUGGUGGACCAAGAAUCCUAAGAAAUUCCCUGCUUGGACUCCAAAAACACAUUUUUUGGGGUUCAUUUUCAGUUUGUGCUGCCUCAUUCUUAGGAAUGCCCUUCUCAGGCUUGCUACGUGAUUUCCUUCCUCAGGGGAUUUAAUCACCACGUCAUCUAUGUAUACUUCCAAGGAAUGUCCUAUCAUAUCAUGAAAAAUAGAAUUCAUUGCCUUUGGUAGGUGGCUCCCGCAUUUCUCAAACCGAAAGGCAUUACAGUAUACUCGAAAGCACCUAUAUGUCCUGGACACAUAAAGGCUGUCUUGUGGAUGUCCUGUUCUGCCAUCAUGAUCUGGUUAUAACCUGCAUUGCCGUCCAUGAAAGAUAGCAUCUGGUUAUGAGUGGCUCCAUCCACUAGCAUGUCUGCCAUUGGCAUAGGAUAUUCGUCUUUAGGAGAUGCCUCAUUCAGAUUUCUGUACAAUAUUUGCUAACCAAUCGGAAUAGACGGCUGGCCUGAUGAAUCCUGCCUUGAGCAGCCUUUCUAUCUCUUCUUUGACCUUUAGUUCUGUGUCCAUAGACAUUCUUCUUCUGGCCUGUUUGACUGGAAGGUAGCCAUCUUUAAUUGGCAGCUUGUGCUCCACUCACUGCCUGUCCAAUCCUGGCAUUUCGUGGUAAUGCCAGGCAAAACAAUCUCUGAACUCCUGUAAAAGUGCCAUGAGUUCAGUCUUGAGUGGUUCCUUCAAAAGUGUGCUGAUGAAAGUAGGCCUUGGAUCUUCUUCUGUUCCUAAGUUUAUCUCCUGUAGAGGAUCCUCUACUUCUGGCAGGGAGUCAUCCAGUGCUGCUGGUGCAAAAUCUAAUACUUCCUCCUGUAAAAUUUCCUCCUCUUGCUCUUUUGUGCUUUCAUGGGUGAAUUCUGCCAUAUUGAUGGCUGGAUUCUGUAUGAAAAGCCUCCUUUCUCCCCAGUAUAUCAACAAUCUUUUUGUGAUGGAUCGGAUUGUUGCAGCUCGAUCCUUGUCUAGUUGAUUCGGACUAAACAUCAGAGUUCUGGAAGUUCAGCACAAAAAGGUCUAUUCCAGUCCUCUAGAGAACUGGCUAAACCUUCUUCAAUGAGUCUUUGGGCCGUGACACCAUGUGGACGGCCGUUCUGAUUGACUCCAAGGAAAGUGAAAGGACCGAGGUCAUCAUGAUAAUACCUUGUUUCAAAGCACAUGGCAGAGGGCAGGAAUGGCCGUGGAUCAGCCUCUAUAAUCUCCAUGCAGCCUUCUUCAUUCCAUAGUGCUAACUGCGGGUGGAGGGUGGAAGGAAUACAAAGGCUCUGGUGAAUCCAAUCCCUGCCAAGUAGUGCAUUGUAGGUGGUGGAAGUAGUGUCUAUAACAAAGAAUGCUAUUUUCAACUCUUUGCUUCCGAUUAUGACAUCCACAUCUAAGAUGCCAUGUAUUUUGGUGAUGCAACCAGAAGUUGGUGACGGUCAAUCGUGUUGGAAUCAGAUCUUUCUCUGUCCUGCCCAGCUUGGUCAGCAUUCUGUGGGGUAAUAGAUUAAUGGCUGCACCUCCAUUUACCAUGAUCUUGGAAAUAGGAAUACCCCCAAGAUUUGCCGUUAUAAACAAAGGUCUGAGGUGAAACAAGGUUGCUCUGUAGCUGGUUUAUUGGCUGUUCUGCCUGUCUUGGGGUUUUCUGCUUGUGGUUCUGGUGGCUCCUCUGCUUCUGCCAAUCUACAUUCAAAGCUUUCCUGAGAGAAAACAUCCCCUUCCAGAGUGCUUUCUUGUCCUUCGGCUGCCCUGAAUUUACUUGGUAGGAUGAAUACCAUGUUAAUUCCCAGAUCACCCUGUAGGAGGUCUUCUAAUUCUGCGCCAAAAGCUUCUGUUUCUGGGUCCAAUUCUACACCAAAUUCCAUUAAUUCUUCCCCGUAUUCUUCCGUCCAGUCAUCCUGUUCUGCUACUUCGAGGGGCUCUUUCUGAUCAUCUGCGGAAGGUUCAUAGUCCAAUUGCUCUUCUUCAUAUUCCUCAGUGUAGUCGUCUUCUCCUUGUAACGGGGUAGACCCAGAUUUCUCUGGUGUCUGCGUGGUGUCAGGACGGCUGCUGGACGACGAGGCCACAUGGAUAGGAGACCUGGCUGGGGGUUCUGUUUUCAGCAAUUCCCUUGACUGGCAAGCUUUCUGUUCUGUCUGGGGAAGUGUUUCAGGAUUUUUUCCUUUCCUAGCAGAACUGGGUUGUGAACGUACCUGCGUAUUAUCUUGGCUCUUAAGAUAUGUGCAGUAUUGCCUCUGGAUUCUCCUUUUCUGGGUUCUGGUUAGCUCCAGAGUCGGUCUACCGCUUCUUCCUACGGAAUACCAUCUCCCUUCUAUGAUCGUUGCCAAGGAUCUUUCGUUUCUGGGCAUCUUGACUGGUAUUUCCUUUCUGGGUUGCUCCAUCCUCCUCUCGCUGUAUUGUGUAGGCCUAAGACAGCUCUUCUGCCUUGUUUUGUCUCGGGAUGAGGUUCCAAUUCUGUCAAAGACACUAGGUGUGGGCUGAUUUUGUCUGUCUAGAACCACCUCUAGCUCUGUUUCACAUUUGCACCUACUGCAGAGCACUACCCCAGCCGAGAUGGUCGCUCUUGGUAUUUGACUGGUCUCCCUUAUGAUUCUUCUGCCUCUGCUGCAACCAGCAUCUGUGAUUGGCUCGGUUUUCCUCUGUUCUGGCCAAUUUAAGUUGACCAUAUUGACUUGUGGUUGAGGAAAAGGAUCCGUUGUGACGGAUGGUGGUUUUUCUGCCAGUUUCAACCUUCCUGCCGUUAUCCCUUCUUGUAUUACGUCCCUGAAAACAACACAACUAUUGGUAGAAUGGUUCCAAGAGUUGUGCCACCUGCAGUACUGUCUGCCCUUGAGUUCUUCCGGCUUCGGUAUUCUGUGAGGCGUCUCUAUUGCCUUCUACAGUAGCAUUUCGUGGAACAAGGCAUCAACCUUGGUUAAGUCAAAAGAGUAAACCUUGUUUUACGUUGGUUUGUUUGGAACGAAUCCUCCUGUGAAUGGUGGUGGCUUUUGGUCUUUAGGUGGCUUUGUGAGGGCUUUGCAACUAAUGGGAUGUUUUAGUUUUGCCAUUUCUGCCACUGAAACCUCUUUCUCUUCUGAUUCUUCUGCAUCUUCUUGUGAUUCCACCUCGAUCAGGUGGACUGAAGAAGAAGGGGUUUUAUAGUAUGUACCUUUGGAGGAGUUCCUCCUUUGCUGUUCCUCCCUGAGUAACUCCUCAUAUUUGGAUGCCUUAUCAGCCAGUUCUGCCAGAUCUCCGAACAAUAUCCCGUCGAACCUUUUCCUGAGAGAGAUUUUAAGGGCAACUUGGGCCAUCUGGAUGAAGUGUCUUUCUUCCAUCGGGAUUCGGCACUUCAUUUUGAGCUUUCUGAACCUGGUUAUGAAAUCUUGGGCCGGUUCAUCUUCACUUUGCUUGAGGGCAGCUAGAUCACUGAUGGUGACUUCUGGCUGAAUCCUGUAAUAGUAGUCAUGGAAGACAUUUUCCAUCUGUUCCCAGGUUUGAACAGAGUUAGCUGGCAGGCUGGUGUACCAGGUAAAAGCUUGCCCAAAAAGAGAGUUGCCGAAAAGCCUUAAUUUCAGCAGAGGGUUGCUUUCUAUAGCUAUGCAUUGGACGGAGAACCUGCCUAUAUGUUCAACUGAGGAAGAAUGGGGGUCUUCCCCAUUGAACAAAGUGAAGUUUGGCACUUUGAAACCUGGAGACAACAGUAUUUGAUCGAUAUAGGCUGGGUAUGGCUUUCUGUAAGUAGGCCUUUCCCCUAUUCUAGCCUCGGGUUCCAUGAUUUCUCUGAUCAUUCUUUGCAACGCUCCUAUGUCAUUCAAAGCAUUGACUGGGGGAAGAUUUUGUCCCUGUUCUGGCUGAACGUAAUCAAACCUGGGCUCUGCUCUGUGUGGUCUGGGUGGAACUUCCUCCCUGUGUUCUUCCUGCUCUUCGACUUCUGGAUGAUUCCUCCAGUUUGCCCCCGGUCUAUUCCUGUCAUGAUUAGCAAAAAGGUUGUUCCCUCCUCGGCCUCUCCUCCUUCUUGCAAGUGGAGGGAAUGGAUUAGGGUCCAUCCUUCUGGGUCUAUAUGGCAAUACUGCCGGUGGUUCAGGCAGAAGCGCCAAAGGUUGAUCAUGUGGGAGCACAUGAAGUGGAAUGGGCUGAGGUUCUGGCUGGUUCUGAGCCAGUGCCAGGUUAUCUGGUUGAGCUGGGGCUUCAUGUUUUUGAUUAGGAAGGGCUCCUUCCCUCGGACCAGCCUGAAUUUCUCCGUGGUCUGGCACUCCAGCCAUCUGUGCAACUAGGAAAUUUUCCUGGUAUGGCCAUAUUAGUCCUGGCGGAGGGCCAUAAGGGAGAUCCAACUGCUGGAUUACAGGAUCUGGGUUUGGGUUUCUGGCCAUGGCGGAUUCUCGGUCCUUCCGGAACUGUCUGUUUACCUGCCAUUACAUCAUGGCUGUCAUGUUAUUGAGAGUGUCCUGGCUCCUUCGUACUGUGAUCUCUUGUCGGAGUACUGACUCCUGUAUUUGAUUCAUCCUUUUGGAGCCAGUCCUGGAACGUCUACUUCCUGUACUGCCGUGGGCAGAUUGCCUAGCAUCGCUUUUUUCUGAUUCGAGGCCUUCCCUGAGAACCAUCUUGUUUUUCUCCAUAUCUGGUGUGGGUUCUGACUAGAUCUUCCGGUAUUUGUGAAUCUGUGAAUGAUUCUGUCAGAGUAUAUAUACUGAGAAGUCCCACUGGGUGUGCCAAAUUAUUCACCCGUUUUCGUGUUUUACUCCUGAGGUGGAAGGGCGAAGUUCCCCACUAGCUUGGAGACCACUUGUUGGUCGACAAGUCAGCUUUCUUUGGUGUGUGUGAGCGUGCCACUGCUAGCAAUGUAAAUUCUAGCAGACUUAUUUUUUAGAGUGGAUAACUUGCGCCUCAAGUUACUGACUUCUAAAACAAAUGAUUGUGAAUUUGGGUGAGGAAUAUCUCCCAAGUAAGUUCUUUUCUUGCCUCAGACUGGUGAGGACUUUCACAAUUUAUCUCAGUAUCAAAUGGUUGUUCUGGCCAGAAUAGAUAAUAAUAAAGUAGACUGUUUCAGGCAGAACUGCCUUUUACAAAAUUAAGAAGGGAGAAAUCAACUCUAGAAAGGCAAAAAGAUGGCUGGAAUCCCAUUUCUGCCUGGGUAGAAACUUCUGAUCCGGGCUGGACUGGGUAUGUCUAUGCUGGACGGUGCUGUCAACAACUUUAGCUUGCUCGGCUUUAGUUGUAAAUCGAUACCAAAGUUCAAUUUUGGCAGAGCUUCAAUCUACUUCAAGCCUUGGGAGACUUUUGAGUGGGCAGAACUGCAGCUUCUUCAGUUUGAAGGGACAGAAGUGGCUAUUCUCGAGGAUUUAGCAAGCUGGAACUAUGCUAUAAAAUUUGUUGAGGUUUUCAUAUUUGUGAAAACUCAAACUAUGUUUGUCUUGGCUUUUGCUGAACCAAAUUUGUAACGAGAGGGAUCUUGUUUUCAGAAGACUUAUUUUCUAAGUCUGAACUUUGGAAUUCUGAUCUAAAGCUGUUUUCUUGUUUGUUUUUUUUUUAUUGACUGAUGAAUUGAGUGUCCUUUGUUUCUUUGCCUUCUUUCGCUUUUAUAAGAGAUCCUCCUAAGGAGGUCAUUUUUAAUCCUAAACAAUGGGCGGCAAAAAGAUCUCUUAUAAUGUAAAGUAAGAAGGGUUUCUUAUCAAUCAAGGCAGAUAGGUUCUGAGCAGUCACCUCCUAAAAACAGUCCCUUCCCUGGUUUCCUGGGUGGCAGCUUUCUAAUUCAACCAACGCCACCGUCUGUGUGGGCUUUUUAUGGCGGUUUUGGCUCUUUUCUUUUGUAUUUUCUGAGUGGUUCCCUGUUUCCCGUUCUAAUUUAGAAAGCGUGAUCCGUGAAUUCCUUGGGAGAUGGUGUAUUGAUUUGGAGCAAAAUCUUGAACACAGAUGGGUUUUUGAUCUUCAAUUGGCAGUGUUUCAGAGACGUCCCUCUCACAUUUUUAAACUUUAGUUGGAAUUGCUGACUUUUCCAAAGUUGAGGCAAUCACGUGGGUGUGUCUUUGAUCCCUUGGUUUUGAAUCUUUCAAAAAUUACGGGCUGAUCUUUGAAGCCCAUUUCGAAAGUUUCCACAUCUGGGCUUUCUUUGGGCUGAGGCUUUAUUUCCAACAUUCUUGGUGUGAACUGGACUAAACAGUUAGUCGGACCAGACCGUCUACACAUAUGAACUGGACUCACAAGCCUAUGUUUUUUGAGCUCCCAUAUUGGUCGAAACUCAAAUUGAGGCACAAUCUAGAUGUGAUGCAUGUUGAGAAAAAUGUAUUUAACACAUUGGUGGGCACGAUUCUAGAUAUCGAGGGCAAGACAAAGGACACAAUCAAAGCCCGUCUUGAUUUGGAAAGAAUGGGCAUACAAAGGGGUUUAUGGAUGAACAGGGACAGUGAUAAAGCUAGAAGGGAUCUUGCAUUCUUUUCUAUGAAACCGAAUGAUAAAAAAGAGUUUCUAAAGUUUGUAUCGUCUGUAAAGUUUCCUGAUGGGUAUGCUUCUAAUAUCGCACAUUGCGUGAAUGUUGACGAGGGUAAAUUUACUGGACUGAAGAGCCAUGACUGCCAUGUGUUUAUGCAACGCCUACUUCCUGUGGGUAUUCGACAUCUAUUGCCGGAAGAUGUUGUGAAGCCAAUCAUGUUGUUGUCCAGAUUUUUUUCCCAACUGACGGCAAAAACAUUGCGAAAGACAGACAUAUUUCAGUUGCGCCAUGACAUUGUCCAAGUCCUAUGCAAGUUUGAGAUGAUAUUUCCUCCAGCUUUCUUCACAAGUAUGAUGCACGUGAUGGUUCACUUGCCAGAAGAGGCAUUGCUUGCUAGUCCUGUCAACUAUCGCUGGAUGUAUCCAAUAGAAAGGUAUAUAAUCUUUAUCGUUUGUGUAUGCAUCAUUAUCACAGACUUGCUAAUUUGUAUCAUAUCGUUUUAUUUUGACAGGCUUCUCGGAGAGCUGAAAAAAAGUGUACGCAACAGGGCGAAGCCCGAAGGAUCAAUUAUAGAGGCUUGGGUUCAAUAUGAGUCGCUUACUUUCUGUGGAAUGUAUUUAAAAGAUGUGGAGACGGCUUUCAAUCGUCCUCAACGCAAUAACGACGAAGGUAUGAGAAAGGAAAAACUUUCUGUUUUUGCCCAAAGUGCACGACCCUUUGGAGAUCCUGGACGAGGAGAGUCGUUUUCUAGAAAUGACAUGGAGGUAGCGCAUUGGUUCGUACUGAACAAUUGUGAUGAGAUAAUGGCAUACUUAGAUAAGCAUGAAGAGAUGAUGAAGCGAGAACAUCCAUCACAUUUAGUUGCCCAGAAACACCGUGAAUUGUUUCCACAAUGGUUUUUGGAUUCUGUAAGUUAUAAGUGUUUUGUAUUUGACAAAUAUAAAUUGUAGUAUUUAAUUUUGUCAGACUAACAUGUGAAUGGUUUUGUAUUAUAUUAGGUGAAUAAGUUGAAAUCAUCGAAUUCCCCCACUUACAGUGAUGAGUUAUAUAACUUGGCGUUCGGCCCAAUUCGCGCUGAAUUGUUUCGGGUUGUUAUAUUAAUGGCGUCAAAUUUUUGGGAGCCGCACGAGAUGACAAGUUGUGUAUGCAAAACAGCGGUGUCCAUGUCCCAGGUGGAGGCGAAAGUACGAACAUUGAUUUCUAUGGCAAACUCACAACUGUCAUUCAAUUGCUUUACAAAGAUCGAUACUAAGUGAUCAUGUUUAAGUGUCGAUGGUUUGAUAGCAACCCAAAUAGGCCGGGAAGUGUUAAAAUCAACCAUGGCUUACUAUCUGUGAACAUUAACAGAACUUGGUAUGAUGACGACCCUUACAUUUUGGCAAACAUGGCAACACAAAUUGUGUAUCUAGAUGACCCUAAAGCCGGGAGCAGUUGGAAAGUUGUUCAGAAGAUGGAUCAUAGGAACUUGUAUGCUAUACCAGAACUAGACCCAACUGACAAUGACGUCAACAAUGUGGCUGACCAACGUUUAGAAUCUUCAAUGGAAAAUGAUGCGGAAACACUUCGAGAUACACAUGUUAUACAAGAACCGUUUCAAAUACAAGGAGUGUCUUCAAUCGAAAUACCGAUUCAGUCAAUUACAAUUGACCUCGGGGAUCUUCCAAGAUUCGAUGUUGCAGUGAGCCCGAGCAACGAAGAUGAUGUAGUUAUAGAGGAGGAGGAGGAGGAUUGGGAGACUGAAAGUGAUGAUAGCGAAGAUAACGAAAGUUAUUAUAGUUCAGAUGAUGAAUAAUUAAAUUUUUUAUAUUUUUAUUAUGCUAGUGUACAGACUUUGUGUAAAACAAAAGUUUGAAUAUAUGUAGUUGUGAUAUCCAAACCUUAUAUAUGUGGACAACUGAAACAUUAUUAAAAUAAAUUUAGUUAUAAAACAUCGGUAAAUCAAUAUAUCCAAACCCUUUUAAUAUUCAUUUAAAAUUUUUUUUUUUGACAAAAACGUUUACAAAAUGAAAAUGAUAAAAUAUUUGUUAUAAAACAUUGAUAAAUAAAUAUAUCCAAACCAUUUUCAUACAAAGUUUGAAAAUUAUUGACAACAAACAUUUUUCAAAAAUGAAAAUCCUUGCGCGACGAAGUACACCUCGUCACGCAAAGUUUGCGCGACCCAGUAAACAGUCGUUGUGUAAAGUUAAAACAUUGCGAGACAAAUUAUCAUCCGUCACGCGAUAGAAUUUUGCGCGACGAAUAUUUACUCUCGUCGCGCAAAUGUAUAUUCUUUUAUAAUAUAUUUUAUAUACACAUAUAUAUUCGAAAUUGACGAUCGAGUUAGUUCAUUGUAUUCAUAUAGGGUCAUGGAGUGUAGCUGUAAAAAAUCAUCAAAAUCGGAGUUAAAAUAACUGUUAAAUCAUGACUUUUCAUUUAUAACCGUUCAAAAAUUUUGUCCCGAUACUUGAUCUCUGAAUGUUUUUUUUUUCCGAUUUUUGGGGCCUAAGAUCUCGAAGUAUAAACAAACACGUUUGACGGCUGGAUUAUUGAAACUACUUUCGUAGAAUGCGUAUGCCAUCAAAACUAUAUAUUCACCAACAAUGAAUAGUUUACUUAUACUUUCAUUAAAUAUAACAUAAGAUUAUGUGGUAUCACCCUAGUGUAAACAUCUUAAAUUGAAGAUCAAAUUCAGUAAUUGUAUUCAUAUAGGGUCAAGAAAAGUAGCUAUAAAAAAUCAUCAAAAUCGGAGUUAAAAUAACCGUUAAAUCAUGACUUUUCAUUUAGAUUCGUCGAAAAGUUUUGUACUGUUACUUGAUCUCUUAACGUUUUUUUUGUCAGAUUUUCGGCGUAUACGAUCUCGAAAUAUAAAAAAACAAGUUUGCCGGUUAGAUCAUUAAAACUAGUUUCGGGUUUAGGAUUUCUGCAGUUUAGGGUUUAGGGUUUGCGCGACGAAGCCAUUUCGUUGGUCGCACAAAGCCUGCAAAGAACAGUCUUGCGCUACGAAACUAGGAUUCUUUGUCACGCAAUCUCAACCAGCCCUUUCACCCUCUUCCUCCUUGGACACUUAGCCAAAAAAAGUUGCGAGUUUACAGAAAGCGGCUUUGCGCGACGCUGCCGGUAUUCGUCGCGCAAUAUGUAUGCCAAUAAAACCUAAAUCCCAAAUUUUGGCGAAUUACAACUUUGCGCGACGAAUAUGGGAAGCUUCGCGCAAAGUUUUCAAUCUUUCCCGCUAAACCCUAAGUCCCAAAAUUUUGGCGGAUUGACAACAUUGCGCCACGAAAGAAGGUACUGUGCGUCGCACAAAGUUUUCAAUCUCUCCCGCUAAACCCUAAGUCCCAAAAUUUUGGCGGAUUGACAAUAUUGCGCGACGAAAGAAGGUACUGUGCAUCGCGCAAAGUUUUCAAUCUCUCCCACUAAACCCUAAGUCCCAAAAUUUUGGCGGAUUGACAACAUUGCUCGACGAAAUAUGGUACUGUGCGUCGCGCAAAGUUUUCAAUCUCUACCCAAUAUUUUGCCGGAUUGACAACAUUGUGCGACGAAAGACGAUACUGUGUGUCGCGCAAAAACUACCCUGAUACCAAAUUUUGGGAUUAACAAUAUUGCACGACAGAAGUUAUACUUAUGUCGUCGCGCAAGUGUCAAUUAAAAUAUUUUGCGUGACGCUUUUGUUUGUUCGUUGCGCAAAAUCGAAUAAAAUUGCAGAAACGACGCGAUAGCCUCCUUCUUCCCCAGAUUUGUUUUUCUACCCUAACUCUCUCUCUCUCUCUCCGCCUUCAGCUCAGCCCCCUACCCCAGUGGAUUUUGGACGACGGCGCCACAACAGUGGUACCCCGGAGGUUUCCCGCCGUCACCGUCGAGCCAGCCGCCCUAAUUCCUCGAUUUUCACCGAAUCUGCGCCGCCGUCGUUCUCUCUCCUUCGGCGACCAAAUCCGACACCUGAGGUAUGGUUUCUGUCCUAUUUUUGAUGCUUUAACUGAUGGUUGGGUAGGAUUUGUGUAAUUGUUGCAAUAGGGCAGUGGAUUUGAAACCCUAAAUUUCGACCGAUUUUUGAAUUCCAAUUCCGGCCACUUCUGGCCAUUUUUCAGGGUAGGUCCGAGAACAAAAGUGGCUCCAAUUGAUGUUUUGAACCUAGGGUAGGAACCUUGGCCCUUAGUUUUAAGAAAUUUUCGACGAUUGGUAUCGCUUUGGACACCCACGCUCUGCCAGCGCUUGUGGUGGCGCGUGGGGUACUGUAGCAGUCUUGCAUUGGGUCCCAGUGCAAUCCCAUAUUUGUCACGAGCGCGUAGGUGUUUUCGGAUUGGAAUUUGGUUACCGUUUGAGUCUCGAACGGAUUUUGCCUAUUGUGCGAUUUCCGGGUUUGUUAUGUUCGGACCGUUGGAUCGAACUCAAACUCACGUAUGGUGUACCUUGUAUUUCUUGGAUCGUCUAGGAUUCGACGGAUCGUGGAUCGGAGUCCCGAAUACUCCGAACUCGCAAACCCUAGGUCAAGAAUCUUAAUAAAAUUGUAUGUGCUUUCAAAUAUUCGUAUGUUUUAUUAAUUUGUAUGUGUAUUAAUGAAAUUGUGUAGAUGUCAGACCUGAUUAGACGUCGUAGGGCGGUGACGACUACGCAGAGUUCUGAGCCCCCGGCUCAACUGACAUCUGCUGCCACUGCGCCAGCACUGAUGGACCACUUGGCAGUUGGUCCCGCGGGGUCCCAGGCUCCUGCUUCAUCAGCUUCAUUAGUGGCACAACCUGUUAGCGCCAGGAAGCGUCAUCGGCCUGCCAGCACCACCGACACCACAUCCACUGAUGCGUCGGGGUCACAGCCAGGUAUAGAUUUCCUUAAACUCCAGUUAUUUAUAUUUUUGUUUUUGUUUUUAUUUUUGUUUUUGUUUUUGUUUUUGUUUUUAUUUGUGUGUGUAUUUUAUAGUUAAAUUUGUUAUUUAUUUAACAUUAAUGUCAUCUUUCUUUGCAGCCAAGAAGAACACCCGAGGGCCGUGUCGGUAGUUGAAGACGGCGAAGGUCACUCGGGUGACCAACAGUCGUAUCAACAUCGGAUACGACAAGCGACAUCGGGCUGCACCGACGGCGGAGUUGCAUAGCUCCUUGGCCCACGACAUUGGUGAUGUCAUUCCGAGCCAUUGCCCGAUGAAAUGGAAGUCUUGGAAGGUGAUGCCUGACGAGACCAAGAUGGAGGUUCGCGGCCAGUUGUCAGUAUGUAGGCCUUUUAAUUCUUUUUCUUUCAAAUUUUAUAUUUCUAUUAUUUAAAUGUAUUUAAUUAAUUUAUUGCAGACGAACUACAACUUGGAGGACCUGGACGACGAGUCGUUGGCGUACAUCAACAGACUCUUCUCUGAGAGGUACAAAUAGUGGAAGAGCGACUUGCACCACUAUUUUGAGGCGUUUGAUGAUCCAGAAGUCUCUCUUCAGGAGGGUUGCCCGAAGGAGCUUGAGGGGCGGGAGGAUAGUUGGGCGUGGCUCUGCUCUCAUUUUCAGGCGCCCGCUUUUGUGGUAAUUUGUAAUAUGAAUUUCAAAUUUAUUAUAUUUUUCUUACUAAUGUUUUUUUAAUGUUUUAUAUUUAAUUUCAAUUUCAACUAAUACGUUUUAUUUUUUGUAUAACAGAAUAAAGCCAAAGUCAAUAAGGGCAAUAGGAAGAAGAAGACUCUUCUCCAUCAUUCGGGUUCCAGGCCCUUCUCCUAUAGGAUGGAUGCAUGGCGGCAGGUAAUCAUAAAAAAAAUUUUAUUUAAUUUUUAAUAUUUAAUUAUUCUUAAUUUAUUUUUUUGUACUAAUAUUUUUCUUCUCUUGUUCAAUUUAGGGGGGUCCAAAUUCCCAGAGAUCGACGUCUUUGGCGACGUUUAUGUUCGACCUGGGAAUGAGUUGGGCGAGUCCCUUCAUGUAAGUAUUAUUUAAUUUUAAUUAUUAUGUUACGCAUUCAAGUUUAAAGGUUAUUAUAUGAAUGUUUUAAUUUAUAUUUUAUGUUAUGCUAAACAGAUGACGAUGGUGGAGAGGAGCCAGUUGGUUCUUCAAGAGUCCGCCUCCCAACUUCCUUCCGAUACUCCGAUCGAGUCUGUGGAUCCUCCACAGGAUGCUGGGUUUCAGAUCUUGACGGAGACAUUGGAUCAGACUCUAGGGAGGAGACCGGGGAUAUAUUGUCGAGGGAUGGAGAAUGCCAGGCGGAGGGAAGCCAGACCCCGUUCAUUAGCGCAGUCAAGCAGUCAGGUCACUGCUUUGACAGCACAGGUGGCCACUCUUCAGAGUCAGAUGUCGGACAUUCUGCAGUCCCUCGCACAGUUCGGCAUUCCAGUCCCGCAUUUUGAUGCGCCGACCUCUGAGCCCGUCCAUCCUGAGCAUCCCCACCAGACGACGGCCCUUGUAGACCCCCAGACCUCUGAACCGCAUGUGCCAGACGACAAUGUAGAUUUUGGAACAUUAUGAUUAGUUUUUUUAUUUUCAUAAUUAUUUUUUAAAUAUUUCUCUUGCAGCAUACAUUUAUUUUAUAUAAUAAAUAUGUUCUUUACAAUUCUUUUUUUUAUUGGAAUUUCAUUUUAUUACCCAAAAAAAAAAAACCAAAUUUAUUUUUUUAUAAAAUAAAAUAAAAAGUAAUAUUAAAAUUAAAUAAUAAUUAUAUAUAUUAAUUUUGCGCGACGAAAUCUUUCUCGUCGCGCAAAUUUAUAUAUUACGAAAUAAAAAUGUUUCAUUUUUUUAAAUACAUAUAAUUUAUUCUUGCGCGACGAAUAUUUUCGUCUCUCAAAAAGGAUUUGCGCGACAACAGUUUUUCGUCGCGCAAAAUGUGUUGACACGAAUUGCACGACGAAGAUAUCUUUGUGCCGCAAAUAUCUACGACACGUAUUGCGCGAUGAAAAUGUUCGUCGCGCAAAAAACGUAUGCGCGACAACAAUGUUUCGUCGCGCAAUACGUGUAGACAUGAAUUGCGCGACGAAGAACUCUUGGUGCCGCAAAUGUGUACGAGACGUAUUGUGCGACGAAUAUUAUUCGCCGCGCAUCGUUGUGGCGACGAACCCGCUUUCGUCGCGCAUAAGUUUGUGCGACGAACUAUUGCAUCGUCUCUGAACCUUUUGUGCAACGAAGGGUAACCGUCGCACAAAUUUGCGCGACGAGUGAUACAAUCAGUCGCGCAAAGUCUUUCUUCACCAUCUUUGCACCACAGAUUACGCGCGACGAAUUUUCUGUCGUGCUUGAGUUUGUGCGACCAAAUUUAACUCUGCGCGACGAAAUUGGCUUCGUCGCGCAAAUCGUAAAAUGUAGUAGUGGAAGUUAUCAACAUCUAUAGGAACCCCAAUGAAAAGGCUGUUAACUAAUAAUGAAGUAAACCCCUCAAUGUUUCCGCGUAUCAGAUAUCUCUCAGAAUAUGCGAUUCCAUACUCAAUAAGCAACUCCACAUCCCCUGAGGUUUUCACCAAACCACCCAUUAAGGAAACAUACUGACUCAUGUGUAAUUAUCAUUACUCAUCGGGUAAUGCAAUUGUUCAAAGGCAAGGACAUUUCUCAUUAUUUCUGUAGUGAACCCCAAUGGAAAUGGUGGGAUCUUCAGAACCCCAUUGGUGCUACUGAAUUGUAUGUCAAAUAUGUUUUCACCUUGUCGCGCCUCAAACUUGACUCCAGCGUGCUGUAAUUCUGUCAAGCUGGGUAUGGAUGAUGGGAGUUCCCCUCCAGCUUUUGAUUCCAACGGUUGAUAGAGUUUAAAUAUUUUCCUGUAAAGAUCAACAAUAUGUGCCACUGAUCUAAAAGUCUCCAAAUUGUCUUCCAUUUUGUCAACAGGCAAUAGAUGUUCGAAGAAACUGAAAGAAAGACUAAUUAUUGAAAGCCCCUCAGUAAUGCAGUUAUUGUCAGCAUCAGCAGGGAGUGUAAUUUUCUGUGGGUCGAAAAGAUCCUCGAGAAUGAAGAAUGGCAACUGAUUUUCAAGCAACCACAUAUCUGUCCAUACAUCUUGCAACAUACCUGGUUUGUCAAAUAUGCGGUCAUUUUCAUCCCAAAAUUUGAAGUAGUCCUUCAAUAAGAGCUCAAUAACGAAGGCGGCAUCCACUAGAAUGAUUGUUACAAAUUCAUCACUGCUAAACUUGAUGGGUUCUCCAUAACAACGUCUCAAUCUUGCUUCGUGGUCCUUUAUUUUCUUAAUAUAAUCCUCCAAACUCACAUUGGUCCGACCUAUAAAAUCUUGCAGGUAUCUCUGUUUGUGCUCUUCCUAUACGACAUUCAAGCCUUCCUUUCCAUGGUGAAGUGGGCCUAUAGAGACCACCUGAGGUGUGCAGAGCUUUUCAUUCACACUUCGUAGUCGUUGAGGAACUCUGUAGAUACAGCACUUGGAGGAUGGGGGAGACAAGCUAUUGAACCCUUUUCUCAUCGAAUUUGCUAAUGAAAUGUAUGGGUUUUCUAUGUCAUUUUGAGCAGAUUGAUGGCUUCCUGCCAUUUUCCAGCUCCUGACUAUAUGUGGUGUUCCGAUUGUAACAGAUUACAAUAAUGAUGAGUAUGGAUAACUGAAUUACUGAUAAAACAAUCAAGAAACAUUUCGUUAUUUUCCAUUCCCAAUAACGAAAUCAAAAUGUUCAAGGAAAUAUAAUCAGGAUAUUGCAAUUAUAUAGCCAUUCAUAAGCUGCCUGGCAUGGAAUAAGAGGUGGAAACCAAAUCUACUUAUUGGCCAAAGUUCGAAUUCACUAUAUAUAGAUAUAUAUUUUGCCAAAAUCUAAAACUGACCAACCUUAGAUACAAAAACACGGUACAGCCCGGUUAAAGUAAUUCCAAGUGCGAAGAAAGAAAGGAAUUGAGCGUUUGUACCUCUACAGCUAGCCAAAUUUUCUAUUGAUUCUUUAAAUUUUAGAGAGCAAUUACUCUUAAUUUGGUAGGUGUAGGACUGUGCAACUUCAAGCUUUAAUGAAAGAAGCCAAGUUUAUUCUAAGGGGACAAGUCAGAGACAACGAAAUUUUGCUCAGCUUCAUUUUCAAAUUUGCUGCUUAAGAAGGAAAUUUAAUAUGUUUGUUUCACAAAUUGUAUUGUCAUCAAUGAAACUCGUGCACACCCAACGAAAUUUGCAUGGCUUAUUUUCAAAGGAGUACUGCUAUUUCCAUCCUCUGUCCUAUUUUUCCACUCACCUUAUCUUCAAAAUUUUAAAGACAAAAAUAAACCCCUUUGUAAAAUGCUUAAAAAGAAAUUUAAUAUGUUUGUUUCAAAAAUUGAUAUUGUCAUCAAUGGUUAAAGAAUUGCUGGUGACAACAUAUACUUCUUUUCUACUGUAUUAAUUUCUUUCUUUAUUUUUUCUUCAGUAUAGUUCUGCCUUUCUUUUACAUGUUUAUGCGCAUAUUUGACACGUUCAAGUAUACUUAUAUAACAAAUGCAAUGAGUUUGUAGUCACAAAAAUCAAGGAUUGAAAACAAAAAGUAAUAUUAUGUGCAAGAGAAACUUACCUGCAGAAACUGAAGAACUCCUCUAGUUUCUUCUCUGUCGCUAUGUACUCCCGCGUUCAAGUUAUUAUUCUUACAAUGUACAUACACUAUUAUAUAAUGGCGAGAAGGCUCUGAUUAACCUCCUUUUUGCUUCAUUGGAUGGGGCAAGAAUGGAAUUGUCACCGUGGGUGUGGAGGUGAUCUACCAUUUGAGCAAGAAAUUCCCACAUAUUCUUUAACUAUUUUUCAAGCAUGCAUAUUCCUCCCUAUCAAUCUUUGGUCUCUUCUUUUACUAUUUUUCAAGCAUGCAUACUUUGAUUUUAAAUCAUCUUUUCCGCACUAAUUUGCUUCAAUCAAGAAACAGUUAAUAUAUUUUGUAUCAUCAUUAGAGAACACUUGAAACUGCAUAAGUUAAUUUUGAAGAUGAUGGCAGAACCAAAAUGUGUAUAGCUUAUAACUAUAAUUUCUUGAUUACAACAAGAGGUUUCAAGUUUUCAACAACACAAAUAUGAAUCUCCCAAGCAAAGAUAAACAAUAAAGCAAGCAUACGGAUUGUCAAAUUGCCUUCAAUCACUCUAAAAUACUUCAUACCGUCCGACACUGGCUUCAAUUACUCUACAAUACUUCAAUUCAUAUAUUGUCCUAUUUUCACAUGUACAUCCUGCUUUUACUUAAGGGUUAAUUGUUGAUUUACCCCUUGAACUUGUACUCUACUUUCAAUUUGCACCCUCAACUUUUUUUUUUGAAAAUUAGGUGCAUGAACUAAUUUUUAUUGCCAAUUCCCCCUACCAACAUGUCAUCUAAUAGUCUGUCAAAUCAUUAAAAAAUAUAAUAUUUUUGGAAAAAAUUAAAGAAAAAAAAAUUCCUAAGGACCCACAGACCCAGAACCCACCCUCCGUUGCCCCCGCUUGCUGUUUUCUUCUCCUCCCAGUCCCCCAUGACCACCACCCUCCACUGCCACACCAAUCCCCUACCCAACAGACCCCUCACCCCUUCUUUUUUUUCACCCCCGAACCCAGCAUGAGUUAUUGGUUAAUACCAUUUUCUUAAUUGCCAAAUAAAAAAAAAAAACAGAGUUAACCCUCUGUUAAGCUAGCUGACUAGUGGGGCGAAAUGGAGGAAAAUCAAUAUGGAGACAGCGGAUCCGGUCCCGUGUAAGUGUAUCUGAUGGAAUAAAAGAAUGAUAUUAUUGGUGGUGGGUACGGUUAUGUGGAAGUAAUAAUGGGUAAGAGAAGAAACUUGUUCUCUUGUGAUAAUCAAAAGACAGAAAGUAGUGGGAAAAGACAGAAAGUAGUGGGACACUAUUUUAGAUAUGAUAAUGUUCCUUCCUUGAUUGAUGCAAAUGAAGAGAAAAGGGUGGCUUUAUAUAAUAGCCACUACCGACCUAACACAUUAAAAACACAACUAACACCAAACAUAGUUAAUUCAACUAACUUCUACCACACCAUUAAUUUAACACACAACUACUAACAAACUGCCAACUAUUUCAAAGUUACCAGCCGACUAUUAAUGAAGUCUAGAUUACUUUAACAUCCUCCCUUAAGCUAGACUUCAUUUACGCCAAUUAAUUUUCUCAUCUUGAUGAGCGGCUCUUUCUUCAACGGUUUGGUGAACAAAUCUGCCAGCUGAUCUUGGGACUUGCAAUACAGAACCUCAACUUCUUUAUCUUUGAUUAGCUCUCUGAUGAAAUGGAACUUGAUCUUGAUGUAACACCCCGACCCCAAAUUUUCCCAAAUUUUACCCUUAUUUAAUUAUUUAAUUAUUUAAGGGUAUUUUAGUCAUAUUUUUAACCGGAGAGAGUUUGGGACCGUGACUAGUAUUUUUGGAUAGGUCGAGCUGAGACGAGUUCAUAGACACGUAGUGGGCUCGAAUCGGAGUUGUAACGAGAGAGAUAUGGUCAAAAGAAGCCCAGUGGCACAAUCGUAAAUAUUUCGAAAUGGGAUUUUUUAUAAAAACUCAAAUUUUUCUCUCUCUCUCUCUCUCUCUCUCUCUCUCUCUCUCUCUCUCUCGCGACUCCUCUCUCUCUCUCCCGUCGGCCUCUCCUCUCUCUCUCUUCGUAACUCCGGCCACCGGCCGCGGCUGCGGACGGGGCCGGUGUCAAAAGAACCGGCUCGACCUCGGCAUCACGACCCAGCCCAUCCCCGCCAUCGGCCGCCGCUCCAGCCGCCGGAAAAUGGCGAUUUUCGCCCAGAUGUCGCCGGAACUUCAACGCCGUCGAUCUCCCUCCUCCGGCCACCAAUUCCGUCGACCCAGGUAUGGAUUUUGAACCUCUCGAGCUGCUCUAGCUGAUGGUUGGGUAGGAUUAGAUCGAUUCUUAGCGUAGAUCACUCGAUUUUCGAAUUGAAAAUCGGCCGAAACUUCGGCCGCCGUGAUCGGCCAUUUCCGGCCACUUUUUGGGGUAGGUCCAAGAACAAAAGUGGCUCCAAAUAGGGUGUUAUACCUAGGGUAGGAGUUUGGAGCCGUGGUUUUGAGAUUUUCCGGCGGAGCGUUAUCGCUUUGGGCACCCACGCGCUGCUGGCGCGUGCGGCGGAGCGUGGGCACUGUAUAAAAAGUAGCGAUGUAUUCCGAUGAGAUCCUUAGGUUGUCACGAGUGCGUAGGAUUUUGCGGAUCUCAAUUCGGACGUCGUUUGACUAUCGAACGAAUAAUCGCAUAGUGUGCGUUAUCCGGGUUCGAUAGGUUGGGACCGUUGGAUGGUCCCAAAUUUAAUAUAUGUUAAUCUAGGUAUUUCUAGGAUCGUGUAGGAAUUCACGGAUCGUGAAUCGGAACUCCGGAUGUUCCGAAUAAUAAUUUUAAGUUUAUAUUUUAUAUUAACCAUCAGAUCGUGCGAUCGUGAGCAAUCCGACCGUCCGAUCUGAACCAAACUUGCAGGACAAGUGUCCUACACCUGGUAGAACCCAUAGGGACUUCCGGAUCGGAAAUUGGAGGUCGUGGGUUCUGCAGGUCCGUUUGACCAGGGUUAGAGUAGUUUGACUCUUGGUUGACCGUGAGUCUCCCGGAGUAAUCUCACCCUUCCAGGGGGAAUUAUCGGGAGCUAGACUAUUGUGGAGGGUUACACAAUAUUAGAAUUAUUUAUAUAAAUUAUGUGGUUGUACAAGGGUACAACAGAGUCUAGAAUGUCAGUUUGGAGUGCUAUACGCACUACUCUAGGUACCUCCUCGGACUUUGGAAUUUCUACAAGUACCACCAAGUGAAAGUUAGGUCCCACGUGGCGUAGGUUAUCCGGCGUGUCGACAGACCCCAUACGUGGCGUUGGUUGUACCGGCGUAUGGGGAGAUUUGUGAUAUGAUAUUGAGGUCCCGCGUGGCGUAGGUUAUCCGGCGUUGGGACAGGCCCCAUACGUGGCGUUGGUUGUACCGGCGUAUGGGGAGAUAUUAUGAUAGUAUGGCAUGGUCGCACGUGGCGUAGGUUAUCCGGCGUGUCGACAGACCCCAUACGUGGCGUUGGUUGUACCGGCGUAUGGGGAGAUUUGUGAUAUGAUAUUGAGGUCCUGCGUGGCGUAGGUUAUCCUGCGUUGGGAUAGGCCCCAUACGUGGCGUUAGUUGUACCGGCGUAUGGGGAGAUAUUAUGAUAGUAUGGCAUGGUCGCACGUGGCGUAGGUUAUCCGGCGUGUUGACAGGCCCCAUACGUGGCGUUGGUUGUACCAGCGUAUGGGGAGAAUAUGUGAAAUACAGAGAAAUGAAAUAAGGUAUUGCCCAAGUGUGGAAUUGGGUUUUAGGGAAGAACUACUUAUGGCUUGAUCCCUCAAGGAGGGUACGUAGGCAGCCUAAGGUUAUUAGGUGCAGCCGCAGACUAAAUAUUAGUCAUAAAUUGUAAUUGAACUGUUUGGUAGUCGUUUGAGGAAGUAUUGAAAGGCCGAAGGCCAUUUGUGUGAAUUGCAUGAAAUUAUAUUGUGCAUGCUGCCAGUUGGGAAUAUUAAAUGCGUUUUUAUGCAGGUAUAAAUUUUGGGAAUGUCCAAUUUACAGGGGAGACUCUGCCAAAAUUUCGGCAGGAAGUCUCGGUUUUUAGUAAGUGGGCCUGGCAUCGGGGUGAUGUCAGGAAUUCCAAAGGGUUCGUCUCGGGUUUUGAGAAAAUUCGGGGCGGGUCCUUUCACUUGAUAUGCUUACUCUUGCUGUGAAACAUUGGAUUUUUGGAAAGACAAAUAGCUGAUUUGUUGUUGCAGAACAGCUUUGUAGGUCCUUCUUGAACUUGACCCAUCUCUUCUAAAAUACUUUUCAGCCACCUAGCUUGACAACCUGCUGAUGCAAGAGCAACAUACUCAGAUUCUGUAGUUGAAAGUGCCACUAUAGAUUGCUUUUUGGAGGACCAUGAAAUCGCACUUGAGCCAAUGCUAAAGACAUAACCAGAUGUGCUUUUGCAAGUAUCAACAUCUCCACCCAAGUCACUGUCACUGUAGCCAGUCAAAUUUAGAUUCUGAAUAGGAUAAUAAUGCAAACCAUAAUUGAUAGUUCCAACCACAUAUCUUAGGAUUCUCUUUCCAAGCUCCCAAUGAACAUCUUUUGGUGACUCCACUAAACGGCUGAGGAAGCUUACUGCAUAUGUAAGAUCUGGCCUUGUUGUAGUUAAAUACAAGAGGCCACCCACUAGACUUCGAAACAAAGUUUGAUUUACCAUUGUGCUUCCAUCAUUCUUACCUAUCUUAACACCAACCUCCAUUGGAGUAGCAAUUGACUUUGCAUUUUCCAACCUGAACCUUUUCAACAAUUCCUUUGCGUAUUUCUUUUGAGAAAUAUAGAUACCAUUCUCAUUUUGUUUGACUUCAAUUCCAAGAAAGAAAUGAAGCAAACCAAGGUCUGUCAUUUCAAAUCUUUGUGACAUAAUCAUCUUGAAAUUAUCACACAUUUGAGCAUUACUUCCAGUAAAUAUUAAGUCAUCCACAUAUAAGCAGACAAUCAAAAUCUCACCUUGAGAGUUCUUCUUGGUGUAAAGAGUAUGCUCAUAUGGGCAUUUGUGAAACCCAUACUCUUGGAAGAAUGCAUCAAUCCGACUGUACCAAGCUCUUGGAGCUUGUUUCAAACCAUAUAAAGCCUUCUUCAAUCUACACACUUUUGUUUCUUCAUUUCCCUGCACAUAACCUGGAGGUUGAGCAACAUACACUUCUUCUUCCAAAAAACCUUGCAAGAAUGCUGGUUUAACUUCCAUUUGAAAGACUUUCCAACAAUUUUGGGCAGCAAGAGCUAACACCAUUCGGAUGGUGUCAAAGCGUGCAACUGGAGCAAAAACUUCAUUGUAAUCAAUUCCAUAAUUUUGCUUGUAGCCUUUAGCUACCAAGCGAGCUUUGUAUUUCUCAACUUCUCCUUGAGCAUUCAGCUUGGUCUUAUACACCCAUUUUACUCCUAUAGGCUUCUUUCCUUGAGGAAGAUCAACCAGCUCCCAUGUGUCAUUUUUCUUAAUGGAAUCAAUUUCUUGAUCCAUAGCCUUCACCCAAUUUUCAUCCUUUGAAGCCUCUUCAAACAUAAUUGGGUCUGCAUCUACAAAUAGAGCAAAAUUUGUGCCACCAUUAGUGAUCAAAACAUAAUCACUAGAUGGGUACCUUGUGGAUGGUUGAUGAGCUCUUGUUGAUCUCCUUUGUCCUCUGCAAAUUUCUUCUUCCUCACUGCUAUCACUAGAAGAAGUUGAUGAUGACCCUUGUGAUGAAGAUUCCUAUGAUGAUAGAGUUGUUGGUGGAGUUAAAUCUGGAUUUUCAAGGCCAAUGUCCAACAGUAUUGGACUUUGAUUUUCAGCUUCACUCCAAUUCCAUGCUUCUUCUUCAUUGAACUUGACAUCACGACUAACAAUAAUCUUGUUAGUCAAUGGAUUAAACAACUUAUAUGCCUUGGCCUUUUCACUAUACCCAACAAGAAUGCACUUUUCUGAUUUGUCAUCCAAUUUUCUCCUUGUUUUAUCAGGAAUAUGAGAAUAAGCAAUGCUGCCAAAUAUCCUUAAGUGACUAAUACAUGGCUUGAGGCCACUCUAAGCUUCUUGAGGAGUCUUGCCUUCCACACUAUUGGACGAUGCACGGUUCAAGAGAUAUACAGCACAUGCCACUGCUUCUGCCCAAAAACGAUUAGGCAUUGCUUUUGCCUUCAACAUGCUUCUUGCCAAUUCCAUAACGGUCCUAUUUUUUCUCUCGGCCACACCAUUUUGCUGUGGGGUGUACCGAGCUGUGAACUGAUGCUUAAUCCCAUUUUCUUUUAGAAAAUUUUCGAACACAUUGGAUGAGAAUUCUCCACCUUGAUCAGACCGCAAGGUUUUCAAUGCAAAUCCACUUUGCUUCUCAGCCAAAGCUUUGAAAACUUUAAAGUAAUCAAACACCUCUGAUUUAUAUUUGAGAAAAUAGACCCAUGUCUUUCUGCUAUAAUCAUCAAUGAAUGUAAGAAAGUAGCGGUUACCUCCUGUUGAUGUUGUGUUCAUGGGCCCGCAUACAUCUGAGUGCACCAGCUCAAGAGGAUGGGAUGCUCUCCAAGAAUUUCCUGUAAGAAACGAAUUUCUCUGAUGUUUUCCCAGCACACAUGCUUCACAAACUUGUGUUUGAUGCUGUAUCGUUGGUAGGCCUCGUACCAUAUGUUGUUUCCCCAUCAAUGAUAGUGUAUUGAAACUCAAAUGCCCAUAGCGUAGAAGCCACAACCAUGAGGAAUCCUUGAUAAGUGCACUUAAGCAAGCAAAAGAUUCAUACUUUAUGUUCAGAGAAAACAUAUUGUCUCCUGACAUCUGCACCUUUGUAAUUAGAGAGUUGUACUUGUCUCUAAUUACACACUGGUCUUCCCUGAACUGAAUAUUAUGGCCUUUAUGAAGAAGUUGCCCCACACUAAGGAGAUUGUAAUUUAAAUCUGGAACAUAUAACACAUCAGAGAUUCUUUUUUGUUCUCCAGACUUGGAUAGAAAAAGAAUAUCUCCACAUCCUUUGGCCACUAGCUUUCCACCAUCACCAAUCCUUACUUCUGAGUUGUUGGUAUGCUUGAAAUUGACAAAGGCACUUUUGUUGCCUGUCAUGUGAUUACUACAUCCGCUAUCAAGAUACCAUUUUUCUGCACACACGUUUCCUUCCCUGGCAGCUGCAUAUGCAAGUAGAACCACAUUAUCAUUUUCCCUUUCAGAAGCUUUUUCAUGCACAAAGCUUGAUUCGGCUCCUCCAUUUGUUUUGUUUUUGCAUGUUGACUUGAUGUGCCCAUAUUGCUUGCAAUUGUAGCACUGAAUAUUAGAAAGAGAGGAACCUUGUUCUCUUCCUCUUCCUCUUGAAUAACCACCAUAAUCUCCUCUUCCUCUUGGAUAACCAUAAUCUCCUCUUCUUCUUGAAUAACCAUAAUCUCGUGCAGAGCCUUCAUCAUUAGUUUUUUUUAGGUCAUUUGCAUAGCCACGUCCUUGAUUAUUUCUUCCUCGUCCACGAGUAAAGCCGCCUCUUCCUCUUCUAGAACUUCCUCUGAAUGAGACUUGAGAUUGAAAAGCUUGCUCAACAGGGCCAGAGUCAAACUGCUUCAGUCGUAACUCAUGGGAUUGAAGAGAACCCAUUAAACUGUCAAGAGACAAAGUAGACAGAUCUUUGGAUUCUUCAAUUGCCACCACAAUAUAUUCAAACUUUCGGGGACAUACUUCGAAGAAUUUUUUCAGCAACUCUCUGAUCUUCAAUUUUUUCUCCAUUAAUUCUCAGUUGGUUGACUAGAGAAAUGACACGAUUGAAAUAGUCUUCAACAGAUUCUGACUCCUUCAUACGUAACAUAUCAAACUCACCUCUUAGAGUUUGCAGUCUUGCCAUCUUCACUUUAUCUUCUCCUUUAUAUGAUGCAAAGAGAGUGUCCCACGCCUGUUUUGAUGUAAUGCAUGAUGAGAUUCUUUCAAAGAUAGCUUCAUCCACUGCUUGAAAGAUAAAGAAUAAAGCUUUUUUGUCCUUCUUACGUGUCUCCUUCAGCUCUGUGAGUUGUUGUUGAGUGAGGACUGCUUGAUCAUUUGGCUCCACAAAGCCAUUUUCAACCACCUCCCACAAAUCUUGAGCAGCAUACAACACCUUCAUUUGGAUGCUCCAUUGACUAUAAUUCUUCCCUGUAAACUUUGGAAGCUGGGGCUGUAACAAGUUGUUGUUUGAAGCCAUAUGAUUCUGAGUUUCCAGCUCUGAUACCACUUUGAUGGAAUAAAAGAAUGAUAUUAUUGGUGGUGGGUACGGUUAUGUGGAAGUAAUAAUGGGUAAGAGAAGAAACUUGUUCUCUUGUGAUAAUCAAAAGACAGAAAGUAGUGGGACACUAUUUUAGAUAUGAUAAUGUUCCUUCCUUGAUUGAUGCAAAUGAAGAGAAAAGGGUGGCUUUAUAUAAUAGCCACUACCGACCUAACACAUUAAAAACACAACUAACACCAAACAUAGUUAAUUCAACUAACUUCUACCACACCAUUAAUUUAACACACAACUACUAACAAACUGCCAACUAUUUCAAAGUUACCAGCUGACUAUUAAUGAAGUCUAGAUUACUUUAACAGUAUCGAAUCUAGCUUUAAUAUGUAUUGGGUCCUCUGGACAAGAAUUCUAUCCUUUUCGUCCUAACUAAUAUGUAGGGGAAAAACAAUACAUCAAUUAUCCUUUUCGUCCUAACUAAUAUGUAGGGGAAAAACAAUACAUCAAUUAUGAAUUUUUUUUAUCUGGGUUCGAAAUUAAAUAUGAAUGGAGUUUUGGAGGCUUAAAAGUUAUAAGCUCAAGAAAGGAAGGAAACUAUAUGUACAUUUGGGUCGGAGGCAAAGGUCCAGUCAUCUACCGUCCAGGAUAUACAGUAUCAAAAAAGGCUUAAGAAUUGUAAUAAGGUGACAUACGCCCACAUACGGCCAACGCUAGCAUAUUUCGUAAGUGUAUUAUAUGUCUUCUAAGUAUAUCAUAGUUAUGUGUCAAUUUUAGAUCCAAUUGCACACCCAAAAUACAGAAACAAAAUCAUUGAGAAUACACUUUUUUUCACUUAUAUUUUGAAUAUGCAUUGCCUGUAUUUCAUGUGUAUGAUAUAGGGGCUUCACUUAUAGUUUUUGCACAAAACCUCCCUUGAUGAAGGAUGUCUUAGAUUAAUGACAUCAAUGAUUUGUUACAUUUGGAGUACCCAACAUAACAGCUCUCUGAUUAACAAUAAAGUUAUAAAAUUUCAACAGUUUCAUACCUAACAAGCAUAGAGAAACAAAUAAAACAACCACAUUGCUUCGAUCACUGUACAUGCACACAGCUCACUUUCACUAACUACAGAGGCUAUAUUUUCUACAUAUACACUAACUUUUUCUUUCUCCAGCUCUCUUACACCACCAGGCUGGUGACAAACCCAGCUCGCGUCAUGUGGAGGACCAAAAGGAAAUGACAAGGAGAAAACGGCUAAGGAGAGACUUACUCUCAACACUUAGAAGGCAGAGCAGAGAUAACAGAGCACACUGCUUGUAUAAAAGUGAGUAUGAGGAGAAAAAUAGCGGUAGCAAUUGAAAUAGUUGCCCAAGGUGUGUUGCAAUAGUUUUGUCUCAAGUUUGCCUGCCAUUUGUGCCAAGACGUUCUGCAGUACUUGUUGAGGUCUGCACAAAGAAUAGCAAAAUAGAAGUCAUUAGAGUCCACAAUGACCCCAUCUGCAAGGUUGUUGAUCAGAGUAGACCCUCCACUACUGUCACCGAGCAUAUUUUCGACGAUUCCUUGCUUAACAACCAACUCCACAUCCGUUGCGGUGUUCACAAAGCGAUCCACGAUGACAACAUAAUUGUUUAUGUAAUUCUCCAUGCAAUGGCAUUGUUCAAAGGCAAGGAGGUUUCUGAUUGUAAGCUCUGUCUCAUCACUUAUUGCUAAUUUUGGAAUUUCUAGAAUCCCAUUAGCGAAUUGUAUGUCGAAUAAGUUUUUGGGUGAUCCCACCUUAAACUUGACUCCUGCUCUGUGUAACUCUGUGAUGCUGGAUGUGUUUAAGAGUUUCAAGUCGCCCCUUAGCAGGUGGUUUCAAUGGUAGAGGUAGAUACAAAUUUCUACAAAAAUCUACAAAGUGUUCUACUUUAGAAGUACAUAAUUUCUCCAUAUUGCCAUCCGUUCCCUCUAUGUGCAUUAGAGUUUUGAAGAAAUUGUGGCAAAGGUUAAGCAUCGAAAGCCUCUCAAUAUUGUUAUUGUUAGAAGAGACUUUGAUUUUUUCGGGGUCAAAAAGUUCCUCAAGAAUGAAGAAUGGCAGCUGAUUUUCAAACAACCGCAUGUCAGGCCAUACGUCUGGCAACAGCCAUGGUUUGUUAAAUAUGCGGUCAAUUUCAUCCUGCAAUUCAUCGAAACGAUACCUCAACAAGACCUCAAUGAUGAAGGCGGCAUCCACUAGAAUGAUUCUCACAAAUUCAUCACUGCUAACCUGAAUGGUUUCUGCAUAACAACUGCGCAGUUUUGCUUCUUGGUCUUUUACUUUCUGUACAUAAUCGGCUAGGCUUACCCUGGUCCGACGUAUAUAAUCUUGUAAGUACCUCUUUUUGUGAUCUUCCAUGGCUUUUAGGCCUUCCUCGCCAUGAUGAAGUGGGCCUAUAGAGACUACCUGAGGUGUGUAGGCCUUUUCACUCACACGCCGUAGUCGUUCAGGAACUCUAUAAAUGCAACACAAGGAGGAGAGGGAAGACAAGCCAUCCAACUCCUCACUCAUUGAAGUUACUAAUGGAAUGCAAGGGUUUUCAAUAUCAUGUGGAGCUUGAUCGCUUCCUUCCAUUUUCCGCUGAUGUGUUUGUUGUUGUCAAUCAUAAUGGAUGAUAAUGAAAUGAUAGUCACUGACACAACAAUAAACAAAUUUUUCAAGAUGGCUGAGAAAAUUAAUACAAACAUUGCAAUUAUAAGACCAAACACACAAAGACUUUUGAUCCUUGUAACUCUUACAUACCACACUAGUGCCUUAAGAAUUCGAUUUGAAUGCACCAAAUUCAUUCAAAACUCUUCUGGUCAACUCUGUUUCUUGUAAUUAUUCUUGGAAGAUUCUAAUACAUUUUUGAUUGAAAAAUUCCUACUAAUCAUGUGAAUCAGUACCAAAGUUUAUUUCAAAUUAACAUACAAACCCCACUUUUUUUUUCCUACAUAUAUACUUCUUUAUUUCCCCUCAACUUAUUGGAGCUUCUAAUAAAGCAAAUUCUUUCUGUGAUGAUAUCAGAUAGUAGAUUAUGCUUCCAGUCAAAACAUAGACAAACCAAAAUCCCAUUAGAAGAGAAGAAAAUAAUAUACGACAUUCACAUAACCUUCUGCUCAAUUCCAAUUUCCAACUACAAUGAAACAUAAGACACUUAAAAGCUUCAAGAAAUUGGAUGUGCAAGCAAACAUAGCGAAAUUAUGAAAGACAGAGAAAGGUGUUGGGCAUUGAAAACAUACCUGAUACGUAUUGAAACACAAUUUUUUUUUGCCUUUGGUAGAUGGAGUAGCUAGAAAAGCUCAAUGCACUUGCUCUUCUGCUACAUUUCAAUAUAAGAACAUUGUUUGGAAGUCCGGUCAAUUCCUCAAAGCUUCCUUGCCUUUGUUUUGACAUGCCGAUGCCCGUCUUGGGGAAGUUUGAAUAAUCCAUUGCAGGCCCCAUGAUAGGAUUUUUAGUACUUGUGCAAACAGUGUUAAAAAUCACAUAAAAUACUUGCAAGAAUACAAGGCUAUUGUAGUAUAGAUGCUCAUGCAAGGUCGUUUUCCUCAAGGACUAAUUAGCAAUUUAUGUAAAAACAAAUUCCAAUUACUACUUAAAAUAAAAAGUCAAGAAAGAUGAUUAUAAAUUUGGUGGAUUCUAAAAAACAAAUAUUAAACAAAAACAAAUACGAUUGAAAGAAAGAGUUUUGAAUAUCAAUUUAUAAAAACACUAGGGUUUCACCAUCACCUAGCAAUCCUAUGAACUUUUACCAAUUACUUAUGAUUUGCACAUGCCACUUUGAAGGUUAGGUUUUCCUAAUGUAUAUUCUACUUGGAACCUCCAACACAGAACGUAUAUCCAACAUGCAACCCGUCCGGACGUUCGGAUCAAAUCUGAACAUGAAAGACUCAUUAAGUUUUGUGAAAACCCUUUGAAAAACCAUGCAACCCUUAAGACGUGGUGUUCAUCUUAAGUGAAAUUACAAUUAUUAAUCACAAGAAGCUAGCAUAAAUUUCAGGGAACCUUCCGACCAAAAUUGCAUCCAAUUACUUUUCUAAAGAUCCUAAUGGUGAUCAGGCAUUAAGACAAUUAGAUAGUUUAAAAUAGUGAUUAACAAUUCAAAAUACGCAUGCACUCAUCAUAAGCAAUUAAAUAAAAAUCACAUAUUCAUGCUAAGGUUCAAGGCUUCACCCUAGCAAAAGAAAUUUAGUUACGCAUACUCAUAAUUGAAAUCCAAGAAAAUAUCAUUAAGAAGAAAAGAACGAAAACACCUGAAAGUUGUGAAAACCCAAAACCCUAGCAAUUGCUCUCUACAAUGCAAAGUUCAAAAAUAAUUAAGAAGUCCUAAAUUCCUUGUGAGAAAGAGCUUAAAUAUCCCUUAAAACCUAGCUGCCAAUGUACAGCUUUUCUAUCCCUACAAGGAAACUAAUUAAAGUAAAAUAAUACUAGGAAAUAAAGUCCAAAUUGGAAUAGGAGAAUUUGCCCAAAAUCAGCCCAGCCACGUUUUGGCCCCAAAUCUCCUCCAAAUCUGGCCCAAGAUAGCUUUUUUUAAAGACACUACUACAAAAAGUGAAAAAGACGACCAGAAAACAACGACGGUCUAAGUGAAAACCGUCGUGGUUUUUAAAAAGACGACGGUUCUAAAAACACCGUCGUGUAAUACCACCUUAGACAACUAAAAAAUGGAGAUUCAAAUGGCUGUUCAAAAACAACGACGUACCUAAUUAAACAACCGACGUCUAUUUGAAACAGAUUUCCGCAGUGUAAAAUCAAAGCAAACAAAGAACGGCAGAAGUUAUGAAUAGACCGACGUAGAAAGUAAAGACGACGAUUUCAAUAAAAGCCGCCGUUUUUACUCAUAAAAUAACACGACGAGGUUUUCGUAUAAGACGCCGUAUAAUUACAAACAAAUCCACGGCUUUAAAAUACAAAAUAAUCUUAACAGAUGACACAGAUUUGCAAUCAGAGAGACAAUUUUUUGGAAGUUGAUCAACGUCGUUGAAAAUUUGCAAUCAGAGAGACAAUUUUCAACGACGGUUAUAUUAUACCUAACGACGUUUAAAAACAAAUCAACGUCGCUCAACAAAUAUAUUACGUCGUCUUAGUCUUACUUAAGACGACGAAAAACGACGACAGUAGUAAAAAAACAGUCGUUGUUUUUAUAUUCUUAUUUUAUUUAAAUCUGUCGUGUUAGUUAAAAACGACGGCAUAACAAAAAACCGUCGUUUUGUUUCAAACUGAAUUAAUUUAAAAUUUCUUCAGGAAAGCAAAAUCUAUUUAUAAUUUCCUCGGGUUAGUAAUAUUGUGUCGUGUUAGUUUACAAAUUCUAGAACAUUAAUUUCCCUCAUUUUAAAUUUUCUCGGGAAAGAAAAAUCUAUUUAUCACGCUUUGUAAUUGAAAACUAAAACUGAAAGAAUUCUGGAAAAAAAACUCUAUUUAUAAUUUAAAAAUAAAAUGCACGUCGGUUGUAGUACACUUAACGACGUUUAACAAAAUAAUCUACGUCGGUAAUUAUAAAUCUACCGCCAUCUUACCCUAAUAUAGACGACGAGAAAAGACGACGGUAGAACAGAAAACCGCCGUUGUUUCAGUUUCUUUAACAGUUUGGUCCUUUAUCUUUCUGCAGGACUUGUAUAGUUCAAAGCAUUGACAAUGUCUUCAUCAUAUCUCCCAGCAACUACUGAUUCGAUUGCUCAUGCUUUAGAGGCCAUCUGAAGCCAUUUCUAUUCUUUAUCGCAUUCUUGAAACCCAUCUUCUUCUUCUGAAGCUCUACGGAUAAAGGAANNNNNNNNNNNNNNNNNNNNNNNNNNNNNNNNNNNNNNNNNNNNNNNNNNNNNNNNNNNNNNNNNNNNNNNNNNNNNNNNNNNNNNNNNNNNNNNNNNNNNNNNNNNNNNNNNNNNNNNNNNNNNNNNNNNNNNNNNNNNNNNNNNNNNNNNNNNNNNNUUUUUUUUGGGGUUGGUUUUUUAUAGUAACCAGUUAUAACAGUAGUGGUUGUGCAAUGUUUGGUUCCCUUAAGCUUCGAUCCAACCGUGUAGCCAGCUUUAGGUCAAUGUCUCCCAAACCACUCGGGUUUUAGGGCACUAGGUGUAGAACACCCCUAAGGACUUAUUAACUCAAGCUGAAAAGGCUACGAAACCAACUAACCACCCUGCCUCAUGCCAAAACUCUACCUUUUGUCUCGAAAAUCACUGCUGAUUAGGCAGGACUGGCCCGGUUACUAGCAAAGCUUCGGGUGAGGCAAUUAUUACUUUAUAACACAUACUAACUUUAUUUAAAUUGAACAGAAAUUAAAACACACUUGGACAAAAAGUAAGUAUUCCAAUCUCACUCCCCAAAAACCAUAUUGGUGUGAUGUGCAAAUUUCAAAGUAUAAUUCAUGAAUUAGUGUCUAAGCAACAAUAAAUAGAAAAGACUCUACUGUGGGAUUGAUUUUCACUAUGUCCAUUUAUUCUAACGUUUAAAAUAAUCUAUGGAUAUUGACUGAAAAACGAAAAUUUUAAACAAGACUUAAAAAAAACUAAAAAUCUAAAAUUUACUUUCCCACCCCCUAACUUAAAUCACACAUUGUCCUCAAGGUGUGGUAAAUAAUCAAAAGAAACAAGAGCAGAAACAAAACGACUAAAUCCUAGAAAAUGAAAAUCAAAAAUAAAGAAAAUACUCUAAGAAAAGAAACUAGGAAGGAAAAAUAGAAGAAUAAUAAAAUAAAAUAAAAUAAGAAAGAAAAGGAGAAAAACAACAAUAGAAAAGAAAUAGGAAAGAAAAUACCCAAAAAUGAGACACCUUGGGGAUUCAAAGGCAGGACCAGGCGGAGUGUUGCGAAAAAGCGCUGACCAACUCAACCACGUCCACACUGGCAUCAAAUAGGAGCGACAGCUACAAUAUAACCUGCUGUAGCUGCUGCAUCUGUCAUUUGAAAAAUAUUGGAUUCCCUUCUCCUACCCCGAGCUCAGAGCCGAAAGGCUCUCUUCUGUCCAUUCCCAUUUUGCAGAAGAAAAAAGAAUAUUGCUGGAUAAACCAAAGCCUCCGCUGUGUCCAGAGAAUCAGAAAAGGUCUCUGAUUUCUCUCUUCUCAAGGCCAUCCAUCUCCGCCUUCACUCUUCUUCAUUCUCUCCAACACUCACGAUCCUUUCCUCUCUUUCAACCCAAUUACACCAGCGUUUUCAUCUGCGUGAGGAGGCCACAUUUGCAGCAAACACAACCAGUGAGGUUGAAUUAUCUGAUGCACCUGAAUUUUUGGAUGGUUUUGGAGUCCCUAGAUUCCUCAAAUUCAGAUCUGUCUCCAUCCAUGUCACCAGAUGCUAACUUGUUCCAAGAUGAAAACAAGCUGAAGCCGAACAAGAGUCUAUUCUCCACCAGUAAGGACCCCAGAUCUGUGCAUCCCGUAGGUAAACUUUCGAACCCCAGAACUGGUUUUUUUUUUUUUUUUUUUCCGUUUUUUUUUUGUUUUGAAAAUAAAAGAAGUAAAGAGUUUAGAAAAAUUGGGUUGCCUCCCAAUAAGCGCGCUAUUUUAAGUCUGUAGCUAGACUUUGCAGAAGCCUGGUGGUCAAAUCACUGGUUCCUUCAGAGUCAAAGACUCGGCUGCAAUGUCAAAGGGUGUCUCCACGUAGGGUUUUAGCCUAUGACCAUUCACCUUGAACGUGUUGCCUUUAUCUUCAUUAGUGAUUUGAACUGCUCCAUGAGGAAAAACUUGAGUCACUAGGUAGGGUCCAGUCCAGCGAGAUUUUAAUUUCCCUGGAAACAACUUGAGCCUUGAACUAAAUAACAGAACCUUUUGCCCUGGCUGAAAUUCCUUCCGUAAAAUUUGACUGUCAUGAAAUGCCUUAGUUCUUUCCUUGUAGAUGCGAGAACUAUCAUAAGCACCUUGACGAAUUUCCUCUAGCUCAUUUAACUGCAAUUUCCGCUUUUCCCCAGCUGAGUCAUAUGCAAAAUUUAACUCUUUAAUGGCCCAGUAAGCUUUAUGCUCCAGCUCCAUAGGUAGAUGACAGGCUUUCCCAUAAACAAGUCGGAAUGGUGACAUCCCAAUAGGAGUUUUAUAAGCUGUCCUGUAUGCCCACAAAGCAUCAUUUAGUUUGAAACUCCAAUCCUUGCGUGUAGAGCUCACUGUUUUCUCCAAAAUACGCUUUAUUUCUCUGUUUGAAACUUCAACUUGACCAGAUGUCUGUGGGUGGUAUGGUGUAGCCACGCGAUGAUUAAUCCCGUAUUUUGCCAGUAGGUUAGCAAAUGGUUUAUUAAUAAAAUGCUUCCCCCCAUCACUAAGAAUAACACGCGGUAUUCCAAAACGUGGAAAUAUAACCCCCUGGAGGAACUUCAGGACCACUGAUCCUUGAUUAGUUGGUGCUGCAAUGGCCUCGACCCAUUUUGAAACAUAUUCCACAGCCACUAAAAUAUAUUGGUGCCCAUUAGAAGAUGGGAAUGGCCCCAUGAAAUCAAUACCCCAAACAUCAAAUAGUUCAACAAUUAGGAUACUUUGUUGGGGCAUUUCAUUCCUUCUGGAUUGAUUGCCGACCCUUUGACACCGAUCACAUGCCUUGCACCAAUUCUGUGAAUCUCUAAAAAGUGUUGGCCAAAAUAACCCACUCUGUAGGAUUUUCUCUGCUGUCCUUUUCUGCGCAAAAUGUCCUCCUCAAGCAUAGUGAUGAGCAAACUUUAAAACACUUUCUUGUUCAGCCUCCGGAAUACACCUGCGAAUAAUCUGGUCUGCACAAUACUUGUAUAAGUACGGUUCAUCCCAGAAAUAGUGCUUUACAUCAGAUAAAAACUUCUUUUUCUGCUGGUAGGAAAAAUCUGGAUGCACCACACCCUUAGCCAAAUAAUUGACAAUAUCUGCAAACCAAGGUGUGUCAAUUUUGACAGCAAAUAGCUGUUCAUCUGGGAAACUUUCACUCAAUGGUAGAGAAUCUGCCUCUGUAGCUGCUGGAAUAAUUAAUCUAGAUAAAUGAUCAGCCACAACAUUCUCACUGCCCUUCUUGUCUUUAAUCUCUAAGUCAAAUUCUUGAAGUAAGAGAACCCAACGAAUCAAUCUAGGCUUUGCAUCCUUCUUAGACAACAAGUAUUUUAGUGCAGCAUGAUCUGUAUAGACAAUUAUUUUAGCCCCAACCAAAUAAGACCGAAAUUUCUCUAGUGCGAACACAACUGCCAACAAUUCCUUCUCUGUAGUUGCAUAGUUAAGCUGUGCAUCAUUUAGAGUACGACUUGCAUAAUAGAUGACAUGGGGAAGCUUAUCUUUUCGCUGCCCUAAAACUGCCCCGACAGCAUAAUCUGACGCAUCACACAUUAGUUCAAAUGGUAAAUCCCAAUUUGGUGCAGCAAUGAUGGGUGCCGAAGUUAGGAGUGCUUUCAACUUGUUGAAUGCUUCUAAACAGGCCUUAUCAAAAUUAAAUGGUGCAUCCUUAGCCAAUAAAGUGCACAAAGGUCGACUAAUCUUGGAGAAAUCCUUGAUGAACCGACGAUAAAAACCUGCGUGUCCUAAGAAGGACCUCACACCUUUUACUGAUGUAGGAGGUGGCAGCUUUGCAAUAACUUCAAUCUUUGCCUUGUCAACCUCGAUGCCUUUGCUAGAAAUUGAAUGACCCAAGACAAUUCCCUGUUCAACCAUGAAAUGCCACUUUUCCCAGUUUAGCACUAAAUUUGUCGCUUGACAUCUCUGAAGAACUAAUGAUAAAUUCUGUAAGCAUUGAUCAUAUGAAUCCCCAAAAACAGAAAAAUCAUCCAUAAAAACUUCCACAAUAUUUUCGACCAAGCCAGAAAAAAUACUCAUCAUACAACGUUGAAACGUAGCAGGUGCAUCGCAUAAUCCGAAUGGCAUCCUCCGAUAAGCGUAAGUACCAAAUGGACAAGUGAAAGUAGUCUUCUCUUGAUCCUCUGGUGCUAUUGGAAUCUGAUUAUACCCAGAAUACCCAUCAAGAAAACAGUAAAAAGCCCGCCCAACCAACCUUUCUAACAUCUGGUCAAUAAAAGGCAAUGGAAAAUGGUCUUUUCUCGUCCCUGUGUUAAGCUUCCGAUAAUCUACACACAUUCUCCAACCCGUAGUCAAUCGUGUAGGAACUAACUCAUUAUUAUCAUUUUUCACCACUGUAAUACCGGUCCGUUUAGGCACAACUUGAGUCGGGCUAACCCAUUUACUGUCAGAAAUAGGAUAAAUCAUACCUGCAUCAAGUAAUUUCAUAACCUCUGUUCUAACCACCUCUUUCAUAAUUGGGUUAAGGCGGCGUUGAGCAUCAACUGUUAGCUUUACGUCGUCUUCCAUUAAUAUUCUGUGCAUACAUAGUGCUGGGCUGAUUCCCUUGAUAUCCGCAAUUGUCCAUCCCAAUGCAUCUUGAUAUUUUCUCAAUACACGAAGCAAUUUAUCCUCCUCUGUCGGUGUUAAAUCUGCUGCAAUUAUAACUGGCAACGUCUCUGCAGCUCCUAAAUAUGCAUAUUUAAGAUGUUGUGGUAAAGGCUUCAGCUCCAAUUUUGGCGGCUGCUGUCUGGAUGGUUUAAGGGGCUGUUUGGGCUCCCCUAAACUCUCAUACACAUUCCUAAAUUUUGGCAACACUGUGGGCAGACUGUUCAAUGCGUGUAUGUACUCAUGAACACCUUCAUCUUCAAAAUCUGUCUCAAAUGCCCCCUGUAAAACAUGCAACAACUGAUCUGUUUUUGAAUUAGCAUAAAAUCUGUCCUGCACCAUACUGUCUACCAUGUCAAUACGCAUACAAUCUAGCUGUUCAGCAGGACGUUUUGUUGCCGCAAACAAAUUAAACACCACAGAUUGGUCCUGAACCCGUAAAGUCAAUGUUCCAGCUUCCACAUCAAUUAAGGUCCUAGCUGUUGCCAUAAACGGCCUCCCCAAAAUAAUAGGUGUUUGAAGGUCUUCAUCCAUGUCUAAAACCACAAAAUCUGCCGGUAGAUAAAGAUUAUCAACCUUAAUAAUUAGAUCUUCAAUAACACCUCUUGGAUAAGUGAUUGAACGGUCAGCUAGUUGAAGUAUAAUUGAUAUAGGCUUUAAAUCUCCUUGCCCCAAUCGCUGAAAAACAGAAAAAGGCAUCAAAUUAAUACUUGCACCCAAAUCAAUUAAAGCACUCUUAAAAUUAGAAUUUCCAAUAGUGCAAGAAAUAUUAAAACUCCCUGGAUCUUUUUUCUUAGGUGGUAGUUUGUGUAGCAAAACUGCAUUGCACUGUUCUGUCAAAAUAACUUUUUCCAAAUCUGAAAGCUUCUUUUUGCUGCUGCAAACUUCCUUCAAAAAUUUGGCAUAUGAUGGAAUUUUCUUGAUUGCAUCCAGUAAGGGAAUGUUGAUUUGAACCUUGGAUAAUGUCUGCAUAAAGUCCUUGAGUUGCUGAUCUUUUACUUUUGGCUUCAAACGUUCUGGAUAUGGAAUUGGGGCCUCAUAAACACGCUCAGGUACUUGUUUUGGAACAGUUUCUAGAUCUGCCAUAUUAUGUUUUUCUACAGGUUUGGCAGGUUCUGCUGCUGCAAAAUUUUCUGUAUGAUCCUCCACUGCAUGCUGCUCCUUUUCAAUGUUAUUUUCACGAUUGUCAUAGCUUUUUCCACAUCGUAAAGUCCGAACAACUUUGCAAUCUUCACGUCCAUUUGGAUUAGGAAUUGUUUGACUAGGAAAUUUGCCCUUUUAUCUGUCUGAAAUCUGUGUAGCUAGUUGUCCAAAUUGUUGCUCCAAACUUUUAAUAGAUGCUUCAACAUUUUGAAAUCUUUGAUUGUUGCCCUCGAUGAAUGAUUGAGUUGUUGCUGCCAGUUUAGCAAGUUGAUCUUCCAUAGAUGGUUUGGAGGGAACAAAAGGUUUUUGUGCAUGCUGGAAUGGUUUGGCAUUAGUCUGAUUGUCACCCCAUUUGAAAUUAGGGUGAUCCCUCCAUCCAGGAUUGUAAUGAGUUGCAUAUGCAUCAUUCCUAGGCCUUUGAUAGCUGUUCAUCAUAUUGACAUGUUGUUCAACAAGCUCUGGGUAAGAGUCUCUAUGUGGGCAGCCCAUUAUGUCAUGUGUAGCCAUACUGCAUAUAGUGCAAACUGUUGAUGUAGGUGGCUGCUGUGUAGAACUUGCUAUAUGUUGUAGAAGCAUAUCAAACUUUGCAUCAAUUUUCUUAUCCAUUUUUUCCAUUUGUGCAGACAUGUUGGGAGAACCUACUGAUAACUCAAAAAUGCCCCUUUUCUGUGAAUGUUCUGCUGCCCAUUGCUGAGAUUCUGUAGCCAUCAUAUCAAACAGUUCAAAUGCCUCUCUUGCAGAUUUAUUUGAUAAUGAUCCUCCAGCUGAUGCAUUCACAUGGCUCUUAGAUGUAGGAUUAAGCCCAUCAAAGAAAAUAUUCAUUUGUGUAUCUGAAUCAAUUUUAACAUGUGGACACUUUAUGUACAUCUUUGUAUAUCUCUCCCACGCUUCAUGAAACUCUUCAUUAGGCUUCUGUGUGAAUGUCAAAAUCUCCCUCUUGUAAUUCAAUGUCUUGGAUGCUGGAUAAUAUUUGUUCAGGAAUUUUGUGUGUAACUGCUGCCAAGUAGUAAUGCUAUUAGCUGGUAGAGUGAAUAACCAAGUUUCUGCCUUGUCCUUCAAAGUGAAAGGGAAAAGACGUAACUUAAUAGCCUCAGCAGAAAAACCCCUAAUCAAAAUAUUCUUGCAACCCACAAUAAAUUUUGCAAUAUGUAUGUUUGCAUCUUCAUUAGGCAAUCCCCGAAAAGUAGGUAGAAUUUCAAGCAUAUGGUGCCUGAUCUCGAACGAAUCACCCUCUUCUUGUUCAGGAUACACAAUGCAAUUGGGAACAUCAGUGGCACGGGCUUCCAAUGACUCCCUGAGUGGUCUACCUGCCGCAGGUAAUUCUAACGCCAUGUUACUCUCGUUUGCAAACAGAUCCUGCAGAAAAGUGCCCUGCAGUGAACAGUCCCAAGCCCAAGUAACUUCUCUCCGCUGUCUAUGCAGUGUGCGCUCUGGUUCUGGAUCAAAUUGUACAAUCUGUGUAGUUCCUGAUCUGGUCUGGACCAUGCAGUCUGCAAAAUCUGCAACAGAAACAAAAUUGUUCAAUUUCAAUUUUUUUUUUUGGACGAAAAUUAAAAAUAAAAUAAAAUGAAAUAAAUCAGAAAAAGGUUAAACAAAAAUUGUCUAAAAUAGUCCCCAGCAACGGCGCCAAUUUCUUGAUAGGAUUUUUAGUACUUGUGCAAACAGUGUUAAAAAUCACAUAAAAUACUUGCAAGAAUACAAGGCUAUUGUAGUAUAGAUGCUCAUGCAAGGUCGUUUUCCUCAAGGACUAAUUAGCAAUUUAUGUAAAAACAAAUUUCAAUUACUACUUAAAAUAAAAAGUCAAGAAAGAUGAUUAUAAAUUUGGUGGAUUCUAAAAAACAAAUAUUAAACAAAAACAAAUACGAUUGAAAGAAAGAGUUUUGAAUAUCAAUUUAUAAAACCACUAGGGUUUCACCAUCACCUAGCAAUCCUAUGAACUUUUACCAAUUACUUAUGAUUUGCACAUGCCACUUUGAAGGUUAGGUUUUCCUAUUGUAUAUUCUACUUGGAACCUCCAACACAGAACGUAUAUCCAACAUGCAACCCGUCCGGACGUUCGGAUCAAAUCUGAACAUGAAAGACUCAUUAAGUUUUGUGAAAACCCUUUGAAAAACCAUGCAACCCUUAAGACGUGGUGUUCAUCUUAAGUGAAAUUACAAUUAUUAAUCACAAGAAGCUAGCAUAAAUUUCAGGGAACCUUCCGACCAAAAUUGCAUCCAAUUACUUUUCUAAAGAUCCUAAUGGUGAUCAGGCAUUAAGACAAUUAGAUAGUUUAAAAUAGUGAUUAACAAUUCAAAAUACGCAUGCACUCAUCAUAAGCAAUUAAAUAAAAAUCACAUAUUCAUGCUAAGGUUCAAGGCUUCACCCUAGCAAAAGAAAUUUAGUUACGCAUACUCAUAAUUGAAAUCCAAGAAAAUAUCAUUAAGAAGAAAAGAACGAAAACACCUGAAAGUUGUGAAAACCCAAAACCCUAGCAAUUGCUCUCUACAAUGCAAAGUUCAAAAAUAAUUAAGAAGUCCUAAAUUCCUUGUGAGAAAGAGCUUAAAUAUCCCUUAAAACCUAGCUGCCAAUGUACAGCUUUUCUAUCCCUACAAGGAAACUAAUUAAAGUAAAAUAAUACUAGGAAAUAAAGUCCAAAUUGGAAUAGGAGAAUUUGCCCAAAAUCAGCCCAGCCACGUUUUGGCCCCAAAUCUCCUCCAAAUCUGGCCCAAGAUAGCUUUUUUUAAAGACACUACUACAAAAAGUGAAAAAGACGACCAGAAAACAACGACGGUCUAAGUGAAAACCGUCGUGGUUUUUAAAAAGACGACGGUUCUAAAAACACCGUCGUGUAAUACCACCUUAGACAACUAAAAAAUGGAGAUUCAAAUGGCUGUUCAAAAACAACGACGUACCUAAUUAAACAACCGACGUCUAUUUGAAACAGAUUUCCGCAGUGUAAAAUCAAAGCAAACAAAGAACGGCAGAAGUUAUGAAUAGACCGACGUAGAAAGUAAAGACGACGAUUUCAAUAAAAGCCGCCGUUUUUACUCAUAAAAUAACACGACGAGGUUUUCGUAUAAGACGCCGUAUAAUUACAAACAAAUCCACGGCUUUAAAAUACAAAAAUAAUCUUAACAGAUGACACAGAUUUGCAAUCAGAAGAGACAAUUUUUGAAGUUGAUCAACGUCGUUGAAAAUUGCAAUCAGAAGAGACAUUUUCAACGACGGNNNNNNNNNNNNNNNNNNNNNNNNNNNNNNNNNNNNNNNNNNNNNNNNNNNNNNNNNNNNNNNNNNNNNNNNNNNNNNNNNNNNNNNNNNNNNNNNNNNNGGAAGUUGAUCAACGUCGUUGAAAAUUUGCAAUCAGAGAGACAAUUUUCAACGACGGUUAUAUUAUACCUAACGACGUUUAAAAACAAAUCAACGUCGCUCAACAAAUAUAUUACGUCGUCUUAGUCUUACUUAAGACGACGAAAAACGACGACAGUAGUAAAAAAACAGUCGUUGUUUUUAUAUUCUUAUUUUAUUUAAAUCUGUCGUGUUAGUUAAAAACGACGGCAUAACAAAAAACCGUCGUUUUGUUUCAAACUGAAUUAAUUUAAAAUUUCUUCAGGAAAGCAAAAUCUAUUUAUAAUUUCCUCGGGUUAGUAAUAUUGUGUCGUGUUAGUUUACAAAUUCUAGAACAUUAAUUUCCCUCAUUUUAAAUUUUCUCGGGAAAGAAAAAUCUAUUUAUCACGCUUUGUAAUUGAAAACUAAAACUGAAAGAAUUCUGGAAAAAAAACUCUAUUUAUAAUUUAAAAAUAAAAUGCACGUCGGUUGUAGUACACUUAACGACGUUUAACAAAAUAAUCUACGUCGGUAAUUAUAAAUCUACCGCCAUCUUACCCUAAUAUAGACGACGAGAAAAGACGACGGUAGAACAGAAAACCGCCGUUGUUUCAGUUUCUUUAACAGUUUGGUCCUUUAUCUUUCUGCAGGACUUGUAUAGUUCAAAGCAUUGACAAUGUCUUCAUCAUAUCUCCCAGCAACUACUGAUUCGAUUGCUCAUGCUUUAGAGGCCAUCUGAAGCCAUUUCUAUUCUUUAUCGCAUUCUUGAAACCCAUCUUCUUCUUCUGAAGCUCUACGGAUAAAGGAAGAGGCUAUCACAAAUCUGACGGAUCUUCUUAGUCAAAAAAAUCAAGCAGAGGAUCAGGCACAUCUGAUCUUCAGAUUUCCCUGAGAAGCGAACUUUCCUUCGACAGCGAGUGGAGGCCAGGCUUGCAUCUCUUUUGAUGGAAAGCAAGGAGUAUUCAGAAGCACUAAGUGUCCUAUCAGGCUUGAUCAAGGAAGUGAGAAGGCUAGUUGACAAGCUUCUUCUUGUCAACUAGCCUAAAUGUAAGCUCAAUUUCUCUUUGAGAAAGACCUCCAAAUUAUUGUCUUUGAGAUGUGAGAGACAGUGUCUCUGAGAGAGGAAGAACUUGGAACCCUAAAUGUAAACCGCGAAAAUGAAUGAAAGCGACAAAUUUAUAGAAUAAAUUUUUAAAACCAACGGCGGUACUUACCAAGAAACCGCCGUUUCAAUUGUAAAAUCAACGUCGGUAUUACUGACGUAUAUUACAGAACUCCACGUCGGUACAUUAAUAAUCACGACGUCUUAAAUAAUCUACCAUGACGCGAGUUAUUACUUAUGUACUUUAAUUUUUGAGUUUACUACGACGGUACCUACAACACUACUGUCGUAUUUAUUUACCACGUCCGAAGUUAAAUUUACCGACGUAUUUUGUACUUUAUACGUCGUAGUUAUAUGUAACCGCCGUAUUAUUUUUUUGAAAUGGUUUUAUAUGUAAGCAACUUUUCGUCUACUUGACUUACACAUUAGUUGUUUUUAUAUUCUUAUUUUAUUUAAAUCUGUCAUCCAAAAAAGAAACUUUACAUAUUGCAGAAUAUUAAUUUCCUUCGUUUUAAAUUUCCUCCGGAAAAAAAACUCUAUUUAUAACGCACUGUAAUUGAAAAAUAAACUGAAAGGUCACGGGAAAAAAAAUUCUAUUCAUAAUUUAAAAAUUAAAAUCCACGUCGGUUAUAUUAAACCUAACGACGUUAAAUGAAAUGAUUCCACGUCGAACGAAAAAUAUUUCGUCGUGUUAGUUAAAAACGACGUAGUUAAAUGUAACCGCCGUAUUAUUUUUUUGAAAUGGUUUUAUAUGUAAGCAACUUUUGGACUUACACAUGCACUGUUUCCAAACCCGAUUAAAAAUUUCAAUCUCCAGAGAAACCUUUUCGUCUUUUUUCCUUGUCAGAGCAUUAUCAGAGUUUCUCAUCGUCUUCCUCUCGUCUUCUUCGUCGUCCUUGAACUUAAACAUCGAUCAUCUUCCUCUUGCUUUCAUUGCACGCAAAAGGUAAGCUUUCAUUUUCACUAUUUUGGUUACUGUUUUGCAUGCUCAUACGUUUUUUGUUUGAAAAAUCUUUUUACCUUUUUUCUGGCCAAAAUCAUUUUACUUCUUUCCAAGUUUGAUAAAAUAUACAGACAAAAAGGGAAAGUUUCCAACUUUGAAGACAACUACCUCAACUAAAUGAGACGACGGUAGACCACGACGGUUCGUCAGUUGUUCUAGCGUCGUCUGAAAAUUGACAAAGUUGUUUUUAAAAUAAUAGUCUUUUUUUAUAUGCUUGUUUAAUUGCAGGUUUGAUUUCUCUGAACAAUGGUUUUUGUUUUUCCCUUAUUUGAUAAAAUAUAAAGAAAAAGAAACUAGGGUUGGUAUCUAAUAUAGACGACAAAAUAUCUUAUUGUUUUACGUCGUGUGAAUGUUAAUACCACGACGGUGUAUUACUAUUAACGUCGUAUGAACAUAAAUACCACGACGUUAUAUAAAUAAUAGUUUACCACGACGGUGUAUUACUAUUGACGUCGUGUGAACAUAUAUACCACGACGUUAUAUAAAUAAUGGUUUUAAACAUUUAUUACGUCUGAGAUUAUUUCAUUGCGUCGUCUAAAAUCAUAUCAUACGUCGUAUUUUUUUAAUACCGUCGUUUGUGUUCUUAAUGUUUUCCUGAAAUAUUUUCACUUGCAGUUUUGUCUGUUAAAAUGGUUUCUCAACAACAAACUAAGGAUUCUGGCUCCAAGAAGCUUGGAAUGGUAGCUCCUCAAGACAAGUCUUCGAAGGAGAUGAAGUCUUCGAAGAAGAUGAAGUUUGCUUCAUCAUCUGCUGAGACAGAACCAACCAGCCAGACAACAAUCUCUGAUGAUUCAAAGACUGGUCGAGGCAUGAGCACAAUGCCUCGUGUUGUGAAGAGAAAGCUUCAGAAACUGAGGCCAAUUGUUGAGUACAAUAAAAGGGGGAAAGGUGUUGGCCAAGCACAUAUUGAGAUGCAGUCGUAUAUUGGUGUGUUGGCACGCUCCAGGAUCCCACUUGUGGACAAGAAAUGGUCCCAAAUCCCCAAGGAUAUAAAGGAGCAGAUUUGGGAAGCAGUUGACAUGGCUUUUGUCGUAGGCCAAGGGGGCAAGACCUCUGUUUUAGCUUCUGCUUCCAAGAAAUGGAAGGAUUUCAAGUCUACACUAACGAGGCAUUAUAUCCUUCCAUACACCAAUGACAGGGAGAAAUUAAGCCAACCCCCUGAAACAUAUAAAUUCAUAGAGAAAGCACAAUGGGAUGCCUUUGUAGCUUCAAGGCUAUCCAAAGAUUUUGAGUCUGUGCAUUCUCAACAUGCACAGAUUAGGGAGAAACUCGAGUACAAUCAUCGAUUGUCUCGAAAAGGAUAUGCUGGAUUGGAGGAUCAAUUGGAGGAAACCAUGCCUGGGGUAGAAAUUGAUCGAUCUACCUUAUGGAAGAGAGCUAGACAGGACAAACAUGGUAACAUCCCUGAUCCAAAGGUGGCAGAGAAAGCAAAAUUAAUUGUAAGCCUACUAUCACUCUGUUUUAAAUUUUUAUUAAACUGUGAAUUAUUCUUAUUACGUCGUAUGUUAUAUUUUUCGUCGUGUGAAUGAUAUUACCACGUCGAAAAGUUUUUAAAAACGUCGUUAAAGGUCUAAAUAGGAAUCACUACUAAUUUUCUGUAAUUAUAGCAUAAGACGUCGGUGGUUCAUUUUCGCGUCGUUUGAAUGAUAUUACCACGUCGAAACUUUUUUAAAAACGUCAUUAACGGUCUAAAUAGGAAUCACUACUCUGUUUUCUUUAAUUAUAGCAUAAGACGUCGGUUGUUUAUUCAUUUCGUCGUUUUAAAUAAAUAACCACGUCGGUAUAACUACCGUCGUGAUAAGUUAUAAUAACGUCGGUUUAUACGUUAUUGCGUCGUGUGAAAUUAUAUAAUACGUCGUUUGUACAUAAAUAACCGUCGUGUGUUUUUUUGUUUAUCUUUGUUUUAGGAUGAAUUGCAGAAACAAGUCUCGGAAGGCAAAGUCAGAGUAGAUGGCAGCAAUGAUGUGCUGACCAUGGCUUUGGGCCCCGAGCAUCCAGGCAGAGUGAGGGGAGUUGGUGCUGGUGUUUCCCCAAGGCAAUAUUUCAAUUUGCCCAAACCACAGAGGGUGAGCUUUGACGACCAUUUGAAGGACAGUUUAAGAGUUCUCCUUCAAGAAGAGACUAAAAAGAUGGAGGCUAAGGCAAGGGAAGAGGCCUUAAGAAUGGAGGCUAGGACAAAACAAUUGGUAGAGGCUGAGAGGGAGCAUUUCCUGAGUCAGCUUUCCCAAUUAAUUCCCAAUUUUGAUCCAAGCAUGCUUAAACCAAGAAUUAGCCAAAGCCCCAAAAAUCCAAUGUCUGACAAAGCUAGCUGCUCUGGAGGUGAUGUGAGAUCCCUACAUUUGGAGGAUGAUACUGCCAAAAUGGGGAAACAUCAGCCAGAUGAAGAGAAGGAAGAAGAAAAAAGAGAUGAAGAGAAGGAAGAAGAAAAGGAGAAAGAAGAUGAAGAAAAGCAUGACGACAAGGUAUGUUCACAUAACUUUGCCUUUUUUAUUUGUUUUUCAAAAUUUCAGACGUCGAUAUUUUUAUUUAAUCCGUCGUUUGUUUAAAACUUAGACGGCGGACUUUUUUUAAGACGUAAUAAAAUAUUUAAACGACGGUUUUUGCACCGUCGUUUAAAUGGUUUCAGACGACGCUUUAUUCAUAAAAUCGUCGUCUUUAUUGAAUUACCACGACAGUUUUUUCACCGUCGUUUAAAUACUUUUAAGACGACGUUUUAUUCCUUAAACCGUCGUCUUUGUUGAAUUACCACGUCAUUUUUUUUAUUUCUUUAAACAGGUUAUUGAAGUUGGUGCUUAUUCAAAUAUGGAGGCGCCAUCUUCUUUAAAAACCCUUUGUCGUUUUGUGGAAACGACACUCCUGCCUGAGGAUAAGACACUCCAAUUUACAAUUGAUAAGGAGGUGUUUGGUGGUGAGCGCGAUACCUUCCUCCUGCCUGAAGAUAUUACACAAUUUGCAGGCAUGGAAGAAAUUGGAGCUACUGUAUUGGCUGUAUAUAUGAGGUUUGUACUUCUAAAAUAAUACCUCGUUGGUUUAUAUAUUGCGUCGUCUUAACUAACUAACCACGUCGUCUUAACUAACUACCGUCGUGAUAAAUAUAUUAUAACGUCCUCAUCUAUUUCAGUACGUCGUGUGAAAUAUUAUAAUACGUCGUUUUUUUAUACAUAACCGUCGUGUUUGUUUGUGCUGACUUGUUUAUAUUAUUUUAUGUAUUUAGGUACUUACACGAUGUUUUGAAACAAGCCAAUAUGUGCAGCAUGGUUGGCUUUAUCGACCCUGCUACAGUUAGUGCCAACUCUGGCACAAUAACUGAAAGAUCACGACUGGUAGCAGCUCGACUUCAGAAGACAGACGGUGAACAGAUUUUCAUGAUGCCUUACAAUCCAGGGUUAGUCUCCUUAGGAUUUUGUUUUUAUGAUUUUCAAUAAAUGACAGCUUAUAAACUAACCACGUCGGUGUUUUAUUUUAUUUAGUCGUUUGAAACUACUAACCACGUCGGUAUUUAUUUAUCGUCGUGAUAAAUAUAUAAUGUCGUCGUUAUCUACUUUAUUUCGUCGUGUGAAAUACUAUAAUACGUCGUUUUUGUAAAUAACCGUCGUUUUUAUAUUCAUUUUGUGCAGCCGUCAUUGGAUCUUGCUGAUUGUAAGAGCAAAGAAGGAGACCGUCUAUUUUCUGGAUCCUCUGCCAGGUCAUCGUGUGGUCGACGAAGAGGCGAAAAACAUCGUGAACAGUGCUUUAAAAAUAUAUAAUACCCACAUAGCCCGAGCACGACGUAAAAAUGUAAUUUGGAAAACUCUCUCAGGCACACCAAAGCAACCCAGCAAUGUCGAAUGCGGGUACUAUGUGAUGCGCUUCAUGAGGGACAUCAUCAUGGAUCCUUCCUUGGGGUUUGAGAAUAAGGUAAGAAGAAAUUACCUUCAUACAUUUCACGUCGUUUUUUGUAUUAUCAACGACGGUCAUGUAAAAUUAACGUCGUUGAAUGGAUAUACUACGUCGGUUAUGAAAAAUAUCGUCGUCUGUGAUUGAAUUUCUUUUUAUUUAUAAACCCUAAUAGUCAUUGUUUAUGCAGUAUGCCAAGGGAAACCAGGAAGCUUCAUACCCCCAAGAAGCCAUUGAUGAAGUCCGGAAUGAAUGGGCAGAGUUUGUUUUCCAAAUUAUUAAACAGGGCAAUUAUUGAACACUUGAUAUUUAUGUAUAAUGUACAAAUUUUCUCUAUAAUAUGUAAUGUAAAAAUUUGUUGAGGUUUUCUUAAAUUAAAAAAAAAACAAACAUACAAAUUGCUUAACCGACGUGUAAUACUUUUCCAACGACCUAAUAAAGUCAAAAACCGUCGUAUUUUGUUGUUUCGUGUUUUAAACAAAUACGACGUAAAAAUAUAGUUAGACGACGUUCUUUGAACAAUUGAGUCGUUUAUGGUUUACAACAUCUUCAAUUUCUUAAGGGUUCAGGGUAUCAUCGACGACGUUUAUGUAACGACAGCGGUUAAGUCGUGGAAUAUAUAUUUUACGUCGUAUAGUUAAAUAGCCGCCAUGGUUUCUCAUUUUAACGACGUCAUUUUAACGACUUAGUAGUCUAUUACAAUUUACAACGUCUACAAUUUAUUAACACCGACGUGGUUUGUUGUUGUGGUAAGAAUAUUUUAUUAUUUUUAUAUCAAAAUAUUCAAAAUAAAUUUAAAAUAAAUCAGAAAAUUGAAAAGUCAUCUCCUAUGAAGUCAUUGAUAUAUUUUCUUCCACAUAAACCUUGAAAAAAUUCAUUUUGAAUAACAAAAAUUUAAAAUGACCAUCCAAAACAAAAUUGUUUUGAUGAGUCAUAAAAUCACUUCUAGUUUUAUGGUUUAGGGUUUAGAGUCUAGGGUUUAGAGAUUAGGGUUGUUAUUUGUUGGGGUUUAUUUUUAAAGUAUAAUUUUUGGGUAGUCUAGGGUAUAUGUUAGGCUUUAAAACCAUAAAACCUUUUAUAAACUUAAUUUUUUAAAUUGUAUAAUUUAGUUUUAUGGGUUUAGGGUAUUAAUUUUUAACGACGGUGGUUGCGUCGUGGAAUACAUAUUUUACGUCGUACAGAAAAACAUACGACAUGGUUUACGCUUUAAACGACGUCAUUUUAAUAUGUAAGUCGGUUUAUAUAAUUUACAACGUCUUUAAUUUCUUAACACCGACGUGGUUUUUCAGUCGUCGUUAUAUAAAAAAUUCAAAAUAAAUUUAAAAUUAAUCCGAAAAAUGAAGCUUCAAAAUGAACGGCCUUACGUUCUUAAUCCGAAAAAUGAAGUUUCCGUCGUGGAAUAUUAAAUUUACGUCGGUACUUGUAGAACUUUCGCCUUGGUUUUUCUUUCGACGUUUUAAAACGCGCGAGCUCUAAAAAUUUUCGCGUGACCUAAAUUUUUUUAGAUUUGGCUCUUAUUCUUAUACUUCGAACCCUGAAACCUAAAAUUUUCAGAUUUCGCUCUCUCACUUCUGCUCUAAUUAAAAGUUGCACUCUCCAGGCUUCGUCGAAUCUGUGAGCUCGUCCAACCUGUAAGUACAAACCCUAUCUUCCCCUUGUAAAUUCAUUGAAUGAUAUUAGGUUGUUUUGUUAAAGGGUUUUAUGUGUAUGCUUUGCGAUCUGUUAAUAAUGUGCUUAUAGGUAUGGGUUCAUAGAUUUUCUGUUUAAUGGGUUCAUGGAUUACAUUAUCUGUUAUGUUGAAUUGGGAAUGGAUUUAAUUUUGUCGUAUCUUUUAAUCACCCUAUGUUAUGUUGAAUUGGGAAUGGAUUUAUUGUUUUCAUGCUUGGUUUCAUGUAUAUGUUGGUUUCUUGCUUGGUUUCAUAUAUAUGUUGUGUUCUUAAUGGGUUUUGUGUUCUUGAAAAUAAACUGAGACACGACAAAUUUUAAGGCAUACGACGACGAUUACACGACGGUUUUUUUAAACUACCGUCGUUGUAUUACUUAUACAAGACGGUUUUUUCAUAAACCGUCGUUUGUAUUACUUAUAAUAGACGACGUCUGUUGAAAAUCCGUCGUCUAUAUAUGCCAAAUACGUCUGUUUUUGUUUAAAACCCGUCAUCUCUGUUGUGUAUUACUUGCGAUUAGAUCAUUGUAUAAUCUGCUAUAGUGAUGGUCAUUGCCUGUAUUUUCACUUUAUUAUAGAUAAUAGGUUAUAGUGUCGGAGAUGGAUAAGUCAUGGAUGCACUCGGAUAGAAGAUCGAAGGCAUAUGAAUUUGGGGUGGAAGCAUUUUUGAACUUUGCUUGAGAAGUACUUUCCCCCUUCAUUCUUUGAUAUCAUGGUUCAUCUAGUAGUACAUCUUGUCAGAGAAGUUCGUCUAUGUGGGCCAGUAUAUUUUAGGUGGAUGUAUCCGUUUGAAAGAUAUAUGAAAGUGCUGAAGGGGUAUGUUCAGAAUCGUACUCGUCCCGAAGGUUGCAUUGCUGAGCGGUAUAUAGCUUAAGAAGCGGUAGAGUUUUGUACUCAGCAUUUAUCUGAUGUUAGUACAGUUGGAGUGCCUUCAAGCCAAAAGAUGGGACUUUCAAAGCCAUUAUCAGGUUGCACAGUGAGCGUAGUUGAUCAGGACCUGUUGAAUCAAGCACAUCUAUAUGUCUUGGAGAAUACGGAGGAAGUCCUACCUUAUAUCGAGUACGUAUGAGCUUUAUUCUUUAAGUUUCCAUUUUAAAUUAUUUCUUAUGUUUAUCUUCUAUAUUUGGGACCGUAAUGCUUGAAUUUUUCGUGUCAUGUAGGCAACAUAUGAUCCACAUCAAGAUUGCUUAUCCAAAAUUUAGAAAGAGAACAAAGUGGCUGCAGGAUAAGCACAAUAGCACUUUCAUUCAAUGGCUACGCUUCAAGGUAUAUGUUGUUGAAUAACAUAUUUCUCUUUUAAUUUUCUUCUUAUUUAUAUGUUAGAUUGAAUUAAGAUAUGAUUAAUUUGCAGGUUCAAAGUGAACUUGAGGAAGACAAUCAUGGCGUAUCAGAAAAUUUAAGGUGGCUAGCAGCUGGUCCAAACAUGUCAGUGCCAUUAUAUAGGAGCUAUCUUAUUAAAGGUAUUAAAUUCAAUAUCAAGGCACAAGAUGAUGUGCGGACAACUCAAAAUAGUGGAGUUUAUUUACUUGCACAUACCAUGCAAGUUGCUAGUGCCAAGGAUAAAAACCCAAUUCUCUCAAACAUGGGUUUCUAUGGUGUCAUUCAAGAAAUUUGGGACCUUGACUACCAAAAGUUUACAAUCCCAGUCUUUAGGUGUGAUUGGAUAGAUAGUUCUGGUCUUGUAGUCGACGAACUUGGAUUUACCCUUGUAGAUUUGAGUAAAAUUGGACAUAGGAAUGACCAAUUUGUUUUGGCUUCUCAAGUCAAACAAAUAUUUUUUGUUGACGACCCGAUGCAUCGUGGUUGGUCGGUAGUGUUAUCAAUGCCUAAUAGAGAAUAUAAUGAUGUUAUUGGUGAUGAAGUCUUAGGUGAUGUGAUAAUUGAGUGUGAGCCAUUUACUAGAGGGAUGCCAAAUGUUGACACAUUUGAUGAACUGGUGGGUGAGUUAGGCGGUCAAAAUAUUCGAGAUGGGUGUGAAGAUAUAUGGAUUGAAUGAUGCUUAUGUAAUUGGCAGUGUAUGACAUUAAUUUUGUAAUAUAUUGUAAUGUGAUUUCUUCACUUUCUACGUUCAAAUAAAACACGACGUUAUUGUGAACCAGUUAUUCAGCAUAUUUACCGACGUCUUAAAGCAACGUAACAAUGAAGAACCACGACGCUAUUGUGAAGCAAUUAUUCAGGAUAUCACGUCGGGGAAGGAUUAAGAACCGCCAUGUAAUUCAAAAUAACACGACUCCAAUCCCAUAAUACCGACGUCUAAAAAACGAGAUAUAUAAUCUGAACGUUAAAAAAUACGACGUCAUCAUACAUUUUCCACAUCGCAAGUUCUUUUAUAAACGAAGAGGAACGAAAUGAAUUCCGACGGAAAUUCAUUAUAACCGCCGUCUAAUAACAAUUAAACGACGUUAUUUGUAAUACGGCUCUCAUCAUAAUCAACGCCGUCUAUAUGUUCUGUAAUACGGCUCUCAUUUAUUUGGAACCGACGUUGUUUAGAAGUUCAACGUCGUCUAUAUUAUUAAGUGCGUCGUGAGUAAUGAUGAUAGAUAUAAAUACAACGUCGACUAUAUAAAUGCCACUGACGUUGUUUCGCAUUUCAACGUCAACUGUAUAAAUACAUACGUCGUAAAUAAUGACACUGACAACUAUUUCCACGUCAUCUUUUUUAGAAAAAUCGAAGUGGAAAAUUUAUUUCACGACGGUUGUUUGUAAAUAAGAGACGUAGUAUAUUUCAAUAACGUCGUCUUCUCAUGUAUUUAAAGACGUCAUAUUUUUUCUUGUCGUGUAAAUUAUAUUUAACGGCGUAGUAUUUUAGUUGUCGUCGUUGUAUGUAUAUCUUGCGGCCUUGUUCUUUUAACAUGUGUCAUAUUUUUCCUUUUUAACGACGGUGAUUUGUUUGAGUUGGUCGUCUAUUCUCAUCCUCGACUAUUUUCUAGAACUUUAGCAGACUAAACACGUCUGUUUUUAUUGUUUUCCGACGUUGUUUUAUUUAACAACGUCUAAUAUUUAUCGUCGUUGUUUGUUUCUGAAAAUAUGACGUAUAAAUUUUGUAAUACGACUCUCAUAUAUUUGUAACCGACGUUGUUUCGUUUUUCAACGUCUACUCUAUAAAUACAUACGUCGUAAAUAAUGACACUGACAACUAUUUUCACGUCAUCUUUUAUCGAAAAAUCGAAGUGGAAAAUUAAUUUUACGACGGCUGUUUUUAUAUAUGCGACGUAGUAGGUAUCAAUAACGUCGUCUUCUAAUGUAUUUAAAGACGUCAAAUUUUUUAUUGUCGUGAAAAUGAUAUUUAACGGCGUCGUAUUUUUAUUUUCGUCGUUGUAUGUCUAUCUUGCGGCCUUGUUCUCUUAAUAUGUGUCAUAUUUUUCCUUUUUAACGACGGUUUUUUUAGAGAGUUGGUCGUCUAUUCUCAUCCUCGACUGCUUUUUUAGAUCUUUUUGCAGUACAAAGACGUCGUUUUGUAUUUGUUGAUGACGUUGUAUAUUUUAACAACGACGGUGAUUUUGCGUCGUGGUUUAUGAGGGAAAAGAUGACGGUGGAUUCCACGACCAUUGAAAAACCGAAUACACGACGGUGAUUUACCGUCGUCUUUUUGCUUUUUUGUAGUAGUGAGAUAAAAAUGUUCUGAACACUUCUCUAGAAGGCCACGAACCCAUCCGAGGUCAUCUUGGGCUCCAAAAACACAAUAAAAGCCCAACACGUCACUAUUCCAGCACCGCGCACUGCUCAUUUAUUUUAUUGCCAGAAAAUAACCGCUUGGAAGAAAAAUCUGAAAUUUUGAUACGAUCAAGCUAAGUGACUCAAGAACGUCCUCCAACUGGAAUUACUCCAAAAUUCCUCAAUUUGAUUAUGUUUUGCUCCAGAGAGAGUCGAAAGUCCUAUAUUGGAAAUAUAAUUCAAAGUAUCAAAAUUCUUCCAAAAUAUUAACCAAAAUAUACUAAGAAUGAGGUUAAAUAUAUAAUAUAAAAUAUGUCCAUCACCCCACAACAACUAAAGAACCAACAUUUUGUAGAAGGUUUUGUCUAUACCUUUGACUGUAAGUAAAUCUCUUGUAUCUGCUCCUGUGGUUCGGUGAAGUUUCUUUGUGUCCUUUCUGCGGAGUCUCCCAUGCUUGUUCCAUGAAAAUGUUCUAGGAGAAAAUACGGUUGUUUCUUACUAGAUUCAAAUGAUUAAGAAAAAUAAAAACGCAAGAAAAAAGGUAUUUUCUUGAUGGACUUGGUGAUGAAAAAUAUCACUCUCUUUAUAUGUCGUCUUCCUUGGACUUUGAGACCUUGGGUUUCGAUUCUUCUUGAGGAUUGCAUAGGGUUUCUAGGCCCAAGAAUACUUUGAGUUAGUUUUUGCGUUUUGGGCUUUGAGACUUUGAGACUAUAAUGAGUGGAAAGUUAUAAGGGGUAAGUUAUAAGGGGGUCACUUUAUAGCCAUCAGAUUAAUCCAAGGGCUGGGGAGAAUUGAGAUAAAGUUUCACAAUUGGGUAGGUGAGGAACCCAAACCCGAAUUGAAUAUCCAGCACGUCCAAAAAGAAGAAGAAGAGGGAAACACGUCCGAAAAAGAAGAAGAAGAGGCAAGUUCGAAGUUUGAACAGAAAGAACUCAUCUCUCUAAAACACAGAGGUCUGAGAUACCCAAUGAAGGCAACGGCUAACGACAGUUGAAGGCAACAAUUCGCCACUCCGUUCUCCAGACCCCGAAAAAGUAUUUAUUUGGAGUAGAAGGGGCAAAGGUGUGGAUUCCAAAUCAGUGAAGGGGCGAAGCAGUGGAAGGGGAAGGGGAGAAGCUGUAUUCGUUGGAAGUGUAGGUUCCAUUUGUGGAGCAAAGAAAUAGAAAGACCCCACACAGACACCUUGCAAUAACCAGCAUUUGGUGAGUAAUUUAUGGAAUUUGAGUUUAGGGUUAGAGUAAUGGUUUUCCCCAAUUUGUACCAUAAAUUUUGUUGGAUUUGGCAUCUCUUCGUUGUGCUUCAGUUGCAUGUUAAUUUUUGCUUAGGUAUAUGUUAAAAAAGGAAUGAAAAUUAAGUCAAUAACAAGUGAAUAACAUGUCAAUAAUGAUAUGAAUAAGAUAAUGGUGUUGAAUUGGAGGAGGCCCUCAAAACCUUCCACAUUUGAAGCAGUGCAUAGUGCAGAUUAAGAAGAGGCGCUAGAAUAUAUAUAUAUAUUUUAUGAAGUAAAUAUGAUUUCCUUUGUUACUAAAUUUGCCUGAGAAACAUUUGAACAGAUAAUAAUAAACUCAUGAAUAGAACUGCAAAGCAUUUGAUGAGCAAUGUAAGGAAUUUAAGUUUAGGGUUAGAGUAAUGGCAUCUCUUAUUUGUGCUUCAAUUGCAUGUUAAUUUUUGCUUGGGUAUAUGUUAAAAAAUGAAUGAAAAUAAAGUCAAUCACAUGUCAAUAACAUCUCAAUAACAUGUCAAUAACAUGUCAGUAAUGAUAUGAAUAAGAUAAUUGUGUUAAAUUGGAGGAGGCGCUCAAAACCUUCACAUUUGAAGCAGUGCAGAGUGAAGAGUACCUCUCUGGCACUAGAAUUUAUAUAUUUUGUGAAAUAAAUAUUAUUUCAUUUGUUACUAAAUUUGCCUAUGAGAAAUGAGAACAGAUAAUAAUAAACUCAUGAAUAAAAGUGCAAAGCAUUUGAAAUGAAGGUUGAUCUAUGACGAUUGUGGGUGACUGAAGAAAAAGGUAGAAAGAAAGAAGGAUGUGGCAAUUGCUUAGCAAGCAGAUAGCAGAGUACAUGCUUUGCUUUGCUUCCUUCCACUAUAUUUCUUAUUUAUUUAUUUUGGGUUGUGUAUGAGAUGACAAUAAUUGUCAUGUGUGUGAAGUGCAGAACUUGCCUACAUUGCACUCACACGAGUAUGGAUGCAUAAAUAAAACACGUGAAAUUGUUUGUAAUUCACAUAAUCAUUGCAUUAACAGGUAUUUGCACAAAAAUUGUCAUAUUGCUUUGAUGAUGUUAAAGGCUGUGAUGAGUAAUCCCUAUGCUCAUGUACUUUGUAAAAGUUGUAAUGUGCCUGGUUGACUAGUUGUGAUUGUGCAAAUACGUGGUAGUAUAUAUGUUCACGUUAUUUCACAUUGUAUUUGAGGAAAUGGGAUCCAACGUGGAGCUGGUAUGGCCAGAGGCAGAGGUAUAUUCGUCACGGGUGAACAACUGCUCACAUGCAAAUUCAUCUCUAGCUGCAAUUCGAGCGAAGUUGAGUGCGGAACAAUUAGAACAAUUCAAGACAUCAUGCUUUGGCCAUCUUCUGAAUAUAGAUAAGAUUCAGUUUAGCGGGCAGAUUGUGCAUGGGGUUGUGUUGCGUAGAGUAGCGGGGCAGGGUGUGAAAGACUUGGAUGGACUGAGUUUCUUAUUAGGGUGUGACGUUGCUCAGUUCACUCGUCAGGAUUUCUGUUUGAUCACAGGGCUUCGUUUUGGGGAAGUGCCUGAAGUUUCCAGUGGAGAGAGUGAUGAAAUCAGACUUCAGAAAAGAUAUUUUAUAGACGAAGGAAUUACAUGCAAUGCUUUAGAAGAAGCAUUUGUGAGGUGCACAGAGGAAGAUGACAUCUACAAGCAAGCUCUUGUUUACUUUGCUGAGUUAGUGGUUUUGGGAAGGGACAAACAUUUGAACAUCAAUCUAAAUUACCUGACCCUUGUAGAGGACUUGGAUGCGUUCAACAGGUAUCCGUGGGGUUCGGUGUCCUUUGACAAAACCCAAGACAGUCUAUUUUCUGCACCAACAAAGUAUGUGAAAAGCUUGGAAAAUGAAGAGGGAAGAGGGAAGGGGAAAAGUAAGGUAACGGGAACAAGCCGGAGAAAUGAGAAGGGCAAGAAGGAUAAGCAUGGUGAAGCGCAAAUGAGUGGCUGGAGUUUUAAAGGUUUCACGUAUGCUUUCCAGGUACAUGGUAAUAAUGUUCAUGUCAGUUAUGUUUUGUUUUUCUUUAAAACAUAAAUAAUGACUUUUGUCCUGUGAAUUGUGUAGAUUUGGGUAUAUGAAUUAAUUCCUAGAAUGGCGGACCUGAAUUACUGCAAGGUUGUUGAUCCGACCGUUGUCCCGCGUAUUUUGCGAUGGAGAACUACUACGUCUGUUCCAGAGAUGAGAAAGUUGAACAAUUAUUUUUUCCAGAGCAAAGAGGUUUGGUUUGCAGCCCUUGGAACUAUUGAUAAGAUUGAAUGAAAUUAUGAAGUAGAAUGAUUUGAUAUGACUCUUGUCUGUAUUCUGAAACAGUCAGUUCAGUUGCGGGCGCUAUGUCCGAGUGAAGAGGAAAUGAGACAGCCAUAUUGGAGUUGGCCACAGGAUCGCCCUGCUGUUGUCUCAGCAGAGUCAAUUCCUUCUUCAUGUGGUGAUCUUGAUGAGUUGAACAAGGUGGUAAGUUGGUUGAGGUCCGAGUUGUUUCAAGUAAAGCGGGAAAAAGACGUCCUUCACUUAAAGGUCAUACGGAUGGAAAAACUGUUGGACCAAUGUUUAGGUCCUCAGUUUGAGCAGGAAGUAAGGAGGGACCUAGCUUUACUGAAACAGAGGACGAAUCGUUGUGUCAUCUCACAUCUAUUUAAGGGAUAUGGGGAAAUGGAUGACAUUCAAUGGGAUGAAGGGCCAAGUAACAGAAAUGAGGGAGAGGAAAAGGAAGAUGAAGGGAUUGAAGGGGGUGAAGGGCCAAAUAAUAGAAAUGAGGGAGCACAUAAGGAAAAGGAGGGGAUUGACGGAGAGGAAAAGGAAGAGGAGGGGAUUGAAGGGGGUGAAGUGCAAGGAAAACCAAGUGAGGUAGAGGAAGGGCAAAGGAAAAGAAGUGAAGGAGAGCAAGUGCAAGUAAAAAGUAGCAAAGGAGAGGAAGCCCAGAGACAGAGCAGUGAGGGAGAGGAAGUGAAAAGAAAAAGCAGUAAGGGAGAGAAACUGCAAAGGAAAAAAAGGGAGGGCAAGGAAGUGAAAACACAAACAAGUGAGGAAAAGGAAGUGCAAAGAAACCAAUGUGAGAAAGAAGAUAAUGAAGUUAUGUUGCUUGGGGGUGACAUUGGCGAGAGCACGGAGGGGACACUGCUUGAGUUUACUGUCGGGGACAUUGAUUUGGAUGAACCUACAGCUGUGCUAUCUCAGUUGAACGUGUGGUUGAAUGAUAAAGGUAAAGCUCUGGCACAAGGGGUCCAAUUACGGAAAAGGAAGAGGAUCAUUCCUUUGUGGAAGAUCAUUGAAGGCAGUGAAUUGGUUCCAAAAAUUGGGGCACAGACAACCGGACUGAAGAUGUUAGACCCAAUGAAGGCGAUUUCGCAUGAUGAUCUGGUGAAAUUGCUGAAACUUUGUUGGGAAUGGCGCCAGGACCCAAAGUAAGUCCCUUGCAAUUAUAAGAUACAAGCAUGACUGUAUAUAAUUUUUUAUAUACAGUGUUCUAAAACUGUUUUAUAUUCAUAGUUUGGUGAUGCAAUUUGGCAACGUGGAAGCUGAGAUUGAAUUCUUCGCUUCCCUCGUGAAAGCUGAUGGUUGGCUGAAAGGAGAUGUAAGUGUAAUUGAUUAUGCAUUUGUUUUAAUGUACAUACAUUAUGAGAUUGACAAGAAAAACAUGUUGCAGCACAUUGAUUUGGGGUUGUAUCUCAUCCGGAAGCGACAACAACAGUUGGAGACAGAUUCGGUAGAAGUAGCGGACUGGACAACGACCGAUGUUUUUUUUAUGGUAUGUCAUCGGCCUUGACCAAGUGCCGUUAAUAAUUACACAUUUUCCAUACACACACUAGUGGAGGUGUUUAACCAUUGAUUGUUUUGUAUUUCACAGAAUCACAUUCGUACUUGCUUUGCGGAUAAUAAAAGAAAAAAACAGCAGCUUGGGUGGAAAAUCAGGAAAAGUUUACUAACCGUUGUAAAUGGGAAGGUUCCUCCGUGUGGGUUGGAUUGGCAGACCGUCUAUAAGGUGUAUACCCCAUUUAUGUUGACGAAGUACAAGCAUUGGGUGGCUGUAAUGAUUGAUCUGGUAUUGUGUGAAAUCAAAGUGUACGAUUCAAAGGUUUCACUAAUUCCAGAUGACAUCGUAAAGGAAGAACUCGGCCCGCUAUCAAUUACGCUUCCAAAUCUUCUCAACACCAUCGACUUUUAUGAAAAAGGUGUUUAUGCAAACAAUUGCAGCCAAGAUUAGUGGUGUCCGUGGCCAAUAGAGCGUGUGGAUGUUCCACAACAGUCUAAUGAGUAAGCACAACUUGCAAUUUAAUUUUAUUACUUUCAAUUGUCAAUUACGUUAGAAUGUCAUUAGUUGAAUUGAUCGAGUUCUUGUUUUGCUUCAGAGGCGAUUGUGGCAUGUUUGUGUUAAAGUACAUUGAGCUUUUCAGCGCUGAGCUUCCGUUAGCUACUUGCACCUCGCACAACAUGCCUUUUUUUCGGUUGAAAUUGGCUGCGGAGAUAACAAGGGGAGAUGCUUACUUCCCAUGAUAUUGGUUGAAGAUGACAAAUGGUACAUGAGAAGGUUUUGGGAAUGUCCAUUCUCAAACUAAUGUAAAUACACAAUAGAGAAGUACGGGUCCUUAUCGAAUUCUACCGCUAACUCCUUCAUGACAUUUACAUGUUUGUUAACCAAACUGCAUUGAAUUGGAAUUUUAAGACUGCAUAUGUGAAUUGGGAUUUGAAGAUGGCUUUUUAAGUGUAUUACAUCAUUGCAAAGUGAUAUGUCAUUGUUGAUGCAAGCCACCAUUAAUCGCAAUGUGUUGCAUCAUAAUAGGUGUCUAAACAUGCGAAAGGUUUUCCGCAGCUCAGUAGCAUAAAAGUAGAAACAAAGACAAUAUACACAAAAUGAACAACAAUUCACAAAUGCACCGACAAGCAAUACACACACAACAGACAAACAAUAUACACAAACUUGGCCUGCCAUAUACAGAGAAUAGACAUGCAAUAUACACACAGUAGACAUGCAAUAUACACACAAUAGACAUGCAAUAUACACACAAUACUCCCUUAACACACACAAUAGACAUGCCCUUGCCCACAAUAAUGAUGCAAUAUACUUCAGUCCCCAAGUACACCAACCAUAGGGAAGUCGUAUUGAAUAGGAUAUUAAACUUAACAGUUGUUCUUCCUACUAAAAGAAAGAAUAAGGUUCGUUUCCCCCCUUCAUUCUUACUUGAGUGAUACUUGUGGCCCCAAUAAACAUCCAAUUUUGGGGCAAUGAUAUUCCAUAUACAUGCAGCAAACUAUCAAUAAACCUUCAAUAAACCUUCAAUAAACAUUCAAUAUCGUUUCUAUAACAUGCGAAAUACAUGCAGUUACCAAAUAUUACAAAAUGGGUUUAGGGUCUCAUUGGUGGUGCGUGCAACAUGUCUUGUGCGGGAGAACUUUCACAAUCUUUUAAACCGUGCAGUUAAAUGAUCAUUAAAAGAACAAAUAAAAUGACAAUUGAUACAACUAAUAAAACUAAUACCAAGUCCUUAAUGGACUUCAGCAUGUUCAGCACUCUAGCAUCAUACGUGUCAUCUUGAUGUUCUGCUUCAGCGGAGGUUACAUCAACCCAUUCGAAUCCAUUGCAACUGGUGGCUCCCUAAUUGCAGGCAUCAUAUAUGGAAUAUAAUUCUGUCAGAGUUAGACAUAGGUUUUUUUUCACCCACAUACAUAUUCUUUAAAUUAAAACUUACAUAGGAGGUUAGACACUUCCAGAAUGGCUUCCCUCGAUUUUUGUCAGAUUUUGAAACCCGAAGCACCAUUGUAGCUCCACAAUACUGACACCUCUUUGUUUGAGCGGGAGAUGAAGAUGAAGACAUGUUUAAUCUUCUCAGUUGUACCUCUUCUCACUCAGAUCUUCUCACUGAAACCUCUUCGGACUCAUACCUUCUCACUCAUAGUUGUCAUUCAUACCACUUCACUCAUAACCCUAAACUUGUCACUCAGCUCUCUCUCAUCUCUGCCCAAAUCGAGUUAUAUUUCUUUUUUUUGGGAUCAUUUGGUGGGUUGGUCACGAUGUCGACACCUGUACCGUCAGCAUUGUGACAUCUUUUAGCCCGAAAAGCAAUAUAAACUACUUCACUACCAAAUAUAUUUUCUGAAUAAUGACGGGACACUGCUUCAAUUUUAUUAAUUUAUUUAUAUUUCAUUAAGGCAACUAGUUGGAUAAGAAUCCGUCAUUAUUGGUUCCAUUUUAAUAACAUUACUAGGGGUAAUUGGGUGUGGGAAAAUGAAAAAGUAUAUGAUGGGACCUUCUGUCACUAGUCAGUAAUCCAUCACAUUUGUAUCAAUGAAUUUGAUAGUGGGAUAAACCCAAAAAUGGCUAUGCAAAUAGCCAUUUAAUUAACUUUUUGACUGUCUGACUCUGUAUGCACCGUUAUGACGUUUUCCCUUCUUUUGUCUUAAGUUUUAAUUCACUGGGGUUCAGUUUCUUUCAAAAGGGUCAACUUGGAAAAACCCCAACUGGAAACACCUUUUCAAAACACUAUAAACAGAGGCUAAAACAAAACGUGUACCCCAAAUAUUAUCAUUUAUCCCCUCUGCCACUCCUCAAAUCGUUCCAUUCCAAAAACUUUUCAAUGAAUUCGAAACACUUCACUACAGUCGGAGGAAAGAGAAGGAAGCAUGUCCAUUUCGAUAUGCCCGAAGCCUUCAUCCCGGAGUCCGCUUGGUUUCAAGUCAUGUUAUACGUGGCAACCGAAUCAUCGGAAGAUCUCUUCCGUAUGGCAUCUGUGUGACGAUUGUUCCGAACUUUGGCAAACAGUUCACAAGUGUGGAACACCAUUUCAAUGGCAAAGUACCCAGACCAUCCUAUAUGGUACCGUGCCAGACCUGCGGUCCAGCAUUUCUUGCAACAAUGCAGGGCUUGCGAUAACCCUGAGUCCAUAUUUAGAGAAGCAUUCGAAGGUUUUUUCAGGCACGGUAAGGUGGAAGCGUUGUAUGGGAUGCGCAUUGCAGCCACGGCAGGCCAUAUGGAAGCGGCAUAUGUAGUUGGACUACUUGGUAUGUCCGGAAUUGGUCAGUCAAAAGAGGAUGCAUUACAAUUCUUGUGUUCUUUGAAUCAACGUAACAACAUUGAUAUGAAAGGAACCAGGGAUGCUUUGACAGGAAGAUUUCACGGAGCAUUUGUUGCAAGACAUAUCGUAGAUAUGUUUGACUAUGGGAAGAUUAAGUUCAAUCGGUGCAGCGCUUGUAACAACAAUGAAUGGUAUUUUGUUAUUCCAGGCUGGCCUAGUGAAGACAAGAUAAAUCCUGCGUUGUGGACUUGUUGCAAUCGAUGCAAAUGGCACCGUGAGAGUAUUUUUUGGUGCAAACUGAUGCGUGAGUAUGUUGUGCGAGGGAAUCACGUAUUUUUGCAUUAGUUUUAGUACGAAUUUACGGUUUUGAUGCAUUGUGGACUUGCUUCUCUUCACUUCUAGGUUGGCUGGCUACGUUAUACCUAUCUCAGUUUAAAUGUUGUUCAAAUGUUGGUAUUUUGUCAUAAACCGUUUUAUAUAUAAAUGUAUAAUAUUUAUUAUAUAGCGGAAUUAUUACUUACAUCAUAGACGGCUAGGAAUGACAUUUUACUGACACAGAUAUUUUGCUCACCGACCCCAAUCUUCAUAUUUGAUAAACGAAAAGUUAUGCAUGGAGUAAAUAGGUGUCUUUUCACCAGUGCUUGGGAAUGACAUUUUCCCACUUAGCAUAUCCGAAAGGAUUUGGUUACACGUUUCUUAACCUAGGGGGUUGAACAGUGAAUGACGUAGACUAUUUUUUGUGUGUGGAAGGAGUACAAUGGAUGACUUGUAUAUUUCCAUAUUAUGUUUCAAAACAUCCCUUCAACCUAAAAAAUAAAAAAAUUAACAAAUUGAAGAACAGAGAAACCGAUGAGCACUACAAAUGGCCUAUUCGCACGGAAAAUAAAAUUGUUUUCAACAAGUUGGACUAAAUAUAAUUAACAAAUGGACAGCCUAAAAAGUAAUAUCAUAAUAAUUAUAAUAAUUGUGGAUAAAUAAUAAUAAAAUACUAAUGUAACAUAACCAUUAAACAGGGAAUGCAGUAGGAAGAUGAAAUCGCAAUAAGUUCGUAGAAAUUUUGGGAUCGUUUUUCUAAUUUUUGUGUAUUUAGUUAUGAAUUUUCCAAGAAAAAAGGUAAUAAAAUAAUAAUUUAGGGUAAAAUGGGAGGAUGUGGCCAUGUUCGGUAACGUACACUUGUGCAAGUAGUCAAAAGUGACGGGCUGAGAUCGCGCCAGGUGUCAUAUUCUUGUUAAUUUUGGAUUCUUUUGUUAAAAAAUCUUUGAAACUAGGUAAUAAAUAGUAGGAAAAUCGUAAAAAUGGCCCAAAAAUUACUCCGGCCUCCUUUUGACGUCCUAAAACUAGGAGAACCUAUAAAUCAUUCGUCUCGCAAUGAAAUAAUCCAAAUUGUGUUACAUAACUCACUUUCCUCUUAACCCUAAGUAUUGAUGUUUGUUAACUUCAACUUGAAUAACCUACUUCAACAAGCAUCUCCCGUUAAUAUUGGGAAUUAAUUUUACAAAUGCGUAACAAUGAAUCGGAGAAUUCAGCAACGGAGAUGGAGUGUCAAUGAGUUCGUAGCAAUUUUCGGAUAAUUUUUUUAUUUUGUGUGUAAUUAGUUCUGAUUUUUGUAAGGAAAAGUAAUAAAAUAAUAAUUUAGGGUAAAAUGGGAGGGUGUGGCCAUGUUGACUGACGUACACUUGUGCAAGUAGUCAUCAGUGACGGGCUGAGAUCGCGCCAGGUGUCCUUUUGCUAUUAUUUUGGCUUUUUUAGUGCAACAAUCUGUGGACAUAGGUAAUAAAUUCUACGAAAAUCCAAAAAAUGCCCGGAAAAUGAGAAAAUGAAAAUUAUUUGUACAUAACUCACUUUCCUCUUAACCCAAAUUCACGUUAACACGUAUAUUUCGGAUAAUAUUCGAAAUAUAAUUUCUAAUAAUACAAUAUUUAGUUUCACUAUAUACAAUAAUAUGUUUUUUUUAUAAUAAUGUACAUAAAUAAUAAUUGCACAUGCUUUGAAGCCAUCAUUGCAACUACGCCUAGAGCUUUGAAGACGUCAGUUCGUAUUCAAUAAGUUGUCCACAUGCAACUGCACCUAGAGUUUUCAACACGUCAGAGGUAUUCAAUAAGUUGUCCACAUGCAACUGCACCUAGAGUUAUUAACACGUCACAGGUAUUCAAUAAGUUGUCCAUAUGACGCCGCAUUGGGAAUCAGUAAUAUAUUUUCAAUCAUGUCAAAUCACAUAAAUAAUGCCAUACUUUUUCUCAAUAACCUCACACAAGUGAAGCAAUUUUAAAACCCUUAGUGAAUAUUUAUCCUAGUCUAUAUGAGUGAUUAUAUAAUCAGUUGCAUAAUAUUUUUUUCACAGUAUAUGUUAACUUUGAGAGGGAUUCCACAAACAUAAAAUAUAAAGAAAGCAAGAAAUAGUAGGAAAUGAACCAGUACAAAAAACAAUAUAUAAAGUGUACAUAAUAAUUCCAUAACCUUGUCACAAACGCACUCACAAAAGCUUUUCCAUAAACCUUGUCCUAACAUAUAAUAAAUAAAGGCAACAUUGCAUAUGAUGCAACCAUGUCCAAAUCUGAUAAGUGAUCAAAAACAAAUGGACAUGGCAGCAACAUAUGAUUGAAGUAGAUGGGCUCUUUGCAUCUUCUGUUUUCGUAAUUAAAGACAUCAAAAUAUUAAGGUUUAAAUCUUCCAUAGUAGUUAGCAUCAAAAUAGCUUUGAAGCAGAGUGUAACGAAAAUUCCAAUUCCACUUAUUUGCCUCUGCUCAAACACGAGAACCAAAAUGGUUACUUCCCUUGCUGAGUAUAUUUGGUGACGUCGGAAACGGUAAUAGAUGACCAAUCAAACCCGGGUACGACGAGUUUUGCAUAGGAUCGGAAGUAGUCGAAUCCAGCUUGCAUCACACGCUUCUUUGACUCCACUACAUUAGAUGAGUUCUUGUAUUUUUGAACAGCUACACUCUGAAGUCGUUUGUGUCUACGCUUCAUGCGCUGCAACUUCGCCCUAUCCAGAUUGGCCUGCCUUUUGUCAUCUUCAAUUUGGCCUUCCACAAAUUCCAAACGUGCCCUUGCCCUUUGGAUUUCAUCACCAAGUUGAAGAUGCCUCUCCUUCCAAAAAGCAACAACUCUUUCAGACUCAAAACUUCCAACAAAAUGGUCAUUCUGUCUAGCAAUGUGACAUUGCUUGUCUGGUGACUCACUUGCGUGUCGAAGCCGGUCUUUGUUUGGAGGGGUGUUUAUUAUACUCACAUCAAACUUGGUUGUGCUUAUGCUCAUUCUUUGGGGGGAAUGAGUUUGUUUGCUUGAGAGAGUAUCGGUAGAUGGAGACAGAUUCGGUGGAGGAGUGAGUUUUGUGUGGAAGGAGAUUUUAUAUGAAAGGGGUGAUAGUAAUACCAAGAAAAGGGUUCCCGCCAAAAAAUAUUUGGUUGACAAAGUAGAAAUUAUUUUUUUAGUCUGAUACAAUCUAAGUUUAAUCCUAACUAGUUUGGUUGAGUUAACUAAGUAGAUGUCACUUCCAUUGACUUUCUUUCAACAACUAUCAGUGGUGUAAGGAGAGUGUGAGGUUGACAUGCUUGAAAAGCAAAAGCUGACACCUAUUUUUAAAAAAUUCCCGCCAAAAAGUACAUAUGUUGACUACACACAAGCUUUGGUAUGUUGGUCUAUAAACCUAUGUUCCCUUUCUCAAACGAAAUUGCAUAUGCAAUCCUCAUCCUCCCAAAACAAAGAGGAUUAUUCAAGCAUGUCAACCUCUUCAGGCGCCAACAACACAAUCGAACAUGACAAAUUGGAGUCACAGGUUCUAUUUCCACAUUGUACUCGCCGACCCCUUCCUUUUUCAACAUCAUUUGGGAGUGAGGGGGACUCCGAUGAUCCAUUAGAGGCAAUACAUGCAGUCAGUGGCAAGCUGGAUUAUAAUUCCAGACUGAUCAAUUCAUGGCACGAGAAAUGUGUUGAAGACGAGGCAAUUUUGGCUGAUCUUAACAUUAGGGUGAGCAAAGCGUUAUCCCAAAAGAACAAGUACUUGAAGCUGAGUCAUAGCAGGAAGCUGAAAGCUGAGGAGUUGGAUACAGUAAUGAAUGAUGAAAUGAAAGGUUGUUUGAUGAACCAUAUGCGAUGCGAACAGCACCAUACUGAACUGGAGUUGGCAUUCAACGAAGGAUUCGACAAAUUCCGAGCAUUUGCGGCAACUACUCAUACAAGUUAUGAUUGGAACUAUGUGUCCCCUGAUGCUGUGAGAGAGAUACUAGACGAUGGGGGUGACAUGAAUGAGCAUAAGCACGUCAAAGCUGCUCGGAAGAAGCCGACCGAUACGACUAAGUGAUUGCGGCUACCGCUGUUCAGUUAGUUGAGGGUGACCGUGGUAUUGCACAUAUACUCCCUUAAUGUCAUUAUCUAACUUAAAAUAACACAAAUAUCAGUUUCAUUUGCUUGAUAUAUAAUUAUUGGGACUAUGUAUUGCAAGUCAUCAUGUGUUAUAAUGUCUAACAUUAUAUUUUGCAAAUAUGGAAAUAUUAUUCAAGAAGCAGUCAAUAUCACAGAAAGCCGGGAAUCAGUAAAUGCUCCUUAUCAUGUCCAUUUACAUUAAAGAGCUGGAGUACUAAUGUGUUCAAAAAAAACUGACACGUGAGUCAUAAGUAACAUAACAUGUGCUAUACAUUGUUUACUGAAUGGUUUAUGGUUUAUUUGUAUAUAAUAAAAUUUCAAAUAUUGCUGAAGAUUUAUUUCGUGUAUAUCACUAGGGAUAUGAGUGGCCAUAAGCAUGUGAGACCUGCUAAGAAGAAGCUGACGAGUACGACCCAGUGAUUGGCUACCGUUGUUCAGUUGGUUGGGGAGAUCGUGGUAUUGCUAUGAGGAAGCACACAAUAUGUUUUGCAAUCAAAUGUUCUUUUGUGUGUGGAAUUAUGAGUAUUUAUGUAAGUUAGUGUACCCUUUAAUAUUUUUCACCUAAGUAUCGAAAUGCAGUUUUUGAAUGUUAUGUUUUUUUUUACCCGCUGCUUUCUAUUUGCUCUGUUCCAACAAAGUGCUUCAAGUAUCCUUCACUUACAAAAGUGUACAAAAUCGUGCCCCUAAUAACCAGUCGGAAAAAGUGGCUACUGCUGGAAAUGAUUACUGGUAAUGGAAACAACAGCUGGCUGCUGUAAUUGCUGCAUUACCGUGAGGAUUUGAAAAAUGAAUCUCUGUUAAAACAAAUUUCACCCUAAACUGCCCAUUUUACAUGGUAAAAGUCAUUGCUUCUUCAAAUCUUUUGCAGCUACACGAUGCGUGGUCAGAAUCUUUGACAUAUACGACUUCUGCCACUCUUGUUUCCCAAUUUUUUCUUUCGCUCACGUUGAACACAACUUUACAAGCAUCCUCUGUUUUGAGCUCUAGGAAACAUGCUGUACUUUGUAUUAGUUCUUGCUCAAACUUUUGAAACAUUGUCCUUGUGUACAAGGUAGCCAUUUGUUUGUUCAUUGGCAUCGGUAGAAGACAUUGAGCCACUUCAAAUGCAUCUGCGUGAUCAGCAACUAACUCUUUUUCACGUUGAUGAGAAAGUGCCCUCUCAAAUCGUAUUAUGAAAUCCAUCAACGAAUUUCUCCUUGAUAUGUAUUGCUUGAAAAAACCAUGAGAACCUUCCGCUCUUUGGCUGCUUGACAUUCCAGCGGCAAAAAAUUGUCGUGCGUAGGCUGGAACCCAAGAUUCCCUUAAAUCAAACAUUGAACUUAGCCAUGGAUGGUCAGUCAAACCAGCCUUUGUAACCACAAUAUUCCAUUUUGCAUCAAACUCAUCCUUAUUGUCAGUAUCCCAUAUGGCUUUCUGAAAUUCAGGCCAAUACUCCUUAUAAGCGUCACGUGGUAACUUAACAGAGAACUUUGAUGUGAUGUGCUAUAUGCAAAGUCGAUGAAAUGUACUCGGGAAGGCUAUUGAAAUCGCUAUGGCCAUUGCCGCAUCUUGAUCUGUAAUGAUCGUUUUAGGUUCCCCACCUGGCAUGGCUUUCUUAAACUCCUCAAACAUCCAAACAAACGACUCAGUCGUUUCCUUGCUCAAAAAUGUGCAUGCUAACACAAUUGUCUGACCAUGGUUAUUAACUCCCAACAUUGGUGCAAAUGUCAAGUCGUAUCGAUUCGUGUUGAAUGUGGUAUCAAAUACAACAACAUCUCCAUAAAACCCAUACGCCCGUCUAGAAGUUGCAUCUGCCCAAAAACAUCGACUAAACCUAUCAUGCCCAUCUCCCUCAAUCUUGAAAUAAAAAGCCUCAUUUUUUUUCUGUUCAGCCAUAAAAUACUCGGUCACUAGUUCAACAUCGUGGUUCCUCAGCUUCCCAAUCACACUACAUUCAAGAUUGUAGAUAUCUUUUUUGAUAAAACCGAUUUUAUCCAUUCCUCCGGAUUGCACCUCGAAAAUACUUACCUUCUGAUGAAUGGGAAUAUUAACUGAACCCAACUGUUUUGUGAGUACUUUUGUAGAAUCUGAAAUAUGACGGUGUGAUCUCAAUAAAUGCAUUCUUUCUAAGGGUGUCAUCUUAUGAUUGUGUCCCUCUGCAAAAAGAGAAAUGUUAUACUUGUUGCUCCCAUUUGUCUUCACAACCACAAUCUUUGCUUUGCAAUUGCAUCUACUUAUUCCCCGUUGUCUUUUUCUCUCCCGAGUUUCAUCCUUCCUGUAUGCACCUUGUUUGCAACAUACAAAUUCUUUCCUCAAAAUCUCUUUCUUAUUUUUCCCCCAAAAGCUAGAAUGAAGUCGAAUACCAAAGCCAGCCAAGAAUGCAUAUCUAUUAUAGAAAUUGUAAACGAGGUCAAGCGAGUCAAACUUCAUCCCAACUGCUGGUGUUUCCUCAUUUCUUACUUCAGGAAUAUAAACCCUCCCAUUAGCUGUUGCACAUUCAUCACUCUCUGAGCCCCCAGACAUUUUAUCUACGUAUAUUAUUGAUCCACUUCUAUAUUACUGCAUAGCAAUUAUUCAUUCAUUAAUCAGUCAUUACUGCAUCACAACAUAUCAAUGCAUUCCACUUACACAAAACAUUGCCCAAAUUGACACAAAAUACGCAUAGCCUAACUUCCGAUUACACAAAACACAAGCAAAAUUUCAUAAAAGUUACGUCAUCUCUUGUGAAAUAAUCUGGUCAAAAUAACAUUAGAACCAACAUGUUCAACUAAGAACACAAAUGUAAUUCAAACCACCAAUUACAGAACUUCACCCAAUAUCCUCUCCAACUGCUUACUCCUAAUGUCAUUAAGCCUAAGUUUAGGUUCUUUUACCUACAUUUCAUAAUUUUUCACCCCGACCAACAACAAUGAACUAAGUAUAUUGAAUAUUCACAAGGAAAUGACACAUUAUUGAUGCCACAAAUGACGAAUUUCCCACCCUCACAAAAAAUAAACCUAACCCAAUAAAAUCAAUCCAGCAAGUGAACUUACCUCUCAAAAUCAAUCGAGAGCUCUGAAGUCAGUCAGCUUGAAAGAAUGUGGUGGACAUUAGAGAAGACUCUUUGGUAUUUGAGACUCCAUCUCUAUCAAAAUCGAGGAACAACUGCUGCUGCGGCUUCUAGCUACAAAAACAGAUAUGCUACUUUGCUUUCAUCUAGAAUCUUGUCAGCUGAAUGAAAAAGAGAAGGGGUUUUCACUUGAGCCAUAGAAUCAAAACAGGGCAACAGCUAGGUAAGAGCCAUUCUUCGUAAUACCCAGGAUACCAUAGAUCGCAGGCCUCCCAACGAGCUAAUGACAGUGGAGUGACUAUAAGGUUUGGGAGAUUUGGAUCCUUCUAAUUGUGGGUUUGCUUUACAUUCAAAAAGAAAGGAUUGUGUUCUUCAGUUUUUCACAGAGAGGGAAAGAGGGGAACAACUGAAGUUGGGUUUCUAACGGGUUAGAUUUCAACCCGAUUCUACAUGCACCCUCUUUUAAAAACUCACCGUUGGAUGAAAUCCAACGGCUCUUACAUACCCCUCAAAAACACCCCUUAUAACUUCCCACUCACUAUAGAAGCUCCCCCAACUAAAUCCCAAAAGGGAAACAGAUUUGAACAACAUACAAAUUUGAAGGACACACAAAUAUGAAUCUCAGCACCGGUGAGAAAUUAAUUUUAGUUGAGGUUGGUAGGUAGGCAUUGGAAGUUUUUAUUGUUUUUGCUCCAAGUCCCUCCUCCACUCACUAAUACAGAUUACUCGCAAAUGAACUAAAGUCUGCAGGGAUAUAUGGACUCCCCUGUCCAUACGAAUGUUGGAAGAAAUGUGUGUUAAAUUUUAGAGAGACGGGUCUGUGACCCACCACUAGCAACGUUGAUAUUGUCUCCAACUUAACUACAUGUUUAGUAGAUGUGGGGUUUUAUACAAAAAGUAUUGAUGUUAUUGGGAAUGGAACCACUUAUUAUAAGUUAAAAUUUAUUUAGUCAAGUUUCCUAUGUGGGACUUUCUAUUCUUCAACAAGCCCCUUCAUGUGGGACCACCACAUAGUGGGCCACACGUAGAGCCAAGUCCACAUCGGAGUCAAUCAUUCAAGCCCAAUACCUAAACACCACGUAUUGUGUGAGGGGUAGGGGUAAACAUUCAAGCCCAACAUAUGAACACUGUAACAUCCCAACUCCAAAUUUAAUCCCUUAUUUAAAUUAUUUAAGUGAAAUUACAAAUUUACCCUUGGGGUAGGGAUAUUUUGGUCAUUUUCUUACCCGAAAAGAGUUUGGGGCAGUGACUAGUAUUUUUUGGUAGAUCGUACUGAGAUGAGUCUGUAGACAUGUAGUGGGCUCGAUUCGGAGUUGAAACGAAGAAGUUACGAGCAAAACAUCACCAAUGGCAAAACCGUAAAUAUUUCAAAAUGAAUUUUUAAUAAAAAAAACCUGAAAAACCCUCUCUCUCUCUCUCUCUCUCUCUCUCUCUCUCUCUCUCUCCUGCGCACAGCCCCUUUCCCCCCUUCGUUUUUUCUUUCCGUGGCUUCCAAGAGCCACCAUCGCCACCACGAAUCACCACCGGCCAUGAGGCCGGACUCGUUCGAACUGCCGCCGCAUCCUCUUCCUGUUCCGGUCGCUCCCAGUCGCUGCCAUCCGCUGUGCUGGCCGGAAAUCGAAGAAAACCAGCCGAUUUUUGUCAAACUUUCGGCCGCUCGUUCUCCCACUUCCGGCCACCAUUUUGGCCAUCCAGGUAUAGAUUUUGAACCUCUCGAGCUGUUCUUGCUGCCUGUUGUGUUAGAUUUGGGAGAUUUCCGCGUUUUGAAGGUCGAUUAAACGAUGGAAGUUUGGCUGGUUUUUGGCCUCCGAUUCCGGCCACUUUCGGUCACUUUUUGGGGUAGGUCCAAGAACAAAAGUGGUUCCAAAUAGGGUGUUAUACCUAGGGUAGGAGUCUUGAGCCGUGGUUUUGAGAUUUCUCGGUGAUGCGUAAUCGCUUUGGACACCCAUACGCUACCGGCGCGUGUGGUGGCGCGUGGGCACUGUAGAAAUGGGGUAUUGUGUCCCGAUGCGAUCCCCUUGUUGUCACGAGUGUGUAGUGUGCUCGGAUUCCAAUUUGGUUGACAUUCGAACCCCGAACGAAUUUCUCCUAUUGCACGUUAUCCGCGUUUGAUAGGUUUGAACCGUUGGAUAGUCUUGAAUUUAAUAUAUUUAAUCUAAGCAUUUCUAGGAUCGUGUAGGAAUUCACGGAUCAUGAAUCGGAACCCCGGAUGUUCCGAUUUAAUAAUUUAAAGUUUAUGUUUAUAUUAACUGUCAGAUCGUGCAAUCGUGAGCGAUCCGACCUUCCGAUCCGGACCAAACGUGCAGGACGUAUAUCCUAAACCUUGUGGAACCUAUAGGAACUUUCGAAUCAGAAUUUAGAGGUCGUGGGCCUAGUGGCCCCGUUUGACCAAGUGUGGAUAGUUUGACCCUUGGUUGACCUUGAGUCUUCCAAGGUAGUUUUCCUUCCUAGAAGGAUUAUAAUGACCCUAAUGACAGGUCUUGAGCGUUGUUGAGCCAUGUUGACUAGGUUAAGAUUUUUAGAGUGUUUAUUAUUGUCGUAGGAAACUCUUGGACAUUAUUUUAAUAAUUGGAAUUAUAAAAGUGAGUUUUGGGUUCGGCUAUGACUUUAGUGAAUGGACUUUAUUUUUAAAUGAAUAGCAUGGCUUUGUGAUGGAAUUUUUAGGCAUGUGAAUUUAAUGGUUUAUUGAAAUUCAUUUUUAUAAUUAAUAGUUAAUUUAGCAGUUUUGGUAAAGUAUUAGUGAUGUGUGGGGUACUUGGGAUUUUGUUGAGGUUUAUACAAUAUUAGAGAUUAACUUAUAUAUUUAAAUAUAGGUAUGAAUGUAUGAAAAGAGUUUAGAAUGUCAGUUUGAAGUACUAUACGCACUACCCUAGGUACCUCAUCGGAUUUUGAUUACACUAUAAGUACCACCCUGUGAUUGUCAGGUCACCCAUGGCGUAGGAUUUUCCGGCGGAAUGACAGACCCCAUACGUGACGUUGGAAUUUCCGGCGUAUGGGGAGAUGAUAUUAUGAUUGUUAAGUCACACGUGGCAUAGGUUAUCCGGAGUGCUGACAGACCCCAUAUGUGGCGUUGGAAUUUCCGGCAUAUGAGGAGAUUAUGUGAUUGUUAAGUCCCACGUGGCGUAGGUUAUCCGGCGGGAUGAUAGACCCCAUACGUGGGGUUGGAAUUUUCGGUGUAUGGGGAGAUGAUAUAAUGGUUAGGUCACAUGUGGCGUAGGAUUUUCCGGCUUGAUGACAGACCCCAUACGUGGCAUUGGAAUUUCUGGCAUAUGGGAGAUUAUGUGGUUAUUAGAGAGAUGAAUUAAGAUUAUUAUACUGAGUUGGGAACGAAUGAUGUUUGAAAAAGAUUUUGUUUGGGAUUUCUGCAAUUGAUUGCAUGUUGAUGGACUUGGAAAUUUUGUAUGAAAGAACUACGUGUGGCUUGAUCCCUUAGUAAGGGUACAUAUGCAGCUUAGGGUAGUGCCUAGGUGCAGCCGUGUGCUAAACUUUACUCAUGUUGUGUGAUGGAGAUUCGUUCGGACCUUGUUGUUAGUCCUGAAUUUUAGGUGAAAAUGAGAUGCAGUCUUGUUAGGAGGUUUAAAUUUUCUACGUUUAAUAUUUGGGAAUUUAGAUGAUGGAAAUCGCAUUUGGCGUUCAUAAAUGUGUUUGAGUUUAUAUUUGCAUUGUUUAGAGUUAGUUGGUGGUUUCGUUUCGAAUUAUUUGAAGGCCGAAGGCUGAUUAUGUGAUUUAUAUGAAAUUAUCUUGUGCAUACUGCCAGUUGUGAAUAUCAAAUGUGUUUUAUGCACGUUGAAAUUUUUAGGAUUGUUCAACUUACAGGGGAGACUGCCGAAAUUUCGGCAUAAAAUCUCGUGCCCUUAUUCCUUAUUGGGAAAAAUGAUUUAGUUUUAGAAGUGGGUUCGACAUCGGGGUGAUGUCGGGAAUUUUCACAGGAUUCAUCUCGGGUUUCGGGAAAUUCGGGUCGGGUCCUGUCAAACACCACGUAUUAGGUAAGGGUAAAGGCUCAAUUCAGGCCCAGUCAAUCAACCCAUUAUGAUAUCAUGUUAAAUUUCAGAUAGACGGGCCUGUGGCCCACCACUAGUAACAUUGAUAUUGUCCCCAACUUAACUACAUGUUUAGUAGGUGUGGAGUUCUAUACAAAAGAUCUCGAUGUUUUUAGGAGUGAAACCACUUAUUAUAAGUUGUAAUUUAUUUAGUCAAGUUUCCAGUCAACCUGACUUUGAUACCAUGUUAAGAUUUUAAAGGGACGAACUCUUGGCCCACCAUUAGCAAUAUCGACAUUGUCCCCAACUUAACCACCUGUUUAACAAGUGUGGGGUUUUAUCCUAAAGAACUCGAUCUUAUUAAGAGUGGAGCCAUUUAUUAUAUGAAACUUUCUAUUUUGUUAACUCUGUGUAUUCUUCAUCAAUGUGAACACCCCUAAACCAAUCAUACCUGAUACGGAUUGAAACACAAGUUUGUUUUUUGCCUUUGGUAGAUGAGUAGCUAGAAAAGCUCAAUGCACUUGCUCUUCUUCUGCUACAUUUCAAUAUAAGAACAAGGUUUGGAAGCCAGGUCAACUCCUCAUAGUUUCCUUGCCUUUGCUUUGACAUGUCUAUGCACUUCUUGGGGAAGUUUGAAUAAUCAAUUGCAGGCCCCACGACAACUAAGGAACCAACAUUUUGUAGAAGGUUUUGUCUACACCUUUUGACUAUAAGUAAAAUCUUUUGUAUCUGCUCUUAUGUUUCGGUGAAGUUUCUAUGUGUCCUUUGUUGAACGAAAAAAUGAGGUUGUUUCUUACUAGAUUCAAAUACUUAAAAGAAAAAAAGAAAUUAUUGUUUCUUAAUUGAUUUUAUGGUGAACAAUAUCAAACUCUCCUCUUAUACGUCUUCUUCGUUGGACUUGGGGUUGUUUUCCUUAUAUGUCCCUUAUAUAUAUAGGGCCUUUGGUUGAGCCCACAAAUACCUUCAGUUAGUUUUUGGGUUUAGGGGCCUACAGAACCUGCACUAAACAAUAAAAGAAAAUACCUAAUUAGUUUAGUACGAAUUCUAUAAUGAAGGCUUUAUUAGGUAAGAUUUUAUUUCUUAAUCGUUAGAUCAAAUUUGACAGGACCCGUUCCUGAAUUUCUCGGAAAUCAGAGCGAACCCCGUCCUUGUUUCGACAUCACCCCGAUGCAGGGUCCACUUACUAAAAACCGAGACUUUCUACCAAAAUUUUGAUAGAAUCUCCCUUGUAAAUUGAGCAAACCCAACAAAAAUUUCAGCCUGCAACAUACAUAAAAAUAAUCCCAACCAGCAGCAUGCUUACAACAUACAACAAAACGUACUAAAUGGCCUCCGGCCUCACAAGUAAAAUUUAACAUGGGUAAUCUACUGAUGUAAACGAUUCGGCCUUCGAACACUGCUUGCAACCUUCCUGAAGCGACUACUGGCUAAGGGGCGCAAAACAGAAAACAUGUGAGUGGACAAAAACAAGAUUCAAUUAAAACAACAUAGUAACCCCACCGUGUAAAAAUAAUGCUCAAGACAUGUAGGUUUACAAUUCAUAAUUAAAUAUUCAAAAACAAAUUUCAUUUAAAAUUCUUUAAAACCACAAAUCACUCCAUCCAUAAAACCUCAUGCCCACAAUUUUACUGCUCCUACCAACCCACUGUAUAGACUCUAAUUUCUUCACAAUCACAACUAUAUAUAAAUAUAUAAAUUGUAUCAUACAACAUACUCCUCACACUACUUAGGUACAGGGGAAACAAUCCAACCGGAGGAUCGUUUAACUAGCCCGCAGGAUUUUCAGGUGCUAUCCUGAGUCUAGGAAUGAGUGGUCCAACCAGGGGACGAAACUCUAUAGCUCACACACCGGAACAUCCAACGCCACGUGUAGCUCCAAUACUAAGUCCUACAGGCACAGACUGGAUCACCACACACCGGAACAUCCAAUGCCAUAUGUGAUAAUCCCAAGCAAUAUACAGAGUCUUCCCAUACGUCGGAACAUCCAACGCCGCGUAUGGAAAGUGUUCACACGCCGGAACAUCCAACGCCACGUGUGGGAAGCCUAUUAACUGGGGAAAGUACUUACAUAGUGUAAUCAUACAAUUUCUCUCAACAACUCCUCAUACUCAAGUUCUUCCACAAACUCACCUCAACAAUCCCAAGUACCCCACCUAUAGACAAUAUAUAUAUAACUUCCCCAAAAUCUAUACAAAACAUACUCUCGAUAUCCAAAUAUGCCAAACUCACAAUAUAUUGCCAAAGUGCAAUACAAACAUCAAAAUCAACACAUGAAUAUAAUAUAUAUUCAAUAUACCAUUUAAAACAUUAUGCGUAAAUCUUUCAUCAAUAAAACCAUGCGUAUGAUUGAAAACAAAGUCCACUCACAAGUAUUCCUACGCUGCUUGACCACGAGAGAGUCCUGCCUGCUGAGUACGUGCAGUAGGAGCACCUAUUUUGAGAUACAAACCUUUAAUUAAUAUAAAAUUACUUCAAAACGGAAAACACAAAUUAAAUACUUAAAUCCCCAAGUUCCCAGUACAUGUACGUUGAACGAGGUAUCCUAAGGUCUAGUUACAAGUUUGGGAAUCGCUCACGAUUGGACGGUUAUCGCUAACCCACAAAUUUUGAAUUAUUGAAUCGGAACAUUCGGGGCUCCGAUUCACGAUCCGUGAAGUCCUACGUGAUCCUAGGAAUACCUAAAACAACAUAUUUUAAUUGGAAAACGCACAAUAUGCGAAAAUCCGUUCGAUAGUCAAACGAUGUCCGAAUUGAGAUUCGCAAAAUGCUACGCACUCGUGACAACCUGAGGAUCUCAUCAGGACAAAGUGCAACUUCACCACCCUCACCCACGCGCCGGCAGCGCGUGGGUGUGUAGAGUAAAUUCCGGCGAUGGAAAAACUCCACACCUACUUGAGGUCAGGAUCUCAUCACUCAACUACAGGGAGGUUCAAUUAGGACGGCAACUGGCCGGAAUUUCACUUUGAAAUCCAGCCAAAACUUAGGUUUUCUAAUCGGUUCCUAGACAACAAAUCGAUCUAAACCUAUGCAACAGUCAGCUAGACUAAGGAAAAAGAGGAAGAAACCUCACAUUUUUCACUGGAAUCGGAAGGGAGAGGCGACGGGGCGACGUCGGGAAGACUCGGGUUUGAACCAGUCGAUGCCGUUGACGAUUCUCGCAUUUUUCGGGGGGACUUUGGGUGGUUCGGGUUAGUGGCUUCACGACGAGUCGAACGGGACCGGUCUCGGGGGCUGGGGUGGUCGGGUGUGGUGGCGGUGUGGUGGUUUUCGUCUCGGUGAACAGUAACAGGGGAGGGUUUCGCACGCGCAGAGAGGGACUCGGGAGAGAGAGAGAGAGAGAGAGAGAGAGAGAGAGAGAGAGGAGAGAAAAGAAAAAUUAGAUUUUUACUCUCCUCUUUUCAAAAUAUUUACAAGUUUGCCACUAAUGAUGUUUUGAUCGCCAUUUUCUUGUUACAACUCCGAUUCAAGCCUACCGCAUGUCUAGGAAUUCAUCUCAGUACCACCUACCCAAAAUUACCAGUCAUGGUCCCAAACUCUUCCCGUAACAGAAAAUGACUAAAAUACCCCUACCCCAAGGGUAAAUUCAUAAUUUCACUUAAAUAAAUUAAAAAUAGGAAUCAAAUUUGGAGUCGGGGUGUUACAAAAUUGGUUAGUACGAUCCAACGGUUAAUAGAUAAAACUUUACAUAAAAGUCAUAUAUAAGGCCCUCACUAUAGAAUGACUCGUUAGUUUAGUCUCUUGUUACAUAUCAACUGUUAGAGAUAUUUUUUUAAUAAGGAUCUACCAUACCACAUAGUUGGAUAAGACAUUAUACACAACUUUUGUAAGAGCAUCUCCAGCGAGCCAGGCCAGCCCAAGCAGCAAGGGGCCUUAAGCCCGGUAAGCAGCUCCAGCGCUCAAGAUUCAGCCCAGGCAAGGUGUGGAACCCACAAGGAGAUCUGGCCCGUCACCUUGCCUUUGGGUUUCAGUCAGGCUGAUGUCAACGAAAGAAUUUCAAAAAAAUUUUGCCGUUGCAAUGCACGCGCCAACGAUAAAUUUUCUUUGGAUUUCUUGCGUUGAUCCACAGCUACCAAAAACCAACGGCUACAAGCCACGUGGCUUCUCCAAGAGCCUCUGAUCCAAAAAUCUUGUCAAAUCUAACGGCUGUCCAUUUUUUGGCUAAAAAAAUAUCAAAAAAUUAUGGAAACAUUUUCUAUAAAUACCUACAAAUAUUAUUCACUUCCCACACCAAACCUUCAUACAAAUUCAUAUCCUUUCAAUAUUUUUCACUUUCCACACAAGAUUUUCUACUACUAAAUUUCAUUUGUGUAAAAAUACAAGUGGCCUCUUCUAUCAAAGCCGGAGGCGCGUGGACAACCGUGGAAGAUAUUUUGUUGUGUGAGUGUUGGGUCAAAGUUGGUCAUUGCCCGAUCACCGGCAAUGAGAUGAAGUCCUCUCGUAGGAGUUUCUGACAUCGCAGCGAAAGUAAGAUGUGAUAUGAGAAUGUAAGGAAUUUGAUGAGAGGAAUGGGAUUUGAGGAGUUUGAUGUAGGAAUUGAUGUUGAAUUGGAUUUGGGAGGUAUGUAUAUAUGAUUUGAGAGUAUGUGUUUAGGGAUUUUGAUAGGAGGAUUUGAGGAAUUUAGAUUUGAGGGAUUUGGAUUUGGGGAAUUUAAAUAUGAGGAAUUGAUUUAGGGUUUGGGUUUGAAUAUGAGAAAUUUGAUAUGAGAGUUUAGAGACAACUGAUGAUUGAUUGCUCUAAUACCAUGCUAAAAUAUAAAUAUGGUUUGAAUACUUUAGGUUGAGUUUUAUUCUUUUCCAUAAGGAGGUAUAUAUAGCAGUUUACAUGAGUGUUUUACAAGGAAAUAGAUACAGUAAUCAAUUAGGAUAAUAUCUCCUAAUUAUACAAUAAUUUGUCAACUAUAUAGAAUAGGAAAGUAAAUUCCUUAAUUAAUCAAGAAAAUAAAUCUCAUUGAUUAAUUAAGAGACUAACGUCAACAUUUAUAAGCCAUGGAAGAGCAGAAAAAGAGGUACUUAGGAGAUUUUAUACGUCGGACUAAGGUAAGCUUAAAGGACUAUAUCAAAAAAAUAAGGGACCAAGAAGCAAGACUGAGAAGUUGUUAUGCAAACCCAUUAAGUUUAGCAGUGAUGAAUUUGUAAAAAUCAUUCUAGUGGAUGCUGCCUUCACUAUUGAGUUCUUAUUGAGGUUCUAUCUGAAAGGAUGUAGACAUGAAGGAGACCGCUUAUUAAACAAAUCAGCUCCCAUUCUUUAUUCUUGAGGAUCUUUAUCACACAUACAUAAUAACCGACUCUUUUAGGAAUUAUUACAGUACUCAUGAUCAUGAGAGGCUUUCAAUAAUUAAUAUUUCUAAGAAUUUCGUCACAGCUGGAAUAUUGAAUUUGGAGGGGAAGGGAGACAAAUGGAACAGAAUAUCAUCUUCUUCUAGUGUUGGAAAUUUUAUAUUAUUUAAUAAUAUUUAAUUUCUAUUGUGAAUGAAAAAUAAGUUUCUUUAAGAAACGUGUGUCUUAGGCCAGUUUUUCUAACUGGUCGGCUUCCUUAGAUUUGUGCCUAUUGCUUUUCAAAGUAUAAUGAUGCAAUGGUUGUAUCUCGUUCAGGCAAAUGGAAGGUAUAUAGCAAUUUAUAGAACAAUACAGUAAUCCAGAAGAAAUAUUAUGAAAUGAAAAGAAUAAAAAGUAAAAAAAGAGAAGGAAAGGAAUUCCCACCUGCAAUGUAUAUGUAUGAAAGGAAGGACCAAGUUUGUUUUAAAAUGGUAAGAACAAGUUGAUUUAUAAUUGGGUUCAGAUCAACUCAUGGAUUUCUUGCCUUUUCUAUUCUCCUUCCUUGGACAUGAACUGUUUAAUCUUGGCUCUUCCCCAUCAUGUUGGGCCUAUCUUCUUCUUGAGGAUUGUAUAGGCCCAGGAAAUGCUUCAAGAUAGUUUUUGUGUUUUGGGCAUUGGGACCUAACUUCACAAAAAGAAAACAGAUUUGGCCAAAAAACAAAUUUGAAGGACAUUGAAAUUGUACCUGUAGGAUAGGUUAAAACACUGUAAGGGAGGUAAAUAGUACGUUUACAUAGUUUAAGUGUAAUAAAGGAAUAAAAACAUGCCCAGAGGAUUGAUAAGUGAUAUCAAUUCUUGAAUAUAGAGAACGUAAAAUAAAGGAACACGUAUAAAAUUAUUUUAUGUGGUAAAACCCCAUCUCUAGGGAAAAUCCACGGGACUUCUUAGUCCAAAACAAAUCUAUUAUAGAACGAUGAUUACAAGAAGUACUCACACACUUAUCCUAGACACAUUCUAGAUAAUGUUUACUGACCUCUUCGUAACUCAACUUCUGUCACAGGAUGAUCUUUCGACACUUCUUAUGUUGAACGCAAUACUAGUCACGAUUUCUUUCAAGCUCAUUGGAGAAAAACCGCCACAACAGUCUCGGUGCCCUCAAUCUUAUGAGUCACUGAACAUGCAAAUGAAUACAAUAUGAAUGAUAAAAGUGUUUGAUAAAUCACCAAGUUAUGGAACACUUGAUGAUUUAUUUCAAGUAAAAAUUCAGCUUUCCAAAGUUUAUGAAUUGAAAAUAUGAUCGUUAAAGCUCUCUAAACAAAAAAAACGAAGGUCUUAUUUUAUAGACUUUUUCUUUACAAGAAAGAAAACACGUUGAAAACCAAAUCUCCAAUUUCAAGGCUUGACAGAAAAUCACAAAAGUAUCUUUCCUAUUCUAGAGAUUGGUCACAUGAAGUCCAACCAAUAGGAAAUGAGAUAUUUAAGAAAGGAAGAUUUUGAUCAAUAUCAAUAUCAAAUGAAUUCUUAUAUGCCUAGUCAACUAUUAAGGGUAUCUUAACUACUUGAUAUUAUGAUAUGAUUGAAACAUGAUUUCCACGUUAGAAAAUUAAGGGGAUUUUAAAACAUGAAAGUAAUAGGAGAAUCAAAUUGAUUUGGACCAAAAUUGCCUAAAAAGAAAACACUCCUAAAUAAACUUCAAUUCACUUUUAAAAACAGUAAAACUUGAUUGAAUCGUUCUUUAAAACAAUUCCCUAAUAUACAUGCAUGAUAGUGACAUCACUUACCUCUGAAUCAGAUGCCUUUUACGAGUCAAGCCACAAGUUUGUGUUUUGGGGAUUGCUGAGCUGCAUCAAUCCUGCCAAUGUCAAUUCUGCCCCUAGGCUCUCUCAAAGCACGUUUACAAUCUAUGCUAAUAUAUACUAGAGUUUAUGCUAGUAUCUAGAAAAUGCCAACACUAAUUUCGUAACACGUAGAAAUUGUUAGAGAUUGGAAGUUUUUUUCAUUUUUUUCUUCCAGACUCUCCACCACUCACUAAUACAGUUUACUCAUGUGAUGAAUUUACAAAACCUAUUUCUCUACUCUCACAAAGACUAUACUUAGGGGGGGUGUAUUCAAUUAGGAGUCUAGAGCGUUUAAAAAGAUUUUGUUUAAGUGCCAGCUUUCAUAGAACUUGAUGGAACUUUAUAAUUCGUAUAGAACUUGAUAGACUUUCAGAAGACUUCUGUAUAAUUUGUUAAUAAAACUUUCUUAAGCUUUCAUAGAACUUGAUAGGCUUUUAUUCCAGAAUUAUGUAGACAGUAUAUUUCAUUUUAUCCCCAUCCUUGUCAUUUAAAGAAAGAAACUUGAAUGUUUUCAAUCAAAUUUGUUUUUGUUACCAAAGCAAAAACAAAAAGUACUUGUUUGCGAAGGAAGAACAUAUGCACAGUUCAAAAUGAAAAGAAUAAGAAGCAAAGUACCUAUUGGACCAAUGAAUGCUGUGUCAACUAGAGAAGCAAUUGGAUCGGCUGUCAAAGCCAAUGCUACAGGCAAUGCAUCGAUGGUCCAAAUUGCAAUAAAAAAUAUUUUGUAUAAUGGUUCUUGCAGACAAAGACCACAUAAAUUCUGGACUGGUCCAGCUUGAAUAAUAAGGUUAGAUUAGCCGAUGGAUGAGAGUAAAAGCAAAGAAAGUUGAUGAAUUCAUCACCAAUUAUUUAAUAACUGUAACAUCCCACAUUGACCAACGGAGAGGGGGUGAUGUGCCUUAUAUGUACAUGCCCACUUCCAUCUAGCAUGAGUCCUUUUGAGAGCUCACUGGCUUCGGAGUCAUGGGAACUCUGAAGUUAAGCGAGUUGGGGCUAAAGCAAUCCCAGGAUGGGUGACCCACUGGGAAGUUGCUCAUGAGCUUUAGAAACAAAAAUCAUGAGGGCAUAAAGGGAGGCCCAAAUUGGAUAAUAUCGUGCUACGGCGGAGCCGAUCCCAGGAUGUGACAAUAACCAAUAGAGUAUUUAAACAUAAACAACAAUGUUUGAUAAACAAAACAAAUAGUCCAAAUAUUAUCCAAAAAACAAUUCUAAAACCAAUCAUUCCAAACAAACUAGUCAUUCCCAAAAACUCUCAAAAAACCCACUCAUUCCAAAUUAUAGGAUAUCCAAUUUGAGCGCUCCUCAGGAGACAUUUUCAAAAAUGCAUCCUUUUUUGUGUUACUAUGCAACAAAGAGAGCGCUUUAUAAUGAGCACGUUCAUCCAAAUUUGAGGUCUCCUUAAUGGCAUCCCACAUAUAACUCUGCUGCUCUCGCUCUUUUCCCCUUUUUGCCAAUAGGUUAUGGACCUCCCGGAAGUCGGUGACAAUUGAAUCAAUGCUAAGGCUAAUUCUUCCCAUAGCUUGUUGGGUGGUCACAUUUGAGAUGGCAUUCCCUUCCAAAUCUAUUCUAGUUCGUUUCCUCUAGUAACAAGCAUAAAUCCUAGUAACAAGCAUAAACCCUAAUCCCAACCUAUAACCUAAUAACAAGAAAAACACGAUGAAAAAAAAAUCAUGGAAAAAGAAAACCCAACGAGGUAUUGAUCAAAAAAAAAAAUAGGGAGCAUACCUUCACAGAUGGAGGAAGGAAGCUGUUUGUCUUCACAGAGAGAAAAGCUAGGGAAAGAGAAAAACGUCUGAUGAAAUACUUUGGGGGGAGGUUGGAUUUCUUUUGGUCUUUGAUAUUUAUAACUCUCCCCUUAAAACCUACAAAAAUUUAUCACUUAAUGAAAUCCUUCCAAAUAUAUGACCUUUCGAAUACACCUAGAUUUGAUUCAACUUUUUUAUAAUCCUAAUUGAAUACACCCAUAUUUGAGUGGACUUUUUAAAAGUUCAUAUAAGUCCGAAUUGAAUACACCCAGACUUGUAAAACCUCUUUUAAAGUUUGUAUAAAUCCAAAUUGAAUACACCCGGAUUUUUAAAAUAUUUUUUAAACGCUUUAUAAUCCUAAUUGGUACAUCCCCCUUAUUCUCAAAAGACUAUAUCACUUUACCUCUAUCUCUGUGAAAUGUAAAAAGUUGAAACUUUAAUGUCAAACCUCGACAAAAGAUGAACUUCCAUCAGUUGCGUUGAAUUUGGAUUUGUUGAACUAAAGUGGUUUUACUUUCUCUGUCAGUGUUUGAUGACUUAAUUUGGUAUUUACUUCUUUUUUUCCUUGGAAAUGUGUUCCACCAACGUGAGGAAGAAAAAUGUGCACAAAUUAAUAUAUUUAAUAAAAGCCCAAGAUUUCGGAAGCACAUAAUUUCUACAAAAAUCUAGAAAGUGUUCUACUUUACAAACUUCUUAUGUCUAUCAAUUUCUACUAAAAUUAAUUUCUCUGUGGUGCUCAGAUUCAUCAUAUGUGUGUCCUUAAUUUUAUUGGAAAUUAGAAGUUUCCAUAAUUUUUAUUUUUUGGGAAUUUUCUGAACCAAGAAAAAUCAAGUAAAAUUAAUAAAGCUUAAAUUGGAAAGGGAAAAUAUCUAGAGGACGCAUUGUAGGAUUUCUCAUGCCGAUAAUUGUACCCUCUAAAUAUAUAGGGACAUAUUUUUUUUGUUUUCAUGACAUGUGGUCCUAAAAUUAUUGUUCCUAGCGGGCUCUCCACCCCCUCUCAAAUUUACGUGGUCCAUUAUGAUUAACCAUAUAUUUUAUUGACCAUCCAGCUGUGAGGUUUUAUCCCAAAAACCUUAGGUACAUUUCUCAAUUAUGUCUGAUACAUCACAUCAUGCCACAAUUGUAUAUUCACAAUUAUGUCUGAUACAUCACAUCAUGCCACUUGCCUCAAAUGAAUUUAAGUGAGUGUGGCAGUGGGAAGUAAUUACUUCUAGGUGCCCCUCAUCAUUCGUCUAUAAAAUGGUGAAGCCAGUGGCUAUAAGAGCCAGCUCCAACUUUCUUUUAUUCGUCUAUAAAAUGGUGAAGCCAGUUGCCAAGUUAAUUUCAGUCCUAAUGGGGUUUCAUCUCCCACUCAUCUUUGCUAUUCUCAGUGUAAGCUCUGCAAUUUGAUUAACUUUUCCAUUCUCUCUCAUUGUACUCUAUAUAAACGAAAGUUUUGUGUUCCUAUAAUUCUCUUUGAUUUUAUUUAGUACGUACUUAAGUGUCGUCCACUAAUUAAUUACAGUUUGUGAGAUUUGAUUUUAAUUAGAGUUCGAAUUAAUGUUGCAGCUAGCAGUGGUUGCACUGGCAAACCAUGCUGCUCAACCAGCACCUCAACUUUACUGGAACUCCGUCCUGCCAAACACACAAAUGCCAAGAUCUAUCAGUGAACUUCUGCAUCCUGGUUUGUGUUGAGCUCUUUAGAAUCUUAGAUAUCUCUUCUACCUGCCAUUUUACUAAAAUAUGUUCGACCACAUAUUUAUCAGUUAACUACUGUCAUUACAUGAGUGACACUUAUUCACAAAUCGGCUGAUCACUUAUUUUCCAUUUUACAUGAGUGAUAUAUAAUUUGCAGACUCCACAAAUGAAGAAAAUAUCGUGAAUGCUGUUGGGAAUGGAAAGCGCAAACCUGAAAUUUUCCCAUUGAGAAAUAUAAAUUACGUUCAAAGCCAUUAUGGAGUGUUAAAUAGAAAUUACGUUCAAAGCCAUUAUAAAAAACGUCCUCCUCCACCUGAAAAUAUCCCAUUUGCAAAUCGAAAAAAGUACGCACUAGGUUCUCCUCCAUCUGACAAUCAACUACUCCAUUAUAAAGAGUUAGCUAUUUUCUUCUUCGAGAAGGACAUGCGCCCUGGCGCAACAAUGAAGUUCCAAUUCCCUAGAAAUUCAAACACGGCUACUUUCCUGCCACGCGAAAGUGCUCAAUCGAUCCCCUUCUCCUCUAACAAACUACCAGAAAUUUUCAACCAUUUUUCAGUGAAGCCAACAUCUGUGGAAGCCAAAACAAUUAAGCAAACAAUCGAAGAGUGUGAAGCUCCAGGCACUAAGGGAGAGGAAAAAUAUUGCGCCACAUCUUUAGAAUCAAUGGUUGAUUUUAGCACUUCGAAGCUUGGAACAAGAAACGUUGAAGCAGUCUCGACGGAGGUAUUGGAAAAAGGAGCCACCAUGUCCAUGCACAACUAUACAACAAUGCCGGGACUGAAGAAGUUGGCAGGUGACAAAGUCGUUGUGUGUCAUAAGGAGAACUAUCCCUAUGCUGUGUUUUUCUGCCAUGCAAUAAAACAAACAGCAGCUUAUGUUCUCUCCCUGAAAGGCGAUGAUGGGGAGAAGGUUAAAGCAGUAACCAUCUGCCAUCUAGACACAUCAGAAUGGAACCCAGAGCAUUUGUCCUUCCAAAUCCUCAACGUUAAGCCCGGAACCGUUCCCAUCUGCCAUUUCAUUUCCACUGAUGCUAUUGCCUGGGUUCCAAAACACAAAUUUGCAUGAUCAUCACUUAGCACUGUGGUGUAAGAUAUAUGAUGAGAUAAAGUUUUUGGUAUUAGUGGUCGGGUUGCCUGAAAAACACAGAUUACAGAAACUGCUUGAAAUUAACCCGAUCAUGUUUUCUCUUGUAAGACUUCAACUUGUACUCCUAAAGCAAGUUAUAUUUAUGAAGAGAUAUUAAUCUAUAUAUAUUUUAUGUAUAUAUAUAUAUAUAUAUAUAUGCUUUGGCUUUGUGGUUCUACCCAGUGUUUGAGUGUUGAAUUGUUACGUUGGAAUAGGCUGAUAAUGCGUGUAGUUAGAGAAGCCUUCAUUUAUAUCAAAGUCCUCAAACUAUCAAGAACUAAUGUAUCCAGAAACAUAUACCAAGACGCAAAACAACAUAUUUUCCAUGCUCUGUCUGUAACGCCAAAGCAAACUUCCUUUAUCACAUCAUUUAAAGGAUCAAAUUCCAGUACUAAUCUAAUCCAUCAUGUAAAGCAUACAAGUGCCUCCCUAAAUUUGUCCAUUGGAUAUAAAUGUUGAGAAAAUUAGAGUACACAACUCUAAUAUGAUAGUUGUACACAACUCUAAUAUCAUAAAGCAAACAAAAUUUCUAAGUUAGUUUGCUUUAUGAUAGUUGUUUUUUGAAGGGGUCCUUAGAUCCUAUCUCAAAAAGUUUGGCUUUUAUUAGGUUUAACUCUGGUUUUUAUCUCUACCCACUAACUUUUAUCUCUCAUUUUUAUUACCCAUUUUACCCUUUAAAAUAAAUAGGGCAAUAAACUAAAAAUUCUGAUUUAAUGCAUGUUUUACUCAUAAGAGAACUAAAAACUAAAAAUUCUAUACUCUAACACAAAAAAUGAAAACUAAAAACUAAAAUUGAAAUGGUUUCAAGCAAUUGCAUGUCAGGCGCUAUAUAUAAUGUAUUAGCCAUGGUUUGUUUAAUACGCGGUCAUUCGUCAUUUUCCCAUUCAAAAUAUUGAAAUUACGAACUACAUACCAUGAAAGAUAAGAAACUAAAAGCUUCAAGCAAAUAGAAAUGUGCUACAAACAUAGUAAUGAAGAUGUGGAAGCAUUAUCUCAGACGAAUGAUUCUGAAGUGGAAAAAACAAGAACAAAAAAGGAAGUGAGUUAAAUUUGCACCUGCUAUGUUCAAACGACAAAGUUGGUUUCCCUUUGGUCGAUUACAAGAGAAGCUCAAUGCAGCUUACUUGGUUCCUCUGGUAGAUGAAAAUAUAAUUUUUCUCCUAAUAAUAAGGGUAUAGUGCAAUCAAUGAUGGGCUGUAUAGAACAACUUUUUUGUUUUAUGUGUUUAUGUGAGACAUGUUUUGCCAGAUUGAAUUAAUGUCUUCUAGCCAUGUACCUUAUCUUUUUGCCGGGCCAUGAGUUGAAUGUAGAGGCAAAGUAUGGACUUGGGGUCAAGUUUGACUUGUAAAAUAAUUAGGAAUUGAAUGGCUCCUACGUUCAAUUAUUUUAAUUUUUUUUCCCGAGCCAUUCAAUUCCUAAUUAUUUAGAUUUUCGAUUUAGUGAGCAUCCACAAUCAUGCUCUCUAUUUUUAAGUUAAAUUUUAGUUAAAAACAUAUAAAAGUUAUUUAGGAGCUCUCUAUAAAAUUUAAACUUCAAUCGUUUUCUAUAGUUUAGGGAGUCAUAAAUGUCAUAACUCUUUUUUGAUUGGUCCAUCUCUAUUAAAAAAUAAAAUAAAAAAUAGUUAGCAUGAAAUAAAGGUUUGAAAUACUCAUUAAAUAAAGCAGCAUUAAAUUAUAGGGAGCCACUAAGAGUCCUUUCUCUCUCCUCAAGUUUAGGAGCUCCUAGAGGUCUCCCUAUUUUAAGAGGUGGAUAGGGAGUAUGGUUGGAAUUGUAUUUUUACAAUUCCUCCCUAAAAAUUUUCUAUGGAUAGGUGGUUUUAAGGAACCCAUUGUGGAUGCUCUGAUCUCAAAGAAAGAAAACCUCGAGUUUGCAAGCAAGUUUUCUACGUAUGUAUAUAUGAAAAACUGACAUUUAUGAAAAUAAUAAAUCCAUAUUUUUAUGUAAGCCAACUUUCUAAAUCCAUGUACUAUAUUUAUUAGGGAAAUAUUGGAGAAACUGAUUAUUUUGAAAAAUUAAAUGUGAAAAACUGAACAAAAAUUUGACAGGUUACAUAUUUCAACUCAUUCAGCAGCUUAGGUUGUGAAGACCUCAGAAGAGGCUAUGCAAUGAGCCUAGCUAGUGCACUGUUGAUCACUUCAGUGUUUACCGAUCUGUAAUUUUUCCAGAUUGGUUAUAUUUUCCUUUACAUAUUCUUAUAUUUUUCCCAGUUGGGGAGACUUAUAAAUAAACCCAAAAUGGGUACAAUAUCUAUACAGAAGGACAAAAUUAAAGUGUUUGGACAAUAAUCCCCUAUUCAUUUUGGGAUUGCCUAAGGAAUUCUUUUUCUGAUUUUCAAUGAUGCAAAGGACUGUUGUUUGAUGCUUGCCGUAUGGAGCUAAGAAAACUUGCUUUGAUAGUUUUGGACAGAUGCAAGCUACUGUUGUUGGUAGGGGUGGGCACGGUCCGGAUUGGUUCGGUUUUACUCUCAAACCACAGCUGAACCAAUAAGAAAAUAACGGUUCGGUUUGGUUCGGAUUAGCCUAAAAUCAUAAUGGAAACCGAACCAAUCCAAACCACUUGUAAUCGGUUUGGUUCGGAUUGGUUCGGCCGGUUUGUGCCUAACACAAAACCAUGCAUUUUUCAACCUGCUCUUACAUUAUAAUGCUAACAUUUUGCCAUUAUAUCAUUCCAUUCCAUUCCAUCAAAGGCUAAUACAACAUCAUUCCAUUUAUUCAAAGGUUGUCCAAUGUCUAGCAUGCAUCUAAGUUCACAAUUUCCAUCAAAACAAACAUAUACAUAAUUUGCAUUAACCAAGUAGCAUUACAUUUACUCAUUGCAUUCAUCACAAUUCAUAAGAGAUGAGAACGAAUCAAUUUUACUUUAACAUAUUAAACAAAUGCAUUCUUUGUAAUAGUUAAACAUUCUCACAUCAUGAAUAUCGGCAAGCUUAUAAAGCUGCUGCACCAACUUGCUAAUUGAUUCGUCUGUACCAGGAACAACAGUAGUAAUGCGAGAGAACCCCUCAACUUCUGCAUGGCCAACAGCUAAACUCUGGAAACGAGAAACCAGCUCAAUUAUAACAAAUGCCUAAAACUUCUACCUUAACAGAAGACAAAGGAGGAAAUAACAGCAGAAGGAAACCAAAUUUCUCAAUUUAAUAACUGAUAUUUCCAAAGGAUUCUUAAGUCUAAAAUUCGACCAAGACUUGAUUAACUAUUCCAAUGUCUAGCAUGCAUCUAAGUUUAUAACUUUGUUCCUUCUUUAACAAAAAGAACAAGGAGAAAAAGCUAAUAAUAAGGUAUCCUUCUUUAACAGGCAUCAAGCAUAUCACAUAAGCAACAUUUUAUAUACAUUAUUCUAUGAACAAAACUAAAUCAAAGCAAGGUAUGCUACAGUCUUUUUGUACAAUAAAAUAGAUUAACAUAUUUUAUAACCAUAAAAAUGAAAAAUUAGGCCUCAUAGAAAAUACCAUUUUAUUUUUCAACUCUCUAACUUUUUAUAUAACCAGUUAUUGGAGACAAUACAAAAAAUAAAGUAGUAGACAGAACUAGCAUAUUUUACAAACCCAGCUGAUGAUGACGAUCCACCACCAACAAUAUUCCCAUAAUCAAUCCUUGCAUAACCUGAUGGUCGAUGAUGGAACUUGGGUUUUGUAGAGAUGGAUUUCGCUGAGGACAAAUGGGUGGGUUUCGCCGAGUUCGAAUCAUGUUGGCUUGAGUUAGCGUCGAGGGAGAGGGAGAGGGAGAUGUAGCAGAGAGACAAAGAGAGAGGGAGAGGUAGCAGAGAGAGAUGGAGAAAUAAUGAGAGGGAGUUGCGGCUAGGGUUAAGAGACGAAGGAAGGGAGAUAGGAGAGAGGCUCUUCUGAGGGAGAGAGAAUGGUUAGAUAACUUAGAUGUGUCCGUGAGUUGUAGUUUUGGAGUCCAAUCAAGUGUUGCAGGGUACAUGGUACACUCUUAAAUAACCACUCAAACCUUGCCACAUGUAAACUAAAUUAAAUAAAUAAUAAAUUGAUUUAUAAUCGGUCCGGUUCGGUUUAGGACAGUUUUUAAAACUCUCAAACCACAGCUGAACCAAACCAAACCGGUUCGGUUCGAUUUUUCAAAAUGUUGACUUUUUCUUUGGUCAAAACCAAACCAAACCAAUCCAAUAUAAUCGGUUCGGCUGGAUUGACCUGAUCGGCCAGAUUGAUGCCCACCCCUAGUUGUUGGGAUGAUCUUUUCACGUGAAAUGAGGAUGACGAUACUUCUACACUACACAAUCCAACGAAUUCACAUUUCUAUUUCAGAUACAUGUAUAAACAGACAAGGCUUUAAAAUAUGGGAUGCUGCACUGUUGUUGCUGCUGCUGACACUGUUACUGUGUUGCUGCUACUGUUACUGCGCUGCUACUGGAAGAAGGACAAGGACUUCACAUGUUGCUUUCGUCCUUUGUGGAGGAGAGAGACCUAGGACUUGCAUGUCUUAGAUAUUUAAGAUAAGGGGCUUUCGUGCCAUUUUGAAAAUACUUUGGGUGUUUUUGAAAGCUGCUUGUUUCUUUUGGGUUUCUCACUAAAUUUCGCUAUUAGAAGGGAAAAUAAUAAUAAUAAAAAUACAGCUCUUAUUAGCAACAGGGUUACAAAUUCUUCUACAACACACCAACUGUUGUAAAAGUUUGAAGGUGGAGCCCACAGAGGAAGUUUCCUUGCAUCUUCCAGGAACUUUCCCUUCCCUGUAUUUAUCAAUUCAGGAAGUUUCCUUGCAUCUUCCAGGAACUUUCCCUUCCCUGUAUUUAUCAAUUGAGGAAGUUUCCUUGCAUCUUCCAGGAACUUUCCUUCCAUGUAUUUAUCAAUUCAGGAAGUUUCCUUGCAUCUUCCAGGAACCUUCCCUUCCCUGUAUUUUACCAAAACCUUAGCCUAUAAAUAGGCUUGCUCAUUCACUUGUAAUACACACCAAAAUGAAGAGAAGAAUGAGUGAGGAAAGAAAGAAAGGAAGAGAAGGAAGAAAGAGGGUGAGUAAGUAGAGAGAAAAAUAGAGUGGAGAGAAAUUAGUGAGCCACAUAUAUUGUAAACACUAAAGUUGUAGCCCUAUUAUUUUACAUAGUGGAAAAGUUACUACUGCUGCUCUCCGGGGACGUAGGCAUAGCCGAACCUCGUUAAAUACUGUGUCUCAUUUACUUUACGUGCAGCUCAAUAUUCAUACAUAUUCCAGGUUAUUUUUAUAACACGUUAUCAGCACGAGAAGCUCUCAGGUAUAAUUUUUGUGCUGCACUAUUAUCUAUACUACUAACCACUAACAAAAAUGGACCCUUGGUAAUACUAAACAUAUUAUCAGUGGGAGACCGUUACUAAUACUAACUUUUUCUUAUUUUAUUCGGUGGUGGUUUUAACCCCACAUUUAUUUACUGUAUGGUGUAGGUUUAUUACCCAUACAUGCACCUUUACUUUAUCGCAAAUUUAUUUUACCGCAUAUUUAUUUUAUUUACUGUAUGGUGUAGGUUUAUUACCCAUACAACAGUAUUUAUUUAAAAGGGUGGUGCGAGUUUAUCGUCCACGCCUUUGCUUUUAUUUAAAUGUAUGGAGCAGAAUUAGUGCCCAUACAAGCACAAUUUACUUUACCGCACAUUUAAUUUUAUUUAAAGUAUGGUGCGGGAUUAACGUCCAUACAGCAAGCAAUUUAAUUUAUGAAUUUAAUUUACCGCACAUUUACAUUUAUUUAAAAGGGUGGUGCGGGUUUAUCGUCCACGCCUUUACUUUUAUUUAAAUGUAUGGAGCAGAAUUAAUGCCCAUACAAGCACCUUAACUUUAUGAAUUUAAUUUACUGCACAUUUACAUUUAUUUAAAGUGUGGUGCGGGUUUAUCGUCCAUACCAGUAAUUUAUUUAUCAGCAAUUUAUUUUAUGGAUUAAUUGUUUAUUUAUCAGCAAUUUAUUUUAUGGAUUAAUUGUGCUGUAUGAUGAGUUUUUCCAGUAUGCAGAUCAGGACCAGAAGUUCCUUGAUCCUCAUCAUACAAUUACAUCAGGACUUGAAGAUCCUUGAUGAUGAUAUUAAAAUGAGAGCUGGCAGUCUCACCGGUACUGUAUUUGUAAACAUGUGAUUGGACUUAAAGGUCCUUGAUCCCUGACAUGUAAAUAAGGACCUAGAGUUCCUUAAUGAUGUAACAGUACCGUAUUGGUUCAUAGUGCCGUACACAUUGAUGAUAACUGUACUGGCAGAUGAAUAGAUACGUAUUCAUGACUUGAUGAAUAGUACUAUUCACAUGAAUAGUGACGUAUGCAUAAAUAUUAACCAUUUUGGGUAAACCGUCACUAUAUACAAAAGGGAACCUGCAGUUCCUUAAACUCAUGGAUGAGCAAUUAAAUGAGAUGCCAGAAGUUCCUCAAAAUAUGGACAAUUAUGUAAGGGCUUGAAGUCCCGAAAUAUGUACAGAAAAUUGUAAAAAUGUCCAUACCAUGAGAAUAUGUGGCUUUGGCCUGAAGUUCCAAAUUUAACAGUGUUGAGAACCUGAAGUUCCAACAAUUAAAUGGACAACCCUUGAGGUAUUAUUGCAAAUUGUGGUAUGCCACAUAUUUCUUUGGCAUAAGAAGAUGAUGAAUUUAAUAAAGUUCGAUUUUGUUAUAAUCGACACCUCAAGGAAGAAAUAUAUUUUGUGAAUUCCGGUUGUUAAGAAUACACCGCGAAAUGGAUAAUAUUAAUAUAAACCUCAAAUAAUGAAUUGAGACUCCCCACAUAUUUUGUUAUAUCUGGGCCGGAAGCCCAUGGAUCCAAAUAUAUGAGAGAUCCUAAACUUGAAGUUGUGGGUAUAUAGUAGUUAAUGCUCUUCACUACUAUAUUGCGAUAUUAUCAUGGCUUUUACUCAAUUCAUAUUUCAUGUCCAUUUGAAAAGGGCAAAUAAAUUCUGAGUUUGUGCCCAGGCCAUAAGUUCCGGGCUACCAUACGUUGAAAUAUGAAAUUUGGGAGAGUCGAUGUGGUUAUUUGAACCUAUAAGGCACAAGGUUCCAAAUCGUCAUUUUGAAAAGACGUAAAAACCAAAGGUGCAAGUUUAAGAAUGUGCGCAAUUAUUAUUACAGGAACAUACAACAGAUAGAUUUUUUCCACUUGCAAUGAAGGUGCAGGCCCUGUAAAAUCUAUAAAAUUACAUUAUGUUCUGGAAGCCUCUGAAGGAAGAGGACGGCGCCUCUUAAGCUUAGCCAUGAGCUUCUCAUGGUCUCCCAAAAUUCUUUCAUUGGAGACCUGCAGCAUGUCUAGCCUUCUCAGUGUAUCAACAGAGUACGAACUCACCAGUUUCAACAAGGAAUUAUUCUCUCCUUUAAGUUUCUCAACCUCCUGUUGAGACUCAUGAAGCAUUCUUUGGAGAGACGAAUUUUCAGUUGUUAAAUUCUCAACCUCGUUUGCUCUGGCACGCAAACGAUCAGCCAUGUUAGAAACAGAAACAGCACUCUGAAUGCUAAAAGCCAUUGAGUCAUCAAUAGCCUCUUCCUCUGAUCUCCCCGUCAACAACAUUUCAUCCAUUGGAGUAAUGAAAUUCCUAGCUACUAUGACAGCAGUAGCAUCAUUCAUCAUCACAGAAUCAUUAACUGUGAGAUGACGAUUUUUGGAUACAAAGGAUGGACGCCAAACUUGGGCGUCACUGGUAGUUGUGGGAGUAUCAUUUAAAUUGAAAUAAUUUGGGCAGGAAGAAGAGGAAGCCAUUUUUAAGAAGGUUUCGAAGAAAGCCUUAGGAAAACUAAAGUUUCAUAAAAUGAAGGAAGUUAAGUUGAAACGCAAUUGCUCCAAUCAAGUUUUGCAAAGGCAAUAUCUAUAGACGAAAAUAUGGCAAUAUCUUCAGGAUUCCAAUAUCUUCUCGAAUCCCCAUAUUAUCUUUUUCUUUCCCAGAGUCCAAAACUUCACGUGGCCUCUAAUAAUGCCUGUCGGCACUUUCGGCGUUUUUCAAAGUAUUAUUUUCAAAGCCGAUCUUGCUUUACGGAUUUCACGGAACUACUUUUUCAAAAGUAUCCCGAGAAUCUCGCAAUUUUCCUAUGGUUAAUUUGAAAUUCACCGGUUCUACCUAUUUAUUGUAUUUAUGUAUAAAUGUGUUACUAACGAAAUUUUCUUUGCAAAAGACAUCCAGUUUUCUCCAUACCUAGUGAUGCGAUAUCUACUUAUUUUUCUUAUCAGUGAGCACUUAAUAUGCCUGAGAAGCAAGACUAUCUCUGAUCAUACAUUCAGGAAGCAAGACUAUCCCUGAUCAUGUUUCCGCUACAUUAGGGAACUGUGAAGGUGACCUUAUGCUCCAAUCUCCUGAGGUCUUUCUAGACUAGGAGAAAUGAGAGCUUGUUGUUUGCUCCCACCAGCUUCCUUCCUUGAUUGCUUACCUUACCUUGCAAUCAAUAUCACAAUCUUUUUGCAUUUUUUCUCUUUUUAUAACUCUCUGUUCAUAAGAGAUUUUAUUUCUUUAGAAUGAACAUCUGAAGAAUGAAUCCAUGAAGUAAUCCUAACUAUGAGGGUUAUUUGUUUUGACAGAGGCAAAAGAGUUGUGAUUUUUGCUCUUGCAGGAUAUAACUAGAUCAUCAAGCGCUACAUUAUAUUUACUGGGCUGAUAUGAGCUUGAAUGAUACUUGAGAAAAGUUUCUCCCACCUAAGGAUGUAAGCAAUACUUGUGUUAUUUUAUGCUUAUAUACCUAUUUGAUAUUUUAUCUUGAAAGGUAACUAAAUGGGGAGAUAAGUCCGUUCCAAAAGAAUGACUUGUAUGUAUCCAUGAAUUAUUAAUGCAAAUUUUACAGAUUGCAAGUUGGAUACAUUGAUAAUACACUGCACAGAUUAAAGUCCCAUAAGAACAGAAUAUGGGUAUAGCAGUGAUCAAUAUGAUGCACGCCUAUUGCGUAGCAAAUGAUAUGGAUUGAAGUCCCGAAAGGACAAUCCUUUGACAUUUCAAUAUUGAUAUUAUGCACGCCUAAUGCGUAGCAAAUUAUAUGGGUUAAAGUCCCAUAAUAUGGGUUAAAGUCCCAUAAAUUAAUUGACAUGUAUGUAUUAAUCUGUGGCAUGCCUGCAGCAUGACAGAUAUAUGGGUUCUAAAUGUUCCAACUCCCUAAAUGGAGAUUAUCCACGCCCUACUAUAAAAUAACGCUCCAUUGGAGGUUAUAAUCCACAUUCUCACAUAAUAAAAGCCCCCUGCAGUGGCUUGGGUACCCAAAAGCAAAGAAAUGCUUAUAAUUGAUGCAUGCGCAUGCACAUGAGAAUGGUGGGAUCAUGAAUUGAUGAAUGACAAUUUUUGAUCAUGAAUUGAUGAAUGACAAUUUUUGGUUUUAGAGUAGCUACUCAAAUCAUCAAUGGGCUGUGUUGAUUGGAACCACGUUCAAUUAUUAAAUGUCGACAAUAUCAUUGGCCAAAAUGGAACGAGGUAAUUCCAUUAUAAAUGAGAAUGAACGUGAAAGAACAAACCCACAAUACGAACCCCAAAAUUUGUUAAUACUAAAAGUUAUACUUGGGUGUUCGGAAUAAAAGGAAAUAUAUCUACUUUGUAUGACACACUGUUUCUGGCAGAAACAAGGAAUGUUGGGUUUUCUCCAUAUUUACAGAUUCAAUUGUGCCCCCCUUAUUACACAAUUACGGAGACCAACAUAUUAUCUUUAAGGGUUAUUAAUGCACAGAGCAUAUCGCCAGAAGCGAUUUCCUAAAGAUGUAUAAAUAGCUGGGUAAAAGCUAUAUAAUGUGUCAUAAAGUUUAAUCCCUUUUAACCAAAAUCUGUUGAGAGGAUUGAUAUUGCAUAGAGCAAGUCCCUAAAGAACAUGUGCUUGAAGCACAAAAUUUGUACUCAAUAUUAAUAUGCAUAAAUUACCUCAGUGAGUACAUUGAUUAUAAUGUGAUUGCAACACAUUAAAGCUUCUGCAGAAUUCAUGAAAUAUUUGUCUCGAUCGAGCAUUAUGCCAACGAGAUUCUUGCUUAUACUAAGAAAGUAUUAAAGUAUUUUUAUGAGGAUUAUCCGUUGGACACUUUAAUGAUUUUCCGGAAGUAUAUUGGACCGGACAUCAUAUUUUCCAGAUAGGGCUCAACUCCAUCACCAUCAUUUUGGGAUGAUGUGAGGUAUAUUUGAUGCUAUCUAAGCAUAACACCAUAUAGGGGCAUAUUUUUUUAGUGAACUUAUAAAUAGCCCAAGUGUUCUAAGAUAUGCGGACUCAGGAAAUCUCUAUGGUCGCUUACUGGAAAAAGCUAGUCAUGAAGUUUUCAGGGGGAGAUAUUCAUCAGGGAGAGCAUGGUAUUAAUAAAGACCUUCAUACACUAUUGACUCACAGCAGCAGUGUCAACUAUGAUAUUCAGACAGAUGAUCAACAGUAUGGCUUAAAGAUAUUUUGCCAAGCAUCAGGGGGAGCGUGCUGUCAAUACAGACCCUUACCCACUGUACUCUUUUUCCUUCGUCCAGGUUUUUAUCCCACUGGGUUUUUCCUGGCAAGGUUUUAACGAGGCAGUGUCGCACGCGCGUCAAUAUACACAGAAUUUUAUGUUACACGUGAUUAUGUACUCUUUUUCCCUUCGACCAGUUUUUGUCCCACUGGGUUUUUACUGGCAAGGUUUUUAACGAGGCAUAUUCCAUAUCAUUUGUGGUCUCCAAGGGGGAGUGUUGUAAAAGUUUUAAGGUGGAGCCCACAGAGGAAGUUUCCUUGCAUCUUCCAGGAACUUUCCCUUCCCUGUAUUUAUCAAUUGAGGAAGUUUCCUUGCAUCUUCCAGGAACUUUCCUUCCGUGUAUUUAUCAAUUCAGGAAGUUUCCUUGCAUCUUCCAGGAACCUUCCCUUCCCUGUAUUUUACCAAAACCUUAGCCUAUAAAUAGGCUUGCUCAUUCACUUGUAAUACACACCAAAAUGAAGAGAAGAAUGAGUGAGGAAAGAAAGAAAGGAAGAGAAGGAAGAAAGAGGGUGAGUAAGUAGAGAGAAAAAUAGAGUGGAGAGAAAUUUCUCCAAGAGAGAAAAAUUAGUGAGCCACAUAUAUUGUAAACACUAAAGUUGUAGCCCUAUUAUUUUACAUAGUGGAAAAGUUACUACUGCUGCUCUCCGGGGACGUAGGCAUAGCCGAACCUCGUUAAAUACUGUGUCUCAUUUACUUUACGUGCAGCUCAAUAUUCAUACAUAUUCCAGGUUAUUUUUAUAACACCAACAUCAAUCUAGCCCUGAUCCACUCUUUUACAUACUUGAAAACAAAACAAAACACGAAAAACAAAAAACAACAGGGAGAAAAUGGCUCCGGAGAGACUUACUGCUAAUACUUGAUCAAUAACAGAGAUAAUAGAGCACACUGUUUGUAUGGCAGUGAGUAUCAGAAGAAUAAUAGCUGCCCAAGGUGUGUUGAAAUACUUUUGUCUCAAAUUUGCCUUCCAUAUGUUCGUGGUCUUCUCGCAAUACUCGUUUAGUUUGCCAGCAAGAUCACCAAAAUAGUAGUUUCCCUGGUUAAUCAUAAUGGAAACCUUACUGUUGUCACCUAGCGUGUUUACAACAAUUCCAUUGUCAACAAGCAACUCUACAUCCUUUGGGGUGUUUACAAAUUUAUCCAGGAUGAAAACAUAAUCGCUUAAUUAUUUAUUAACGCAAUGGCAUUGUUCAAAGGCAAUGAGAUUUCUAAGUGUAAGCUCUGUGUAAUCAUGUAUUUCAAUUUUUGGAAUUUCCAAGGUGUUUUUCAAGAACUGUAUAUCGAAUAAGUUCUUGCUUGAUUCAACGUUAAACUUAACUCCGGCCUGGUGUAGUUUUGUCAUGCCGGGUGUACUUUGGAGCCCUACAUUUUCUUUUAGGGUUGGAUCUGGCAGAUGUAAAGUUCUAAUAAAAUCAACAAAUUGUACAGGUUUUUUAGGAUCAGGAGGCAUAAAAGACUUACGGAAGGCUGGUGAGUUCUCCAAGUUUUCUAAACGCAGUGCCUGUUGGAAGAACCUGUAAGAGAGUUCAAUUAUUGAAGGCUCCCCAGUCUGGGCACCUGUAAGAUUGUAAAGAUCCUCGAGAAUGAAAAAUGGCAGCUGAUUUUCUAGCAUAAGCAUGUCAGGCAAUAUAUUUUGUAGCACCCAUGGUUUUUUAAAUAUCCAAGCAUUAUCAUCCGGCAAUUUUUCUUCCUGAAAUUUUUCUUCGGAUUUAUUCCUCAACAAUAGCUCAAUGACAAAGGCGGCAUCAACUAGAAUGAUAUUCACAAAAGCGGCAAUGUUAAACUUCUUAGUGUCUUCAUAAUAAUGACGGAGUUCAACUUCUCUCUCCUUUAGGUACCUGAGUUUGUGAUCUUCCAUGGCUUCUAAGUUUUUGCUGCCAUGGUGAAGUGGGCCUAUUGAGACUACUUGUGGUGUGUAGGCCUUUUGUUUUACGUUCCGUAGUCGCUCAGGCACCCUGUAGAUACUGCAGGCAGGGGACAGGGCACGGAAGUUUGUCAACUGAUUUUCCAUGGAAGUUGCUUGGUUUUCUAUGUCAAAAGAAGCUUCAUUGCUGCUUUCUUCCACUUUCUUCCUCCGCAUUAUGUGUUGUUCUGAUUGUAAGUGACGAGGAUGGUGAUGAUUCUAGACACCAUAAUCAACAAAUGUUUCAAUCAUAAUUGACAUUUCAAGAUGCUCCGACAAAAAAUUAGAAAACAUUCAUCACAAAAUGCGAACUCAUACAACAGAUGGGUUGAGAAGAUCCACACAUUGCAAUCAUACAAUCCAAUUGAACAGGGAUUACUCCCUAUUCUCCUCUCUCUCUAAAAAAGAUUUUCAUAUCGAUAACAUCUUAUUGCAAGGGACUUGUACAUCAAGUGGUGAAGAACAGAAAUUCAUAUUCUUUCAAUCAACAAAUUUCGAAGAAGUUUGUUUGUUUUAUUUUUGGGGGAAAAAAAUCUGAGCAUAUAUAGAUGCAUAUUAUACGUAGACCUAAGGUGAAAACAUACCAGAUUUUUACUCCAUUUUUCAUGAGGUUUAAGUUCUUGAUGUAUAUAUUUAUCUCAAGUGUAACAUCCCACAUUGAUCAACGGAGAGGGGGUGAUGUGCCUUAUAUGUACAUGCCAGCCUUCAUCUAGCACGAGGCUUUUUGGGAGCUUAUUGGCUUUGGAGUCAUAGGAACUCUGAAGUUAAGCGAGUUGGAGCUAGAGCAAUCCCAGGAUGGGUGACUCACUGGGAAGUUGCUUGUGAGUUCCCAGAAACAAAACCGUGAGGGCAGAGAGGAGGGCCCAAAGCGACCAAUAUCAUGCUACGGCGGAGCCGAUUCUGGGAUGUGAUAAUUUGGCAUCAGAGCUACUCUGCCGUGUGGUGUGAGUGUGCCGACGAGGACGCCGAACCCUUGAGGGGGGUGGAUUGUAACAUCCCACAUUGACCAACGAAGAAUGGGUGAUGUGCUUUAUAUGUAUAUGCUUGCCUAUAUCUAGCACGAGGCCUUUUGGCAGCUUACUGGCUUCCGAGUCAUAGGAACUCCGAAGUUAAGUGAGUUGGUGCUAGAGCAAUCCUAGAAUGGAUGACCUACUGGGAAGUUGCUCAUGAAUUCCCAGAAAAAAAAAGCUGUGAGGGCAGAUAGGGGGGCCCAAAACGGGCAAUAUCGUGCUACGGCAGAGCCGAUCUUGGGAUGUGACAUCAAGAAUUUAUAUCCUCCCUUUUCAGAUCUCAUGUUCCAGUCAAUACAUAACGAAACAUAAGAAACUAAAGUCUUGUUUAUACCCAUCCUCCCACCCACCCACGGCCAUCCACCCCUACCCCCUAUCUCCAUUAAAUCUACAAGUAGCUCAUCAAUUUCUCCACCAUCCCAAGUUCAAUAUACCACCCAACAACCAUCUUACCCAUCUUCUCAUUGAUCUUCCACCCAACAUCCAACACUAUCUUCAUAAACUCUUUAGCUUAAUCUCUCUGUUGCUUUUGUUUUUUGUUUUUUAGAAAUUAAAUUUUUUAGUUUAUUUUUUUGUUGGUACAAAUUCAAUGAUAAAGAACAUCGAACUCGUCGCAACAUCCUGUUCUAGAUCCAAGCUCUACCACCAUCACAACCCUCUCUUGACCUCCGACCAACCUUAACACCCAACUUCAAAUCUAGGUUGUUUGAAACCCAGCCCCCAACAACCCCCCCAAGUCAUCCCAUUGCAACUGACUUGUAGAUGAAGUAGUAAAGAACAAAAAGUCAUAUUCUUCCAAUCAAAACGUAUCAAGUCAAACAAAAUUUCUAGUUAGUUUGCUUUAUGAUAGUUGUUUUUUGAAGGGGUCCUUAGAUCCAAUCUCAAAAAGUUUGACUUUUAUUAUGUUUAACUCUAGUUUUUUGCAAUUUUUUUUUAUCUCUACCCACUAACUUUUAUCUCUCAUUUUUAUUACCCAUUUUACCCUUUAAAAUAAAUAUAGUAAUAAACUAAAAAUUCUGAUUUAAUGCAUGUUUUGCUCAUAAGAGAACUAAAACCUAAAAAUUCUAUACUCUUACACAAAAAAUAAAAAAUAAAAACUAAAAUUAAAAUGGUUAUCAAACAGACCCUUAUAUUACAAAAAACCUUAACUGACCACCUUAUAUGGCAACUGAUNNNNNNNNNNNNNNNNNNNNNNNNNNNNNNNNNNNNNNNNNNNNNNNNNNNNNNNNNNNNNNNNNNNNNNNNNNNNNNNNNNNNNNNNNNNNNNNNNNNNUAGCAUUCUAAAAAAAGUGGCCUCAUGGCAGCAUUCAUUAAUUGACAUGGCAUGACACAUCAGUUGCCACAUAAGGUGGUCAGUUAAGGUGGUCAAUGUUGUGUGUCCAAAUAGCAUUACUAAAAAAAAAUCAAAUAUUGAACUCAUCAUAAGAGAACACAGAAAAACCUCACUGCUUGCAACUCUUACACCACCACUACACGAACAGAACAACUGCUAAUUAAAAUGAGUCACAUGUCACAUGUCACAUGUGGUACUUAACUCUAAAAACUUAUUUAGAUUAUAUAUCCAUAUUUAUAUAUCCUACUCCUCGAUCAAAACAACCAUGAAACAUAAGUGACUUAAACCUCUAGGCAAAUGGACGGUAUAUAGCAAUUUAUAGAACAAUACAGUAAUCCAGAAGAAAUAUUAUGAAAUAAAAAAAAUAAAAAGUAAAAAAAGAGAAGGAAAGGAAUUCCCACCUGAUAUGUAUAUCUAUGAAAGGAAGGACCAAGUUUGUUUUGCCUUUGGUUAAUGACUAGAAAAGCUCACUUGUAUAUUGCUUUCUCCGGCCGUAGAUGCAAGAGAAAUUUUCUCUUAAUAAUAGCACAAUGAUCGGGUAAUCGUAAGAACAAGUUGAUUUAAAAUUCAGGUCAACUCAUAGAUUUCUUGCCUUUUCUAUUCUCCUUCCUUGGACACGAGCUGUUUAAUCUUGGAAUCUUCCCCCAUCAUGUUGGGCCAGUCUUCUUCUUGAGGAUUGUAUAGGCCCAGGAAAUGCUUGGAGGUAGUUUUUGUGUAUUGGGCCUUGAGACCCAACUUCACAAAAAGAAAACAGAUUUGACCAAAAAAACAAAUUUGAAGGACAUUGAAAUUGUACCUGUAUGAUAGGUUAAAACACUGUAAGGGAGGUAAAUAGUACGUUUACAGAGUUUAAGUGUAAUAAAGGAAUAAAAACAUGCCCAGAGCACUACUACAAUUUUUCCCUGUCCUGGCAACCCUUUGUGAUCGGUAAAAACACCAUUAUUGACGGAACUUCGUCAGUAAUUGCUUCUUGACGACUGCAGCGACGAAAAUGAGUAUAGUCAGUAAAAGUCCCGUCAGUGUUACUAUUACUGACCAACUUUUGCAACUUAUUCGUCAGUAGAGGUGUGUCUCUGACACAAGUCAUGAAGUGACUCUAAAUUAUUACUGACAAAACAAAUAGCCACUAUUAAACAAGCUUUUGUCAGGAUUAUUAUUUUAGGAUGGAGUACUAGUGGCAAAGAUUUGUCAAUAUUGUUUUCAACAAAAAAAAAAAUUCAGUCAAUUUGCUUCUGAGCUGAUGCGCCUUUAGAUAUCCUUUUCUGAAAUGUCUUUUGUUUUCUAAUAUAAUGGAUGUUUUUCUUUAAUAAAAAUUUAAUGGAUUCUGAAAAUGUAAUAACAAUUAUAAAUACUCAUAGAUUGAACCAUUCAACCCCCAUCCUUAUAAAUAUAAACUACCAAUGUCGAUUACAAUAGCCAAAUAUUACAAAGUCUGCCUACAUCAGUAGAGUUCAAAAACUUUAGGUGCCCUUACUAUACAAAAGUAUGCAAUUCCAAAUAUUCAACAAAUACACUACAAAAGCAUGCAUACCCCAAUAGGGUCCAAAAUACAACGUCAGCAACUAUAUAUACCAAAAAUGCAUAACACUAAGUAACUGCAUCUAUUCAAGUCCAUGAGUACCUUGAUCUGAUUCUAAAAAGUCUGUCUCACUUGGGUAUGCAUCCCCCCUCAGCAAUCCAGUUAACCCACCAAUAGGAGUAACUGACCUGGCUUGAUAAGGCAUUUGAUGGAACAUCUGCGGCGAGUAAUAUGACAUAUGGAAUGGGUUUGGCAGCUGCUGGUACAAUGGGUGAUGCGAAGCUGACGAGCACGAUAACAUCUGCCUCAUUUCCUCAAUCUCUUGCUGGUUAUGCUUCAGCAACUCUUGCGUCGCCUUCAAUUCAGAACGCCAAUGAUCCUGGUCAUGUUUGUACCUUUCUUGUAACUCUACAUACUGUGACUCAAGGUGAACAUAGUCGUGCCCUCGCAAUCUCUUGGAUGACCCUGCUUUCGUUUGAAUCCAAGGCACCUGAUGGGGUUUCACCCCAAGUCCUUCACCACGAACACUAUUAUUUGUCUCAGGACCCAUUGCCUCAACAUAAGCCCUUCUUCGUGUCUCUAAAUUAUCAGGACAUUCAUCUUCAACCAAUUCCUUCAACUUUUCCUGCAUUUCAGCCUAACAAAAACAAAAUAUAUAUCCUUCUCCAUCAAAUUGUGGUCAUCAUAGAACUAGCCCAAUAAACUCUACAAUGAUGAAUUGCAUUAUGUAAUAAAAAUUUAGGCCAAUUAGUCUUCUGGACCUCUACUGUUUUGUUUUUCAUAUGCUUAAACAAAUAAAAGAACAUAAAGAAUAGUGAACAAGAAAAAAAAACUACCUCCAAACAACUUUCCAUAUGCUUAAAAAAAAAAAAAAAAAAAAGUCAACCAAAACAAAAUAAGAGAAACAUCCUGGACUAUGGCUAACAAUUCCUCAUGAAAAUGAACUUAUAUAUAAUUAUUCCAAUAUAUAGUCCAUAUGCUUACAUAUUUCUGCUCAGCCACCAAGUUAACCCAUGAUCGAUCUUCGUCACGCCGUGUAUGCUUAUCUUGGAAAAACCAAAUAGGAUCGGGGUCUUCACCAUGUUUCUUAUUCUUAGCAUGCAAUCAAUAAAAUAAAAUAAGAUAAUCAAUUAGCUAACACGACCUCAUAUGCUCAAUAUUUGAAUAUAGUAAAGAGUAAACAUUCAAGUGCAUCAUCAAAACUGACAUAUUGUGCUUUGCUGCGAGCAUAAGACUUUGUUCUAGAUGUGUGAUUCAAUGUUUGUUUACUCCGAUUUUCAACAUUUCUUUUAGCUUGCUCCUUUUAUUAGCAAAAACAAAACAUACUUAAUCAUUGCACAGAUUAUAUAUACUGAGUGUUGUGUAAUAAUACGUACUGCAAUCUCAUCUUUUUCCCAAUGUUCAACCAACACCCUCCAUUGAUCUGGGUCUACACGAGAAUCCCCACAUUGCCACCGUCUUUUACUUCCUGUGAAAGGCUUAUAAUAAGCUUUCUUCAAAUCACUCUUGAAACUUCUCCACAAUUUUUCAAUAUUCUUCAUUGUUACAUCCUUGAAGACAUGAAUCAUAGGUUGUUGUUCAGGACGAAAUUCAAUGGUGCCCUGCAUCCACAAUAAGGUAGUCUUACAUCAAGUUGAAAUAUACCUAUUAAACUCAAUUUCAUGCAAUAAGUAUUCAAUAAUUUUAGGAAAACCAAACCCGUAGAGUGUCCCAGACAUCAAGUUUGCAAGAGUCUGGUACUUUUUCCCAUUUUAAAUACUUGAUCGGAAUUAGAUUGGCAUCCCGCGCCAAAAUACCCAUGUAUCUAGAAAAAUGGGGACUAUUGUCACUAAUAACUCUGCCAAAUGGAGAUAAAUCAACUGACUCUUUUUUGUUAUUUAGAAACCAGUUGCAUUUCCCUUGACCUCGACCUUGCUUCGCCUCCUUGCCUACAUGAAAAGUUAAUUUUAACUGAUCAAUACAACAAGAAAAUAAUAAGAAACUGUAAGGUAAUAAGUUUCUCACACAUUAUUCAAAUGAAAAAUUAGCAUAGCUAUUUGGAGAUGAUGUGAUCGUGAAACAUCCCAUAUUCAAUACAUUUGUAUAUGAUUAAAACAUACCAAUUUAUUAAAAGAAAAAGGAAAAGAAAACCAACAUACCAGUAGCACUUAUAGAACCAUCUCCCUCUAGACUAUCCCUAAAGUCAGCGUUGGGCCCUUCUUGUGAACUAUCUUGAGAACUGCUCAUCUAAAAAAUUUGAUAUGCAUAACAGUGAAGGGGUAACAAAUUAAUCAGACAUCAUUGGUAAAAGAAACUAUUACUUCAACAUUCUAAUACAAAACAAUCUACUAAAGAAAUUCUUGUACAAUAUUCUUAAAAUUACGUAGUCCAUUUAAGCUGACAGCUCAUCAAAAUACAUGAAAAAUUCAAUACUCCAUGUCAUCAUAAAGCUCAUCCUCGUUUUCAGUAGAGAGAUCGUCUGAAGACUGUUCAUCUUCUUCAUCCUCAUUUCCGGGCUCAUGCUCAUCUACCAUCUCAUCCAUAUCAACCCUAAUAUGAAAUUCCUCAUUGUCUAGCAGCUGAUCAUCAAGAUUCGGAAUGGCAUAAUUAUCAGUAGCACUUAAAAGGGUUAUCUAUAGUUGGAGCUAGAUCACUAUCUUCUAGCACAUCAAAAAAAUCUCUUGGUUGAGUUUGGGUUGGCACAUGCCAAUGACUGUCUUCUGGAUCUACAACAUAAAACACUUGUGUAGCUUGAGAAGCCAAUAUGAAAGUGUGUCUUUCGUUUGUCGCAACCGAUUGAAACUAACCAAAGGGAAACCAUACCCAUCAAACCUCAUCCCCCUAUCACUAGCAGUAUCAACCCAAUCACAGUUAAAUAAUGUAAUUUUCCGACCAUUAUCAUUCUGUUCUAUUUGACCCCCGUAAUUAAGUUCAUAAAUCUCUUUAAGAACACCAUAAUAAUCAACAUUGCCAAUUACUGGAUUGCGAUCUCUUGCGCUUGAGUAACUAGAUGUCUCUGCACAUUGAAAUACACCACUAUUCUGAUUCUUCUUUUUAUCGUCUACUGAUUUAAUCCGGAACCUACACCCAUGAAUUAUGUGAUUCUUAUACUUGUUCACAAAUCUACUAGGACCAAUUGAUAGCCAACGCAAGUCCUCAGAUAUUGACAGAUCAUGGGCUGUGUACAAUUUAGUAACCUAUAAUUUAAAACAACAACUAAAGUAAAUAACUUUAAUUAAAAAUAUGGUGCAGCAACAUAAAAUGAAUCAUAUUACAACUAAACAUACUUACAUGAUCCUUGAACCAAGUUGGAAAUAUCUUAUUUCUCAUCCCCUCAAUUUCCUGUAUGGUCUUCCGUCGAUUACUUUGUCUCAAUUCUUGGAAGCAUUUUCUGUUUUACAAUAUAAUAUAAUGACUUGUUAGUUAUUAAUUCAUAAUUGAGGAUUGAAAAAAAAAAAUAUCAACAACUUGCUUGUUUUUAUUCAUAAAUAUCUUACUCUAAAAAAGGGGAAACUUCAUCGCAAUUGAACAAGACCACUCUGCGACAUUGGUCCCAAACAUCUUUGUCAAGAUAUAUUUGUUCAGCUGAACCCUUAGAAUGACAUGAAGAGUCAAAAACUUUUAGCUCCCCAAUGACACCACGACCAAUACCAUCAGCAUUUCGACCCUUUCGAUUCCUUCGAGUCUCAACGUUGCUAAGAUACAUGGUACACAUAGCUAAUCCCUCGUCGACAAGAUAUCCUUGUUCCAUACUUCCUUCAGGAUAACUCUUAUUCUGAACAUAUUUCUUUAAUGUUUGUAGGUAUCUAAAGAUAUGGCAAAAUUGAACAUGUUAAUUUACAAUUAAAAUGGAAAACUAGAAAUAAUAAAUAAGAUUUGAACUAAUUACCUUUCAAUGGGAUACAUCCACCGGUAUGGGGCAGGCCCUGCGAUUGCAGCCUCAUCUGCCAAAUGCAUGAUUAAGUGUACCAUCACAACAAAGAAGGAAGGAGGGAAUAUCUUUUCCAUCUGGCAUAAUGUCACUGCAAUCCGAGGUUUUAAAGCCAUGUAUGACGCUUCAUAUUCCUUCUUACUACAUAACCGUCUAAAAAUUGCACUUAGCUCAAGCAAAACAAUGGUAACAGCUUUUGGUAAUACUCGUCGUAUUGCAAGGGGCAGCAGCUGUUGCAUUAUAAUAUGAUAGUCAUGACUUUUCAAUCCGUGUAUUUUUCUCUCAUUCACAUUAACACAUCUAGACAGAUUUGCAGAAUACCCAUCAGGAACUCUCACAUUUGCCAAGACUUCGCAAAACAUUGUUUUUUCCCUUUUCCUCAUGUCAAAAAGUGCUGGAUCAAAAACUUCCUUACCUUUCCCAUUUAUAUAAGGGUGCUGUUUUCUCCUUAUAUUCAAAAUUUGAAGGUCCUUACGAGCUUUUAUUCCAUCCUUUGUCUUCCCAGGAAUAUUUAACAGUGUACCUAAAAUGUUUUCACAAACAUUCUUUUCAAUAUGCAUUAGAUCAAGGUUAUGCCGUAUCAAAAGAUAUUGCCAAUAUGGUAACUCAAAGAAUAUGCUUUUCUUCUUCCACUGAACUUUGUUACUAUUUAUAUUCGUUGUGGGAUAGGUAUUUGUAUUCCUAAUGGGACAAGAACAUUUUUUGGGUUUUCCUUGCCCAACAAAAACAGCUGACUUCUUUUUGGGUUUUCGAAAUGUGAAUGUCAAACUUGACAAUUUUUCUAAACACUGUGAACCUGUCAAGGGAAUAGGUGGAAGAGCAUGUUCUUCCUUACCGUUAAAGGCUGCUUUAUCUCUUCGAAACCUAUGUUGUAUAGGUAGAAAUCUCCGAUGACCCAUAUAACACAUCUUACUACUAUUUGCCAAAUGCAUUGAGACUGUAUCAUCCAUGCAAUGCGGACACGCUUUCUUCCCCUUCGUGCUCCAUCCUGAAAGAAUUGCAUAUGCGGGAAAGUCAUUAAUCGUCCAUAACAAUGCAGCCUUCAUUGUAAAAGUUUGGUUGGCAAACACAUCAAACGUCUUAAUACCAACCUCCCACAACUCUUUCAACUCAUCGAUUAAAGGCUUCAAAUACACGUCAAUAUUAUUGCCAGGCCCAUCAGGACCAGGAAUUAUUAACGAUAACAAUAAAUUUGGUUGCUUCAUACACAUCCAUGGAGGCAAAUUAUAAACUGACAGUACAACAGGCCAUGUACUAUGGGGUUUGUUCAUAUUUGAAAAGGGAUUAAACCCAUCACUUGCAAGCCCCAAUCGCACGUUGCGUAUCUCCGAAGAAAAUUCAGGGUAUAAGGAAUCUAAAUGCUUCCAUGCACGAGAAUCUGAUGGGUGCCUCAUGAAUCCAUCUUUAGGACAUUCGGUUGCAUGCCAUCUCAUAUCUUCAGCGGUAUGCUUCGACAUAAACAAUCUUUGCAACCUUGGUUUUAAUGGAAAAUACCGAAGAACCUUGGUUGGAACCUUAGCUGAUGUGUUCUUACUCAAAGAACCUCCCACAAUAUUGACUUUGUACCUUGAGGCACCACAAAGUGCACACUCAGUCAAGUCUGAUGUAUCUUUCCAAAACAGCAUACAAUCAUUGGGGCAAACAUCAAUCCUCUUGACUGUAAGUCCCAACUCCCUAAUGAUUUUUUUAGCAUCAUAAUUAUUUUUUGGUAAACAAUUCCCCUCUGGCAACAAUUGUUUAACCAAUUGUAACAGCAUUGUAAAGACAUUAUCGCUUCCCUAAACAUUUAAUCUGGAACAGUCUUACAACAGAAUACAAUUUCUUAUAUUUACACCUAGGGUACAACUCCAUAUCUGCUUCUUCAAGUAACUUAUAAAAUAUUUCAGCCUCAGGUGUUUGGCCAUCAAAGAUAGGUGGCUCUGUCGAAGUCCCAACAGUUUCUCCAAUUAUUGGUUGCACAAAGGCUUCAUUGAGAAAAUCAUGAAUGUCAUCUAUACAAACUUCUUCAUUAUGAACUGAUUCUAUAUCCUCUUGGAAUGGUAAAUUUGUCAUGGGCUCCCCAUGAUGCCUCCAAGGGCCAUUCAUAUAUGUGGGAUCCAUUCCUUUUUCUAUAAGAUGAAGCUGGAUGAUGUUUCUUUCAUAGUGAUAACGGUUACAACAUUUUUUGCAAGGACAUAUGACCCUCUCUCCAAAACCCACUUUGGCAAAGACGUCAUCUAAAAACAUUCUCAUUCCGUCUGCGUAUUCCUUACAAUUUCUCCUUAAAUGUACCCAACUUUUAUCCAUAGUUCACCUAUAUUGAGUGCAAGGCACCAAAUACAAUUAUUCAGCACAGAUCAUCCCUCAUACUUAUUGUCUAUAAAUUCCUAUCAGGUGGGUCAAUUUAUUAUCCAUUAGAUGACCCUCAUGACCAUCUACAUCAAUUCACAAGAAAAACCAAAUUAAAAUAACAAAAACCUGAGUCUAAAGAAUAUAUUAACUAAGAAAUUGCACAUUCAUUCAACUGAAGAAAAGAACUAUAACACCAAACAACUAGACCCACUUAAUAGCUAAAGAAACUCACGUCAUAACAACAAAGUAUACAUAUUAAACAACAUAUCAACUCAUAGAUAAAAGCCCGAUAAUCUCAAUACUAUGAACAAUCUUAUUCAAAAAUAAUAAGAUAACAGCAACAUAAUAGAAAAAAGUAAAGGGAAACACACCUGGAUUCUAAGUUUCCAACAACAAUUCAACACUCCUGCAGUAGAUUAAUACAUACAUACCCACAUAUCAAACUUCACCAACAAAUAAUAAAAAAUUAAAACAAGAGCUUUGAAAAAUCAAAGGAUUCGUGUCACAUCCCGGAAUCGGCUCCGCCGUAGCACGAUAUUGUCCGCUUUGGGCCCCCCUCUCUGCCCGCACGGUUUUGUUUCUAGGAGCUCACGAGCAACUUCCCAGUAGGUCACCCAUCCUGGGAUUGCUCUAGCCCCCAACUCGCUUAACUUCGGAGUUCCUACGACUCCGAAGCCAGUGAGCUCCCAAAAGGCCUCGUGCUAGAUGGAUGCGGGCAUGCACAUAUAAGGCACAUCACCCCCUCUCCGUUGGUUGAUGUGGAAUCUUACAAUCCACCCCCCUUAAGGACCCGACGUCCUCGUCGGCACACUCGCACCACACGGCAGAGUGGCUCUGAUACCAAAUUGUCACAUCCCGGAAUCGGCUCCGCCGUAGCACGAUAUUGUCCGUUUUGGGCCCCCCUCUCUGCCCGCACGGUUUUGUUUCUAGGAGCUCACGAGCAACUUCCCAGUAGGUCACCCAUCCUGGGAUUGCUCUAGCCCCCAACUCGCUUAACUUCGGAGUUCCUACGACUCCGAAGCCAGUGAGCUCACCCCCUCUCCAUUGGUUGAUGUGGGAUCUUACAAUUCGUUUAUAUCUUGGAAUAAAAUCAGUAUUCUAAUUUUUAUAUCUAAUUGGAAGGAUUCAUGGGUCAUUACCUACACUAAAAUACUUGAAAAAAUAAAAUAAACAAACAAAAUAAGAACAAAAAUUUCACCAGAACAGAGGCACAAAAAUCUCACCAAAACAGAGGGCCUCUUUAAUGAAGGACAACCAAGUCAGCCCCAAUUGAAAAGAGCAAAGAACCCCCAGAUUUAAUCUCUCUCUCAAUCUGAAUCAGCAACCCCAAUUGAGAAAAGCAAGGAAAACCCCCCAAAUUUAAUCUCUCUCUCUCAAUCUGAAUUAGCAACCCCAAUUGAGAAGAGCAAGGAAAACCCCCCAAAUUUAAUCUCUAUCUCUCUCAAUCUGAAUGAGCAGACACGAAAAUCACUACCACACAUGACUCCAACUCCAUUAGCUAUGAGGAAGAAUACAAUUCAUUCUUCAAUGAAAAGAAGAGGGAAGAGAUGGCCGGUUUGGAGGAAGUAGAAAAGCUCAAGUAAACAAUUGAAGUUUUUUAUAUAUCAAUAGGAAAAUUUUGAAGUUAAAAAUUAUAUUUAAGAAUAGUAUUGGCAAUCGAACUCGUCAGAAAAAAAGUUGGCUUCCUGGUGUCUGAAAAUUUAGGCGCUUAUGUUUUCACUUCCCGCGUUAAAAGAGACUGGCGCAGUGUCUCGUCAGUAAAGGUAGUAAUGACAAAAGACUUUGUCAGUAUUAUUUACUAGUGAAAAAUCACUUUAUUUUGCUAGUAUUUGGUCUCAGUACUGACUAAGCUGCUCUUUCAUCAGUAUUAGUCCGUCAGUAUAAGCUAAAAUUGUAGUAGUGAGAGGAUUGAUAAGUGAUAUUAAUUCUUGAAUAUACAGAAUGUAAAAUAAAGGAACACGUAAAAAAUUAUUUUAUGUGGUAAAACUCCAUCUCUGGGGAAAAUCCACGGGACUUCUUAGUCCAAAACAAAUCCAUUAUAGAAUGAUGAUUACAAGAAGUACUCACACACUUAUCCUAGACACAUUCUAGAUAAUGUUUACUGACCUCUUCGUAACUCAACUUCUGUCUCGAGAUGAUCUUUCAACACUCCUUAUGUUGAACGCAAUAUUGGUCACGAUUUCUUCAAGCUCGUCAGAGUUCUUCCAACUCUCCUAAUAUUGAAUCCGAUACUAGUCACGAUUGAUUCAAGCUCAUCGUAGAAAAACCGUCACAAUGGUCUUGGUGCCCUCAACCGUAUGAGUCAUUAAACAUGCAAAUGAAUACAUAUAUGAAUGAUAAAAGUGUUUGAUAAAUCACUGAGUUAUGGAACACUUGAUGAUUUAUCUCAAAUAAAAACUCAGCUUUAAUGCUUUCUAAACAAAGAAGACGAAGGUCUUACUUUAUAGACUUUUUCUUUACAAGAAAGAAAAUAAGUUGGAAACCAAAUCUCCAAUUUCCAAGGCAAAAUCACAAAAGUAUCUUUCCUAUUCUAGAGAUUGGUCACAUGUAGUCCAACCAAUAGGAAAUGAGAUAUUUAAGAAAGGAAGAUUUUGAUCAAUAUCAAUAUCAAAUGAAUUCUUAUACGCCUAGUCAACUAUUAAGGGUAUCUUGACUCCUUGAUAUUUUGAUAUGAUUGAAACAUGAUUUCCAAGUUAGAAAAUUAAGGGGUUGUUAAAACAUGAAAGUAAUAGGAGAAACAAAUUUAUUUGAACCAAAAUUGCCCAAAAAGAAAACACUCCUAAAUAAACUUCAAUUCACUUUAGUAAAACAUGAUUGAAUCGUUCGUUAAAACAAUUCCCUAAUAUACAUGCAUGAUAAUGACAUCACUUACCCCUGAAUCAAAUUUGUUAAUGUAUGCAUUUUGAGUUUUUUUUUCUUUUGGCUUCCCUUGACAAUUUUGUAAUAGGAAAAUCAUUGUAGUUUCUCAAGCUCUAAGUUUAGAUUAAGAAUUACUUCUCUAGGUGUUCUUAUCUGCCUACAUUCUGAUGGAAAACAAUGCGUUUGACAAAGGUAAAUUCUGCAUUACACUACAUUGCAUUCACUAAAUUUCUUAAGAUUAUGACUAGUCAUCUUUCUUUCGUAUGACUAGUCAUCUUGCAUUCGUAUGACUAGUCAUCUUUCCUUCGUAUGACUAGUCAUCCUUUGUUUCAAUUAGGAUUUCCAGCUCACUGUUUCCAGCUGGGGCUUAAGCAUUUUUUUGUCCUUUUCUACGAAUUUCUCAGCUUCCAUGUGUCUAUUCUGACCUAGGAAUUUUUGGUAAAAGCCAUAGAAUUCCUCAUUUGGCAGCCGUCACUUUUGGGGACAAGUUGUGGAAAGUUUCAUAGCAAACUUUCGCUUCUUCUUCCUCAAGAGUAACCUUCAUAUUUUUCAUCUUUGAGUUCUCUAAAUUGUUUCUUUUUGAAAACUGCAUUUGAAAUAUGAAAACUUCAUCUUGCUAGAUCAAACACUCUAUCAUAUACAUCUAGGUCAGAUUCAAGAUUGAUUUCUUCAAGAGUAUGGUUUCUUGAAGAAAUUGGUCAUUUUCUCCAUGAAUCCAAAUUUCAUUUCUGUCUGAGUUAGAGCUUGCAAGCUGGUGCCAUGGGAUGAAUGAGCUGAAGAAGGAGCUGCCAUUGCCAUGAAGAACUGAGCUUCAAGCUUUGCUAAGUUGGAGAAGAAGAUUGCACAAAGGAGAUAUAGCAUCUUCCUAAAUAGACCUAGGAAUUUCUUGAGCUUGCUAGUGUUCUUUGUAAGAAUCUUUUUGCUUAGUGGAUUGCCUGGUCGGUUGAUGACCCCCAGUUUUUCCCAAUGGUGGGUUUCUGGGUGAACAAUAUCUGGUUUCCAUCUCUGUAGAUUUUUUGGGUUUGUGUUCUUGAUAGUUGACUAGUCAUCUGAAUUUGUGUGGUUGACUAGUCAUCUUUUUCUGCUGUUUGGUGUUUUCUUGAUUAUGUUGUCUUCACACACUUUUACCAUAGUUGUUGCUAGCACAAGGGAUGCCUAGAUUGAUGGGUCCUUCUGAGUGCCUAGGUUGUCACUAGUAAUUCUCUAGGCCUGCAGGUACAUCUUGGUAUGCUUUGUGUAUGUUAUUGUUUGGUUUAAUUCAUAUCUAACAGUUGACUAGUCAUAAGAGUAUUUGGUCAAGGUCUAGAGUGUGUGAAGUUUGUUGCGUUCUUGAUUGAAUAUCUUUUAAAUUUACCCUUCGUCACCUAAUUACCAAUUUGCAGACUCCACAAAUGAAGAAAAGAGCACAAAUAUCGUGAAUGCUAUUGGGAAUGGAAAGGGCAAACCUGUUCAAAAAGGGUAUGGAGGGGGCGUUAGACUUUACGUUCAAAAAGGGUAUGGAAAACGUCCUCCUCCAUCUGACAGUCAACUACUCCAUUAUAAAGACAUAGCUAUUUUCUUCUUCGAGAAAGACAUGCGCCCUGGCUCAACAAUGAAGUUCCAAUUCCCUAGAAAUUCAAACACGGCUACUUUCCUGCCACGCGAAAGUGCUCAAUCGAUCCCCUUCUCCUUUAACAAACUACCAGAAAUUUUCAACCAUUUUUCAGUGAAGCCAACAUCUGUGGAAGCCAAAACAAUUAAGCAAACAAUCGAAGAGUGUGAAGCUCCAGGCAUUAAGGGAGAUGAAAAAUAUUGCGCCACAUCUUUAGAAUCAAUGGUUGAUUUUAGCACUUCGAAGCUUGGAACAAGAAACGUUGAAGCAGUCUCGACGGAGGUAUUGGAAAAAGGAGCCACCAUGUCCAUGCACAACUAUACAACAAUGCCGGGACUGAAGAAGUUGGCAGGUGACAAAGUCGUUGUGUGUCAUAAGGAGAACUAUCCCUAUGCUAUGCUAUGUUUUUCUGCCAUGCAAUAAAACAAACAGCAGCUUAUGUUCUCUCCCUGAAAGCCGAUGAUGGGGAGAAGGUUAAAGCUGUAACCAUCUGCCAUCUAGACACAUCAGAAUGGAACCCAGAGCAUUUGUCCUUCCAAAUCCUCAACGUUAAGCCCGGAACCGUUCCUAUCUGCCAUUUCAUUUCCACUGAUGCUAUUGCCUGGGUUCCAAAACACAAAUCUGCAUGAUCAUCACUUAGCACUGUACGUAUAAUAAGCUUGGUUGGGUUGCACCCCUGUAUAAUUAUCUCCCUACUUAUUUCUGCCUCUUCAUCAUGUGGUGUAAGAUAUAUGAUGAAAUGAAGUUUUUGGGAUUAGUGGUCGGGUUGCCUGAAAAACACAGAUUAUAGAAACUGCUUGAAAUUAACCCGAUCAUGUUUUCUCUUGUAACGAUAUAGACUUCAACUUGUACUCAUAAUAAAGCAUGCUAUAUUUAUGAAGAGAUAUUAAUCUAUAUAUGCUUUGGCUUUGUGGUUUUACCCAGUGUUUGAAUGUUGAAUUGUUACGUUGGAAUAGGCUGCUAAUGCAUGUAGUUAGAGAAGCCUUCAUUUAUAUCAAAGUCCUCAAACUAUCAAGAACUAAUGUAUCCAGAAACACAUACCAAGACGCAAAACAACAUAUUUUCCAUGCUGUCUGUAACACCAAAGCAAACUUCCUUUAUCACAUCAUUUAAAGGAUCAAAUUCCAGUACUAAUCUAAUCCAUUAUGUAAAGCAUCAGGGACAGACUCAAGAUUUCAAAAUGGAGUGGGCUAGAUUUUAGGUCCGGCUAAACUUUAUAGGGAGACUUAUGAAAUUAAUCAUAAUAUUAUAUAAAUUUAAUUUAAAAACAUAUCAUUUUUAUUUUAUUUAUUUAAAGAGUCCAAUUUUACACCAACAAUGUCAUCAACAAUUGAUUAUAUAUGCUUAAAAUUAACAUUAGUUGACAACUCACAACUCAUAUUGCAACUUAUUUAGUAUAUGUGUUUUAUACUAACAAUAACAAAAGAAAAACACUUGACUGGGCUAUAGCCCAGUUUGUACACAUUGCAGGCCCGUCCUUAUAAAGCAUACAAGUGCCUCCCUAAAUUUGUCCGUUGGAUAUAUAUAUGUCACUUUUUAUUUUUUGAUAGAGAUAUAAAUGUUGAGAAAAUUAGAGUACACAACUCUAAUAUCAUAAAGCAAACAAAAUUUCUAAGUUAGUUUGCUUUAUGAUAGUUGUUUUUUGAAGGGGUCCUUAGAUCUAAUCUCAAAAAGUUUGGCUUUUAUUAGGUUUAACUCUGGUUUUUGCAAUUCUUUAUCUCGUAGUGGCAAUGUUCAAAUGCGAUGAGAUUUCUAAUUAAUACCUCUGUAUGAUCGCUUAUUUUCAAUCUUGGAAUUUCAAGAGUCCGGUCAGCAAAUCUAAUAAGGUAUUCGUUGAUCCCUCAUUCAACUUGAUCCCUGCCCUGUGUAGCUCUGUGAUGCUGGGUGUGUUUAUAGUUAUGAGUUUCCUGUCAUCAAUUUUUAGGGCUAUUCGUUAUAUGAGUCCCUGAACUUAGACUCGAUUUGCAUUUUAGUCCCUCAAUUUCCAAAAUCGUUUCAGUGGUCCUUCAACUUCAGUUUCGUUAGGACAAAUGGUCCUGCCAUCAAACGAUUAUAAAGUGGAAAAAACAAGAACAAAAAGGGAAGUGAGUUAAAUUUGCACCUACUAUGUUCAAACGACAAAGUUGGUUUCCCUUUGGUUGAUUACAAGAGAAGUGAAAGGACCCGCCCGAAUUUUCUCAAAAUCCGAGACAAACCCUUUGGAAUUCCUGACAUCACCCUGAUGCCAGGCCCACUUACUAAAAACCGAGACCUCCUGCCGAAAUUUCGGCAGAGUCUCCCCUAUAAAUUGGACGUUUCCCAAAAUUUAUACCUGCAUAAAAACGCAUUUAAUAUUCCCAACUGGCAGCAUGCACAAUAUAAUUUCAUGCAAUUCACACAAAUGGCCUUCGGCCUUUCAAUAAUUCAUAUCCAACUACCAAACCAUUCAAAUACCAAAUAUGACUAACAUUUAGUCUGCGGCUGCACCUAAUAACCCUAGGCUGCCUACGUACCCUCCUUGAGGGAUCAAGCCACACGUAGUUCUUCCCUAAAACCCAAUUCCACACUUGGGCGAUACCUUAUUUCAUUUCUCUGGAUUUCAUAUAAUCUCCCCAUACGCCGGUACAACCAACGCCACGUAUGGGGCCUGUCAACACGCCGGAUAACCUACGCCACGUGCGACCAUGCCAUACUAUCAUAAUAUCUCCCCAUACGCCGGUACAACCAACGCCACGUAUGGGGCUUGUCCCAACGCCGGAUAACCUACGCCACGCGGGACCUCAAUAUUCAUAUCACAAAUCUCCCCAUACACCGGUACAACCAACGCCACGUAUGGGGUCUGUCGACACGCCGGAUAACCUACGCCACGUGCGACCUCACACAAUAUCACAAUAUCUCCCCAUACGCCGUACAACCAACGCCACGUAUGGGGUUUGUCUCAACGCCGGAUAACUACGCCACGUGAGACCUGAAACAUCAUAUUACAAAUCUCCCCAUACGCCGGUACCACCAACGCCACGUAUGGGGCCUGUCCCAACGCCGGAUAACCUACGCCACGUGGGACCUAACUUUCACUUGGUGGUGCUUGUAGUGAAUCCAAAAUCCGGGGAGGUAUCUAAAGUAGUGCGUUUAGCACUCCAAACUGACACUCUAGACUCUGUUGUACCCUUGUACAACCAUAUAUAAUUAUAGUUAUAUAAAUUAAUUCUAAUAUUGUGUAACCCUCCACAAUAGUCUAGCUCCCGAUAAUCCCCCCCUUAGAAAGGUGAGAUUACUCCGGGAGACUCACGGUCAACCAAGGGUCAAACUACUCUAACCCUGGUCAACCGGACCUGCAGAACCCACUACCUCCAAUUUCCGAUCCGAAAGUCUCUAUGGGUUCUACCAGGUAUAGGACACUUGUCCUGCAAGUUUGGUUCAAAUCGGACGGUCGGAUUUCUCACGAUCGCACGAUCUGACGGUUAAUAUAAGAUAUAAAAUUAAAAUUAUUAUUCGGAACAUCCGGGGUUCCGAUUCAUGAUCCGUAAAUUCCUACACGAUCCUAGAAAUACCUAGAUUAACAUAUAUUAAAUUUGGGACCAUCCAACGGUCCCAACCUAUCGAACUCGGAUAACGCACACUAUGCGAUUAUCCGUUCGAUAGUCAAACGACGUCCGAAUUGAGAUCCGCGAAAUCCUACGCACUCGUGACAACCUAAGGAUCUCAUCGGAACACAUCGCUACAUUUUCUACAGUGCCCACGCACCGGCAGUGCGUGGGUGCCCAAAGCGAUAACGCUUCGCCGGAAAAUCUCAAAACCACGGCUCCAAACUCCUACCCUAGGUAUAACACCCUAUUUGGAGCCACUUUUGUUUUGGACCUACCCCAAAAAGUGGCCGGAAAUGGCCAAUCACGGCGGCCGAAGUUUCGGCCGAUUUUCAAUUCGAAAAUUGAGUUGCCUACGCUAAGAAUCGAUCUAAUCCUACCCAACCAUCAGCUAGAGCAGCUCGAGAGGUUCAAAAUCCAUACCUGGGUCGACGGAUUUGGUGGCCGGAGGAGGAGGAUCGACGGCGUUGAAGUUCCGGCGACAUCUGGGCGAAAAUCGCCAUUUUCCGGCGGCUGGAGCGGCGGCCGAUGGCGGGGAUGGGCUGGGUCGUGACGCCGAGGUCGAGCCGGUUCUUUUGACACCGGCCCCGUCCGCAGCCGCGGCCGGUGGCCGGAGUUACGAAGAGAGAGAGAGGAGAGAGAGAGAGGAGAGGCCGACGGGAGAGAGAGAGAGAGGAGUCUCGCAGGAGAGAGAGAGAGAGAGAGAGAGAGAGAGAGAGAGAGAGAGAGAGAGAGAGAGAGAGAGAGAGAGAGAGAGAAACCAGAUUUUAUAAAAAAAAUCCCAUUUCGAAAUAUUUACGAUUAUGCCACUGGACUUCUUUUGACCAUAUCUCUCUCGUUACAACUCCGAUUCGAGCCCACUACGUGUCUGUGAACUCGUCUCAGUACGACCUAUCCAAAAAUAUAAGUCACGGUCCCAAACUCUCUCCGGUUAAAAAUAUGACUAAAAUACCCUCAAAGCAGCUUACUUGGUUCCUCUAGUAGAUGGAAAUAUAAUUUUUCUAGCUAAAUUUCUCAAAUGGUCCUCAAACUUGUACGCGAUUUACAUUUUGGUCCAUCAAUUAAAUUAUUAGUCCAAAUGGUACAUAAACUCUAUUUUAAUCGCCCAUUUGAUCGAACCGUCUAAUUUUCUGUUAGAUUUAACCAAAUUUUAGGGUAAAUAUGACUUUUCAUAAUUAACAAAUAAAAUAGGAUUAAAAUAAUUAAAUACAAAAUUAGAAAAAAAAAAUGAAGAAAAGGAGGAAGAACAGAAGAGGAAGAAACCCAGAAGAAGAGGAAGCGGACAAGGUUAUUGCAAUGGCUUUCUUAAGUAAAAUUGGGAAUAUACUCAGAUGGACUGCAAAGAAGCAUAUCUGAUCUGAAUUAUCUCCUUUCAAACUAUCUAUCCAUCAAGCAGUAAGAUGCAUGUCAAACAUGGUGAGUUCAAAACUCUUAUUGGAGGUAUUUCGUACCAAACAGAUGAGCAGAGUCUGAAGGAAGCUUUUGCAAAAUAUGGUGAAGUUAUUAAUGCAAGAAUCAUCAGUGACCGUGAAACUGGUAGAUCUAGAGGAUUUGGGUUCAUCACUAGCGAGGAGGCAUCCAGUGCAAUCCAGGCCUUGGAUGGGCAUGAACUUCAUGGCCGUCGAGUAAGGGUGAAUUAUGCUACUGAUAGACCUCGCCCUAACUUCGGUGAUGGAGGUGGUUUUGAAACUGCUAGCACUGGAGGUGGUUUUGGCAAUAACAUCAAUUUGGGUGUUGCUGUUGCUGUUGGUGGUGCUCAUAACUUUGUUGGCGGUGCUGACAACAGCUUUGGCAGUGGUGGAGCUCAAUUGGGAGAGAACAAAGGUGGUUUCAGCUUGCAUGAUCCCUUGAAAGGAAAUGAUAAGGAUGAUGAUGAUGAUGCCGGCAACUUUCUCAAGAGGGCUUGAUAAUAUUUAGAUAAGAGGAGCGAUUUAGUUUGCUUCUAUGCAGAGCUACUAGUAGAUUGUCUUUUUGUUACAGCUGCAUGUCCCCCCUCCCCGUCUUUCUAAACUAUUAAUUUCAUUUGGCGGAAUUUUCUGUGAAUUUCAUGCACCUUUUAGUGUGCUUUGUCAACUAAGGACCUGGAUUGUGGGAAAAAAAGAAGCAAAAAAAGAAGAAACCAGGAAGAAGAAGAAGAAACCCAGAAGCAAAAGAAGAAGAAACCCAGAAGAAGAAGAGAGAGAGAGUUGGUGGAUGCAAUGACCAAGUUGCCCUCAUAUUUAACGGAAAUAUUGAUAGAAUGUAACGGUAGGAUCAAUGAAGCGAAUAAUAUAGAGUUGAUGUACCAUUUGGACUAAUAAUUUAAUUGAGGAACCAAAAUGUAAAUCGAGUAUAAGUUUGAGGACCAUUUGAGUAAUUUACCCUAAUUUUUCUCCUAAUAAUAAGGGUUUAGUGCAAUCAAUGAUGGGCUGUAUAGAACAACUUUUUUGUUUUAUAUGUUUAUGUGAGACAAGUUUUGCCAGAUUGAAUUAAUGUCUUCUAGCUAUGUACCUUAUCUUUUUGCCGGGCCAUGAGUUGAAUGUAGAGGCAGAGCAUGGACUUGGGGUCAAGUUUGACUUGUAAAAAAUUAGGAAUUGAAUGGCUAAUACGUUCAAUUAUUUAUUUAUUUAUUUAUUUUUGUCCGAGCCAUUCAAUUCCUAAUUAUUUAGAUUUUCAAUCCAGUGAGCAUCCACAAUCAUGCUCUCUAUUUUUAAGUUAAAUUUUAGCUAAAAACAUAUAAAAGUUAUUUUAGGAGCUCUCUAUAAAAUUUAAACUUCAAUCGUUUUCUCUAGUUUAGGGAGUCAUAAAUGCCAUAACUCUUUUUUGAUUGGUCUAUCUCUAUUAAAAAAUAAAAUAAAAAAUAAUUAGCAUUAAAUAAAGAUUUGAAAUACUCAUUAAAUAAAGCAACAUUAAAUUAUAGGGAGCCACUAGGAGUCCUUUCUCUCUCCUCAAGUUUAGGAGCUCCUAGAGGUCUCCCUAUUUUAAGAGGUGGAUAGGGAGUAUGGUUGGAAUUGUAUUUUUACAAUUCCUCCCUAAAAUUUGUCUAAGGAGGUGGUUUAGGGAACCCAUUGUGGAUGCUCUCAUCUCAAAGAAAGAAAACCUCAAGUUUGCAAGCAAGUUUUCUACGUAUGUAUAUAUGAAAAAAUGAUAUGAAAAUAAUAAAUCCAUAUUUUUAUGUAAGCCAACUUUCUAAAUCCAUGUACUAUAUUUAUUAGGGAAAUAUUGGAGAAACUGAUUAUUUUGAAAAAUUAAAUGUGAAAAACUGAACAAAAAUUUGACAGGUUACAUAUUUCAACUCAUUCAGCAGCUUAGGUUGUGAAGACCUAAGCAACAAAUCUGCUACUGGGGUGUUGGGGUUUUCUACGUCAUGUGGAGCUUCAUUGCUGCAUCCUUCCACUUCCAUUAUGUGUUGUUCUGAUUCUAAGUGAUGAGGGUAUUAUUGGCACCAUAAUAAACAAAUCAUUUCAAGAUGGUUCCUUCAAAAAUUUAGAAAACAUGCAUCACGAAAUUUUUUAGAAAACAUGCAUCAUGAAAAAAUUACGUGAACAAUAUACUUACACCAUGGGAUCACUCCCACAUAUUGUAACACCCCGACUCCAAAUUAAAUGAUUAUUUUAAUCGAUUUUUAUAAAAUUACGAAUUUACCCUUGGGAUAGGGGUAACUUGGUCACUUUCUUCUUCGGAAGGAUUUUUGGACCAUGAGUGGUAUUUCUGGGUAGUUGGUACCGAGACGAAUUCGUAGACAUGCGGUAGGCUUGAAUCGGGGUUGUAACGAAAAAGUUACGGGCAAAAUAGUGUCAGUGGCAAACUUGUAAAUAUUUCGAAAAGGGUUAGGGUAAAAAUCAGAUUUUUCCAGUUUUACCUCACUUUCUCUCUCUUCCUCCCGAUUCUCUCUCUCUCUCCCGCGUCUCUCUUCCUUCUCCGAUCUGCAGAUCGCAGAGCCGCCGCCACAGGCCACGGCUAGCCCCGAGACCGGACCCAAAACGAUCGGCCAAACCUCGCCGACGUCCCCCGACCCAUCUCCAGCCGCCAGCCGCCGCCUCGUCGCCGGAAACCACGGAUUUCAGGCCGAUUCUUGUCUGAGCUUCCAGUCGAUCGUUCUCUCUCCUCCGAGCACUAUUUCAGACGGGUGAGGUAUGGUUUCUCAUCCAAUUUUUGAGUUCUAGCUGAUGAUGGUAUAGGUUUUCAUUGAUUUUGAGUCUAGAAAACCGAUUAGGAAUCUAGGUUUUGGGCCGAAUUUCAAAAUGAAAUUCUGGCCAGUUGCCGGCCGAAUUGGAGCUUCUCGUAGUUGAAUGAAGUGAUCCUGACCUCGAGUAGAAGCUAGAGUAGGAAGGGUGAGCUCGGGUGUGGAGUUUUUCCGUCACCGGAAUUACUCUGCACACCCACGCGCUGCCGGCGCGUGUGGCGGUGCGUGGGCGAGUCUGGUGAGGAUGUAAAUUGACCCGAUGAGAUCCUUAGGUUGUCACGAGCGCAUAGGAAUUCGCGGAUCUCGAUUCGGAUGUCGUUUGGCUAUUGAAACGGAUUUUCGCAUAUUGUGCGUUAUCCGGGUUCGAUAGGUUCCGACCGUUAGAUCUUUCCCAAAUUAAAAUAUGUUGUUCUAGGUAUUCCUAGGACCGUAUGGGACUUCACGAAUUCUGAAUCGGAGCCCCGGAUGUUCCGAUUCAAAAAUGCAAAGUUUGCGGGUUAGCGAUAACCGUAAAAUCGUGAACGCUUCCUAAACCUGUAAUCGGACCUUAGGGUACCAUCUUCGACGUGCACGUAUGGGAAUUUGGGGAGUUAAGCAUUUAAUUUGUAAUUUCCGCUUAGACGUGGUUUUUAUAUUAAUUAACGGUUCGUAUUUCGAAAUAGGUAUUUCGACUGCACGCACGCAGCAAGCAGGACCUUCACGUGGUCAGGCAGCGAGGGAAUACUUGUGAGUGGACUUUGUUUUAAUCAUAUGCCUGGUUUUAAUUAAUGAAAGAUUUUGCAUAAUGUUUUAAUGGCUUCUGGAUUUUAUGUAUUAUAUGCAUGAAUUAAUUUCAAUGGGUGUAUAGCAAUUGGCAAUAUAUUAUGAGUUUGGCCUUUUGGGUUUUGAGAGUGUAUUUCAUGUAUAGAUUGGGGAAGUAUAUUUUGAUAUAUAUAUAUUCUUUUAGAGGAGAUAUUUGGGUUGUUGGAGAGUGAUAUGGAAGAAUGUGAUUAGAGAGGAGUUGUGGGAUUACACUACGUAAGUACCUUCCCCGGUUACUAGUCUCACUCGCGGCGUUGGAUGUUCCGGCGGGUGAGACACUUUCCGUAUGCGGCGCUGGAUGUUCCGGCGUACGGAAAGACUGUGUAUAGAGUUUAGGGUCAUCACCAUGGCGUUGGAUGUUCCGGUGUGUGAUGAUCCAGUCUGCGCGCGUAGGACAUAGUUUGAGAGCUACACAUGGCGUUGGAUGUUCCGGUGUGGGAGCUUUGGAGUUUCGUCCCCCGGUUGGACCGCUCAUCCCUAAACGCAGGAUAGCACCUGGAAAUCCUGCGGACUAGUCAAACGAUCCCCCAGUUGGAUUGUUUUCCCCGGUACCUAAGUGGUGUGAUGAGUAUAUCAUAUAGCUAUUUAUAGUUAUUUAUAUAUAUAUAUUUAUGUGUAUAUUUAUUGAAUAUGUAUAGUUGAGUGUGAAAGGAAUUGGAGUUUGUUUAAUAGUUGAUAGGAGUGGUGAGUUUGAGAGAAUGGGGUUCUUUUUGAAAGAGAUAACUGAUGUUUUUAGAUGAGUUUUACUGAAGCAUAUUUUGAGUAAUUUCUUAUUGAAUUGUGAACCUGCAUGACUUGAGCAUUAUUUUACAUGGUGGGGUUACUAUGUUGUUUUUAACUGCAAACCUGGUUUUUGUCCACUCACAUGUUUUCUGUUUUGCGCCCCCCCAGCCAGUAGUUGCUCUUGGAAGUGCAAGUGGUGUACGAAGCGGAAUCGGUGCAUCUUUCUAAUUAGGAAUUGUGUAAAUUCUUCUACUCAACUGUUCUUGUAAUCUAAAUUCAGUAGAUGCUCUGUAUUUGCCAUGGUAGAUUUUACUUGUGAGGCCGGAGGCCACUCUAGUAUGACUUAUGUAUGUAUGAAAGCAUGCUGCUGGUUGGGAUUAGUAUUACUGUGUGUGCAGGUUGAAUAAAUUUUGUUGGGUUUGUUUAAAUUGCAGGGGAGACUCUGCCAAAAUUUUGGUAGAAAGUCUCGAUUAUUUAGUAGUGGGCCCGGCAUCAGGAUGAUGUCGGGAUCAAGACGGGGUCCGCCUCGGUCAACGGGAAAUUCCGGGGCGGGUCUUGUCACAUAUUUGAACACAUAACACGUGUUCAAGGUUAUAUAUUUCAUUACCUUCACAAUAGGUACCAAACCGUACCAUGGGAACAUUCAUAUACGCACAACAUACUUAUAACAUACUUACACUCGUGUAUAUUUGAACACAAGAAGACGUGUGCACCACCGUGCACGGUUCACAUGAAGUAAGAAGAUGAAGAGGAAAUAAAGAAGAAUACAAAAGAAAAUGGAGAUGAGAAGAAAAAAAAAACACGAAUAAUGAAAAAUGAGUUGACAAUUAUAUAUGGUUGACAUUAGAUGUAAUAUUAUAUGUAAUAACUAAUGAUCUAAAAUAAACAUUUAAUCUAUUCACUCGUUUCGUGUUUACUCCUGUGAUGGAAGGGCAAAGUUCCCCAUUGCCUUGAAAACCAUUGACUGGUCAACAAGACAACUUUCUUUGGUGUGCGAGCGUGCCACUACUAGCAAUAAAAAACAUAGCAGACUUCUUUGAAAUAUAUAACUUGCGUCCUAAGUUACUAAUUUCUAAACAAGCGAUCGUGAAUUUGGGUGAGGAAUAUCUCCCAAGUAAGUUCUUUUCUUGCCUCAGACUGGUGAGGACUUCACAAUUUAUCUUAGUACAAGAUUGGUAGUUUUGGCCAGAAUAAAUGAUAAUAAAGUGGACUUUUUUAGGCAGAACUGCCUUUUACAAAACUAGAAAGGAAAAGAUCAACUCUAGAAAGACAAAAAAAUGGCUGAAAUUCCAUUUCUGCCUGGAUAGAAGCUUCUGAUCCGGGCUGGACUGGGUAUGUUUGUUCUGGACUGAAUUGUCAACAACUUCAACUACUAAGCUUCAGCUGUAAAUCGAUACCAAAGUUUGAGUUUGGCAGAGUUUUAAUAUAUUUCAAGCCCUGGAAGGCUUUUCGAACGGGCAGAACUGCAACUUCUUUGGUCUGAACGGGGCAGAAGUGGCUGGACUUAAGGAUUACUAAGCCGGAACUGCACUAUGGUACCUGUUCUGCUUGAUCCGGGCUCUCUAUAAAUUUGUUGAGGUUUCCAUAUUUGUGAAAACUCAAACUCGGCUUGUCUUGGCUUUUGCUGAACCAAAUUUGUAACGCGAGAAGUCUCGUUUUGAAUGACUUAUUUAUCUGAGUAUGAACUUGGAAGUUCGAUCUAUAGCUGGCUUCUUUUGUGGCUCGAAUGAGUUUUUGGUUGCUCUAGUUUGUUUUGAAGGUUCUCAAUGAUCAAGUGAUCAUUUUGAGUUUUUGCCUUUGGUUGAUUUUUGAUUGUUUGAUUGAUUGUUGAAAAAUGAGUGUGUUUUGCUCUGUUCACCCUCUCCUAUAUUUAUAAGAAAUGCUUUGGAGUAGGGUUUCUAAUUUUUUAGAAAUCGGCGGCAGAUUUUCUCAAAAGAUCUUUCAUUUUUUAAAAUGUAAAGAAAUAGGGGUUUUAUCAAUUCUGGUAGAUAAGCUCUCAAUGGUCAGUUUCUUUAAGUCAAUCACUUCUCUGUUUUUUGAAAGAAAACUUAAUCCCUCUUUAAUUCCAACUGCCCCUUGUGAGAGCUCAAACUGUGAUGGUUAGUUUGAUUUUCCAGUUUAAACAACUUCCUGUUUCAUGCUUUAUCUUUUUUUAGAAAACACAGUCUGCGUAUCCUGAAAGAUGGUGCCUUCUUUGGAGUAUAAACAAUAUCUCUGAAUAUAUAAAAGGGUUUUGAUCUUCUGGUGGCAGAGAUUUCAGAGACAUCCCUUCUUUUCGCCUGCCUCUGUCAACUCUUUAUUAACCUAGUUGAAAUUGUUGACUUUCCUAAAUCAGAGAAAAAGAUUCACUUUGGUAUGUUUCCUUUUGGGCUCCUUCUUCUCUUUUAAUAUGCCCAAACCCUUUUGUUUUUCCUGGAGCCAUGAGCUGAUUGCUCUUUUUUUCUUUUUUCGAGGCCCAAGUUUAUUUGCAGAGUCCAGACUGCUUGGGCCCUGUGGUUUGUCUUUGUUGUUUUUGGGCUGGGUGUGUCAAAUUAGGCCCAAACAAAGUCAAACAAUAAUUAAAAGAUUUGACAAUAUAAAAAUAUAUUGAGAACAAAAAAAGGCAAAAACUUUUGAAAAAUGGAAACAAUAAAUAUGAAUUGAGUCAUCAACUCACCAAGGUAAGUUUGCUGAUGUGUAAAAAUAGUCAAUGGACUACAUCGAAAAAUAAUUGGCUUACAUCAAAAAUUAAAAUCACGUGGUUUAUUCUUAAGAAACCUUAAUAUUUUUGGGUUCAUAUAUUUUUUGUAUUUUAAAAAAAAAGAAAAAAAAAAUCUGACCAUGUAUGUAUGAUGAUGAUAUGCAUGUUAUUUUUAGACCUAAGGUAAAACAAACAAACUUUUUACUCCAUUUUUCGUGAGGUUUAUCAAAAGAAUUAAACUGUUAUAUCCUCCAUUUUAGAUUUCAUGCUUCCAUUUAAAGAAAAGAAUAUCAACAACAAAAAAAGAAUAAAGUUACAACAUUGAUCAAUUCAAAUGUCCAACUAUCGGAUCAUGAGCCUCUGCACUUAGAGACUACGCAUUUACCCGUAUUUCGUUAAAUUUAGACCAUUAUAAUAAUCUAACCCCUUAGAAUGGGACACAUCAUCAAGUUUUUUUUCCUUUCACUAAACAGAAGAGUUAAGUUUUAUUUGUGGGUAACUAAACUCUUGUUUAGAGCAUGUUUUUUAUUUAUUUUUCUUUGUUCUGUGUAAAUUAUAAUAGGUUAGAUUAUUAUUUGUGGGUGACUAAAAUCUUGUUUAACAAUAAUAGUUAACGUUUGUUUAGAGAAGAAAAAAAAUUUGAUGAUGUGUCAUGUUCUAAAGGGUUAGAUUAUUAUAAUGGCCUAGAUUUAGCGAACUGUAGAUAAACGCGCAGUGUCUUAAUGCAGAGGCUCGAGAUCCCCAACUAUCAUUGAAACAUAAGAAACUAAAAUCUUCAAGAAAAUGCUAUCAAUUGAAAAAACAAUAAUUAAAAAACAAAAAAAGGAAGGGAAUUCGCAGCUGCUAUGCAAAAAAGAGCAAGUCGGUUCAAUGAUUUUUUCUUCUUCUUCUUUUUGUUAUGGAAAUGAAAAGCUAAAUGAUGGGCUAUAUAUGGGAAGAAGCUCAAUGAUUGAAUUAAUAUCUUCUAUCUACAUUCUACCCUCUUCCUCGCUACAUACACAAAUGGUGCACGUACAUGGACAUGGGUUGACAUGAAUAAGAACAGCGACGCGUACUUGUUUUUAUUUUUGGUUCUUUAGAUCCAGUUGCACGUACCAAAGAAAGAAAACCACAGGUAUGCAAUGCAAGCUCUUUUCCCAUGUUUUCCUCUGUUUUCUCCUAUUUUUCUCUCUUUUUUAAAAAAAAAAAAAAAGAUAUACGGAAGUGAUUAAAAUACUCCUCUAACUAAGCUUGUUUUGCGUUCGGUGGCCGACUGUAAAAGCUCUGCUCAAACCUAACGUACUAGGUAUUUAUUUUAUUGCUCUGUUCAGACCUAGUGAUUAAAAUGCACUUGCGAUUUUGUGUUUCAAUUCCCUCUCCCCUAAUAUUGCUUGUAUAAAAAUAAAAACUUUUAAAAAGACAUUAAUAUUGUAUUCUAUAUUCUAUAAAGUGUUGGACAUGUUUUAUAUUGUUGACAACCCCCUAAUAUUUUGGUGGUGCCCAGUUAUAUUCAAUUCGUAUGUAUUUAAUUUGCCACUUACAUUCUUGCCUUAAUACAUUUAGGCUUAUUUUUAUACAAAUUUCUCUAACAUAACUUUUGCACAUUCUUUUAGUCUCUAAUAUAUAUAUAUAUAUAUAUAUACAGAGAGCUUCCAUUGAGGGAUCCCUCAAAUAAACUUAUUUGAGGGACACUCCUUGUAGGCCCCACUCCGAAUUGUAUUUCACUAAUACAAACCGUCUAUUUUGUAGAUACUCAUUCAAAGAUCAUCUCUACAAAAAAUCACUUGAAUCCGAUAUCAUUUGACCACUCAAUUAAGUUAUUGAAAUUUUAGCAUUUUCUUGAAGCACCGUGUUCAUUGAUUUUGUAAGACACAAUUGGAUGUCGAAACGGUUUCCGAUUUGUCUAAUUUUUUGUAAGGAUGAUCUAUGAAUGAAAACCUAAAAAAUAGGUAGUUUGGAUCAUUGAGAAAAAAAUUGUAUGGUACCUUAAAGGGCGUCCCUCAAAUAAAAUUAUUUGAGGGAUCCCUCAAUAGAAGGGGACUGUAUAUAUAUAUAUAUAUAUAUUUUCUAAUAAAUAAUCUUACCCAUUUGAGUUAUCAGCUAUUUUCUUUUAGCCCGGAAAAUCGACAUUUUGACAGAGAGUUGAAAAGAACUCCCCAAUUUUAAUGUCAGCCACUUGAAAAAAAAAACAUAAAUUUAAUGACAACAAUUACAUUUAGCAAUGCAACCUAAAAACUCAACCUUUGCGCCCCUUUCACAACGUAGAUAGCAGAGUAAGGAUAUUCGGAUAAGAACCAAGACAUAAGCCAGAGAAACUACGAUAGCCAACCAGGGCCUUCAUUUCUUACCAUCUGAACAAUGCCACCAUUUUGUUUGGUAAGUAUUUAAUAACAUUUCUUGCUCUUCAUAAAGUAAUAUUAAAACGAAAUUUGCCUAAAUUUUUCUUACCAACAAUGCAUACGAAAAAAAAAAAGGAAGAUUCACUAUUAUACUCAAUAUAGGAGCCCAAAUUAUUUAUAAUUAAAAAAAAAACCUUACAUGAAAUGGACUUUAGAAACACACUCAAAACCUAUUUACAACAAAACAAAGACUUUUAACUUCUUUUAAAUUACAAAACUAUCAUUGAUUUCUUAAACAAACCCAACCCCAAUACCUCAUAAAAAAACCCAAAAUACUUGAUAAAGCAUCAAAGUAAUUUAAUAAUCAAAAUUAAAUUCAAUAGGACCAGCAGUUAUUUUUUGGGUUUUUUUUGUUUGUUUAUAGAAAUUAAAUGGUGUAGGAUCUAUCUAUAUUAUUAGUGCUAAGAAUGGAUAUGUGACUAAAUAAUUCCAAAAAAAAAUUAUAAUAAAUCUACAAUUUUUCUUUUUAUAAAAAAAUUCUACAAAAAUUUAUUAGAUUAAUAGGCACUACUAGAAAAUCUCCAUAUAAGCCACUAAUACACCCAUGACAGUUGUCCAAGCGUAGUGUUGUCAUUCAAUAUUCCCCACAGCAACCAGCAUCCAAUAAAGGGUUGCCUCUCUGUAUGUAGCUAUUUGAGAAUAUAAAAGAAAUAUUUUUUAUUCAACAUGGACGCAGAAACUGUUGCUAAACUGCAAACUUCUUAAAAUAUUUAUCUAACUUUCUAGAUCCAUGUACUGAGAUUUAUUAGGGAAAUAUUGUAGAAACUGAUUAUUUUGAAAUAUUAAAUGUGAAAAACUGAACAAAAAUUUGAUGGGUUACAUAUUUCAACUCAUUUCAGCAGCUUAGAUUUUGAAGACCUCAGAAGAGGCUAUGCAAUGAGCCUAGCUAGUGCACUGUUGAUCACUUCAGUGUUUACCGAUCUGUAAUUUUUCCAGAUUGGUUAUAUUUUCCUUUACAUAUUCUUAUAUUUUCCCAGUUGGGGAGACUUAUAAAUAAGGGAAAUAGCCCUAAAUGCCACCAAUUUUAUAAUUUUUUGUCAAAAUACCACCCCUCCCCAAAAUUUUUAAAACUACCACCUAUAAAUACAUCUUUAUUGUAAAUUAAUUGCACCCAUAUCACUUUUUCAGAAAUUGGGUUCUCCCUCAACUCUCUUGGCUCUGUCUCUCUCUUUAGCCUAGCUCUCUCUCUCUCUCCGACAUAGUCAUCUUCCUCCCUCAGCCAUCCAAGCUUAACUCCACAGUUCACAUCCACGAGGUACUGUUCACGUUCCUUUUCUUAGAAAUUUGGGGUUUUUGUGAAUUUGGUUUAUGAUGUAUGGAUUUGUAUGAAAUUGGUUUAGGGGUUUCUUCCAAAUUGGUUUGGUAAGAAGGUGAUGUUGUUGUUGCUGUCACUGACAGACUAUUUUUCCUGGGUUGUGGUUGGUGGGUGUUACUGCGAAUGCUUACAAGGUUGCUGAUUCUCCUUCUAAGGUCUCUCUUUCUCUCUAUUUCUACAAAUUCUAAGGUUUUUUUUUUUUUUUGGGUUACUUUUUUUUUUUUUUUUAUUUCUUUUGCUAAUUGUAAUUGGGCCUUUGUUGCAGAGGUGGAUUUGUUUUGUGCCCAAAAGAUUGUGACUUUGUUGAAAGUUCGUAAAUAGAAAAGGCAGCUGCCCCCUGCGGCUUGGAACGCUCAAUUCGGAGGUAUUAUGCCUUGAAUUUUUACAAAAGAAGAAUUGAAACUACCUUAUAGAAGGCAAAACAAAAAUAUAUAAGAGGAAAAAAGGAGAAAAUUUAUCUAAUUUCCCUUUUUUUAGUUGUAUUUUUNNNNNNNNNNNNNNNNNNNNNNNNNNNNNNNNNNNNNNNNNNNNNNNNNNNNNNNNNNNNNNNNNNNNNNNNNNNNNNNNNNNNNNNNNNNNNNNNNNNNNNNNNNNNNNNNNNNNNNNNNNNNNNNNNNNNNNNNNNNNNNNNNNNNNNNNNNNNNNNNNNNNNNNNNNNNNNNNNNNNNNNNNNNNNNNNNNNNNNNNNNNNNNNNNNNNNNNNNNNNNNNNNNNNNNNNNNNNNNNNNNNNNNNNNNNNNNNNNNNNNNNNNNNNNNNNNNNNNNNNNNGGGGGAAGGGACACCCUAUUUCGUUACAGGGUUUAUUGACUGCAUUCUUCCUUGUUCUAGAAGACCUCCUCAGUUCCAUUGAGCCGACAAACCUUAUGAAGUUGAAUGUGAAGUGUUACCUUGCAUCUACAUGUUUCAUCUUUUAACUUUAUUUUCAUGUUUCACACUGAUGCUUGUAGUUAUUUCUAGUUUUGCAUACAGAUUAGCAAAUAGGUUAUGCAUUUACUGUUUAGUCAUCUAAUGAUUUGAUAUCUAAUAUUUAGGCAUAUGGGAAUUUAUAGAUGUACCGAUUAUGCAUACAUAUAGGUUUUGUGCUUGUAUUAGGAAGUUAGAUUCUUGUGGUUCCUCUUCAAUGGCAUGAAUUUAAAUUGUUGUGCUUCAUGAUUAGGGUCUGAAGAACAACCAUGUAGUAAGAAAGUUGGAGAAACGUCAACAGAUUUGCACCCUUGACCAACAUAUUGAAGAGUAAUUUGGUGGUGGUCGUCUAUUGGCUUGUAUCUCAUCACGACCUAGAUAGUGGCUGUGCUGAUGGGUAUGUGACUUUAUUUGCCUAUGUCUGUUUCUAGUCAGCCGAUAUGUCAUUGGCAUAUUAGUGUAGUUACCAUAUUGCAAGGGCUGAAAUCUGGAUGAUAACAGCUUCUUUUUAUUGUUGUUUUAAAGUGAAGUAUGUAUGGAUCUUAUGAAAUUUUUACAGAAAUAUAUUGGAGGGCAAAUAAUUUUAUUUUAGUUUUUUUAUUCCCAAAUGAUACCCAAAACAUGUAAGCUUCACACUAUGUUAAUUUCUGCAGGAUGGGAAAACAUUGGACAAUGAGUUGGAGGUUGUUAAGGGAAUGAAGCUAGACAUGGGCUACAUAUCCCCUUAUUUCAUCACCAACCAGAACAAUUAGAAAUGUGUAAGUUUUGGUUUGAUUCAGGGAUGACUAUGUCUUGAAACUGUUAGAGGGCUGCUUGUUAAAGUUAGUAGCACCUCAAGUCCCUUUUUUAUUGAUGCUGAUUAUCUUCAAACUUGUGUAUGUGCUGAUAGGAAUUGGAAAAUCCUCUAAUCAUAAUCCAUGAGAAGAAAAUCUCAAGUAUUAAUGCUGUGGUUAAAGUAUUGGAGUUGGUCUUGCAGGUUAUCAUUUCUCUGGUUAGGUUCACUAGUUUCUUCUUUUUUAUCAUGAAUUGGUUGACAAACUUUUGCUCUUUUUCAAAAGCAAAGGUCUUUGCAUUUUGUUAUAUCUUUCAGAACCAAAGUUAUAAAAGAAAAUGGUUUUCCUCUUUGUUAAUUGAGAAUCAUCUGCAGUUAUGAUUUCAGAUCUAUAGAUAACUUGUUGUUGCUGAUAUUGCUACACGGGAGGAGAAUAGAACAGCUUGAAAAAUGUGCAAGAAGAGAGAGCUAACUCAUACACCGAAGAACAAAUUGGUGAAGUUAAGAUCAAAUUAGUAGAAUUUGUGAGCUCUCCAUUAUUUAUAAUUAUAGGUAGGAAGUAUGUAUGUAAUAGAGUAAAGAUUGGUUGACUAUGUAAUAACAAUUGAAUUUUCAAGUUUUAUGAAAGAAAUAAUUUUUGAGCAUAUAUAUUUGUUAAUAAAGCAUUAUAAUUGGUUUUCUAGUUAAAAUCGUUGUAUAGAAUCGUAGGAAACAAAAACCUAAAUAUAACAGCUUGGGAACUUAUUAGACGACAGAUUUAAAGAUAAUAAAAUGUAGUCUGAAUUGUUAGGGUUCGGUGGCGAUUUAUUUUGCAUGUCUAAAUUGUAGUCUGUAAUAUAUGUGUGUGUAUUGUAUGUAGAUUGACUUAAUAUUGCUAUCCUAUUGCAUGCGUAUUGUACUAAUAUUGCCUUUGUAUUGCAUACAUAUUGUAUGCAUAUUGCCACCCUAUUGCAUGUAUAUUGUGAUGUUAUUGCUGUUGUAUUGCCGUUAUAUUGCCCUAAUAUUGCCUCUCUAGUGUAUGUAUAUUGGCCUAAUAUUGCCAUUAUAUUGUAUGUAUAUUGACUAUGACUCAUCAAUGGGUUUACGGUUUAGGCCCUACUUCAUUCAAAAAGAAGACGACGACGAGAAAGAAACAAUGUGCCUUUCAAAAACAAGCAGUCAGGUGCAUUAUAAUUGCACCGUAAGACAUUGUAAGAAAUUAUUUUAAAAGAUAAUAACAACUAAAAAAUAAUUUACCAAAAAAGGAAGGUAUGAAUAAAUAUGCAAAUGCUUCGUCAUGGGUUGAAGAAAAGGAUGAUUACAUUUGGUGGUUUGAUUAUGUUUGGUGAUAUGAUAUGUUGUUCGUCUGAAUCUUCAUAUAUGUAAUUGUUAUGUUAAUACUUGACACAAAUUCAUCUCGUAAUCAUCCAAUUAUUAAAGCUAAGUAAAUGAAAUGAAACAAAAGAAGAAGCCCAAAAUAAACAGAAACAGCAAUUUCUAGCACCCAUUUAUCGCUUCUGUAUUACCACUGUAUCACCAACGUAUCACCAGCUUAGCGUUGAUGACCAUUAGUUCAAACAUUAUGUGAUCUAAUAGGGAUAACUAAUUUUUGGAACAACUAAUGAAUCUUCAAAAAGAUAAAGAACAACUAGUAAACUAAUGUAUGCAGUUUAACUUUGCACGGGUCAUAGUGCUCAACAUGAUAUUUGGCAACCAUCUCUACACUUGGUGUAUAUUGCAGGCUUCUAUGCAUUCCAAACCUUCAUUCUUCUGUGAUAAAACUGUUAAAUUACCAAGAUUUCUAACACAUGGAAGUAAACAAACGAAUCUGCACAUUUAUUUGUACAUACACACUGCGUAUUGCACAUCUGCGCAUCUAUUAAUCACCACACCAAUGUUUCAAAGAUUGAUUCAGAGGGCAAAAUGAUUGAUUACAUAUUUCAAAUUAGUCAUCUGCUCAUAAGAACUUGGCCCUAAAACUGUACUAAUGGUAAAUAUACUGACAUAAUAGCUAUUAAUGAAAAAUUCUAAACAAACGAGGGACUUAUUUUUCUAAUAUUGUAGUGGAAGCAUGUUAAGUGAUUUUCCACAUUUGUUCAUGGGGGUAAAGUAUAUCUUACCCCUUUCUAAACAUUAUGAGGUUUCAAAUUUCAAUAACAACAGAAUGCUAAGCAGAAAAGUAGAAUUGCUACAUAAAUUACUUAGAAGGAACAAAGUCAAAACUAAUUUGACAAAUCUUAAGAAAGCUGUAUGCUUCACUAAGUCAACUAACAGAUUCCCAGUGCAGGAAAUGAAAUAUACCUAUAUCACAUAAAUUGCAAAGAAAACCACAGAGACUAAAUGUUAACAAUGGAUACAAAAAUGAGUAGAAUUCAGUGGAAACGAACACAUCGUUUCAAACAAGUAAAUUGUUAUAUGUCCAUAAAGAGCAACUAUGUUUAUAUAUGGAGGUGUACGAAAUAGUUCAACUUCAAAAUGGAAACAGUUUAUGUGCCAUGUAAGGCAAUGAACAUAUAACAAGGUGAGUCUUCAACAAAUUAAAAGUAGACAAUUAUUUUCAAACAAUCUGACAGCUGCCCGAGAAAACUGAGGGAGUUAAGGCAUGAGAUGCAAACAUGAUAAACACUGUUAAGCACUCGGACGAACCCAUGCUAUAAUACAAGCCAACAGACAAUCACCACCACCAAAUUGCUCUUCAAUAUGUUGGUCAAUGGUGCAAAUCUGUUGAUGCUUCUCCAACUUUCUUACUACAUGGUUGUUCUUCAGACCCUAAUCAUGAAGCACAACAAUUUAAAUUCAUGCCAUUGAAGAGGAACCACAAGAAUCUAACUUCCUAAUACAAGCGCAAAACCUAUAUGUAUGCAUAAUCGGUACAUCUAUAAAUUCCCACAUGCCUAAAUAUUAGAUAUCAAAUCAUUAGAUGACUAAACAGUAAAUGCAUAACCUAUUUGCUAAUCUGUAUGCAAAACUAGAAAUAACUACAAGCAUCAGUGUGAAACAUGAAAAUAAAGUUAAAAGAUGAAACAUGUAGAUGCAAGGUAACACUUCACAUUCAACUUCAUAAGGUUUGUCGGCUCAAUGGAAUUGAGGAGGUCUUCCAGAACAAGGAAGAAUGCAGUCAAUAAACCCUGUAACGAAAUAGGGUGUUCNNNNNNNNNNNNNNNNNNNNNNNNNNNNNNNNNNNNNNNNNNNNNNNNNNNNNNNNNNNNNNNNNNNNNNNNNNNNNNNNNNNNNNNNNNNNNNNNNNNNGAUAUGAAGAAACAAAAUGAAUCUCCCACAAGCCUAACAGGCUAAUACCAUUAACAAGGUCUGAAAUUGACUCUAUAUCAUGUACAUAUAUAUAUAUAUAAACUCCAUCUUUACAUAUUGGAACUACAUCAAUGUAAACCAACUAGAUCGACCCUGCAUCCUGAACACCACCCCCCCUCCCAAAAAAAAGACCGAGAAAAAAAAAAUACAACUAAAAAAAGGGAAAUUAGAUAAAUUUUCUCCUUUUUUCCUCUUAUAUAUUUUUGUUUUGCCUUCUAUAGGGUAGUUCCAAUUCUUCUUUUGUAAAAAUUCAAGGCAUAAUACCUCCGAAUUGAGCGUUCCAAGCCGCAGGGGGCAGCUGCCUUUUCCAUUUACGAACUUUCAACAAAGUCACAAUCUUUUGGGCACAAAACAAAUCCACCUCUGCAACAAAGGCCCAAUUACAAUUAGCAAAAGAAAUCAAAAAAAAGUAACCCAAAAAAAAAAAAAAAAAACCUUAGAAUUUGAAGAAAUAGAGAGAAAGAGAGACCUUAGAAGGAGAAUCAGCAACCUUGUAAGCAUUCGCAGUAACACCCACCAACCACAACCCAGGAAAAAUAGUCUGUCAGCGACAGCAAAAACAACAUCACCUUCCUAUCAAACCAAUUUGGAAGAAACCCCUAAACCAAUUUCAUACAAAUCCAUACACCAUAAACCAAAUUCACAAAAACCCCAAAUUUCUAAGAAAAGGAACGUGAACAGUACCUCGUGGAUGUGAACUGUGGAGUUAAGCUUGGAUGGCUGAGGGAGGAAGAUGACUAUGUCGGAGAGAGAGAGAGAGAGCUAGGCUAAAGAGAGAGACAGAGCCAAGAGAGUUGAGGGAGAACCCAAUUUCUGAAAAAGUGAUAUGGGUGCAAUUAAUUUACAAUAAAGAUGUAUUUAUAGGUGGUAGUUUUAAAAUUUUUGGGGAAGGGUGGUAUUUUGACAAAAAAUUAUAAAAUUGGUGGCUUUUAGGGCUAUUUCCCUAUAAAUAAACCCAAAAUGGGUACAGUAUCUAUACAGAAGGACAAAAUUAAAGUGUUUGGACAAUAAUGCCCCUAUUCAUUUUGGGAUUGCCUAAGGAAUCCUUUUCCUGAUUUUCAAUGAUGCCAAAGGACUGUUGUUUGAUGCUUGCCGUAUGGAGCUAAGAAAACUUGCUUUGUGUUAUAAAAAUAACCUGGAAUAUGUACGAAUAUUGAGCUGCACGAAAAGUAGAUGAAACACAGCAUUUAACGAGGUUCGGCUAUGCCUACGUCCUCGGAGAGCAACAGCAGUAACUUUUUCACUAUAUGAAAUAAUAGGGCUACAACUUUAGAGUUUACAAUAUGUGAGGCUCACUGAAUUUUCUCUCUCUUUCUUCUUCUCUCUUUUCUUUCUUCUUUUUCUCUUCUCCCCUUUCUUUCUUUUCUCCGUUGGUCACACUCCCCUUUACAAUUGGUAUGCCUAUUUAUAGGCUAAUGUUUAGGCAAAAUACAGGGAAGGGAAGGUUCCUGGAAGAUGCAAGGAAACUUCCUGAAUUGAUAAUGUCACACCCCGGACCGACUCCGCCGUAGCACGAUAUUGUCCGCUUUGGGCCCUCCUCUCACUGCCCGCACGGUUUUGUUUCUGGGAGCUCACGAAGCAACUUCCCAGGGUGGUCACCCAUCCUGGGAUUGCUCCAGCCUCCCACUCGCUUAACUUCGGAGUUCUUACAACUCCGAAGCCAAUGAGCUCCCAAAAGGCCUCGUGCUAGAUGGAUGCGGGUGUGCCAUAUAAGGCACAUCACCCCCCUCUCCGUUGGUUUGAUGUGGGAUCUUACAAUCCACCCCCCUUAAGGGUCCGACGUCCUCGUCGGCACACUCGCACCACACGGCAGAGUGGCUCUGAUACCAAAUUGUCACACCCCGGACCGACUCCGCCGUAGCACGAUAUUGUCCGCUUUGGGCCCUCCUCUCACUGCCCGCACGGUUUUGUUUCUGGGAGCUCACGAAGCAACUUCCCAGGGUGGUCACCCAUCCUGGGAUUGCUCCAGCCUCCCACUCGCUUAACUUCGGAGUUCUUACAACUCCGAAGCCAGUGAGCUCCCAAAAGGCCUCGUGCUAGAUGGAUGCGGGUGUGCCAUAUAAGGCACAUCACCCCCCUCUCCGUUGGUUUGAUGUGGGAUCUUACAGAUAAAUACAGGGAAGGAAAGUUCCUGGAAGAUGCAAGGAAACUUCCUGAAUUGAUAAAUACAGGGAAGGGAAAGUUCCUGGAAGAUGCAAGGAAACUUCCUCUGUGGGCUCCACCUUCAAACUUUUACAACACUCCCCCUUGGAGACCACAAAUGAUAUGAAAUAUGCCUCGUUAAAAACCUUGCCAGUAAAAACCCAGUGGGACAAAAACUGGUCGAAGGGAAAAAGAGUACAUAAUCACGUGUAACAUAAAAUUCUGUGUAUAUUGACGCGCGUGCGACACUGCCUCGUUAAAACCUUGCCAGGAAAAAUCUAGUGGGAUAAAAACCUGGACGAAGGAAAAAGAGUACAGUGUGUAAGGGUCUGUAUUGACAGCACGCUCCUCCUGAUGCUUGGCAAAAUAUCUUUAAGCCAUACUGUUGAUCAUCUGUCUGAAUAUCAUAGUUGACACUGCUGCUGUGAGUCAAUAGUGUAUGAAGGUCUUUAUUAAUACCAUGCUCCCCCUGAUGAAUAUCUCCCCCUGAAAACUUCAUGACUAGCUUUUUCCAGUAAGCGACCAUAGAGAUUUCCUGAGUCCGCAUAUCUUAGAACACUUGGGCUAUUUAUAAGUUCACUAAAAAAAUAUGCCCGUAUAUGGUGUUAUGCUUAGAUAGCAUCAAAUAUACCUCACAUCAUCCCAAAAUGAUGGUGAUGGAGUUGAGCCCUAUCUGGAAAAUAUGAUGUCCGGUCCAAUAUACUUCCGGAAAAUCAUUAAAGUGUCCAACGGAUAAUCCUCAUAAAAAUACUUUAAUACUUUCUUAGUAUAAGCAAGAAUCUCGUUGGCAUAAUGCUCGAUCGAGACAAAUAUUUCAUGAAUUCUGCAGAAACUUUAAUGUGUUGCAAUCACAUUAUAAUCAAUGUACUCACUGAGGUAAUUUAUGCAUAUUAAUAUUGAGUACAAAUUUUGUGCUUCAAGCACAUGUCCUUUAAGGACUUGCUUUAUGCAAUAUCAAUCCUCUCAACGGAUUUUGUCUAAAAGGGAUUAAGCUUUAUGACACAUUAUAUAGCUUUUACCCAGCUAUUUAUACAUCUUUAGGAAAUCGCUUCUGGCGAUAUGCUCCGUGCAUUCAAUAACCCUUAAAGAUAAUAUGUUGGUCUCCGUAAUUGUGUAAUAAGGGGGGGCACAAUUGAAUCUGUAAAUAUGGAGAAAACCCAACAUUCCUUGUUUCUGCCAGAAACAGUGUGUCAUACAAAGUAGGUAUAUUCCCUUUUAUUCCGAACACCCAAGUAUAACUUUCAGUAUUAACAAAUUUUGGGGUUCGUAUUGUGGGUUUGUUCUUUCACGUUCAUUCUCAUUUAUAAUGGAAUUACCUCGUUCCAUUUUGGCCAGUGAUAUUGUCGACAUUUAAUAAUUGAACGUGGUUCCAAUCAACACAGCCCAUUGAUGAUUUGAGUAGCUACUCCAAAACCAAAAAUUGUCAUUCAUCAAUUCAUGAUCCCACCAUUCUCAUGUGCAUGCACAUGCAUCAAUUAUAAGCAUUUCUUUGCUUUUUGGUACCCAAGCCACUUCAGGGGGCUUUUAUUAUGUGAGAAUGUGGAUUAUAACCUCCAUCGGAGCGUUAUUUAGUAGUAGGGCGUGGAUAAUCUCCAUUUAGAGAGUUGGAACAUUGAGAACCCAUAUAUCUGUCAUGCUGCAGGCAUGCCACAGAUUAAUACAUACAUGUCAAUUAAUUUCUGGGACUUUAACCCAUAUUAUGGGACUUUAACCCAUAUAAUUUGCUACGCAUUAGGCGUGCAUAAUAUCAAUAUUGACAUGUCAAAGGAUUGUCCUUUCGGGACUUCAAUUCAUAUCAUUUGCUACGCAACAGGCGUGCACCCAUAUUGAUCACUGCUAUACCCAUAUUCUGUUCUUAUGGGACUUUAAUCUGUGCAGUGUAUUAUCAAUGUAUCCAUCUUACAAUCUGUAAAAUUUGCAUUAAUAAUUCAUGGAUACAUACAAGCCAUUCUUUUGGAACAGACUUAUCUCCCAAUUUGGUUACCUUUCAAGAUAAAAUAUCAAAUAGGUAUAUAAGCAUAAAAUAACACAAGUAUUGCUUACAUCCUUAGGUGGGAGAAACUUUUCUCAAGUAUCAUUCAAGCUCAUAUCAGCCCAGUAAAUAUAAUGUAGCGCUUGAUGAUCUAGUUAUAUCCUGCAAGAGCAAAAAUCACAACUCUUUUGCCUCUGUCAAAACAAAUAACCCUCAUAGUUAGGAUUACUUCAUGGAUUCAUUCUUCAUAUGUUCAUUCUAAAGAAAUAAAAUCUCUUAUGAACAGAGAGUUAUAAAAAGAGAAAAAAUGCAAAAAUAAUGUGAUAUUGAUUGCAAGAGAAGGUAAGCAAUCAGGGAAGGAAGCUGGUGGGAGCAGACAAUAAGCUCUCAUAUCUCCUAGUCUAGAAGGACUCCCGGAGAUUAGACCAUAAGAUCGCCUUCACAGUUUCCUGAUGUAGUGGAAACGUGAUCAGGGAUAGUCUUGCUUCCUGAAUGGAUGAUCAGAGAUAGUCUUGCUUCUCAGGCAUAUUGAGUGCUCACUGAUAAGAAAAAUAAGUAGAUAUCUCAUCACUAAGUAUGGAGUAAACUGGAUGUCUUCUGCAAAGGAAAAUUUCGUUUAGUAACACAUUUAUACACAAAUACAAUGAAUAGGUAGAACCGGUAAAUUUCAAAUUAACCAUAGGAAAAUUGCGAGAUUCUCGGGAUACUUUUGAAAAAGUAGCUCCGUGAAAUCCGUAAAGCAAGAUCGGCUUUGAAAAUAAUACUUUGAAAAACGCCGAAAGUGCCGACAUGCAUUAUUAGAGGCCACGUGAAGUUUUGGACUCUGGGAAAGAAAAAGAUAAUAUGGGGAUUCGAGAAGACAUUGGGGUCCUGAAAAGUUGCCACAUUUUCGUCUAUAGAUAUUGCCUUUGCAAACUGCGUUUCAACUCAACUUCCUUCAUUUUCCGAACCUUUAGUUUUUCUAAGACUUUCUUCGAAACCUUCUUAAAAAAAUGGCUUCCUCUUCUUCCUGCCCAAAUUAUUUCAAUUUAAAUGAUGCUCCCACAACAACCAGUGACGCCCAAGUUUGGCGUCCAUCCUUUGUAUCCAAAAAUCGUCAUCUCACAGUUAAUGAUUCUGUGAUGAUGAAUGAUGCUACUGCUGUCAUAGUAGCUAGGAAUUUCAUUACUCCAAUGGAUGAAAUGUUGUUGACAGGGAGAUCAGAGGAAGAGGCUAUUGAUGAAUCAAUGGCUUUUAGCAUUCAGAGUGCUGUUUCUGUUUCUAACAUGGCUGAUCGUUUGCGUGCCAGAGCAAACGAAGUUGAGAAUUUAACAACUGAAAAUUCGUCUCUCCAAAGAAUGCUUCAUGAGUCUCAACAGGAGGUUGAGAAACUUAAAGGAGAGAAUAAUGCCUUGUUGAAACUGGUGAGUUCGUACUCUGUUGAUACAUUGAGAAGGCUAGACAUGCUGCAGGUCUCGAAUGAAAGAAUUUUGGGAGACUAUGAGAAGCUCAUGGCUAAGCUUAAGAGGCGCCGUCAUCUUCCUUCAGAGGCUUCCAGGACAUAAUGUAAUUUUUAUAGAUUUUACAGGGCCUGCACCUUCAUUGCAGGAAAAAAUCUAUCUGUUGUAUGCCCCUUUUCUGUUAUAAUAAUUGCGCAUAUUCUUAAACUUGCACCUGUGGUUUUUACGUCUUUUCAAAAUGACGAUUUGGAACCUUGUGCCUUAUAGGUUCAAAUAACCACAUUGUCUCUCCCAAAUUUCAUAUUUUAUCGCAUGGUAGCCCGGAACUUUUGGCCUGGGCACAAACUCAGAAUUUAUUUGCCCUUUUCAAAUGGACAUGAAAUAUGAAUUGAGUAAAAGCCAUGAUAAUAUCGCAAUAUAGUAGUGAAGAGCAUUAACUACUAUAUACCCACAACUUCAAGUUCAGGAUCUCUCAUAUAUUUGGAUCCAUGGGCUUCCGGCCCAAAUAUAACAAAAUAUGUGGGGAGCCUCAAUUCAUUAUUUGAGGUUUAUAUUAAUAUUAUGCAUUUCGCGGUGUAUUCUUAACAACCGGAAUUCACAAAAUAUAUUUCUUCCUUGAGGUGUCGAUUAUAACAAAAUCGAACUUUAUUAAAUUCAUCAUCUUCUUAUGCCAAAGAAAUAUGUGGCAUACCACAAUUUGCAAUAAUACCUCAAGGGUUGUCCAUUUAAUUGUUGGAACUUCAGGUUCUCAACACUGUUAAAUUUGGAACUUCAGGCCAAAGCCACAUAUUCUCAUGGUAUGGACAUUUUUACAAUUUUCUGUACAUAUUUCGGGACUUCAAGCCCUUACAUAACUGUCCAUAUUUUGAGGAACUUCUGGCAUCUCAUUUAAUUGCUCAUCCAUGAGUUUAAGGAACUGCAGGUUCCCUUUUGUAUAUAGUGACGGUUUACCCAAAAUGGUUAAUAUUUAUGCAUACAUCACUAUUCAUGUGAAUAGUACUAUUCAUCAAGUCAUGAAUACGUAUCUAUUCAUCUGCCAGUACAGUUAUCAUCAAUGUGUACGGCACUAUGAACCAAUACGGUACUGUUACAUCAUUAAGGAACUCUAGGUCCUUAUUUACAUGUCAGGGAUUAAGAACCUUUAAGUCCAAUCACAUGUUUACAAAUACAGUACCGGUGAGACUGCCAGCUCUCAUUUUAAUAUCAUCAUCAAGGAUCUUCAAGUCCUGAUGUAAUUGUAUGAUGAGGAUCAAGGAACUUCUGGUCCUGAUCUGCAUACUGGAAAAACUAAUCAUACAGCACAAUUAAUCCAUAAAAUAAAUUGCUGAUAAAUAAAUUACUGGUAUGGACGAUAAACCCGCACCACACUUUAAAUAAAUGUAAAUGUGCGGUAAAUUAAAUUCAUAAAGUUAAGGUGCUUGUAUGGGCAUUAAUUCUGCUCCAUACAUUUAAAUAAAAGUAAAGGCGUGGACGAUAAACCCGCACCACCCUUUUAAAUAAAUGUAAAUGUGCGGUAAAUUAAAUUCAUAAAUUAAAUUGCUUGCUGUAUGGACGUUAAUCCCGCACCAUACUUUAAAUAAAAUUAAAUGUGCGGUAAAGUAAAUUGUGCUUGUAUGAGCACUAAUUCUGCUCCAUACAUUUAAAUAAAAGCAAUGGCGUGGACGAUAAACCCGCACCACCCUUUUAAAUAAAUACUGUUGUAUGGGUAAUAAACCUACACCAUACAGUAAAUAAAAUAAAUAUGCGGUAAAAUAAAUUUGCGAUAAAGUAAAGGUGCAUGUAUGGGUAAUAAACCUACACCAUACAGUAAAUAAAUGUGGGGUUAAAACCACCACCGAAUAAAAUAAGAAAAAGUUAGUAUUAGUAACGGUCUCCUACUGAUAAUAUGUUUAGUAUUACCAAGGGUCCAUUUUUGUUAGUGGUUAGUAGUAUAGAUAAUAGUGCAGCAUAAAAAUUAUACCUGAGAGCUUCUCGUGCUGAUAACGUGUUAUAAAAAUAACCUGGAAUAUGUACGAAUAUUGAGCUGCACGAAAAGUAGAUGAGACACAACAUUUAACGAGGUUCGGCUAUGCCUACGUCCUCGGAGAGCAACAGCAGUAACUUUUUCACUAUAUGAAAUAAUAGGGCUACAACUUUAGAGUUUACAAUAUGUGAGGCUCACUGAAUUUUCUCUCUCUUUCUUCUUCUCUCUUUUCUUUCUUCUUUUUCUCUUCUUUUCUUUCUUCUUUUCUCUUCUUCUUCUCUCUUCUUUUUCUCUUCUCCCCUUUCUUUCUUUUCUCCGUUGGUCACACUCCCCUUUACAAUUGGUAUGCCUAUUUAUAGGCUAAUGUUUAGGCAAAAUACAGGGAAGGGAAGGUUCCUGGAAGAUGCAAGGAAACUUCCUGAAUUGAUAAAUACAGGGAAGGGAAAGUUCCUGGAAGAUGCAAUGAAACUUCCUCUGUGGGCUCCACCUUCAAACUUUUACAACACUUUGAUAGUUUUGGACAGAUGCAAGCUACUGUUGUUGGGAUGAUCUUUUCACGUGAAAUGAGGAUGACGAUACUUCUACACUACACAAUCCAACGAAUUCACAUUUCUAUUUCAGAUACAUGUAUAAACAGACAAGGCUUUAAAAUAUGGGAUGCUGCACUGUUGUUGCUGCUGCUGACACUGUUACUGUGUUGCUGCUACUGUUACUGCACUGCUGCUUGAAGAAGGACAAGGACUUCACUUGUUGCUUUCGUCCUUUGUGGAGGAGAGAGACCUAGGACUUGCAUGUCUUAGAUAUUUAAGACAAGGGGCUUUCGUGCCAUUUUGAAAAUACUUUGGGUGUUUUUGAAAGCUGCUUGUUUCUUUUGAGUUUCUCACUAAAUUUCGCUUUAGAAGGGAAAAUAAUAAUAAUAUUAAUAGUACAGCACUUAUUAGCAACAGAGUUACAAACUUCUUCUACAACACACACCAACAUGAAUCUAGCCCUGAUCCACUCUUUACAUACUUGAAAACAAAACAAAACACGAAAAACAAAAAACAAGAUAGGGAGAAAAUGGCUACGGAGAGACUUACUGCUAAUAGUUGAUCAAUAACAGAGAUAAUAGCGCACACUAUUUGUAUGACAGUGAGUAUCAGAAGAAUAAUAGCUGCAAAGAGAGAAAUAGCUGCCCAAGGUGUGUUGAAAUACUUUUGUCUCAAAUUUGCCUUCCAUAUGUUCGUGGUCUUCUCUCAGUAACUCGUUUAGUUUGCCAGCAAGAUCACCAAAAUAGUAGUUUCCGUGGUUCAGAGCAACUUUACUGCAAAGCUUGUUAAUCAUAAUGGAAACCUUAUUGUUGUCACCUUGCAUGUUUACAACAAUUCUAUUCUCAACAAGCAACUCUACAUCCUUUGGAGUGUUUACAAAUUUAUCCAGGAUGAAAACAUAAUAGCUUAUGUAUUUAUCCACGCAAUGGCAUUGUUCAAAGGCAAUGAGAUUUCUAAGUGUAAGCUCUGUGUAAUUAUGUAUUUCAAUUUUUGGAAUUUCCAAGGUGUUUUUCUUGAACUGUAUAUCGAAUAAGUUCUUGCUUGAUCCGGCCUGGUGUAGUUUUGUCAUGCUGGGUGUCCUUUGGAGCCCUACAUUUUCUUUUAGGGUCGGAUCUGGCAGAUGUAAAGUUCUAAUAAAAUCAACAAAAUGUAAAGGUUUUUUAGGAUCAGGAGGCAUAAAAGACUUACGGAAGGCUGGUGAGUUCUCCAAGUUUUCUAAACGCAGUGCCUGUUGGAAGAACCUGUAAGAGAGUUCAAUUAUUGAAGGCUCCCCAGUCUGAGCACCUGUGAGAUUGUAAAGAUCCUCGAGAAUGAAAAAUGGCAGCUGAUUUCCAAGCAUAAGCAUGUCAGGCAAUAUAUUUUGUAGCACCCAUGGUUUUUUAAAUAUCCAAGCAUUAUCAUCCUGCAAUUUUUCUUCCUGAAAUUUUUCUUCGGAUUUAUUCCUCAACAAUAGCUCAAUGACAAAGGCGGCAUCAACUCGAAUGAUAUUCACAAAAGCAGCAAUGUUAAACUUCUUAGUGUCUUCAUAAUAAUGACGGAGUUCAACUUCUCUCUCCUUUAUUUUCUCGAAAUAAUCCUUCAAUUUUACAUUAGUCCAAUCAAGAAAACACUUUAGGUACCUGAGUUUGUGAUCUUCCAUGGCUUCUAGGUUUUUGCUGCCAUGGUGAAGUGGGCCUAUUGAGACUACUUGUGGUGUGUAGGCCUUUUGUUUUACGUUCCGUAGUCGCUCAGGCACCCUUUAGAUACAACAGGCAGGGGACAGGGCACGCAAGUUUGUCAACUGAUUUUCCAUGGAAGUUGCUUGGUUUUCUAUGUCAAAAGAAGCUUCAUUGCUGCUUUCUUCCACUUUCUUCCUCCUCAUUAUGUGUUGUUCUGAUUGUAAGUGACGAGGAUGGUGAUGAUUCUAGACAACAUAAUCAACAAAUGUUUCAAUCAUAAUUGACAUUUCAAGAUGCUCCGACAAAGAAUUAGAAAACAUUCAUCACAAAAUGCGAACUCAUACAAUAGAUGGGUUGAUGAUAUAACCAUUAUUUCGUACAUUUUUAUUAUCUUUCUCUUAGAUUCUUGCUAUGGUUCUUGAGUGAGUUUAGUCCAUUUUUACUUAGUUUUGUGUUUUACUAGGUUUGAAGAGUAAAGAUGGAAAAGCAAGCAAAAGGUGCAAUUUUGGUAUUGAAAUAUAAUGUGAAAUCCUAGGAGCAGAAUGUGUUGUGCGGAUCGGACAACUUUACAGAACAUACUGUACUUCCUCAGAGCGAACCAGAUGUUGAACCUUAUAUCAUUGGAAAGAUACGGAUGUUCGCCUUCUGUAGAAUUUCGCGGUUCAUGAUUCGGACGUGUGUGGAGAGAGUUGUGGCCAUUUUAGUACGGACAGUUCGGGCAGAAUGUGUUCUGCGGGUUUUGCAAAAUAAUCCAUUUGAAGUCCAAUCCUUGGAGUUUAAUUUGUGUCAAUUACAUUUGGGAAGUGUCUACAAGGAUGUGGAGUUAUUUUCUGAAGUCUGACCCUUUAUUUAGUAGGAUUAUGGAUGCCAACUCAUCAAAGACAAUGAAGCCAAACUAGGAAAACAUAGUUACCAAGUCAAAAGAGGAUUUGUUCCUUAUUUAAAGAAGACCAGAAAAUAGGGUUCUCUCAUGCUGGAAUUUGAAGGAGAGUUAAAGAGCCGCUGCCAUCGUCAAGUUCUCAAGCAUCGUCAUAAUCCAUAAGUUCUAUUUUAUGUUUUCUAGUUUUUCAAUUAUGUUUUCUUUGAACAUGAGUAACUAAAUCAUUCUCUAGGGCAAGGAUGACGCCCGAGCAUGGAUAGUUAUGAUUUUUAAUGCUAUUUAAUGAAUUCCAAGUUUCUUUUAGAUGAAUGUUUAAUCACUAUUUUAAUUGUUGCUAUUUGUUUAAGUUCUUUGAUUGAUCACCUUAUGACAUGACCCGCCCCGAAUUUUUCGAAACACGAGACGAAUCUUGUGGAAUUCCCGACCACACCCCAAUGCCGGGCCCACUUACUAAAGACCGGGACUUUCUGCCGAAAUUUCGGCAGAGUCUCUCCUGUAAAUUGAACAUUUCCCACAAUUUCAACCUGCAUAAAACACAUUUUAUAUUACCCAACUGGCAGCAUGCACAAUGUAAUAACAUGCAAUUCACAUAAACGGCCUUUCGACCUUCCGAUAAUCCACAACAAACCACCAAGCACGCUAUCAAAUCAAUUCAUACCUUAAACAAGGCAAACAAUAAAUUCAAUCACACUUAAGAAUGUCAAAGCAAUCCACUACAUUUAAUUUUUCUCAACACCCAACAUACGAGGUUUUAACAUCCUAACACAAUCACAUCUAUGUCUGCGGUUGCACCUAAUAACCUUAGGCUGCCUAUGUACCCUCACUGAGAGAUCAAGCCACACGUAGUUCUUCCUACUAAAUUCCGAUUUCCAAACACAUACAAUACCUUUAAUCAUCUCUAUGAUAAUCACAUACUCUCCCCACACGCCGGAAAUUCCAACGCCACGUAUGGGGUCUGUCAUCACGCCGAAAAAUCCUACGCCUCGUGUGACCUAACCAUCAUAUCAUCUCCCCAUACGCCGAAAAUUAUAACGCCACGUACGGGGUCUGUCAUCCUGCCGGAAAAUCCUACGCCAUGGGUGACCUGACAAUCACAUAAUCUCCCCAUAUGCCAGAAAUUCCAACGCCACGUAUGGAGUCUGUCUCAACGCCGGAAAAUCCUACGCCACGCGAGACCUAACAAUCACAUAAUCUCCCCAUAUGCCAGAAAUUCCAACGCCACAUAUGGGGUCUGUCAGCACGCCGGAUAACCUACACCACGUAGGACCUAACAAUCAUAGCAUUUCCCCGUAUGCCAGAAAUUCCAACGCCACGUAUGGGGUUUGUCCUCAUGCCGGAUAACUUACGCCACGUGGGACCUAACAAUCACAUAAUCUUCCCAUAUGCCGGAAAUUCAACACCUCAUAUGGGGUCUGUCAGCACGCUGGAUAACCUACGCCACGUGUGACCUAACAAUCAUAGCAUAUCUCCAUACGCUGGAAAUUUCAACGCCACGUAUGGGGUCUGUCAUCAUGUUGGAUAACCUACGCCACGUAGGACCUAACAAUCACAAGGUGGUACUUAGGGUAGUGCGUAUAGCACUGACAGAAAAUCACAAAAGUAUCUUUCCUAUUCUAGAGAUUGGUCACAUGUAGUCCAACCAAUAGGAAAUGAGAUAUUUAAGAAAUGAAGAGUUUGAUCAAUAUCAAUAUCAAAUGAAUUCUUAUACGCCUAGUCAACUAUUAAGCGUAUCUUGACUUCUUGAUAUUGUGAUAUGAUUGAAACAUGAUUUCCAUGUUAGAAAAUUAAAGGGAUGUUAAAACAUGAAAGUAAUAGGAGAAUCAAAUUGAUUUGGGCCAAAAUUGCCUAAAAAGAAAACACUUCUAAAUACACUCAAUUCACUUUUAAAAACAGUAAAACAUGAUUGAAUCGUUCUUUAAAACAAUUCCCUAAUAUACAUGCAUGAUAAUGACAUCACUUACCUCUGAACCAAAUGCCUUUCACGGGUCAAGCCACAAGUCUGUGUUUUGGGGAUUGCUAAGCUGCAUCAAUCCUGCCAAUGUCAGUUCUGCCCCUAUGCUCUCUCAAAGCAUGUUUACAACCUAUGCUAACAUAUACUAGAGUUUAUGCUAGUAUCGAGAAAAUGCAAACACUAAUUUUGUAACACGUAGAAUUGUUAGAGAUUGGAAGUUUUUAUCAUUUUUUUCUUCCAGUCUCUCCACCACUCACUAAUACAGAUUACUCAUGUGAUAAAUUUACAAAACCUAUUUCUCUACUCUCACAAAGACUAUACUUCUUCUCAAAAGACUAUAUCACUUUACCUCUAUCUCUGUGAAAUGUAAAAAGUUGAAACUUUAAUGUCAAACCUCGACAAAAGAUGAAUUUCCAUCAGUUACGUUGAAUUUGGAUUUGUUGAACUUAAGCGAUUUUACUUUCUCUGUUAGUAUUUGAUGACUUAAUUUGGUAUUUACUUCUUCUUCUUUUUUUCCUUGGAAAUGUGUUCCACCAACGUGAGGAAGAAAAAUAUGCACAAAAUAAUAUAUUUAAUAGAAGCCCAAGAUUUCGGAAGCACAUAAUUUUUUCAAAAAUCUACAAAGUGUUCUACUUUACAAACUUCUUAUGUCUACCAAUUUCUACUAAAAUUAAUUUCUUUGCGGUGCUCAGAUUCAUCAUGUGUGUGUCCUCAAUUUUAGUGGAAAUUGGAAGUUUCCAUCAUUUUUGUUUUCUGGGAAUUUUCUGAACCAAGGAAAAUCAAGCAAAAUUAAUAAAGCAUAAAAUGAAAAGGGAAAAUAUCUAGAGGAUGCAUUGUAGGAUUGCUCAUGCCAAUAAUUGUACCCUCUAAAUAUAUUGGGACAUAUUUUUUUUUGUUUUCAUGACAUAUGGUCCUAAAAUUAUUGUUCCUAGCGGGCUCUCCACCCCUCUCAAUUGAAAACCUAUUGUGUAAAUCUUCAAUCCUGAACGAUGAACGAUGCACCUAAAACACAUGUUGCAAUACACAUCCACCCAUUCUCAGGCCAAUUAUUGUUCCUAGCGGGCUCUCCACCCCCUCUCAAAUUUAAGUGGUCCAUUAUGAUUAAUCAUGUAUUUUAUGGACCAUCCAGCUGUGAGGUUUUAUCUCAAAAACCUUCGGUACCUUUCUCCCACAUGCCACAAUGGUAUAUUCACAAUUACGUCUGAUACCUCACAUCAUGCCACUUGCCUCAAUUGAAUUUAAGUGGGUGGAGUGUUACUUCUGGGUACCCCUCAUCAUUCGUCUAUAAAAUGGUGAAGCCAGUUGCUACUGUUACCAUAAGAGCCAGCUCCGACUUUCUUUAAUUUCUUGUUUCGUAUCCACUAGCUACAUCUGUUGCCAAGUUAAUUUCAGUCCUAAUGGGGUUUCAUCUCCCACUCAUCUUUGCUAUUCUCAGUGUAAGCUCUGCAAUUUGAUUAAGAUUUCCAUUCUCUCUCAUUGUACUCUAUAUAAACGAAAGUUUUGUGUUCCUACAAUUCUCUCCGAUUUUAUUUAGUAUGUACUUAAGUGUCGUACGUCCACUAAUUAAUUACACUUUGUGAGAUUUGAUUUUAAUUAGAGUUCGAAUUAAUGUUGCAGCUAGCAGCAGUGGGAAACCAUGCUGCUCAACCAGCACCUCAACUUUACUGGAACUCCGUCCUGCCAAACACACAGAUGCCAAGAUCUAUCAGUGUACUUCUGCAUCCUGGUUUGUGUUGAGCACUUUAGAAUCUUAGAUAUCUUUUCUACCUGCCAUUUUACUAAAAUUUGUUCGACCACAUAUUUAUCAGUUAACUACUGUCAUUACAAAUCGGCUGAUCACUUAUUUUGCAUUAUGACGUUGAUAUAUAAUUUGCAGACUCCACAAAUGAAGAAAAGAGCACAUAUAUGAAUGCUGUUGGGAAUGGAAAGGGCAAACCUGAAAUUUUCCCAUUGGGCAUUAGACGUUACGUUCAAAAACGGUAUGGAGGGGGCAUUAGACGUUACAAUCAAGAACGGUAUGGAAAAGGUCCUCCUCCAUCUGACAAUCAACUACUCCAUUAUAAAGACUUGGCUAUUUUCUUCUUCGAGAAGGACAUGCGCCCUGGCGCAACAAUGAAGUUCCAAUUCCCUAGAAAUUCAAACACGGCUACUUUCCUGCCACGCGAAAGUGCUCAAUCGAUCCCCUUCUCCUCUAACAAACUAUCAGAAAUUUUCAACCAUUUUUCAGUGAAGCCAACAUCUGUGGAAGCCAAAACAAUUAAGCAAACAAUCCAAGAGUGUGAAGCUCCAGGCCUUAAGGGAGAGGAAAAAUAUUGCGCCACAUCUUUAGAAUCAAUGGUUGAUUUUAGCACUUCGAAGCUUGGAACAAGAAACGUUGAAGCAAUCUCGACGGAGGUAUUGGAAAGAGGAGCCACCAUGUCCAUGCACAACUAUACAACAAUGCCGGGACUGAAGAAGUUGGCAGGUGACAAAGUCGUUGUGUGUCAUAAGGAGAACUAUCCCUAUGCUGUGUUUUUCUGCCAUGCAAUAAAACAAACAGCAGCAUAUGUUCUCUCCCUGAAAGGCGAUGAUGGGGAGAAGGUUAAAGCAGUAACCAUCUGCCAUCUAGACACAUCAGAAUGGAACCCAGAGCAUUUGUCCUUCCAAAUCCUCAACGUUAAGCCCGGAACAAUUCCCAUCUGCCAUUUCAUUUCCACUGAUGGUAUUGUCUGGGUUCCAAAACACAAAUCUGCAUGAUCAUCACUUAGCACUGUACGUAUAAUAAGCUUGGUUGGGUUGCACCCUAGGCCUGUAUAAUUAACUCCCUACUUAUUUCUGCCUCUUUAGCACUGUACAUAUAUAGACUUCAACUUGUACUCGUAUAGCAUGCUGGAAAAAAAAAGGACCAAUAGGGAGAAAAUGGUGAACUAAGGAGAGACUAAUACUUCUGGUUCUUAGAAGGCAUAACAGAAAUAAUAGAGCACACUGCUUGAAUGCAAGUCAAUAUUGUUAGAAAAUUAGGAGAUUUACUUCCUAAUAUAUUAUGAUUCUAUUUAUUUCCUUUUGUAUUGAUAUUAUGUAAUUAGGACUUUAUCUUAGUUUCCUAGUAUAACCCUACUAGGGUUUGUACUCUUGUAUUAUAAAUACCUCCUUUUGGAGAAUGAAGUAUAAUCUGAAAAUAUUCUAUCCACUUUGUUUGACAUGGUAUCAGAGCAAACUUUUCUAGUGACCUGUGUGUUGUGCCAACCCGUAUUCUAGCCCCAUAUUUUUUCUCUACCUAUGCCGUGUGUGCCCCCCCUCUGGGUUUGUGGGUUGUGUUGUCGUGUUGGUGUCAUUCCUAUCUUCGUGCAUCUGCCGUAUUUGAGCCUUUGCUGUGUUCCGCUGUGUACUCUGUUGUGUUCAUACCUCUAUUGUGUUCGUGCCUGUCUUCGUGCAUCUGCUGUAUUUGUGUCUCUAUUGUGUUCCAUUGUACAAUCUGCCGUGAUCUGUUGAAUUUAUGAUGUAAUCAUAGGUGAUAACUCAUUUGUUGGUGUUGUUGUUGCUGUUUCUGGAAAUUUAUGUGAUUCAGACUCUAUUCCAUUUACUGGCUACAAUACUUAGAUAAUUGAUACUGGUACUUAUGAUCAUAUUGACAGGACUCGCCCCGAAUUUCCUGAAACCCGAGACGAAUUCUGUGGAAAUUCCUGACAUCACCCCGAUGUCGGGCCCACUUCUAAAACUAUAUCCUUUUUCCCCAAAAGGAAUAAAGGCAUAAGACUUUCUACCGAAAUUUCGGUAGAGUCUCCUAUGUAAAUUGAACAUUGCCCAAAAUUUUAACCUGCAUAAAACACAUUUUAUAUUACCCAACUGGCAGCAUGCAUAAAGUAAUAACAUGCAAUUCACAUAAACGGCCUUCGGCCUUCCGAUAAUUGGCAACAAACCACCAAGUACGCUAUCAAAUCAAUUUAUACCUUAAACAAGGCAAACAAUAAAUUCAAUCACACUUAAGAAUGUCAAAGCAAUCCACUACAUUUAAUUUUCUCAACAGCCAACAUACGAGGUUUUAACCUCCUAACACAAACACACUUCGUUCUCACUCAAAUAGCAGGACCAACUUCAAGGUCCGCAUCAUACUCAAUAAUACACAAGUAAAGUUUAAACCGCGGCUGCACCUAGGCACUACCCUAGGCUGCCUACGUACCCUUAUUGAGGGAUCAAGCCACACGUAGUUCUUCCUACUAAAUCCUGAUUUCCAAACACAUACAAUAAUACCUUUAUUCAUCUCUCUGUUAAUCACAUAAUCUUCCCAUACGCCGGAAAUUCCAACUCUACGUAUGGGGUCUGUCAUCACGCCGGAAAAUCCUACGCCACGUGUGACCUAACCAUCAUAUCAUCUCCCUAUACGUCAGAAAUUCCAACACCACGUAUGAGGUCUGUCAUCCAGUCGGAAAAUCCUACGCCACGGGUGACUUGACAAUCACAUAAUCUCUCCAUACACCAGAAAUUCCAACGCCACAUAUAGGGUCUGUCUCAAUGUCGGAAAAUCCUAUGCCACGCGAGACCUAACAAUCACAUAAUCUCCCCAUACGCUGGAAAUUCCAACGCCACGAAUGGAGUCUGUCUCAACGCUGGAAAAUCCUAUGCCACUCGAGACCUAACAAUCACAUAAUCUCCCCAUAUGCCGGAAAUUCCAACGCUACAUAUGGGGUCUGUCAGCAUGCCGGAUAACCUACGCCACGUGUGACUUAACAAUGAUAACAUCUCCCCAUACGCCGGAAAUUCCAACGCCACGUAUGAGGUCUGUCCUCACGCCGGAUAACCUACACCAUAUGGAACCUAACAAUCAUAGGGUGGUACUUAGGGUAGUGCGUAUAGCACUUCAAACCGACAUUCAAAACUCUAUUUAUACCUUUAUAAAUUUAUAUAAAAAUAUAUAUAUUAAGUUCUAAAGUUGUAUAAGCCUCAACCACAAUCUAGCAUCCGAUAAUCCCCCCCAAUUUAAAACAAUAAAUUAAUAUCAUAAACCCACAUAAUCAACAUAACUUAACAACGCUCAAGACCUGUCACUAGUGUCAUUGUAAUCCUCCUAGGAAGGUAAAACUACUUCGGAAGAGUCACGGUCAACUAAGGGUCAAACUACCCAAACUUGGUCAAAUGGGCCCACGGGCCCCACGACCUUCAAAUUCCGAUUCCAACCUACCGAAAUUUCUUAUGGGUUCUACAAGGUUUAGGACACUCGUCUUGCAAGUUUGGUCCAGAUCAGACGGUCGGAUCGCUCACGAUCGCACGAUCGGACGGUUACUAUAAACCUAGCCCUAGGGUUGGUAUUUUCGGAGUAUCCAGGACUCCGUUUUACGAUCCGUCGAAUCCUAUACGAUCUUGAGGAUGUCCAAACUAACAUAUAAUAAAUCUAUGACUAUCCAACGGCUCAAACCUAUUGAACCCAGAUAACGCACAAUAUGCGAAAUCUGUUCAAUAGUCAAACGACGUCCGAAUUGAGAUCCGCGAAAACCUACGCACUCGUGACAACUUGAGGACCUCAUUAGGACAAACUGUAGCUUCACCACCUUUGUCCACGCGCCUGCAGCGCAUGGGUGUGUAGAGUAAAUUCCGAUGAUGGAAAAACUCUACACCACCGCUCACCCUUCCUAUCCUAAAUACUACUCGAGGCAAGGAUCACUUCAUUCAACUACGGGGAGGUCCCAUUUGGACGGCAACUGGCCCAAAUUUCACUUUGAAAUCCGGCCAAAACCUAGGUUUUCAAAUCGGUUUUCUAGACAUCAAAUCGAUCCAAUCCUAUCCCAUAGACAGCUAGAGCUCAGAAAAUAGAUGACAAACCAUACCUCACCCGACGGAAUUGGUGGCUGGAGGAGAAAGAUUGAGCGAUGAGAAGUUCUGUCAAAACCGACUCGUUUUCGACUGAUUCCAGCGAGCACAGUUGACGAUGAUGGCUAAGACUAGUCGGGAAAAGACAAGGGAGAGGUGGUGAUUCGAACGGGACCGGUCUCGAGGCCAGUCGUUGACUGUGGAGGCUGCAAUAGCCUUGAAGGGUGGCGGCUGUAAAAACGAAGGGGAGGGGGGCUGUUCACGAUGGAGGAGAGAGAGAGAUAGAUAGAUAGAUAGAGAAAAAUCUGAAUUUUAUAAAAAUUCCAUUUUGAAAUAAUUACGAUUGUGCCACUGAGUUUCUUUUGACCGUAACUUCCUCGUUACAACUCCAAAUCAAGCCCACUAUGUAUCUAUGAACUCAUCUCGUCGAGCUCUACGCAACGGUAGAGCUGAAAUUCUCAAAUUUCUUCCUGAUCAAAAAGUCAACUUUAAACCCAAUAAAAUAUUCUAUGGGUAUAAUGGUCUUUUAUCUACAUAAAUUAAUAAUUUCCAAUUUAUUUAGGACCGGGUCGUUACACAUAUGACUUAUGAUGCUAUAUUUUUUUAUGAGUUGUCUAGUAAUACUCGUGACCCAUACAUAACUAGUGCUAAUGGCUUGCCCUAUCCAAUUACUGGCGAGGGCAUAAUCUCUCACUCCUACUCUGUCCUUGUCUCGUGUGUUACUCGUUCCCAAUAUCCAUUGUAACUUGUUGUUUGUUGGCCGAUUACUUGAUACACUUAAUGCUUAUGCUACUUUCUAUCCUACACAUUGCUCUUUUCAGGAUCUCAAGACUUGCGAGACGAUUGGGCAUAGUAAACGGAUAGGGGGCUUAUAUUAUUUGACAUUGUCUUCUGCACCAAUUCGUGGUUGUGUCAUUCAUACUGUUCAAAGUUGUAGUGUCAAGGACAAAUAACAAAUUUGGUUAUGGCAUCGUCGCUUGGGACACUCGUCGUUCGGCUAUCUUAAGCGUCUGUUUCCAUCUUUAUUCCGCUCUUGUGACGAGUCCAGUUUUAAGUGUGAGACAUGUAUUUUGGCCAAGAGUCAUCGCACUGUGUUUCUUUUAAGUGACAGUAAAGCUGCAAAACCUUUUGAUUUAGUAUAUUCGGAUGUAUAGGGACCUGCUCGUGUGACUUCUAAUGGUUUCUAUUGGUCUAUUACUUUUAUUGAUGACUGCACUCUCCCCAUAGUCCGGAAUUACCAACGCCACGUAUGGAGCCUGUACGCACGCCGAAAAAUCCUACGCCACGUGGGACCUCAUCAUCAUAUCACAUAGUCUCCCCAUACGCCGGAACUACUAAAGCCACGUAUGGGAUUCGUCUCAACGCCGGAAAAUCCUACGCCACGUGAGACCUUACAAUCACAGGAUGGUACUUACACAAUGUAAUCAAACCAUCUUUAUCUCUUUAAUAUAUAUAUAUAUAUUCCCAAUUUCCCCAAGUUUAAAACAAUAAACUAGUUCCUUAAACCCACUAAUUAACAUAACUCAACUAAUGAUCAAGACCUAUUGAAAGGACUCGCCCCGAAUUUUCUCAAAACCUGAGACGAACCCUUUGGAAGUCCUGACAUCACCUCGAUGCCAGGCCCACUUACUAAAAACCGAGACUUCCUGCCGAAAUUUCGGCAGAGUCUCCCCUAUAAUUUGGACAUUUUCCAAAAUUUAUACCUGCAUGAAAAUGCAUUUAAUAUUCCCAAUUGGCAGCAUGCACAAUAUAAUUUCAUGCAAUUCACAUAAAUGGCCUUCGGCUUUCCAAUAAUUCUUAACCAGUUACCAAACAAUUCAAAUACCAAUUAUGACUAACAUUUAGUCUACGGCUGCGCCUAAUAACCUUAGGCUGCCUACGUACCCUCCUUGAGGGAUCAAGCCACACGUAGUUCUUCCAUAAAACUCAAUUCCACACAUAGGUGAUACCUUAUUUCAUCUCUCUGUAUUUCACAUAAUCUCCCCAUACGCCGGUACAACCAACGCCACGUAUAGGGCCUGUCAACACGCCGGAUAACCUACGCCACGUGCGACCAUGCCAUACUAUCAUCAUAUCUCCCCAUACGCCGGUACAACCAAUACCACGUAUGGGGUCUGUCUCAACGCCGGAUAACCUACGCCACGCGAGACCUGCACAUCAUAUCACAUAACUCCCCAUACGCCGGUACAACCAACGCCACGUAUGGGGCCUGUCCCAACGCCGGAUAACCUACGCCACGCGGGACCUCAACAUCAUAUCACAAAUCUCCCUAUACGCCGGUACAACCAACGCCACGUAUGGGGUCUGUCGACACGCCGGAUAACCUACGCCACGUGCGACCUCAACACAAUAUCACAAUAGCUCCCCAUACGCCGGUACAACCAACGCCACGUAUGGGGCCUGUCUCAACGCCGGAUAACCUACGCCACGUGAGACCUAACUUUCACUUGGUGGUGCUUGUAGUGAAUCCAACAUCCAGGGAGGUACCUAAAGUAGUGCGUAUAGCACUCCAAACUGACAUUCUAGACUCUGUUGUACCCAUGUACAACCAUAUAUAAUUAUAGUUAUAUAAAUUAAUUCUAAUAUUGUGUAACCUUCCACAUUCAUCUAGCACCCGAUAAUCCCCCUUAGAAAGGUGAGAUUACUCCGGGAGACUCACGGUCAACCAAGGGUCAAACUACUCUAACUCUGGUCAACCGGACCUGCAGAACCCACGACCCCCAAUUUCCGAUCCGAAAGUCUCUAUGGGUUCUACCAGGUAUAGGACACUUGUCCUGCAAGUUUGGUUCAGAUCGGACGGUCGAAUUUCUCACGAUCGCACGAUCUGACAAUUAAUAUAAAAUAUAAACUUUAAAAUUAUUAAUCGAAACAUCCGGGGCUCCGAUUCACGAUCCGUGAAUUCCUACACGAUCCUAGAAUUACCUAGAUUAACAUAUAUUAAAUUUGGGACCAUCCGACGGUCCCAACCUGUCGAACCCGGAUAACGUACAAUAUACGAUCGUCCGUUCGAUAGUCAAACGACGUCCGAAUUGAGAUCCGCGAAAUCCUAUGCACUCGUGACAACCUAAGGAUCUCAUCGGAAUACAGUGCUACUUUUUCUACAGUGCCCAAAGCGAUAACGCUUCGCCGGAAAAUCUCAACAUCACGGCUCCAAAAUUCCUACUCUAGGUAUAACACCCUAUUUGGAGCCACUUUUGUUCUUGGACCUACCCCAAAAAGUGGCCGAAAAUGGCCGAUCACGGCAGCCGAAGUUUCGGCCGAUUUUCAAUUCGAAAAUCGAGUUGUCUACGCUAAGAAUCGAUCUAAUCCUACCCAACCAUCAGCUAGAGUAGCUCGAGAGGUUCAAAAUCCAUACCUGGGUCGACGGAAUUGGUGGCCGGAGGAGGGAGAUCGGCGGCUUUGAAGUUUGGACGACGUCGGCCGCUUCAUCUCCAGAUUCCGGCGAAUCCGCGGCGGCUGGCGGCGGGAGGUGGCUGGGGUAGGAAGAGGACGACGGCCCGGUCAUUUUGGUACCGGUCCCGUCGUCAUUGGUGGCCGGAGGAGAGCACGGCCGGCCAAAACGUGGCCGGCGGUCGUCGCGCGCGAGAGAGGAGAGAGAGAGAUCGCGCGGAGGAGAGAGAGAGAGAGAGAGAGAGAGAGAGAGAGAAAACCAGAUUUUUAUAAAAAAAAGUCCCAUUUUGAAAUAUUUACGAUGUGCCACUGGGCUUCUUUUGACCAUAUCUCUCUCGUUACAACUCCGAUUCAAGCCCACUACGUGUCUAUGAACUCGUCUCAGUACGACCUAUCCAAAAAUACAAGUCACGGUCCCAAACUCUCUCCGGUUAAAAAUAUGACUAAAAUACCCUUAAAUAAUGAAAUAAUUAAAUAAGGGUUAAAUUUGGGGUCGGGGUGUUACAUCUAUCACCAGGAUCAUUAUAAUCCUCCGAGGGAGGUGAAACUACCUCGGAAGACUCACGGUCAACCAAGGGUCAAACUACCCAAAUUUAGUCAAACGGGCCCACGAGACCCGCGACCUCCCGAUCUGAAAGUUCCUAUGUGUUCUACAAGGUUUAGGACACUCGUCAUGCAAGUUUGGUCCAGAUCGGACGAUCAGAUAGCUCACGAUCGGACGGUUAUUAUAAACAUAAACUUUAAGUUAUUAAAUCGGAACAUCCGGGGCAAAGAUUCACGAUCCGUGAAUUCCUACACGAUCCUAGAAUUGCCUAGAUUAACAUAUAUUAAUUUUAAGACUAUCCAACGGUCUGAACAUGUCAAACCCGGAUAACGCCUAAUAUGCGAUAUGCGAUAUCCGAUCGAUGAUCAAACAAUAAUCAAAUUCAAAUUCGAGCAUACCGUCACGCUCGAGACGACGAGAGGGUUAUUUUAGAACUCUAAGACAAGCCACCACAUGGCCCACGCGCUGACAGCGCGUGGUUGUCUAGAGAAAUUUCCAGCGGCGGGAAAAACUCCAAACCGCCAGCCAAGACUCCCAGGUUAGGUAAAUCACAUGUAGUGGAACAACUUUUGUUCUUGGACCUACCCCAAAAAGUCGACGGAAGUGGCCGUCGGAGGCCGAAACUGGCCUAAACUUCUAUCGCUUAAUUGACAACCAAAAUGCAGCAAUUGAUCCUAAAUAACCCAACCAGCAGCUAGAUCAGAUUGAGGGGAUGGAAAAGCAUACCUAGAUCGCAUGAUUUGGUUACCGAAAACGUCCGAACGAGCUUCCGAAAAAUCCGCAAAAAACCUUUCGGAUUUCUGCAAUUUCCGGCCAGCACCAGCAGUUCCAGCAGCUGAGGUUGGUCGGAAAAGGAAGAGGAGGUGGCAGCGGUUUGAACAGGUCCGGCCUCGUUGCCGGUGGUGAUCCGUGGUGGCAACUGUGGCUCUUGGAAGCCACGGCUGUGCAGAAAAAUGAAGGGGGAGGGGGCUGCGCGCGUGGGGAGAGAGAGAAAGUGAGAGAGAAUCAGAUUUAUCAAACCUUUUUUUGCCAAAAGUACGAGUAUGCCACUAAGGGUAAUUUGAUCGUAUCUUCUUCGUUACAACUCCGAUUCGAGCCCAUUACGUGUCUACGAACUCAUCUCGCUGUGCUUUACACAACGGUACGGUUGAAAUUCCCAAAUUCCUUCCCAGUCAAAAAGUCAACUUUAAACCUAAUAAAAUAUUCUAUGGGCAAAAUGGUAUUUUCUCUGAAUAAAUUAGUGUUUACUAAUUUAUUUAGGACCGGGUCGUUACAAUACCCAAAAAUUUCCUGUGUCAGAAUCAACACAUGGCAGCAGAGAAAGAAAGGGGAAUAGGACAAAAUAGUUGGUUAUCCAGCUGGAAAUCCUACAGAGCAAGGAUGACUAGUUAUACGAGAAACAGAUGACUAGUCAUCAUUUUAUGAAAUCAAUUUAAUGCAAUGUGAUGGAAUGCACAAUUUACCUUUGUCAAUUUGCUUGAACCUCUAUACGAUAGUUGUUAGUUAAGAACACCUAGAGAAACUAUUCUUAAUCUAAACUUGAGCUUGAUAAAAAUAAUAAAAAUCUUAUUACAAGAUUAUCAAGGAAAGUGUUGUGUCUACCCAAGUGCAAGUAGUCACACGUAGUAAUAAUCUUGGAAGUCCAAGUAUCGUAUCCUCAAGGAGCAGGUAGGCAAAUAUCUGCACACAAAGAAAUAAUUAAACAUACCACAAUAAAAGUGACAAGCAAAAUGGAAAAGUUAUUUAUUUGAUUGUUGUGAAAAUUGAAUUUAAAAAUGAAAUAUCAAUAAUGGAAAUGCUAAGGCAUCAAGGUUCAAUUCUUUAAACAAAAUAUGUUUCAUGCUCUUUACUCCAGAUUAUAACUCGAUUAAAAUCAUCAUCGAGAAACUUUAACCGGAAGAUAAAGAAAUUAAAACCAAUUUAAUUUUUCAAUGUAAUCUUUUAUUAAUGAUUGUUCAGAAAAUGGAAUUGCUUAAUAUCUACUCUUUUAAUUUAAAAGCAUGCCAAGUCAGUUCUUAACAAUGAGAAAAAUAAAAUUGAACUCAUGAAAAGGUAAUAGCACUUAACAUCAAUCAAAAUAAAAGGAUAUGAAAAUAUUGAACAACCAAAAAUAAAAGAAUUUAGCAAUUCAUACCGUAUAUUGGAUUAAAGAACAAUUCACAAACUUACUUAAAGAACAUUCCCUUUAGCCUUAGCUAGAGUUCUAGCAACUCAAUUACAAAGGAAAACAUAAACUAAAUGGAUAAAGAAAUCAGUCAUAGUGGUGCCCUUGCCAAAGAAGUUGAUGGGUAAUUUAUAGUGAAUGAGGUGAGUGGGAAGUUAAUACAUGGGUAAUGAAGGGUUUAAGUAAGGGAUUAAUUGGAUUAAACAUUGGUUGAUGGUGGAGAGUUAGUGGAAAAGAAAUAACGGUGAGGUAAAUAGGCGUUAAAUGGCUAUGAAUGACAUGAAAUAGGCUCUUUAGCUUCAACGGUUGUGUCUUCUCUUCUCCCUCUUUACUUCUCUUUAUAAUCACAAUAAUCCAACAAUCAAUUCUUCAAUAAAAUCCGCCAGCAAUUCUCUUCACACCUAGCUUGAACUUGGACAAAUGUAUGUCUUCAUCUUUUGGCUUUCUAACUUCCUACCGAAGAUAAAUUCACCUAAUAAGUUCACCAAAUUAAUAUAGAAAAUUCAUAAAUCCAGUUGAUGAGAAUAAAAUGUAACAAUAAGUGAAAUUAUAUUUAUUAAGUCAAAAUUAUAUCAUAAAGUCUCCAAAAUAAUAUUAAAAAUAUAUAAUUUAAGACUCUCAUCACAAAGCCAAAAGAAAAACUCAAAAUGCAUACAUUAACAGUUUUGCCAUAUUGAAUUAAUGUCUUCUAGCUAUGUACCUUAUCUUUUUGCCGGGCCAUGAGUUGAAUGUAGAGGCAGAGCAUGGACUUGGGUCAAGUUUGACUUGUAAAAUAAUUAGGAAUUGAAUGGCUCCUACGUUCAAUUAUUUUAUUAUUAUUAUUAUUUUUUGUCCGAGCCAUUCAAUUCCUAAUUAUUUAGAUUUUUGAUCUAGUUAGCAUCCACAAUCAUGCUCUCUAUUUUUUUUUUUUGGUCAUAAAUGCCAUAACUCUUUUUUUAUUGGUCCAUCUCUAUUAAAAAAUAAAAUAAAAAAUAGUUAGCAUUAAAUAAAGGUUUGAAAUUCUCAUUAAAUAAAGCAGCAUUAAAUUAUAGGGAGCAACUAGGAGUCAUUUCUCUCUCCUCAAGUUUAGGAGCUCCUACAGGUCUCCCUAUUUUAGGAGGUAGAUAGGGAGCAUUGUUGGAGUUGUAUUUUUACAAUUUCUCCCUAAAAUUUGUCUAAGGAUGUGGUUUAGGGAGCCCAUUGUGGAUGCUCUCAUCUCAAGGAAAGAAAACCCCAAGUUUGCAAGUAAUUUUUCUACGUAUGUAUAUAUGAAAAACUGACAUUUAUGAAAAUAAUAAACCCAUAUUUUUAUGUAAGCCAACUUUCUAAAUUCAUGUACUGAUAUUUAUUAGGGAAAUAUUGGAGAAACUGAUUAUUUUGAAAAAUUAAAUGUGAAAAACUGAACAAAAUUUUGACGGGUUACAUAUGUCAACUCAUUCAGCAGCUUAGGUUGUGAAGACCUAAGCAACAACCCUAGUGCACUGUCGAUCACUUCAGUGUCUACCGAUUUUCCUUUCCAUAUUGUUAGAUUAUUCCCUGCUGUAACACUUGCAUUUAGAAAAUAAUAGUACAGCUCUUAUUAGCAACAGUUUUACACACUUGCAUGAAUCUCACUAUGUUAAAGCAAUCACAUAGCACACCUUUAUUGAAAACAAAGCUAGCCCUGAUCCACUCCUUUACAUACUUAAAAACAAAACAAAACGAAAAAAAGAUAGGGAGAAAAUGGCUACGGACUUACUGCCGACAAAAAGAGAUAAUAGCGAACACUGUUUGUAUGACAGUGAGUAUGAGAAGAGUAACCGCUGCAAAGAGAGAAAAAGCUGCCCAGGCCCAGGGUGAGUUGAAAUACUUUUGGCUCAAAUAUGCCAACCAUCUGUUCCUGCACUUCUUGCAGUACUUGUUUAGAUUGUCAGCAAGACCACCAAAAUAGAAAUUUUGCUGGUCCGGAGCAACCCCCUUGCAAAGUUGGUUAAUCAUAGUAGAAACCUUAUUGUUGUCACCUAGUGUGUUUACAACAAUUUCACUCUCAACAAGUAAAUCUACAUCCCUUUUGGUUUUUACAAAUUUAUCCAGGAGGAAAACAUAAUCGCUUAAGUAAUUGUCUGUGCAAUGGCAUUGUUCAAAGGCAAUGAGAUUUCUGAGUAUAAGCUCUGUGUCAUCACGUAUUUCUAGUUUUGGAAUUUUCAGAGUUCCAUUAUGGAACUGUAUCGCGAAUAAGUCGUUGCUUGACUCCAGACGACUUGAUUCCGGACGAAACUUAACUCUGGCCUGGUGUAGUUUUGUCACGCUGGGUAUACAUGGGAGUUCUCCAGCUUCUGAGGUACCGGUAUCCAAAUAUUGCACAUGUAAAGUUCUAAUAAAAUCAACAAAAUGUAAAGGUGGUUCAGUCCCCUCCACUUCGUCUUCCGACCUCUGUAAACCCACUACCUUUUUGAAGAAAUGGUAAGAGAGCUUAAUCAUUGAAGGCCUCUCAGUCUCAGAAUUCUUAACUCUGACUUUGCUUGCAUCGAAAAGAUCCUCAAGAAUGAAAAAUGGCAGCUAAUUUUCGGGCAAAAGCAUGUCGGGCACUAUAUUUGUUAACAUUUAUGGUUUUUUAAAUAUCCAGUCAUUAUAUCGUCUCGCAAUUCUUGGAAAUGGUACCUCAACAAUAGCUCAAUGACAAAGGCAGCAUCAACUAGAAUGAUACUUACAAACUUGUCGCUACUCUUGAAGUGCUGAGCGUUUCCAUAACGACCACGGAGUUCAUCUUCUUGGGCCUUUAUUUUCUCUGCAUAAUCCUUCAAGCUAACCUUAUUAUUCCGAUGAAGAAAAUUUUGUAGGUACCUCGGUUUGUACUCUUCCAUGGCUUCUAAUUCUUUGUUGUCAUGGUGAAUUGGGCCUAUUGAGACUACUUCCGGGGUGUAAGCGUUAUUUCUGCCCCGUAGUCACGAAGGAACCCUGUAGAUACAGCACUCAUCAGAGGGCCUAUUGAGACAAACUAUCCAACCGCCGCUUCAAAUCUGCUACUGGGGUUUUGUGGUUUUCUACGCCAUGUGGAGCUCCAUUGCUGCAUCCUUCCACUUCUAUUAUGUGUUGUUCUGAUUGUAAGUGAUGAGGGUUAUUGGCACCAGGGGCGGAUCUAGCCCUUUUUUGGCUAGGCAGCCACCCAGUCGAGAAUUUUCAUAAAAACAAAAUAGGUACGUAUUGUUGUAAAUGUAUGAGUUGGUGGAUGACCACCAUACCUCUUAGCAUUCACCUUUUCUAAUUCUAUGUAACUAUACACUAAAUGCCAUAGUUAUGGACUUGUAACUUAUGAGUUGUUAAUGUUUUCUUACGUGUAAGCCUAUAAAUAAGAGGGCUAUCUUGGCAUAUGUGUUCGUCACUAACUAUAUAAUUUAAGUUGUUUUCAGUGACUAAUUUAAAUAAUUGUCAGAAAAUUUGGUCAUUAAAAAUUAAAAAAUAAGGGUCAAUUAUUUUAGUGACCAUGAAGUAUUAUUAGUCAUUAAAUUCAUUGUAUUUGUGACCAUUAUUUAUGUGGAAUUGGUCACUACUGACCUUUUUUCUUGUAGUGUACAUUCUUGCCUUAAUACAGUUAGGCUUAUUUUUAUACUAAUUUCUCUAACAUAACUUUUGCACAUUCUUUUUAUAUUAUAAUAAAUAAUCUUACCCAGUUGAGUUAUAAACCAUUUUCUUUUAGCACGGAAAAUCGACAUUUUGACAGAGAGUUGAAAAGCACUCCCCAAUUUUAAUGUCAACCACUUGGAAAAAAAAAACAUAAAUUUAAUGACAACAAUUACAUUUAGCAAUGCAACCUAAAAACUCAACCUUUGCGCUCCUUUCACCACGCAGAUAGCAGGGUGAGGAUAUUCGAAUAAGAACGAAGACAGAAGCUAAAGGAAUUGCGAUAGCUAACCAUAGUCUGCAUUUCUUACCAUCUGAACAAUGCCACCAUUUUGUUUGGUAAGUAUUUAAUAACAUUUCUUGCUCUACAUAAAGUAAUAUUAAAGCGAAAUUUCCCUAAAUUUUUCUUACCAACAAUCCAUACCCAAGAAAAGGGGAGAUUCACUAUUAUACUCAAUAUAGGAGCCCAACUUAUUUAUAAUAAUUAUAAAAAAAAACCCUCUAUGAAAUGGACUUUAGAAACACACCUAAAACCUAUUUACAACAAAACAAAAAGACUUUUAACUUUUUUUAAAUUACAAAACUGUCAUUGAUUUCUUAAACAAACCCAACCCCAAAACCUCAUAAAAAAGCCCAAAUACUCAAUAAAGCAGCAAAGUAAUUUAAUAAUAAAAAUUAAAUUCAAUAGAGUCAGCUGUUAUUUUUUGGGUUAUUUUUUAUUUGUUUAUAGAAAUUAAAGAGUGCUGCUAAAAGAACCCUAACAUUAACUAAAUACACCAAAUGAUCUAAGUACACCCUAAUAUUUUAAUUAAAAUACAAAAUUAACUAAGUACACCUUAUUUAACUACCAAAAUUACCCGUGUUACACCCUAAUACACUCUAUCACUGUUCACCCGUUUAGUUUUUGCUCCUGUGAUGGAAGGGUAAAGUUCCCCACUGCCUUGGAAACCAUUGACUGGUCAACAAGUCAGCUUUCUUUGCUAUGUGAGCGUGCCACUGUUAGCAAUGAAAAUCCUAACAGACUUCUUAAAAUGGAUACUUGCGCCCAAGUUACUGAUUUCUAAACAGUGAUUGUGAUUUGGGUGAGGAAUAUCUCCAAGUAAGUUCUUUUCCUGCAUCAGGCUGGUGAAGACUUUAUAAUUUUCACAGUAUAAAUUGGUAGUUCUUGCCAGAAUAGAUGAUAUAAAGUGGACGGUUUUUAGGCAGAACUGCGUUUUACAAAAUUAAGAAGGAAAAAUCAACUCUAAAAAGACAAAAAGAUGGCUGGAAUCCCACUUCUGCCUGGGUAGAAACUUCAGAUCCGGGCUGGACCGAAUACAUUCAUGAUGGACUGAGCUGUUAACAACUUCAAUUGCUUAGCUUUAGCUGUAAAUCGAUACCAAAGUUCAAUUUUGGCAGAGCUUUAAUCUACUUCAAGCCUUGGAAGGCUUUUGAGCGGGCAGAACUGCCGUCUCUUCUGGCUAAAAGAGGCAGAAAUGGCUGAAUUUGAGGUUUACUGAGCUGGAACUGCACUGUUGUACCUGUUCUGCUUGGUCAGGGCUUUCCAUAAAUUUGUUGAGGUUUUCAUAUUUGUGAAAAACUCAAACUCUGCUUGUUUUGGCUUUUGCUGAACCAAAUUUGUAACGAGAGAAGUCUUGUUUUGAAUGACUUUUCUCUAAGUUUGAGCUUUUGAAAUUCUAGGAGAGAGAGAGAGAGAGAGCUUUUGAUUGCUCCAGUUUGUUUGAAGGUUCUCAAUGAUCAAGUGAUCAUUUUGAGUUUUUGCCUUUAGCUUAUUUUUGGUUGUUUGUUUGAUUAUCCUUUGCUCUAUUCACCUUCUCCUAUAUUUAUAAGAAAUGCUUUGAAGUAGGGUUUCUUUCUUUUAAUAAUGGGCGGCCAAAAUUCUCAAAAGGUCUUUCAUUUUUUUAAAUACGAAGAAAAAGGGGUUUUCUCAAUUUUGGCAAAUAAGUUCUCAACAGUCAAUUCCAUUGAAAGAGAACCUGACUUUUCUUUAAUUCCCAACUGCCCUUGUGAGAGCUCAAUCGUGAUGGUCAGUUUGCUUCUCCAUUUUGAACAACUUCCUGUUUCCUGUUUAUCUUUUUAGAAAAUACAAUCUGGGUAUCCCUUGAAAGAUGGUGCCUUUUUUGGAGUAGAAACAAUGUCUCUAAAUAUAAAAGGGUUUUUUUUUUAUCUUUUGGUGGCAAAGAUUUCAAAGACGUCCCUUCUUUUCGCCUGCCUCUGUCAACUUUUUAUCAACCCAGUUGAAAUUGUUGACUUUCCUAAAUCAAAAAAAGAGAUUCACGUGGGUCUGUUCCUUUUGGCUCCUUCCUCUCUUUUAAUCAUGCCUAACCUCUUUUGAUUUUACUGGAGCCAUGGGCUGAUUGCUUCUCUUUUCGAGGCCCAAGUUUAUUUGCAGAGCCCAAACUGCUUGGGCCCUGUGGUUUUGUCUUUGUUGUUUUUGGGCUUUUUAGGCUGGACGUGCCAAAAUUAGGCCCAAACAAUGUCCCCUAAGUUUGAAUCGUUUCUAGAACGGUUCGAGAUUUAAUGAUUUUGGCCAUUAAUUCGUGCGCGCCAACUUCUUUCGUUUAAUGCACGUCUGCCUACCACGAGCUAGACUUCAUGGGAAACUGUUUUGUUACUAGCUAGUUACUUAGCUAGUUAUUAUCAUAUGGCGUCUCGUCUUCCUCUUCCCACGAUUUCAAGCCCCUUUUUUAAGAAAUUCGAAACUCCAACUUCUGUUUAUUUCAAAAACUAGCUUCUUUUUAGACCUCGACAAUUCUUAGUUUUCCCCAGAAUUCUCACUUUUUCUUCGACCAGACUCUGCCUUUCUUAUCAUUUCCUUUCCUAGUUCAACACUUCUGAUCAUGUCUUCUCCCAAGACUCGUGCUCAAGGUUGGUCCUCCUCAGUUCCUCCUAAUUACAUCACUGGGACUGGGAUUGACAAUCACGCGAUAGAGGUUAGAAGCAAACUGAUAGGACCCGCCCCGAAUUUUCCAAAACCCAAGGCGAAUCCUGUGAAAUUUCCGACAUCACCCCGAUGCCGGGCCCACUUACUAAACACCGAGACUUUCUGCCGAAAUUUCGGCAGAGUCUCCCCUAUAAAUUGGACAUUUCCCAAAAUUUCAACCUGCAUAAAAACACAUUUAAUAUUCCCAACGGGCAGCAUGCACAAAAUAAUUUCAUCCAAUUCACAUAACGGCCUUCGGCCUUUCAAUAAUUUUCAACAAACUACCAAGCACACUAACAAAUCAAUUCAUGCCUCAAACAAGGCAACCAAUAAAUUCAAAUAUGCAUUAUGACUACCAAAUUUCGACAUGCAUCAUUUUGCUUUUCCAAUCUCAAUAGAUGAGGUUUUAACCUCCUAACACAAUCACAUCUAUGUUCGCGGCUGCACCUAAUAACCUUAGGCUGCCUACGUACCCUCACUGAGGGAUCAAGACACACGUAGUUCUUCCUUAAACCCAAUUCCACACAUAGGCAAUACCUUUAUUCAUUUCUCUGUAUUUCACAUAAUCUCCUCAUACGCCUGUACUACCAACGCCACGUAUGGGGUCUGUCAACACACUGGGUAACCUACGCCACGUGCGACCUCACCAUAUUAUCACAUAAUCUCCCCAUACGCCUGUACUACCAACGCCACGUAUGGGGCCUAUCGACACGUUGGAUAACCUAUGCCACGUGCGACCUCAACAUAAUAUCACAUAAUCUCCCCAUACGUCAAUACAACCAACGCCACGUAUGGGGUCUGUCUCAACGCCGGAUAACCUACGCCACGCGAGACCUGAACAUCAUAUCACAAUAGCUUGCCAUACGCUGGUACAACCAACGCCACAUAUGGGAUCUGUCGACACGCCGGAUAACCUACCCCACGUACGACCUCAAUAUAAUAUCACAUAAUCUCCCCAUACGCCGGUACAACCAACGCCACGUAUGGGGUCUGUGUUAAAGCCGGAUAACCUACGCCACGCGAGACCUGAACAUCAUAUCACAAUAUCUCUCCAUACUCCAGUACAACCAACGCCACGUAUGGGGUAUGUGGACACGCCGGAUAACCUACGCCACGUGCGACCUCGAUAUAUUGUCAGGUAAUCUCCCCAUAUGCCGGUACUAUCAAUGCCACGUAUGGGACCUGUCCGCAAGCCGGAUAACCUACGCCACGUGGGACCUAACUUUCACAGGGUGGUACUUGUAGUGUAACCAAAAUCCGGAAAGGUGCCUAGGGUAGUGCGUAUAGCACUUCAAACUGACAUUCUAGACUCUUUAUACCUUUACAAACAUAUAUAAACAUAUAUAAUUUAAUUCUAAUUGUGUAAACCUCAACAAUAGUCUAGCACCCAAUAAUCCCCCUAGGAAGGUGAGACUACUCCGAAAGACUCACGGUCGACCAAGGGUCAAACUACCCUAACAUUGGUCAAACAGGCCCACGGGGCCCACGACCUCCAAAUUCUGAUCCGAAAGUUCCUAUGAGUUCUCCGAGUUAUAGGACACUCGUCCUGCAAGUUUAGUCCAGAUCGGACGAUCAGAUCGCUCACGAUCGCACGAUCUGACGGUUAAUAUAAAACAUAAACUUUAAAUUAAUAAAUCAAAACAUCCGGCACUCCGAUUCACGAUCCGUGAAUUCCUACACGAUCCUAGAAAUACCUAGAUUAACAUAUAUUAAAUUCAAGACCAUCCAACGGUCCCAACCUAUCGAACCCAGAUAACGCGCAAUAGGCGGUAUCCGUUCGAUAUUUCCCUUUAAUAAUUUAAAUAAGGGAUUUAAUUUGGAGUCGGGGUGUUACAAUCUACCCUCCUUAUAAAAAUUUCAUCCUCGAAAUUUCAUACCUGCUAGAAGAGGAAUCUGCCAGAACUGACUUUAGGAAGAAGUUCCUGAGUGUCACUCUGCCAAGAGAUCUGCCCCACGGAGGUGGGAAGCCUCCAAACUAUCAUUUGGGAGCAGAAGUCUAUCAUCGCAACUUCUGUGCAAGGCAACUUGGCUGCCCCAGCUUAUUCCACUAAAAUCAUACAGAAGCUGCAAUCGGGCCACUUCCUUGAGAGAUGCGGAUGAUCUGGAAGUGCACAAAGAUGCUAGAUGUGCAGUAAACAAGAUAAAUAACAGCGCAGAUGCCCUCUAUCCAGCCUGGGAACUGAACUCCUGCAGUUCUGCCGAUUUUGACGCUUGGUGGAAAUCCAGGUUUCAUGGUCUGCCAGCCUCCAUUGCUGCACUCAAGGUGAUUUUUGAGGGCUGGGACUCCUGGACUGUCUACGCGGAGGUGGAUGCCAAGAACUUCAUGGUGCAGACCAUCAAAGACAUUAAUGCCCAGGGUAUAGAAGGUAACUUUCAAUUCUGUCUGUCUUGCCUAUUCUGUCUCUUAGUGAUGAUGCCUAACAGUUUUGUUCUGUAUAUAUCAGACCCUUAUUUGACAGAAAACAUAGGUGGACAGUCUGUCCAAGCUGGAGAUGUGAUUGGUAAGUUUUUCACUAUUCUGUUCCUUUCAUUAUUUUCUUGCUUGAUUGACUUCUGACUUUGUCUAUUUCUUGUGUAGUCAUUGCUGUCAUUGCUGCUGGGACUUGGAGCUUCCCUCUGGAGAUGAAGAGGAUCUAGCUGCUGAGGCUAUUCCUUUUGGCAGAACAUCCAGCUGCUGAGGCCAUUCUUUCUAGCAGAAGGAAGAGAAAGGAAAUUUCUUCUGCCCAGCACAGUGCUGCUCAGCCUGCGACUUCAGGUAAGUUCUGACAGUUUGAGCUUUUCGUAAUUCUAUUUUGUCCUAUUCUGCCUUAUGUUCUAAUGGUUUAUUGUCUGCUUAUUGUAGCUGAAAGUUCCUCUCCUCCUCCUACUAAGUCAAAAAGACUUAAAAAGAGGACUGUGGUGGAAUAUAUGGCCAUGGAGGAGUCUGCAGCAGUUCCCACCAACACUUCUGGGACGGAUGAAGAGCUGAGAGAGGCCUUCAAGACAGUGGAAUAGGAGAAAGAGCUAGAAGAAACAGAAGAAGAACCUCAAGAAAAGGCAAAAGAAAUGGAAGAAAAUGUGAGUAUUGUUUUCUGGCUAUGUCAGCUUUUCUUUUGUUUCUUCAUUUCCUCUGUUCUGACUUCUGUCUAUGUAUAGAAGGAAAUCCCCGCUGAAGUGAUUGCAUAGAGCAUUGCUUUGGCGCAGAGGCAGCAGGAGAAUCAAAGGGCAGAGCUGACCAGCUCGGAGUUGGCCCUUUUUGAAGACGCAGAGGCAGAACACUCAACUGUUGUUCCAGCAGCUGAGGAGCAGGUGGAGCAGUCUGCAUCAGAGCCUGUGGAGCGAGCAGAACUACCUGUUGCAGUCCCAGCACCUGGAGUGGAAGUGGCUGCUGUUGUUCCCGAAGUUGUGGUAAUUUUUAUUCUACUUCUGUCCACCUGUUUCCUGCAAUUCUGUUCUGUCUGUGCUUCCUUAUCUAUUAGUCUUUUCAGGUAGAAGUGCCUAGGCCUGCUGGGGUUUUGGCAGUGGUGACCAGCCCCUUGAAGCCUCUCAUCGUUGCUGUAAGUGUUAAUGCAUUCCUGGGCUUUUUCUUUUCUGUCUCUGCCUAGUUCCUACUCUUGUUCUUUUCUGCAUAUGCCUAUCCAUUCCCUUCCAAGUUCAUCUGCCACAGCUUCCUAUGCUGAUUCGGAGCUGGCAGAAUUUGAGGCUCUGGAUCUGAACGCCCAGCUAGACAAGCUGAACCCUAAACCCUUGAGAAACUCAGCUCCACUCCUUGCAAGGCAAAGUCCAAGGCAGUGGAGGAGGCUAUGGAGAGACUGAAGAUCUGGCAAUCAACUGAUCUGGAGCUGGAUAAGGACAGGGAAGCUGUUGACCAAUUGAUGAAGGAUCUGGACCUUCUGCACAGACAGAACAUGGCCCCCAAACCCAUACUUGAGAUGAGCCUUGGCUUGGGAAGAGAUGUGCUCAACCUCCACGACCGUUACGAGGAUCUCAAGCCCACCUUCAAGACCUCUGAGUUCUGCAAAGCCACCCAUAAAGCCAACUUGGCUGACUAUGCAAAGCAGAAGGCAGAACUGGACCAGAUGGUUGCAGGAUACAAGGAAGCCAAAGCCACUAUAGACAAGUUGGAGAAGCAGAUUGAAGAGCUUCAAAAACAAUUGGCAGAGUGCAGAGAGGUGCAGAGCAGGCUCGGGGCUAGACUGAGCUCUAAGACCAAGGCCACCUUCCUUGUGUAGAAUAUGGUUUCAGCUUCUAGGCCAGCUUUGGAAAUUGCAGAGGCUUCAAUCCACCAGGGGUGCUACUUCAGAAGGAACUCUCCAUUAAAAAGGCCAACUUGCAAGAAACCCUUAGGAAAUUAGGGUUUUAGAUUCUAGUUUUUUUUUAAAGAAAUGUAAUAAAUAAUUUAGCCAUAAAAAGUGGCUAUAUUUAAAUAAAAGUUCAUUUAUUUUUGUGGGAAUUCCAAAUUCUUUCGACAAAAAGAAAAGAGAGAAAAAGUAAUUUAAAGCAUACUUAACAAAUUACAACGAAAAUGAAAGUGAUCAGAAAUUCAAACAACAGUUUUAUCUUGCUGUCUCUCUAUUCCGGGAUCUGUCUGUACCGCCUGUGAAUCCCACAUAGUUGGAUAGAACUUUUUUAACCAUUUGUCAUUAAUUGGUGCAGUAUGGACAUCUCCAUCUCGAUCAUGUAAUCUGUAUGCCCCCAUUCCAAGGAUCUGAUUAAUUAUGAAAGGACCUUCCCAUGUAGGUGACCAUUUUCCAUAACCAUCUAUAUGCGUUCCAAGGGGCAGAACUGCUUUCUAGACUAUUUCCCCCUCUUCAAAACUCUUGUUCUUGACUCUUUUGUUGUAAGCCCUUGAUACAGCUUCCUUUCCUGCUAAGAGUUUGUUGAGGGUAUCGAUCCUGCUUGUAUCCAAUCCUUCCAGUUCUAGCAUCAUAGCUUGAGAGUAGUCUUCUCCAACCAAACUGUGUUGAUGAGCAAUUCUGAGGGAUUGGACUGCUAUCUCCAUAGGCAGAAUUGCAUCGUGGCCAUAGGUGGUCAUGCCAGUUGCUUCUCUUCUUGAAGUUCUAUAUGCCCACAGAGUUUCUGACAACUUCUCAUGCUACUAUUUUGGAUUUUUCUCAAGCAUUUUUCUGAUAAUGUUGAUGAUCACCUUGUUACUUGAUUCUGCCUGCCCAUUAGCUUGGGCAUAAUAAGGGGUGGAUUGAAGCAGUUUGAAUUUAAAUGCUCCUGCCAUUUCCAACAUUUCUCCAGAUAUGAAAGAAGAUCCCCUAUCAGUUGUGAUUGAUUCUGGAAUGCCAAACCUUUGUAUAAUCUGCUCUUCUAUGAAAGUGAUGAUUUCUUGAGAUGCUGUGGACUUAACAGGCUUGGCUUCCACCCAUUUGGUAAAAUAAUCUGUAGCUACAAUAAUAAAACAGUGUUGUUUGCUACUGGCUGGAUAAAUCUUACCAAUGAGAUCCAUUGCCCAUCCUCUGAAAGGCCAUAGUUUUACUACUAGAUUCAUGGGAACUGAAAGAGCCUGCUGGAUUAGCCGAGCCAUUUCCUUUUAUGCUACCGAUUUCUUUUAUGCUACUGAGCCGGGCAAAACCAAUAAAAUAAAGAAAGGCAACGAAUUUAUUAACCGAGUAUAAAGGAGAGAGAGGGAUUCGAACCCUCGAUAGUUCUUUGUUUCGAACUAUACCGGUUUUCAAGACCGGAGCUAUCAACAACUCGGCCAUCUCUCCGAAAUAAAAUUUAUAUUUUAUUCCACCUAAUAGAACAUGGACAUAUGAGUUGAUACGAUUACUAUCUAUAGAAAGAUAUCAGGUGUGAGUCUAUAGGUCUAUCUAUCUGUAUAUAUAUAUAUAAUAUAGAUGCAUGAUCCAGCAAGCAUGCCCCUGAAGUUGACUUACGCUCAAAUGUAGAAGAAUCAGCCAUGGCAAAUAGGUAGCUGAAUUGCAGCGGAAUAGAUGAGCAACGGUGUCACUCCCCCUCAUAUCCAACGAUGUAUAAGAGUCGAGAUUUGGAGAAAGCAAUACCGAAAAAUAAAGUUGCAGAACUCAAAUAAAGUUGCAUCUAUCUCCCCAUCAAAUCCGACACUGGUAAAGGGUCGAGAUUUGAAAGAGGAGAAAUUGAAAUAAUAGUAAAGAGACUCAAACAUGCAGUCUCAUGGCAGAAACAAAUGCAAGAGGGGAAGAUGGUAGCAUACGGUUGUCCCAUGAAGAAAAAACUUUAGAAAAGGAGAAUAGUAAGGGAGGAAACCCAGCAAAUCAUGAACAGAGACAAAGACAAAGAUAAGGUACUCAAACUGAGAAGCGGAAAGGCAACUCAAGAGAGCAACCGAAGAAGACAGAGGCCCGCAGAACAGUCAAAGGAAAGGCUCGGCGAGUGGUGACGAUGCUCGCGGAGGAAAGCAACGGCUCGGUGAGCAGUGACGAGGCUCACGGAGUAAAGAGACUUGUUAUGAAGUUUCAAAGAUAGAGAAGCUGAGACAUCAAGAAAGACCAUCUGGCAUACAAAGAUGAAAAAUAAAAUUUUUGGAACAGUAGCAAAGAAGCAUGUGAAGGCUAGGUGCGGUGAAAACACAUAUGAAAGGAUGAACAAAAGAAGAUGACUAUACAAGAUGAAGACCCAUGAUGGGUUAGAAAUGAGGAGUGCCAACGACUCUCAAUUUGGCAGAGGCUAUCACAGGUUAGGAACCUGGCUCUGAUACCAUGUCAAACAAAGUAGGGUAAAUAUUCAGUUAUGCUCAGAUAUGCUCAUAUUAUUAUUCUUCUCCAAUAUGGAGAUAUUUAUACAAGUACAAAGAUGUGUUAACCCUAAAUAAAAUAGAAAAUAUAUCUAAAUUACAAUUGGAAGUAAAUCUCUAUUACAAUAUGAGUAAAUAAUAAUUGAUAAGUAACCAAAAUUCUAAUGAAAUAAGGAACUAAAAUCCUAAGUAAGUAAGGACUCGCCAACGAAUAAUAGUACAACUCUUAUUAGCAACAGGUUACAAACUUCUUCUACAACACACCAACAUGAAUCUAGCCCUGAUCAAUUCUUUUACAUACUUGAAAACAAAACAAAACACGAAAAACAAAAAACAAGAAACAAGAUAGGGAGAAAAUGGCUACGGAGAGACUUACCGCUAAUACUUGAUCAAUAACAGAGAUAAUAGAGCACACUGUUUGUAUGACAAUGAGUAUCAGAAGAAUAAUAGCUGCAAAGAGAGAAAUAGCUGCCCAAGGUGUGUUGAAAUACUUUUGUCUCAAAUUUGCCUUCCGUCUGUUCGUGGUCUUCUUGCAGUACUCGUUUAGUUUGCCAGCAAGAUCACCAAAAUAGUAGUUUCCGUGGUUCGGAGCAACUUUACUGCAAAGCUUGUUAAUCAUAAUGGAAACCUUAUUGUUGUCACCUAGCGUGUUUACAACAAUUCCAUUGUCAACAAGCAACUCUACAUCCUUUGGGGUGUUUACAAAUUUAUCCAGGAUGAAAACAUAAUCGCUUAUGUAUUUAUCCACGCAAUUGCCUUGUUCAAAGGCAAUGAGAUUUCUAUGUGUAAGCUGUGUAAUCAUGUAUUUCAAUUUUUGGAAUUUCCAAGGUGUUUUUCUUGAACUGUAUAUCGAAUAAGUUCUUGCUUGAUCCCACGUUAAACUUAACUCCGGCCUGGUGUAGUUUUGUCAUGCUGGGUGUACUUUGGAGCCCUCCAUUUUUUUUUCUUUUGGCAGAUGUAAAGUUCUAAUAAAAUCAACAAAAUGUAAAGGUUUUUUAGGAUCAGGAGGCAUAAAAGACUUACGGAAGGCUGGUGAGUUCUCCAAGUUUUCUAAACGCAGUGCCUGUUGGAAGAACUUGUAAGAGAGUUCAAUUAUUGAAGGCUCCCCAGUCUGAGCACCUGUGAGAUUGUAAAGAUCCUUGAGAAUGAAAAAUGGCAGCUGAUUUACGAGCAUAAGCAUGUCAGGCAAUAUAUUUUGUAGCACCCAUGGUUUUUUAAAUAUCCAAGCAUUAUCAUCCUGCAAUUUUUCUUCCUGAAAUUUUUCUUCGGAUUUAUUCCUCAACAAUAGCUCAAUGACAAAGGCGGCAUCAACUAGACUGAUAUUCACAAAAGCAGCAAUGUUAAACUUCUUAGGGCUAGUUUGGCGUUGCUGUGUUUUAAAAAAAAAUAUGCUUCUGCUGUGCUGUGAAAAUAAUCAGCUGUGAAAAAAAGCUACUAAGCGUUUGGUAAACUGUUUUUGAAAAACUGUUGUGAGUAGUCAAAGUGUUUGGUAAAUUUUUAUCAGAAGUGUUUUUAGUGUGUAUAAUGACCAAAAAGGACAUGAUGAUGAAAUUGUUUGUUAUUUUCUUCAUUCUUUUUCUACUUUUUUUUUUAAAAAAAAAACCCAAUUUCACUACAUAAAUUUUUAUUCUUUUUUAAUUCACACCUUUUUAUCAAAAAAUUUAAUCUACAAUUAACAUACAUAUUUUACCAUAAAUUAUAAAUUACUAUUAUAACAAAAGUAAUUCUAAAUAUUGUUAUAUUAAUAUGGGCUUCGGACAUGACAAAAAUACAAAAAUUGUUCAAUUUUAAAAUGCCCCAAUAGAUCACUACAAUAUAAAAGAAGCUAAUUAGAUGCAUUCAUUAAACUUGUAGCGAUGCUAUUUCUUAAUGCAUUCAUUAGCUUCUUUUUUUGGUUUCCAAUGGUUCUCUAACAAUUUUAACUAAAAAAACAACCAUAAUGCUUUGUGAACAAUAAAUUCAAGUCCAAAUCUACUAAUGCCCACACCAUACAUAUAUACAUAAUUGUUUCUUUCAUAAAACUUGAAGAUUCAAUAGUAAUUACACAGUUUACCAAUCUUGAUUCCAACUAUAUCCAUAAAAUUAAACUAUAAUUAGAAACAGAGGAGCUACAUGUGAUUACUUAUAAAUGUUGCCCACUCUCAUCAUCAUCUUCUUCCUCCUCUGUACUUUGCCUUUCACAAAUGGACAAGACCAGAUGGUAACGUACACGACAUGGUCCACAUAUAGAUAAAUUUUGGGUUCACUGGAGAACAUAAAAGAGUUUUUACACGAAUACAAAGUUAGUUAAGUAGUGAAUAAGGUAAAACUAUUCUGUACAAUUCUAGCUGAUGCAGUCCAAAAAGAAUAUAUGUCUAAUAACUUAAAUAACAAUAAAGAGAAACAAAAACCUCAUGAAAAAUGCUAGAGUAAAAGUUACAUAACUGAAUCGAUGGACAGAGAACUCCACAGGCAGAGAAACAGCAACAAAAAUUGUCAAAACAGUAGCAAGACCAUGUUGGAGUCAAGGCCAAAGAUCAUAUUUCCUGUGUAUCUUCUUCCAUUCUGAAUUAUUCUCGUAUUCAAAUACUGUAACUCUAUUUCAAGUGCACCCCAAAAUACUUAUCUAAGGCCAGUACAUAGGACUUCAUAAAGGGUGCCAUAAAAAAUAUUGCCCCUUAAUUGAUAAACAGAACCAAGAUCCCAAUGGCACACCAAAACUAUACCAACCACACCUACAUAAUAUGGACAGAAAAUCCUGUUGUUCUGACCUCUAACCACACCAAUGACAUUCAUUAGGAAAAUACAAAAGAUGGGUACCCUGCAUUUCUAACAUUUAAGAUAAAAUUCACUGCCAGCUAAUCACAAAUUUGAAAAGAUGGCAAGAAAAUUGGCUAUGCUUUAACAAAAACCAGAGCAGUCCUUGCAUAGACCUGACUUUUUGCUCCAAGCUUUAGCAGAUCACUUACUGGUAGAGAGCAGAGAACAUGUAUGUGAAUAUCUGAAGUUGGAAGGGUAAGCCAUCACAAACACCAAGAGAUCUGAUUCUCAUCUCUUGUUACAACAACAAAUCACAAACACCAAUACAUCUGAUUCAGAAUCUCAUAAACAAUGGAGGAACAAACACAUAUUCACACACAUAUAAAUCCCUAAACCGAAAAAAAAAAAAAAAAAAAAAAAAAAAAAAAAAAAAAAAAACAUGAAAGUAAUAGGAGAAUCAAAUUGAUUUGGGCCAAAAUUGCCUAAAAAGAAAACACUCCUAAAUAAACUUCAAUUCACUUUUAAAAACAGUAAAACGUGAUUGAAUCGUUCUUUAAAACAAUUCCCUAAUAUACAUGCAUGAUAAUGACAUCAUUUACCCCUAAAUCAAAUGCCUUUCACUGGUUAAGCCACAAGUCUGUGUUUUGGGGAUUGCUGAGCUGCAUCAAUCCUGCCAAUGUCAAUUCUGCCCCUAGGCUCUCUCAAAGUGCAUUUACAACCUAUGCUAACAUAUACUAGAGUUUGUGCUAGUAUCUAGAAAAUGCCAACACUAAUUUCGUAACACGUAGAAAUUGUUACAUAUUGGAAGUUUUUAUCAUUUUUUCUUCCAGUCUCUCCACCACUCACUAAUACAGAUUACUCAUGUGAUGAGUUUACAAAACCUAUUUCUCUACUCCCACAAAGACCAUACUUUUUCUCAAAAGACUAUAUCACUUUAUCUCUAUCUUUGUGAAAUGUAAAAAGUUGAAACUUUAAUGUCAAAUCUCGACAAAAGAUGAACUUCCAUCAAUUACAUUGAAUUUGAAUUUGUUGAACUUAAGUGGUUUUACUUUCUCUGUCAGCGUUUGAUGACUUGAUUUGUUAUUUACUUCUUCUUUUUUCCUUGGAAAUGUGUUCCAUCAACGUGAGGAAGAAAAAUAUGCACAAAUUAAUAUAUUUAAUAGAAGCACAAAUUAAUAUUUACAAAAAUAUGCACAAAUCAAGUAAAAUUAAUAAAGCAUAAAUUGGAAAGGGAAAAUAUGUAGAGGAUGCAUUGUAGGAUUGCUCAUGCCAAUAAUUGUACCCUCUAAAUAUAUAGGGACAUAAUUUUUUUUGUUUUCAUGACAUGUGGUCCUCAAAUUAUUGUUCUUAGCGGACUCUCCACCCCUCUCGAUUGAAAGCCUAUUGUGUAAAUCUUCAAUCCUGAAUGAUCCACCUAAAACUCAUGUUGCAAUACACAUCCACCCAUUCUCAGGCCAAUUAUUACUCCUAGUGGGCUCUCCACCCCCUCUCAAAUUUAAGUGGUCCAUUAUUAUUAACCAUAUAUUUUAUGGACCAGCUAGCUGUGAGGUUUUAUCUCAAAAACCUUUCUCUCACAUGCCACAAUUUAUGUCUGAUACAUCACAUCAUGCCAGUUGUCUCAAAUGAAUUUAAGUGAGUGAGGCAGUGUUACUUCUGGGUACCCCUCAUCGUUCGUGUAUAAAAUGGUGAAGCCAGUUGCUACUGUUACCAUAAGAGCCAGCUCCGACUUUCAAAAUAAAAAUUCCAACAAUGAUCUUAGUGCCUUCAAACGCAUGAGUUACUGAACAUGCAAAUAAAUACACUAUGAAUAAUAAAAGUGUUUGAUAAAUCACCAAAUUAUGGAACACUUGAUGAUUUAUCUCAAAUAAAAAUUCCAAGGCUUAUUUUAUAGAAUUUUUCUUUAUUACAAGAAAGAAAACAUGUUGAAAACCAAAUCUCCAAUUUCCAAGGCUUGACAGAAAAUCAAAAAAAUAUCUUUCCUAUUCUAGAGAUUGGUCACAUGUAGUUCAGAAAAUCAAAAAAAUAUCUUUCCUAUUCUAGAGAUUGGUCACAUGUAGUUCAACCAAUAGGAAAUGAGAUAUUUAAGAAAGCAAGAUUUUGAUCAAUAUCAAUAUCAAAUGAAUUCUUAUACGCCUAGUCAACUAUUAAGGGUAUCUUGACUCUUUGAUAUUGUGAUAUGAUUGAAACAUGAUUUCCAUGUUAGAAAAUUAAGGGGAUGUUAAAACAUGAAAGUAAUAGGAGAAUCAAAUUGAUUUGGACUAAAAUUGCCUAAAAAGAAAACACUCCUAAAUAAACUUCAAUUCACUUUUAAAAAUCGUAAAACAUGAUUGAAUCGUUUUUUUAAAACAAUUCCCUAAUAUACAUGCAUGAUAAUGACAUCACUUACCCCUAAAUCAAAUUGUCACGCCCCGGACCUGGGGGUCAGUGGAAAUCCCGCGCCCGGUGCGUGAGAAAAUAAAAAGUAAAAUAAAAUAAAAAGAAAGCCGAAACAAGGGUUUAAAAUAAACUUCUCUUAUAAAAAUAACUCUAAAAUCUUAUAACUUUACAAGAAAUAAAUAAAGCUCUAUCAUUCUUAUCUAAUUCAGACUCAACUGGUUUAGUCCUUGUCUUGCCCACUAAUUCAUCUGAAAAAUUAAGAGUGUUGCUAAACGAACCCUAAAAUUAAUUGAGUACACCAUACUACCAAACAAUUUAUUGAAUUUGUCAAGGUUUUGUUUCUGGGAACUCACGAGCAACUUUCCAGUGGGUUACCCAUCCUAGGAUUGCUCUAGCCCACAACUCGCUUAACUUCGGAGUUCCUACGACUCCGAAGCCAGUGAGCUCCCAAAAGGCCUCGUGCUAGAUGGAUGCGGGUGUGCACAUAUAAGGCACAUCACCACCUCUCCGUUGAUUGAUGUGGGAUCUUACAAAAUUACUAAUUUAUUCUAAUAUAAAAUGAUCAAAAAAGAUAAAAUAAUAUUGGUAUCUAUUGCUUUGAAUCCAUGCCUUCAAACAAAUUGACUUAAUUUUUAACAAACAACACGGAGUCCAGGAGAAGUGUAUUGAUCCAAGUUGAUUUUUGUAUGCAUAAAACUUAAACAAUCAAUAACACAAAGCAGUUCAUGCUGAAAUAUUGGAAACCCACACCCAAAGAGUUCUCCGCUGCGAGGUUGAAGGCAGGAGAGAUGGGUGACAGAUUUUACUUCCACUGCGAAGUUGGAGGCUAGGAGAGUCUGUGACUGCCAUGGUUGAGGGAGAAGAUGCGUUCAAAAUGCCUAUUGAUAUUUUACAUUAUUUUCUAUACAAGUUAACAGUGUUUGUGUAUUGUUAAAGGUGGAGAGACGUGUCAAAAUUUUAGACAAAGGACAGGAGGAGAUAGGGAAUUUGGGGACAGCAGAUCUCAACUCCCUUGAGACCCUAUUCUCUACGCCACCCCUCCCCCUCAACAACCCUAGUCACCAUUUCUCCUUCAACUCCAACGGCAACUCAUUAAAACCCAAUUCUCAAAUGCAACAAUCUAAUCCCAAUCCCAAUUCAGAUGUUUCUAAAAAACCAAUGGUUGUCGUGGUGGAGAACUGCAAUUCCAGGUGGUGGUGGUACCACAUGGGAGAGAGAAAAAAGAAGAAGAAGAAGCAGCAGAGAGAGAGUUUUUUAUUAUAUUAUUAUUUUACUGUAAUUUUUUAAUUUAAAAAAUUAAAAAAAUUAAAAAUUAAAGAGGAUGUACCAUGGGUAUUUUUGGUAGUUAAAUAGGGUGUACUUAGUUAAUUUUCAAUUUAAUUUAAACAUUAGAGUGUACUCAGUUAAUUUUAGGGUUCAUUUAGCAGCACUCAAAAUUAAACAAGGUAAGGGAUGAGCAAGUAGGGACAUGAGACCUUGCCACAGUAGAUUGAUAUAACUAAAUAUUAUCAUAAACAUCGAAAUAUAUAAAUAUUAUUAUGAUAGGAUUCAUAAUAAUUAAUAUAAAAGUAUAACAACAAGAUUUACAUUUAUGUACCAAGAUAAUUACACAUAUAAAUAUAACCAAUAUAUAUUUUUAUAUAUUUUAAAAUACAAGUCUUUACGUAAAUGCCCUUCACGGGUCAAGCCACAAGUCUGUGUUUUGGGGAUUGCUUAGCUGCAUCAAUCCUGCCAAUGUCAAUUUUGCCCCUGGGCUCUCUCAAAGUACGUUUAAAACCUAUGCUAACAUAUACUAGAGUUUAUGCUGUAUCUAGAAAAUGCCAACACUAAUUUCGUAACACGUAGAAAUUGUUAGAGAUUGGAAGUUUUUAUCAUUUUUUCUUCCAGUCUCUCCACCACUUAUUAAUACAGAUUACUCAUGUGAUGAGUUUACAAAACCUAUUUCUCUACUCUAGCAAAGACUAUACUUCUUCUCAAAAGACUAGAUCACUUUACCUCUAUCUCUGUGAAAUGUAAAAAGUUGAAACUUUAAUGUCAAACCUCGACAAAGUGUUCUACUUUACAAACUUCUUGUGUCUACCAAUUUCUACUAAAAUUAAUUUCUCUACGGUGCUCAGAUUCAUCAUAUGUGUGUCCUUAAUUUUAGUGGAAAUUGGAAGUUUCCAUAAUUUUUGCUUUAAGUCACUCUUCUGAAGGAAGUUGAGGUUCCACUCCAUAAUCCAAAAUGUCAGGUUGACUUAUGGCAAACAAUGUAAAUAUGUAGGAGUACUAUGACCUUUUAUAGCAUUUUUAGUUUGAAUUUGGGUUUUAUACAUAGAUUUCGAAAUUAAUAGGUUGAUGCCUAGGAAAUAGAAAUUGUAAGGGCCUAUAUUAGACUAGCCCUCUUAAAAAAUAUAUUAAUUAAUGAAUAUUUGUUCUUCUUGUUGUUUUGAAGUAGUGGUGGGAGGCAUACCAACAAAAAAAAAAAUAUAGUGAAGGCUUAUAAGAGCAUUUACAAUCAUGCUCCCUAUUUUUUAGUUAAAAUUUAGCUAAAAAUAGAAAAAAGUUAUUAUAGGAGCUCUUUAUAAAAUUUGAACUCCAAUCAUACUCCCUAGUUUAGGGAGUCAAAAAUACUAUAGUUAUUUUUUAAUUCAAUUUGAUUUUGGUUAAUCUCUAUAAAUAAAUAAAAAUAUGAAAAAAUAGUUAACAUUAAUUAAAAGUUUAAACUAUGCAUAAAACAAAGAAACAUUAAAUUAUAGGGAGCCACUAUGAGUCGUUACUCUCUCCUCAGAUUUAGGAGCUCCUAGAGGUCUCCCUAUUUUAUGAGGUGGAUAAGGAGCAUGGUUGGAGUUGUAUUUCUUCAAUUUCCUCCCUAAAAUUUGUCUAAGGAUGUGGUUUAGGGAACCCAUUGUGAAUGCUCUAACUCUGGUAAAACACGAGUGACAUGGACAACAUAUGUUACGUCGUACAGAAGAUUUUUGGGUUUCUUUAAUUGGUUAAGUAGCAUCCACAAUGAGCUUCCUAAAUCAUCUCCUUAGACAAAUUUUAGGGAGGAAUUGGAAAAGUACAAUUCCAACUAUGCUCCCUAUCCACCAACUAAAAUAGGGAGACCUCUAAGAGCUCCUAAAUCUGAUGAGAGGGAAAGGACUCUUAAUGACUCCUUAUAAUUUAAUGUUGCUUUACUUUAUGCAUAUUUUGAACUUUUAAUUAAAUCAAAUUAUUAUUUUUAUAUUAUUUUGUAUACAGACGGGUUAAUUAUAUUAAAUUAAAAAAUAAUUAAAAUAUUAAUGACUCUCUAAACUAGGAAGCAUAAUUGUAGAUCAUCUUAUAUACCUUAAUUUGAAGAUUCUUUAUUUGGGUUUCUUUCAAGACUUAUCACCUUAGCCACACCACCUACACGUCUGCAAGCUUCCGUAAUCUAACAAGGAAGGGGAGGCUGCGCAAUACUUAUCACCUUAGCCACACCACCUACACCACAAGACCAAUAUGUGUAGUCCAGCAGGCUUUCCAAUUUUAAUAUAUAUUAUAAAAUAAAAUAAAAAUCAAUCUAUUAUCAUAUAUAUUAUAAAAUAAAGAUUAUUGCUCCAUCCUCCAUGCACUUGCAUGCCCUCUUACAAAGUGUGAAGUAGAUUUUGUGUGCUCCAAGUCAUUGACGAGAGCUGUAACAUGGUUAGCUGGAUUUAUAAGAUCUUUUCUUUUCUGGGAAUUUUCUGAAUUAAGAAAAAUCAAGUAAAAUUAAUAAAGCAUAAAUUAGAAAGGGAAAAUAUCUAGAGGAUGCAUUGUAGGAUUGCACAUGCCAAUAAUUGUAUCCUCUAAAUAUAUAGCGACACAUUUUUUUUGUUUUCAUGACUUGUGGUCCUAAAAUUAUUGUUCCUAGCGGGCUUUUCACCCUCUCUCGAUUGAAAAUCAAUUGUGUAAAUCUUCAAUCUUGAAUGAUGCACCUAAAACUCAAGUGUCCCAGGCCAAUUAUUGCUCUCAUACCACUUGUUGUAAUAAACAUUCACCCAUUCUAAAGGAAAGAUAACCAUCGAUAUUAUCUGAAAUUUAACCACUUAAGUUCAUUAUGAUUAACUAUGUAUCUUAUGGACCAAUCCAAUCGUAAGGUUUUAUACUCAAUUAGAUCGACCAAUACAAAGUUCACACUGGAUUAAAAAGGGCUAUCGGUAGGGGAGUGUUCGGCACCCUUUACUGUGGAGCGCAACACAAGACCCCUUGCAUGCCCUCACUAAGUUGAGCCCAACUAUUUUUGAGCAUUAACAAUAUAUAUAGAUUGAAAAAAUAAAAUAAAAAUCAAUCUAUUAUCAUAUAUAUUAUAAAAUACAUAUUAUUGCUCCAUCCUCCAUACACUUGCAUGCCCUCUUACAAAGUGUGAAGUAGAUUUUUUGUGCUCCAACUCAUUGACUAGGGCUGAAACAUGGUUAGUUGGAUUUAUAAGAUCUUUUGUUUUUUGGGAAUUUUCUGAAGCACGGAAAAUCAAAUAAAAUUAAUAAAGCAGAAACUGUACCCUUUAAUUAUAUAUGGACAUAUGUUUUUUUGUUUUCAAGUCUUAGAUGACAUGGGGACCCCUCUCAAAUUUAAGUGGUCCAUUAUUGUUAACCACAUAUUUUAUGGACCAUCCAGCUUCGGUACAUUUCUCCCACAUGCCACAAUUGUAUAUUCACAAUUACGUCUGAUACAUCACAUCAUGCCACUUGCCUCACAUGCCACAAUUGUAUAUUCACAAUUACUUCUGGGUACCCCUCAUCAGUCGUCUAUAAAAUGGUGAAGCCAGUUGCUACUGUUACCAUAAGAGCCAGCUCCGACUUUCUUUAAUUUCUUGCUACAUCUGUUGCUAAGUUAAUUUCAGUCCUAAUGGGGUUUCAUCUCCCACUCAUCUUUGCUAUUCUCAGUGUAAGCUCUGCAAUUUGAUUAACUUUUCCAUUCUCUCUCAUUGUACUCUAUAUAUAUAAAUGAAAGUUUUGUGUUCCUAUAAUUCUCUCCGAUUUUAUUUAGUACGUACUUAAGUGUCGUCCACUAAUUAAUUACACUUUGUGAGAUUUGAUUUUAAUUAGAGUUCGAAUUAAUGUUGCAGCUAGCAGCGGUUGCACUGGCAAACAAUGCUGCUCAACCAGCACCUCAACUUUACUGGAACUCCGUCCUGCCAAACACACAGAUGCCAAGAUCUAUCAGUGAACUUCUGCAUCCUGGUUUGUGUUCAGCUCUUUAUAAUCUUAGAUAUCUCUUCUACCUGCCAUUUUACUAAACUAUGUUCGACCACAUAUUUAUCAGUUAACUACUGUCAUUACAAGAAUGACACUUAUUUUCCAAUAUAAUUUGCAGACUCCACAAAUGAAGAAAAGAGCAAACCUGAAAUUUUCCCAUUGCAGGGCAAUAGAGUUUACACUCAAAGCCAUUAUAAAAAACGUCCUCCUCCUCCAUCUGACGAGGGCAAACCUGAAAAUUUCCCAUUGCAGGGCAAUAGAGUUUACACUCAAAGCCAUUAUAAAAAACGUCCUCCUCCUCCAUCUGACGAGGGCAAACCUGAAAAUUUCCCAUUGGCCAAUAGCUUUUACACUCAAACCCAUUAUAAAAAACGUCCUCCUCCUCCAUCUGACGAGGGCAAACCUGAAAAUUUCCCAUUGGCCAAUAGCUUUUACACUCAAAGCCAUUAUAAAAAACGUCCUCCUCCUCCAUCUGACGAGGGCAAACCUGAAAAUUUCCCAUUGGGCAAUAGCCAUUACACUCAAAGCCAUUAUAAAAAACGUCCUCCUCCUCCAUCUGACGAGGGCAAACCUGAAAAUAUCCCAUUGGCACGUUCAGGUUACCAACGAAAAAAUUAUGGAGCAAGUCCUCCUCCAUCUGACAGUCAACUAAAGCAUUAUAAAGACUUAGCUAUUUUCUUCUUCGAGAAGGACAUGCGCCCGGGCACAACUAUGAAGUUCCAAUUCCCUAGAAAUUCAAACACGGCUACUUUCCUGCCACGCGAAAGUGCUCAAUCGAUCCCCUUCUCCUCUAAGAAACUACCAGAAAUUUUCAACCAUUUUUCAGUGAAGCCAACAUCUGAGGAAGCCAAAACAAUUAAGCAAACAAUCGAAGAGUGUGAAGCUCCAGGCCUUAAGGGAGAGGAAAAAUAUUGCGCCACAUCUUUAGAAUCAAUGGUUGAUUUUAGCACUUCGAAGCUUGGAACAAGAAACGUUGAAGCAAUCUCAACGCAGGUAUUGGAAGAAGGAGCCACCAAGUACAUGCACAACUAUACAACAAUCCCGGGACUGAAGAAGUUGGUAGGUGACAAAGUCGUUGUGUGUCAUAAGGAGAACUAUCCCUAUGCUGUGUUUCUCUGCCAUGCAAUAAAACAAACAGAAGCUUAUGUUCUCUCCCUGAAAGCCGAUGAUGGGAUGAAGGUGAAAGCAGUAACCAUCUGCCAUCUAGACACAUCAGAAUGGGACCCAGAGCAUUUGUCCUUCCAAAUCCUCAACGUUAAGCCCGGAACCACUCCCAUCUGCCAUUUCCUUUCCACUGAUGCUAUUGCCUGGGUUCCAAAACACAAAUCUGCAUGAUCAUCACUUAGCACUGUACGUAUAAUAAGCUUGGUCGGGUUGCACCCUAGGCCUGCAUAAUUAUCUCCCUACUUAUUUCUGCCUCUUCAUCAUGCGGUGUAAGAUAUAUGAUGAGAUGAAGUUUUCUCUUGUAACUAUGUAGACUACUUCAACUUGUACUCAUAAUAAAGCACGCUGUUGGGGGGUUCUACUUAAUUUCGUUCUCUCCAAUGUUUGAGUGUUGAAUUGUUACGUUGGAAUAGGCUGCUAAUGCAUGUAGUUAGAGAAGCCUUCAUUUAUAUCAAAGUCCUCAAACUAUCAAGAAUUAAUGUAUCCAGAAACAUAUACCAAGACGCAAAACAACAUAUUUUCCAUUCUCUGUCUGUAACACCAAGGCAAACUUCCUUUAUCACAUCAUUUAAAGGAUCAAAUUCCAGUACUAAUCUAAUCCAUCAUGUAAAGCAUACAAGUGCCUACCUAAAUUUGUCCAUUGGAUAUAUAUGUCACUUUUUAUUUUUUGAUAGAGAUAUAAAUGUUGAGAAAAUUAGAGUACACAACUCCAAUAUAGACUUGUUGGAGACAAAACAAGUAAACAAAUUACUUGUAUUAGACUCACAAAAUAUUACAACAAGACAACUCUCAAAGAAAAGACAAACUCUCACACUUCUCACAAGGACUACUUAACUUUAUAGCUUAUUGCAUAUAGCAUAUGCAAACACAAUUAGAACAUACCUACGUACACUAUGGGAACACUCGUGUAUAUUUGAACACAAGAAAACAUGUGCGCACCGUGCACGGUUCACAUGAAGUAAGAAAUGAAGAGGAAAUAAAGAAGAAGAAUACAAAAGAAAAUGGAGAUGAGAAAAAAAAAACACGAAUAAUGAAAAAUGAAUUGACAAUUAUAUAUGGUUGACAUUAGAUCUAAUAUUAUAUGUAAUAACUAAUGAUCUAAAAUAAACAUUAAAUCAAACAAUAAUUAAAAGAUUUGACAAUAUAAAAAUUUACACGUCAGCAAACUCACCAUGGUAAGUUUGCUGACGUGUAAAAAUUGUGAAUGGACUACAUCGAAAAAUAAUUGGCUUACAUCAAAAAUUAAAAUCACGUGGGUUAUUCCUAAGAAACCUUAAUAUUUUUAGGUUUAUAUAUUUUUUGUAUUUAAAAAAAAAAAAAAAAAGAGAAAUCUGACCAUGUAUGUAUGAUGAUGAUAUGCAUGUUAUUUUUAGACCUAAGGUAAAACAGACAAACUUUUUACUCCAUUUUUCAUGAGGUUUAUCACAAUAAUUAAACUGUUAUAUCCUCCAUUUUAGAUCUCAUGCUUCCAUUUAAAGAAAAGAAUAUCAACAACAAAAAAAGAAUAAAGUUACAACAUUGAUCAAUUCAAAUGUCCAACUACCGGAUCAUGAGCCCUUGCACUUAGCGAUAUGCAGAUAAAUGCGUAGUGUCUUAAUGCAGAAGCUCGGGAUCCCCAAUUACCAUUGAAACAUAAGAAACUAAAAUCUGCAAGAAAAUGCUAUCAAUUGAAAAAACAAUAAUUAAAAAACAAAAAAAGGAAGGGAAUUCGCACCCGCUAUGCAAAAAAGAGCAAGUCGGUUCAAUGAUUUUUUUCUUCUUCUUUUUGUUAUGGAAAUGAAAAGCUCAAUGAUGGGCUAUAUAUAGGAAGAAGCUCAAUGAUUGAAUUAUUAUCUUCUAUCUACAUUCUACCCUCUUCCUCGCUACAUACACAAAUGGUGCACACCAGUAACUAAGCUUGUUUUGGGUUUGGUGGCCCACUGUAAAAGCUCAAUGGAGAUGGUUUGAGGUAGAAUUUUCUCCUAUUUCAAUAGGACAAUGAUGAGAUCUAUGUAACAACAAAUUUCUUUAAUAAUGAUAACUAAAAAAAGUGUGAUUCAUUGAAUAUUUGCGGGGUUUUGUUCUAAGUCAACACCUCAAAUUCCUUUUACACCAUCAAAUUCAAAAAGUUUUAUUCAACCAUCUCGACCUUAUGCUAAAAAUUUAUUUUGUUCAUACUUAACGUACUAGGUAUUUAUUUUAUACCAACGAGUACGAUGGUCCAUAUAAGUAUUCUAAUCAUUCACUCCAGUUGCAGGCCCCAAUAAUUUAGAAGGGCCGAAGGUCUUUCUUUUUUUCUUUUUUCUUUUUUGAGAAAUUCUAUGAUUGCAUUCAUAAUUCAGGCAAAAAAGUCACUAGCCACAAAAGGGCCAGUACAACAACGGAGCGGUCUAAUAUCAAAAUUAAGACAAUCUAGUGUGUCUCCACUAACGAUCAGGCGAGCCGAUGGUCUUUCAUUGGAUGAAAGCUUCUAUCUACCGACCCCACUAUAUGAACUAUGCAAUGGUGAUGAUGUUACAUUGCAAAAAAUAAAAAGUCAAGGUUUCUUAUUAAUGUUAAUGAAGGCAUAGCAAAAAAUUUAUAGCUCCAAUGGUUCAAAGCAGUUACCCAUGCACUUGAGAUUCUGUGUUUGAAUGCCCUCUCCCCUAAUAUUGCUUGUAUAAAAAUAAAAACUUCUAAAAAGACAUUAAUAUUGUAUUCUAUAUUCUAUAAAGUGUUGGACAUGUCUUAUAUUGUUGACAACCCCCUAACACUUUGGUGGUGCCUAGUUAUAUUCAAUUCGUAUGUAUUUAAUUUGCCACUUACAUUCUUUCCUUAAUACAUUUAGGCUUAUUUUUAUACUAAUUUCUCUAACAUAACUUUUGCACAUUCUUUUAGUCUCUAAUAUAUAUAUUUUCUAAUAAAUAAUCAAGAUCUAAUAAAUAAUCUUACUCACUUGAGUUAUAAACUAUUUUCUUUUAGCACAGAAAAUCGACAUUUUGACAGAGAGUUGAAAACGACUCCCCAAUUUUAAUGUCAACCACUUGAAAAAAAAAACAUAAAUUUAAUGAAAACAAUUACAUUUAGCAAUGCAACCUAAAAACUCAACCUUUGCGCCCCUUUCACAACGUAGAUAGCAAGGUGAGGAUAUUCGGAUAAGAACCAAGACAGAAGCCAAAGGAACUGCGAUAGCCAACCAGAGUCUCCAUUUCUUACCAUUUGAACAACGCCACCAUUUUGUUUGGUAAGUAUUUAAUAACAUUUCUUGCUCUACAUAAAGUAAUAUUAAAACGGAAUUUGCCUAAAUUUUUCUUACCAGCAAUCCAUAUGGACAAAAAUAAAAUAAAAUAAAUAAAUUUACAAUUAUACUCAAUAUAGGAGCCCAAAUUAUUUAUAAUUAAAAAAACUUAUAUGAAAUGGACUUUAGAAACACACUUAAAACCUAUUUACAACAAAACAAAAAAACGUUUAACUUCUUUUAAAUUACAAAACUAUCAUUGAUUUCUUAAACAAACCCAACCCAAAAACUUCAUUAAAAAAAAAAAGCUCAAAAUAUUAGACUCACAAAAUAUUACAACAAGACAACUCUCAAAAAAAAGACAAACUCUCACACUUCUCACAAGGACUACUUAACUUUAUAGCUUAUUGCAUAUAGCAUAUGCAAACACAAUUAGAACAUACCUACGUACACUAUGGGAACACUCGUGUAUAUUUGAACACAAGAAAACAUGUGCACCGUGCACGGUUCACAUGAAGUAAGAAAUGAAGAGGAAAUAAAGAAGAAGAAUACAAAAGAAAAUGGAGAUGAGGAAAAAAAAAACACGAAUAAAUGAAAAAUGAAUUGACAAUUAUAUGUGGUUGACAUUAGAUCUAAUAUUAUAUGUAACAACUAUUGAUCUAAAAUAAACAUUAAAUCAAACAAUAAUUAAAAGAUUUGACAAUAUAAAAAUUUAUUGAGGACAAAAAAAGGCAAAAACUUAUGAAAAAUGGAAACAAUAAAUAUGAACUGAGUCAUCAACUCACCAUGGUAAGUUUGCUGACGUAUAAAAAUAGUCAAUGGACUACAUCGAAAAGUAAUUGGCUUACAUCAAAAAUUAAAAUCACGUGGUCUACCUACUAUAUAGGAUGAAAAAAUUAGGUGAACAAUAUACUUACACCAUGGGAACACUCCUAUAUAUUUGAACACAUGAACACGUGUUCAAGGUUAUAUAUUUCAUUACCUUCACAAUAGGUACCAAACCGUACCAUGCGAACAUUCAUAUACGCACAACAUACUUAUAACAUACCUACACUAUGGGAACACUCGUGUAUAUUUGAAAACAAGAAGACCUGUGCACCACCGUGCACGGUUCACAUGAAGUAAGAAGAUGAAGAGGAAAUAAAGAAGAAGAAUACAAAAGAAAAUGGAGAUGAGAAGAAGAAAAAAAAACACGAAUAAUGAAAAAUGAAUUGACAAUUAUAUAUGGUUGACAUUAGAUCUAAUAUUAUAUGUAACAACUAAUGAUCUAAAAUAAACAUUAAAUUAAACAAUAAUUAAAAGAUUUGACAAUAUAAAAAUUUACACGUCAGCAAACCCACCAUGGUAAGUUUGCUGACGUGUAAAAAUAGUCAAUGGACUAUAUCGAAAAAUAAUUGGCUUACAUCAAAAAUUAAAAUCACGUGGGUUAUUCCUAAGAAACCUUAAUAUUUUUGGGUUUAUAUAUUUUUUGUAUUUUUUUUUUAAAAAAAGAAAAGAAAUCUGACCAUGUAUGUAUGAUGAUUGUUGGUAAAUUUUAACAACAAUAUUAAAACCUUGCAAGUGCACAAAUCAAAUGAUAGUAUAGUAAGCAAGCAAGGGUCGAUCCCACAGAGAUUGUGAUCUAAAGAGAUGUUUAUCAAUGUCACGCAAUGAAAAUCAAAACAAAGGACUUCCAAACACAAGCCAACACCAAGGGGGGUUUUGAUUUGUUUUUGUGAAUCAAACAAAAUAAGGAAAAGGAAACAAAAGAGAAUUUAAAUUAGAGUUUAAGAGAAAUUGGUUUAAAAACAAUCAAGAACAAUAGCUAGGACUUACUAUCCACCUCCAAACAAUCAAUCAAUCCAUAAACAACAAUAGAUAAUCAAUUUCUAGCAAGCAUAUGAUGACGACACUCACAACAAGAUCAUGGCAUUUGACUCGAGUUGUAUGAUUCUCUCUUAAGUGUAUGUAAAGUGUAUGGCAUUUACAUCAAUACGUGUAUUCUUAAUUAAAAUCUAGUAUGACAUUUACUCAAAUUAACAAUCAAGAAUCCAUUAAGAUCAAAGAGAAUAUGAGUGUCACAAAAACCCUAAAACAUGACAUUUGUUAUUAGGAAUUCAAGAAUCGAUUUCUCAUAACUAGUUCUUAACCCAAUUAUUCGUUGCAAACAAGAACACAUUCAAUAUGGCAAUUGACCUAUGUUCUACAACAAUUUAAUUCCAAUACAUGCUUCUAAGUUAGCUACUCAAAGAAACAAAAUACCAGAAUUCACAUAACAUAGAGAAACCGAAAUCAUCACGCUUGUAGAAACUAAAAAUCCAUUAAACUUGUUUAUAAAAUUGAAAUCAUGUCUAGGGCUUCAAGAUUAAGCCCUAACUAACAAGAAAUUAGUUACUCAUGGUCUUGGAUGAACUCAAAAAUAAAUACAUAAGAACUGAAAAUUAAAAGAAGGAAGGAAAAGAAAGAACUCGUUCGCAGCUUUCUCCUCUUGCGCAGUUGACCUCUUUAGGACGUGAAUCCUUUUUAUCAGGCCUUGGCUCGUCUUUUAUAUCACUUAUAUCAGAGUUCUAAACCCUAAAAUUGACUGAAAAGUCGUCCAAGAAGUCUUGAUAAACAAGGAAUCCAAAUAGGAAAGUAAAAAUCACAAUUCCUAACUCCACUGGGAUAUACAGCUCAGCCCAAUGUUCACACGAUUUGGGGAUCUUCGACCUUGUAGAAAAAUUAUUAAAAAUAUAUUUUAGAAAGAUAAAUGUCUUAUCUUUCCAACAUAUAUAGCACGUAACUUGAAAAAUUUGGAAAGGCUUCCGUUUCUUCACAUUCACGUAACAUGUACGAAACUGUCCUGUCUGCACGUGGGCUAACUUUACUUGUAAUACUGUACCAAUUGGCUCGGUAGAAAAUUCUAGAAAAAUAAUAGAUUGAACUUCAAGAUGUUAGCUUUCAUCUCCAAUUGGUCUUGUGCUAAAAUUCCUCCGAAAAGUUGAUUUUCCCUUAAAAACCUUCUAAGAGCGCAGAAAAGCUGAAAAUCAGAAGAAUAAAGUAAUAAGCCCUUUUUAAAUCUAAUUCUCUUACAAAACCAAAGUAAAAAGAGUACAUAAAUGAGUAUAUUUAUGGACUUAUCAAUGAUGAUAUGCAUGUUAUUUUUAGACCUAAGGUAAAACAGACAAACUUUUUACUCCAUUUUUCAUGAGGUUUAUCACAAUAAUUAAACUGUUAUGUCCUCCAUUUUAGAUCUCAUGCUUCCAUUUAAAGAAAAGAAUAUCAACAACAAAAAAAAUAAUAAAGUUACAACAUUGAUCAAUUCAAAUGUCCAACUACCAGAUCAUGAGGCCCUACACUUAUAGACUACGCAUUUUCUCGUAUUUUGCAAAAUUUAGACCAUUAUAAUAAUCUAACCCCUUCAAAUGUGAAACAUCAUCAAGUUUUUUUUCCUUCACUAAACAGAAGAGUUAAGUUUUAUUUGUGGGUAACUAAACUCUUGUUUAGAGCAUGUUUUUUAUUAUUUUUUUCUUUCUUCUGUGUAAAGUAUAAUGGGUUAGAUUAUUAAUUGUGGGUGACUAAAAUCUUGUUUAACAACAAUAGUUAACGUUUGUUUAGAGAAGAAAAAAAACUUGAUGAUGUGCCAUGUUCUAAAGGAUUAGAUUAUUAUAAUGGCCUAGAUUUAGCGAUAUGCAAAUAAAUGCGUAGUGUCUUAAUGCAGAGGCUCGGGAUCCCCUACUACCAUUGAAACAUAAGAAACUCAAAUCUUCACGAAAAUGCUAUCAAUUGAAAAAACAAUAAUUAAAAAACAAAAAAAGGAAGGGAAUUUGCACCUGCUAUGCAAAAAAGAGCAAGUCGGUUCAAUGAUUUUUUUUCUUCUUCUUUUUGUUAUGGAAAUGAAAAGCUCAAUGAUAGGCUAUAUAUAGGAAGAAAAAAAUGGUGCACACCAGUAACUAAGCUUGUUUUGCGUUUGGUGGCCCACUGUAAAAGCUCAAUGGAUGUAACACCCCGACUCCAAAUUAAAUUCCCUAUCUAAAUUAUUUAAUUUAAUUAAAUAUGGAAUUUCCAAUUUACCCUUGGGGUAGGGGUAUUUUGGUAAUUCUCUUAUCCAGAGAGAUUUUGGAGCAACAAGUGGUAUUUUUAGGUAGAUCAUACUUAGACGAGUCCGUAGAUACGUAGUGGGCUCGAUUCGGAGUUGUAAUGAAGAAGUUACGAUCAAAACAAGUUUUUUUUUUUUUUUUUGGAGAAAUUCUAUAUGAUUGCAUUCAUAAUUCAGCCAAAAAAGCCACUAGCCACAAAUGGUCAAUACAAACUAGCAACAAAAGGGCCAUUACAAUAACGGAGCGGUCUAAUAUCAAAAUUAAGAAAAUCAGGUAUGUCUCCACUAACGAUCAGGCAAGAUCGAAGAAACUCUGGCAUAGGCAUCCCAACUAAGAUUGCAAACUUAGAAUAAUAAAAAAGAGAUAAAGCUUGAAAAAACCAAGCCAUAACAAUACAAAUAAAACUCUCACCAAGGAUAGAUGAAAAGCUGUCACAAAGGAGAAAUGAAAAACUCUCACAAAAGGAGAGGUGAAAACUACACAGACAACCCAAAGAGUCUCUGCAACUUAUUCCAAACAUAAAGAAAAUGCAAAAAAGAUGGUGGUGGAGAUCCGACGCCGAAAUGCAGGUGAAGAUCCAACGUUGAGCCGCAGCCGCCUAUAAUGGUUGGAUGAAAAUCCUAACAAAACUAAGAAAAUAGGGACAACCAUUUAUCUUUGAAAAUGGGGGAAGAGGUGAAAGGAGGAAGAAAGGAAGAGAAGAGGGGAGAGGAGGGAAGAACAAUGGCUUUCUCCCCCUUCAAAGUGGAAAAGGCUCUAAGAGUGUUUUUUGGGAGAAAGGGGGCACGAUCAAAACAAGUUUAAUAGCACAAUCAUAAUUAUUUCGAAGUUGGUUUUUAAUAAAUCAGAAAACACACACACACACACACACACACACACACACACUCUCUCUCUCUCUCUCUCUCUCUCUCUCUCUCUCUCUCUCUCUCUCUCCCGUGCGAUUCUUCCUCCCUCGUCAAACAGCAGCGGUGGUUUUUUCCACCGCCACUGCCACACGCCACCAUACGAGGUGGCACCGGUCCCAAAAGGACACCCAGCUCAUCCUCUUCCAACCCCAGCCAAGCCACGCCGCCAGCAGCAACGAGAUUUGCUGGAAACCGCAGAAAAUCCUGCCGGUUUUUCCUAAACUUCAAACCUCUCGUUCUCUCUCAUUUCUCCACCGAUUUGGAUGUAUAGGGUAUGGAUUUCCACCUAUUUUUCAUGAUCUAGCUGAUGGUAAGGUAGGAUUUCAUUAAUUUUGAGCUUAGGUUAGUUGAUUCUCUAUUUGAAAUUCUGCCGGUUUUGGGAUCGCGUUUUCGGCCAUUUCCGGUCACUUUUUGGGGUAGGCCCAAGAACAAAAGUAACUCCAAAUGGGGUUUUACACCUAGGGUAGGAGUCUGGGCCUGAUAUUUUGAGGUUUUUUCGGCAAGUGUUAUCGCUUUAGACACCCACGCACUGCCCGUGCGUGGGCACUGUAGCAAAGGUGCAUUUUUACCCCAAUGUGUUCCCCUACUUGUCACGAGUUCGUGGGUGUGCUCGGAUUCCAAUUCGUAUAUCGUUUGACUAUCGAACAGAUUUACGCCUAUUGUGUGUCAUCCGGGUUCAAUUUGUUCGGACCGUUGGAUCGAGUUCAAAUUAAUAUAUGUUGAUCUAGGCACUCCUAGGAUCGUGUAGGAAUUCACGGAUCGUGAAUCGAAGCCCCGGAUGUUCCUAUUCAAUAACUUAAAAUUUGUGUUAAACGAUAACCGUCCGAUCGUGCAAUCGCGAGCGAUCCGACUGCUCGAUCGAGACCAAACUCUUGGGAUGUGUUUAGGAAACUCUGUUGGACCUUUAGGAACUUUUGGAUUGUAAUUGGGAGGUUGUGGGCCCCGUGGGCCAGGUUGAUUAUCGGUUGACUAAUUUGACUAGUGGGACCGGAUAGUUGACCACGAGUCUUUGGAGAACAUUUUGUCUCUUGUUAAGUACUAAGAUGGCCUUAGGGUUUUACAAGGACGUGCACCCCCUGUGAGUCCUGAGAGUUAGGAUUUUGAAUUAAAGUUCAGUGUUGGAUUUGAGUAUUCAGUUAAUCUUGGUAUUCUCUCAAAUAGGUUCUUUGGCGCUAGGAAUCGUUCUUGACAAAACCGCGGAGGGUUGAAUGCGCUUUGGACCGUGUGUGAGUAGACAUUUAUUUUCUAAAUGGUUUUAUGAAACUCUUGGAUUGUGAUUAUAAUUUGUGUUGUUUUAUGGAUUUGAUGAUUUAUGGUUAUUAGUUUUCUAAUAGAAUAUUAUGCAUAUUCGAAUUUAGUUUGAAAACUAUUUUGAAAGAAUUAUAAAUGGUUUGAAUCAAAUAAUGAAAUUGGGGUUUUAUCUCGGUUUUAAAGAGAAUUUUGAUUAAUUAAUUAAUUAUAAUGCAUACUUGGAACUUUAUUUGGUUUUGAAAGAUUUGUGUUUUAUUUGAGAUAACUAAGAAGGGAUUUGAGAAACAGUGUGGUAAAUAGGGAUUUGUGGAAAAAAGAAAAGAAAAAAAAAAGGGCUUUUAUGAUUAAGUGUUGGAAUUGGAUUUCAAACCCACCCUAGAAACCUAUCCCUGGUUGCCUACAAAAUGUAUGAGAUGCCUUGGGAAUAAAUGAGUUGCCUCGGAAAAGAUAAAAAUGGUUGCCUUUGGAAAAAGUGUAAUAAGUUUCCUUCGGAAAUUAUGGUUGCCUUCGGUUAAGUCUGUGCACAUAACUAAGAUUGUCUAUACCUACAUAGAGACUACUCUGUAGGUAUCCGGCCAGAGUAUAUUGUCUGUACCUGUGUUGACUAUGCAGGUGUCCGGCCAGUGAUUUGCCUGUACCUACAUAGAGAUUACUUUGUAGGUGUCCGGCCAGUAUUUUGCCUGUACCUGCUUAUGUGGUUGUUCGGCCAGGAUUUUCCCACUACACCUAUCUGAUUGUCUAUAUAGGUGGUUGAUGUAACACCCAGACUCCAAAUUUAACUCUUAUUUAAAUUAUUUAAUUAUUUAAGGGGAAUUACAAAUUUACCCUUGAGAUAAGGGCAUUUUGGUUAUAUUCUUAACCGGAGAGAGUUUGGGGUAGGUCCAAGAACAAAAGUGGCUCCAAAUAGGGUGUUAUACCUAGGGUAGGAGUUUGGAGCCGUGGUUUUGAGAUUUUCCGGCGAAGCUUUAUCGCUUUGGGCACCCACGCGCUGCCGGUGAGUGCGGCGGCGCAUGGGCACUGUAGAAAAAGUGGCAUUGUGUCUCGAUGAGAUCCUUAGGUUGUCACGAGUGCGUAGGAUUUCGCGGAUCUCAAUUUGGACGUCGUUUGACUAUCGAACGAAUAUCGCCUAUUGUGCGUUAUCCGGGUUCGAUAGGUUGGGACCGUUGGAUGGUCCCAAAUUUAAUACAUGUUAAUCUAGGUAUUUCUAGGAUCGUGUAGGAAUUCACGGAUUGUGAAUCGGAGCCCUGGAUGUUCCAAAUAAGAAUUUUAAGUUUAUAUUUUAUAUUAACCGUCAGAUCGUGCGAUCGUGAGCGAUCCGACCGUCAGAUCGUGCGAUCGUGAGUGAUCCGACCGUCCGAUAUGAACCAAACUUGCAGGACGAGUGUCCUAUACCUUGUAAAACCCAUAGGGACUUUCGGAUCGGAAAUUGGAGGUCGUGGGCUCCGCAGGUCCGUUUGACCAGGGUUAAGGUAGUUUGACCCUUGGUUGACUGUGAGUCUCCCGGAGUAAAUCUCACCUACUUUUCAUGCUCUAGCUGCCUGUUGGGUAAGAUUGGAUCGAUUCUUAGCGUAGCCAAUUCGAUUUUCGAAUUGAAAUUCGGCCGAUUUUGGGAUCGCGAUUCCGGCCACUUCCGGUCAGUUUUUGGGAAAUGUCCAAUUUAUAGAGGAGACUCUGCCAAAAUUUCGGCAGGAAGUCUCGGUCUUUAGUAAGUGGGCCUGGCAUCGGGAUGAUGUCGGGAAUUCCAAAGGGUUUGCCUCGGGUUCUGAAAAAUUCGGGGCGGGUCCUUUCAGUUGAUCAGUUUUCCCCUAUUCUCGGUUACCUCAGUAUAUUGUCUGUACUUGUAUCACAAAUGCGAGUGUCCGGCCAGUGAUUUUUUCCCAGGAUGUUCCCCUGCCACCCUGCCGAUUUAUUACACAGGGUAGGCCAGUUAUUUUCCCCAUAGGUGUACUUGCAUGGAGAGAUUUCGUAUAACUUGGUUUGAGAUUGGAUUUUUGGAUGAUUUGUGUUUGAGCUUGCUUGAUUUAUUGGAUUCAAAUGAUGUUUUGAAACUGGAUUUUUAUGAAAUUAUAUUUUGAGUUGUAUUGGAUUUAAAUGUUAUUUGAAGUACAAAUUUGGGUCAAUGAUAUUUUAUUUACUAGAGUUUAUUUUACUUGCACAUGUAUUGAUUAUAUUUUGUUCCUGUAUAUAUACUUAUGUGUAUUAAUGAGUUUUCCAAAGGUUUGCAAAAACAGAGGGGUUAGUAUGUUCUGUAUAAUUACUUUCAAGAAAAACUUUCUUUUUGUCUACUCAUGCUUUUACUGUUUUGUGCCCCCAUGAAGUAGAUAGCUCAGCGUUCGGACAUCUACAUAAGCUACUCCGACGUCGGUGAAGUCCUUAUAAUUCUAAGUAUGAGACUUCAUCUUUCGUUCUCAUGGUUCAUUUGGAAAAUAAUUUUGUAAAUUCAACUUCUGUAGUUGCUCUGAUAUUUCCCACUUAGGAUUGAAAUUGAGGCCGGAGGCCAUGUGAAUUUUAUGUGUGCCUUAACUUGUGUGUGCUGCCUGUUGAGAUUAUUAGAUUGUCGGUAAUUGCAGGUGUUAAUUUGGAGAAAGUCCAUUUUAGAGAGGAGACUUUACCGAAAAUUUCGGUAGAAGUCUCGACCCUUUUAUCUUAAAAGUUUGGGUGAAAGGUGUAAAUUUAGUAGUGGGUCCGGCAUCUCUUAGGUGUCGGUCAGAUAGCAGGAUUCGACACGAGUUCCAAUGGGAAAUUCGGGUCGGGUCCUGUUAAUGGAGAUGGUUUGAGGUAGAAUUUUCUCCUAUUUCAAUUGGACAAUGAUGAGCUCUAUGUAACAACAAAUUUCUUUAAUAAUGAUAACUAAAAAAAGUGUGAUUCAUUGAAUAUUUGAGGGGUUUUGUUCUAAGUUAACACAUCAAAUUCCUUUUACACCAUCAAAUUCAAAAAAUUUAUUCAACCAUCUCGACCUUAUGCUAAAAAUUUAUUUUGUUCAAACGUAACGUACUAGGUAUUUAUUUUAUAUCAACGAGUACGAUGGUCCAUAUAAGUAUUCUAAUCAUUCACUCCAGUUGCAGGCCCUAAUAAUUUAGAAGGGCUGAUGGUCUUUUUUUUUUUUUUUUUUUUUGGUUGAGAAAUUCUAUGAUUGCAUUCAUAAUUCAGCCAAAAAAGUCACUAGCCAAAAAAGGUUGUUACAAUAACAGAGCGGUCUAAUAUCAAAAUUAAGACAAUCUGGUAUGCCUCCACUAACAAUCAAGCGGGCCAAUGAUCUUUCAUUUGAUGAAAGCUUCUAUCUACCGACCCCGCUAUAUGAACUAUGCAAUGGUGAUGGUGUUACAUUGCUAAAAACAAAAAGUCAAGGUUUCUUAUUAAUGUUAAUGAAGGCAUAGCAAAAAAUUUGUAGCUCCAAUAGUUCAGAGCAGUUACCCAUGCACUUGAAAUUCUGUGUUUGAAUGCCCUCUCCCCUAAUAUUGCUUGUAUAAAAAUAAAAACUUCUAAAAAGACAUUAAUAUUGUAUUCUAUAUUCUAUAAAGUGUUGGACAUGUUUUACAUUGUUGACAACCCCUUAACAUUUUGGUGGUGCCUAGUUAUAUUCAAUUCGUAUGUAUUUAAUUUGCCACUUACAUUCUUUCCUUAAUACAUUUAGGCUUAUUUUUAUACUAAUUUCUCUAACAUAACUUUUGCACAUUCUUUUAGUCUCUAAUAUAUAUAUUUUUUAAUAAAUAAUCUUACCCACUUGAGUUAUAAACUAUUUUCUUUUAGCACAGAAAAUUGACAUUUUGACAAAGAGUUGAAAACCACUCCCCAAUUUUAAUGUCAACCACUUGAAAAAAAAAACAUAAAUUUAAUGAAAACAAUUACAUUUAGCAAUGCAACCUAAAAACUCAACCUUUGCCCCCCUUUCGCAACCCAGAUAGCAGGGUGAGGAUAUUCGGAUAAGAACCAAGACAGAAGCCAAAGGAACUGCGAUAGCCAACCAGAGGCUCCAUUUCUUACCAUCUGAACAACGCCACCAUUUUGUUUGGUAAGUAUUUAAUAACAUUUCUUGCUCUACAUAAAGUAAUAUUAAAACGAAAUUUGCCUAAAUUUUUCUUACCAGCAAUCCAUAUGGAAAAAGAAAAAAAGAAAAAAGAAAAAUACAAUUAUACUCAAUAUAGGAGCCCAAAUUAUUUAUAGUUAAAAAAUCCCUAUAUGAAAUGAACUUUAGAAACACACUCAAAACCUAUUUACAACAAAACAAAAAGACUUUUAACUUCUUUUAAAUUACAAAACUAUCAUUGAUUUCUUAAACAAACCCAACCCCAAAACCUCAUAAAUAAAAAAAGCUCAAAAUACUCAAUAAAACAUCAAAGUAAUUUAAUAAUUAAAAUUAAAUUCAAUAGGGACAUCUGUUAUUUUUUGGGUUUUUUUGUUUGUUUAUAGAAAUUAAAUGAUGUAGAAUCUAUCUAUAUUAUUAGUGCUAAGAAUGGAUAUGUGACUAUAUAACUCAAAAAAAAUUUAUAGUAAAUCUACAAUUUUUUUUUAAACAAAAAUCUAUAGAAUCUUUUAUUAGAUCAAUAAUCAAUAGUCACUACUAGAAAAUCUUCAUAUAAGCCACUAAUACACCCGUAACUUAUACAAAUGUGAGCUACUGACAAACCUGUAGCCAAAGAGUAUUGGCCACCUACCACACGACAGUGGUCCAAGCAUAAUGUUGUCAUUCAUUAUUCCCCACAGCAACCAGCAUCCAAUAAAGGGCUGGGCCCCACCCAUAUUCCACCUCUCUUUGUGAAUAUAAAAGAAAUAUUUUUUAUUCAACAUGGACGCAGAAACUGUUGCUAAACUGCAAACUUCUUAAAAUAUUUGUCUCACUUUCUAGAUCCAUGUACUGAGAUUUAUUAGGGAAAUAUUGUAGAAACUGAUUAUUUUGAAAUAUUAAAUGUGAAAAACUGAACAAAAAUUUGAUGGAUUACAUAUUUCAACUCAUUUCAGCAGCUUAGAUUUUGAAGACCUCUGAAGAGGCUAUGCAAUGAGCCUGGCUAUAGUACACUGUUGAUCACUUCAGUGUCUACCGAUCUGUAAUUUUUCCAGAUUGGUUAUAUUUUCCUUUACAUAUGUAUGCUUAUAUUAUUCCCAGCUGUAAGUGUUUUAGCAACAGGGUUACAAACUUCUUCUACAACACACCAACAUGAAUCUAGCCCUGAUCCACUCUUCACAUACUUGAAAACAAAACAAAACACGAAAAACAAAAAACAAGAUAGGGAGAAAAUGGCCUUGAUCAAUAACAGAGAUAAUAGAGUACACUGUUUAGGGUGAGUAUCAGAAGAAUAAUAGCCGCAAAGAGAGAAAUAGCUGCCCAAGGUGUGUUGAAAUACUUUUGUCUCAAAUUUGCCUUCCAUCUGUUCGUGGUCUUCUUGCAGUACUCGUUUAGUUUGCCAGCAAGAUCACCAAAAUAGUAGUUUUCGGAGCAACUUUACUGCAAAGCUUGUUAAUCAUAAUGGAAACCUGAUUGUUGUCACCUAGCGUGUUUACAACAAUUCCAUUGUCAACAAGCAACUCUACAUCCUUUGGGGUGUUUACAAAUUUAUCCAGGAUGAAAACAUAAUCGCUUAUGUAUUUAUCCACGCAAUGGCAUUGUUCAAAGGCAAUGAGAUUUCUAUGUGUAAGCUCUGUGUAAUCAUGUAUUUCAAUUUUUGGAAUUUCCAAGGUGUUUUUCUUGAACUGUAUAUCGAAUAAGUUCUUGCUUGAUCCCACGUUAAACUUAACUCCGGCCUGGUGUAGUUUUGUCAUGCUGGGUGUACUUUGGAGCCCUACAUUUUCUUUUAGGGUCGGAUCUGGCAGAUGUAAAGGUUUUUUAGGAUCAGGUGGCAUAAAAGACUUACGGAAGGCUGGUGAGUUCUCCAAGUUUUUUCUAAACGGAAGAACCUGUAAGAGAGUUCAAUUAUUGAAGGCUCCCCAGUCUGAGCAGCUGUGAGAUUGUAAAGAUCCUCGAGAAUGAAAAAUGGCAGCUGAUUUUCGAGCAUAAGCAUGUCAGGCAAUAUAUUUUGUGGCACCCAUGGUUUUUUAAAUAUCCAAGCAUUAUCAUCCUGCAAUUUUUCUUCCUGAAAUUUUUCUUCGGAUUUAUUCCUCAACAAUAGCUCAAUGACAAAGGCGGCGUCAACUAGAAUGAUAUUCACAAAAGCAGCAAUGUUAAAACUUCUUAGUGUCUUCAUAACAAUGACGGAGAUCACCUUCUCUCUCCUUUAUUUUCUCUAAAUAAUCCUUCAAUCCUACUACUUUAGUCCGAUUAAGAAAGCAUUUUAGGUACCUGAGUUUGUGAUCUUCCAUGGCUUCUAAGUUUUUGCUGGCAUGGUGAAGUGGGUCUAUUGAGACUACUUGUGGUGUGUAGGCCUUUUGUUUUACGUUCCGUAGUCGCUCAGGCACCCUGUAGAUCCAGCAGGCAGGGGACAGGGCACGCAAGUUUGUCAACCGAUUUUCCAUGGAAGUUGCUUGGUUUUCUAUGUCAAAAGAAGCUUCAUUGCUGCUUUCUUCCACUUUCUUCAUCCCCGUAUGUGUUGUUCUGAUUGUAAGUGACGAGGAUGGUGAUGAUUCUAGACACCAUAAUCAACAAAUGUUUCAAUCAUAAUUGACAUUUCAAGAUGCUCCGACAAAAAAUUAGAAAACAUUCAUCACACAAUGCGAACUCAUACAAUAGAUGGGUUGAGAAGAUCCACACAUUGCAAUCAUACAAUCCAAUUGCACAGGGAUUAGUCCCUAUUCUCCUCUCUCUCUCUCUCUCUCUCUCUCUCUCUCUCUCUCUCUCUCUCUCUCAAAAAGAUUUUCAUAUCGAUAACAUCUUAUUGCAAGGGACUGGUACAUCAAGUAGUGAAGAACAGAAAUUCAUAUUCUUUCAAUCAAAAUGUAUAAAUUUUGAAAAAGUUUGUUUUAUUUUUGGGGGAAAAAAAUCUGAACAUAUAUGUAUGUGCAUAUUAUACGUAGAUCUAAGGUGAAAACAGACCAGAUUUUUACUCCAUUUUUCAUGAGGUUUAAGUUCAUGAUGUAUAUAUUUAUCUCAAGUGUAACAUCUCACAUCGAUCAACGGAGAUGAGGUGAUGUGUCUUAUAUGUACAUGCUCGCCUCCAUCUAGCACAAGGCCUUUUGGGAGAUCACUGGCUUCGGAGUCAUAGGAACUCCGAAGUUAAGCGAGUUGGGGUUAGAGCAAUCCCAUAAUGGGUGACUCACUGGGAAGUUGCUCUUGAGUUCCCAAAAACAAAACUGUGAGGACAGAGAGGGGGGCCCAAAGCGGCCAAUAUUAUUCUACGGCAGAGCCGAUCCUGGGAUGUGACAAUUUGGUAUUAGAGCCACACUGCCGUGUGGUGCGAGUGUGCCGAAGAGGACGUUGGGCCCUUGAGGGGGGUGGAUUGUAACAUCUCACAUCGACCAACAGCGAGGGAGUGAUGUGCCUUAUAUGUACAUGCCCGCCUUCAUCUAGCACGAGGCCUUUUAGGAGCUCACUCACUUCGGAGCCAUAGGACCACCAUCCCAAGUUCAAUAUACAACCCAACAACCAUCUUAGCCAUCUUCUCAUUGAUCUUCCACCCAGCAUCCAACACUAUCUUCAUAAACUCUUUAGCUUAAUAUCUCUGUUGCUUUUGUUUUUUGUUUUUUUUAAUUUAAAUUUUUUAGUUUUUUUUUUUGGUUGGUGCAGAUUCAAUGAUAAAGAACAUCGAACUCGUCGCAACAUCCUGCCCUAGAUCCGAACUCUACCACCAUCACAACCCUCCCUCUCUCGAUCUCCAACCAACCUUAACACCCAACUUCAAAUCUUGGUUGUUUGAAACUCAGCCCCCUUCUCAAACCCCACCCUCUCUCUCUCUCUCUCUCUCUCUCUCUCUCAAAAUCAACAAGAUUUUCAUGUCAAUAAGAUAAGAUCUCAUUGCAAGUGACUUGUAGAUGAAGUGGGAAAGAACAAAAAGUCAUAUUCUUCCAAUCAAAACGUAUCAAGUCUAACAAAAUUUCUAGUUAGUUUGCUUUAUGAUAGUUGUUUUUUGAAGGGGUCCUUAGAUCCAAUCUCAAAAAGUUUGACUUUUAUUAUGUUUAACUCUGGUUUUUGCAAAUUUUUUUUUUUAUCUCUACCCACUAACUUUUAUCUCUCAUUUUUAUUACCCAUUUUACCCUUUAAAAUAAAUAUGGUAAUAAACUAAAAAUUCUGAUUCAAUGCAUGUUCAUAAGAGAAUUAAGGCCCCGUUUGGGAUUGCUUUUUUUCGUCAAAAACUUGUUUCACUUUAAAGUUAAGCAGUUUAAGGUGUUUGGUAAAAAUAAAAUAUCCUGAUUAUUUUAAAAGCAGUGGCCUUUUGACAGCUGCUUUUAAAAGCAGGUUCUGGGUUGCUUUUCAAAGCUGCUUUCAAAAGAAGCAAAGAUGAACUUUUAAUGAAUGUUUUUUAAUUCCCAAAAUACAAUCAUUCAUUUUAAAAAAUGACACCACCUCCACUUCCACAUCCAACUCCACCACUUGCACCACCACAUUCACUACCUCCACAACCACCGCCAUUACCACCACCACCACAUCCUUCUCCUCCUCAUCCUCCGCCACCACCACCAGAAGCAGAUCCAGAAAUUUUUCAGGAGAGGGGCAAUAAUGAUUUUGAUACUGCCCAAUUAAAAACAUAUUAUGAAAACCAGACCCUUAGUUAAUUUAAAGAUUAAUUAGCACGAUAAAAUAAAUACAUAAUUAAUAAUAAAAAUAUAUUAUCACAGUGAAAGAUUAGAUCAACAAACAAGUAGUAUCAAUCAAAUCCUAAUUAAACAAAAACUCUAAUAUCAAAGUGUGAUUUGAGAUCAUUGUGCAAGGACUCUUCUUCGUUGUUGUUUUUUAUUAUUUAAUUUUUUUGACAGAUGGGCUUCUUCAAAUUGGGAGCAUUGAGGUAAGCCUUUUGGUAUUACAUUAUUAUUAUUAUUAUAAUGAAAUAUUUAUUAUAACAACCAAGUAAUUGAAGCCAAACAAUGAAUCUUGAAACGGUUUGCACAAAAAACGAAGAGUUUGAAUUUUUGAAAAACACUUCAUUUAAACCAUUAAACAUAGAUCAAGGACGACGCCGUUUGUGACAAAUAAAAAUAGGGUUGUCUUCUUCAUUCGUGAACCAGAGCCUCCAUCAGGACACACCUCUACAACUCCUCCUCUACAACACAGUGUGUGCCUCAAUCGUGUAACUUGCCAUUUGCGAUUCAGGAGGCCUUAGAUCGUCGCACUCACGAGAUGCGCCUUGAUACACUUUUAAACGCUAGANNNNNNNNNNNNNNNNNNNNNNNNNNNNNNNNNNNNNNNNNNNNNNNNNNNNNNNNNNNNNNNNNNNNNNNNNNNNNNNNNNNNNNNNNNNNNNNNNNNNNNNNNNNNNNNNNNNNNNNNNNNNNNNNNNNNNNNNNNNNNNNNNNNNNNNNNNNNNNNNNNNNNNNNNNNNNNNNNNNNNNNNNNNNNNNNNNNNNNNNNNNNNNNNNNNNNNNNNNNNNNNNNNNNNNNNNNNNNNNNNNNNNNNNNNNNNNNNNNNNNNNNNNNNNNNNNNNNNNNNNNNNNNNNNNNNNNNNNNNNNNNNNNNNNNNNNNNNNNNNNNNNNNNNNNNNNNNNNNNNNNNNNNNNNNNNNNNNNNNNNNNNNNNNNNNNNNNNNNNNNNNNNNNNNNNNNNNNNNNNNNNNNNNNNNNNNNNNNNNNNNNNNNNNNNNNNNNNNNNNNNNNNNNNNNNNNNNNNNNNNNNNNNNNNNNNNNNNNNNNNNNNNNNNNNNNNNNNNNNNNNNNNNNNNNNNNNNNNNNNNNNNNNNNNNNNNNNNNNNNNNNNNNNNNNNNNNNNNNNNNNNNNNNNNNNNNNNNNNNNNNNNNNNNNNNNNNNNNNNNNNNNNNNNNNNNNNNNNNNNNNNNNNNNNNNNNNNNNNNNNNNNNNNNNNNNNNNNNNNNNNNNNNNNNNNNNNNNNNNNNNNNNNNNNNNNNNNNNNNNNNNNNNNNNNNNNNNNNNNNNNNNNNNNNNNNNNNNNNNNNNNNNNNNNNNNNNNNNNNNNNNNNNNNNNNNNNNNNNNNNNNNNNNNNNNNNNNNNNNNNNNNNNNNNNNNNNNNNNNNNNNNNNNNNNNNNNNNNNNNNNNNNNNNNNNNNNNNNNNNNNNNNNNNNNNNNNNNNNNNNNNNNNNNNNNNNNNNNNNNNNNNNNNNNNNNNNNNNNNNNNNNNNNNNNNNNNNNNNNNNNNNNNNNNNNNNNNNNNNNNNNNNNNNNNNNNNNNNNNNNNNNNNNNNNNNNNNNNNNNNNNNNNNNNNNNNNNNNNNNNNNNNNNNNNNNNNNNNNNNNNNNNNNNNNNNNNNNNNNNNNNNNNNNNNNNNNNNNNNNNNNNNNNNNNNNNNNNNNNNNNNNNNNNNNNNNNNNNNNNNNNNNNNNNNNNNNNNNNNNNNNNNNNNNNNNNNNNNNNNNNNNNNNNNNNNNNNNNNNNNNNNNNNNNNNNNNNNNNNNNNNNNNNNNNNNNNNNNNNNNNNNNNNNNNNNNNNNNNNNNNNNNNNNNNNNNNNNNNNNNNNNNNNNNNNNNNNNNNNNNNNNNNNNNNNNNNNNNNNNNNNNNNNNNNNNNNNNNNNNNNNNNNNNNNNNNNNNNNNNNNNNNNNNNNNNNNNNNNNNNNNNNNNNNNNNNNNNNNNNNNNNNNNNNNNNNNNNNNNNNNNNNNNNNNNNNNNNNNNNNNNNNNNNNNNNNNNNNNNNNNNNNNNNNNNNNNNNNNNNNNNNNNNNNNNNNNNNNNNNNNNNNNNNNNNNNNNNNNNNNNNNNNNNNNNNNNNNNNNNNNNNNNNNNNNNNNNNNNNNNNNNNNNNNNNNNNNNNNNNNNNNNNNNNNNNNNNNNNNNNNNNNNNNNNNNNNNNNNNNNNNNNNNNNNNNNNNNNNNNNNNNNNNNNNNNNNNNNNNNNNNNNNNNNNNNNNNNNNNNNNNNNNNNNNNNNNNNNNNNNNNNNNNNNNNNNNNNNNNNNNNNNNNNNNNNNNNNNNNNNNNNNNNNNNNNNNNNNNNNNNNNNNNNNNNNNNNNNNNNNNNNNNNNNNNNNNNNNNNNNNNNNNNNNNNNNNNNNNNNNNNNNNNNNNNNNNNNNNNNNNNNNNNNNNNNNNNNNNNNNNNNNNNNNNNNNNNNNNNNNNNNNNNNNNNUACAAACCACAACCACCAACUCCACGUUCAUCACCACCACUACCUCCACUCCACCACUACCAUUACUACUACCACAACAUGAUUAGUACAUAACACUUUUAACAUCAUGUCUAUUUUAGUCAUUAUUCACAUUUACAACAAUUUUAUAUUAAAAUUUACCAAACGGUUUUGACACUGCUUUUUGUACUAACAGCACUUUAAAAAUAUUGUUUAUCAAACAUGGAGUGCUUUACUUUACAGCUAAUUAUUUUCAAAGCACAGCAAAAGCAAAUUUUUUUAAAAGUGACAGCAAUCCUAAAAAUUCUAUACUCUAACACAAAAAAUAAAAACUAAAAACAAAAAUUAAAAUGGUUAUCAAACAUACACUUAUAUUACAAAGAAAAUAUCAAAUAUUGAACUCAUCAUAAGAGAACACAGAAAAACCUCACCGCUUGCAACUCGUACACCACCACUACACGAACAACUGCUAAUUAAAAUGAGUCACAUGUGGUACUUAACUCUAAAAACUUAUUCAGAUUAUAUAUCGUACUCCUCGAUCAAAACAACCAUGAAACAUAAGUGAUUUAAACCUCUAGGCAAAUGGAAGGUAUAUAACAAUUUAUAGAACAAUACAGUAAUCCAGAAGAAAUAUUAUGAAAUAAAAAGAAUAAAAAGUAAAAAAAGAGAAGGAAAGGAAUUCCCACCUGAUAUGUAUAAGUAUGAAAGGAAGGACCAAGUUUGUUUUGCCUUUGGUUAAUGACUAGAAAAGCUCACUUGCAUAUUGCUUUCUCCGGCCGUAGAUGCAAGAGAAAUUUUCUCUUAAUAAUAGCACAAUGAUCGGGUAAUUGUAAGAACAAGUUGAUUUUAAAUUCAGGUCAAGUCGUAGAUUUCUUGCCUUUUCUAUUCUCCUUCCUUGGACAUGAGCUGUUUAAUCUUGGACUCUUCCCCCAUCAUGUUGGGCCUGUCUUCUUCUUGAGGAUUGUAUAGGCCCAGGAAAUGCUUCAAGGUAGUUUUUGUGUUUUGGGCCUUGAGACCCAACUUCACAAAAAGAAAAUAGAUUUGACCAAAAAACAAAUUUGAAGGAUAUUGAAAUUGUACCUGUAGGAUAGGUUAAAACACCAUAAGGGAGGUAAAUAGUACGUUUACAGAAUUUAAGUGUAAUAAUUGAAUAAAAACAUGCCCAGAGGAUUGAUAAGUGAUAUCAAUUCUUGAAUAUACAGAACGUAAAAUAAAGGAACACGUAGAAAAUUAUUUUAUGUGGUAAAACUCUAUCUCUGGGGAACAUCCACGGGGCUUUUUAGUCCAAAAUAAUCCAUUAUAGAACGAUGAUUACAAGAAGUAUUCACACACUUAUCCUAGACACAUUCUAGAUUAUGUUUACUGACCUCUUCUCAACUUCUGUCUCGAGAUGAUCUUUCGACACUCCUUAUGUUGAACGCAAUACUGGUCACGAUUUCUUCAAGCUCCCUAGAGUUCUUCCAACUCUCCUUGUAUUGAAUCCGACACUAGUCACGAUCGAUUCAAGCUCAUUGGAGAAAAACUGCCACAACGGUCUUAGUGCCCUCAAUCGUAUGAGUCACUGAACAUGCAAAUGAAUACAAUAUAAAUGAUAAAAGUGUUUGAUAAAUCACCAAGUUAUAGAACACUUGAUGAUUUAUCUCAAAUAAAAAUUCAGCUUUACAAAGUUUAUGAUGAAUUGAAAAUAUGAUCGUUAAAGCUAUCUAAACAAAGAAGACGAAGGUCUUAUUUUAUAGAAUUUUUCUUUACAAGAAAGAAAACACGUUGAAAACCAAAUCUCCAAUUUUCAAGGCUUGACAGAAAAUCACAAAAGUAUCUUUCCUAUUCUAGAGAUUGGUCACAUGUAGUUCAACCAAUAGGAAAUGAGAUAUUCAAGAAAGCAAGAUUUUGAUCAAUAUCAAUAUCAGAUCAAUUCUUAUACGCCUAGUCAACUAUUAAGGGUAUCUUGACUCCUUGAUGUUGUGAUAUGAUUGAAACAUGAUUUCCAUGUUAGAAAAUUAAAGGGAUGUUAAAACAUGAAAGUAAUAGAGAAUCAAAUUGAUGUGGACCAAAAUUGCCUAAAAAGAAAACACUCCUAAAUAAACUUCAAUUCACUUUUAAAAAACAGUAAAACAUGAUUGAUCGUUCUUUAAAACAAUUCCCUAAAUAUACAUGCAUGAUAAUGAUAUCACUUACCCUUAAAUCAAAUUGUCACGCCCCGGACCCGAGGGUCGGGUGGAAACCUCACCGCCCAGUGCGUGAGAAAAUAAAAAGAAAAUAAAAUAAAAAGAAGCCGAACAGGGUUUAAAAUAAACUUCUCUUAUAAAAAUAACUCCAAUCUACAACUUUACAAGAAAUAACUAANNNNNNNNNNNNNNNNNNNNNNNNNNNNNNNNNNNNNNNNNNNNNNNNNNNNNNNNNNNNNNNNNNNNNNNNNNNNNNNNNNNNNNNNNNNNNNNNNNNNNNNNNNNNNNNNNNNNNNNNNNNNNNNNNNNNNNNNNNNNNNNNNNNNNNNNNNNNNNNNNNNNNNNNNNNNNNNNNNNNNNNNNNNNNNNNNNNNNNNNNNNNNNNNNNNNNNNNNNNNNNNNNNNNNNNNNNNNNNNNNNNNNNNNNNNNNNNNNNNNNNNNNNNNNNNNNNNNNNNNNNNNNNNNNNNNNNNNNNNNNNNNNNNNNNNNNNNNNNNNNNNNNNNNNNNNNNNNNNNNNNNNNNNNNNNNNNNNNNNNNNNNNNNNNNNNNNNNNNNNNNNNNNNNNNNNNNNNNNNNNNNNNNGAUUUCAAUUGGUAUUCAGAGCGUCAGCUCUUAAUACAAAUAGAGAGAUCCUAGGAUUUGUUUUGGUGUUUAGGUGUGCUCACUGUGGAACGGGAUCGAGUUGCUGGAUCUUGCAACUCCCCUCCUUAUUUUGAUGGAAACAACUACGCUGCUUGGAGAGAAAAAUUUGAGAUAUUCCUUGAUGCUCUUGAUGAGUACGCAAGUGAGUAUCUCACAAAAGAGUGGGUUGCUCCUGUCAAGACUGUUGAGAGUAAUGUUGUGCCCAAGCCUAGGUCGGAAUGGACUGAAGCUGAGGUGUUUGCUGCAUAUUCAAACAAGAAGGCCAGAAAUGCCUUAGUUACAGCCUUGUCUAGCACACAAUUUUCACAUAUACAACACAUCCUAAAUGCGAAACAGGCUUGGGAUAAACUAAGGGUGGUUCAUGAAGGGGAUGACCAAGUUAGAUCCCUAAAACUUCAGAUGAUGCCUGCACAAUUUGAAGAACUUAGGAUGUCUGAAACUGAGUCUAUUUCUGAGUUCUAUGGGAGAGUUGAGAUGAUCACUAAUGAAGCCAUGAGUCUCGGUCAACCUAUUGAUGAGCUUCUUGUUGUUCAGAAAAUCCUUCGUGUUCUACCAUCUAGGUUUAGAGCAAAGAAAACCGCAAUCAUGGAGGUCCAAAACUUAAAUGAAAUUAAGCUUGGCAAGCUCGUAGGAAAAUUGAAAACCUAUGAGAUGGAGUUGAAUAUGGAAAAGAAUGACACUAAAAAAUCAAAAAAUGUUGCACUUCAAGGAGUGAAUGAUUCCUCUCUGAAAGGUGGUGAAAAAUCCUCAGGUUUUGAGGAUGAGAUGGCUUUGUUUGUCAAAAAAUUUAGGAGAAUUCUUAGGGAUAAAGGAAAGUUUGCUAGAAAGGGCAGCUCUGGUAGUGAGAGACAAGUUAGACCAUCAACUGAUCAGUCUAAUGAGAGGAACAAGGAUGUCAAACCUUUCACUAAAGAUUUUAGAAAAUCUGUCAAGUGCUUCACAUGUGGAGGCAUUGGGCACUAUGCUGCCCAUUGUGCAAACAAUCAGAAAAAAUACUCCAAAGGAAAGGACAAGGCCAUAAAAGUUAGCUGGAGUGAGAGUGAAAGUGAAGUGUCUCAAGGGGAUUCAUUUUUCUCUGAUAAUGAUGACCAACAUGUUGCUUUUGUUGCCUCUGUGCAGUCAGUGUCUGAUAAAUCUGAUUCUGAGUCAGAUGACCUGUCAUACGAGUGAUUAGGAAGAAAAUAUGAUUGUUUGUUCAAAGAGACAUUGUCUUUGAAAGAAGAGAGCCUCAAACUUGAGGCCAACAACCAUGAACUUCAACAUGAAAUCCUCAUCUUAAAAGAAACCAAAAAGGAGUUGAGUGACAAAUUUGUGUCUCUAGAAAAAGAAUUUGUUGCACUUGUGUCAAUUAGGAGUAAUCUUGAAAAUCAAGUUAAUGUGCUCAAGGAAAGUAACAUUGGUUUCCAGAACUCAAACAAAUUGCUCCUAGGUAAAUUGAAUGAAGCAAAAAAGUAAGGUUAUAUCUAUGACCAUUGGUGCCUCAAAAAUUGACAAAAUGUUGACUAUGGGAAAACCUCAUGGGGACAAAGGUGGUCUUGGAUUUAAUCAUUUUGAUUCUAGUUCGUCUAGCUCUACCACUAGGUUUGUCAAUUCAAAAACUCCAACCAUGGCUUCUCUUGAUGCUCAGCCGGUAGUCAAGAAACCUAAGUUUGUUCCAACUUGUCACUGGUGUGGGUUGACUGGUCAUAUUCGAUCAAUCUGUCUUAUGUACAAAAAGGAUAAGACUAGAAAAUUGUCUUCAAAAUCUAAAAAUCCAAGAUCUUUGCAAGAUCAGGUUGAUCAUUUGCUAAAAGAAGUAACUAAGAUUGCAAAACUUGUCUCCCUUAAAAUGUGUUCACCUAUUGUGCCUAAGUCUACUUGGGUUGAAAAAGGUCAUACCAAAUGUCUUGUUGUGCUAAAUGCUUUUGCUGCAUCAAACACCAACUCUUGGUACUUUGAUAGUGGCUGUUCCAAACAUAUGUUUGGUGAUAAGAGUGUCUUCUCAUCUCUCAGUCCUUUUGAUGGAGGCACUGUGACUUUUGGUGGAGGUCACAAGUCUCAAGUUUUUGGAAAAGGUACUGUUUGUAUCCCUGGUUUACCCGAGCUUAAGAAUGUUAGAUGUGUUAAGGGUCUUACAUCCAAUCUCAUUAGUGUGAGUCAGCUGUGUGAUGAUGGAGUAAUAGAAGUUAGAUUCUCCAAGCAUGGGUGCAAAAUCGUUGGAAAAUGUGGCAAUGAGAUUGUGAGCGUGACUAGGUCUAGGGACAAUUGCUAUUGUAUUGAUGGUGUCAAUGAUGAAAAAGAAGUAGUUUGCAAUAAGGUUGUGAAUGAAACAAGUGUCUUGUGGCAUCAAAGGCUUGGACAUGUGAACUUUAGAGACUUGCAUAAAUUGUCCAAGAAAGAGUUAGUGAGUGGAUUACCAAAGCUUGACAAAUCUGAUCAACAUGUUUGUGAAGGAUGUCAAUUGGGGAAGCAAGUUAGAGUGUCUCAUAAGAAGGUCAAACACAUUCAAACACAAGUAAGCCUUGAACUUGUUCACAUGGACAUUGUUGGUCCUAUCCAAACCUUGUCCCUUGGUGGAAAGAAAUAUAUUCUUGUCAUGGUUAAUGAUUUCUCUAGGUUCACUUAAGUCUCAUUCUUACGUGAGAAAUCUGAAACUUUUCUAAGGUUUAAGUCUGUUUGUCAUCUUUUGCAAAAAGAAAAGAUGACUAGUCAUCUGCCUCUUGUUAGAAUUAGAACAGAUCAUGGUUCUGAGUUUGAGAAUUCUCAGUUUCUGAAAUUUUGUGAAGAAAUGGGAAUUAAGCAUGAGUUCUCUGCACCUAUUACACCUCAACAAAAUGGUGUUGUGGAGAGAAAGAAUAGAGUUCUUGUUGAGAUGGCUCGGGUGAUGCUCAAUAGCAACAAUCUUGCUAAACAUUUUUGGGCUGAAGCUGUAAGUACAGCUUGUUAUAUCUCAAACAGGGUAUUUUUGAGGUCUGGUACCAAACAAACUCCCUAUGAGAUUUGAAAAGGAAAGAAGCCUAAUGUGUCAUAUUUUAGAGUCUUUGGUAGCACAUGCUAUAUUUUGAAAGAUAGGGAGCAUCUUCCUAAGUUUGAUUCUAAGUGUGAUAAGGGAAUAUUUCUAGGGUGUUCCACUUUAAGCCGAGCUUAUAGAGUGUACAACUGUAGGACCAGAACCAUCAUUGAGUCCAUAAAUGUCAAAAUUGAUGAUUUUGCUGCCUCUACUGAGAUGGCAUUAGAUGAGAAUGGUCUUUUUUCUCCUCAUCUCGUGCAAGAAUCUCUAGGUCUGGAUCUUGUAGUUGACCUGUCAACUUUCGGAAAUUUUGUCCCAGUUGACCUGUCAACUCCUUCAACCUCUAGUUCCAUCUCAUCUAUCCAAGUUGUCAGCUCCCAUGCUGAUCAUAGCCCUCUCACUCAAACUGAGAGUGUCAUUAUUGGUCCUCUUAAUCAGGGAGUGAGAACUAGGAAAUAAUUAGCUCAAGAAAUUAGUCAUGUGUGUUAUGUCUCAAAAGAAGAACCUAAGAAUGUGAAAGAGGCGUUGAACCAUGGUGAAUGGUUUCUUGCAAUGCAAGAAGAGCUGAAUCAGUUUGUUAGAAAUGAUGUUUGGUACCUUGUUCCCAGACCUACCAAUACAAAUGUUGUAGGUACUAAGUGGAUUUUCAAGAACAAAACUGAUGAGCAAGGUAAUGUUGUUAGAAACAAAGCUAGAUUAGUUGCUCAAGGUUACACUCAAAUGGAAGACAUUGACUUUGAUGAAACUUUUGCCCCUGUUGCAAGACUAGAAUCAGUUAGAUUACUUCUUGCUAUUGUUUGUCACUUAAAAUUCAAACUUUAUCAAAUGGAUGUCAAAACUGCUUUUUUGAAUGGUAUUUUAAAUGAAGAGGUCUAUGUUGAACAACCAAAGGGUUUUGAAGAUCCACAUCAUCCAAAUGAUGUGUUUCAGUUAAAAAAGGCACUCUAUGGUUUGAAACAAGCUCCUAGAGCAUGGUAUGAGAGGUUAUCUUCUCAUCUUCUAAGAAAUGACUAUGUUAGAGGGUCAAUUGACAAAACUUUGUUUGUCAAAAGGUUCAAAAAUGAUGUCUUGAUUGCUCAAGUGUAUGUUGAUGAUAUUAUGGUUGGUUCUACCUCUGACUUGCAUGUUCAAGAGUUUAUUCAUGUCAUGACUAGUGAAUUUGAGAUGAGUCUUGUAGGUGAGCUUAACUAUUUCUUAGGUCUUCAAAUCAAACAAAGCCAUGAUGGGAUCUUUGUAUCUCAAUCGAAAUAUGCAAAAAAUCUUGUGGAAAAGUUUGGUUUUGAGGAUGCAAAAUCUGCAAGAACUCCAAUGAGCACUAGUGCUAAAAUUCAUAGAGACUUGCAUGGCAAAAGUGUGGAUCAAACUCUCUAUAGAAGUAUGAUAGGAAGUCUUCUCUACUUGACUGCUAGUAGACCAGAUAUUUCUUAUAGUGUUGGAGUGUGUGCUCGGUUUCAAAGUGACCCAAAAGAGUCUCACUUGUUUGCUGUUAAGAGAAUCAUAAAAUAUGUGAGUGGGACUGUUGAGUUUGGGUUGUGGUAUACCUAUGACACUUGUGUCAGUCUGGUUGGUUAUAGUGAUGCCGAUUGGGCAGGUUGUAGAAACCCCUCCCGGGGGGGGGGGGGGGGGGGUCUUUUAUGUAGGCAACAACCUUGUUGCUUGGCAUAGCAAAAAACAAAAUUCUGUCUCCUUAUCCACUACUGAAGCAGAGGAUGUUGCAGCUGGGAGUUGCUGCACUCAACUCCUUUGGAUGAGACAAAUGUUGGAAGCUAUGGUCUUGCUCAAUCAUGCUUUCUCAUCUAUUGUGACAACAUGAGUGCCAUAGACAUUUCUAAAAAUCCUGUUCAACACUCUAGGACUAAGCAUAUAGACAUUAGGCAUCAUUUUAUUAGAGAUCUUGUGGAAGAUAAAAUUCUAUCUUUGGAAUUUGUUCCCUUUGAGAAACAGCUAGCAGAUAUACUCACCAAGGCCUUGGACUUUCAGAAACAUGUCACACUUAGGCAGUCCAUUGGCCUUUGCUCAAUUGAUUGAUUAGCUUGUCUGUUCCUUAUCUUCAGCACAUUGCAGAAUUGUUGACUAGUCAUCUUCGUUUUAGUUGACUAGUCAAAUAUUUUUUUGGUGUGUAAAUGUCUAAAACAUAUGCUUCUUCUGAUCUCUGGUGGUAUGAAGUUUGAAUCAUUUUAUGCUUUGCCUGAUUUGUGGAUAAUUCCCCCCUUCUUGUUUGGAGCCAUUAGAUGAAAUCUUUUGGUGUUCUUUCGUCCUCUUGUUGAGACAAGUGUUGUGAUCCAUUAUGGACAAUCAUUGUUAUAAUCUCCUAUCUUUUCUCACUCUCUUAGGCAAUUUGUUUAGCAUUAAACAAAAAAUAAAAAAUAAACAAAAAAUAAAAAAAAUAAAAAAAAGUGUGACCAAUGUAGUCACGACUCUAGGAAGGUAUAAGGUGUUAUGAUUGAAGAAUCUAGAGCAAGAGCCGCAAAAUUGGGCCACUCAAGCACUUAAGUCUAGGAUGUGCAAAUAACAAGGAUAAUAAAUGGCCAGAUUGAGUGAUGAAAAUCAAAUAGGUUGGGUUUAUGCCUUGAGUUUGUCUUGAAGGUUUAUUAUAUACUUGUCUCUCCAAGAGGGGUAUUUCUUCUUCUCUUGUGUUCUUCUUUUGGCUCUGAACCUCCUCUGUCCAUUUUGCCUUAUCUCUGAGCAUGAAAUCUAAUUCAUAUUCUAUCUAUCAGAGUUAGUUGCACUUGUUUUUGUUUGCACAUGUGGUUAUCUUCUCUCUCUCUUCCUUCCUGUGCUUGAAGAUUUGGACUAGGCUAUAGUAGCUAAUAGAUCGUUGAUCACUUGAUAUAUUUGCUAGUUCAUGUUUGUGUUUUUUUUUUAAAAACCCACAAUCUUGUCUUCCACAGGGUCGAUACUAACUUUGAUGCGUGUCAUGAUAUUGCCUUAGUUGACUAGUCAUCUAUGCUUAUGGUUGACUAGUCAUCCGGUUGUGUUAUAUUUGAUGCCCGUCAUGUUAUUGCCUUAGUUGACUAGUCAUCAUUUUUGUGGUUGACUAGUCAUCUAGUUCUGCCUGUUUUUGUUAUUGCCUUGGUUGACUAGUCAUCAUGCUCAUUGUGGUUGACUAGUCAUCAGGUUUUUCUCCUGAACAAUACGUCCUUUUCUUUAGCGGUUAUUCUUAUUAUUUUAUUUUUUUUUCAUUUUUUUUUCUUCUCUUUUUUGUGUUUUGAGCGGUUCUUUUUCAUUGGGGUCAGUUUUCGCAUUUUUUCCUUUUUAGGUCUGUUUCCCUCUUCUUCGUUAGAGUCUACUUUCACUCCCGUUCUCUCUCUGUUCUCUUCAGACACAAACCCAGGCCCCCGCUUCCCUUUCUCCCUCUGUGUUAGUCUCUUCGCCCCUUCUUCCCUCUGUUUUUCUCUUCCAAUUUCUUCCCGCUGACCACCAUGUCGUCCUCCGCGCCCUUCCUCACUUACCAGCGCCGCUCCAAAUCCAAAUCCAAUGACAGAGUGGAUUUUAUACCCUCCAUUCCUAGGGCUCCUAGGACUCGCUCUUCUCACUCUGUUCCCGCUGGAGACUCCUCCCCGUUUGUGUCUCCUGAGGCAGCCUCGUUCUUCGAUGGUGUUGUCUCUAAAAGGAAGUUUGUGCCUGAGAGAGCUUACCAAAUUGAUGCUCCCCCCUUAGCGGCCCAGGGUUCUGCAACUCAGAUUUUUGAGCACUGCCAUCUCCAUUCUCUCAACACUCUGUCUGGUAAGUUCAAUGCUUCUGUCGUUAAAGAGUUUUACUCGAAUUUUCCUGCUGAUCCUAAGGGGUCUAAUUAUCAGUGUGUUGUUCGUUAUGUGCCCAUUACUCUGAGACCCUCUGUCAUUAAUAGGGUUUUAGGUUUUCGGUCUUGCCCUGGUUUUGAUUCUGAUCAGUUUGCUCUUGCCUCUUCUCAAUACACUAUUGAUCUAUUUAAAACCAUGGCCUAUACUGAUCAAACAAUGCCCCUGACUUCUAAAGGUGUUCCUAUGAAGUCUUAUCUGUCACCAUUCUACAAAUUUCUAUGGGAUUUUAUCUGUCACAAUGUUCUCCCAACUAGAAAUAAUUCAAACCCCACUUUGGCUGGCUGUCAACUCAUGAUUUCAAUGGUGAAUCAUGAUAAAAUUCCCUUUGGGGAUAUUCUUUAUCAUGCAAUUCUUGGCAAAACCAUAGGUCAUGGUACAAAACACAAAGGGACUCUUGUCUUCCCAUGUCUUAUCCAGCGUCUCUGUGAGAGAAACCAGGUGGUUUUUCUUGACUCUGAUCAGUGCACUCCUCCUAUUGCUCCAUUUGGCAAGGCUUUUGUUGCCCUUAGCCAAAAAGUUUCAAAAACUUUUCUCACCUCUGUGUCAUCUACUUAUGAAAAUGACUAUCUUAGAUCUCAGCUUGCUACCAAGGAGAAACAUAUUCAACAUCUGUUAAGCCUCAUUCCAUCCUCUUUGGUUCCUGCUGCUGCUGCUGCUGAAGUACAUCCUCAGCCGACUCCUGCCACGGAGGUCUCAGAUGAUUCUGUAGAUUCUGAUGAGUCUGCUGAUUCUCUUGUUUUUUAGCUACAGUGAUCUUGUAGGCAAUGUCCUAGAUAGGGGGAGUAUUUUUGGACAAGUAUAUGUUUGUAAUUCCCUUGUGGAAAUUUGUUUUUGCUUGGGUAGUCUGUGCAUCUUGAUAGGGGGAGUUGUGUUGUAUUAUUUUGAACAAGUGAUUUUUGCUUUGUAAUCAACCUAUGCUAUGUGUUUUUCACUUUGUUCAAAUCUGAUUAUCUGCCUUGUGUUUCAUCCCCUUGUAUGCUGACUCUCUCUCCUUGCACUUUCCUUAUCAACAAGGAGGAGAACACUCUCAACCCCCAUAUUGCAUAUUGUUUCAAAAUUCUGUGAUAUAAUAUGCCUGUUUUUGUGCCUGGAAGAUUGGUUGUUCUUGCAGGUAUCCUCACUUCAUCAUCUCCUUAGGCUUGGUUUUGGGUUGAGUGUUGUUAGAGAGUGUGUUGUCAAGGAAAGCCAAAAAGGGAGAGAUUGUUAAUGUAUGCAUUUUGGGUUUUUCUUUUGGCUUCCCUUGACAACUUUGUAAUAGGAUCUCUAUUGUUAUUUAUCAAGCUCAAGUUUAGAUUGAGAAUAGCUUCUCUAGGUGUUCUUAACUAACAACUAUCAUAUGGAGGUUCAUGCAAAUUGGCAAAGGUAAAUUGUGCAUUGCAUAACAUUGCAUUAUACUGUUUUCAUAAAAUGAUGACUAGUCAUAUGUUUCUUGGAUGACUCGUCAUCCUUGCUCUCCAGCUUGAUAACCAACUUUUUUGUCCUAUUCCUUUUUCUCUCUCUGCUGCCACAUGGGAUUCUGACCUAAGGGUAUUUUUUGGUCUGUAUAGGCCUUGCGAUUCCUCUUUUGGCAAGCCGUCUCUUUUGUGUAGAAUUGGAGGAAAGAUUGGUUUUCUAUAUUUCCGUUCUUCUUCCACAAGAAAGAACAAUAUUUCAUCUAUGAGUUUUUCCAAAUUGAUUUCUUUAUGAAAAAACUGCAUUUGAAAUAUGAAUUUGCAUCUAGCUUCAUAAAAACAUUCUCUCAUUUAUAUCUAGGUCAGAUUCACUACUGAUUUCUUCAAGAGUAUGGUUUCUUGAAGAAAUUGGUUAUUCUCCCUUGAAUCCAAAUUUUGGUUUCUGUUUGAGUUGAGCUUGCAAGCUGGUGCCAUGGGAUGAAUGACUGAAGAAGGAGCUGCCAUUGCCAUGAAGAACUGGGCUUCAAGCUUUGCUAAGUUAGAGAAGAAGAUUGCACAAAGGAGGUAUUGCUCAUCUUCCUAAAUAGAUCUAGGUUUUGCUUGAGCUUGCUUGUGUUCCUUUGUAAGAAUCUUUUUCUACUUAGUUGAUUGCCUGGUCGGUUGAUGACCCCCAGUUUUUUCCCAAUGGUGGGUUUCUGGGUGAACAAUUUCUGAUUGCAUUCUUGUAAUUUUUCUGGGUUUGUGUUCUUGGUGGUCGACUAGUCAUCGUAUGAAUUAUGGUUGACUAGUCAUCAUUAUCUGCUGUUUGGUGUUUGCUUGAUUAUGCUGUCUUCACACGUUUUCACCAUAGUUGUUGCUAGCACAGGGGAUGCCUAGAUUGAUGGGUCUUUCUGAGUGCCUAGGUUGUCACUAGUAAUUCUCUAGGCCUGCAGGUACAUCAUGGUAUGUUCUAUGUAUGUUGUUGUUUGGUAUAAUUCAUAUCUGACAGUUGACUAGUCAUAAGAGUGUGUGAAGUUUGUUGCAUUUUUGGCUGAAUAUCUUUUAAGUUUACCCAUCGUCACCUAAGUACCGAUUUCAACAUGAGACCUUGCCACAGUAGAUUGAUAUAACUAAAUAUUAUCAUAAACAUAGAAAUAUAUAAGUAUUAUUAUAAUAGGAUUCAUAAUAAUUAAUAUAAAAGUAUAACAACAACAUUUACAAUUAUGUACCAAGAUAAUUACACAUAAAAAUAUAACCAAUAUAUAUUUAUAUAUAUUUUUUAAAAUACGGAUCUUUACGUAAAUGCCUUUCACGGGUCAAGCCACAAGUCUGUGUUUUGGGGAUUGCAGAGCUGCAUCAAUCUUGCCAAUGUCAAUUCUGACCCUGGGCUCUCUCAAAGCACGUUUAAAACCUAUGCUAACAUAUACUAGAGUUUAUGCUGUAUCUAGAAAAUGCCAACACUAAUUUCGUAACACAUAGAAUUGUUAGAGAUUAGAAGUUUUUAUCAUUUUUUCUUCCAGUCUCUCCACCACUCACUAAUACAGAUUACUCAUGUGAUGAGUUUACAAAACCUAUUUCUCUACUCUCGCAAAGACUAUACUUCUUCUCAAAAGACUAGAUCACUUUACCUCUAUCUCUGUGAAAUGUAAAAAGUUGAAACUUUAAUGUCAAACCUCGACAAAGUGUUCUACUUACAAACUUCUUGUGUCUACCAAUUUCUACAAAAAUUAAUUUCUCUACGGUGCUCAGAUUCAUCAUAUGUGUGUCCUUAAUUUUAGUGGAAAUUGGAAGUUUCCAUAAUUUUUGCUUUAAGUCACUCUUUUGAAGGAAGUUGAGAUUCCACUCCAUAAUCCAAAAUGUCAGGUUGACUUAUGGCAAACAAUGUAAAUAUGUAGGAGUACUAUGACCUUUUAUAGCAUUUUAAGUUUGAAUUUGGGUUUUAUACAUAGAUUUCGAAAUUAAUAGGUUGAUGCCUAGGAAAUAGAAAUUGUAAGGGCCUAUAUUAGACUAGCCCUCUUAAAAAAUAUAUUAAUUAAUGAAUAUUUGUUCUUCUUCUUGUUUUGAAGUAGUGGUGGGAGGCAGACCAACAACAAAAAUAUAGUGAAGGCUUAUAAGAGCAUUUACAAUUAUGCUCCCUAUUUUUUAGUUAAUAUUUAGGUAAAAAUAGAAAAAAGUUAUUAUAUGAGCUCUUUAUAAAAUUUGAACUCCAAUCAUACUCCCUAGUUUAGGGAGUCAAAAAUACUAUAGUUAUUUUUUAAUUCAAAUUGAUUUUGGUUAAUCUCUAUAAAUAAAUAAAAAUAUAAAAAAUAGUUAGCAUUAAUUAAAAGUUUAAACUAUGCAUAAAACAAAGAAACAUUAAAUUAUAGGGAGCCACUAUGAGUCAUUACUCUCUCUUCAGAUUUAGGAGCUCCUAGAGGUCUCCCUAUUUUAUGAGGUGGAUAAAGAGCAUGGUUGGAGUUGUAUUUCUUCAAUUUCCUCUCUAAAAUUUGUCUAAGGAUGUGGUUUAGGGAGCCCAUUGUGAAUGCUCUAACUCUGGUAAAACACGAGUGACAUGGACAACAUAUGUUACAUCGUACUGAAGAUUUUUGGGUUUCUUUAAUUGGUUAAGUAGCAUCCACAAUGAGCUUUCUAAAUCAUCUCCUUAGACAAAUUUUAGGGAGGAAUUGGAAAAGUACAACUCCAACUAUGCUCCCUAUCCACCAACUAAAAUAGAGAGACCUUUAGGAGCUCAUAAAUCUGAUGAGAGAGAAAGAACUCUUAAUGACCCCCUAUAAUUUAAUGUUGCUUUAUUUUAUGCAUAUUUUGAACUUUUAAUUAAAUCAAAUUAUUAUUUUUAUAUUAUUUUGAAUACAGCCGGAUCAAUUAUAUUAAAUUAAAAAAUAAUUAAAAUAUUUAUAACUCUCUAAACUAGAAAGCAUGAUUGUAGAUCAUCUUAUAUACCUUAAUUUGAAGAUUCUUUAUUUGGGUUUCUUUCAAGACUUAUCACCUUAGCCACACCACCUACACGUCUGCAAGCUUCCGUAAUCUAACAAGGAAGGGGAGGCUGCGCAAUACUUAUCACCUUAGCCACACCACCUACACCACAAGACCAAUAUGUGUAGUCCAGCAGGCUUUCCAAUUUUAAUAUAUAUUAUAAAAUAAAAUAAAAAUCAAUCUAUUAUCAUAUAUAUUAUAAAAUAAAGAUUAUUGCUCCAUCCUCCAUGCACUUGCAUGCCCUCUUACAAAGUGUGAAGUAGAUUUUGUGUGCUCCAAGUCAUUGACGAGAGCUGUAACAUGGUUAGCUGGAUUUAUAAGAUCUUUUCUUUUCUGGGAAUUUUCUGAAUUAAGAAAAAUCAAGUAAAAUUAAUAAAGCAUAAAUUAGAAAGGGAAAAUAUCUAGAGGAUGCAUUGUAGGAUUGCACAUGCCAAUAAUUGUAUCCUCUAAAUAUAUAGCGACACAUUUUUUUUGUUUUCAUGACUUGUGGUCCUAAAAUUAUUGUUCCUAGCGGGCUUUUCACCCUCUCUCGAUUGAAAAUCAAUUGUGUAAAUCUUCAAUCUUGAAUGAUGCACCUAAAACUCAAGUGUCCCAGGCCAAUUAUUGCUCUCAUACCACUUGUUGUAAUAAACAUUCACCCAUUCUAAAGGAAAGAUAACCAUCGAUAUUAUCUGAAAUUUAACCACUUAAGUUCAUUAUGAUUAACUAUGUAUCUUAUGGACCAAUCCAAUCGUAAGGUUUUAUACUCAAUUAGAUCGACCAAUACAAAGUUCACACUGGAUUAAAAAGGGCUAUCGGUAGGGGAGUGUUCGGCACCCUUUACUGUGGAGCGCAACACAAGACCCCUUGCAUGCCCUCACUAAGUUGAGCCCAACUAUUUUUGAGCAUUAACAAUAUAUAUAGAUUGAAAAAAUAAAAUAAAAAUCAAUCUAUUAUCAUAUAUAUUAUAAAAUACAUAUUAUUGCUCCAUCCUCCAUACACUUGCAUGCCCUCUUACAAAGUGUGAAGUAGAUUUUUUGUGCUCCAACUCAUUGACUAGGGCUGAAACAUGGUUAGUUGGAUUUAUAAGAUCUUUUGUUUUUUGGGAAUUUUCUGAAGCACGGAAAAUCAAAUAAAAUUAAUAAAGCAGAAACUGUACCCUUUAAUUAUAUAUGGACAUAUGUUUUUUUGUUUUCAAGUCUUAGAUGACAUGGGGACCCCUCUCAAAUUUAAGUGGUCCAUUAUUGUUAACCACAUAUUUUAUGGACCAUCCAGCUUCGGUACAUUUCUCCCACAUGCCACAAUUGUAUAUUCACAAUUACGUCUGAUACAUCACAUCAUGCCACUUGCCUCACAUGCCACAAUUGUAUAUUCACAAUUACUUCUGGGUACCCCUCAUCAGUCGUCUAUAAAAUGGUGAAGCCAGUUGCUACUGUUACCAUAAGAGCCAGCUCCGACUUUCUUUAAUUUCUUGCUACAUCUGUUGCUAAGUUAAUUUCAGUCCUAAUGGGGUUUCAUCUCCCACUCAUCUUUGCUAUUCUCAGUGUAAGCUCUGCAAUUUGAUUAACUUUUCCAUUCUCUCUCAUUGUACUCUAUAUAUAUAAAUGAAAGUUUUGUGUUCCUAUAAUUCUCUCCGAUUUUAUUUAGUACGUACUUAAGUGUCGUCCACUAAUUAAUUACACUUUGUGAGAUUUGAUUUUAAUUAGAGUUCGAAUUAAUGUUGCAGCUAGCAGCGGUUGCACUGGCAAACAAUGCUGCUCAACCAGCACCUCAACUUUACUGGAACUCCGUCCUGCCAAACACACAGAUGCCAAGAUCUAUCAGUGAACUUCUGCAUCCUGGUUUGUGUUCAGCUCUUUAUAAUCUUAGAUAUCUCUUCUACCUGCCAUUUUACUAAACUAUGUUCGACCACAUAUUUAUCAGUUAACUACUGUCAUUACAAGAAUGACACUUAUUUUCCAAUAUAAUUUGCAGACUCCACAAAUGAAGAAAAGAGCAAACCUGAAAUUUUCCCAUUGCAGGGCAAUAGAGUUUACACUCAAAGCCAUUAUAAAAAACGUCCUCCUCCUCCAUCUGACGAGGGCAAACCUGAAAAUUUCCCAUUGGCCAAUAGCUUUUACACUCAAACCCAUUAUAAAAAACGUCCUCCUCCUCCAUCUGACGAGGGCAAACCUGAAAAUUUCCCAUUGGGCAAUAGCCAUUAUUCUCAAACAGGGUAUGCAAAAGGUCCUCCUCCUCCUCCUAAAAUUUUCCCAUUUUCAGGUUACAGUCGAAAAAGGUAUGGAGGAAGUCCUCCUCCUCCUUCUCCAUUCGUUCAAAAAGACUAUGGACAGAACGAUAAACAUUACGUUCAAAAAAACUAUGGAAAAGUUCCUCCUCCACCUGACAAUCAACUACUCCAUUAUAAAGACUUGGCUAUUUUCUUCUUCGAGAAGGACAUGCGCCCUGGCGCAACAAUGAAGUUCCAAUUCCCUAGAAAUUCAAACACGGCUACUUUCCUGCCACGCGAAAGUGCUCAAUCGAUCCCCUUCUCCUCUAAGAAACUACCAGAAAUUUUCAACCAUUUUUCAGUGAAGCCAACAUCUGAGGAAGCCAAAACAAUUAAGCAAACAAUCGAAGAGUGUGAAGCUCCAGGCCUUAAGGGAGAGGAAAAAUAUUGCGCCACAUCUUUAGAAUCAAUGGUUGAUUUUAGCACUUCGAAGCUUGGAACAAGAAACGUUGAAGCAAUCUCAACGGAGGUAUUGGAAGAAGGAGCCACCAAGUACAUGCACAACUAUACAACAAUGCCGGGACUGAAGAAGUUGGAAGGUGACAAAGUCGUUGUGUGUCAUAAGGAGAACUAUCCCUAUGCUGUGUUUUUCUGCCAUGCAAUAAAACAAACAGCAGCUUAUGUUCUCUCCCUGAAAGCCGAUGAUGGGAUGAAGGUGAAAGCAGUAACCAUCUGCCAUCUAGACACAUCAGAAUGGGACCCAGAGCAUUUGUCCUUCCAAAUCCUCAACGUUAAGCCCGGAACCACUCCCAUCUGCCAUUUCCUUUCCACUGAUGCUAUUGCCUGGGUUCCAAAACACAAGUCUGCAUGAUCAUCACUUAGCACUGUACGUAUAAUAAGCUUGGUCGGGUUGCACCCUAGGCCUGCAUAAUUAUCUCCCUACUUAUUUCUGCCUCUUUAUCAUGCGGUGUAAGAUAUAUGAUGAGAUGAAGUUUUCUCUUGUAACUAUGUAGACUACUUCAACUUGUACUCAUAAUAAAGCACGCUGUUGGGGGGUUCUACUUAAUUUCGUUCUCUCCAAUGUUUGAGUGUUGAAUUGUUACGUUGGAAUAGGCUGCUAAUGCAUGUAGUUAGAGAAGCCUUCAUUUAUAUCAAAGUCCUCAAACUAUCAAGAAUUAAUGUAUCCAGAAACAUAUACCAAGACGCAAAAUGUCACAUCCCGGAAUCAGCUACUUCCCAGUGGGUCACCCAUCCUGGGAUUGCUCUAGCCCCCAACUCGCUUAACUUCGGAGUUCCUACGAUUCCGAAGCCAGUGAGCUCCCAAAAGGCCUCGUGCUAGAUGGAUGCGGGUGUGCACAUAUAAGGCACAAUACCCCCUCUCCGUUGGUUUGAUGUGGGAUCUUACAAUCCACCCCCCUUAAGGGUCCGACGUCCCCGUCGAUACACUCGCACCACACGGCAGAGUGGCUCUGAUACCAAAUUGUCACAUCCCGGGAUCAGCUCCGCCGUAGCACGAUAUUGUCCGCUUUGGGCCCCCCUCUCUGCCCUCACGGUUUUGUUUCUGGGAGCUCACGAGCAACUUCCCAGUGGGUCACCCAUCCUGGGAUUGCUCUAGCCCCCAACUCGCUUAACUUCGUAGUUCCUACGAUUCCGAAGCCAGUGAGCUCCCAAAAGGCCUCGUGCUAGAUGGAUACGGGUGUGCACAUAUAAGGCACAAUACCCCCUCUCCGUUGGUUUGAUGUGGGAUCUUACACAAAACAACAUAUUUUCCAUUCUCUGUCUGUAACACCAAGGCAAACUUCCUUUAUCACAUCAUUUAAAGGAUCAAAUUCCAGUACUAAUCUAAUCCAUCAUGUAAAGCAUACAAGUGCCUACCUAAAUUUGUCCAUUGGAUAUAUAUGUCACUUCUUAUUUUUUGAUAGAGAUAUAAAUGUUGAGAAAAUUAGAGUACACAACUCCAAUAUAGACUUGUUAGAGACAAAACAAGUAAACAAAUUCCUUGUAUUAGACUCACAAAAUAUUAAAACAAGACAACUCUCAAAGAAAAGACAAACUCUCACACUUCUCACAAGGACUACUUAACUUUAUAGCUUAUUGCAUAUAGCAUAUGCAAACACAAUUACAACAUACCUACGUACACUAUGGAAACACUCGUGUAUAUUUGAACACAAGAAAACAUGUGCACCGUGCACGGUUCACAUGAAGUAAGAAAUGAAGAGGAAAUAAAGGAGAAGAAUACAAAAGAAAAUGGAGAUGAGAAAAAAAAAACACGAAUAAUGAAAAAUGAAUUGACAAUUAUAUGUGGUUGACAUUAGAUCUAAUAUUAUAUGUAACAACUAUUGAUCUAAAAUAAACAUUAAAUCAAACAAUAAUUAAAAGAUUUGACAAUAUAAAAAUUUAUUGAGGACAAAAAAAGGCAAAAACUUAUGAAAAAUGGAAACAAUAAAUAUGAACUGAGUCAUCAACUCAUCAUGGUAAGUUUGCUGACGUAUAAAAAUAGUCAAUGAACUACAUCGAAAAGUAAUUGGCUUACAUCAAAAAUUAAAAUCACGUGGUCUACCUACUAUAUAGGAUGAAAAAAUUACGUGAACAAUAUACUUACACCAUGGGAACACUCCUAUAUAUUUGAACACAUGAACACGUGUUCAAGGUUAUAUAUUUCAUUACCUUCACAAUAGGUACCAAACCGUACCAUGCGAACAUUCAUAUACGCACAACAUACUUAUAACAUACCUACACUAUGGGAACACUCGUGUAUAUUUGAACACAAGAAGACCUGUGCACCACCGUGCACGGUUCACAUGAAGUAAGAAGAUGAAGAGGAAAUAAAGAAGAAGAAUACAAAAGAAAAUGGAGAUGAGAAGAAGAAAAAAAAAACACGAAUAAUGAAAAAUGAAUUGACAAUUAUAUAUGGUUGACAUUAGAUCUAAUAUUAUAUGUAAUAACUAAUGACCUAAAAUAAACAUUAAAUCAAACAAUAAUUAAAAGAUUUGACAAUAUAAAAAUUUACACGUAAGCAAACUCACCAUGGUAAGUUUGCUGACGUGUAAAAAUAGUCAAUGGACUACAUCGAAAAAUAAUUGGCUUACAUCAAAAAUUAAAAUCACGUGGGUUAUUCCUAAGAAACCUUAAUAUUUUUGGGUUUAUAUAUUUUUUGUAUUUUUUUAAAAUAAAAAAAAGAAAAGAAAUCUGACCAUGUAUGUAUGAUGAUGAUAUGCAUGUUAUUUUUAGACCUAAGGUAAAACAGACAAACUUUUUACUCCAUUUUUCAUGAGGUUUAUCACAAUAAUUAAACUGUUAUAUCCUCCAUUUUAGAUCUCAUGCUUCCAUUUAAAGAAAAGAAUAUCAACAACAAAAAAAAGAAUAAAGUUACAACAUUGAUCAAUUCAAAUGUCCAACUACCGGAUCAUGAGCUCCUGCACUUAGCGAUAUGCAGAUAAAUGCGUAGUGUCUUAAUGCAGAGGCUCGGGAUCCCCAACUACCAUUGAAACAUAAGAAACUAAAAUCUGCAAGAAAAUGCUAUCAAUUGAAAAAACAAUAAUUAAAAAACAAAAAAAGGAAGGGAAUUCGCACCGCUAUGCAAAAAAGAGCAAGUCGGUUCAAUGAUUUUUUUUCUUCUUCUUUUUGUUAUGGAAAUGAAAAGCUCAAUGAUGGGCUAUAUAUAGGAAGAAGCUCAAUGAUUGAAUUAUUAUCUUCUAUCUACAUUCUACCCUCUUCCUCGCUACAUACACAAAUGGUGCACACCAGUAACUAAGCUUGUUUUGGGUUCGGUGGCUCACUGUAAAAGCUCAAUGGAGAUGGUUUGAGGUAGAAUUUUCUCCUAUUUCAAUAGGACAAUGAUGAGCUCUAUGGAUUUUUUUUGUUUGUUUAUAGAAAUUAAAUGGUAUAGGGUCUAUCUAUAUUAUUAAUGCUAAGAAUGAGAAUAUGACUAAAUAACUCAAAAAAAAUUUAUAAUAAAUCAACAAUUUUUUUUUUUUAAAAAAAAAUCUAUAGAAUCUUUUAUUAGAUCAAUAGGCACCACUAGAAAAUCUCCAUAUAAGCCACUACUAAUACACCCGUGACUACUGACAAACCCGUAGCCAAAGAGUAUUGGCCACCUGCCACACGACAGUGGUCCAAGCAUAAUGUUGUCAUUCAUUAUUCCCCACAGCAACCAGCAUCCAAUAAAGGGUUGGGGCCCACCCAUAUUCCACCUCUCUUUAUGAAUAUAAAAGAAAUAUUUUUUAUUCAACAUGGACGCAGAAACUGUUGCUAAACUGCAAACUUCUUAAAAUAUUUAUCUAACUUUCUAGAUCCAUGUACUGAGAUUUAUUAGGGAAAUAUUGUAGAAACUGAUUAUUUUGAAAUAUUAAAUGUGAAAAACUGAACAAAAAUUUGAUGGGUUACAUAUUUCAACUCAUUUCAGCAGCUUAGAUUUUGAAGACCUCGGAAGAGGCUAUGCAAUGAGCCUAGCUAGUGCACUGUUGAUCACUUCAGUGUCUACCGAUCUGUAAUUUUUCCAGAUUGGUUAUAUUUUCCUUUACAUAUUCUUAUAUUACCGAUCACUUCAGUGUCUACCGAUCUCAUAUUUCUGGCAGAACAAUAAAUCUUUCAACAUUAAAAGUUUAAAACUCCAAGAUGCUAAAUUUAACGUUAAAAUAAAUAAUUAAAAGGGCUAAUGAAACCUAUAUGCCCAGGUGAGGAGCAUGCCACAAACUUAUUUCAACCCCAAAACUUCAUUAAAAAGCCCAAAACACUCAAUGAGGCAUCUAAGUAAUUUAAUAAUUAAAAUUAAAUUCAAUAUGACCAGCUAUCAUUUUUUGGGUUUUUUUUUGUUUGUUUCUAGAAAUUAAAUAGUAUAGGAUUUAUUUAUAGUUUUAGUGCUAAAAAUGGGUAUAUGACUAAAUAUCUCUAUAAAAAAAAUACCUAUAUGUUUGAGAAACAAAAUAAUAAAACUACAACAUAGGUUAAAAACAUUCUAAUAAACUCAAUACAUAUGGUCUACGUACUAUACAGGAUGAAAAAAUUACAUGAACAAUAUACCUACACCAUGGGAACACUCCUGUAUAUUUGAACACAUAAACACGUGUUCAAGGUUAUAUAUUUCAUUACCUUCACAGUAUUCAUCAAAACCCACCAUGGGAACAUUCAUAUACACACAACAUAACAUACCUACACUGUAGGAACACUCGUGUAUAUUUGAACACAAGAAGACAUGUGCACGGUUGAUGUGAAGUAAGAAGAUGAAGAGGAAAUAAAGAAGAAUAAUACAACAGAAAAUGGAGAUGAGAAAAAAAACACGAAUAAUAAAAAAUGAAUUGACAAUUAUAGAUAGUAGACAUUAGAUCUAAUAUUAAAUGUAAUAACUUUUGAUCUAAAAUAAACAUUAAAUCAAACAAUAAUUAAAAGUUUUGACAAUGUAAAAAGUUAUUGAGGACUAAAAAAGGCAAAAACAUUUGAAAAAUGGAAACAAUAAAUAUGAGCUGAGUCAUCAGCUCACUAUGGUAAGUUUGCUGACGUGUAAAAAUAGUCAAUGGGUUAGAUUAUUAUUUGUGGGUAACUAAAAUCUCGUUUAACAACAAUAGUUAACGUUUGUUUAGAGAAGGAAAAAAACUUGAUGAUGUGUCAUGUUCUAAAGGGUUAGAUUAUUGUAAUGGCUUAGAUUUAAUGAAAUACAGGUAAAUGCGUAAUGUCCAAAUGUAGAGGCUCGGAAUCCUCAUCUACCAUUGAAACAUAAGAAACUAAAAUUUUCAAGAAAAUGCUAUCAACUGAAAAAACAAAAAACAAAAAACAAAAAGGGAAGGGAAUUUGCACCUGCUAUGAUGGGUUGAAUGAUUUUUUCUUCUUCUUCUUCUUUUUCUUUUUCUUUUUGGUUCUUUAGAUCUAGUUGCACAUUCCAAAGAAAUAAAACCUCAGGCAUGCAUGCAAUGCAAGCUCUUUUCCCAUGUUUUCCUCUGUUUUCCUCCUAUUUUCCCAUGCAAACUCUUUUCUUAUAUGGAAGUGAUUAAAGUGUGAUUCAUUGAAUAUUUGCGGGGUUUUGUUCAGACCUAACAAAGUUCUAAGUGAGCACAUCAAAUUUCUUUUACCCAAUCAAAUUCAACUAGGUUUAUUCUACGACCUUAUGCUCGAUCAUUUUCCACAAGCAACCGUCCACGUACCAAGUAUUUAUUUUAUAUCAACGAGUACGAUGGUCCAUGUAAGUAUUCUAAUAAUUCACUCCAGUUGCAGGCCCCAAUAAUAUAGAAGGGCCAAUGGUCUUUCAUUUGAUGAAAGCUGCUAUCUACUGAUAACAAAGUUCAAUGAAGACGUAGGAAGAAACUUUGAGAAGAAGCUUGCAAUUUCUUUUAUUGAUUUUCUCUCUUUUUCGAUCUACUUCACAAUGAACAGUAUCUAAUAUUUAUAUGACAGAAGCACUUAGCUUCUCAGCUACGACUUAACAAACACGUGAACCCACGUGAACUUCUAACUAACUAAACGCAUUAUAUACAUGUCUUUUGCCAAUCAUCCCCCCUCAAUCGCAGUGGUGGCUGGACCAACACUAAGAUUGUGACAGUGUUUCAAAAACAAUGGACUAUGCAGGCCCUUUGUGAAAAUGUCGGCAACUUGUUCUUCAGUAUUGACAUAUCGAACCACCAAAUCAUGACGCUGAACCCGUUCUCUGAUAAAGUGAAAAUCAAGUUCUAAAUGCUUUAUGCGAGAGUUUAAAACUGGAUUACUACUUAAGGCCAAUGCUGAUAAAUUGUCACUAUGUAAGACUGGAGCUUCAGGAACAAUAAUAUGUAAGUCUUGAAGAACAUAUCUGAUCCAAGAGAUAUCAGCAGCACAGUUGGCAAGAGCUCGAUACUCUGCCUCUGUAGAACUACGAGAGACAGAAGAUUGCUUACGAGAGGACCAAGAGAUAGGAUUCUGUCCAAGAAAUACAACGUACCCUGUAGUAGAGCGACGAGUAUUGGGAUCCCCAGCCCAAUCUGCGUCACUAUAGCCAACCAAAACAGAAGAACCAGAUGUAAAUGUCAAACCAUAAGAUAAAGUGCAUUGCACAUAUCUCAGUAUACGCUUAACUAAAGUCAUAUGAAUAUCAGUAGGAGCAGUCAUAAACUGGCAUACGGUGUUCACAGCAUAUGCCAGAUCUGGGCGUGUGAAUGUGAGGUAUUGAAGAGCUCCAACCAAGCUGCGAAACAUUGUAGGAUCAGGAAGUAAUGUACCAUCAGUUGUCAGAACAUGACAAUGAGGUUUACAAGGUGUAAUUGAUGGUUUACAAGUUUCCAUGCCAGCUCUCCUAAGUAAAUCACGAGCAUAUUUAGCUUGGUUGACAAACAAAUCACCAUUGGACUGAUAAGAAACCUCCAAGCCCAAGAAAUAAGUAAGCUGGCCAAUAUCUUUCAUAUCAAACACUUGUCCCAAAUCAUCAAUCACAGAUUGCGCUAGGGUAGAACUUGACCCCGUGAUGAUAAUGUCAUCCACAUACAGCAAAAGAAUAACCACAUUAAGACCAUCAUGCUUCACAAAGAGACUAGGAUCGGAGUGUGAAGAAACAAAGCCCAAAGCUGGAAGAUAUCCAGUGAACUUGGCAUUCCAAGCACGUGGUGCCUGUUUAAGACCGUAAAGAGACUUUCGUAGCCGACAUACAUAAUCUGGAUAAUGAUCAUCAAUGAAUCCCAAAGGCUGUUUCAUGUACACUUCCUCCUGUAGGUCACCAUGAAGAAAGGCGUUUUUAACGUCCAAUUGGCGCAAACACCAUCUAUGAGAUGCAACCAAACUUAAAAUCAAUCGAACUGUGGUAUGACGAACUACAAGACUAAAGGUUUCGUCAAAAUCUAUACCUUGUUCUUGACUAAAACCUUGUGCAACUAAACGAGCUUUAUAUCGAGCAAUACGUCCAUCAGCAUGUCUUUUAAUUUUGUAAAUCCAACGACAACCAACAAUAUUCUUAUCAGAGGGUGAAGGAACUAAAUUCCAUGUACCUUGAGUUUGUAAUGCUUUAAUUUCCUCUGUCAUAGCCUGCUGCCACUCAGACUUUGUACUAGCUUCUCGAAAAGUAUGAGGCUUAUCAAGAGCAGUAAUUGUAGAUAAACAAGUGGAAAAACAUUGAAAAUCACCAAAAUCUUUCUUCUUGCUAAUACCACUUUUAAGACGAGUUUGCAUAGAAUGACCAUGCUGUGGAAUGGAAAUAUGAGAAGAAGAACUAGAGGCAUCUGUGACAGAGAGAGGAAGCAAAACCUGUAAUUGAGCAGGAUCCAAAAUAGGUUGCAUAGUCUGAGCAGAACCUAAGACCUCUUGAGCCUCAUAUGUAGAUACUGAAGAAGAUGAAUUCUCAUUUGAACAUGGGAGAGGAGAGUGAUCAGACUCUGUGGUAGUAACAUAUCUAUAAGGCAAUGAAACUGCUAUAGCUGAGGGAGACAAUUGUGUCAUGACAGAAGAAGAUUAGGUUGAGGAUACUGAAUAAUUCUUCAUUGGAAACUGAGUUUCAUCAUAAAUCACAUGUCUUGAAAUAACCACUUUAUGAGUGUCAGGAUGAAAACAAAUAACACCCUUAUAACCAAGAGAAUAUCCAAGGAACACAUGCUCUGCUGAUCGUGGCUCUAACUUGUGAGAAUUAUAGGGUCGAAGAAGUGGAUAUACUGCAGAUCCAAAAACCUUUAAUGAUUGAAGCUCAGGAUUAUGACCAAACAAUUUGAAGUAUGGAGAUGUCAUUUGAAGAAGCUGACAAGGCAUACGAUUUAUGAGAAAGGUAGCAUGAGCUGCAGCAUAGUACCAAAACUUGUCAUUCAAGGCAGCAGUAGCAAGUAAUGUAAUUGUGGUUUCAAUAAUUUGCCUAUUCUUCCUCUCAGCAACCCCAUUUUGCUGAGGGGUAUAAGGACAUGAAAUCUGAUAGAAGCCAAGAAAUCUUUAAAUGCUUUACUAUUAUACUCCCCACCACCAUCAGAUUGAAAAUAUUGCACAGAAGCUUGAAAGUUCUUAGUAAUAUACGCAUGAAAUUUCACAAGUGUGGGAAAAACCUCAGAUUUAUUGAUUAAUGGAAAAAUCCAGAGAAAUCGAGUACAGUCAUCGAUGAUUGACACAUAAUGUCUUUUCCCAUGUUUUCCUCUGUUUUCCUCCUAUUUUCCCAUGCAAACUCUUUUCUUAUAUGGAAGUGAUUAAAGUGUGAUUCAUUGAAUAUUUGCGGGGUUUUGUUCAGACCUAACAAAGUUCUAAGUGAGCACAUCAAAUUUCUUUUACACCAUCAAAUUCAACUAGGUUUAUUCUACAACCUUAUGCUCGAUCAUUUUCCACAAGCAACCGUCCACGUACCAAGUAUUUAUUUUAUAUCAACGAGUACGAUGGUCCAUUCUAAUAAUUCACUCCAGUUGCAGGCCCCAAUAAUUUAGAAGGGCCGAUGGUCUUUCAUUUGAUGAAAGCUGCUAUCUACCAACCCUGCAAUAUGAGCUAUGCAAUGGUGAUGGUGUUACAUGACGUCAGAAUGUCGUAGGGAAAAUAAAAAAUAAAAAGUCAAGGUUUCUUAUUAAUGUUAAUAAAGGCAUAGCAAAAAAUUUGUAGCUCCAAUUGUUCAAAGCAAUUACCCAUGCACUUGAGAUUCUGUGUUUGAAUCUCCAAUUUUCUCUAAUAUUGUUUGUAUAAAAAUAAAAACUUUUGAAAAGACAUUAAUAUUGUAUUCUAUAUUCUAUAAAGUGUUGGACAUGUUUUAUAUUGUUGACAACCCCCUAAUACUUUGGUGGUGCCUAGUUAUAUUCAAUUCGUAUUUAUUUAAUUUGCCACUUACAUUCUUGCCUUAAUACAUCUAGGCUUAUUUUUAUACUAAUUUCUCUAACAUAACUUUUGCACAUUCUUUUAGUCUCUAAUAUAUAUAUUCUAAUAAAUGAUCUUACCCACUUGAGUUAUAAAUCUUUUUUUUUUAAUCAUGAAAAAUCGACAUUUUGACAGUGAGUUGAAAAGCACUCCCCAAUUUUAAUGUCAACCACUUGAAAAAAAAAACAUAAAUUUAAUGACAACAAUUACAUUUAGCAAUGCAACCUAAAUACUCAAAACCUUUGCGCCCCUUUUGCAACGCAUAUAGCAGGGUGAGGAUAUUGCCAAAGGAACUGCGAUAGCCAAUUAAAAAAAAAAGUAAUGAAGGCUUAUAACUCUGGGUUAAGAGAUUGGUCGUGGAGAAUUUACAUAAUUGGAGAAUGUACCAUCCCACAUCGACCAACGGAGAGAUGGUGAUGUGCCUCAUAUGUACAUGCCCACCUCCAUCUAGCACGAGGCCUUUUAGGAGCUCACUGCAUUCAGAGUCAUUGGAACUCCGAAGUUAAGCAAGUUUAAACUAGAGCAAUCCCAGGAGUGGUAAUCCACUGGGAAGUUACUCGUGAGUUCCUAGAAACAAAACCGUGAGGGCAAGGGGCCGAAAGCAGACAAUAUCGUGCUAUGCCCACCUCUAUCUAGCACGAGGCCUUUUGGAAGCUCACUGGCUUCGGAGUCAUGGGAACUCUGAAGUUAAGCGAGUUUGGGCUAGACCAAUCCCAGGAUUGGUGACCCAUUGGGAAGUUGCUCGUGAGUUCCCAGAAACAAAAUCGUGAGUGCAGGGAGCCCAAAGCCUACAAUAACGUGCUAUGGCGAAGCCGAUUCGGGGUAUGACAGAGAAUAUUCAAAUAUUCAAAAUAUUUAUUUCUUUGGAGUGGAGAUUUCAGCUUGAAGACCAACAAUCAAUGAUCAUGAUUUUAAUCCAAGAAGGCAUAAAUUCAACGACAAAUUUUUGUCAACCCGGGGAGAAUGAUGCAGAUAAAAAGCCAUUAAAGUUUAUGGGGCAUUUGAAUCAAAAGCAUUAAUAAGUUCAAUGCAUGAACGUUUUGUUUUGGCUUCUAAUAAAUUCUAUGUAUUUGGAAUGGAAUAGCUAGAGUCGUAAUUAUUUGGAUGGGGCUUAAUGUAUUUGGAUUAAUAGGUUAAUUAAUUUAGGUGCUAGUUCAAUGUGUGCGGUGAGAGAUUAAGUCUUUAAAUACUUGUAUGCUCAUAUUUCUCAAAGGAGUGGUUGUUGAUAAUUGAAAUUGAAAACAAAGAGAAUGUUCUCUCAUCUUUGCUCAUAAUCUGGAUAUUCUUAGAAUUAACGGGUUUGAGUAUUUUAUUCUAUCUUUUAUGCCAAGUUUCGGGUAUUCUUAGACUAAACGGGGCUUGGUGGUUCGUGGUUCGUGUUUUCCAAUAUCCUUGCUCUUUCCAACAUCCUUGCUCGAGUGCCGCUGCACUAGUUGGUAUCAGAGCGGGAUUCAAUUGCAAAACUGAAAUCCUGUGGAGGAACUGCACCCUAGUUGUGUAGUUAGUCAAAUCUACAUCAGCUGUUAUUAGAAAUGGUUAGUGGUGAUCAUACAUUUGAUCAUUUAUUAGAUUUGGAUCUCCCUCCAGUAUUUGAUCAAUGUUCAGAUGGUUCUUGCGAGAUUUGUUGUGAUUAACAUUUUAUAGUGGAAUGCAUUGAAGAAGUCGUGGAAAAUUAUGUCAACCUUCAUAUUGCAAAUGUCGAUGAUUCCAUCGCUUUAUUCAACUCUCAUGAUACUUUCGAAGUUGUUGAAUAUAUUGAUUUCACGGGGGUUGAAAAUUUCAGUCAUCGUAGUGCAACCACUUUGGUUGAUACCAUAAUUCAUAAUAUCUGGGUUAAGAGAUUGGCAGUGGAGAAUUUACACAAAUGGAGAAUAUUCAAAUAUUCAAAAUAUUUAUUUCUUUGGAGUGGGAGAUUUCAGUUUGAAGACCAACAAUCAAUGAUCAUGAUUUUAAUACAAGAAGGCAUAAAUUCAAGGACAAAUUUUUGUCAACAUGGGGAGAAUGAUGCAAAUAAAGAGCCAUUAAAGUUUAUAGGGCAUCUGAAUCAAAAGCAUUAAUAAGUUCAAUGCAUGACCGUUUUGUUUUGGCUUCUAAUAAAUUCCAUGCAUUUGGAAUGGAAUAGCUAGAGUCAUAAUUUUUUGAAUGGGCUUAAUGUAUAUGGAUUAAUGGGUUAAUUAAUUUAGGUGUGUUUAUAUCGGAAAUAAACGGCCUAUGAUCACCGAACACGUGGACAGGAUUGAUAUUGAUCACAGAACCCCUUCGGCAUGCUUCCUACCGAAGCCAUCUAUCUUGGCCCUUUUUACCAUCGGACACGUGUCAUGCUCACAAUCCAUGUCCACAGUCCCACAUCGGAAAUAUGAGCACAGUGCACACCUCCCAAGGCCUAUUUAAGAAGACCCCUAUCCUCAAAAGGAGGAGAUCAGAACGAACGGUACGCUACCGAUUGAUCUAUCAGUUAACAUUACUAAAACUGUACUUACUAAAGCAUCGGAGAGCCUUCGGCCGGUACCACACCGGUACCCCAAGGAAUUACCGAACGUGUCCUUUUGCAGGUACUUACCCUUCUGAAGUAGAACAUCUUCCGAAGACAGUCACCUGCCGAAGGCAUAAUAUCACUAAGUUGGCGAAAUACGUGCCGAACCACUUUUUCGCAUCAACAGUUUGGCGCCGUCUGUGGGAAUCCAGAAAAAUCAUCAACCCACUAUCUCCAAAACACAUGGGGACCACUUCAGUACCCACGUUCUUAUCGGAAGAAGGGGUACCGUUCGGAAGGUAGACCGGAGCUAGCCCAGCGCUACCCCCAUCCACUCCCUUCGGAAACGCCCCCGCAACCCAAACAACCGCCGAAGCCGAGCUGUUAGUCCAAAUCGCGUCCCUACGGAAGGACAUAGCGAGACUUCAGGAACACAACAACCUUCUUUCGUCCAAAGUGGACGAAACCCAGCAGCUGCUCCACCAGCAGCACACGCAGAACAUCCAAGCAACUCACUCUUCCCAGAGCUUGCAGACCCCCCAUAGGAAGAAGAAACACGAGAAGGUAGCGAGGGCAACGCCCGCACCUUCCAAACAGUUGGUAGUUCCGGCACCCAGGGAUCAGCCGCACAUCCCCAAGAAAGUCUACUCCGAUUGCCGACAUCGGAUUAACGAUCGGGAGGCAGAGAGACAGAGGUCUCCGAUCAGGAUUAGCGCUCGACUAAGGGACUCACGGAUGAAAAUCCUAGGAAGCAAGUCGCCUAUUCGGAAGGUCAGAGGGCUGGACUCCGCAGAGGAGUCAGAAUCCGAAUAUAUCCCUUCCAGGACGCAAGCUUCCACCUACCGUUCGACAACGCCUUCACGGUACUCGGGGGUUAAUUCAUUAAGUCUAGAAAGACGAUCGGAAGAUUAUGGUUCCAAGGAAAUCUCUAGUCGAGACCCUGUUGUCCGACUCCUUUUUCAGAAAGUCCAAAAAAUGGAAAACGACAAAGCUCGCUCCCAAGAACCGGAAUGAGGAAGCUUCGGCCCGGACCAUUCACCAGGCGCAUCCGAGACUCUCGGUAGGAUAAGAAAGUGCAGCAACUGCGUAUACCGUUCUAUAUGGGAACGGAGGACCCCUUAACACACCUCCACUCAUUUCAGUCCGCCAUUGGAUGCAAGGGCCUGAGCGAUGAAAGGCAGUGCCUGCUAUUCCCGUCUUCCCUUACCGAAGCAGCCCUGAACUGGUUCUACCGGUUGGAGCCGGAAACGGUAAAUUCCUUCGACGAGCUGAAACAAAUUUUCCUCAAUCACUUCAUGAUCCAAACGGAUCGUCUUUACUCUGCCGAUGAUCUGUACACGAUUCGGCAAAGAGAGGAUGAACCGUUGAGAGAAUACGCGGUGCGCUUCAGUCACGAAUACUCAAGGUGUCCGAAAACAGACGAUAGGGCAACCUACGGCGCCUUCAAGAGUGGCCUUCGGUCCUCGCAUUUCCGAUACCUAGUACACAGCAGCAACUGGCGCACGUACGAUGAACUGAUGCAGGCAGCAAUCCAUGCCAAAGCCGAAUACUUCAACUCGAAACCCGCGGUUUCGGCACGGCGAGGAGAUGCCGAACCAAGUGCUUAUCCGGUAAAGGCGCCACCCUACGAGAGAGUCGACCCAUAUUUGGCAGGUCAUAAGAGGAAAGACGACCGUGCCGAUCGAAGAGAACACCCGAAGAAGGGAAAAGGGAGGUAUGGUCGCAACGACCACCGAGCGCCCCUGCCGAAUCGUGACCACGGCAAUGAAGUCUUCACCCUAUUGAACACUACCUACGAGGCCGUCCUAAUGAACGAACAAGAAAUAAUACCAAAGCCGAACCUGCGAAGAUCCAAUCGGCAAGACAACCGGGAUACCGGUAAAUUCUGCCGAUACCAUCAGCAUAACAGCCAUAAUACGGAAGACUGUAUAAGCCUAAGAAAAAUUGUCGAACGGUUGAUCAGAGAGGGGAAGCUAGAUCAGUAUAUCGCCCGGCAGCCACCGGCGCCGGUACCGAAUCCAAUUCGGCAGAUAAACAUGAUAAGCACUAUCAGCGGUGGCCCCACCAUCGCAGGAAUGAGCAACCGUUCAAUGAAGCAAUACGUGCGCGCCGCACAAUUUCCGCAGGUAUUCGGCAUAGAGGUGAAUCGGUAUCAUGAAAUACCGAAAGUUCAUUGGGAACCAAUCACAUUUUGCGAAGAGGAGGAAGAGGGCAUCCUCUAUCCCCACGACGACCCAAUGAUCAUUCGAGCAGAAAUUACCGACUACGAUGUAGGACGGGUACUGAUCGAUACCGGGAGCUCGGUGAACAUGAUUUUUGCCGAAGCUUUCCGAGAGAUGGGAAUAAAGGACAGCCAGGUCAACCGGCAGUUGACACCUUUGUUAAGUUUCUCUGGGGACCUGGUCCAACCGGUCGGUAGUGUAAAACUGCCAAUUACCUUCGGCACCGCGCCAAGGAAAACGACGGUAUACAAUCAGUUCCUCAUCAUUGACUGCCCGACAGCGUACAACGUCAUAGUUGGAUGAACGGCACUCACCAGGGUCAAGGCACAUCUUUUCCCCCACAUGCUAUUGAUGAAGUUCCCGACCCCCAACGGCAUAGGAGCUGUCAAGGGAAAUCAGCUAAGCGCGCGGACUUGCUACGCCACGGCCCUCAAGUCAACCUCUUUCAAAAUCCCCAACGAGACCAUGUCUGUACAGGGGAUACCGAACGGUACGGGACCCGUUGACGACCCAAGAGAUGAGCCCCCGACUCCUCACACACAACCCGCCGAGGAACUGGAGACGAUAACCCUGAGCGAAGAGCAGCCCGAUCGUUGGGUUAGAAUCAGCACCAGACUCACCCCUGCCCUCCGAACGCAGUUCAUAGACUUCUUGCGGCGCCAUUCGGAAGUAUUCGCAUGGUCCUACGAAGAAAUGCCCGGCAUCGCCCCAGGGGUCAUCAGCCAUAAACUCAGCAUCUCUCCCGCUUAUAAGCCUGUAAGACAGAAGCGCCGUUCGUACGAUACCGAGCGAUACGAAGCCAUGCGUAAGGAGGUUGACAAACUUCAAACCAUCGGCUUCAUCAGGGAGGCUACGUAUCCGGUAUGGCUGGCAAAUUCGGUGAUGGUCCGGAAGGCUACAUGCGGGUGGUGAAUGUGCCAAGACUAUACCGAUAUGAACAAGGCCUGCCCAAAGGACAGCUUUCUGUUGCCACGGAUAGACCAGCUCGUGGACGCCACCGCCGGCCACGAGCUGCUCAGUUUCAUGGACGCCUAUUCCGGAUACAACCAAAUUUUCGUGCACCCUUCCGACAGCGAACACACCGCCUUCAUAACGGACAGAGGGUUGUACUGUUACAAUGUCAUGCCGUUCGGCCUGAAGAACGCGGGGGCAACAUAUCAAAGGCUCGUCAACAGAAUUUUCGCCAAAUACAUCGGCAGCAUCAUGGAGGUUUACGUUGACGACAUGUUAGUAAAAAGUAGAACUGCCGAAGAACACCUGCACAAUUUUUCAAUCAUGUUCGACACACUGAAAGACUACCGGAUGAGGCUGAACCCGAUGAAAUGCGCCUUCGGUGUAUCUUCCGGGAAAUUCCUCGGAUUCAUGAUUAGUCACAAGGGUAUCGAAGCGAAUCCCGAAAAAAUAAAGGCAAUCAUCGAUAUGAAAGGUCGAAGACGACGAAGGACAUUCAAAGCCUUACCGGACGCGUGGCGGCCUUAACUCGCUUCAUAUCCAAGGCUACCGACAAAUGUGUACCGUUCUUUAAAGCCUUGAAAGGGGAUAAACAGAAUAUCAUAUGGACUGCCGAGUGUGAUAAAGCGUUUCAAGACUUAAAGGACUACAUGGGCAAAGCACCCCUUUUAUCAAAACCACUACCUGGGGAGAUUCUCUCCCUAUACCUUUCGGUAUCUAGCACUGCCGUCAGUUCGGUAUUGAUUCGAAAACCAGAGAAAGCAGAGUUACCGAUUUUCUAUGUCAGUAAGGCACUCCAGAGUGCUGAACUUCGGUAUCCCCCAUUAGAGCAGCUUACACUAGCCCUUGUGGUCUCGGCACGAAGACUUCGGCCAUACUUUCAAGCACACAGAAUCAAAGUUCUGACUAACCAACCGCUCCAGCAAGUGCUCCAAAAACCAGAGACUUCUAGCCGAUUGAUCAAGUGGGCGAUCGAACUCGGAGAGUUCGAUAUACAAUUCAUGCCAAGGCCCGCCGAAAAGGGUCAAGCCAUUGCCGAUUUCAUCUCCGAGCUCACCCCAUCAACAGCACAGGAGAUACCCGAGACCGGGUUGCUAGAGGAACUUGACACCGAGCGCUUUGGUGCCUCAACUCCCGUAUGGAGUCUGCACGUUGAUGGUUCGGCAAACCAACAAGGAUGCGGAGCGGGCUUGGUACUGACAACACCGGACGGACUCAAGAUCGAGUACGCCCUCCGAUUCGACUUCCGAACCUCCAACAAUGAAGCGGAAUAUGAAGCUCUCCUGGCCGGCCUUCGGCUAGCCAAUAGCAUGAAUGCAAAACAAAUCAGAAUUCAUAGCGACCCCCAGCUCAUUGUGAACCAGGUAACGGCGGACUUCGCUGCCAAAGACGCCUCCAUGUAUGCCUACCUUUCGACUACCCAUCAACUGCUCUGAAGCUUUCGAGCCUACGAGAUCAAGCAGAUCCCCAUAAGCGAAAACAGCCAUGCCGAUGCAUUGGCACAUCUGGCUUCGGCAAUUAACGACAAAAUCGGAAGAAAUGUGCCAGUAGAGAUUCUUGCCCAACCGAGCACGGUAGCCUCCGAAACAUGUACCGUACGGUACGAAGAUACAUGGAUGUCUCCUAUCUACUCGUACCUGACCAACGGCACCCUUCCAGAAGACAAGGCCCAGGCCCGAAAGCUUAGGCACCGAUCAGCAAAGUACACCGUCAUCAACGAUGUCCUUUACAAACGUGGCUACACAACUCCAUAUCUCAAAUGCCUUACGGCAGAACAGGGGGACUACGUCCUUCGGGAGAUCCAUAAUGGUGUGUGCGGCGACCAUUCUGGGUCCCGGUCACUCGCCCACAAAGCCUUUCGGCAAGGAUACUUUUGGCCGACCAUGCACCAGGACGCUAAUUCGCUAGUGAAAAAGUGUGAUAAAUGCCAGCGCUUCGGUAACAUACAGCAUAUCCCUGCCGAACCCCUGACACCGAUCGUGAGUCCUUGGCCUUUCGCACAAUGGGGACUAGACCUGAUCGGUCCGAUGCCACAAGGUAAAGGCCAGGUAAAAUAUGCAGUGGUUGCCGUCGACUACUUCACCAAAUGGGUAGAAGCCAAACCUUUAGCAACCAUAACGGCAGCAAAGAUGGAGGAUUUUGUCUGGACUCACAUUUCGUCUGGAUUUCGGUAUCCCAUAUGCUAUCAUUAUCGAUAACGACAGGCAGUUCGAUUCGGAACUCUUCAGGCAAUUCUGCACCGGCCUGAAAAUCAACUUGUUUUUCGCAUCACCAGCUCAUCCCCAAUCGAACGGUCGGGUCGAAGCAAUAAACAAAAUCAUCAUGAAACUACUGAAACGGCAGCUGGACAAAGCCAAAGGAGCUUGGUUGGAGAAGCUUCCUGAAGCACUAUGGGCCAUUCGGACAUCUUACCGAACGUCCACUGGAGAAAUCCCUUUUUCCCUGACUUUCGGUUCGGAGGCUGUGGUGCCUGUGGAAAUUGGCGAACCUUCCUACCGAACGAAAACCUUCGCACCAAAGCCGAAUGAAGAAGCACUUUCUCUAAGCCUUGAUCUUCUUAAAGAGCACCGGGCACAUGCCAACCUUCGGAAUGAAGCCUACAAGCAACGUGUCUCUCGGUACUACGACUCUAGUGUCAGGCACCGCUCCUUCCGAAUCGGAGACUGGGUCAUGCGCAAGGUAUCCCUAGCAACCAAGGAUGCCACGGAAGGAACCCUCGGACCUUAAUGGGAAGGACCCUAUGAGAUCAUCGGGAACCUACCGACUGAGAGACUCCAACGGCAAGACCCUCGGUCAUCCUUGGAACGUGGAACAUCUCAAAUACUACUACAAGUGACCUAGCCUACGGCAGGCCCGAACUGUAACCGCUCAGAAUGUAUUUGUCCUUCAACUGAAAAUAAUAAAAGUCUUCAGCACUAUUACUUCAGAACCUCUUUUUAAUUAGUCUACUAGCCCACGACUGCCAAUAAUGUCGAGUUAACGUUCUACGGCAUCUUUAUUAGCCUACGGCAAUAAAUGACUUUCGGCGACAAUACGUUCGACAAUUUAAACACAUGUUCAGAUUGUUCAAACAACAGUAGAUAAAAACAUGCAUUUGAAUUAGAGAUGCCCUCGGCAUCAAUGUGUUCGGUACACAAAAUAAAAAUAGAAAAAAACUAAUUCUACUAUUAUAAAUAAACGGCAAGGAGCCUCAAGUUUCAUCGGCGGCGACAGCCUCGGCAGAUCCGGAGCCCUCGGCGGCAUCUUCCCCUCGUAUUCUUCAAUCAUGUCCUCCGUCAGCCCUUCCGGUAGAGGAGUAGGAUCAGCGAUGAAGUUCAGAUUCAGCUUCUUCCCGAGGUUGUACCGUUUGAACCGGUACAACAGGUCCGCCAUCUCCGAGCCCACUUCCUUAUCCAGGAGAACAGUGAACUCUUCAGACGAGCGGUACCCCCGGAUAGUUGACCGAAUGGCAGCCUCAAUCUCCGCAGCCUUGGCCCGCUCCGACUCCUCCAAGGCCACCUGCACCGCCUCUUUGGCAGCCUCGGCAUCCCUCGCUGUCGCCAGCGCUGCCUCCAGGAGACCCUUCAUCUCCUCCACCUUCGCCUCCGAAGCGAGACCCUUUUCAGCAGAUGGGCGUGGUCCUGGAGCGCUUUGCCAGCCUCGGCAACCUUGGCCCUGCCGUCCUCGUACGCCUUCUUGGCACGCUCGGCAGCAGCAAUGGCCCGCUUGACGCAGAGCCACAUGUCCAUGGACGCCUACACAAAACAAACAAAGUUAGAAGCAUGCCCCACUUACCAAAAAAAAAAGGACGAAGGAAGAAAGAAAAUCUUAUCGAGGCUUGAAGCCGGAAGGCGCGUCCGGCCUCCUCCCGAAGAAGCUUCUUCGGUAGUUCGUCGAUCUCCAGCAGCUCCAUCUGAGAACCGAGGAUCAUAUGGUUGACGAACUGGACCGUCUUCGCGGGGCAGGCGAUGGUGACGGCUUCGGAAGGACCGUCCACGUCCUCCACCGCAAGGAAAGCCCUUGGGACCUCCGAUUGGCGAGGGCGUUUGGGGACUGGCUCGGCUUCCAGAUCGACUGUCUCCGGCCGCUUGCCGGCAGCCUUGGAAGCUGCGGCCUCGGUAUCCCGAUGCCUCGGUGCAGAGACCUCACCGGCAGUGCGCCCCAGAACAGGCUCGGUGCCCAGCUGUCGCAGGCGCUCCGCGAGGGUCUGAUCCUCCGGAUCCACCACCGCCUGCCGGACGGAAGCUGCCUCGGGCUGCUUUUUCUUUUUCUUGCCCUCCAGGCCCAUCAUUAGGCGCCUCCUGGAGGACUCGUUCAUCUUCUUCGCCUCGGCAGCCUUCUUGCGUCCGUCACUGGUCAAAAGUGUUUGGUCAGUUGGCAAACAAAAGCAACACACAAAAACAAAAAAAAAAAACAAAAAGAGAGAAGGAAAGAUAUACUUACUCUCGGCAGGGUGGACGAGGCCGGCUCUGACAAGGUUGUCGGUGGAGAAGAAGCGUGGGUAAACUCGCUCGGCAGCAGGUACUCUCAGCCUCACUCUGUCGAGCUGCCGGAUCUCACUCUGCUUGGGGCUCGGCUGUUUGAGUUUACCUGUCGGAAGAAGGAAAAUUAGUAAAAUAAAGCAAGAAAAAAGAAGAGAGAAGAGAAGCCAGCCUAUCAAUCGGUAUUUCGGAAACCUACCGGCAAUCUGAAAUGUCGUGGGGACCGGGAAGCGAGGAGGUGUUCCCGAUGGCGAUUCCCAAUCGCCGGAGAGUAGCACCCGCCGAUUCCUCCACGACUUUUGAGAAGUCGGCACCGAGCUGAUGAAGUGCCCCUGCUCGGAAGUCUUCAGGCAGUUCGCCUGAACCCAGCCGCCGUGAUCGGCGCUCUUGGACUUAGUAAUGCUGUAUAAGUACAAGAACUGCUCGUAGGAAGGCUCCCCCUCCUCGGCAAUCCCGAACGCAGCAAUUACCCCGAUCAAGGCCACCCAGAAGUUGGGGUUGUACUGGCCGGGAGCGUACCCGAUCUGGGCAAGGAACUUCUGCACGGCAGGUUUCAACGGCAACCGAACCCCUUGUAGAAGAACGUCGGUGAAGAAGGUCACUUCACCGUUCACUGGGUCGCUGAGGGACUCGACAGGGCUCGGUAUCCUCAUCUUCACCGAGUCCGGAAUGAGGUACUCGGCCCUAAUCCUCUCCAGCUCUCGUUCGGUGAUCUUGUUGGGCUCCAAUUAGUCGACCCCGAACAGAGUCUUCCUAGGCACACCCACCGGUAUCCUAGGCUGCUCUCGAUGGACGAUCGUCACCCUCGGCCGGGAGGGACCGGCAAUGCCCUCACCACGACCGGAGGUGGAGGCCUCAGGCUGAUGCUUAAACGGGCCGACGCGGGUACCGUCCUUGUACACCACGGUCAAGGGUAGCGGUUGCCCCGUCAUAAGCCCCUUGCCGAUGCCAUGGGUGGGAAUGGAGUUCACCUCCUCACCGAAUAACUCAACAUCGGUGUCUUCUCCACCCUCAGCGUCGAGGCUCACAGCCCCGCUGGACGUAUCCCAGCCCGAUGACAACUCCCCAUCGAACGCGUUGGGCUCACUUCCGAACGGCGACUCGCUAUCAGACAUCUACAAAACAAAGAAAGGGAAGCUAAGGCCCGUGCCACAAACUACUCUACCGAUGCCUACAUCGCUACCUAUGGCCACUAGACUACCGAAGAAAAAUUCUAUUUUACGUUCGGCUAGCCUACGCCAUGAAAAGACGUACAAUUAAAUAAAUUGAGAGUAUUUUGAGGGGUACCGAACGGUAUCUUACCUUGAGUAGUGUGGGAUGAGUUGAUCACCGAUCAGAGACUUCGAAAAUUGCCCUGUAUGCCGAGAACCGCUGUAAAAAUCGCCUUGAUUGCCGUUCACUCUCUUCGGAAAUCGCCCGCACAGAGCUCUCGCGUCAACUCACAAUUGCAAAGUGAGCCUUACAUCCGGAGCAACCUCUAUUUAUAGGGAGAAAGCUGUAACGGUACACCUCGGAAGACUAAACGGCUCUUUAAUGCGUCGUCAGACGUGCUGUUGCUGGCCACGUGUCACCCGACGAAUGGCGCCGCUGACUGCACGCCAGGCACGGAAGACGAAGCGUCUCUCUGCCCUUUUGCUCUCAGCAUCGACGACCCCUCAAGUCCCAGGUCAAUCUCCCCCGAACGAUCCUACCGAACGGCAGGUCAACCUCCGAACCGCUAUAGAGAACUAAAUUCCCUUCCGAAGGACCUUCGGAAGAGAACUUGGGGGACUACUGUUUAUACCGGAAAUAAACGGCCUAUGACCACCGAACAAGUGGACAGGAUCGAUAUUGAUCACAGAACCCCUUCGGCAUGCUUCCUACCGAAGCCAUCUAUCUUGGCCCUUUUUACCAUCGGACACGUGUCAUGCUCACAAUCCAUGUCCACAGUCCCACAUCGGAAAUAUGAGCACAGUGCACACCUCCCAAGGCCUAUUUAAGAAGAUCCCUAUCCCCAAAAGGAGGAGAUCAGAACGAACGGUACGCUACCGAUUGAUCUGUCAGUUAACAUUACUAAAACCGUACUUACUAAAACAUCGGAGAGCCUUCGGCCGGUACCACACCGGUACCCCAAGGAAUUACCGAACGUGUCCUUUUGCAGGUACUUACCCUUCCGAAGUAGAACAUCUUCCGAAGACAGUCACUUGCCGAAGGCAUAAUAUCACUAAGUUGGCGAAAUACGUGCCGAACCACUUUUUCGCAUCAACAAGGUGCUAGUUCAAUGUAUGCAAUGAGAGAUUAAGUCUUUAAAUACUUGUAUGCUCAUAAUUCUCAAAGGAGUGGUUGUUGAUAAUUGAAAUUGAAAACAAAGAGAGUGUUCUCUCAUCUUUGCUCAUAAUCUGGGUAUUCUUAUAAUUAACGGGUUUGAAUUUUUCAUUCUAUCUUUUAUGCCAAGUUUCGGGUAAUCUUAGACUAAACGGGGCUUGGUGGGUCGUGGUUCGUGGUUCGUGUUUUCCAACAUCCUUGCUCGAAUGUUGCUGCAUCAAAGGCAGACCAAUAAAAAAAAGAGUAGCAAAGGCUUAUAACUCUCGUAAAACAAGAGUGACGUGGACAUAAUAUGUUACGUCGUACUGAAGAUUUUUGGGUUUCUUUAAUUGGUUAAGUUUAUAUACAUUCAUUUGAAGAUUCUUUAUUUGGGUUUCUUUCAAGAUGAAAACCAUAUCCACAACCAUAACCACAACUUGCCAGGGGCGGAUCCACAGAGGAGCAAGGGUGGUCAAUUGACCCCUACAACCUCUGAAAUCUGCCAUUAGAGGAGCAAAAAUUGACCCUCGCAAGAUGUUCGAUGAAAUGCCCCAAAGGGGCAACUUGUCUGUCCAUGCGCUCCAGCGCUGCUUGCGCGCAGCGCGCGAGCCUUUUUUUUUUUUUUUUUUUGUUUCUCUCGACUUCAAAGGUCGGGUGAGGUUGUUGAGUUCCAACUCGUCUCCCAUCUUGAUUGGAAGUGUAGCUUGCUUACUUUUAUCUUGACGGAGAUAACGAAGUGUGUUCUCUAGUUUAGGGUCAUAUGGUAUAAGCUCGUGACUCUGCGAACGACGACCCAGCAUAUACCUGAAAUUGAAAACAAAACUCAAUUAGAUUGACAAUCCCCGGCAACGGCGCCAAAAACUUGUUGGUAAUUUUUAACAACAAUAUUAAAACCUUGAAGUGCACAAAUCAAAUGAUAGUAUAGUAACCAAGCAAGGGUCGAUCCCACAGAGAUUGUGAUCUAAAGAGAUGUUUAUCAAUGUCACACAAUGAGAACUAAAACACAAUUAAACACGAAAACAAAAUAAAGAUUGAAACCACAAGGACUUCCACACACACGCCAACACCAAGGGGGGUUUUGAUUUGAUUUUGUGAAUAAAACAAAACAAGGAAAAGAAAAGAAAACAGAAUUUAAAUUAGAGUUUAAGAGAAAUUGGUUUAAAAUCAAUCAAGAACAAUAGCUAGGACUUACUAUCCACCUCCAAACAAUCAAUCAAUCAAUCAAUCCAUAAACAACAAUAGAUAAUCAAUUUCUAGCAAGCACAUGAUGAUGACACUCACAACAAGAUCAUGGCAUUUGACUCGAGUUGUGUGAUUCCCUCUGAAGUGUAUGGCAUUUACAUCAAUACGUGUAUUCUUAAUUAAAAUCUAGUAUGAUAUUUACUCAAAUUAACAAUCAAGAAUCCAUUAAGAUCAAAGAGAAUAUGUGUGUCACAAAAACCCUAAAACAUGGCAUUUGUUAUUAGGAAUUCAAGAAUCAAUUUCUCAUAACUAGUUCUGAACUCAAUUAUUCGUUGCAAACAAGAACACAUUCAAUAUGGCAAUUGACCUAUGUUCUACAACAAUUUAAUUCCAAACAUGCUUCCAAGUUAGCUACUCAAAGAAACAAAAUAUCAGAAUUCACAUAACAUAGAGAAACCAAAAUCAUCACGCUUGUAGAAACUGAAAAUCCAUUCAAACUUGUUUAUAAAAUUGAAAUUAUGUUUAGGGCUUCAAGAUUAAGCCCUAACUAACAAGAAAUUAGUUACUCAUAUUCUUGGAUGAACUCAAAAAUAAAUACAUAAGAACUGAAAAUUAAAAGAAGGAAGGAAAAGAAAGAACUCGUUGGCAGCUUUCUCCUUUUGCGCUGUUGAUCUCUUUAGGACGUGAAUUCCCUGUAUGAGGGCCUUGGCUGGCUUUUAUAUCACUUAUAUCAGAGUUCUAAACCCUAAUAUUGACUGAAAAAGUCAUCCAAGAAGUCUUGGUAAAUAAGGAAUCCAAAUAGGGAAGUAAAGAUCACAAUUCCUAACUCUAUAGGGAAAUACAGCUCAGCCCAAUUGUUACACGAUUUGGGGAUCUUCGGCCUUGUAGAAAAAUCAUUAAAAAUAUAUUUUAGAAAGAUAAAUGUCUUAUCUUUCCAACCAUAUAUAGCACGUAACUUGAACAAUUCGGGAAGGCUUCCGUUUCUUCGUAUUCACGUAAUAUGUACGAAACUGUCCUGUCUGCACGUGGGCUAACUUUACUUGUAAUACUCUACCAAUUGGCUUGGUAUAAAAUUCUACAAAAUCACAGAUUGAACUUCAAGAUGUUAGCUUUCAUCUCCAAUUGGCCUUGCACUAAAAUUCCUCUGAAAAGUUAAUUUUCCCUUAAAAACCUUCUAAGAGCGCAGAAAAGCUGAAAAUCAGAAAAGUAAAGUCAUAAGCCCUUUUUAAAUCCAAUUAUCCUACAAAACCUAAGUAAAAAGAGUACAUAAAUGAGUAUAUUUAUGGACUUAUCAAAUUUCUGGCGUGUAAGGCACUUCCCAUACAUGGCGUUGGAAUUUCCGGCUUAUGGGAAGAUUAUGUGAUUAUUAGGUCUCACACGUGGCGUUAGAAUUUCCGGUGUGUGAGACACUUCCUAUAGGUGGCGUUGGAAUUUUCGGCAUAUGGGAAGAUUAUGUGAUUAUUAUGUCUCACACGUGGAGUUGGAAUUUUCGGCGUGUGAGACACUUCCCAUACGUGGUGUUGGAAUUUCCGGCGUAUGGGAAGAGAAUAAGGAGAGGAAAAAAUAAUUAUUUUACUAUAUCGGGGAAAGAUUGAUGCUUAAAAGAAUAAUGUCUUGUGUGUUGUGAUUUAAGGAAAAGGAAUAAUUCUAUAAUUUACUAUUUUAUUUUGCUGUAAUGGAUUGUAUGUUAUUGGAAUCGAGAUUCUUGUAGAAAGAACUACAUGUGGCUUGAUCCCUCAGUAAGGAUACGUAGGUAGCUUAGGGUCUCACCCAGGUGCAGCCGCGAAAUAACUAUAUAUAUAAAAGGUUUAACCGGUUUUGAAUGUGUGAAUGAAUUUUGAGGUGGUUGCGGGAUUUGAAUCCUAAUUAUUACUACUACUAGGUUCAGUUUUGAUUAUGAUGGAACGCCUGAAGCUCGACUCAAACUUGAGCGAGAUUAAAUGCUUGUUUAUUUCUCGAUUAACUUGAUUGGACUUUAUUAAAUAGAAUAUGUGGUUCUGAUAUGUCUGAGAUCCAUUUCGAAAUAAAUGACUGAUAUUAGGUUGAUUAUAUUGAGUAAUGGGCUUGAGGCCCCUAGAACCGAAAAUCGCGUGCCCUUAUUCCUUUUUGGGAAAGGAGGCUAUAGUUUUAGUGACUGGGCCCGACAUCGUGGUGAUGUCAAAUUUUCCACAGGAUAUGUUCUGGGUUCCGAGGAAUUCGAGGCAGGUCUUGUCAACUAAUCAAUCGUCACAUCCCAGGAUCGGCUCCGCUGUAGCACGAUAUUGUCUGUCCGCUUUGGGCCUCUCUCUCUACCUUCACAAUUUUAUUUCUGGGAACUCACAAGCAACUUUCUAGUAGGUCAUCAAUCUUGGAAUUACUCUAGCCCCAACUCACUUAAUUUCGGAGUUCCCAUGACUCCAAAACUAGUCAGUUCCCAAAAGGCCUCGUGUUAGAUAGAGGCGGGCAUGUACAUAUAAGACACAGCACCCCCUCUUCGUUAAUCAAUGUGGGAUGUUACACCUCCCUUCUAAUCUUGUACUAAAAAAAAACUUACACUGAGAAGAGCAAAGAUGAGUGGUAGAUGGAAACCCAUUAAGAUUGAAAUACUUAUGCAACAGGAAGGUGAUGAAUAUGAAGGAAAAAUAAAACUUAAUAUAUAUAAGAUCAAGUGAAAAACAAAAUUAAGUCAUCAAACACUGACAGAGAAAGUAAAACCACUUUAGUUGAUCAAAUCCAAAUUUUAUAUAAUCUGUAUUAAUGAGUGGAGGAGAGACUUGAAGAAAAAAAUGAUAAAAACUUUCAAUCUCUAACAAUUUCUACGUUUGUCCUUCAAAUUUGCUUUUUGGCAACUCUUUUUUCUUUUUGUGAAGUUGGGUCUCAACUUCCAAGGCCCAAAAUGCAAAAACUACCUCAAACUCAAAGCAUUCCCUGGGCCUAUACAAUCCUCAAGAAGAAGACAAGCCCAAUGUGAGGAAGAAGAAAAGAAAAAGGCAAGGAAUCUAUGAGUUGACCUGAUCAUUAUGCAAUUAUUCAGAGAGAAUUUAUGUCACAUCUACAGCCGGAGAAAGCAAUCUGCAACUGCAAGUGAGCUUUUCUAGUCAUUAGCCAAAGGCAAAACAAACUUGGUCCUUGCAUACAUAGCUUAGCAGGUGCGAAUUCCUUCACUUCUCUCUUUCUACUUUUUUUUCUUUUCAUUUUCAUAAUAUUUCUUCUAGAUUAAUGUAUUGUUCUAUAAAUUGAUAUAUAUGUUUCCACAUGUCCAUUUGCCUGAAGGUUUAAGUCGCUUGUGUUUCAUGGUAUGUUUUGAUCGAGGAGUAGGUUGACACACUGGUCAAAGUUGAGGGGGUUCUUUGUAUCUUAUACCCUAUCGAUUUUCUUAGGGGUGUCCUUUCGUGCCGUCACUAUGGUUUUGCUCAGCAUAGCACAUCAACAGGAAAAUGGAAGAAUGCAAUCAUGCUGGUCCAAAUGACACAAUUAACAUGCCAUACGUUCCAUUAGAAACUUCAUUGAGGGAGGAGUUAGAUAGCUUGCCUGCCUUGUCCUCUUCGUGUUGUAUCUACAGAGUUCCCAAUGACAUACGACGUCUGGAGGAAAAGGACUACACACCUCAAGUCAUCUCCAUAGGUCCACCUCAUCAUGGCAAGGAAGGUUUAGAAGCCAUGGAAGAGCUGAAAAGAGGUACCUACGAGAUUUUAUGUGUCGGACUAAGAUAAGCUUGAAAGACUAUAUCAAGAAAAUAAGGGACCAAGAAGCAAGACUGAGAAGUUGUUAUGCAGAACCCAUCAAAUUUAGCAUUGAUGAAUUUGUAAAAAUCAUUCUAGUGGAUGCUGCCUUCACUACUGAGUUCUUAUUGAGGUUCUAUCUGAAAGAAUCUGGACAUGAAGGAGACCGUUUGUUAAACAAUCCGUGGAUGUUCAGGUAUGUACAGCCUGACAUGUGGUUGCUUGAAAAUCAGCUCCCAUUCUUUGUUCUUGAGGAUCUUUAUCACACAUACAUAAUAACCGACUCUUUUAGGAAUUAUUACAGUACUCAUGAUCAUGAGAGGCUUUCAAUAAUUAAUAUUUCAAAGAAUUUCUUCACAGCUGGAAUAUUGAAUUUGGAGGGUAAAGGAGACAAAUGGAACAGAAUAUCAUCUUCUUCUAGUUCUAUUAAUGUGCAACACUUUGUUGAUCUUAUAAGAAUUUUCUAUCUACCAUUGGAAUCAGAAUUAAGAGAUGCAGGGGAGCUCAAAACCUUGAACAUACCUAGCAUCAAAGAGAUGCACCAGGCUGGAGUCAAAAUUAAGGUAGGAUCAAGCAAAAACUUAGUCGACAUACAAUUUGCAAGUGGAACUCUCAUAAUUCCUAAAAUAAUGAUAACUGGUGACAAACUGCGGACCCUGGGAAAUGUCCUUGCCUUUGAACAAAGCCAUUGCAUGGAAGACAACUACUUAAACGAUUAUGUUAGCAUCAUGGGUCGUUUUGCGAACACUCCAAAGGGUGUGGAGUUGCUUGUUGAGUUUGGAAUUUUUCAAACUGCGGGUACCACCAGCGUGGUGUCAUCUAUGAUUACCAAACUUGCCUCUGAGGCUCUUUUCUUUGUCGAUAGAUUCUGUUACGCGACUCUUUGUGAAGAGCGGAACAACUUCUGCAGAUCGUCCUGGAACAAAUGGAAGGCAAAUUUGAGACAAAAUUAUUUCAACACACCUUGGGCAUCUAUUUCUGUCAUUGCCGCUGUUGUUCUCCUCACACACACUCUCAGACAAACGGUGUGCUCUGUUAUCUCUGCUACUUAACCAUUAAAGGGUAAGUCCCUGCUUUGCCGCUUUCUCUUCUGACAAUAAUAUGUAGACUCAUCUCUGUUUUUAUUAUUUAUUUAUUCACUCACAUGGUUCUAGCAGGAACACUUUCGGGAAACUAGUAGUAUUUCAGGUCCUCAUCAAGUAAAGGGAUCCGAGGAAAGCCUGUGAACUCAAGUCCAGAUGAUGAAUGUAAUAUUUCUAUUGUUUGUCCAAAUUUUCACAGUGAAUGAAUUCAAACUGCAGGUUCUUCCUAUCCAGAUUGUUUCUGAUGAAAUAUUAUUUAUUUCUGUGCUAUAAAUUUUUUAGUAAUGAAAAAAGAGAGAAAAAAAAACUUCCAAUGUCCACCAAUCUCUGUAAAAAUUAAUUUGUUUUAUGAUUAAUUUCUCCAUGGUGGUGAUCAAAUCUUUAUUCUUUUUGUGGUUAAGUUGGAUCCCAAGGCCCAUAAACACAAAAACUAACUCAAAGCAUUCCUGGGCCUAGAAACCGCUUGGCAUCCUCAAGAAGAAGACAAGCCCAACAUGAUGUGGGAAGAGUCCAAGACUAAACGGCUCAAGUCGAAGGAAAAAGCAUAUAAAGAGAGUUUGAUAUUUUUCAUCAUCAAAUCCGUUAAGAAUUUUAUGUAUUUAUUAUUAGUAAAUUUAGGUUUUACCCAUAAAAAAAUUUUCAUUUUUGGAAAAAGCCAAAGCUUUUUGAAAAAAGACAGAAUAACCUCUUAACUUUCAAACCAAAGACAUGCAAAUGUAAAGGAUUUCUUAGGAAAUCAAAAAAUAAAUAAGGGCAAUUUUGUCCAUUUUUGCUUGUUUUAAAAAUUUUCUCUCUCCUUUGGGCUUUUCCAAAGUCUCCCUUUAUUAUUUUAUAUUUUUUUAGUACAAGCGAUAGGGAGGGGUUUCUCACACACACAACUAAUGUCAUGGGGGUUUGAACCUGAUACCUCUCUGGUCUACAAAUCAAAACCCUUUUUCACUCCACUAGACCCUGUUGGCUUUUUUUUUUCUUCUUAAGAGCAUUUUAAAUCUAGUAAGAAACAACCUAAUUUUUUCCGGAACAUUUUCAUGGAAUAAGCAUUGCACACUCCGCACAAAGGACACAGAAACUUCACCGAAACACAAAAGCAGAUUUUACUUAUAGUCGACAAACCCUUGUACAAAAUGUUGAUUUUUAGUUGUCGUGGGACCUGCAAUGGAUUAUUCAAACUUCCCCAGGACGCGCAUAGACAUGUCAAAGCAAAGGCAAGGAAGCUACAUGAGGAGUUGACCUGACUUCCAAACCAGAUUCACUAGUUCUUAUACUGAAAUCUAGCAGAAGAGCAAGCUAUCUGCAUUGAGCUUUUCUAGCUACUCAUCUACCAACUGCCAAAAAAAAAAAAAAAAACUUGGGUUUCAAUCCAUAGCAGGUAUGUUUUCAAUGCCCAAACUCCUUUCUCUGUCUUUCUUUAUUUUUCUAUGUUUGCUUGCACAUCCAAUUUCUUGAAGCUUUUUAAGUGUCUUGUGUUUCAUUUUAGUUGGAAAUUGGAAUUGAGCAAAAGGUUAUGUAAAUGUCGUAUAUAAUUUUCUUCUCUUGUAAUGGGAUUUUGGUUUGUCUAUGUUUUGACUGGAAGCAUAAUCUACUAUCUGAUAUCAUUACACAAAGAAUUUGUUUUAUUAGAAUCUCCAAUAAUGCAGAACACGAAAAAGAUUUUUUUUUUAUUUUUUAUUUUUUAUUUUUAUAAAUGUAAUAAUUCAUUCAAGACUUUCAAUUCUUUUCCUUUCGAACAAAUAAAAAAAAUGGUGUCUCUAUGUUAAUGUGAAUUAAACUUUCGUACUGAUUCACAUGAUUAGUAGGAAUUUUUCAAUCAAAACUGCAUUAGAAUCUUCCAAGAAUAAUUACAAGAAACAGAGUUGACCAGAAGAGUUUUGAAUGAAUUUGGUGCAUUCAAAUCAAAUUCUUAAGGCACUAGUGUGGUAUGUAAGAGUUACAAGGAUCAAAAGUCUUUGUGUGUUUGGUCUUAUAGUUGCAAUGUUUGUAUUAAUUUUCUCAACCAUCUUGAAAAUUUGUUUAUUGUUGUGUCAGUGACUAUCAUUUCAUUAUCAUCCAUUACGAUUGACAACAACAAACACAUCAGCGGAAAAUGGAAGGAAGCGAUCAAGCUCCACAUGAUAUUGAAAACCCCUGCAUUCCAUUAGUAACUUCAAUGGGCGAGGAAUUGGAUGGCUUGUCUCCCCUCUCCUCUCUGUGUUGCAUUUAUAGAGUUCCUGAACGACUACGGCGUGUGAGUGAAAAGGCCUACACACCUCAGGUAGUCUCUAUAGGCCCACUUCAUCAUGGCAAGGAAGGCCUAAAAGCCAUGGAAGAUCACAAAAAGAGGUACUUACAAGAUUAUAUACGUCGGACCAGGGUAAGCCUAGCGGAUUAUGUACAGAAAGUAAAAGACCAAGAAGCAAAACUGCGCAGUUGUUAUGCAGAAACCAUUCAGGUUAGCAGUGAUGAAUUUGUGAGAAUCAUUCUGGUGGAUGCCGCCUUCAUCAUUGAGGUCUUGUUGAGGUAUCGUUUCGAUGAAUUGCAGGAUGAAAAUGACUGCAUAUUUAACAAACCAUAUAUGUUGCAGGAUGUAUGGCCUGACAUGCGGUUGCUUGAAAAUCAGCUGCCCUUCUUCAUUCUUGAGGAACUUUUUGACCCCGACAAAAUCGAAGUCUCUUCUAACAAUAACAAUAUUGAAAGGCUUUCGAUACUCAACCUUUGCCACAAUUUCUUCAAAAAUCUAAUGCAUAUAGAGGGAACAGAUGGCAAUAUGGAGAAAUUAUGUGCUUCUAAAGUUGAACACUUUGUAGAUUUUUGUAGAAAUUUGCAUCUACCUCUACCAUUGAAACCACAUGCUAAAGGGCGACUUGAAACUCUAAACACACCCAGCAUCACAGAGUUACACAGAGCAGGAGUCAAGUUUAGGGUGGGAUCACCCAAAAACUUAUUCAACAUAAAAUUCGCUAAUGGGAUUCUAAAAAUUCCAAAAUUAGCAAUAAGUGAUGAGACAGAGCUUACAAUCAGAAACCUCCUCGCUUUUGAACAAUGCCAUUGCAUGGAGAAUUACAUAAACGAUUAUGUUGUCAUCAUGGAUCGCUUUGUGAACACCGCAAAGGAUGUGGAGUUGCUUGUUAAGCAUGGAAUCGUCGAAAAUAGUCUCGGUGACAGUAGUGAAGGGUCUACUCUGAUUAACAACCUUGCGGAUGGGGUCAUAGUGGACCCUAAUGACUUCUAUUUUGCUAUUCUUUGUGCAGACCUCAACAAGUACUGCAGAACGUCUUGGCACAAAUGGCAGGCGAACUUGAGACAAAACUAUUGCAACACACCUUGGGCAACUAUUUCAAUUGCUGCGGCUAUUUUUCUCCUCAUACUCACUUUUAUACAAACAGUGUGCUCUGUUAUCUCUGCUCUGCCUUCUAAGCGUUGAGAGUAAGUCUCCUCUUAGCCGUUUUCCCCUUGUCAUUUCCUUUUGGUCCUCCGCAUGACACGAGCUGGGUUUGUCACCAGCCUAGAGGUGCAAGAGAGCUGGAGAAAGAAAAAGUUAGUGUAUAUGUAGAAAAUAUAGCCUCUGUUAGUGAAAGUGAGCUGUGCAUGUAGAGUGAUGGAAGCAAUGUGGUUGUUUUAUUUGUUUCUCCAUGCUUGUUCGGUAUGAAACUGUUCAAAUUUUAUAACUUUAUUGUUAAUCCGAGAGCUGUUAUGUUGGGUACUCCAAUGUAACAAAUCAUUGAAAAUCUCAUGUCGGUAGAUACUAGUCUUUAAUCUAAGACAUCCUUUGUCAAUGGAGGUUUUGUGCAAAAACUAUUUUAUACACAUAUUUUAUACCCUAAGUGAAGCCCCUAUUUUAUACCCUAAGUGAAGCCCCUAUUUUAUACACAUGAAAAACAAUUUUUGAUCUUCAAAAAAAGCAAUGCAUAUUCGAAAUAUAACUGAAAAAAAGUGUAUUGUCUAUGAUUUUAUUUUUGUAUUUUAGGUGCAUACAAUUGGAUCUAAAAUUGCCACAUAACUAUCAUAAACUUAGAAGCCAUAUAAUUACGCUUACGAAAUAUGCUAGCGUGCGUCGCAUGUGGGCAUGUGUCACCCUAUUACCAUACUGUAUGUCCUGGACGGUAGAUGACUGGACCUUUGCCUCCGACCAAAAUAUACAUAUAUUUUCCUCCUUUUCUUGAGCUUUAUAAGCGUCCAACUCCAUUCAUAGUUGAUUUCGAACCAAAACAAAGAAUUCAUAAUUGAUUUAUUAUUUUUCCAACUAUAUGCACAAGGACCUAUAGCCUUUUCGAGUGUAUAAUUAAUUAGCAUGAAGAAAAGGAUAGAAUUCUUUUCUUGCAGACCCAUACAUAAAUGUAGAUUCGAUACAUUUACGCAGUCCACCCGCACCAAAAGAUUGCAAAAAGUUCACAAUAUUUUUAAAUGUAGAUUCGAUACUUUAAUUGAUUGCUAUGAAAACCUUCUCUGGUGAGGCAUUAGUGGUCUUCAGCUCUUCACCUUGGCAUUGGUGGGUGAAGUCACACCACAUCCCCUACCCUCGGGUUUAGUAGAGUCUCCCGACCACAAAGGUUGGGCAGCGCAAGCAAACCAGAAAAAUUAUAGUUUUGGGAGCUUCUAAUUUAUUUUAUUUUUUUACACUAAACAAACACAGUUGAUUUAAGUAGAAAUCAAUUUAGUCCUUUAGCCAAGCUUGAUGGUAAAGUGGGGCCAAUCACACAGUCCAUAUCCACCCCUUGGAAUCUCCAUAACCCCCAAAAAAGUUUCAAAAAAAAAUUUUUACAAAUAAUUUGAAAUGUUUGAUAAUGAAUGUACACAAAUUAUAGCUCUGGGAGCUUCUAAUUUUUACACUCUAUAGCAACCAAAAAAAAAAAAACCCAGUUAAUUUAAGUAGAACUCAAUGAAGUGCUUUAUUUCACUAAGCCAAGCUUGACGGUGAAGAACUGAUCAACUAACAUUUCUUUUGCAGGUUCUGAAAGAAAAAGUAGAGAGGAAAAAGAAAACGUUGCUUUUCUGCUUUUAUUAUUAUUUGAACCAAUUAAACCGGGGUUGCAUAAGCGCUUCUAUUAUAAAAAUGUUGAAAUCUUCAUAAGAAAUCCAAGUGCCUCCUGGUAAAACAAUUGGGAGUGCUAGCUUAUUUAGAAAGCGCUUCUAAAGGUUUAAGCCAAAUACUGUCAUAAGCGCUUUUGGUUGUUAAAAAAGCACUUUGAGCUAUUCUAGAAGCAUUCACAAACAUGCCCUGGCUAUCUAUGGACUUCUCCUUUUUAUACCCUUGGGAGAGCUACGAACCCACUAAUUUAUAAUAAGUAAAUUUAGGUUUUACCCAUAAAAAAACUUUCACUUUUGGAAAAAGCCAAAGCUUUUUCAAAAAAGACAGAAAAACCUCUCAACUUUCAAACCAAAGACAUGCAAAUGUAAAGGAUUCCUUAGGAAAUCAAAAAAAAAAAUAAGGGCAAUUUUGUCUAUUUUGGCUUCUUUUAAAAAUUUUCUCUCUCCUUUGGGCUUUUCCAAAGUCUCCCCUAAUUAAUACAACAUGCCAAGCCUUAGAAAGGUAAAGCCAGGUUAAGCAUAACAUGAACAGUGAAAACCAGGUUUCACUACAUAUGGAUGUCAUUGCAGCUGUUGUUCUUCUCAUACUCACUAUCAUGCUGUCUGCCUGCUCUGUUGUCUCUGUUACUUAACUUAAUGUUAAAGUAUUUUAGAGAUCGAUUCAACCAAUGUUGUGCCUAUUGUUUUCUUAUAGUUCGUUUGUGUGAGUGGUGGUGGUAUUCAAAUUAUUUGUUUGAUGUAAGACUAAAUAUAUAAUUUUUAACAAAUGUAUCAGGGGUAAUUCCCUUCGCACUGAGAGUUUGAAUAGCUUAUUUAUAUACAAACAGAAGAACCUCCACUUCCCUAGUUUAUUUCUUUUGACUCUGUGGACCAUUCCUCGAAAGAUGAUUCUCGAUCCUGUUCGUAAAAAAAUUUCUAUUUUUAGUUUAAAUUUUUUUUAUAGGUUUACCAUAAUCUUUUUUAAAUUUAUUACUUAAAUAGUGGUAGUGGACAUUGAACAACCGGGAGCAAUUUACUUAUGAUACUUAGUUGACAUUCAUAAAAAGUAUCUAAUGAAUUAUGAGUUCAAUACAUCUAAAUUUUAAAUCAGUAAAAUAUUUAAAUAUUCACUAAAGAAAUAAUAAUUAAAACAUAAUUACUAAUUAAAGUAAUUAAAAACGGCUAAGGUAUUACUUAUUAAAUUAAAGAAGUUGGCCAAAAAACAAAAGUAAAGGAACAUAUUUUAUAUUUUUAAAAUUUAAAGAUAAAAAUAAAAUAAAAUAAACCAAAACAACCUCUCUCGACAAAAUUUCGUCGGCACAAGUUUAUACCGGCAAUAUUUGCCGAAUUAGACCUCUCUCGACGAAACUCACCUCUGCUGACGAAAUUGCGUUGGGAGAAAUCUAAUUAGGUAAAAAGUUGCAUGCAUAUACCCGUGCCAACUAAGUGUAACAUCCCACAUCGACCAACGGAAAGGGGGUGAUGUGCCUUAUAUGUACAUGCCCGUCUCUAUCUAGCACGAGGCCUUUUGGGAGCUCACUGGGUUCGAAGUCAUGGGAACUCCGAAGUUAAGCGAGUUGGGGCUAGAGCAAUCCCAAGAUGGGUGACCCACUUGGAAGUUGCUCGUGAGUUCCCAGAAACAAAACCGUGAGGGCGGAGGCCUAAAGCUGACAAUAUCGUGCUACGGCGGAGCCGAUCCCAGAAUGUGACAAUAUCGUGCUUAUCACUGGUGGAAGACAGUCCGCAGACGGUAUGCUAACCCUGUUCCCUUACUUGGGAAGAGUUUCAGAGGGUAUUCUUCGAUCAGUUCUACCCGCAUUCUUACAAGAAUGUGAAGAAGUCUGAGUUCUUGCAUUUGAAACAGGGACAGAUGUUAGCACUGGAAUAUAAGCAUAAAUUAGGAUUUCUCUAGCCCAAACUCGCUUAACUUUAGAGUUUCCAUGACUCUGAAGCUAGUGAGCUUCCAAAAGGUCUCAUGCUAGAUGGAGGCGGCAUGUACGUAUAAAGCAUAUCACUCUAUCUCCGUUGGUUGAUGUGGGAUGUUACACUUCACCCCCGUUAGUGGCUCGACGUCCUCUUCAGCACACUCGCACCACACAGCAGAGCAGCUCUAAUACCAAAUUGUCACAUCCCGGGAUCGGCUAUGCCGUAGCACGAUAUUAUCCGUUUUGGGCCCCUCCUCUCUGCCCUCACGGCUUUAUUUCUGGGAACUCACGAGCAACUUCCUAGUGGGUCACCCAUCCUAGGAUUGCUCUAGCCCCAACUCGCUUAACUUCGGAGUUCCCAUGACUCCGAAUCCAGUGAGCUCUCAAAAGGCCUUGUGCAAGAUGGGGCCGGGCAUAUACAUAUAAAGCACAUCACCCCCUCUCUAUUGAUCGAUGUGGGAUGUUACAAUAUGUCACAAUUAUAAAUAGGAACCCAAGAAGAACAUAUAUCAUAUAAACUAUUCAACCAGUCAUCAUUAGCCAAUUCACAUUCUUUCAUCAAUUCCUUCCACUUUUCUUCAAAUUCCUCUAUCUUGUAUGUUGACAGAAUACAUUUCUUCAUCUGAAUUUUGAAUUUGGACUUCGUGAAGUACACAUGUGACAAUUUUUCUACAAACUUCUUCUUAAUAUGCCAGAGGCAUAACCGAUGGCGAGUGUUAGGAAAAAUCUUGACAAUUGCUCCUUUCGUUGCCAAGUCUUGGUCAGUAAUAAUGGAAACUAGAUGACGUCCUCCCAUUGCUUCAAGCCAUGUCUCAAACAACCACAAAAUGUCACUUCUGUCUCAUCUUGUAAAAGUGCACAUCCAAAUUGUAUUGAUUGCAAAUGGUGGUUUACUCCUGUGAAUGGUGCAAAUGGCAUAUCAUACUUGUUUGUCCUAUAGGUUGUGUCAAAUGUGACUACAUCUCCAAAAAGUGGUACGCCAUGCAUGAUCAAGCAUCCACCCAAAAGAAAUUAGCUGCCCUUCCGUUUUCAUCACAUUGAAUGGCAUAAAAAAAAAAUUGAGGAUUCUUAGCUUGCUUCUUCCUAAAGUAAGUAAGGACUGGUUGUGCAUCACCUCCAUCCAGUUGUCUAUGCCGGACAUUUCUCAAGUGGUUAUAACAAUCUCUAUUGUUAAAACCAAUAUGCAAUUGGCAAAUUUUCUUCAUGAAAUGUUUCAGUCAGAAUUUUAGCUGUUUUCGGCAUAACCCUAUUUGACUUCAUUUUUAUUCUUCUUUCCGGUGUAACUAGCUUGUGAUUGUGAGAGUCUUGGAAACUUGAAACUUUCCAUUUGUUUGACCAUCUAUCAAGCUUAAUUCUCAUACUUGCUUUGCAUCCACAUUUCACCGUAUAACAAUUUUUACCCGUUCUCUUCAUAUUCUCAAUCUCACUUAUGUCUCUCUCAUCAUUCUCUUCUGAAGCCUUCUGUGAUGUAUUUUUGGGCACAUAUUUUCCUUCAUGUGCACAAACAAAUUAUCUACUCGUUACCUCAUCUAAACGCCUUCUUGUCUUGGAGGAAGAUCAAGUUCUAAUCCAGAAUCCCUCUUGCCGGCCAUACUCUUCAUAAUAGUUUCUUGCUUCUUCCAUUCUGUCAAAUACCAUCCCUGUAUAUGGUGCUUUUAAUUGUGUCACUUUCUUUUUUGGAGUACUUGUUUCACCAUUCUCCACUUGAAUUAUCUCCUCUACCUAUUGAACAUAUUUAUCAUUCUUAACGAUGCAACUUAGAAAAAUAUUGUACAUAUGUUAAUAAGAUAUAUAUGAAAAUGAAGAAUAUGAUUAUCUCUGCAUCAAAAUAUUAAUGCAAGAUGAAAUAUAAUUGAAUAAACUUUCAUAUUGAUUUUAAAAUUUAAUUCUUAUGUUAAAAGACAAUCAUUAAUGGCACUACGAAUUAUUUUUUAACAUAAGAAUUCUUAAUGGCCCAAUAAUUCAGCAAUCCUAACAUCGUAUAAACUUUCAUAUAACAUCGUAUUUAUAAAUAUAUAAAAAAAAUUGCAAUCCUAAUUGUCUACAGGAAGAGCUACAACAAAGAUAAAAAAAUCUCAGAUGAAAGUAACAUACCAAAGAUAUGCACUAAGAGUUGGAGGAAAUAUCUUGUGUGCGCUCCAACAUUUUGAUGAGGCAAUAUUGUAUUCAGAUAUGAGAAAUUGCUUUGACAUAAAAGAACUAUACUGAAGAUGAAUUCAUGGUUGCGUAUAUGCUGUGCAUGAAGAAGAAUAAACUGAAAAGAGUCCUUAUUAGACCUUAAUAAAUAUUUGAGAUUAAAGAGGAGAGAGAGAGAGAGAGAGAGGCGUGCGAAUGUGAUUGUGGUUUGGGUAUUUAGUUUUUGGUGAAAUUUUUUAUUUAUUAGAUCCUAAUAAAUAUUUGAGAUUAAAGAAGCAGGAGAGAUCCUAAUAAAUAUAUUUGUUUGAUGUAAGACCAAAUAUAUAAUUUUUAACAAAUGUAUCAGGGGUAACUCCCUUCGCACUGAGAGUUUGAAUCGCUCAUUUAUAUACAAACAAAAGAACCUCCACUUCCCUAGUUUAUUUAUUUUGGCUCUGUGGAGCGUACUUCUAAGUAAUUUUCAUAGGCACAAGCCAUCACUCUUUUUUUUUUUUUUUUUUUAAAUCAGUAAAAUAUUUAAAUAUUCACUAAAGAAAUAAGGACAAGGACACUGUUACUGUGCUGCUGUUACUGUUACUGUGCUGCUGCUGGAAAAAGGACAAGGACUUCACAUGUUGCUUUCGUCUUUUGCGGAGGAGAGAGACCUAGGACUUGCAUGUCUUAGAUAUUUAAGAUAAGGGGCUUUUGUGCCAUUUUGAAAUUACUUUGGGUGUUUUUGAAAGCGGCUUGUUUCUUUUGGGUUUCUCACUAAAUUUCACUUUAGAGGGAAUAAGGGAAAUAAUAAUAAUAAUAGUACAGACCUUAUUAGCAACAGGGUUACAAACUUCUUCUACAACACACACCAACAUGAAUCUAGCCCAGAUCCACUCUUUUACAUACUUGAAAACAAAACAAAAAACAAGAUAGGGAGAAAAUGGCUACAGAGAGACUUACUGCUAAUACUUGAUCAAUAACAGAGAUAAUAGAGCACACUGUUUGUAUGACAGUGAGUAUCAGAAGAAUAACAGCUGCAAAGAGAGAAAUAGCUGCCCAAGGUGUGUUGAAAUACUUUUGUCUCAAAUUUGCCUUCCAUCUGUUCGUGGUCUUCUUGCAGUACUCGUUUAGUUUGCCAGCAAGAUCACCAAAAUAGUAGUUUUCGUGGUUCGGAGCAACUUUACUGCAAAGCUUGUUAAUCAUAAUGGAAACCUUAUUGUUGUCACCUAGCGUGUUUACAACAAUUCUAUUCUCAACAAGCAACUCUACAUCCUUUGGAGUGUUUACAAAUUUAUCCAGGAUGAAAACAUAAUCGCUUAUGUAUUUAUCCACGCAAUGGCAUUGUUCAAAGGCAAUGAGAUUUCUAUGUGUAAGCUCUGUGUAAUCAUGUAUUUCAAUUUUUUGGAAUUUCCAAGGUGUUUUUCUUGAACUGUAUAUCGAAUAAGUUCUUGCUUGAUCCCACGUUAAACUUAACUCCGGCCUGGUGUAGUUUUGUCAUGCUGGGUGUACCUUGGAGCCCUCCAUUUUUCUUUUCUUUUGGCAGAUGUAAAGUUCUAAUAAAAUCAACAAAAUGUAAAGGUUUUUUAGGAUCAGGAGGCAUAAAAGACUUACGGAAGGCUGGUGAGUUCUCCAAGUUUUCUAAACGCAGUGCCUGUUGGAAGAACCUGUAAGAGAGUUCAAUUAUUGAAGGCUCCCCAGUCUGAGCACCUGUGAGAUUGUAAAGAUCCUCGAGAAUGAAAAAUGGCAGCUGAUUUUCGAGCAUAAGCAUGUCAGGCAAUAUAUUUUGUAGCACCAUGGUUUUUUAAAUAUCCAAGCAUUAUCAUCCUGCAAUUUUUCUUCCUGAAAUUUUUCUUCGGAUUUAUUCCUCAACAAUAGCUCAAUGACAAAGGCGGCAUCAACUAGAAUGAUAUUCACAAAAGCAGCAAUGUUAAACUUCUUAGUGUCUUCAUAAUAAUGACGGAGAUCACCUUCUCUCUCCUUUAUUUUCUCUAAAUAAUCCUUCAAUCCUACUACUUUAGUCCGAUCAAGAAAACAUUUUAGGUACCUGAGUUUGUGAUCUUCCAUGGCUUCUAAGUUUUUGCUGCCAUGGUGAAGUGGGCCUAUUUAACUACUUGUGGUGUGUAGGCCUUUAGUUUUACGUUCUGUAGUCGCUCAGGCACCCUGUAGAUACAGCAGGCAGGGGACAGGGCACGCAAGUUUGUCAACUGAUUUUCCAUGGAAGUUGCUUGGUUUUCUAUGUCAAAAGAAGCUUCAUUGCUGCUUUCUUCCACUUUCUUCCUCCCCAUUAUGUGUUGUUCUGAUUGUAAGCGACGAGGAUGGUGAUGAUUCUAGACACCAUAAUCAACAAAUGUUUCAAUCAUAAUUGACAUUUCAAGAUGCUCCGACAAAAAAUUAGAAAACAUUCAUCACAAAAUGCGAACUCAUACAAUAGAUGGGAUGAGAAGAUCCACACAUUGCAAUCAUACAAUCCAAUUGCACAGGGAUUAGUCCCUAUUCUCCUCUCUCUCUCUCUCUCUCUCUCUCUCUCUCUCUCUCUCUCUCUCUCUCUCUCUCUCUCUCUCUCUCAAAAAGAUUUUCAUAUCGAUAACAUCUUAUUGCAAGGGAAUUGUACACCAAGUAGUGAAGAACAGAAAUUCAUAUUCUUUCAAUCAAAAUGUACAAAUUUCGAAAAUGUUUGUUUGUUUUAUUUUUUGGGGAAAAAAAUCUGUGCAUGUUAUAUGUAGACCUAAGGUGAAAACAGACCAGAUUUUUACGCCAUUUUUCAUGAGGUUUAAGUUUGUGAUGUAUAUAUUUAUCUCAAGUGUAACAUCUCACAUCGAUCAAUGGAGAGGAGGUGAUGUGUCUUAUAUGUAUAUGCUCGCCUCCAUCUAGUACUGGGCUUUUGGGAGCUCACUAGCUUCGGAGUCAUGGGAACUCCGAAGUUAAGCGAGUUGGCGCUAAAGCAAUCCUAGGAUAGGUGACUCAUUAGGAAGUUGCUCGUGAGUUCUCAAAAACAAAACUGUGAGGGCAGAGAAGGGGGCUCAAAGCAGCCAAUAUUGUGCUACGGCGGAGCCGAUCCUGGGAUGUGACAAUUUGGUAUCAGAGCCACACUGCCAUGUGGUGCCAGUAUGCCGACAAAGACGUCGGGCCCUUGAGAGGGGUGGAUUGUAACAUCUCACAUCGACCAACAAAGAGGGGGUGAUGUGCCUUAUAUUUAUAUGCCCGCCUCCAUCUAGCACGAGGCCUUUUAGGAGCUCACUGGCUUCAGAGUCAUAGGACCACCAUCCCAAGUUCAAUAUACAACCCAACAACCAUCUUAGCCAUCUUCUCAUUGAUCUUCCACCCAGCAUAUAACACUAUUGUUGGAGCAUGAAAUUUCAGAUCCUCCAACAAGUAAUUUUUUAUUUCCAUGUUGAGAAGCCGAACACCAUCUUCGAUUAUCACCAUUGAGUGAGGAGGGGGGUACCUGCAAGAAAACACUCCGACCCUCAAGUCAGUGUUCGUUCAUGAAUACCGCAAUAGAAUCAAUCGUAACUCCCUCCCCCUAUGCUGGGGGAUUAGUUAGCCUUUUGUAGCCAUUGAACCCUUGGACUCUAAGUCCCAUAUCCUUAUUUAUCUCCAUGCUCAAUGGUAGUGGAUAUCAUGUUAUUUGAUUCACUCCACUCCAUAAAUUUAGGGUUCAUGGGAAGUGGCUUGUUAUGUGGGCCUUAAUUUUUGCUCCCAUGUCUGCCCCCUUUUCUCUCGCUGGACACGUGUCUCGGGUGUAUAGAGAGAAAAUAUUCUUUGUGGGAAUUCAUUAUGUGUAGAAUUUUAUGUGGAGACUUGACUUAUAUUAUCUUUGAUCACGAAUUCGGCCUUUAGCCAUGAGUAUGGUCUUCGACCAUGAAUAUGAGCUUCGAUCACGAGUUCGAGUUUGGGCUUCGGCCGUAUAGUCUUCAACUAUGUAUUUAACUUUCAGUCACGACUAUGGCUUUCAGCCACAUGAGCUUGAAUUUCUUUCACAAUCGUGGUCUUCAACCACUUGAAUUUGACUUUCAGUCACAAGCAUGAGUUGAGUAUUGGCAUGCCCCCCAUUGGUUUAGAAUGCAUGUGUUUACUAACUAGACAUUGUGGCUCUUGUUUAUCCUCUGUUUAUGUUGAUUUUGUCGUUAGUUGGGCUUCAUAAAUUGCCACCAUAUAGAAAUAGGCUUAUGGCUUAUCUUGAGUGGUGCAGUAGCUGCCUCCACCACGCAAAUGUAGUCAAGAGGUUAACAAGCUGCCAAAUUCUAACCACAAGAUAAUAAUGUUAAUUUCGUCAACAAAAAUCAGAAUACGCAGGCUUAGUAGUAUCUAGAUAUUGAGCAGCAUAUGACUACAUUCAAAUUCAGGCAUUUUAGAGAGCCAUACAUGCAACUGUUCUCAUCUCCCAAAUGCAAGAGAAAUAAGUAAAAUACCUUGGCAUGUGUCAGAUGUAUAUAUAAUCAAUUUAAAAGCUUCUGAUCAUACAUCCUUGAGGCAUGAAUAUAUGCAUUGAUAAAAGAUGUAAGGAUGUUCCAUGCUAUAAUUCGUGGAUCCUGAAAGUGACAAUAGAAAACUUAUCUGUUUGCAGUUCGGCUCGUGCCCCCAUAGAAAUUGGUUUUUUGCCCAAUUCCAAAUUCAUAAUUCAGUGUUAUGACUUCUUCAACUACAUAACAUGACUGCGUACUUGAUGCUGCUAGGUCACGAAACUACCAAAAGCAUGGGGUAGAAAUUCUUCUCUAUUUGGGGCAAAAAUUCAUGCCCCCAUUCGUGCCCCUAAUUCAACCGUUUUGUCACAAACGGUUGCAUACAUCCCAAUAAAAAUUGGAUACUAACCUCUGAAAAUUGAAGGCUCUUUUCACGAAAAUUCUUUUGUGAGAUUUUGGAGCCAUGCGUGAUUGGUAUAGUCCAAUUCAUAUUGUUUUUAUGGCAAGAAGAUGCACUGUGAUAAAAAUUUAUAGUCGUGAAAUGAUAAAAGAGAGUAUAGAAUUCUUCUCUGUUGGGGGAUUUAAUUCAUGCCCCCAUUGUAGCUCCUAAGGCAAGAGUGUAUCCAUGGCUUCUAAUUAUGACUUUUUGUACGGUUUCCACAGACGGCGCCAACUGUUGGAGCAUGAAAUUUCAGAUCCUCCAACAAGUAAUUUUUUAUUUCCAUGUUGAGAAGCCGAACACCAUCUUCAAUUAUCACCAUUGAGUGAGGAGGGGGGUACCUGCAAGAAAACACUCUGAUGCUCAAGUCAGUGUUCGUUCAUGAAUACCGCAAUAGAAUCAAUUGUAACUCCCUCCCCCUAUGCUGGGGGAUUAGUUAGCCUUUUAUAGCCGUUGAACCCUUGGACUCCAAGUCCCAUAUCCUUAUUUAUCUCCAUGCUCAAUGGUAGUGGAUAUCAUGUUAUUUGAUUCACUCCACUCCAUAAAUUUAGGGUUCAAGGGAAGUGGCUUGUUAUGUGGGCCUUAAUUUUUGCUCCCACAACUAUCUUCAUAUACUCUUUAGCUUAAUCUCUCUGUUGCUUUUGUCUUUUAUUUUUUUCAAAUUAAAUUUUUUAGUUUAUAUUUUUUUUUAUUGGUGUAGAUUCAAUGACAAAGAACAUCGAACUCGUCGCAACAUCUUGCCCUAGAUCCGAACUCUACCACCAUCACAACCCUCCCUCUCUUGAUCUCCGACCAACCUUAACACCCAACUUCAAAUCUAUGUUGUUUGAAACUCAGCCCCCUUCCCCAACCCCCCCCCCCCCCNNNNNNNNNNNNNNNNNNNNNNNNNNNNNNNNNNNNNNNNNNNNNNNNNNNNNNNNNNNNNNNNNNNNNNNNNNNNNNNNNNNNNNNNNNNNNNNNNNNNUGUCAAUAAGAUAAGAUCUCAUUGCAAGUGACUUGUAGAUGAAGUGGUAAAGAACAAAAAGUCAUAUUCUUCCAAUCAAAAGGUAUCAAGUCAAACAAAAUUUCUAGUUAGUUUGCUUUAUGAUAGUUGUUUUUUGAAGGGGUCCUUAGAUCCAAUCUCAAAAAGUUUGACUUUUAUUAUGUUUAACUCUGGUUUUUGCAAUUUUUUUUUAUCUCUACCCACUAACUUUUAUCUCUCAUUUUUAUUACCCAUUUUACCCUUUAAAAUAAAUAUGGCAAUAAACUAAAAAUUCUGAUUUAAUGCAUGUUUUACUCAUAAGAGAACUAAAACCUAAAAAUUAUGUACUCUAACACAAAAAAUAAAAACUAAAAAUAAAAAUUGAAGUGGUUAUCAAACAGAUCCUUAUAUUACAAAGAAAAUAUCAAAGAUUGAACUCGUCAUAAGAGAACACAGAAAAACCUCACUGCUUGCAACACCACCACUACACGAACAACUGCUAAUUUGACAGGACCCGCCCCAAAUUUUCUGAAAUUCGAGACGAAUCCUGUGGAAUUCCCGACAUAAUCCUGAUGUCGGGCCCACUUCUAAAACUAUAUCCUUUUUCCCAAAAAAGAAUAAGGGCGCGAGACUUUCUACCGAAAUUUCGGCAGAGUCUCUCCUACAAAUUGGACAUUUCCCAAAAUUUUAACCUGCAUAAAACACAAUUUAUAUUUCCAAUUGGCAACAUGCACAAGAUAAUUUCAUGCAAUUCACAUAAACGGCAUUCGGCCGUCCAAUAAUUAUCAACAAACUACCAAGCACGCUAUCAACUCUAUUCAUACCUUAAACAAGGCAAACAAUAAAUUCAAUUAUGAAUACUAAAUACAACAUGCAUCAUCUAACUUUUCCAAUCCCAAUAUACGAGGUUUUAACCUCCUAACACAAUCACAUCUAUGUCCGCGGCUGCACCUAAUAACCUUAGGCUGCCUACGUACCCUCACUGAGGGAUCAAGCCACGCGUAGUUCUUCCUACUAAAACCCGAUUUCAAACACAUACAAUACCUUUAUUCAUCUCUCUGUUAUUCACAUAAUCUCCUCAUACGCCGGUACUACCAACGCCACGUAUGGAGUCUGUCAACACGCCAGAUAACCUACGCCACGUGCGACCUCAACAUACUAUCACAAUAUCUCCACAUACGUCGGUACAACCAACUCCACGUAUGGGGUAUGUCAACACUCCGGAUAACCUACGCCACGUGCGACCUCACUAUAUUAUCACAUAAUCUCCCAUACGCCGGUACAACCAACCCCACGUAUGGGGUCUGUCAAGACGCCGGAUAACCUACUCCACAUGCGACCUCAACAUAUUGUCACAUCAUCUCCCCAUACGCCGGUACUACCAACGCCACGUAUGGGGUGUGUCCGCACGCCGGAUAACCUACGCCACGUGGGACCUAACAAAUACAUGGUGGUACUUAUAAUGUAACCAAAAUUCGGGGAGGUACCUAGGGUAGUGUGUAUAGCACCUCAAACUGACAUUCUAGACUCUUUUUCAUACAUUUAUACCUAUAUUUAAAUAUAUAAGUUACUCUAACAUUGUAUAAACCUCAACAUCAUCCCAAGUACUCCACACAUCACCAAUACUUUACCAAAAAUGCUAACUUAACUAUUAAUUAUUUAUAAAAAAAAAAAGGUUUUCAAAAAAUCAUUAAAUUCAUAUGCCUAACAAUACCAUCACAAAGCCAUGCUAUUCAUUUAAAAAUAAGGACCAAGAGUUUCCUACGAUAAUAAUAAACACUCUAAAAUCUCAGCCCAGUCAACAUGGCUCAACAACGCUCAAGACCUGUCAUUAGGGUCAUUUUAAUCCUUCUAGGAAGGUAAAACUACCUCGGAAGACUCAAGGUCAACCAAGGGUCAAACUACCCACACUUGGUCAAACGGGCCCACGGGGCCCACGACCUCCAAAUUCUGAUCCGAAGGUUCCUAUGGGUUCUACAAGGUAUAGGACACUCGUCCUGCAAGUUUAGUCCAGAUCGGACGGUCAGAUCGCUCACGAUCGCACGAUCUGACGGUUAAUAUAAACAUAAACUUUAAAUUAUUAAAUCGGACAUCCGGGGCUCCAAUUUACGAUCCUUGAAUUCCUACACAAUUCUAGAAAUACCUAGAUUAACAUAUAUUAAAUUCAAGACCAUCCAACGGUCCCAACCUAUCAUACCCAGAUAACGCGCAAUAAGCGAUAUCCGUUCGAGCCUCAAACGGCAUCCAAAUUGACAUAUGAGCACACCUACGCACUCGUGAGAACCAGGAGUGCCCUUUUUCUACAGUGCCCACGUGCCUCCGCACGUGCCGGCAGCGCGUGGGUGCCCAAAGCGAUUACGCAUCGUCGGAAAAUCUCAAAAUCACGGCUCCAAACUCCUACCCUAGGUAUAACACCAUAUUUGGAGCCACUUUUGUUCUUGGACCUACCCCAAAAACUGACCGGAGGUGGCAUGAAUCGCAAUCCUAAAAUCGGCCGAAUUUAAAUUCGUAAAUCAAAUUUCCUACGCUAGGAAUCGAUCGAAUCCUACCCAACAGGCAGCUAGAGCACAUUAAAAAGAUGAGAAAGCAUACCAAGAUCGAGGAAAAUGGUGGCCGGAGGCAUUCUAACGAGCUCCUUGAAUUUUGGGUUAAAACUGGUCGGAUUUUUACAUUUUUCGGCGAUCACAGGUGGUUCCAGCAGCUGAGAUUGGUCAGGAUGGGAAGAGGGAGAUGGCCCAGUUCUUUUGGGACUGAUGCCACCCCACGCAGUGGCCGGAUGCGACAGUGGUGGCCCAAAAACCACCGCGGUGAACAGUAACAAGAGGGGCUGUUUCUGCGCGCAGGGAGAUGAGGAAGAAGAAGAAAAAUAAAAAGAAAAAGGAAAUUUAAAACUGCCCGGUUACUAUAGCACGGCACUGUUUGCUACAGUACAAAAUUUUAAAAUUUCCUCCUUCGUUACAACUCGGAAUUGGGCGUGCCACAUGUCUACAAACUCAUAUCGACGAGCUCUAAUGGUGCUACUUAAUUCUCCAAAAUCUUUCCGAAUCAAAAAAUGACCAAAAUACCCUUACCCAAAGGGUAUAUUCCUAAAUUCAUAUUUAAAUUAAUUUAAUAAUUUAAUUGAGUAAACAAAUUAGGAUCGGGGUGUUACAUAAUUAAAAUGAGUCACAUGUGGUACUUAACUCUAAAAACUUAUUUAGAUUAUAUAUCCAUACUUAUUUAAAUGAGGUAAAUAGUACGUUUACAGAGUUUAAGUGUAAUAAAUGAAUAAAAACAUGCCCAGAGGAUUGAUAAGUGAUAUCAAUUCUUGAAUAUACAGAACGUAAAAUAAAAGAACACGUAGAAAAUUAUUUUAUGUGGUAAAACCCCAUCUCUAGGGAACAUCCACGGGGCUUUUUAGUCCAAAACAAAUCCAUUAUAGAACGAGGAUUAUAAGAAGUACUCACACACUUAUCCUAGACACAUUCUAGAUAAUGUUUAUUGACUUCUUCGUAACUCAACUUCUGUCACGAGAUGAUCUUUCGACACUCCUUAUGUUGAACGCAAUACUGGUCACGAUUUCUUCAAGCUCCUAAUAGAGUUCUUCCAACUCUCCUUGUAUUGAAUCUGACACUAGUCACGAUCGAUUCAAGCUCAUCGUAAAAAAACCGCCACAACGGUCUUGGUGCCCCCAACCGUACGAGUCACUGAACAUGUAAAUGAAUACAAUAUGAAUGAUAAAAGUGUUUGAUAAAUCACCAAGUUAUGGAACACUUGAUGAUUUAUCUUAAAUAAAAACUCAGCUUUCCAAAGUUUAUGAAUUGAAAAUAUGAUCGUUAAAGCUCUCUAAACAAAGAAGAUGAAGGUCUUAUUCUAUAGAAUUUUUCUUUACAAGAAAGAAAACACGUUGAAAACCAAAUCUUCAAUUUCCAAGGCUUGACAGAAAAUCACAAAAGUAUCUUUCCUAUUCUAGAGAUUGGUCACAUGUAGUCCAACCAAUAGGAAAUGAGAUAUUUAAGAAAGCAAGAUUUUGAUCAAUAUCAAUAUCAAAUGAAUUCUUAUACGCCUAGUCAACUAUUAAGGGUAUCUUGACUCCUUGAUAUUGUGAUAUGAUUGAAACAUGAUUUCCAUGUUAGAAAAUUAAGGGGAUGUUAAAACAUGAAAGUAUUAGGAGAAUCAAAUUGAUUUGGACCAAAAUUGCCUAAAAAGAAAACACUCCUAAAUAAACUUCAAUUCACUUUUAAAAACAGUAAAACGUGAUUAAAUCGUUGUUUAAAACAAUUCCCUAAUAGACAUGCAUGAUAAUGACAUCACUUACUCCUAAAUCAAAUUGUCACGUCCUGGACUCGGGGGUUGGUGGAAACCCCGCGCCCGGUGCGUGAGAAAAUAAAAAGUAAAAUAAAAUAAAAAGAAAGCCGAAAUAAGGGUUUAAAAUAAACUUCUCUUAUAAAAAUAACUCCAAAAUCUUACAACUUUACAAGAAAUAAAUAAAGCUCUAUCAUUCUUAUCUAAUUCAGCCUCAACUGGUUUAGUCCUUGUCUUGCCCACUAAUUCAUCUGAAAAAUUAAACAGGGUGAGGGAUGAGCAAGUAAGGACAUGAGACCUUGCCACAGUAGAUUGAUAUAACUAAAUAUUAUCAUAAACAUAUAAAUAUAUAAGUAUUAUUAUAAUAGGAUUCAUAAUAAUUAAUAUAAAAGUAUAACAACAAUAUUGACAUAUACGUACCAAGAUAAUUACAUAUAUAAAUAUAACCAAUAUAUAUUUAUAUAUAUUUUAAAAUACGGGUCUUUACGCAAAUGCCUUUCGCGGGUCAAGCCACAAGUCUAUGUUUUGGAGAUUGCUGAGCUGCAUCAAUCCUGCCAAUGUCAAUUCUGCCCCUAGGCUCUCUCAAAGCAAGUUUAAAACCUAUGCUAACAUAUACUAGAGUUUAUGCUGUAUCUAGAAAAUGCCAACACUAAUUUCGUAACACGUAGAAAUUGUUAGAGAUGGAAGUUUUUAUCAUUUUUUCUUCCAGUCUCUCCACCACUCACUAAUACAGAUUACUCAUGUGAUGAGUUUACAAACCUAUUUCUCUACUCUCGCAAAGACUAUACUUCUUCUCAAAAGACUAGAUCACUUUACCUAUAUCUCUGUGAAAUGUAAAAAGUUGAAACUUUAAUGUCAAACCUCGACAAAGUGUUCUACUUUACAAACUUCUUGUAUCUACCAAUUUCUACUAAAAUUAAUUUCUCUACGGUGCUCAGAUUCAUCAUAUGUGUGUCCUUAAUUUUAGUUGAAAUUGGAAGUUUCCAUCAUUUUUGCUUUAAGUCACUCUUCUGAAGGAAGUUUAGGUUCCACCCCAUAAUUCAAAAUGUCAGGUUGACUUAAACAAUGUAAUUAUGUAGGAGUACUAUGACCUUUUAUAGCAUUUUUAGUUUGAAUUUGGGUUUUAUACAUAGAUUUCGAAAUUAAUAGGUUGAUGUCUAGGAAAUAGAAAUUGUAAGGGCCUAUAUUAGACUAGCCCUCUUAAAAAAAAUAUUGAUUAAUGAAUAUUUGUUCUUCUUAUUGUUUUGAAGUAGUGGUGGGAGGCAGACCAACAAAAAAAAUAUAGUGAAGGCUUAUAAGAGCAUUUACAAUCAUGCUCCCUAUUUUUCAGUUAAAAUUUAGCUGAAAAUAGAAAAAAGUUAUUAUAGGAGCUCUUUAUAAAAUUUGAACUCCAAUCAUACUCCCUAGUUUAGGGAGUCAUAAAUACUAUAGUUAUUUUUUAAUUCAAUUUGAUUUUGGUUAAUCUCUAUAAAUAAAUGAAAAUAUGAUAAAAUAGUUAGCAUUAAUUAAAAGUUUAAACUAUGCAUAAAACAAAGAAACAUUAAAUUAUAGAGAGCCACUAUAAGUCAUUUCUCUCUCCUCAGAUUUAUGAGCUCCUAGAGGUCUCCUUAUUUUAGGAGGUGGAUAAGGAGUGUGAUUGGAGUUGUAUUUCUUCAAUUUCCUCCCUAAAAUUUGUCUAAGGAUGUGGUUUAUGGAGCCCAUUGUGAAUGCUCUAACUCUGGUAAAACAUGAGUGACAUGAACAACAUAUGUUACGUCGUAGUGAAGAUUUUUGGGUUUCUAUAAUUGGUUAAGUAGCAUCCACAAUGAGUUUCCUAAAUCAUCUCCUUAGACCAAUUUUUAGGGGAGGGAAUUGGGAAAAAGUACAACUCCCACCCAUGCUCCCUAUCCACCAACUAAAAUAGGGAGACCUCUAGGAGCUCCUAAAUCUGAUGAGAGAGAAAAGACUCUUAGUGACUCUCUAUAAUUUAAAAUUACUUUAUUUUAUGCAUAUUUUGAACUUUUAAUUAAAUCAAAUUAUUAUUUUUAUAUUAUUUUGUAUACAAAUAGACUAAUUAUAUUAAAUUAAAAAAUAAUUAAAGUAUUUAUGACUCUUUAAAUUAGAGAGCAUAAUUGUAGAUCAUCUUAUAUACCUUAAUUUGAAGAUUCUUUAUUUGGGUUUCUUUCAACACUUAUCACCUUAGCCACACCACCUACACCAAAUUGACGUCUGCAAGCUUUCGUAAUCUAACAAGGAAGGGGAGGCUGCGCAAUACUUAUCACCUUAGCCACACCAACACCACAAGACCAAUAUGUGUAGUCCAGGAGGCUUUCCCAUUUUAAUAUAUAUUAUCAAAUAAAAUAAAAAUCAAUCUAUUAUCAUAUAUAUUAUAAAAUAAAGAUUAUUGCUCCAUCCUCCAUGCACUUGCAUGCCCUCUUACAAAGUGUGAAGUAGAUUUUGUGUGCUCCAAGUCAUUGACUAGAGCUAUAACAUGGUUAGCUGGAUUUAUAAGAUCUUUUUUUUUUUGGGAAUUUUCUGAACCAAGGAAAAUCAAGUAAAAUUAAUAAAGCAUAAAUUAGAAAGGGAAAGUAUCUAGAGGAUGCAUUGUAGGAUUGCACAUGCCAAUAAUUGUACCCUCUAAAUAUAUAGGGAAAUAUUUUUUUUGUUUUCAUGACAUGUGGUCCUAAAAUUAUUGUUCCUAGCGGGCUCUCCAUCCCCUCUCAAUUGAAAACCAAUGGUGUAAAUCUUCAAUCCUGAAUAAUGCACCUAAAACUCAAGUGUCCCAGGCCAAUUAUUGCUCUCAUACUACUUGUUGUAAUAAACAUCCACCCAUUCUCAAGGAAAGAUAACUAUCGAUAUUAUCUCAAAUUUAACCACUUAACUUUAUUAUGAUUAACUAUGUAUCUUAUGGACCAAUCCAGCUGUGAGGUUUUAUACCCAAUUAGAUCGACCAAUACAGAGGUCACACGUGGAUUGAAAAGCGUCAUCGGUAGGGGAGUGUUCGACACCUUUUACUGCCGAGCGCAACACAAGACCCCUUACCAGGAACUUACCUGCUAAGACACGUGGAGACCCCACAUGUAAUAUCAACAGUCCCACAUCGAAAUUUAACACAACAUGCACACACCUCAAGACUUAUAAAAGUGGGCACAAGUCCCAAAAAUAGGGGAACUUGGUCUUUUGGCAAUUCAGCCAUUACUUUAUCCAUAUUAUUAUACACUCCGUACUUAUUCUAAUUUCAGCAUUGGAGAGCCCUCAGCCCAAGGAAUUACCAAGCAUUCUCCAUCUUGCAAAUUAAUUGCUCUACCGAAGCCCAGAAGGAGCCAAAGGCCAAGAUAGCACUAAGUUGAACCCAAAAAUGUUAAACUAUUUUUUAGCAUUAACAAUAUAUAUAGAUUUUUAAAAAAAAAAAAUCAAUCUAUUAUCAUAUAUAUUAUAAAAUAAAUAUUAUUGCUCCAUCCUCCAUACACUUGCAUGCCCUCUUACAAAGUGUGAAGUAGAUUUUGUGUGCUCCAAGUCAUUGACUAGAGCUAUAACAUGGUUAGCUGGAUUUAUAAGAUCUUUUUUUUUUUGGGAAUUUUCUGAACCAAGGAAAAUCAAGUAAAAUUAAUAAAGCAUAAAUUAGAAAGGGAAAGUAUCUAGAGGAUGCAUUGUAGGAUUGCACAUGCCAAUAAUUGUACCCUCUAAAUAUAUAGGGAAAUAUUUUUUUUGUUUUCAUGACAUGUGGUCCUAAAAUUAUUGUUCCUAGCGGGCUCUCCAUCCCCUCUCAAUUGAAAACCAAUGGUGUAAAUCUUCAAUCCUGAAUAAUGCACCUAAAACUCAAGUGUCCCAGGCCAAUUAUUGCUCUCAUACUACUUGUUGUAAUAAACAUCCACCCAUUCUCAAGGAAAGAUAACUAUCGAUAUUAUCUCAAAUUUAACCACUUAACUUUAUUAUGAUUAACUAUGUAUCUUAUGGACCAAUCCAGCUGUGAGGUUUUAUACCCAAUUAGAUCGACCAAUACAGAGGUCACACGUGGAUUGAAAAGCGUCAUCGGUAGGGGAGUGUUCGACACCUUUUACUGCCGAGCGCAACACAAGACCCCUUACCAGGAACUUACCUGCUAAGACACGUGGAGACCCCACAUGUAAUAUCAACAGUCCCACAUCGAAAUUUAACACAACAUGCACACACCUCAAGACUUAUAAAAGUGGGCACAAGUCCCAAAAAUAGGGGAACUUGGUCUUUUGGCAAUUCAGCCAUUACUUUAUCCAUAUUAUUAUACACUCCGUACUUAUUCUAAUUUCAGCAUUGGAGAGCCCUCAGCCCAAGGAAUUACCAAGCAUUCUCCAUCUUGCAAAUUAAUUGCUCUACCGAAGCCCAGAAGGAGCCAAAGGCCAAGAUAGCACUAAGUUGAACCCAAAAAUGUUAAACUAUUUUUUAGCAUUAACAAUAUAUAUAGAUUUUUAAAAAAAAAAAAUCAAUCUAUUAUCAUAUAUAUUAUAAAAUAAAUAUUAUUGCUCCAUCCUCCAUACACUUGCAUGCCCUCUUACAAAGUGUGAAGUAGAUUUUUUGUGCUCCAAGUCAUUGACUAUGGUUGAAACAUGGUUAGUUGGAUUUAUAAGAUCUUUUGUUUUCUGGGAAUCUUCUGAACCGCGGAAAAUCAAGUCAAAUUAAUAAAGCAGAAACUGUACCCUUUAAUUAUAUAUGGACAUAUGUUUUUUUGUUUUCAAGUCUUAGAUGACAUGGGGACCUAAAAUUAUUGCUCCCAGUGGGCUCUCGACCCCUUUCAAAUUUAAGUGGUCCAUUAUUAUUAACCACAUAUUUUAUGGACCAUCCAGCUGUGGGGUUUUAUCUCAAAAACCUUCGGUACAUUUCUCCCACAUGCCACAAUUGUAUAUUCACAAUUACUUCUGGGUACCCCUCAUCAUUCGUCUAUAAAAUGGUGAAGCCAGUUGCUCUGUUACCAUAAGAGCCAGCUCCGACGUUCUUUAAUUUCUUGCUACUUCUGUUGCCAAGUUAAUUUCAGUCCUAAUGGGGUUUCAUCUCCCACUCAUCGUUGCUAUUCUCAGUGUAAGCUCUGCAAUUUGAUUAACUUUUCCAUUCUCUCUCAUUGUACUCUAUAUAAACGAAAGUUUUGUGUUCUUAUAAUUCUCUCCGAUUUAUUUAGUACGUACUUAAGUGUCGUCCACUAAUUAAUUACACUUUGUGAGAUUUGAUUUUAAUUAGAGUUGGAAUUAAUGUUGCAGCUAGCAGCGGUUGCACUGGCAAACAAUGCUGCUCAACCAGCACCUCAACUUUACUGGAACUCCGUCCUGCCAAACACACAGAUGCCAAGAUCUAUCAGUGAACUUCUGCAUCCUGGUUUGUAUUUGAGCACUUUAGAAUCUUAGAUAUCUCUUCUACCUGCCAUUUUACUAAAAUAUGUUCGACCACAUAUUUAUCAGUUAAAUACUGUCAUUACAAGAAUGACACUUAUUUUCCAAUAUAAUUUGCAGACUCCACAAAUGAAGAAAAGAGCAAACCUGAAAAUAUCCCAUUGGCACGUUCAGGUUACAGUCGAAAAAGGUAUGGAGGAGGUCCUCCUCCAUCUGACGAGGGCAAACCUGAAAGUAUCCCAUUGAGAAAUUCAGGUUACCAACGAAAAAAUUAUGGAGGACGUCCUCCUCCAUCUGACGAGGGCAAACCUGAAAGUAUCCCAUUGAGAAAUUCAGGUUACCAACGAAAAAAUUAUGGAGGACGUCCUCCUCCAUCUGACGAGGGCAAACCUGAAAGUAUCCCAUUGAGAAAUUCAGGUUACCAACGAAAAAAUUAUGGAGGACGUCCUCCUCCAUCUGACGAGGGCAAACCUGAAAGUAUCCCAUUGAGAAAUUCAGGUUACCAACGAAAAAAUUAUGGAGGACGUCCUCCUCCAUCUGACGAGGGCAAACCUGAAAGUAUCCCAUUGAGAAAUUCAGGUUACCAACGAAAAAAUUAUGGAGGACGUCCUCCUCCAUCUGACGAGGAAAAACCUGAAAGUAUCCCAUUGAGAAAUUCAGGUUACCAACGAAAAAAUUAUGGAGGACGUCCUCCUCCAUCUGACGAGGGCAAACCUGAAAGUAUCCCAUUGAGAAAUUCAGGUUACCAACGAAAAAAUUAUGGAGGACGUCCUCCUCCAUCUGACGAGGGCAAACCUGAAAGUGUCCCAUUGAGAAAUUCAGGUUACCAACGAAAAAAUUAUGGAGGACGUCCUCCUCCAUCUGACAGUCAACUACUCCAUUAUAGAGACUUAGCUAUUUUCUUCUUCGAGAAGGACAUGCGCCCUGGCUCAACAAUGCAGUUCCAAUUCCCUAGAAAUUCAAACACGGCUACUUUCCUGCCACGCGAAAGUGCUCAAUCAAUCCCCUUCUCCUCUAACAAACUAUCAGAAAUUUUCAACCAUUUUUCAGUGAAGCCGACAUCUGUGGAAGCCAAAACAAUUAAGCAAACAAUCGAAGAGUGUGAAGCUCCAGGCCUUAAGGGAGAGGAAAAAUAUUGCGCCACAUCUUUAGAAUCAAUGGUUGAUUUUAGCACUUCGAAGCUUGGAACAAGAAACGUUGAAGCAAUCUCGACGGAGGUAUUGGAAGAAGGAGCCACCAAGUACAUGCACAACUAUACAACAAUGCCGGGACUGAAGAAGUUGGCAGGUGACAAAGUCGUUGUGUGUCAUAAGGAGAACUAUCCCUAUGCUGUGUUUUUCUGCCAUGCAAUAAAACAAACAGAAGCUUAUGUUCUCACCCUGAAAGCCGAUGAUGGGAUGAAGGUUAAAGCAGUAACCAUCUGCCAUCUAGACACAUCAGAAUGGGAUCCAGAGCAUUUGUCCUUCCAAAUCCUCAACGUUAAGCCCGGAACCACUCCCAUCUGCCAUUUCAUUUCCACUGAUGCUAUUGCCUGGGUUCCGAACCACAAAUCUGCAUGAUCAUCACUUAGCACUGUACGUAUAAUAAGCUUGGUCGGGUUGCACCCUAGGCCUGCAUAAUUAUCUCCCUACUUAUUUCUGCCUCUUCAUCAUGUGGUGUAAGAUAUAUGGUGAGAUGAAGUAACUAUGUAGACUUCAA